GUUUAUCAAACUCAAUCAAUUUUCUUUCUUAACAAAAUUCCAAAGAUGUGUAGCAUUUUUCAGAUCACAUGCGAUGGUGCUUUUUUCAAUCGUUGCUUGGAUUGCUUUCUUGGAAAAGCAGCAUACAUACGUAACCUCCAAGAUAAUCUUGAUGCCUUGGACACUGAAUUGGAAAAUCUAAUCGCUAAAAAGAACGAUGUGAUGAGGAGGGUUGUCGAUGCUGAACGGCAACAAAUGAGAAGGCUGGACGGAGUGCAACGAUGGGUUUCGAGGGUGGAAGUUGUUAAAACUGGAGCCGAUGAAUUGAUGAGGCACAGCUCUCAAGAAAUUGACAAAUUAUGUGUUGGAGGCUACUGUUCCAAGAACUGCAGGUCAAUCUACAAGUUCGGAAAACAAGUGGCUAAAAAGCUACAAGAUGUGAAGACUUUAAUCGGCGAGGGAGUUUUUGAGGCGGUGGCUACUGAGGUGGUGGCUGAGAGAGCCCCAGAACCUGUAGCAGAUAAAAGACCCACUGAGCCAACAAUAGUAGGCUUGCAAUCACAGCUUGAACAAGUUUGGAGAUGUCUUGUAGAAGAAUCAGUGGGAAUCAUUGGCCUAUAUGGUAUGGGCGGUGUUGGUAAAACCACACUAUUGACCCAUAUCAACAAUAAAUUUCUUGAGAGUCCCACAAACUUUGAUUGUGUGAUUUGGGUCGUAGUUUCAAAAGACCUGCGACUUGAAAAAAUUCAAGAAGAUAUUGGGAAGAAGAUAGGUCUAUCUGAUGAUUCAUGGAAGAAUAAAAGUUUUGACGAGAAAGCUGUGGACAUCCAGCGGAGAUUAGGAGAGAAGAGAUUUGUAUUGUUGUUAGAUGAUUUAUGGGAGCGGGUUGAUUUAACAGAAGUGGGCGUUCCACUUCCCAGCGCACAAAAUACUACCUCAAAAGUCGUAUUCACAACCCGUUCCAUUGGUGUUUGUGGUAGCAUGAGAGCUAGGCCGGUUAAAGUGGCAUGCCUAUCAGAAAAGCAAGCUUGGGAACUGUUCCGCGAAAAUGUUGGGGAAGAAACUCUUGAGAGUGAUCAUGAGAUCGUUGAGCUAGCCCAAACUGUGGCCAAAGAGUGUGGUGGUUUGCCACUCGCACUUAUUACUAUUGGUCGAGCUAUGGCCUACAGAAAGAAAGCGGAGCAGUGGAGACGUGCAAUUGAAGAGUUAAGAAGAUCAACUUCAGAGUUUGCAGGUUUGGGAAAAGAGGUGUAUCCUCUUUUAAAGUUUAGCUAUGAUAGUUUGCAGAAUGAUACAAUUAGAUCUUGUUUCUUGUAUUGUUGUUUAUAUUCUGAAGAUUAUGGCAUUCUUAAAUGGGACUUGAUUGAUUGUUGGAUUGGUGAGGGAUUUUUGGGGGAAUCUGACAGGUUUGGUGCAGAAAACCAAGGAUAUGACAUUUUGGACACUCUUGUUCGUGCAUGUUUAUUGGAAGAGGUGGAAGAUGAUAAAGUAAAAAUGCAUGACGUUAUUCGUGAUAUGGCUCUAUGGAUAACUUGUGAAAUUGAGAAGGAGAAGAGAAACUUUUUGGUUUGUGCAGGUGCGGGACUAAAGGAGGCACCGGAUGUUAAAAGAUGGGAAAAUGUGAGAAGAUUGUCAUUGAUGCAAAACCAAAUUGAACUCUGUCAGAGGGUUCCUAAAUGCCCUCAUCUCNNNNNNNNNNNNNNNNNNNNNNNNNNNNNNNNNNNNNNNNNNNNNNNNNNNNNNNNNNNNNNNNNNNNNNNNNNNNNNNNNNNNNNNNNNNNNNNNNNNNUGACGUUUUGAUUUUUGCAAGUCUACCCAAGUUAUCAUGCUCUCCAAAUUCUUUUGAGCUCAAAUAGGUUAAAAAGUUGUAUUCGAUCUCUUUUCCUCCCGUUGGCCGGAGAUGCAACGUCGAUUAUUGAUGCUACGGCUUUCGCAGAUCUAAACCACCUCAAUGAAUUAGGGAUUGAUAGGGCUGAGGAGUUGGAAGAAUUGAAGAUUGAUUAUGCGGAGAUAGUACGAAAAAGGCGGGAACCUUUUGUUUUCCGCAGCCUUCACCUUGUUGCUAUAUAUGAAUGCCACAAAUUGAAAGAUUUGACAUUCCUCGUUUUUGCUCCAAGCCUUAAGUCUCUUUCGCUAUACGGUUGCAAUGCUAUGGAAGAAAUAAUCAGCGUUGGAAAAUUUGAUGAGACUCCUGAGGUGAUGGGACAUAUAAGCCCUUUUGGAAAUCUCCAAACGCUUGAUCUAUCAAGAUUGCCAAUUUUGAAGAGCAUCUACUGGAAGCCAUUGCCUUUCACUCAUCUCAAAGAAAUGGCGGUGACACAUGGGUGUAAUCAGCUUAGAAAGCUUCCACUCGAUUCCAACAGUGCAAAAGAGCGUAAAUUUGUUAUUCGUGGAAGAGAAGACUGGUGGAACCGACUUCAAUGGGAGGAUGAAGCCACUCAAAUUGCUUUUCGUUCCUGUUUCCAACCUCAUUCCUGGUGAGUGCGUUUGUCUUUUAAAAGAAGAAUUUAAAAGAAAUUUAUUCUUGUCAUUUUCUUCUCUGUAUUUAUUUCAGUUUCUUUCUCUCUCUCUCUCUCUCUCUCUGUCUUCUGCAAAUCACAGUUAAAUGUUGAAUUAAUCGAAUUAAUGCUUCAUAAAAUUUGCCGGCACUGCCAUUACUUUUUUAAUUUCCUGUCAAAAGACGAGCGAGAAGAACAUAUAUAUGACUUAAACCAAUUGAUACUUUAUUUAUGUGCAUCGUAUGUAAUAAAUAUUAAGUAUACUUUAUUUUGCCCUGUUCUCUGUUUUUAUUUCAGUCUCUCUCUCUCUCUCUCUAAAACAUUAGAGUCAAACUAAUGCUCACAUAAAUUUCCCGUAAGAAUAUAUAUAUUAUUAGACUGGAAUGCACACCUCUAGAUUGAACAGAAUUAAAGCUGAGGAAUAAAUGACGCGAAAAAAUAUAAACAUAUAUACAAAAUCAUAGAUUAUAAAUCUUUUUUUUUUUGGUUUUAAGAUCAACAAUACUACAUAUCAUAAAUGGUAUCUUUAAAUACUCUUCCCUCAUGAAGAGAUUAAUUGAAAUACAACAUUGAUUUUAUGAUAAAAAAAAAUUUCUUAUAUUUUUUAGACAAGUUUGAGAAGUACAUUUAAAACUUUAUUGCAAUGCACACCUCUAUAUUUUUCUGUAUAGUAGCCCUCUUUACAGAAAAAGACGCGAAAGUUAAUUUAGAAAGAUAUAUUCUUGAUUAAUCCAUUUUCUGAAGUUUUUUUAUUUUGUAUGGUCAAUUAUACCUUCAUACUAGAAAUUUCUGAAGUUAUAAAUUAGUGCAACUUGACAAUUUUUACUGAUGAUAUCUUCUAUUUUUCCUUUUUUUUUUUUAACUCUCAUAGAAUGUUACUGUCAUUUUACUUACAAAUAGGUUUGAAUUUGAGCCCAUGAAACGAUAAUGAGGAAUAAAUGAGACUGAGGAUCUGCAAUAUGAUCUGCAAUAGUAGUUAAAAUAUCAUUGAUGACUUUUCUGNNNNNNNNNNNNNNNNNNNNNNNNNNNNNNNNNNNNNNNNNNNNNNNNNNNNNNNNNNNNNNNNNNNNNNNNNNNNNNNNNNNNNNNNNNNNNNNNNNNNAGUAUGUUAAGUAAAACAUAAUCAAUUAUUUGUGUUUUAUCUCUAAUUAGAACAUCAAUCAGUUCAGUACCUCACAAAUAAUUCGUAAUAUCUACAAAAUACUAUAAUGGCUACAAAAUAAAUCCUGCUUGCAAAUUGUCAAGGAUACCUAUCCGUUCGCUUCACAAGUCAUUUGAAUAAAUAUUGUUCACAUUCCUUACUAAAACAAUAAAACUCUGGAGGACGAUUUGUUAGCCUCAGUUUUCUGUCAGGUUCAUAUCACAUAUAUUUCACUUAUAUACAAGCUAAGAAUACAUAUGAUAAACAUUAGCUUACAAGAUAACUACAAGGAUAAUUACAAGACUAACGAUAACUACAAGGAUAAUUACAAGACUAACGAUAAGAAUAUUUUAAGUUUUAUCUUUAUCGUUAUCACUUACUCUGUCAAUUAUCCAAUGGUCCUCAACUUUAGUUUGAACAGUAUACAUGCCAUCACCAUUACCAAGAAUCAAGCAUGGAAGAGUCAUUCUAUAGAGUUAAUCGAAGCAAGGAAUGAUGUAUCAGAAAAUAUUUGGUGGAGAAUUCAGCACAAACAUAUUUCGGAUGAUCAGAAUCAAUAAAACCUGGUGGUUGCGCCAUAUAAACAUCUUCGGAAAGCUGGCCUUGAAGAAAGGCGUUAUUGAUAUCCAAUUGAUGAAGAGGCCAGCCAUGACUAACAUCAAUACUUAGAACAAGCCGUACUGUGGUGGGCUUAACAACUGGACUGAAAGUGUCAUAAUAGUCCACACCACGCCGUUGAUUGAACCCUUUGACAACAAGACGAGCUUUAAACCUGUCAACAGAACAGUUAGAAUGUCUUUUAAUACAAAAAUCCAUUUGCAGCCAACAAUAUUGGAAGGGAUGGGAGGUGGAACAAGCUUCCAUGUCCCGUUACGAACAAGAGCAUCAUACUCUUCUAACAUAGCUUGACGGUAGUGAGGAUUUUUGAUAACUUGCGUCACAAUUGUAGGUUCACAAUCAGAAGAAAGGCUGAAAUGAGCACGGAGGUUAAGUUUUUGUAACGGCUUGUGAAUCUUAUAUUUAGCUCCGGUAGUCAUAUCAUGAUGAUUUGUGUGGAGGUAGAAGUAGGUUGGGAGGAUUGCUGCGGAGAUGUUACCGGUAGAGAAGAAGGAGCAGUACACGGUGGCAACUCCAGAGGGCCCACAAUAGAUGGAGUAGGUGCCGACGAUGGAGUACUAGGAAAUGAAACAGAAGAAUUGGUGGAACACUUGCGUAAUUAGGAGUGGUAGAUGAGCUUGUAAUGAUUUGUAUGGAAAAACAAACUCUACAAAUUUAACGUGACGUGAAAUAAAAAUUUGAAAGGUGGAUGGGUCAAAACAUAAAUAAGCACUUUGAGAUAAAGGAAUAUCCUAGAAAAACACAAGGCUUAGAGGGUGGUUCGAGUUUAUGUGAUGAAACACAAACAUUCAAAAAUUUUAAGUUUAUAUUAAGAGUAAUGAUACAGCCACAAACUCUUGUACAAACUUAUUUUGUACAAACUGAUGUGGCAUGAUAAGAUUAGUUGAAUUGAAUAUCACUUGGCCCACAUGAUUUGUUUUUAUUAAUUUAUAUUUUCAUUCAACCAAUGAAAUCAUGCCACGUCAGUUUGUACAAAAUAAGUUUGUACAAGAGUUUGUGGCUGUAUCAUUACUCUUAUUAAUUAGGAGUGGUCCGCGGGACAUGUAGCUAUGGGGUUGUUGGAUGUGUUUUGGAUAUUUACAGUUAAGUUUGAGUUUAUAUCUCAACUUAAAAUUUGUAGUUUUCACUUGAAAAAAUUCAGUUAAAAAUUGAUUGGUAGAGUUGUGAAAAAGUUUAAAUUUUUAGUUCAACCCGAUUGCAUAUUUAAGAACAUCUCAAAUGAAUUGCUUACUGCUAUCAUCAUCGUUAUUGUAAGAGAUGGUUAAUUGAUAGACUAUGUGCCUGGGUCGAGCACUGNNNNNNNNNNNNNNNNNNNNNNNNNNNNNNNNNNNNNNNNNNNNNNNNNNNNNNNNNNNNNNNNNNNNNNNNNNNNNNNNNNNNNNNNNNNNNNNNNNNNNNNNNNNNNNNNNNNNNNNNNNNNNNNNNNNNNNNNNNNNNNNNNNNNNNNNNNNNNNNNNNNNNNNNNNNNNNNNNNNNNNNNNNNNNNNNNNNNNNNNNNNNNNNNNNNNNNNNNNNNNNNNNNNNNNNNNNNNNNNNNNNNNNNNNNNNNNNNNNNNNNNNNNNNNNNNNNNNNNNNNNNNNNNNNNNNNNNNNNNNNNNNNNNNNNNNNNNNNNNNNNNNNNNNNNNNNNNNNNNNNNNNNNNNNNNNNNNNNNNNNNNNNNNNNNNNNNNNNNNNNNNNNNNNNNNNNNNNNNNNNNNNNNNNNNNNNNNNNNNNNNNNNNNNNNNNNNNNNNNNNNNNNNNNNNNNNNNNNNNNNNNNNNNNNNNNNNNNNNNNNNNNNNNNNNNNNNNNNNNNNNNNNNNNNNNNNNNNNNNNNNNNNNNNNNNNNNNNNNNNNNNNNNNNNNNNNNNNNNNNNNNNNNNNNNNNNNNNNNNNNNNNNNNNNNNNNNNNNNNNNNNNNNNNNNNNNNNNNNNNNNNNNNNNNNNNNNNNNNNNNNNNNNNNNNNNNNNNNNNNNNNNNNNNNNNNNNNNNNNNNNNNNNNNNNNNNNNNNNNNNNNNNNNNNNNNNNNNNNNNNNNNNNNNNNNNNNNNNNNNNNNNNNNNNNNNNNNNNNNNNNNNNNNNNNNNNNNNNNNNNNNNNNNNNNNNNNNNNNNNNNNNNNNNNNNNNNNNNNNNNNNNNNNNNNNNNNNNNNNNNNNNNNNNNNNNNNNNNNNNNNNNNNNNNNNNNNNNNNNNNNNNNNNNNNNNNNNNNNNNNNNNNNNNNNNNNNNNNNNNNNNNNNNNNNNNNNNNNNNNNNNNNNNNNNNNNNNNNNNNNNNNNNNNNNNNNNNNNNNNNNNNNNNNNNNNNNNNNNNNNNNNNNNNNNNNNNNNNNNNNNNNNNNNNNNNNNNNNNNNNNNNNNNNNNNNNNNNNNNNNNNNNNNNNNNNNNNNNNNNNNNNNNNNNNNNNNNNNNNNNNNNNNNNNNNNNNNNNNNNNNNNNNNNNNNNNNNNNNNNNNNNNNNNNNNNNNNNNNNNNNNNNNNNNNNNNNNNNNNNNNNNNNNNNNNNNNNNNNNNNNNNNNNNNNNNNNNNNNNNNNNNNNNNNNNNNNNNNNNNNNNNNNNNNNNNNNNNNNNNNNNNNNNNNNNNNNNNNNNNNNNNNNNNNNNNNNNNNNNNNNNNNNNNNNNNNNNNNNNNNNNNNNNNNNNNNNNNNNNNNNNNNNNNNNNNNNNNNNNNNNNNNNNNNNNNNNNNNNNNNNNNNNNNNNNNNNNNNNNNNNNNNNNNNNNNNNNNNNNNNNNNNNNNNNNNNNNNNNNNNNNNNNNNNNNNNNNNNNNNNNNNNNNNNNNNNNNNNNNNNNNNNNNNNNNNNNNNNNNNNNNNNNNNNNNNNNNNNNNNNNNNNNNNNNNNNNNNNNNNNNNNNNNNNNNNNNNNNNNNNNNNNNNNNNNNNNNNNNNNNNNNNNNNNNNNNNNNNNNNNNNNNNNNNNNNNNNNNNNNNNNNNNNNNNNNNNNNNNNNNNNNNNNNNNNNNNNNNNNNNNNNNNNNNNNNNNNNNNNNNNNNNNNNNNNNNNNNNNNNNNNNNNNNNNNNNNNNNNNNNNNNNNNNNNNNNNNNNNNNNNNNNNNNNNNNNNNNNNNNNNNNNNNNNNNNNNNNNNNNNNNNNNNNNNNNNNNNNNNNNNNNNNNNNNNNNNNNNNNNNNNNNNNNNNNNNNNNNNNNNNNNNNNNNNNNNNNNNNNNNNNNNNNNNNNNNNNNNNNNNNNNNNNNNNNNNNNNNNNNNNNNNNNNNNNNNNNNNNNNNNNNNNNNNNNNNNNNNNNNNNNNNNNNNNNNNNNNNNNNNNNNNNNNNNNNNNNNNNNNNNNNNNNNNNNNNNNNNNNNNNNNNNNNNNNNNNNNNNNNNNNNNNNNNNNNNNNNNNNNNNNNNNNNNNNNNNNNNNNNNNNNNNNNNNNNNNNNNNNNNNNNNNNNNNNNNNNNNNNNNNNNNNNNNNNNNNNNNNNNNNNNNNNNNNNNNNNNNNNNNNNNNNNNNNNNNNNNNNNNNNNNNNNNNNNNNNNNNNNNNNNNNNNNNNNNNNNNNNNNNNNNNNNNNNNNNNNNNNNNNNNNNNNNNNNNNNNNNNNNNNNNNNNNNNNNNNNNNNNNNNNNNNNNNNNNNNNNNNNNNNNNNNNNNNNNNNNNNNNNNNNNNNNNNNNNNNNNNNNNNNNNNNNNNNNNNNNNNNNNNNNNNNNNNNNNNNNNNNNNNNNNNNNNNNNNNNNNNNNNNNNNNNNNNNNNNNNNNNNNNNNNNNNNNNNNNNNNNNNNNNNNNNNNNNNNNNNNNNNNNNNNNNNNNNNNNNNNNNNNNNNNNNNNNNNNNNNNNNNNNNNNNNNNNNNNNNNNNNNNNNNNNNNNNNNNNNNNNNNNNNNNNNNNNNNNNNNNNNNNNNNNNNNNNNNNNNNNNNNNNNNNNNNNNNNNNNNNNNNNNNNNNNNNNNNNNNNNNNNNNNNNNNNNNNNNNNNNNNNNNNNNNNNNNNNNNNNNNNNNNNNNNNNNNNNNNNNNNNNNNNNNNNNNNNNNNNNNNNNNNNNNNNNNNNNNNNNNNNNNNNNNNNNNNNNNNNNNNNNNNNNNNNNNNNNNNNNNNNNNNNNNNNNNNNNNNNNNNNNNNNNNNNNNNNNNNNNNNNNNNNNNNNNNNNNNNNNNNNNNNNNNNNNNNNNNNNNNNNNNNNNNNNNNNNNNNNNNNNNNNNNNNNNNNNNNNNNNNNNNNNNNNNNNNNNNNNNNNNNNNNNNNNNNNNNNNNNNNNNNNNNNNNNNNNNNNNNNNNNNNNNNNNNNNNNNNAUCAUCAUACCUGUGCACUGGAUUUUUAAUAUCAAUGCCACUGCAGCUGUGAUCAAGAAUAUAAGAGCGUUUAACAUCUUUUCUCCAUCGAGAAAGAAUGUACUGAGAUGGGAUCUCCUGCAUGCCACUCUGGCUUAGAACACAAAGAAUGUGUCUGCAUAAAUAUCCUCUGAAAUUGAACAACCCACAAACACAAAGCACCUCUAAGUCGGAGGCAUUGUACAAAACAAUGAAAGCCCUUGAAUCUUUCUCAUUGCUACCAACCUCGAAUUCUUCCUUCACUAUGUAUGUUAUAGGUCCAUCAGCACUAACAUGUUUUGUGCUAUAGCAAGAGUACAUAGCCUCCACCUCCGUCUGAAACUUCCUUAACAUUUCAUUUGUGUACAGUUUUGAGAGUUGAAAUUCAUAGUAGCAUCUUGGUUUCUGGAUACAACUUGAAUUUCUUGAAUCCAUAUCUGCCAAGGCUUCCAGUUGAUAAUUCGCCCGCAGUGCUUGAUCAUACUUGUCUAAGAAUUCUUUCAAAGGAGUAUUCGUAUCAAGAUAUCCUUCAAAGUAUAAAGUAGAAACCUCAUUCUGCAGGAACGAAAACACUCCUGAUAAAUAAGCUUCCUUCAAAUAAACAGGAGCCCACCCUUUACGAUCUUCAUAUAACGUUUGAAUCCAUCCGUGAUCCUUUAUUCCAUGACGUUGAAUCAUGUCUUCCCAAGCUGCUUCAAAUUCCUCAGGCCUGAGACAGUGAUAAAUUGCUCUAUGUAAUGCAGCUCUAAUAGCUUCUUAUUCAAACAAUCCUUCGAGUUUCUCUGGAAUUUUUUGCAUGAUGCAUGACAAUGAAAAGCAAUGAUAAGCUCUUGGGAAAACAUUGCCAACAGCAAUUUGCAAGAUUCUACAUUGGUCAGUGAUGAUUGUUUGUAGAGAGCGUCCUAACAUACAUGUAAGCCACGCCCUAAACAGCCAUGUAUAUGAUUCUAUAGUCUCACUGGCAAGUAAACCACAACCCAACAACACUGAUUGUCCAUGAUGAUUCACCCCAAUGAACGAAACCAGUGGCACAUUAUAUCUUUCUGUCAAGCACGUAGUAUCAAUUAAGACUACAUCACCAAAGUACCUAUACGCAACUCUUGACCUGGUAUCAGUCCAGAGCAGGUUUCUCAGGCAUCCCUUUUCAUUUAGAUCCACCACAUUAAAAAAGUUUGGAUCUGUCAACUGCCAACGACAAAAGAAACUCUGGAUAGCUUGUGCAUCUCCUGGUUUAAGCUUCAAUUGAUUUGAGCUAUUAACAUUAUUUUCAAAUACUCCACUAACAUCUACAUUACCAUUUCCCUUGGUAUCAAUGAUAAGAGUUCGAAACAGUCUAACUUUUUGAACUUCUUCAGCACCAUCUAAGUGCAACAUUCUUUUGGUUCCAAUACCUAUGUGCUUAUGUGACUUGUAAAACUUUCCGCUUCUUGGGCUUAACAAGUGGUUAUGGUCAAGCUCAACUUCAAUGAUUCUCCACCUUUUGGUUUCCAUCAACCUAAACUUUAUCAUUGCUGGACAGCCAGUUCUUGUUUCUGGUCUUGGGCGGUUUGCCUCGCUUUUCUUCUUGAAGCCUGCACUACUACAGCUCAGCUUUCCUCUAUACUUUUCUCUACUCUUUCGGUACCAUGUAUUGCUAACUCUAACACCAAAACCCUGUUCCUUGGCAUAGCAAUUGUAAAAGUAAUAAACGUCAUCAUAUGUCUCAAACUCCAUUCCAACAGCAGGAGGCAAUGGAUUUUGGAUUAUCCCAGUUUGUCCAACAUAUUCAGUAAUUGCACAAUCUCCUACGACCUCAAAAUCAUCAGCAUCAUCAUCACCUACUGGUUCAGUAUUCAGAGAAACUUCAUCCAUCUACAAUAGAUGUUUAAUGAAGUGAGCUUUAAGGAGAAAAAGCAAAAUCAGUAAGGAACGAUAAUAUAACCAUACAGUUACUUUCACAAAGCGUCGUAUUUCAUCACUGCUUUACCAACAUGCAACUGCCAGAGAACAAACAGACAUGUCAUAGACGCUUGAAUUAAGUAUUGGUACAAAUGAGCACACAUCAUGUGGGACAAAAUUUCAGUCACCAAACCCAAUACGACUUUUUACAUCAUACCAAGGAACAGAUUAAACCCGACACCUUCUUUUAAACCAUACCAAGGAACAGAUUAAAUCAUCAAUGAAAACUUAAUCACAUAAUAACUUAACCAGACAAAUGAAGGGCCUGAAACAGCAUAAAACUUGAAUCUGAUUAUGAUAAUUGUUGAGUCCUUGUAUCUACAGCUUUCCUUCAAUGAUAAGACAAUGAACAUAAACGAGACACAAAAAAUUUAUUUUAAACUGACAGCCCAUGAUAUAAAUCAAACAAAAUCAACUCCUUUUUUUACACAUCACAUCUCAUAUUCAUUUACAUUGAAACAAAAAAAGGAAGCGGGAGUGGGAAAAAAACAACAGCAGAGGAACUUAUUUCUAUAAGGUUUACGAAAUAAGGAAUCUAUUAAAACCCAAAACUUGAGGUCACCCCAAAGAAUUUGGUUCUCAUUAUUUUUUUCUUCAUUUUUCACCAAUUGAUGAACUUAAAAUACAAUCAUAAAUGAUAAAACCCCAUCUCAAUCUUUUUGAACUAGAGCUAAAGCAAAGCAUUUUAAGAUGUUUCAUCAUUUUUUUUUAAAAAAAAACCUCAAUAGUACAAUGUUUUUCAAUGUUAAAUGCACAAUUCAAUCUUCUCCUAAUUUACUCUAAUAAUCUCUUAAUUAAGGAAGAUUAAGCUUUAGUUGUAAGCUAAAACAAAUUUCUUAAAUCAAGCCCCAAUGCUUUAUGCUCUUCAACAAGGGCUCAUAAAUGAUAAAACUACUUCUACAAAGAUACCCAUUUUCUAAAUUAAUUUCAAAAACUGAAAUCAAACUCCUGAAACGUAACGAGCAUUAAUAUAAUCAAACCCGAACAAGAAUUGAAAAAUGACACAUAAACUCGUUUACACAUUUCGACAGACACUUUGCAAUCAAUGGGCAAAAAAUUAAUGGAGAAGAUAAAAUUCAAACGAAACAUGCCUUACAUUGAUAAAUUAGAAGGGCCAAAGAAAUUUUAGUACGAUAUGGGAUCAGGGUCUUGCCACGGUGAUGUUAUUUGUGAUGUUCGAGCGACUCAGCAACCUUCGAGGUUGAAAAUUUGAUUGACCAAAAGCUUCCCGUUCGUUGAUUCUCUAAUAGCAGAAACAAGACUGGCAGUAUACACAAGAAUGUGUUCGAUGAAUAUCAAAAUCUCAAAAACCUUUUGUUUUUCAUUUUUUUGGAAAAAACCAUUGAGAUCCUUACUAUUCUUUCUUAUAUAUUAAACAUGCAAAUAUACACACUAAUUUAGAUGUGUGAAUAACAAAUAUGGAACAACACAUGCAAAGUCAUCUGUAUAAUUGAAGUUGCUCCAAUGGUUACUGUUCAUUUAUUUUUAUUUAUGAAUUUUUUUGUAAAAUUUAAGAAAUAUGUAGAAAUGUUGCCAGCAAUGAUUUUGGAACUUUGCAUAAUAUUUUUAUCAUUAUUGUUUUUUGUAUUAAGAAAUCCGAGGCGGUGAUUAGACGUAUGUUGCAACAAUUAAGAAAUUUCUUAUUGGAAAUAAUUUGGUAGGUUGCAACAAUCAGAGAAUCAUUUUCCUGUCAGUUAAUCAAUCAAUAAUAAAUUUCAAAUUGCAGAAAAUAAAAUAAUACUGUAGCACUUAGAAUCAUCUUUUCUAUCUCUUUCAAUUGUGGCAAUCAUUUGUAACAAAUAAAUCAAUUUGAUGCACAUCAUUUCCCCAAUUCAAAGUUCAAGUCACUGCCCAAUUCAAAGUUCAAGAACUGCAAAUGAAGCCACAGCCGUGGGAUAGAAGCUGCUACAAUGCUGCGAGUUGUGGAGACUUUAAUGGGUGAAGGAUCAUUUGAAUUGGUGGGUGAGAGGGUGCCAGAAGAUGCAGCAGAGGAGAUAAAUUGUGAGCCAACAAUAAUGGGCAUGUUGUCGACUUUUGAGAAAGCCUGGAGAUGCCUUGAAGAAGAAUCGGUUGGAAUUAUUGGCCUAUAUGUCAAUGGGGGAGUUGGAAAAUAUUUACUCAAAUCAACAAGUUCCUUGAUAGUCCAAAUAAUUUUGAUGUUGCGAUCUGGGUGGUUGUCUGCCAAGAUUUGCAACCCCAGAAGUUUCGGGGAAAAGUUUGGGAAAAAAAAAGGCUUGUUCGAUGAGUCAUGGAAGAACUGAAGUUUUCAAGAGAGAGCACACGAAGUUUGUAUUACUGAUGGAUGAUAUAUGGGAGCAGGUUGAUUUAAUUAAAAUUGGUGUCCCUCUUCCAAGCACAAAAAUUACUUUCAAGAUAAUCUUCACAACUCCUUCUAUUGACAUUUGUGGCCUCAUGGAAGCUCACAACAAGAUUAAAGUGGAGUGUUUAAAUGACGAAGAAGCAUGGGAAUUAUUCUGCAAGAAGGUUAGAGAAGAUGUGGCGACUCUGUCCAAGUGCUAAGGAGCUCAACCUCAGAAUUUCUAGGUACGGAAAAAUAAGUAUAUCCUCUUUUGAAAUUCAGUUAUGAUAAUUUACGUAGCGAUAAAAUUAGAUCGAGUCUGUUAUACUGUAGUUUGUUUCCGGAAGACUUUCCAAUUAGCAAAAUGGAAUUGAUACAUUGUUGGAUAAGCGAGGGCCUUUUGGAUGAAACUAAUAGUUCUGAGAUAUGAAAUCAAGGAUACUACAUUAUUGGUGUUCUUGUUCCUUUAUGUUUAUUGGAAGAAGAGGCUCCACUUUAUGUAAAAGUGCAUGAUGUGAUACGCGAUAUGCUUCUGUGGAUAGCAUGUGAAGUUUUUUUUUGAUAGGGAUAGCAUGUGAAGUUGAGAAGGAGAAAGAGAAUUUUUUGGUUCGUGCAGGUGCAAGGAUUAACUGAAGUACCAGACAUUUGGAAAUGGGAAGGGUUGAGAAGGGUGUCUUUGAUGAGCAACAAAACUGAGAAGGUAUCAGAAAUUCCUUCAUCUCACGAUCCACUAACUUUGUUGCUUCAACAUAAUUAUUUAGAGAUGAUCAAUAAUGACUUCUUUCAAUCUAUGCAUUCCCUAAGAGUUUUGAACUUGUCAUGUAAUCAUUCUCUAACUGAUAAUUUCAAAGUUAGUUUCCCUACAACAUCUUAAUUUAUCAAUGACUAACAUACGAGAGUUGCCGAAUGAGUUAAAGUUUGUAGUGAAUCUAAAGUUUUUGAAAUUGGAGUAUGCACGGUUUCUUCAUUCAAUUCCAGGGCAAGUGAUAUCCAGUUUUACGAUGUUACAAGUUUUGAAGAUGUUUGGUUGUGGGAGGUCAUCUUCUGAUCAUGAGCCACACCAGAAGAUAGAGUUUUAUUUGAAGGCUGUAAACUUUUGAUUGUGGAGUUGUUUGGUUUGAGAGACAUUUAGAUGUGUCGACCAUCAUCCUAACAAGUUCCCAUGCUCUGAAAAGAUUUUUGAGCUCCAACAAACUUCAAAGUCGUACUCAAUCUCUCUAUCCUAAAUGCUUUGAUAAAAAUUUAAUUUAAUUCAAUCCAACUAAACUUAUCAAACAUGAGAAAAAAAUUUAAUUCUAAAAUUAGUCCAAUUCCAUAUUUAAUCCUAGCAUUCAAAUAUAGCCCAAGUUGUUUGCUUAAAGAAGCUACCAAAUUUGAAGAGCGUUUACGGGAAGGCCUUGCGUUUCCCAGAUGUAUGUAGAUUUUUUGUAUCUAAAUGCCCAGAACUUAAGAAGCUGACGCUGGAUUUUGAAAGGGCGGGCCAAGGUAAAAUUCUUAUCAAGGGAAAGGAAAAUCGGUGGGAACAACUUCAAUGGGAGGAUCAAGCAACUCAGGAUGCAUUGCUUCUGUUUUUCAAAUCAACUGACAAGUGAUUGAAGGGGGCAUCAUCAACAUCAUCAGCCUGGAUGGGGAGAUUCUGGAGCAGAUCUGUAGGGUUUGAAUCUGCAUCAUCAACAUCAUCAGGGUCUGUAUUUCUAUUGCUGGUCUUAAUGCUUGCUUACUGUUGCUUGACAAAGUGAGCCAGUUUUUUGUUUAUUAAAUUUUGUCUUGAAGAGACAGUCACAAAGUAUUUUUCUUAGUUGUUCUAUAUGAGAGUGAUGUGAAUCAAUGUUUCAAUUAUAUAUUCUGUGGUCAUUUUGAAUUUUGUUUAGAGAUGCAAACUUAGAAUAUGGAAAAGUUCACCGGCAAACAUUUUGUAAAAGGUUCCAACUGAAAUAGGGAAUGCACUUACUGCUAAGGACAUUUGGUGGCCAGCUAAUGCAUUCAUUUUAUAUCCAUUCAUCAUUUUAAUUAUUGAAAACAAGUGGCUCAUCGCUUUUACUUUAGGUAAAAUUCAGAUAAUCUCUAUUAUGAAAUGAUAAUAUUCUAUUAAAUUAUUAUAAACCUCAGCCAAUCUUAAUUUUAUUUAAAAGAUAAAAGAAAUAUAGGUUAUGUUGGUGACUUUUUUCUUAUCUUUUUAAUAAAAAUAAAAUAAAAUGAUGUUUAUAAUUGUUUAAAAUACUUUAAAGAUUGUUAUUUUAUGAGAGAGUAAUAUUUUACUUUUUUAUUGUGAAAGGCUAAAAAGGACAAAGCAAGUGUCCCUGGUUUUUAUUUUAUUUGAAAUUGGUCAUCUCGUAUACUUUACAUUUCAACACUACAAUUUUUUUUGUUAUAUUUUUAUUAUUUUUUUCUUUUUUACACAUGCACGUGAAUUUCUUUUCUUUAAGCUCCUGAAUAUUUAAGACAAAUCAUGGAAGAGAUGAAAAUAUAACAAGAUGAUCAAAAUACGUAACAAAAAAUUUACAAGUGAAACAUACGUUAGAGUCGAAGUAAAACUCUGAAAAUAGAGAUAUUGAUUAAUUUAGAAGAGAUGCAAGCAAAAGAUAUUCUAAAAAAGAAGAAAAGCAAUCUGUCACUUUCGAGGGCAAACUUGUUAGUCUCAAAAAGGUACAUUUUGUUGUUGUGCAUUAGUUGGAGAAGUCAAGCCUAGUGAAAAAUGUUAUGAAAGAGCAAAUGAUAUUUCUGACAGCUUUAUUUGAUUAUGUAUUCAUUUAAUGGAUGUAUUGUUAGAAGAUAUCUAAGUGCAUUAGUUUAUCGGUGUCUGUCGAUGUGCUUUUAGUGAUUUUUCCAGCUGUUUGCUGUAAAAGAUGAUUGUAAAUUGAAAUGAACUUGAUGUUGUAAUAUUUUCUCUUUAGUGGAAUCUCCAUUGUGUUGUCAAUAAUUUUGGUCAAAAUUAUUGUUAUUAUUUCUUACUAGAGGUAAAUUUUUUUGUUAAACCUCAUUAACACAAUUCUUAAUUAGAAGUAUAGGUUAGUGUCGGUGCAGGAUUUGCAGCACCAAAUCCUGCCUAGCUACGUGUCAAAAGUGCAAAAUAAAUGAAGAGAAAGCACAAAUACAUGACUUGGAUUAGGAUAGAAGGAAAUUUAAAUCUUAGAGAAAAGGACAGCUAUAUCCCAAUAUUUGAAAAAAUUGUCAUAUAGAUUUUUAAGAUUUCAAUAAGGGACGGAGAUCUUCUUUUGAUAAAUAAUAUCUUUUAGCUCUCUCAAGUAAAAAAAAAUUAAAUUAAAUAUUUUAUAAUAAAUAAAAAUAUAAUAUUAAAAUAUACGUGAUAAUAUAUACAUUUUAAAUAAUUUCAAUCUAAAAAAAUAGUUAUGUUUUACAGGAUCCACCUAUGUUACAAUAGUGGUAUAGUACCACAGUUUUUGUUCUUAUCCAAUGUAAUAAUUGGAUGAUUUAGAGCUUAAUCUAUCGGCUUAAAUUAUUUUUCUGAAUAUUUGAAGCAACAACUUGCAACCGUUGGAGCCGGUUGCAUAUUAAUUUAAUAUCAUUUGGGGAAGCGUACGGUCAGGAAGUUUCUUAGUAUGCCAACAAUGGAAUUUGAUUUCAUCUCAAAUCGAUCUGCAGGCAGCAAUUGGGAAAUUACACUCACGAUCUUCCUCUUCUUCACUUCCUCUCUACUCUUCACUUUUCUCACUCUCGCGAUGUUUACAGCAUGACAAAUACAAUUACAAACCAGGAAAUGCCAUUAACAAUUUUCAUUUGUCUUAGUCCGUUUUUUUUUUUUUUUUUUCUAGUAGAAAGCCAAAAAAACAAAAAAGAAAACGGGUGGGAGGUUGGGGCGCCGUGAUGAGAUGGUUUUGAGUUUUUGACGGAAUGUUUGUUUUUGUGAUUCAUUUAGGGUUUGAAUUCAGGCUUGUACGAACUCGGAUCUAUUCGAGAUCCGUAUUGGCGCUGAAAUCAGAUCCUUUGAAGCCUUGGUUUGAAUUCAACCUUGAGAACUCGAAGCUUGUUAGAAUCUUCAUUGAUCUCUCCAGAAAUUACACGGAUCUUAUUACUAAACCCUACAUAUCGGGCUGCAAUGGAGUCCGAUUCUCUCACAAUUAAUGAAUCAAUAUUGAGACAGUUCGAAAAGGAAGUAAAAAAGAGAAUCAACUUGACUGGCUAUAUAAUUGCGGAGGCCAAAGAGUCUUUUGAUAAUCAAUUGAAGAUUUAGAAGUUAAAAGACACUAUUUUUACUAUGAAUGAACAAUUGACUAAGGCGAAAAAGCAAGGAGCAUUUUUGAGUUUGAUUGCUGCGAAAUCGAUGCCUUAGAGUUUGCAUUGUUUGGCCAUGAGGUUGAUGAAAGAGCGAAUUGUUCAUCCGGAGAACUAUAAUGAAGAAGGGAAGCCCACACAUGCAGAAUUCGAGGAUCCCAAACUUUAUCAUAAUGCUAUUUUUUCUAGGUAAUAUGCUUGCAGCUUCGGUGGUGGUGAUUGGUGAAUUUAGCUGUUAAGAACUCGAAGGAGCCUUGGAAACAUGUGUUUCUUGUUGUGAUGGAUCAAAUGAAUCUCGGGGCAAUACAGGUUAUGUUGAAAUUUAAGGAUUAUAAUGGAGCACAUUUAGGCACGAAGGCUGUUGGGGAUUAUAAGUUUUUGAAUUCUCACAUGUCCCUGUGUUAAGGCAGCCGGCGUUUGCUAAUUUGCAAAGGUUUUAGUUCGGGAAGUAGCUUGAGAAUGCUACCAAAGAUGCUACUAACCUGAAGUUUAGGAAUCCCAAUUACUUGUUGAUACUGUAUCAUUUGAGGUUCUGGAUAAGAUUUCAAUGAUGGCCGCUUAAAACAAAUAAAAAAAAGAACUUGUACUGUAUUGGAUCUUUACUUAUUUGAUAUAGUUUUCCGCAAUCUCUCUAUGCAACCGGUUACUUUAAUUAUCCACUAACUCAUCUCAACCGUUUGAUGAACUCACUUUAUAUCCAACGAAAGUUUUAAAUGAAGACAAAAAGUGUGGUAUGUUGCAAUUGUUGCAACAUAUGUGAGUCCUGUUUUACAAUCUAUUUAACAUAUUUUAUUAAAUUAAUAUAUUUCUAUGAUAUAGGAACAUAAUAUUAAAAUAAAUUUACAAAAAUUUAAAGAAUUUUGAAUGUAAAACAAUUUCAAUAUAUUAAUAGUGAGAUUUUUUUAUUAUUAUAAAAAUUAUUUAACCCAUAGAUUUUUUAAAAUCUUUACAAUAAGUAUAAAUAUAUUAUCUUCAUUUUAAAAUAUUUAAAUAUUAUUAACCUAUAAUUAGGUUUGCAUUUAUUAGAAAAUUUUAAAGUCAAAUAUAUUGCACUUUUGCAUUAUUAGAAUCAUCACAGAGAAAGGAACAUAUAUAUUGUAUAGCUUUAGAAAUUGGUUUCUUUUACGUCUGGAAACAGAGAUGAUGAUUAUUAUAAGGAUGAAAAAAAAAGAUAAAGAAUAUUAAUGAUUAAUGAAACCUUUAUGCAAAUUGAUUUUAGUAGGGAAAGAGUCAGAUGAAUGGCUUCUUUUACAGCUAAAAACAUAGAUGAUGAUUAUUAUAAGGUUGAAAAAAAAAGAUAAAGAAUAUUAAUUAUUAAUGGAAUCUCUAUGCAAAUUGAUUUUAUAGGAAAAAAGCGAGCUAAAUGAUUUAGACAUUCAUAGUGUAUUUAUUUUUUGAAUUGGUGAAUAAGAAUUAUUGACAACGCUAACUUCAUCUUCACCGUUGGCUAUCCAAUAGCGGCAAUUGUCGCCGAUAAUGAUAUCUCCAAUGAUGAUGACAAUUUUUUUUAUUAUUAUUAUUGGUGGCCCCUUGGAAAGUUAACUGCAAGUGCCAAUCAGAGAAAAGUCGUCAUGCACAAUCCUCAAUCGGACCAAUCUACAUUACAGAUUCUGUAACGUACACACCAAAUGGGAAGCAGCACACGUGUUCUGAGGAGAGAGAAAAACCGUGCAAAUGCAGGCAAUAGGAGUUGGCUACAGUUGGAUCUGUAAGUUACAGAAUCUGUAACUUAGCCAACUCCCUCAAUGAUCACUAUUGUUUCCGAUAUUUAUAAAUUGGUGGCCCCUUGGAAAUUUAACUGGAAGUUUGCAAGUGCCAAUCAGGAAAAAAUCGUCAUUCGUUGUUUUUUUUUUUUCUGCAUUCCCUUUCAUGUUCUUAAUAAUUGAAGACAGGUUGUUCAUAACAUGUAUACUUUUCAAAUGUGGAGCCGCAGUUAAUGUUGCUAUUUUAAUUUGGGAUUAAAUUAGGGGAACACUAACUUUUAUAUUUAUCUAAACUCCUUAAAUUUAAGACAGAUUAUGGCGUAAAUAAGAAUAUAAUAAUAACAAAGGAAUUAAAAAGUAUAGUGAAGAUCUUGCAGAAAUAUAAAUAUUAGCGUUGAAUUAAAUAACACAGAACACAUGAAUUGAAUAGUGAUUAUCAAGACGGUGUUACUUGCACUCCUAUUUAUAGAAAAUCUUGGUUCUGUUCCAUUAGAUUUUUUAUCUUCAAAAUCUUGCAAAGUUUUGACAACCCAAAGGCUCAGUUUGCUUGUUCUAUAUUUGUAUGAUAUGAAUUCAAAUUUUUGUGUUUUGUUUUUCUUAAUUCUGAACACGGAUUCUUCUCUUCUCGUGCAAACCAGAAAGAAAUGUUGUCUUACAAAAAAAGGGGAAUAACUUCAUGAGAACAAAAAUUCAGAAAAAUAAUAUAAAGUUUAUAUUUAGACUUUUGAGGUAUAUUUUAACUUUCAACAAUGAGUUAAAGAAAAUAAAUAUUUUAAAAGAAAAUAAUAAAUAAAGUAAAUAAAAGUUGGAAAAAUGACACAUACACCCCCAACGUAUAAUAAAGGGACACAAAACUCCCUAAUAUUUGAAAAAAGACAUACAGACCCCAUUUAAUAACCGAAACAAUUUCGUUAAAUCAGUCAAAUGUUAAUAUCGUAAUUGCAUAUUAAUAACAAAUGAAUUGACCAAAAACCCACACACGAACAAAACGCUUAACACACAUGCACUGACACUGCUCCUCCCAGAUCUUGACAUAACGGACACACUCACACGAUUCGCCGGAAACUGCUGGAAUUGCUGGGGUUGCCGGAAGUCGCUGGAACUGUGGGGCCUGCCGGAAGUCCAGCCGCUGGAACUGCUCGCGCUGCCGCAAGCCGCUGGAUCUGCUCGCGCUGCCGCAAGUCGCUGGAUCUGCUCGCGCUGCCGCUGCUGCGUCGAUCGAGACCGCGUCUGGCUGCUGCUCGUUCGUGUGGCUGCUGCUCGUGCGUCGUUGCUGCUCGUUCGCGUGGAUGCUGCUCGUUCAUCUUCAAUCCACGGUUCACUUCUCUUAAACUAGUUUUUCCCUCUUUAAUUUUCAUUUUUUUACUAAAUUAACAAAUUAACAACUUGAGCGGGGAAGUUCCUCCUUCCCAAGGUCAAUUUGCUACCUUUGAUUCAGACUCUUAUAUCGGCAACGAAUAUCUGUGUGGACUUCCACUUCGAAAAUUGUGUGCGGGGAAUGUUUCAACACAUGUAUACGAACGUGGAUCAGGUGGAAAACAUGAACUGAGCUGGCUUAAUGUUAGCUUGUCACUAGGAGUUAUAUUGCUGAUUUUUGGAGUGUAAUUGCUCUUUUUUCUCAAUAAAAGAUGGUCAACAAUGUUGUGAAACUUAAUAACUAAUUUUAUUUAUUUUUAUUCUUGAAUAAUGGAUUAAAAUUAUUUGGCUUGAAGAGAAUUUGAUAAAAAAUUAUUAAUAAUUUUAUUAUAUGGACAAAAAAUUUAAUAGAGAAAUUGGAUAAUGAGGAUAUAUUCGUAAUUUUAUUAAUAAUAUAUGGGUAAAAUAGAUAAUGAAUAAUUUUUUUUAUAUGCUAGAAGGAUAUAACAAUAAUUACACGUUAAAAUUAUAAUUUCCGUUAAAACUAACGGUUUCGUUAAGAAAUUGGGGUCUGUAUGUCUUUUUUCAAACAUUAGGGGGUUUUAUGUUCCUUUAUUAAACGUUGGGGGUGUCUGUGUCCUUUUCCCAUAAAAGUUUAGAGAUUCAAAUUUUUUGUAUUGGAUUCUUUAAUUCAAAUACCUCUUAAUUAAUUAACACUUAAAAGAGAGUUCACUAUUAUAAUUUUAAGCUUUUUGAUUUAUUAUUGAUAUACAAAUUAGGAGUUUAAGCUUACUUUUUUAUUUUUCCAUUUUUUUUCAAAUUUGAAAUUAUUAUUUAAAUUUAUAAUUUUUUUUAAAAAAUAAAGGGCUUGAACCUGGCUUGGUAUUGUUUCCUAAACCCUUAUCCGGCCCGGCUUUUUUGCCAACCCCAAUGAUGAUGAUGAUGAUUAUUUUAUUAUUAUUAUUAAUGAUGAAAAAUAUUAUAAUUAAUUAAUAUAUUAUUGUAUUGUUAUUAAGAUUAACAAUAAUUAUUAAUAAUAACAAUUUUUUGAAUAAAAAUAAUCACAAUAAUUAAAAUAUAAAUUAAUAAUUAUAACAAUAGUUAAUUAAUGUCUUUUUAGCAAUUUGUAAUAAUUUAACUCAUUUUGAUUUCGAUUAUUAUAGUUAAGUAAACAACUUAUUAUAAUUCUCAUUCUCCAUUUUGAUUUCAGCUUAUUUCGAUUUCAGUCCAUUCCGAUUUUCAUUUAAUAAACGUUCCAUUAAUGCUAUAGUAAUAUUUCAUAUAGAAAAAAAUAAAAACUACAACUAAGGUUAAGGGAAAGGACUUAAAAAUUCUCUUUGGUCAUAAUACAUUUUUUCCUAAUUAACUUAAAGAGUUUGAAUCUAAUAUUUUAUAAUAAAUAAAAAUAUAUUUCAAAAGUAAAUAUAAUAUAUCUAUUUUAAACUAAUCUCAAUAUUUAAAAUAUAUUUAAUAUUUUACAAUCUAUUAGACAUAUUUUAUUAUAUUAAAAUAAAUUUUACAAUAAAUAUGAACGUACUGUUAAAAUGAAUAUAUAAAAAACUUAGAGUAUUUUGAAUAUUAUAUAAAAUAAUUUUAGUAUAAUACGUGAGAUAUAUUUUAUUAAUGUAAACUGCUAUUUAAUCUAAAGAUUCAUUUAUGAUAAAUUAAUAAUUAUAUUUUUAAAAUUAUUUUAAAUAUUAAUUUUUAAUAUUUUUAAUUUAUUAGACAGAUAAAAUUAUUUAUAUUAUUUUGUAUUUGUUAAAAAAAUUUAAAGUCAAUUUUUUUAAUUACUAUUCAAAGGAUAUAAUAAUUAAAAAAAUCUUAGCGUUUUUAUUAAAAAUUUAAAAAUUUACAUGCUAUUUCUAUAAAUAUUUAAGGUAUAUAUGAACUUCGGUGGAGAAGCUUCAUUUAAUAUUAUUGAUUUAAAUAAUAUCUCAAUUAAAAAUGUACAGAGAACAAAUUUCGGUGGGUAUUUCAGUCUUUUUAGCAAUUAUCAUGGUUAGCCCUUGGCCUUGAAACGUCUGUCAGAAAGGUUUCAAAUGCUUUAAUUGUUCUUAUAAAAAAAAAAAAAAAAAUGCAUUAAUUGUUUUUUCAUUUUAACGUCAGCGGCCUUGAAAGUGCUUUAUCUUAUAACAAAUUAAUUAAUGCUGACGAGAAAAUAUCUCUUCCACAGCCCACAGCAGCUUCUGUUAAUCAAACUCAACCAAUUUUCUCUCUUAACAAAAUUCCAAAGAUGGGUAGCGUUUUUCAGAUCACAUGCGACGGCGCUUUUUUCAAUCGUUGCUUGGAUUGCUUUCUUGGAAAAGCAGCAUACAUAAGCAACAUCCAAGAUAAUCUUGCAGCCUUGGAGACUGAACUGGGAAGACUAAUCGCAGCAAAGAACGAUGUGAUGAUGAUGGUUGUCAAUGCUGAACGGCAACAAAUGAAAAGGCUAGGCCAAGUGGAAUGGUGGGUGUCGAGGGUGGAUGCUGUUAAAAUUGAAGCUGAUGAGCUUAUCAGAGACGGCUCUCAAGAAAUUGACAAAUUAUGUGUUGGAGGCUACUGUUCUAAGAACUGCACGUCAAGCUACAAGUUCGGGAAACAAGUGGCUAAAAAGCUACGAGAUGUGGAGACUUUAAUCGCCGAAGGAGUUUUUGAGGCGGUGGCUAUCGAGGUGGUGCCUGAGAGAGCUCCGGAGCCUGUAGCAGAUGAAAGACCUACCGAGCGAACAGUAGUAGGCUUGCAAUCACAACUUGAACAAGUCUGGAGAUGUCUUGCAGAAGAAUCAGCGGGAAUCAUUGGCCUAUAUGGUAUGGGCGGUGUUGGUAAAACUACACUAUUGACCCAUAUCAACAAUAAAUUUCUCGAGAGUCCAACCAACUUUGAUUGUGUGAUUUGGGUAGUAGUUUCAAAAGACCUGCGACUUGAAAAAAUUCAAGAAAAUAUUGGGAAAAAGAUCGGUUUGGUUGAUGAUUCAUGGAAGAGUAAAAGUGUAGAGGAGAAAGCUCUCGACAUCUUCCGGAGUUUAAGAGAGAAGAGAAUUGUAUUGCUGUUAGAUGAUAUAUGGGAGCGGGUUGAUUUAACAAAAGUGGGCGUUCCACUUCCAGGACCACAAAAUACUACCUCAAAAGUCGUAUUCACAACCCGUUUGAUCGAUGUUUGUGGUAGCAUGGAAGCUGACAGGAAGUUCAAAGUAGCAUGCUUAUCAGAAAAGGAUGCUUGGGAACUGUUUCGAAAAAAAGUUGGGGAAGAAACUCUUGGAAGUCAUCAUGAUAUCGUUGAGCUAGCCCAGACUGUGGCCAAAGAGUGUGGUGGUUUGCCACUCGCACUUAUUACUAUUGGUCGAGCUAUGGCCUUCAAAAAGACAGCCGAGGAGUGGAGUCAUGCAAUUGAUGUGCUAAGAACAUCAGCUUCUGAGUUUGCAGGUUUGGGAAAAGAGGUGUAUCCUCUUUUAAAGUUUAGCUAUGAUAGUUUGCAGAAUGAGACUAUUAGAUCUUGUUUCUUAUAUUGUUGUUUAUAUCCCGAAGAUUAUGGAAUUCUUAAAUGGGAUUUGAUUGAUUGUUGGAUUGGUGAGGGAUUCUUAGAGGAAUCUGACAGGUUUAGUGCAGAAAACCAAGGAUACUACAUUGUGGGCACUCUUGUUCAUGCAUGUUUAUUAGAAGAGUUAGAAGAUGAUAAAGUAAAAAUGCAUGACGUUAUUCGUGAUAUGGCUCUAUGGAUAACCAGUGAAAUUGAGAAGGAGAAGAGAAACUUUUUGGUUCGUGCAGGUGCUGGAUUAAAAGAGGAACCGGCUGUUAAAGAAUGGGAAAAUGUGAGAAGAUUGUCAUUGAUGCAAAACCAUUUUAAAACUCUGUCAGAGGUUCCUUCAUGCCCUCAUCUCCAUACUCUAUUUCUUGCCUCUAAUGAUAAUUUGAGGAUGAUCACGGAUGGCUUCUUUCAAUUUAUGCCUUCUCUCAAAGUUUUGAAGAUGUCAAACUGUGUGGAUUGGCCAGUUUCGAAAUUACCUUUGGCGAUGUCAAAGUUGGGUUCACUACAACUUCUUGAUAUUUCACAUACCAGCAUAGAAGAGUUACCAGAAGAGUUGAAGUUGUUGGUAAAUCUGAAAUGUUUGAAUUUGAGGUGGACAUUUGAGUUAAAUAAAAUUCCAUGGCAACUAAUAUCAAAAUUUUCAAGGUUACGUGUGCUGAGAAUGUUCGCUACUGGCUUUGCACGUUUUGAUGAAGCAUCAGAAGACAGCGUUUUAUUUGGUGGGGGUGAAGUUUUAGUACAGGAAUUGGUCGGUCUGAAAUAUUUAGAGGUAUUGGAGUUGACCUUGGGAUGUCAUCAUGCUCUCCAAAUUUUUUUGAGCUCAAAUAAGUUAAAAAGUUGUAUUCGAUCUCUUCUCCUCCAAUUGGCCGGAGAUACAAUGUCGAUUAUUGAUGCUACGGCUUUUGCAGAUCUAAAGCACCUCAAUGAAUUAUGGAGUGAUAGGGCUAAGGAGUUGGAAGAAUUGAAGAUUGAUUGUAAAGAAAUAGUACAAAAAAGGCGGGAACCUUUUGUUUUCCGCAGCCUUCACCGUGUUACUAUACAUAGCUGCCAGAAGUUGAAAGAUUUGACAUUCCUCGUUUUUGCUCCAAACCUCAAGUCUCUCGAUCUAGACCGUUGCGAUGCUAUGGAAGAAAUAAUCAGCGUCGGAAAAUUUGCUGAGACUCCUGAGAUGAUGGGACAUAUAAGCCCUUUUGAAAAUCUCCAAAUGCUUGAUUUAGAAGAUUUGCCACAUUUGAAGAGCAUCUUCUGGAAGCCAUUGCCUUUCACUCAUCUGAAAGAAAUAUCUGUGGGUUAUUGCCGUAAUCUUAAAAAGCUUCCACUCGAUUCCAACAGUGCAAAGGAGCGUAAAUUUGUUAUUCGUGGAGAAGAAGACUGGUGGAACCGACUUCAAUGGGAGGAUGAAGCCACUCAAAUUGCUUUUCGUUCCUGUUUCCAAUCUCUUUUUGAUUAACUCUUAUACAUUUUCUCGUCGUUUGCUUCGUGCAAAAGACUACGUCUUUUGUUCUCCGUUUUUAUUUCAGUUUCGUUUUUUGUCUCCUGCAAAUCACAAUUAAAUGUUGAAUUAUAUGGAAGUAACGCUUUAUAAAUUUGCCGGCACUGCCAUUUCUUUUUCCUCUUUUUUUUUUUUUUUGGGUCGAAUUGAUGCUCUGGCUUUUUUACUUUUUGUCAUCGAAUUUUGCUCUGUUUUUCAAAUUGAUGCUUGAAUAUGUGAAUUCAAUUAAUGCUCACAUAAUUUUGUUUAGUUGCCGUAAAAGAAUAUAAUUAGACUGAAAUUCGCACUCCCAGAAUGAAUAGAAUCACAACAGAGAAAAUAUUAAGUAUGCUAGCCCUCUUUACAGAAAAUCAAAUGAAAAUAAAAUUUUUUUGGAUAUUUGAUUUUCUAUGGUGUACUAAAUACACUUUAUAAAUUCUUCUGUUCUAAGGAUAACCAAAUCCUUUGUUCAAGGAUUUUUAUUUGGGGUAUUGAUAAUAGUCCACCAAAAUAGUGAAUGCUUGGAUGCUGAUUAAGGAUCUGUAAUCAAUAAGCUGGAAGCAAACGAGAAGGCGGUCGCUACUCUGUACAAAGCCAUGCAGCAAUUGCUAUUCAUCUUAAAUUCUUAAUAAUUACGAAGCUUUGGUAAAAUUUUCAAACAAAGUUGACAUGUUAUUUUGAGAUUUGGUUCCUGAUUUUGGUUGAAUUUCGCUGUUUCGUUUGAGUUGGAUGUGAAUUCAAAUCCAAAUAUUCUUUGUUUUUCAAUUCUGAACUCAAUUUCUUUUUCUCAAGAAUGUUAUGCAGAAAUGAUUUUUACUAAAUCAUUUUUGAUGAAUUGUUUAAAUUAAACAAUUGGGAUAAGAAUUGUAACGAUUUAUCAUAAGCGUGCUAAUAUGAUAACUUGUUUUACAAAUGAUUAAUUAAUCAAUUAAUAUUAAAUUAUAUAUUAGUCAAUUAGAUAUGUGUUACAUUUGUCAUGUUUUGUAGGAGCGAUACUACAUAAUUUCUAAAAGAAUAUAAUAAAAACACAUUAAAAUGUUAUUUUAAUGAAGAAAAAAUUAUAAUUUUAUUAAAUAGGUGACACAAUAAUAAAUGGAUUUCUGUAAGAAUUGAGAUUCUUGAGAUAAUUUUGACAUGAUAAGAAGACAACACAGCACAGAAAACCCAAAUUGCCACUUCUACUAAUAAAAGAUAACCUGUUUGAAAAGUAAUUAUAAACUACCUUCUUUGCGUUAUUUCUCAAAACUUUUGUGGCACAAAUGUUAUUUCCAUUGACAACAGUACGAAAUACCGCCCCUUUCACUUGAGCAGGAGCAAAGCAAAGGUAUGAUGAGCUAUCUCUGUAUAAUUGAAACGCCAUUACUAAACGAUUCUUGAUGAUGGGAGCCACCGUGCCAGCUUUGUCGCUGAUUUGCAUGAUUUAUUAGUUGUCCAGAUGGCGGAUUUUGUACUGUUACCUUCUUUUCAUUCUUCAGAGCCAUGUACAGUUCUAGGAUACCAGAGAAACCAAGGUGGCAUUGAAGUUGCCCCGGUGGUUAGUUUUCAGAUCAUUUUUUUUUAAUUCAAUUAUUUAUGUUUUUAGAAAAAUGUAGGAAAUAUGUAGAAAUGUUGACAGCUAUGAUUUUGAAACUUUUGCCUAAAAUUAUUAUCAUUACUUAUUGUUUCUUAUUUAAAGAGAAAUCCUAGAAACAUGAAAUGAUUAUUCUACGCUUGUUUUAAUAUUAUACUAUGAAGAUUAUGAAGGUUUGAUUAUAUGUCACUAUCAAUUGCCUUAAUCGUUUGUCGUAAAUCAAUUAAGCAUUUUGAUGCGAAUGAUUCCCUAUUAAAAAAUUCAAGUCAGAGCUGAAUUGCAAAGUAGUUAGUCGUGCUUGCAAUUCAAAUUAAGUAUUGUAUUUUCUCCCUGAUUUGGUUGAUUCAACUAUGUGCAUUUGCUUAUGAAUGUUGUAGUAUAGAAAUCGAAACAUCUUGUCUUUUGCUAAGCCCAGAAGCAAAUUCUUUGUAUUCUACUCAUCAGUUUUCUUCAUUCUCUUCGUUGAAAUUUUAUCCAAACAGCGGUUUCGAAAUUGUUUUCACUACAAUACCUUAGUCUUUCAGAUGCUCCCGUCACUGAGUUGCCAGAAGAGCUAAAAGCCUUGGUAAAUCUUAAGUGUUUGAACCGGAGUACACAAAUUAUCUCUCUACAAUUCCGAAGCAACUGAUUUGUUACUUUUUGAUGCUACAUGUUCUGCGAAUAUUCAGUUGUGGUUAUCUUGUUCAAAUACCAGAAAAUAGCGUUCUAUUUAGUGGUAAUGAAUUCUUGGUUUGGGAGUUGCUUAGUUUAAAACGUUUAAAUGUAUUAAGCAUCAUCUUGAAAAGUUUUUCUGCCGUCCAAAAACUUAUGAGCUCCCAAAAGUUUCAAAGCCGUACACAAUGCUUGGAGCUUCUAGACUGUGAUGAUCCAAAGUCAUUUGCCUUGGCAGAGUUGAAGCAUCUUGAAAAACUAGGUUUUUCGAGUUGUGGAAAUUUGGAAGAGUUAAAGUUCUGCUGUGUCGAAGUUGCAAAGGCUCGAGAAUGUUUUCGUUUGAACGGCCCUCACUGAGUUAAGAUGAAGGCUUGUCAUAAAUUGUGGGUCUUGAAUCAAAUUUCAAUGCAUGAAUUAAUAUUUUUUAAAAAAAUUACUACACGCAGUUUAGGUUACAAACUAUUUUUUGCAAAGUUGACUAUGAAAUUGGAGAAAUUAAGUAAUUUAUAAUGUUUGCAAAGAAAGAGACUAACAUACUUCCAAUUACACUAUAUCUCUAUUAUCAUAAUGUUAAGACUAAACUAACUUAAAAUAAAUUUUAUUUGAAAAGUUAUAUCAAACGCAAUCUAAUUUUAUUAACUUGAAGAGAUAAUAGUUAUAGAAAUUAUUGUUCUAACUUAAUUAGUAUAAGUGGUAUAAAGGUUAAGUGUGCACUAAAUUCGUUUAAAUUUUUUCCACUAUAACUAACAGAGGUCAUUACUAGAAUUAUAUUACUAGUCUAUUAGAUAGAAAAAAUUAUUUAUAUUGUUUUAUAUUUAUUAAAAAAAUGUAAAGUCAAUCUUUUUAAUUACUAUUUAAAGGAUAUUAUAAUUAGAAAACAUUUAAUGUCUUUAUUAAAAAUUUAAAAAUUUACAUGACCGUUCUAUAAAUAUUUAAAGUGUAACUGUCAUUUUCUCAUAUAUAUAUAUAUAUAUAAACCAUGGUGGUGAAGCUUUAUUUAAUAUUAAUGAUUUAAAUAAUAAUAUCUCAAUUAAAAAUGUAGAGAGAAGAAAUUUCGGUGGGUAUAUUAGUCUUUUACAAUUAUCAUGAUUAGCCCUUCCUCUUGUAAUGUUGGUAAGAAAAGUUUUAAAAUGCCUUGAUUUCUUUUACUUUUAACGUUAGCGGCCUUAUAUUUUAUUACAAAUUAGUCCUAACAAGAAAAAGCAAGAUCAUAUUCCACAAAAGCAAAAGUGACAAAACAACCAACUGGAUUAUUUUUUUAAACUACAAAUUGUAUAGUCUUUUUCAAAUUGUUAUAAAUUGGUGGCCCCUACAAUUAUCAACUGUGCAAGUGCUCAUUCACAAUCUUCCAGGUCAUGCUCUUAAUAAUUGUUUUUUUUUUUUUCUGCAUUCCCUUUCAUGCUCUUAAUAAUUGAAGAGCAUACUUUUCAUUUUCAAAUGUGGAGCCGCAGCUAAUGUCGCUAAUUUAAUUUGGGAUUAAAUUAGGGGACCAUUAUAUUGCAGUGUGCACUAAUUUUUGUGUUUAUCUAAACUCCUUAAAUUUAAGACAUAUUAUGGCAUAAAUAAGAAUAUAAUAAUAACAAAAGAGUUAGAAAGUGUAGAGAAGAUCUUGCAGAAAUAUAAAUAAUAUCUAUUUUAAAAUAAUAUCAAUAUUUAAAAUAAUUUUUAGUAUUUUAUGAUCCAUUAGAUAUAUUUUAUUAUAUUAAAGUAAAUUUUAUAAUAAAUAAAAACGUACUAUUAAAAUGAAUAUAUAGAAAAUUUAGAGUAUUUUAAGUAUUAUAUAAAAUAAAUUUAAUAAAAUAUGUGAGAUAUUCAUAGUUUAUUAAUUUAAAAUACCAUUUUAAAAUUAAAGAUUUAUUUAUGAUAAAUUAAUAAUUAUAUUUUUGAAAUUACUUCAAAUAUUAAAAAAUUAAUAUUACUAAUCUAUUAGAUAGAUUAAAUUAUAUAUAUUAUUUUCUAUUUAUUAAAAAAUUAAAAUUAUUUUUAAUUACUAUUCAAAAAAUAUAAUGAUAAAAAAAUCUUAACAUCUUUAUUAAAAAUUUAAAAAUUUACAUGAUCAAUUCUCUAAAUAUUUAGGGUAGAUGUGAACCACGGUGGAGAAGCUUUAUUUAAUAUUAUUGAUUUAAAUAAUAUGUCAAUUAAAAAUGUACAGAGAAGAAAUUUCGAUGGGUAUUUUAGUCUUUUCAGCAAUUAUCAUGAUCAGAUCAGCCUUUAACCUUGAAACGUCGGUCAGAAAAGUUUUAAAAUGCUUAAUUGUUUUUCACUUUUAACGUUGAUGGCCUUGAAAUUGCUUAUAUUUUAUUAAAAAUUAAUGCUAACAAGAAAAAACUAGGUCAUAUUCCACAAAAUCAAAAGUGACAAAACAACCAGCUGGUUUCUUUUACUAAACUACAAAUUAAAAUAGAUUUUUUCGAUAAAUUACAAAUUAAAGUGGAUUCUUUUUUUUUUUUGAAAGGUAAAGUGGAUUCUUUUGAAUACAAGUGAGACAGAUUAGGCUCUUUUUAUUAAAGACAAGUAAAAACUAGUCAAGAAUCGAAUAAUCCUUUUCAAAAUCUUGUUUUAUUAUUUUUCAAAACUAGUUUUUGGUAAUUACAAUCGGGUCAUUAAUCAUUAUUCAAAGUUAGCGGCUCAUGUUUGCAAGUGUGAAUGUGCGAUGCUGCAAUUACAGUGGGGCCCGAAUCAGACGUGCCGAAUAAAUCUUUUUAAAAUUUUUGCCGUAUAACGAACAGAGGUCAUUACUAAAAUUUCUCUUCCAAAGCCCACAGCAGCUUCAGUUUAUCAAACUCAAUCAAUUUUCUUUCUUAACAAAAUUCCAAAGAUGUGUAGCAUUUUUCAGAUCACAUGCGAUGGUGCUCUUUUCAAUCGUUGCUUGGAUUGCUUUCUUGGAGAAGCAGCAUACAUAAGCAAACUCCAAGAUAAUCUUGAUGCCUUGGAGACUGAACUGGGAAGACUAAUCGCAGCAAAGAACGAUGUGAUGAUGAGGGUUGUCAAUGCUGAACGGCAACAAAUGAGAAGGCGGGAAGGAGUGCAACAAUGGGUUUCGAGGGUGGAUGCUGUUAAAACUGGAGCCGAUGAACUUAUCACAGACGGCUCUGAAGAAAUUGGCAAAUUAUGUGUUGGAGGCUACUGUUCCAAGAACUGCAGGUCAAGCUACAAGUUCGGAAAACAAGUGGCUAAAAAGCUACAAGAUGUGAAGACUUUAAUCGCCGAGGGAGUUUUUGAGGCGGUGGCUACUGAGGUGGUGCCCGAGAGAGCUCCGGAACCUGUAGCAGAUAAAAGACCCAUUGAGCCAACAAUAGUAGGCUUGCAAUCACAGCUUGAACAAGUUUGGAGAUGUCUUGUAGUAGAAGAAUCAGUGGGAAUCAUUGGCCUAUAUGGUAUGGGCGGUGUUGGUAAAACCACACUAUUGACCCGUAUCAACAAUAAAUUUCUUGAGAGUCAAAACAACUUUGAUUGUGUGAUUUGGGUCGUAGUUUCAAAAGACCUGCGGCUUGAAAAAAUUCAAGACGAUAUUGGGAAGAAGAUAGGUCUGUCUGAUGAUUCAUGGAAGAAUAAAAGUGUUGAGGAGAAAGCUGUAGACAUCUUGCGGAGAUUACGAGAGAAGAGAUUUGUAUUGUUGCUAGAUGAUAUAUGGGAGCGGGUUGAUUUAACAGAAGUGGGCAUUCCACUUCCCAGCCCACAAAAUACUACAUCAAAAGUCGUAUUCACGACCCGUUUCAUUGAUGUGUGUGGUAGCAUGGAAAGUCACAGGAAGUUUGAAGUGGCAUGCUUAUCAGAAGAGGAUGCUUGGGAGCUGUUUCGAGAAAAAGUAGGGCAAGAAACUCUUGAGAGUGAUCAUGAGAUCGUUGAGCUAGCCCAAACUGUGGCCAAAGAGUGUGGUGGUUUGCCACUNNNNNNNNNNNNNNNNNNNNNNNNNNNNNNNNNNNNNNNNNNNNNNNNNNNNNNNNNNNNNNNNNNNNNNNNNNNNNNNNNNNNNNNNNNNNNNNNNNNNNNNNNNNNNNNNNNNNNNNNNNNNNNNNNNNNNNNNNNNNNNNNNNNNNNNNNNNAUUGAUUGUUGGAUUGGUGAGGGAUUUUUGGGGGAAUCUGACAGGUUUGGUGCAGAAAACCAAGGAUAUGACAUUUUGGACACUCUUGUUCGUGCAUGUUUAUUGGAAGAGGUGGAAGAUGAUAAAGUAAAAAUGCAUGACGUUAUUCGUGAUAUGGCUCUAUGGAUAACUGGUGAAAUUGAGAAGGAGAAGCGAAACUUUUUGGUUUGUGCAGGUGCUGGAUUAAAUGAGGCACCGGAUGUUAAAGGAUGGGAAAACGUGAGAAGAUUGUCAUUGAUGCAAAACCAAAUUGAAACUCUGUCAGAGGUUCCUACAUGCCCUCAUCUCCUCACUUUAUUUCUUGACUUUAAUGAGGAUGUGGAGAUGAUCGCGGAUGGCUUCUUCCAAUUUAUGCCUUCUCUCAAAGUUUUGAAGAUGUCAAACUGUGGAAAGAGUUGGAGCAAUUUUCAAUUACCUGUUGGGAUGUCAGAGUUGGGUUCAUCACUAGAACUUCUUGAUAUUUCACAUACCAGCAUAAGAGAGUUACCAGAGGAGUUAAAGAAGUUGGUAAAUCUGAAAUGUUUGAAUUUGAGGCGGACAGAAUUGUUAAAUAAAAUUCCACGGCAACUAAUAUCAAAUUCUUCAAGGUUACGUGUGUUNNNNNNNNNNNNNNNNNNNNNNNNNNNNNNNNNNNNNNNNNNNNNNNNNNNNNNNNNNNNNNNNNNNNNNNNNNNNNNNNNNNNNNNNNNNNNNNNNNNNGCGUUUUAUUUGGUGGGGGUGAAGUUUUGAUACAGGAAUUGCUCGGUUUGAAAUAUUUAGAGGUAUUGGAGUUGACCUUGGGAAGUUAUCAUGCUCUCCAAAUUCUUUUGAGCUCAAAUAAGUUAAAAAGUUGUAUUCGAUCUCUUCUCCUCCACUUGGCCAGAGAUACAACGUCGGUUAUCGAUGCUACGGCUUUCGCAGAUCUAAACCACCUCAAUGAAUUAUGGAUUGAUAGGGCUAAGGAGUUGGAAUUAUUGAAGAUUGAUUAUACGGAGAUAGUUCGAAAAAGGCGGGAACCUUUUGUUUUCCGCAGCCUUCACUGUGUUACUAUACAUAUCUGCCAGAAGUUGAAAGAUACGACAUUCCUCGUUUUUGCUCCAAACCUCAAGUCUCUUUCGCUAUUCCAUUGCGGUGCUAUGGAAGAAAUAAUCAGCGUCGGAAAAUUUGCUGAGGUUCCUGAGAUGAUGGGACAUAUAAGCCCUUUUGAAAAUCUCCGACUUCUUCGUUUGUCACAUUUGCCAAAUUUGAAGAGCAUCUACUGGAAGCCAUUGCCUUUCACUCAUCUGAAAGAAAUGGUGGUACGUGGGUGUGAUCAGCUUGAAAAGCUUCCACUCGAUUCCAACAGUGCAAAAGAGCGUAAAUUUGUAAUUCGUGGAGAAGAAGACUGGUGGAACCUACUUCAAUGGGAGGAUGAAUCCACUCAAAUUGCUUUUCGUUCCUGUUUCCAGCCUCGUUCUUGAGCAGUGGCCGCAAAAUUUGAUUUCUGGUGAGUGCGUUUGUCUUUUAAAAAGAAUAAUUUAAAAGAAAUUUAUUCUUGUCGUUUUCUUCACUGUUUUUAUUUCAGUUUCUCUCUCUCUGUCUCUCUCUUUUUGUCUUCUACAAAUCACAAUUAAAUGUUGAAUUAAUGGAAUUAAUGCUUCAUAAAUUUGCCGGCACUGCCAUUACUUUUUUUUUUAAUACAAAUUGAUACUUUAUUUAUAUCUUCUUAGCGAUAUAAUUUCCUGUCAAUUGACGAACGAGAAGAACAUAUGACUUAAACCAAUUCUCGCAUAAACUUGCUGUAAAAAGAUAUAAUCUCACUGAAAUGCACACGUCUAGAAAGAAUAGAAUUAAAACAGGGAAAAUCUUUACCGAAAAUCAAAUGACAAUAAAUUUUUUGAAGUUUUGAUUUUCUAUGGUCAAUUCCACCUUUUGCAAUUUCUUCUGUUCUAACAAAAACCAAUUUCUUUGUUCAAGUAUUUUCGUUUGGGUAUUAAUAAUUCUCCACCGAAAGAGUGAACUCUUGCUCAAGGGAUCUCUAAUCAAUAGCCGGAAGGGCGCCGAGACCUGAUCGGACCUAGGCCCAAGUUUGGUCUUAAAGCCUGGGCUUGAGCCUGGCAAUUAAAUUAAAACAUUAAUUUAUUUCUUGAUUGAAUUGUCGUGUAAUUGAUUUAUGGGGGAUGACACAUCAACAUACUUGAAAAUACACUAAUCUCAGCAUCAUCGGUUAAUAACUUUUAGAUUUAUGGGUAAUCAAUAGUUAAGAUUAGUUGUCAUUAAUACUAAAUAAUUUUUACUUUUUUUUGUCUCUUCUAGAGGAUCUUCUAGAAAAAUGCAUCUGCAAUUAAAUUUAAUACUUUACAUAAUAAACAAAGCAUAAAUGUUAAAUUUAAGAAACUGCAUUGUAUUUCAGCUGAAGUUGACUUUAAUAUUUAGGGUAGAAAAAAAUUAAAUCCUUAAUGUGUUUAAUUUGUAUCACUUGUGUCAUUAAAAUUUUCUAGUCACCCUAACCAAUUACAUCUCAACCCACUUUUUUUUGGAUGAUUUUAUUUUUACACUAUUAUUUUCAACAUUUUUUUCCUUUUAACACCAACAUUAGUGUAUGUUACGUAACAUAAUUCAUAUUUGGAUAAUUUGAAAUUUGUUUGUGUUUUAUCUCAAAAUAGAGCUUCAAUCAAUUUGUACCUCAUAAAUUCACAAUAUCUAUGAAGGCUAAUAAGACCAAACUCUGGCAUAUUGUCAAAUGUGCUUAUCCUUUUGCUUGACAUGUCAUUUUAAAAUUGUCAUUCAAUGCCAAAAAAUCACAUCAACUAAUGGCCGAUAAUUAUAACUUAAUUGUUAUAUUGAAAUUUUUUUCUUUAUAAUUUUUAAGUUUAAUACUGCUACAUGUGUAGCACAUAAGUUGGAAAAUAUAACAAAAAUUGAAAAAUGUGUAGUUUUCGUUCCUUUUUUUCCCCUUAAAAAUGAAAAAAAAACAACAGUAAUUUUGUUUAAAUUACUGUUGUGAUAACAAGUAUUAUUUUAUUGAUUAAUUGGCAGAUAAUCAUUAUGGUUUCGUAUGGUUGUUAAAAGAUUGGAAAGUCCACUACAUCAUCCGUUAAUAACUUUCAGAUUUAUGGUUAAUCAAUAGCUGAGAUUUAUUAUCAUUAAUGCUAAAUAUUUUUUUCUCUCUCCUAGAGAAUCAUCCACAGCAAAAAUUUAAUAUUGUAAAUAGUAAACAAAAUAUAAACGUUAAAUUUAAGAAACUGCAUUGCAUUUCAGCCGAAGCUAACUUUAAUAUUUAAUGGAGAAAAAUAAUUAAGUCCUUAAUGUAUUUUAUUUACCCAUACAUGUGGCUAAUUAUUUAAGAUAAAGGGGAAGGAUGAUGCUCAAAAAUAUAAAUUAUAGAAUUAAUUGAACUCUCAAGUAAGUUUAAAGUUCAUUAUUUUUAAUUACAUGUUUAUAAUUUAUUUUUAUUUCGUAUUAAUCUAUAGAUCUAAAUCCACUUUGGAUUCAUAUACAUAUAUAGACAUAAUGUGUAUGUUAAUCUAUAGGUCUAAAUUCAUUUUAGGUCUAAAUCCACUUUGAAAAAGAUAAACUUUAAAUUUACUUAAGAGAGUAAUUAAUUUCAUAGUUAAAAUCUUUAAAUUUUACCCCUCAUCUUAACUUAAGAAAAUUAAUCACUUAUUUUAUUUAACAAAGAAGAGAUUUUUUUUCCCCCUAUAUUUUCCAAUUAUUUCUCUCCCUCUCGCUCCCUCAAGUUAUACAACUUGACGUGAAAUAUGAGUGGUCUGAUUCUAGCUUAAAUAAUUUAUUGUGACAUGCUAUCGAAGGACAAUACAAUACCUAGCUCUACAUAUUUUAUUUAACCUCCGGCUCACCCUGUGCAAACUUGCCUUUCCCCUGCAAGACAAGAUUAAUCAAUGUAUCAAGUCUCAAAUUCAAUUUGGAAUAUGACCAUCGUACGCUCUUGUUCUUCCCUCUUUACGAGUGCAUUCCCCCCAACCUCAAGCUCCCUCUCUCGUCUUCAAUGUCACUGCUUAUAUCCUUAUGUUGUUCUCAAAUUCUGAUUUCACCAUAUUUUAAUUACUGAUUAGCAUAUAUUCAAGUGCUCUCCAUUAUAAUAGAAGCCGCCGCCUCACUCGUGAUUCCAAACUUUAUCUUUUUUCCUUUUUUAAAUUAAUGCAAGUAGCCGCUGUCCUUUUUAUUAAUUAAUUAAUUCGGCCGCCCACAUUUCUUUUCCUAAUGUCUUCUACUGUCGAUUUUCUUUUAUUUUUUCUUUAUUCUUAAAAUAUGCUUUUAAUAAUAAAAUAUAAAAAUAUAAAUUAAAAUAAAAAUAUCAAAAUAUAAUUUAACAGAAAAUUAAGAUAAAAAAUGAAAAAAAAUUAUGAGCAUAUCAAUUAAUAAAUAAAAAUAAUAAUUUUUAUUUUUAUUAAAUAUAUAUUUUUCAGUAUUAAUCAAUUAUCUGAAUAACUAAAAUCAUUUAAAAAUAAAUAAAUAAAUUAUUCUUUAAAAACAAAAAGAAAAGAAACUUUUUAUAACACUCACCAUGCUGUUUGUAGGGUAGACGGUUUGGGGACUGAAGUUGGUAACUUCUACAAGUAGUCUUAAGUUGACUGGCAACAACUAUAUUGGCAUUUUGACAUACUGUACUGCAACCAUAUUGGUAUGUUCAAAUGUUCUUACUAUUGUAUUGGUGUGUCAAUAUUAUCUCUAACUGUCCUAUAGAUAAAAAAAUAAUCUAAAUUUAUAAUUUAACAUAAAAUAAAAUAAUUAGUUAUAGAUAAAAAAAUAAUUUAAAUUUAUAAUUUAACAUAAAAUAAAAUAAUUGGUAGAAAAACAAUUAUGGUUCAUUUACUUAUCAGUAAUCAGAAUAGACUGAAAUCGAAAUAAGUUGUAUUGCCGUUGAUGUGUUUAUGUUGUCCUCGAAUCGGAAUGAAUUAUUUUAAGUUACUAAAAUACCCUUGGUUUGUUAUUCUAAUAAUUAUUAUUUAAUAUUUAUUAUAAUAUUUUUCAUAUUAUUAAAAAGAAAUAAUAAUGAUGAUAAUAUUAUCAUUAUUGUUUGUUACAUUAUUAUUAUUCAAAAAAAUUAUUGUUAAUAACAAUAAUUACUUUAUUUCAAUAAUAAUAAUGAUAAAAUUAAUAAUAACAAACAUGACAACAACAAUAAUUAUUUAUUAUGCCAAAAAUAACAAUAAUAAUAAGAAUAAUAGUCAUCAUCAUUUUUUUUCCCAAAGAAGCAUUAUCAUCAUCAUUUCAAAAAAAAAAAAAAUCAUCAUUAUCAUCAUCGUUUUUGUAGUGGCUGCCUAUCGACUGCUGCUUUCAUGUGAGAUUGACUUGCGACGCUUCAACGGCUAUUAUUUCUGGCAAUGUCAGGUGUUACUGUUUCAAUUUAGGAAGAAGUUGUUUCGUUGUACUAACGAUGGGAGAUGUUGUGGCUGCGAUUCGGGGAGCUACUAGUUUAUUGCACUAAUGACGGCAGGUGCUGCUGCUUGAUGCGAGGUCCAUGGCCAGUUGUCAGCAGUUUGACUUUGGUAUGGGUGCUACUGGUUUGAUUUUAGGUGUUGUCCAAUUUCAUUUUCAGGAUUUUAAUUUUAUUUUUUCUUUAAUGUUUUCAUUAAUUAAUCAGGGCAAAGUUGGAUUUUAGAAUUUAGAAUGAAGGUAAUUUUGUUAAUCAUGGAAAUGAGAUUCUGAUUGUCGAGAAUGAGCUUAUACAAGCAACUGCAAAUUAAGUGAAAACAAAACGCUUUUUCUCUUUGUGUGAUUAAAACAUGAUAUGUAUCAUAAAUAAAUAAGUAAAAAAUAAAUCAAUACAAUCCAAAACAGUAAACAAAUUACAAGAGGUACAGAUUUUUAUGUGAAACACCGAAAAUAGAAAAAAACCACAGUAUCUUAGUCUGAUAUAAUCUUCUACUGUAUUAAUGGGAUUACAGCACAAAUUCUUCCCUAUAUACCACUAGAGGUUAACAACAUCUAGAUUCUCAAUAAUAUUGACUUACAAUACAGCUUAAUAUAUGUCUCUCUAAUAAGUAGAUAUCUAAAAUAACAAUCUCUAAUAAAUAAGUAUCUCAAAUAACCGUCUCUAAUAAGUAGGUAUCUUAAAUAAUAGUCAACAAGAGGAUAAAACAAAAAAUUAAGAUUAGUAGGAUGUGUAUCAGGCAAUGCUAUCAACUUAUUAUCUAAAUUUGAGAAAAAUAGUUAAAUUCACUUUUUCGAUUGUCCGACCAAAGAUGGAAACCCUUGCCCCAAAACCAAAGGAAUCAACAUUGUGUCUCUCUCUCUCUCUCUCUCUCUCGUUAUUUUCUUCUACUUUUCUUAAUGUUAGCCGCCACUUGCUUUUAUUCUUUAUAGCAUUUAAAAAGCUACUUUUAAUGGUAAAUUUAUAAGUCCAAACUUGGUGAUAAUUGCACACCAAACAAUCCUUACAUAGUCUUUUAGACCUCUAAAUGAGAUGAAUACAGUAAAUUUCCCCUUUUAGAUCAUGUGGGGGGCACCACAAGGCCACUCUCUGCAUAUAGCUUUUCAACUUCUCCUUGAAUAAUGUCUUUGUCAUCAUACAUAACCCAUUCUCCGUUGUGUAAAUCUUCUCAAGCUGUAAAUGUUCCUUCUCAAGCACAUCUCGUAUCUAACGAUACCUCACAUCAAUAUGCUUAAAUUUCGAAUGGUAUAUCAAAUUCUUUGAACGACACUCUGACUGUCGUAGUACAUAACAUAGUUGUCUCGUUUUACACCGAGCUCUUAUAGGAAAUUCUUCGUCCACAAUAUUUUUUUGCAACCUUCAAUAAUUGUAAUAUCAUUUGCUUUAGUGGUAGAAAAGGCAACUUAUUACUAAAGUUUAGAUUGCGAUGAGACUGCUCCCCUUGCAAAAGUGAGCAAACAUCCUAGUAGGAGUUUUUCGGAAUCAACAUCUCCUGCCAUAUCUACACAAUUGUAAAACAUGUUUGUCACUACCAAAAUAUAAACGUGCUCUGGAAAUGCCUCUAAGAUAUUUGAGAAUUUUUCACUGUUGUCCAGUGCUGAAGCAUAAGGAACUCCUCUCAUGGAGAAAUGGAUUUUGCUCUUAGAGAUUUUUGGNNNNNNNNNNNNNNNNNNNNNNNNNNNNNNNNNNNNNNNNNNNNNNNNNNNNNNNNNNNNNNNNNNNNNNNNNNNNNNNNNNNNNNNNNNNNNNNNNNNNGACACUUUUUCAGGAGAUGCAAACUUCAAAUAUAAUGGGAGACGAGUUUACCAUUGUUAGCAUUCUUACAGCUCGUGCGAAUCUGGGGGCACUAGAACUGGGAGAAUGGAUAAAGACUUAUACUGACAAAAACAAAGUCAAGAAUGAUAUAUUUGCGGGGAACGUUUUGAUAGACGUGUACUGUAAAUGCGGAGAUGUUGAGAAAGCUCAAAAGGUAUUCAGGAAGAUGCUUUGAAAGGACAAAUUCACAUGGACGACCAUGAUUGUUGGCCUUGCCAUCAGUGGCAAUGGUGAUAAAGCUCUUGAUAUGUUUUCCCAAAUGCUUAGGGCUUCGAUCAAACCGAAUGAGGUAGCUUAUGUUGGUGUUCUGUCUGCCUGUACUCACAAUGGUAAUGAAACUUUUGUGAUAAAUAGUUGCAACUAAAGGUGAGAAUUGGAGGAAAGGAAAUAGACUGAAGUUGUUCAAUCAUCAGUGGUUGCUAUUUGGUUUUAAGUUGUUCAAUCAUCGGUCGUCUCUAUUUGGUUUUCUCCAAUAUCUCAUCUUCAGUUUUGACUCAGAUUCUAUCUUACCACUAGUAAUUACAUAGACUUGCUGCCAAAGGUAAGAAUGGGAAUAAAUUAAAUAGAUUAUGUCGAAAACGAAAUAAAUUUACUAUUGUUCUGUUCAUUCUAUUUGUUUCCUACAAAAUAUUUCUCCUGCCUAAAAUUUUUUGAAUCAGUAAGUUUUUACCUUAUGCAAGAAUUGUGCUGAGAGUAAUUCCAUUUCUCAGUCUCUUUAUGUUUCAAUGAAGACGUAAAACUUGUGUUCUAGUGCACCAAUGUUUAUGCUUCUUACAAUUUGACUUUAAUUUACUUUGUAAAACUUUUGUCAAAAAGUACUAAAAAGUAGUGCACCAAACACCAACUUUAUUACACUUUAGUUUAAUUUUAAGAGAACACUCAAAAGAAAGAGUUAUAAAUUAGUAUAGAAAUAUUUCACAUAAAUAAAAGCCAUCCCAUGCUACAAAGAUCUUGCUAUCAUCACCAAAAACUAUCGGGAGCUUUUAGGGUUUCCAAAAAAAUGUCAUUUCGUUCCAAAAGUCAAUGGUGGGUAGAAAGUGGUGCAAAUGAGACUCAUUGUUAAUGGUAUAAGUUUUUGCUUAAUUAUGUCUUCCCCAAGAUGAUGAUUUAAUUUCCAUUCUCAAUUAAUUUUCAAGUUUCAACACUUUUCUAUCUAGCAUGACAUUGGAAAGAUCUUGUACAGUUGUACUACUAAAAGCUAGCACCACACGUUAGUUAUUGUUAAGUUCUUUUUCAACGUGAAAUAAAGGAAGUAGUCCCUCGUUAAAACCAUUAUAGCCAAAUUUCACCUAAUUGGACACUUACAGACUUUCAUUUCAAGUUGGAUUUUGGUCCAACGUUUCAAAGUUGGCCCAAUUAUUUUUGUCUGGUCAAGUCCUACGCAGCUAAGCCCCUCAAUGAAUGAGGGUGAGAUUGCUAAAAAUUACGACAGGUGAUAUUUUAUUGUUAUUAUUAUUAUUUUUGGGGGAUAAAUCCUCACCAAAGUGAGGAGAUUUUAUCAAAAUCAAAAUAAAAAUAUAACAAGAACUGAAAGUCGGGCAGCCUAAAAGCUAGAUGAACUAAAAGUCAGGCGCCUAAAAACAACCUUAUGCAAAAGAAAAGCAACAUGAGACCGAUCAAGUAAAAGAAUCCACCGCAACACCUAAAUUGGCCAAAUUAUCUGUUGGUAUUACAAGUUUCUUGUUAUAAAAGUGUAGAAUGAAGUAGGUGACGUAGUUUUAAGUUACAGCUGCAUGCCCAAUCGCAAUAUCAAAUAAUGCUUAAAGUAGUUGCCUAGGCGCCACAAUUUAUAUUAACUCUUAAAUUUAUAAAUAAUUAAAUUUUUAAAAGUUUGGAUUUAUAUUAAAAAAUCUUCAUAUAAAUAAAUCAUAUAUGCACUUUUACAACACAGUCUUUAAAUUUAAAUUUUUCUAGAAAAAUCUUCUGUAUAUCUUUUCUAUUAAAAAAUUUCCAUAUAAAUAAAUAAUAUACCUAAUUUAAUUGGACCCAGCACAACGUACAUGCAUAGAACACAUUCCGAAAAGCCAUGCUAUUCGGAAAUUGACGAAUGAAAAGUGAGGAGGCAGCAGUCAAUGCUACUUCGGCUUGGCCCAAAAUUGAUUUAUCAGUUUCACGUAUGCCAGGAAUGAAGAACUGGAAUAUCCCCGUCAAGCAAGCAACCUGUGGAGCAAUACCAUAGAAUGCACAAUCCGGCUUUGCAAAGUGACACUGGAGGCUUUUUGAAAAGUGCUUCAUGCUCACUUGCACAGAUUGAGCAUCCCCUCUGGAUAUUGCCCUCUCUGAUCGAGUCUGAGCACUCAAAUUUCGGUCCUCAGAUGGAGCUACAGCUUUCUCUCCCAAUAACCAACAAUUUUCUAAACUCAGCACCCUCGUGUGAUCAGAGUUGUUGAUAUUUGCAAAUGGAGAUCCCCCAUAUUUGCAAAUGGAGACAUUUAACAAAUCACCAACAUGUUUCAUUCAGUCUACGAAAUUCUGCAGCUUAUUCAAAUCCGGAACCUGAACCAGAGUCGGAGGUAAAUCUUGAGCCAUAUCUAAAGCAGCCUGAAGUUCAAGUACUUGAGCCCUUGACAAUGGUUUUGAAAUUGGAACAUCUUGGAUUACUGCAGAUUUGUACCCCUUGGUUUCAAAAGUGUGAGAGGCAUUGCUCGAGUACAAUUUGGAGGCAGCUUCUUCACCAAUUUUAUUUGGAGGCGAUUGGCAGCGGAUCCAGCUGCACCAAUUUCAGAGCAAAUACUGACACUACUUCGAACAGCACGCUGAAGAAGAGAUAUGUCUAUGGCAAAGGCAAUGCAGUCCUUAUUUUGACUUGAGAUGCAGUAAUCAUCAAAGAGAGUUUCCUUGUGAAACUGGGCAAAGCAUCGAAUCCCUUCACCACUGAGAAGGUUGUGGAGGAAGUGAGCUUUCUCUCUUGUGAGGAAGAGGUGGCGUGCCUUCCCCAUUUUGUCUAGGGCAGGUAUAAAUCUCUUUUCUAAGAGAUUUACUCCAUUCUCUGUGAGAAAUGCUUUGAACUUCAUCCCUCUGUCUGUAUCCUCACUUAUCAGGAAAAUAGUUGAAAGCGCUACAAGGAUAGAGAAGGAAAGUAUUAAGAUAAAUAGACAAGAAAAAUAUUAGAUGCCGAUCUUACAAACUAAUACUCCAAACACUAUCCUAGAAAGCUAAAAACUGAAGGAUGGCUUGAAAUUUUGAAAAGAACACAUGCUUUUCCUCCUUAACUUGGGAAAAUGUUUAAUAUAGUGCAACUUACAGAAGCAUUUAAGCAAUUAGAAAUUAGCACAAAAACAUCAAGAAGACUAAACAAAUCAGAUGCAGUGUAUUUGUCCAAGCACAAAUUGCAUUUUGUCCUCAACUUUAAUAUUUAUUGAUGAGAAUCAAUACAGGUCCCUCAUUUGUUAUAGAAAGCUUUCUUGUAGUCUCACCAGUUAAUUCACAGGUCUAUAAUCAUCUUGCAAAGUUAAGGGCAUUCUUCCGAUCUAAAGUCUUGCAUCACCACCUNNNNNNNNNNNNNNNNNNNNNNNNNNNNNNNNNNNNNNNNNNNNNNNNNNNNNNNNNNNNNNNNNNNNNNNNNNNNNNNNNNNNNNNNNNNNNNNNNNNNNNNNNNNNNNNNNNNNNNNNNNNNNNNNNNNNNNNNNNNNNNNNNNNNNNNNNNNNNNNNNNNNNNNNNNNNNNNNNNNNNNNNNNNNNNNNNNNNNNNNNNNNNNNNNNNNNNNNNNNNNNNNNNNNNNNNNNNNNNNNNNNNNNNNNNNNNNNNNNNNNNNNNNNNNNNNNNNNNNNNNNNNNNNNNNNNNNNNNNNNNNNNNNNNNNNNNNNNNNNNNNNNNNNNNNNNNNNNNNNNNNNNNNNNNNNNNNNNNNNNNNNNNNNNNNNNNNNNNNNNNNNNNNNNNNNNNNNNNNNNNNNNNNNNNNNNNNNNNNNNNNNNNNNNNNNNNNNNNNNNNNNNNNNNNNNNNNNNNNNNNNNNNNNNNNNNNNNNNNNNNNNNNNNNNNNNNNNNNNNNNNNNNNNNNNNNNNNNNNNNNNNNNNNNNNNNNNNNNNNNNNNNNNNNNNNNNNNNNNNNNNNNNNNNNNNNNNNNNNNNNNNNNNNNNNNNNNNNNNNNNNNNNNNNNNNNNNNNNNNNNNNNNNNNNNNNNNNNNNNNNNNNNNNNNNNNNNNNNNNNNNNNNNNNNNNNNNNNNNNNNNNNNNNNNNNNNNNNNNNNNNNNNNNNNNNNNNNNNNNNNNNNNNNNNNNNNNNNNNNNNNNNNNNNNNNNNNNNNNNNNNNNNNNNNNNNNNNNNNNNNNNNNNNNNNNNNNNNNNNNNNNNNNNNNNNNNNNNNNNNNNNNNNNNNNNNNNNNNNNNNNNNNNNNNNNNNNNNNNNNNNNNNNNNNNNNNNNNNNNNNNNNNNNNNNNNNNNNNNNNNNNNNNNNNNNNNNNNNNNNNNNNNNNNNNNNNNNNNNNNNNNNNNNNNNNNNNNNNNNNNNNNNNNNNNNNNNNNNNNNNNNNNNNNNNNNNNNNNNNNNNNNNNNNNNNNNNNNNNNNNNNNNNNNNNNNNNNNNNNNNNNNNNNNNNNNNNNNNNNNNNNNNNNNNNNNNNNNNNNNNNNNNNNNNNNNNNNNNNNNNNNNNNNNNNNNNNNNNNNNNNNNNNNNNNNNNNNNNNNNNNNNNNNNNNNNNNNNNNNNNNNNNNNNNNNNNNNNNNNNNNNNNNNNNNNNNNNNNNNNNNNNNNNNNNNNNNNNNNNNNNNNNNNNNNNNNNNNNNNNNNNNNNNNNNNNNNNNNNNNNNNNNNNNNNNNNNNNNNNNNNNNNNNNNNNNNNNNNNNNNNNNNNNNNNNNNNNNNNNNNNNNNNNNNNNNNNNNNNNNNNNNNNNNNNNNNNNNNNNNNNNNNNNNNNNNNNNNNNNNNNNNNNNNNNNNNNNNNNNNNNNNNNNNNNNNNNNNNNNNNNNNNNNNNNNNNNNNNNNNNNNNNNNNNNNNNNNNNNNNNNNNNNNNNNNNNNNNNNNNNNNNNNNNNNNNNNNNNNNNNNNNNNNNNNNNNNNNNNNNNNNNNNNNNNNNNNNNNNNNNNNNNNNNNNNNNNNNNNNNNNNNNNNNNNNNNNNNNNNNNNNNNNNNNNNNNNNNNNNNNNNNNNNNNNNNNNNNNNNNNNNNNNNNNNNNNNNNNNNNNNNNNNNNNNNNNNNNNNNNNNNNNNNNNNNNNNNNNNNNNNNNNNNNNNNNNNNNNNNNNNNNNNNNNNNNNNNNNNNNNNNNNNNNNNNNNNNNNNNNNNNNNNNNNNNNNNNNNNNNNNNNNNNNNNNNNNNNNNNNNNNNNNNNNNNNNNNNNNNNNNNNNNNNNNNNNNNNNNNNNNNNNNNNNNNNNNNNNNNNNNNNNNNNNNNNNNNNNNNNNNNNNNNNNNNNNNNNNNNNNNNNNNNNNNNNNNNNNNNNNNNNNNNNNNNNNNNNNNNNNNNNNNNNNNNNNNNNNNNNNNNNNNNNNNNNNNNNNNNNNNNNNNNNNNNNNNNNNNNNNNNNNNNNNNNNNNNNNNNNNNNNNNNNNNNNNNNNNNNNNNNNNNNNNNNNNNNNNNNNNNNNNNNNNNNNNNNNNNNNNNNNNNNNNNNNNNNNNNNNNNNNNNNNNNNNNNNNNNNNNNNNNNNNNNNNNNNNNNNNNNNNNNNNNNNNNNNNNNNNNNNNNNNNNNNNNNNNNNNNNNNNNNNNNNNNNNNNNNNNNNNNNNNNNNNNNNNNNNNNNNNNNNNNNNNNNNNNNNNNNNNNNNNNNNNNNNNNNNNNNNNNNNNNNNNNNNNNNNNNNNNNNNNNNNNNNNNNNNNNNNNNNNNNNNNNNNNNNNNNNNNNNNNNNNNNNNNNNNNNNNNNNNNNNNNNNNNNNNNNNNNNNNNNNNNNNNNNNNNNNNNNNNNNNNNNNNNNNNNNNNNNNNNNNNNNNNNNNNNNNNNNNNNNNNNNNNNNNNNNNNNNNNNNNNNNNNNNNNNNNNNNNNNNNNNNNNNNNNNNNNNNNNNNNNNNNNNNNNNNNNNNNNNNNNNNNNNNNNNNNNNNNNNNNNNNNNNNNNNNNNNNNNNNNNNNNNNNNNNNNNNNNNNNNNNNNNNNNNNNNNNNNNNNNNNNNNNNNNNNNNNNNNNNNNNNNNNNNNNNNNNNNNNNNNNNNNNNNNNNNNNNNNNNNNNNNNNNNNNNNNNNNNNNNNNNNNNNNNNNNNNNNNNNNNNNNNNNNNNNNNNNNNNNNNNNNNNNNNNNNNNNNNNNNNNNNNNNNNNNNNNNNNNNNNNNNNNNNNNNNNNNNNNNNNNNNNNNNNNNNNNNNNNNNNNNNNNNNNNNNNNNNNNNNNNNNNNNNNNNNNNNNNNNNNNNNNNNNNNNNNNNNNNNNNNNNNNNNNNNNNNNNNNNNNNNNNNNNNNNNNNNNNNNNNNNNNNNNNNNNNNNNNNNNNNNNNNNNNNNNNNNNNNNNNNNNNNNNNNNNNNNNNNNNNNNNNNNNNNNNNNNNNNNNNNNNNNNNNNNNNNNNNNNNNNNNNNNNNNNNNNNNNNNNNNNNNNNNNNNNNNNNNNNNNNNNNNNNNNNNNNNNNNNNNNNNNNNNNNNNNNNNNNNNNNNNNNNNNNNNNNNNNNNNNNNNNNNNNNNNNNNNNNNNNNNNNNNNNNNNNNNNNNNNNNNNNNNNNNNNNNNNNNNNNNNNNNNNNNNNNNNNNNNNNNNNNNNNNNNNNNNNNNNNNNNNNNNNNNNNNNNNNNNNNNNNNNNNNNNNNNNNNNNNNNNNNNNNNNNNNNNNNNNNNNNNNNNNNNNNNNNNNNNNNNNNNNNNNNNNNNNNNNNNNNNNNNNNNNNNNNNNNNNNNNNNNNNNNNNNNNNNNNNNNNNNNNNNNNNNNNNNNNNNNNNNNNNNNNNNNNNNNNNNNNNNNNNNNNNNNNNNNNNNNNNNNNNNNNNNNNNNNNNNNNNNNNNNNNNNNNNNNNNNNNNNNNNNNNNNNNNNNNNNNNNNNNNNNNNNNNNNNNNNNNNNNNNNNNNNNNNNNNNNNNNNNNNNNNNNNNNNNNNNNNNNNNNNNNNNNNNNNNNNNNNNNNNNNNNNNNNNNNNNNNNNNNNNNNNNNNNNNNNNNNNNNNNNNNNNNNNNNNNNNNNNNNNNNNNNNNNNNNNNNNNNNNNNNNNNNNNNNNNNNNNNNNNNNNNNNNNNNNNNNNNNNNNNNNNNNNNNNNNNNNNNNNNNNNNNNNNNNNNNNNNNNNNNNNNNNNNNNNNNNNNNNNNNNNNNNNNNNNNNNNNNNNNNNNNNNNNNNNNNNNNNNNNNNNNNNNNNNNNNNNNNNNNNNNNNNNNNNNNNNNNNNNNNNNNNNNNNNNNNNNNNNNNNNNNNNNNNNNNNNNNNNNNNNNNNNNNNNNNNNNNNNNNNNNNNNNNNNNNNNNNNNNNNNNNNNNNNNNNNNNNNNNNNNNNNNNNNNNNNNNNNNNNNNNNNNNNNNNNNNNNNNNNNNNNNNNNNNNNNNNNNNNNNNNNNNNNNNNNNNNNNNNNNNNNNNNNNNNNNNNNNNNNNNNNNNNNNNNNNNNNNNNNNNNNNNNNNNNNNNNNNNNNNNNNNNNNNNNNNNNNNNNNNNNNNNNNNNNNNNNNNNNNNNNNNNNNNNNNNNNNNNNNNNNNNNNNNNNNNNNNNNNNNNNNNNNNNNNNNNNNNNNNNNNNNNNNNNNNNNNNNNNNNNNNNNNNNNNNNNNNNNNNNNNNNNNNNNNNNNNNNNNNNNNNNNNNNNNNNNNNNNNNNNNNNNNNNNNNNNNNNNNNNNNNNNNNNNNNNNNNNNNNNNNNNNNNNNNNNNNNNNNNNNNNNNNNNNNNNNNNNNNNNNNNNNNNNNNNNNNNNNNNNNNNNNNNNNNNNNNNNNNNNNNNNNNNNNNNNNNNNNNNNNNNNNNNNNNNNNNNNNNNNNNNNNNNNNNNNNNNNNNNNNNNNNNNNNNNNNNNNNNNNNNNNNNNNNNNNNNNNNNNNNNNNNNNNNNNNNNNNNNNNNNNNNNNNNNNNNNNNNNNNNNNNNNNNNNNNNNNNNNNNNNNNNNNNNNNNNNNNNNNNNNNNNNNNNNNNNNNNNNNNNNNNNNNNNNNNNNNNNNNNNNNNNNNNNNNNNNNNNNNNNNNNNNNNNNNNNNNNNNNNNNNNNNNNNNNNNNNNNNNNNNNNNNNNNNNNNNNNNNNNNNNNNNNNNNNNNNNNNNNNNNNNNNNNNNNNNNNNNNNNNNNNNNNNNNNGUACAAAUUAAUAAGUUAUGCUCUUUGGAAGCAAACCUAAAUUCCAAGAGAAACAGAACUCAAAAAAUUUGCAAUUAUACGCAAAGGAAGUGAAGCACAGCAUUCUAUCACACAAACGAAUUGUAUAACAAGAGAUCGACAUAUCGAAUCAGAAGAACUCAAUUCAAAUUUGUCUCAAAAAUCAAAAUUAGAAGAUUUCACAUUUCGAGAGGAACAAGCGACAGGUCAGAUGCAAAAUUUUCAGCCACAACAUGCCACAAUUAACGGUUUAUUUCCAUGGAUUUAGAGAGCUGACUGACCUUUUGGCUUUUGGAAUUGAGAAGAUCGCGCGCCAAAAUGGAAGAGGGAAAGCGAAAGUGCGGGUUUUAAUAGGGUAUUGCAUUAGCAAAUUUAAUUAGUUUGCGAGGGUAAAAUAGGAAAGAGAUAUCACUAUUAACCUUUUUUUUAUAAGAAAAAAGAAUAAUAAAGAAUAUUUUAUUGUCAUUUGCAGCCUUUAAUUUUUUUUAAAUGCUAUUAGAAAAAUACGACGACAAAGAAAUGCUCUUUUUUUUAUUUUUUUCUUGAAGGUAAAAUCAAUUAUUUAGCUCCUUAUAUGUAAUCAAACUCCAUUUCUUACUUUAAGUCAUAUCCAACAGAACAACAAAGUAAUUAUUUUUUUUUUCAUUUAUUUUUGCAGAAAAUUAAUAACUUAAAAAUAUUGAAAGCUAUUGUAAAAUUUUUUAUUAUCAACCUCAUAAUUUAAUUUUUUUGGGGAAGAAUUGAUUUUUUUUUUUAUUUCCAAGAAUUUCAUUCUCUAGUUUUUCCAUUAAUAUUACUUAUCUUCAUACCCAUCUUAAUUAAAAUCUGUAGUUUUAUUCAAGAGUCAUGCUAUCCAUUCACUCGGACCAAAGGCUUUCCGCAGCAAUAUUAUUAUUUAAAGAGUAAUGAUAUAGCCACAGACUCUUGUACAAACUUAUUUUGUACAAACUGACGUGGCAUUAAUUCAUUGGUUGAAUGAAAAUAUAAAUUAAUAAAAACAAAUCAUGUGGGCCAAGUGAUAUUUAAUUCAACCAAUCUUAUCAUGCCACAUCAAUUUGUACAAAAUAAGUUUGUACAAGAGUUUGUGGCUGUAUCAUUACUCUUAUUUAAAUUACAACAAAGGGGAAAUCAAAUACGUCAUACAGAGGCUUAAAGCUCAAUCUACAAAAUCUAGAGCUCUCAACUACAUAAAUUACACUUGAUGAUCCUCUACAAGAUGAAGCUUGUUCAAUAUCUCAUCCAAAGCUUGUAAAGUAACCUUGUAACGAUCUUGAGAUUGCCUGCCUUCCUCGACGACCUGCACCAUGCGUUUGUACAAAUCAUCAUACCUGUGCACCGGAUUUUUAAUAUCAACGCCACUGCAGCUGUGAUCAAGAACAUAAGAGCGUUUAACAUCUUUUCUCCAUCGAGAAAGAAUGUAGUGAGAUGGGAUCUCCUCCAUACCACUCUGGUUUGGAACACAAAGAAUGUGUCUGCAUAAAUAUCCUCUGAAAUUGAACAACCCACAAACACAAAGCACCUCCAAGUCGGAGGCAUUGUACAAAACAUCGAAAGCCCUUGAAUCUUUCUCGUUGCUACCAACCUCAAAUUCUUCCUUCACUAUGUAUGUUAUAGGUCCAUCAGCACUGACAUGUUUUGUGCUAUAGCAAGAGUACAUAGCCUCCACCUCCGUCUGAAACUUCCUUAACAGUUCAUUUGUGUACACUUUUGAGAGUUGAAAUUCAUAGUAACAUCUUGGUUUCUGGAUACAACUUGAAUUUCUUGAAUCCAUAUCUGCCAAGGCUUCCAGUUGAUAAUUCGCCUGCAGUGCUUGAUCAUAUUUGUCUAAGUAUUCUUUCAAAGGAGUAUUCUUAUCAAGAUAUCCUUCAAAGUAUGAAGUAGAAACCUCACUCAGCAGGAAUGAAAACACUCCUGAUAAAAAUGUUUCCUUCAAAUAAACAGGAGCCCAACUUUUACGAUCCUCAUAUAAAGUUUGAAUCCAUCCAUGAUCCCUUAUUCCAUGACGUUGAAUCGUGUCCUCCCAAGCUGUCUCAAAUUCCUCAGGCCUCAGAGAGUGACAAAUUGCUCUAUGCAAUGCAGCACUAAUAGCUUCAUAUUCAAAAUAUCCUUGGAGAUUCUCUGGAAUUUUUUGCAUGACGCAUGACAAUGAAAAACAAUGAUAAGCUCUUGGGAAAACAUCGCCGACAGCAGUUUGCAAGAUCUACAUUGGUCAGUGAUGAUUGUUUGUGGAGAGCGUCCUAACAUACAUGUAAGCCACACCCUAAACAACCAUGUAUAUGAUUCGAUAGUCUCACUGGCAAGUAAACCACAGCCCAACAGCACUGAUUGUCCAUGAUGAUUCACCCCAAUGAACGAAACCAGCGUUGCAUCAUAUCUUUCUGUCAAGCAUGUAGUAUCAAUUGAUUUGAGCUAUUAACAUCAUUUCCAAAUACUCCAUUGGCAUCUACAUUACCAUUUCCCUCGGCAUCAAUGAUAAGAGUUCGAAACAGUCUAAUUUUUUUAACUUCUUCAGCACCAUCUAAGCGCAAUGUUCUUUUGGUUCCAAUACCUAUGUGCUUAUGAGACUUGUAAAACUUCCCGCUUCUUGGGCUUAACAAGUGGUUAUGCUCAAGCUCGACUUCAAUGAUUCUCCACCUUUUGGUUUCCAUCAACCUAAACUUUAUCAUUGCUGGACAGCCCGUUCUUGUUUCUGGUCUUGGGCGGUUUGCCUCGCUUUUCUUCUUGAAGCCUGCAUUACUACAGCUGAGCUUUCCUUUAUACUUUUCUCUACUCUUUCGGGACCAUGUAUUGCUAACUCUAACACCAAAACCCUGCUCCUUGGCAUAACAAUUAUAAAAGUAAUAUACGUCAUCAUACGUCUCAAACUCCAUUCCAACAGCAGGAUUCAAUGGAUUUUGGAUUAUCCCAGUUUGUCCAACAUAUUCAGUCAUCGCACAAUCUCUACGACCUCAACAUCAUCAGUGUCAUCAUCACGUACUGGUUCGGUGUUGAGAGAAACUUCAUCCAUCUACAAUGGAUGUUCAAUAAAGUGAGCUUUAAGGAGAAAAAGCAAAAUCAGUUCAAGGAAUGAUAAUAUAAUCAUACAGUUACUUUCACAAAGCUUCAUAUUUCAUAACUGCUUUACCAACAUGCUACUGCCAGAGAACAAACAGACAUGUCAUAGACGAUUGAAUUAAAUAUUGGUACAAAUGAGCACACAUCAUGUGGGACAAAAUUUCAGUCACUAAACCCAAUGCCUUUUUUUUUUUCACAUCAUACCAAGGAACGGAUUAAACCCAAUACCUUCUUUUACGCCAUACCAAAGAACAGAUUAAAUCAUCAAUGAAAAUUUAAUCAAAUAAUAAUUUAACUAGACAAUUGAAGAGCUUGAAACAGCACAAAACUUGAAUCUGAUUCUGAUAAUUGUUGAGUCCUUGUAUCCACAGCUUUCCUUCAAUGAGAAGAUUAUGAACAUAAACUACACAUAAAAAAAUUAUUUAAACUGACAGCCCAUGGUAUAAAUCAAACAAAAUUAACUCCUUUUACAAAUCACAUCUCGUAUUCAGUUACAUUGAAACACAAAAAAGGAAGCAGGAGCCGGAGAAAAACAACAACAGAGAAACUUAUUUCCAGAAGGUUUACGAAAUAAGGAAUUUAUUAAGACACAAAAUUUGAGGUCAACAAUAAGAAUUUGGUUCUCAUUCUCUUUUUCUUCAUUUUUCACUUAUUGAUGGAGUUAGCGUACAAUCCUAUAUGAUAAAACCCCAUCUCCAUCUUUUUGAACUAGAGCUAAAGCAAAGCUUUUUGAGAUGUUUUUCCCUAAAAAACUCAAUCGUACAAAGUUUUUCAAUAUUAAAUACACAACUCAAUCUUCUCCUAACUAACUCUAAUAAUCUCUUAACUAAGGAAGAUUAAGCUCCACUUGUAAGCUAAAACAAGUUUCUUAAAUCAAGCCCCAAUGCUCUAUACUAUUCAACAAGGCCUCAUAAAUGAUAAAACUACCUCUGCAAAGAUACCCAUUUUAAUUUUGCAAACUAAAAUCAAACUUCUGAAACGUAACGAGCAUUAAAACAAACAAGUCCGAACAAGAACUGAAAAAUGAUACAUAAACCCGUUUACACGUUUCGAAAAACACUUUGAAAUUCAAACGAAACAUACCUUAGGUUGAUAAAUUAGUAGCGCAAAAGAAAUUUUAGUGAGAUAUGGGAUCAGGGUUUUUGCCACUGUGAUGUUAAUUGCGACAUUGGGGUGACUCAGCAGCCUUCGAGGCUGAAACUUUGAUUGACCAAAAGUUUCCCGUUCGUUGAUUACCUAAUGUGUUCGCUGAUUUGAUAAUUCUGUUAAAAUCAUUGUUUUUUUUUCAGAUUUUUAAUGUGUUCGAUAAAAUAUCAAAAUCUCAAAAACUUUUGUCUUUCAUUUUGGGGGGAAAAACCCCAUUGAGAUCCUUAUGUUUUUUCUUAUAUAAUCUGGCUUAAUAAUUUGCAAAGUCUAUUACUUAGCACCCAUGCAUGCUGCGUUUCAAUUUACAAAAUUGUACGAGUGCAUCCAGCUAAAAUUUGUAAAAGAAAAUAACAAUAACAUGUUAAAAAUGUGAUUAUUAAGAAGAAAUUUUAAUUUAGUUAAAUAGGUGACGAUGGAUAGGUAUAAAAUCUGAGAUCUUUUAUGAGAUUAAUAAAUAUGUUGAGUUUGGAUCAGUUCAAUUUUGACAUAAUACGGAAUAAACACAACCUGCUAAUCUAAGUUAUCAUCUUUUCUCGUCAUCAGGUACCUGUUUGAAAAAUAAUUAUAUACAAUUUUAUUUGCGUUGUCUCUCUAAAAAUUUGGGACUCAAAUGUUAUUUCUAAUUGCUAAAAGUACGAAAAUGCCCCAUUUCUCUUCAGCUAAAGGAGUGCAAAGUCAUCUGUAUAAUUGAAUCUGCAUCAUCAGUUUCUAUUGCUGGUGUUACUGCAUGCUUACAGUUGCUUGACAAAGUGAGCCAGUUUUUUGUUUAUUAAUUUUUUUUCUUGUCGAGACAGUCACAAAGUAUUACUUGUUCUAUUUGAGAAUGAUGUGAAUCAAUUUUUCAAUUAUGCAUUCUGUGGUAAUUAUUGUGAAUUUAGUUUCAUUUGUCUUGUCUCCUGCAAAUUAUGAAGAAAAUGCAGACAUACAAACUUACAAUAUGUAUUUGCGUUAGUAUAAAAACAAUUGUUAGAUGAUUAAAGCGAAUUUGUUUUUUUACAGCAUUUGAUUGUAUUAGUUAAAAUCAUUUUUUAAGGAUAAAAAUAAAUAGAAAAUUAUUCUCAUGUAGUGUGGAAAUCUUUUCUAAUUUCUUGUUGACUUGUACAUUUAUUUCAGAAUUUCCAUUCAUUCUACUGUUUUAAUCUUUGACUUAGUUACCGUAGUUGACUUUUCAUAUCAAAGGCUUAAACAGCAUGCAUUUUUGAAUUGACUGAGAAUAAUUUGGUGGACAAAUUACAAGGACUUUAAAUGGUUGAAUUGACUGUGGGUUUUUCAUGCCCAAGUCACUCACGUCCUUUCAUCGAAACAAAGUGCCCGGUGCAAAUGGUGUGAUGUAAAACACCUUUUUAAAUUGUCAUUUUUUUCCUUUGCUUUUGCUUUAAUUUUCUAAAUGCUCAACGCCAUAAAUCCAUGCAUUCUUAAUUUUCGUUUGCUGUAUUGAUUCCCAACCCUCUAUGUCACAAGGUUUUGAAUGCCAGUAAUUAAGUUAAAUUAAACAUAUUUUAAGUCCUACUUUAAAUUAUUGAAAAAUGUAUUAUGGUUGAACUGAAUUUUAACUAAAAAAUAUAUACAAAAUAAAAGAUUAAUCAUAUCUUUUUAUGAGGAAGGUCAGUCAUCAUUCUGACCACAGACACUUAAAAUUAAUUGAGUGGAAUAUUGCAAAAUAUAUAUAAACCAUGCCAAAACUAGAUGUUUGAGUAAUGAAAACGAGAAUUCAUAUGACUCAGAAAUAUGGUCGCUUUCCUUUUUCUGAAAGGCAAAAAAAAAGGGGGAACCAAAAAGCACCAAAAUGAACAAAAAUGGAAGGCGAAGGUAAGCAGACAUGUUAUAUGUUUUACCUAAGAUGCCAAAUGCAACUCCCCAUUGAUGGUGAUCGAACAUUAUGGCCAUUUUCUUAGUAAACAAAAAAUGAAUUUUGAACACUCAACAACGAAACUUGAGCAGAAGAUCAAGCAAGGGCCUCGAUCUCAAAGAAGAUACUAUGAAACCCUACUUAAUGGUUAAAUAACUUUCAUUCAGCUUUGGACCCUAUUUCGUGAUACGGAAAGACAAACCUUUCUUGGCCGGCAGUGUCCCAGAUCUGGGCUUUGAUGAUCUAGAGGUUGAUGGUGACAGUUCUGGUUUGGAACUCGACGCCAAUGGUUUAUUUCGAUUCAAAGCAAAACUCAUUCUUGGUGAAUCUCGAAAGAAUCUGAGACUUGCCCACGGCCGAGUCACCGAUCACCACUACCUUGAAUACAUAGUCUAUUUUGUCAGGAAUCAUAUUCUCUCGUUGUUGAUGACGAUGAUCGGUGCCAUCACCACUCAUUUCUUCGUUCAUUCAUUCUAUGUCCAUUGAUCUUUUUGAAUUAUUGAAGACAAGUGGCUCACCGCUUUUAGUAUUGGUAAAAUUCAGAUAAUCUCUAUUCCGAAAUAAUAAUAUUCAAAAUAUCUCUUAAAUCAUUAUAAACUUCAAAUCUAUUUUAAUUUUAUUUAAAAAAUAAAAGAAAAAUAAGUUAUGUUGGUGAUUUUUUAUUAUCUUUUUAAUAAAAAUAGAAUAAAUUGAUGUUUAUAAUUAUUUAAAGUAUUUUAAAGAUUGCUAUUUUAUGAGAGAAUAAUAUUUCAUUUUUUUUUUCGUGUGAAAGACCGAAAAAGGACAAAGCAAGUUUCCCUAAUUUUUAUUUUAUGUGAAAUUGGUCAUCUCAUAUACUUUACCCUUCAACACUCUAAUUUUUUUUUAGGGAUGGCAAAAAUCCCCAAGGGGACGGGUACCCUCGGGAAUUUUCCCUAUUCGGGAAGGGUACGAGGAUAAUUUUAUACCCAAUUUUUUAUUUGGGGAGGGGACGGGGAUAAUUUUUUACCCAAUUUUUUAUUCGAGGAGGGGACGGGGAUGAGGUGGAAUCCCCAUCCCCUACCCAUUUCCCCAUUUUAAUUUUUAUUUUUAUUUUUAUUUUUAAAAUUACUAAUAAAUAAAUAACAAAAUUAUAAAUAUUGUUAAAAAUAAUAAAUAUUACAAUAUUUAUAUUAUUAAAUGCUAAUAGGUAUCCUACAUUAGCUCGAAUUGCUAGAGAUAUUUUGGCAAUUUCAAUUACAACAGUUGCUUCUGAAUCAGCUUUUAGCAGCGGUGGUAGAGUUGUGAGCCCACACCGUAACAAACUUCAUCCAAGCACAUUGGAGGCCUUAAUGUGCUGUCAAAGUUGGUUACGAGCUUACAAUAGCAGUAUGAGUUUAUUUUACAUUGUAAUUAUAUUAUACAGUUAUUAAUAUUUACACUUAUAAGUUACUUUACUUAUAUCAUUUUCAUUGUUUUAGGUUUGAAAUCUGAGGCUAUCUCUCAAUUUGCCACAUUUCUCGAGGAAGAACAGGAGGAGCAGGACGAGCAGGAGGUAAAUAGUUUUAUUAAAAAUAUUAAUUAAGUAUCUACAUUUAUUUCAUUUAUUUUAUUGUCGAUAUAAAAAUAAUUUUUUUUCUUUUUAUUGUAGGAUUAUGAAGAUUCUGACAAAGGAUAAUUUAUUUUUUUUAAUAAUUUAUAUUUUGAAUGUGACUUUGUAAUGGAUCAAUAUUAAUGUAAGAUAUAUUUUGAACUUUAUUUUUAUCUGAAUUUUUUAUUUUAAUAUGAUUAAUUUAAAAUCGAAAAUAAAAAAAAUGUAUUAGACUAUUAGUUAUUCGGGGACCGGGGACCCUCGGGGAUCCCCUGUUAUUAUUCGGGGAGGGGAUGGGGAUUCUCUCAAGCAAUUCUGACGGGGACGGGGACAUUCGCAAAAUAUCGGGGAUGGGUAUGGGGAGAUUGGUCCCCUCCCCUCCCCUCCCCAUUGCCAUCCCUAAUUUUUUUGGUUAUAAUUUUAUUAUUUUUAAGAUUUCAAUAAGUGACUGAGAUUCAAAUAAUAUCCUUUAAUUCUAUUAACAAAAAACAAAGACUCAAAUAUUUUAUGAUAAAUAAAAAUAUAAUAUUAAAAUAUAUGUGAUAAUAUACACAUUUUAAAUACUUUCAAUCCAAAAAAAUAGUUAUGUUUUACAAUCUAUUAGACAUCUUUUAUUAAAUUAAUAUAAAUUUUCUAUAAAAUAAGAAUAUAAUAUUAAAAUAAAUUCACAAAAAUUUAAAGAAUUUUGAAUGUAAAAUAAUUUUAAUAUAUUAAUACGUGAGUUUUUUUUAUUAAUAUAAAAAUUAUUUAACUUUAAGAUUUUUUAAAAUCUUUACAAUAAGUAUAACUAUAUUAUUUACAUUUUAAAAUAUUUAAAUAUUAUUAACCUACAAUUAUAUUUGCAUUUGUUAGAAAUUUUUUAAAUCAAAUAUUUUGCACUUCUAUAUUAUUAGAAUUAUUGCACACAAAUAAAGAAACAUAUACCUUUAGAAAUUGUUUUCUUUUAAAAAACAGAUGAUGAUUAGUAUAAGGAUGAAAAAAAGGAUAAAGAAUAUUAAUGAUUAACGAAAUUUCUAUACAAAUUGAUUUUAGUAGGAAAAGAGUGAGAUGAAUGAUUUCUUUUACAGUUAGAAACAUAGAUGAUGAUUAUUAUACGAAGAAAAAAGAUAAAGAAUAUUAAUUAUUAAUGGAAUCUCUAUGCAAAUUGAUUUUAGUUGGAAAAAAAAAUGAGUUAAAUGAUUUAGAGUGCGUUUGGAAUUGAGAUUGGGCAGCCAUAGAUUUUAAGUUACAACACUGAAGUGUUUGGUAAAUACUAGCUGCUGCAGAUUGAAAGUUAUGUUGAUAUGAUUUUUCACAUGUAUCAUAGAAAAUAUAUUACAUCUUUAAUAAUUUUUUAAAAAUUUAUAUUUGCUAUAUAUUAUUUUUUUUUUUAUAGUUAUAACUUUUUUUCCACAGCAGCUGUAGCUUAAAAGCCACAGUACCUUAACCUCAAACAAGUCCUUAGACAGUCAUAGUGUGUUUAUUUUUUGGAUUGGUGAAUCAAAAUUAUUGACAACGCUAACUUCAUCUUUACCGUUUGCAAUCCAACAGCAGCAAUUGUCACCAAUAAUGAUGAUGACAAUUAUUAUUAUUAUUAUUAUUAUUAUUAUCAUCAUCAUCAUCAUCAUCAUCAUCAUCAUCAUCAUCAUUAUGAUCAUCAUUAUUAUUAUCAUCAUCAUUAUUAUCAUCAUCAUUAUUAUGAUUUUUAUUAUUAUUAUCAUUAUUAUUAUUAUCAUUAUUAUUAUCAUUAUCAUUAUCAUUAUUAUUAUUAUUAUUAUUAUUAUUAUUAUUAUUAUCAUUAUUAUUAUCAUUAUUAUUAUCAUUAUUAUUAUUAUUAUCAUUAUUAUUAUCAUCAUUAUUAUUAUCAUUAUUAUUAUUAUCAUUAUUAUUAUCAUUAUUAUUAUUAUUAUUAUUAUCAUUAUUAUUAUUAUUAUUAUUAUUAUUAUCAUUAUUAUCAUUAUUAUUAUCAUUAUUAUUAUUAUUAUCAUUAUUAUCAUUAUUAUUAUUAUUAUUAUUAUCAUUAUUAUUAUCAUUAUUAAUUAAUUAAUUAAUUAAUUAAUAUAUUAAUGUUAUUAUUAUUAAGAUUAAGAUUAACAAUAAUUAUUAGUAAUAAAAUUUUUUGAAUAAAAAUAAUCACAAGAAUUAAAAUUCAAAUUAAUAUUUAUGAUAAUAGUUAAUUAAUGUCUUUUUAGUAUUUUAUAAUAAUCUAACUCAUUUUGAUUCUGAUUAUUAUAGCUUAAGUAAACAAAUUAUUAUGAUUCCUAUUCUCCUUUCCCAUUUUAACUCACUUCGAUUCCAGUCUAUUCCGAUUUCUAUAUAAUAAAUGCACCAUUAGUGCUAAAGUAAUAUUUCAUACAUAGAAAAAUAAAAACUACACCUAAGGUUAAGGGAAAGGACUUCAAAACUCUCUUUUGAUCAUAAUACAUUUUGUCCUAAUUAACUUAAAGAUUUUGAAUCUAAUAUUUUAUAAUAAAUAAAAAUAUAUUCCUAAAAUAAAUAUAAUAUCAAUAUUUAAAAUACGUUUUAAUAUUUUACAAUCUAUCAUACACAUUUUAUUAUAUUAAAGUAGAUUUUAUAAUAAAUAUAUAAAAAAAUUAGAAUAUUUAGAAUAUUAUAUAAAAUAAUUUUAAUAUAAUGCGUGAGAUAUAUUUUAUUAAUUUAAAAUGUUAUUUUACCUAAAAAAUAUGAUAAAUUAAUAAUUACAUAUUUGAAGUUAUUUCAAAUAUUAAAAAAUUUUAAUAUUAUUAGUCUUUUAGAUAGAUUAAAUUAUUUUUUUUAUAAGAGAUAGAUUAAAUUAUUUUAAAAUGCCUUAAUUGUUUUUACUUUUAACGUUACCGGCCUUUCUUUUAUUUUAUUGCAAAUUAAUGCUACCAAGAAAAGGCUAGAUCAUAUUCCACAAAAGCAAAAGUGACAAACCCAACCAGCUGGAAUCUUUUAUAAAACUACAAAUUAAAAUGGAUUUUUUUUUGAUAAAUUACAUAUGAAAGUGGAUUCUUUUGAAUAUAAGUGGGGUAGGCAGAAAUCUGAGGUCCAUAAUGCUACUUGUUUCCAAGGCUGUCAUGGGGCAAUUUGCUGGACACCUCCUCAGUUAGGUUGGCUUAAGUGUAAUGUUGAUGCCGCAACAUUUUCAGCUCAGGGAAAAGUGAGUUAUGGAGGGGUCAUUCGCAACUCUGAUGGGCUUUUUGUGGCAGCUUGCUGUGCAUCUGUCCUGGGUAGUUUUGGUGCAAGGGAUGCUGAAGCGCUUGGUGUGCGUGAGAUCCUCAGCUGGAUUAAGAAGCGACAUUUGUCUUGUGUUGUAGUAGAAUUGGACUGCAUUCAGGUUUUUAAAGCUCUCACAGCAAGCUAUUCUUGUCCUAAUGGGUAUGGUCUUAUUCUUGAUGAUUGUCUAGCUUUAGCUAAGUCUAUAGGAGAUAUUGAGUUCUCUUUUGUUCGAAGGUCUGCGAACACUGCCGCCCAUGUUACUGCUCGGGUGGGGGGUUCUUUGUCAGGCUUUGAGGAGUGGAAUCAUGUUCCACCUCCUUGGUUAUUUUCUUCUCUGUAAUCUUUGCCCUUUAAUGAAGUUUCCAGUUUCAAAAAAAAAAAAGUGGGGUAGGCUCUUUUAUUUUUUAUUUUUAAUACUGUAUAAUAGGACUGUAGACUUUUUUAUUAAACUACAAAUUGUAGUCUUUUUAAAAUUGUUCAGAUAUUUAUAAAUUGGUGGCCCCUACAAUCCUCAAUAAUUGUACCGAUAUUCACAAGUUGGUGGCCCCUACAAUUCUGUUCCGAUAAUUUAAUUGUGCAAGUGCUCAUUCACAAUCUUCCAGGUCAUGCUCUUAAUAAUUGUUUUUUUUUUCUGCAUUCCCUUUCAUGCUCUUAAUAAUUGAAGAGCAUACUUUUCAUUUUCAAAUGUGGAGCCGCAUCUAAUGUCGCUAAUUUAAUUUGGGAUUAAAUUUGGGGACCAUUAUAUUGCAGUGUGUACUAAUUUUUGUGUUUAUCUAAACUCCUUAAAUUUAAGACAUAUUAUAGCAUAAAUAAGAAUAUAACAAUAACAAAAGAGUUAGAAAGUGUAGAGAAGAUCUUGCAGAAAUAUAAAUAAUAUCUAUUUUAAAAUAAUAUCAAUAUUUAAAAUAAUUUAAAAUAUUUUAUGAUCCAUUAGAUAUAUUUUAUUAUAUUAAAAUAGAUUUUAUAAUAAAUAAAAACAUACUAUUAAAAUGAAUAUCUAGAAAAUUUAGAGUAUUUUAAGUAUUACAUAAAAUAAUUUUAAUAAAAUAUGUGAGAUAUUCAUAUUUUAUUAAUUUAAAAUACCAUUUAACCUAAAGAUUUAUUUAUGAUAAAUUAAUAAUUAUAUUUUUGAAAUUACUUCAAAUAUUAAAAAAUUAAUAUUACUAAUCUAUUAGAUAGAUUAAAUUAUAUAUAUUAUUUUCUAUUUAUAAAAAAAUUUUAAAAUUAUUUUUAAUUACUAUUCAAAAAACAUAAUGAUAAAAAAAAAUCUUAACAUCUUUAUUAAAAAUUUAAAAAUUUACACGAUCAAUUCUCUAAAUAUUUAGGGUAUAUGUGAAAAUCGGUGGAGAAGCUUUAUUUAAUAUUAUUGAUUUAAAUAAUAUGUCAAUUAAAAAUGUACAGAGAAGAAAUUUAUGAAAGAGCAAAGGAUAUUCCUGAUAGCUGAUAGAGCUCUUUUUGAUUAUGUAUUCAGUGAAUGGAUGUGUUGUUGGAAGAUAUGUGAGUGUAUUAGUUCAUUUGUGUCUGUCAAUGUGCUUUUAAUGAUUUUUCCACCUAUUUGUUGUAAAAGAUGAUUGUAAAUUGAAAUGAAUUUGAUGUAAUAUUUUCUCAUUAGUGGAAUUUCACUUGGUAUGUGUUCAAUUGUAUUGUCUAUAAUUUUGCAUUCGAAUAAGUUUCCACCUAAAAUAUUAGCACGAGUAGUAGCCCUUGAAACUUUAGUCAAAUUAUUGUUAUAAUUUCUUAGUAGGGGUAAACUUUUUAUAAAACCUCGUUAACACAAUUCUUAAUUAAUGGUGUGUUUACUUCAUGAAAUAGGGAAUGAGAAUAAAACUAAUGUUUACUUGGCAAAAUGUAAUUUGAGAAUUAGAAUAAAAUGGAUUAUAAUGAUGAAAAAAAGGACAAAGAAUAUUAAUGAUUAACGAAAUCUCUAUGCAAAUUAAUUUUAGUAGGAAAAAAGUUCGAUGAAUGAUUUCUUUUACAGCUAGAAACAUAGAUGAUGAUUAUUAUAAGGUUGAAAAAAAAAGAUAAAGAAUAUUAAUUAUUAAUGGAAUCUAUAUGCAAAUUGAUUUUAGUAGGAAAAAAGCGAGUUAAAUGAUUUAGACAUUCAUAGUGUGUUUAUUUUUUGGAUUGAUGAAUAAGAAUUAUUGACAACGCUAACUUCAUCUUCAUUGUUCGUUAUCCAACAAUAGCAAUUGUCGCCGAUAAUGAUACCUCCAAUGAUGAUGAUGAUUUUAUUAUUAUUAUUAUUAUUACUAUUGAUAAAAAUUAUUAUAAUUAAUUAAUAUAUUAAUGUUAAUAUUAUUAUUAUUAUUAAGAUUGAUAAUAAUUACUAAUAAUAAUAAUUUUUUGAAUAAAAAUAAUCACAAUAAUUAAAAUAAAAAUUAAUAAUUAUGACAAUAGUUAAUUAAUGUCUUUUUAGUAAUUUUUAAUAAUGUAACUCAUUUUGAUUUUGAUUAUUACAAUUCAAGUAAACAAAUUAUUAUGAUUCAUAUUCUCUAUUCCCAUUUCAGCUCACUCUGAUUUCAGUUCAUUUCGAUUUCUGUCUAAUAAACGCACCAUUAGUGCUAUAGUAAUAUUUCAUAUAGAGAAAAGUAAAAACUAUACCUAAGGUUAAGGGAAAUGACUUCAAAACUCUCUUUUGACCAUAAUACAUUUUGUCCUAAAUUUAACGAUUUUGAAUCUAAAAUUUUACAAUAAAUAAAAAUAUAUUCCUAAAAUAAAUAUACUAUCAAUAUUUAAAAUAUGUUUUAAUAUUUUACAAUCUAUCAGACACAUUUUAUUAAAUUAAAGUAAAUUUUAUAAUAAAUACAAACGUACUAUUAAAAUGAAUAUAUAAAAAAUUUAGAGUAUUUUGAAUAUUAUAUAUGCGUAAGAUAUAUUUUAUUAAUUUAAAAAGCUAUUUUACUUAAAAAUUUAUUUAUGAUAAAUUAAUAAUUACAUUUUUAAAAUUAUUAAAAAAAAUUAAUUUUUUUUUAUAUUAUUAAUCUUUUGAAUAGAUUAAAUUGUUCUUUAAGAGAUAGAUUAAAUUAUUUUAAAAUGCCUUAAUUGUUUUUACUUUUAACGUUACCGGCCUUUCUUAUAUUUUUUUGCAAAUUAAUGCUAACAAGAAAAAGCUAGAUCAUAUUCCACAAAAGCAAAAGUGACAAAACAACCAGCUGGAUUAUUUUAUUAAUCAACAAAUUAAAAUGGAUUUUUUUUAAAACUACGUAUGAAAGUGGAAUCUUUUGAAUAUAAGUGGGGUAGGCUCCCUUUCAAAAAAAAAAAGUGGGGUAGGCUCUUUUAUUAAAGACAAGUAUUGAGUAGUCAAGACUAACUAUGGCCAAUGGGCCGUGCCGUGCCGUGCCUACAUUUUUUUCACUUGAGCCUGGCACGGCCCACGGCACGAGCCCUCUCGUGCCGUGCUCGUGCCGUGCCGUGGGCCGUGCCCAAAAAAAGCCCACCAACUUUUUUUUUUUUUUAGCGUGCCUAAAAAAGCCCACGUGCCUAGCGUGCUUUAUUCAAGCCCACGUGCCCGACGUGCUUUUUUAAGCCCACCAACAUAAUACUAAUAAUAAUAUUCACAAUCAUAAUCAUAUUAAUUUUUAUUAAGAGAGCAAUUAACAUUUUAUUAUUAUUUUAUCACAAUUUCACAACUAUAUAUUUUAUUUCACAAUAAUCAAUCAUAAUUCAUAACACAACAAUACAUAAAUUUAAUUAAAUUUAAUUCCAUAGAUCAUAAUAAUAAUUAAUUAAAAUUAAAAAUACAAUCCUCGAAUAAUCAUUACAAUAAGUCAUAACUACGAAAUAUUAAUAUAACAAAUCAUAGAUCACAACUUACAAGUUACAACUACAAAACACGAACUACGAUCAAUUGACGAAUAACAAGCACGAAAAAAACAUUUAUUAAUCACAAUUAACUAAGUUAUGAUUUAAUAUUAAUAUGAAAAAUAUUUCAUAUGAAAAAUAUUUUAUUAUUAAUUUUGUAAAAAAAUUUAUUUUUUUAUUUAUAAUUUAUAAAUUUAUGAUAUUUAUAACCUUAUUUAUUAAAAUCAUGAUAUUUAAUUAUUUACUUAUUCAUUUAAUAAAUUAUAAACAUAAAUAAAUAAUUAAAUAAAUAUCAUAAAUAAAAUUAAAUAUCAUAAAUAACAUUAUUCAUUUAAUAAAUAUCAUAAAUAAAAUUAUGAUAUUUAUAAUUUUAUUUAUUAAAAUCAUGAUAUUUACUUAUUCAUUUAAUAAAUUAUAAACAUAAAAGAUUAGAAUAUUUAUUUAAACUAAGAUUUAAUGAUUUAAAUUAAUUUUUAAAAGUCUAUGCUAAAAAAUAUAUUAAAACAUUUAAUUUCAAGAUAUUGUACUUUAAUUUCAUAACAUUUUAUAUUUACUUUUUGUUAAAAAAAUUUACUUAGAUAUAUUUUGGCCCACGUGCUAUUAAUAGCUCACGGACCGCGUGCUAGCCCACUAAUGAACCGUGCUUAUUACGUGCUUUUUCGCGUGCCGUGCUUUGGCCCAUCUCUAAUCGUGCUGUGCUUUAAGGCCCACGUGCCUAAAAUUCUAGGCCCGGCACGGCCCACGUGCGUGCCGUGCUGUGCCUCGUGCCUCACCGAAACGUGCUCGUGCCGUGCCGUGCCGUACGGACACGUGCCGUGCCCGUGCCGUGCCACGUGCCGCCCGGCCCAUUGGCCAUCUUUAGUCAAGACGAUUAGGGUCUUUUAUUAAAGGGAGAUUGUCAAUUUUUUCUCUAUAAUAAUUAACAUAUAUUAUUAUUUUUUUUAUAAUGUCAAAAAAUUCUCUUGAUAAUAUAAAUUUAUAAUAUUACUCUUAUUUUUAACUACUCUUUUAUUUAUAUUUAUUAUAAAUUAAAUAAAUCACAUAAAUAGAACUAAAUAAAAACUUAAGCAUUAAAACCAAGAAAUAUAUGUUUUGAUAUAAAUAAUAAAAUUAAUAAUAAUUUUUUUAUACUUAUUUAUUUUGUGAAAAUUUUCUUACAAUAAAUAUAUAAGAAAAUUAUUAGUAAAAUGAUAAAAAAAUUAUUAUAAGAAAAUUUGAAUGACAAAUAAAAAUUUAUUACAAGAUAAAUAAUAAAAUGUUUUGCCUAUACUUUUACAUUUAAUUUUAAAAUAUUAUAAAAUAUUUAUUAUAAGAAAAUGUUCACAAAAUAAAUAAUUAUAAGAACAAAUUUUAUUAUUAAUUUUUUUGCUCAUAUUAAAACAUAUUUUUCUUAUUUUUAAUACUUAAUUUUUUUAUUUAGUUUAUAUUCAUAUAAUUUAUUUAAUUUAUAAUAAAUAUAAAAUAAAAAAAUUAAAAAUAAAUAUAAUAUUAUAAACUUAUACUGUUAAGGAAUUUUUAGUUAUUAUAAAAACAGAAAGAAAGUAAAUGAUAUAUGUUAAUUAAUUUAGAAAAAAUAGCAAUCCCCUUUAUUAAACUACAAAUUGUACAGGCAUUUAUAAACUGGUGGCCCCUACGGCGUCAAUUAUUGUUCCGAUACAUAUAAAUUGGUGGCCCCUUAGAAAUUUAAUUACAAGUCUGCAAGUGCCAUCAGAGAAAAAUCAUCAUUCACAAUCUUCCAAGAGAAACGGGGGAUAUACAAAGAUUAAGACAUGUCAUUCAUUGUUUUUUUUGUUGGCUGCAUGUGCAUUCCCUUUCAUGUUCUUAAUAAUUGAAGACAAGUUGUUCAUUACAUGCAUACUUUUCAAAUGUGGUGCCGCAGCUUAUGUCCUAUUUUAAUUUAGAAUUAAAUUAGGGGAAUAUUAUACGCUUAUUUUUAUGUUUAUCUAAACUCCUUAAAUUUUAGAUAGAUUAUGGCGUAAAUAAGAAUAUAACAAUAACAAAAGAGUUAGAAAGCAUAUUAAAGAUCUUUCAGAAAUAUAAAUAAUAGUGCUCAAUUAAAUAACACAGAACAUCUGAAUUGAAUAGUGAUUAUCAAGACUGUGUUACUUGCACUUCUAUUUAUAGAAAAUCUUGGUUCUGUUCCAUUAAAGUUUUUAUCUUCAAAAUCUUGUAAAGUUUUAACAAUCACAAAUGCUCAGCUUGCUUGAUCUAUAUUUGUAUGAUAUGAAUCCAAAUUUUUGUGUUCUGUUUUUCCUAAUUUUCAACACGGAUUCUUUUCUUCUUGGGCAAAUCAGAAAGAAAUGUUGUAUUAAAAAAAAUGGAAAUAACUUCAUGAGAACAAAAAUUCAAAAAAAUAAUAUAAAGUUUAUAUUUAGACUUUUGAGGUAUAUUUUAAUUUUCAACAAUGAGUUAAAGAAAAUAAAUAUCUCAAAAUAAAAUAAUAAAUAAAGUAAAUAAAAGUUUAGAGAUUUAAUUUUUUAGUAUUAGAUUCUUUAAUUUAAACAUUCUCUUAAUUAAUUAUCACUUAAAAAAGAGUUUAGUAUUAUAAUUUUAAAUUUUUUGAUUCAUUAUUGAUAUACAAAUUAGGAAUUUAAGUUUACUUUUUUUUACUAUUAUUUUUUCAAAUUUUAAAUUAUUAUUCUAAUUUAUAAAAUUUUUUUUAAAUAGAGGACUUGAGCCUAACUUGUGCAUUUUUUCCUAAGCUCUUAUGCAAGCCCUCAUGUGCGAAGGUCAGUCCAAAACCCGUGAGAAUGAGCGGCCCCGGCUUUUUUGCCAUCCAUGAGGAUAAUGAUGGUGAUGGUGAUGAUAAUGAUGAUGAUGAUGAUGAUUAUUAUUAUUAUUCUUAAUGAUAAAAAGUAUUAUAAUUAAUUAAUAUAUUAUUGUUAAUAUUGUUAUUAAUAAUAACAAUUUUUUGAAUAAAAAUAAUCACAAUAAUUAAAAUACAAAUUAAUAAUUAUAACAAUAGUUAAUUAAAGUCUUUUUAACAAUUUGUAAUAAUCUAACUUAUUAUGAUUUUAAUUAUUACAGUUUAAGUAAACAACUGAUUCUAAUUCUUAUUCUCCAUUCCCACUUCAAUUCAUUCUUAUUUCGAUUCAUUCCGAUUUCUGUUUAAUAAAUGCACCAUUAGUGCUAUAGUAAUAUUUCAUAUAGAGAAAAGUAAAAGCUACACCUAAGGUUGAGGGAAAAGACUUCAAAACUCUCUUUUGUCAUAAAACCUUUUGUUUUAGUUAACUUAAAGAUUUUGAAUCUAAUAUUUUAUAAUAAAUAAAAAUAUAUUCCUAAAAUAAAUAUAAUAAUAUCUAUUUUAAAAUAAUAUCAAUAUUUAAAGUAUGUUUUAAUAUUUUAUGAUCUAUCUGACAUAUUUUAUUAUAUUAAAGUAAAUUUUAUAAUAAAUACAAACAUAAUGAAUUUAUAAAACAUUUAGAGUAUUUUGAAUAUUAUAUAAAAUAAUUUUAAUAGAAUGCAUGAGAUAUAUUUUAUUAAUUUAAAAUGCUAUUUAACCUAAAGAUUUAUUUAAGAUAAAUUAAUAAUUAAAUUUUUUAAAUGAUUUCAAAUAUUAAAAAUUUGUAAUAUUAUUAGUCUAUUAGAUAGAUUAAAUUAUUUAAAUUAUUUUGUAUCGAUUAAAAAAAUUUUAAAGUCAAUCUUUUUAAUUACUAUUCGAAGGAUAUAAUGAUUAAAAAAAAUCUUAGUAUUUUUUUAUUAAAAAUUUAAAUAUUUACAUGACCAUUUCUAUAAAUAUUUAGGUCUCGUUUGCUAUGUUGGAUUAGAUUAGAUUGAAUUGGAUCGGAUUAGAUAAGAUAGGAUUGGACUGGAUAAUACUGGAUUAUAUAUAAUAUUAUGUUGUGUUUGUUAUGUCAUGAGAUUAACUAGUAACUAAUAAUAUGUCUUAUAUAUUAAUUUAUUAAAAUCAUCAUAGAUUUACUUUAAAAUGACAUGUAAUAUAAUAUAACUUAAAUCAAUAAUUAUUGGUAAAUUUAUAAAAAAAAUACAAAAUCUUCGCUUAAUUAUUUUUUUAAUAUUUAACAUGUUAUAGUUUCUAAUCCCAUGAAUAGUAAAAGAUAAAGUUUUAUCUUAGAAAAUGUAAUCACAAGGGUCCCCUUGGGAUGAAAUUUUGCCACUAUUGGAAUUAAGUGGUGGGCCUAUUAUUGUUACCUUUAUUUUUUUUACACUAAAUAUGAUAUAAGAAUUAUUUUACACUAAAAUUAUCUAAUCCCAUGAUAUAUAACUAAAACCAAACAGGCACUUAGGGUAUAUAUGAGCCACGGUGGAGAAGCUUUAUUUAAUAUUAUUGAUUUAAAUAAUAUCUCAUUAAAAAUGUAUUGAGAAGAAAUUUCGGUGGGUAUUUUAAUCUUUUCAGCAAUCACAUGAUUAGCCUUUGGCUUUGAAACGUCGGUCAGAAAAGUUUUAAAAUGCUUAAUUGUUUUUCACUUUUAACCUUGGUGGCCUUGAAAUUGCUUAUAUUUUAUUAAAAAUUAAUGCUAACAAGAAAAAAACUAGGUAAUAUUGGAUUCUUUUAGUAAACUACAAAUUAAAAUAGAUUUUUUCGAUAAACUACAAAUUAAAGUGGAUUCUUUUGAAUACAAGUGGGACAGACGAUUAGACUCUUUUUAUUAACGGCAAGUAAAAACUAGUCAAGAAUCGAAUAGUCCGUUUCAAAUUCUUGUUUUAUUAUUUUUCAAAACUAGUUUUUGGUAAUUACAAUCGGGUCAUUAAUCAUUAUUCAAGAUUUAGUGGCUCGUGUUUGCAAGUGUGAAUGUGCGAUGCUCUUUUUCCAAAGGCCCGAAUCGGACGUGCCUAAUAAAUCUUUUAAAAAAUUUUGCCGUAUAACGAACAGAGGUCAUUACUAAAAUUUCUCUUCCACAGUCCAUAGCAGCUUCAGUUUAUCAAACUCAAUCAAUUUUCUUCCUUAACAAAAUUCCAAAGAUGGGUAACAUUUUUCAGAUCCCAUGCGAUGGUGCUUUUUUCAAUCGUUGCUUGGAUUGCUUUCUUGGAGAAGCAGCAUACAUAAGCAACCUCCAAGAUAAUCUUGAUGCCUUGGACACUGAAUUGGGAAAACUAAUCGCAGCAAAGAACGAUGUGAUGACGGAGGUUGGCAAUGCUGAACGGCGACAAAUGAGAACGCUGGAACGAGUGCAAGAGUGGGUUUCGACGGUGGAUUCUGUUAAAACUGGAGCCGAUGAACUUAUCACAAACGGCUCUCAAGAAAUUGACAAAUUAUGUGUUGGAGGCUACUGUUCCAAGAACUGCUGGUCAAGCUACAAGUUCGGAAAACAAGUGGCUAAAAAGCUACGAGAUGUGAAGACUUUAAUCGCCGAGGGAGUUUUUGAGGCGGUGGCCACUGAGGUGGUGCCCGAGAGAGCUCCGGAACCUGUAGCAGAUAAAAGACCCAUUGAGCCAACGAUAUUAGGCUUGCAAUCACAGCUUGAACAAGUUUGGAGAUGUCUUGUAGAAGAAUCAGUGGGAAUCAUUGGCCUAUAUGGUAUGGGCGGUGUUGGUAAAACCACACUAUUGACCCAUAUCAACAAUAAAUUUCUUGAGAGUCCCACAAACUUUGAUUGUGUGAUUUGGGUCGUAGUUUCAAAAGACCUGCGACUUGAAAAAAUUCAAGAAGAUAUUGGGAAGAAGAUAGGUCUGUUUGAUGGUUCAUGGAAGAAUAAAAGUGUUGAGGAGAAAGCUGUAGACAUCUUGCGGAGAUUAGGAGAGAAGAGAUUUGUAUUGUUGUUAGAUGAUAUAUGGGAGCGGGUUGAUUUAACAGAAGUGGGCGUUCCACUUCCCAGCCCACAAAAUACUACAUCAAAAGUCGUAUUCACGACCCGUUUCAUUGAUGUUUGUGGUAGCAUGGAAAGUCACAGGAAGUUUAAAGUGGCAUGCUUAUCAGAAGAGGAUGCUUGGGAGCUGUUUCGAGAAAAAGUAGGGCAGGAAACUCUUGAGAGUGAUCAUGAGAUCGUUGAGCUAGCCCAAACUGUGGCCAAAGAGUGUGAUGGUUUGCCACUCGCACUUAUUACUAUUGGUCGAGCUAUGGCCUACAGAAAGAAAGCGGAGCAGUGGAGACGUGCAAUUGAAGCGUUAAGAAGAUCAGCUUCAGAGUUUUCAGGUUUGGGAAAAGAGGUGUAUCCUCUUUUAAAAUUCAGCUAUGAUAGUUUGCAGAAUGAUACGGUUAGAUCUUGUUUCUUGUAUUGUUGUUUAUAUCCUGAAGAUUAUGGCAUUCUUAAAUGGGACUUGAUUGAUUGUUGGUUUGGCGAGGGAUUUUUUGGGGAAUCUGACAGGUCUGGUGCAGAAAACCAAGGAUAUGACAUUUUGGACACUCUUGUUCGUGCAUGUUUAUUAGAAGAGGUGGAAGAUGAUAAAGUAAAAAUGCAUGACGUUAUUCGUGAUAUGGCUAUAUGGAUAACCUGUGAAAUUGAGAAGGAGAAGAGAAACUUUUUGGUUCGUGCAGGUGCUGGAUUAAAAGAGGCACCGGAUGUUAAAAGAUGGGAAAAUGUGAGAAGAUUGUCAUUGAUGCAAAACCAAAUUGAAACUCUGUCAGAGGUUCCUACAUGCCCUCAUCUCCUCACUUUAUUUCUUAACUUUAAUAAGGUGGAGAUGAUCGCGGAUGGCUUCUUCCAAUUUAUGCCUUCUCUCAAAGUUUUGAAGAUGUCAGACUGCGGGAAUUUAAUUUUGGAAUUACCUUUUGGGAUGUCAAAGUUGGGUUCACUGGAACUUCUCGAUAUUUCACAUACCCACAUAAAAGAGUUACCAGAAGAGUUAAAGUUGUUGGUAAAUCUGAAAUGUUUGAAUUUGAGGUGGACAGUUUGGUUAAAUAAAAUUCCACGGCAACUAAUAUCAAAUUCUUCAAGGUUACGUGUGUUGAGAAUGUUCGCUAUUGGCUGGUUCAAUUUUCAUGAAGCAUCAGAAGAAAGCGUUUUAUUUGGUGGGGGUGAAGUUUUAGUACAGGAAUUGCUCGGUUUGAAAUAUUUAGAGGUAUUGGAGUUGACCUUGGGAAGUUAUCAGGCUCUCCAAAUUCUUUUGAGCUCAAAUAAGUUAAAAAGUUGUAUUCGAUCUCUUCAACUCCGGUUGGUCAGAGAUACACCGUCAAUUAUUGAUGCUACGGCUUUCGCAGAUCUAAACCACCUCAAUGAAUUGUAUAUUUUUAAAGGUAUUGAGUUGGAAGAAUUGAAGAUUGAUUAUACGGAGAUAGUACGAAAAAGGCGGGAACCUUUUGUUUUCCGGAGCCUUCACCGUGUUAUUAUUGGGGAGUGCCAUAAAUUGAAAGAUGUGACAUUCCUCGUUUUUGCUCCAAACCUCAAGUCUCUUCGGCUAUUCGAUUGCGGUGCUAUGGAAGAAAUAAUCAGCGUCGGAAAAAUUGCUGAGACUCCUGAGAUGAUGGGACAUAUAAGCCCUUUUGAAAAUCUCCAAAGUCUUGAUUUAGACGAUUUGCCACAUUUGAAGAGCAUUUUCUGGAAGCCAUUGCCUUUCACUCAUCUGAAAAAAAUGGCGGUACUUAUGUGCGAUCAGCUUAGAAAGCCUCCACUCGAUUCCAACAGUGCAAAGGAGCGUAAAUUUGUUAUUCGUGGAUACACAGGGUGGUGGAACCGACUUCAAUGGGAGGCUGAAGCCACUCAAAUUGCUUUUCGUUCCUGUUUCCAACCUUAUUCCUGAGCCGUGGUCGCAAAAUUUGAUUUCUGGUGAGUGCGUUUGUCUUUUAAAAGAAGAAUUUAAAAGAAAUUUAUUCUUGUCGUUUGUUUUCUUCUCUUUUUAUUUCAGUUUCUUUAUCUCUCUCUCUCUCUUUGUCUUCUGCAAAUCACAAUUAAAUGUUGAAUUAAUGGAAUUAAUGCUUCAUAAAUUUGCCGGCACUGCCAUUACUUUUUUUUUUUAAUACAAAUUGAUACUUUAUUUAUAUCUUCUUAGCGAUUUAAUUUCCUGUCAAUAGACGAACGAGAAGAACAUACGACUUAAACCAAUUGAUACUUUAUUUAUGUGCGUUGUAUGUAAUAAAUAUUAAGUAUACUUUAUUUUGCCCUGUUCUCCGUUUUUAUUUCAGCCUCUCUCUCUUUCCUGUCUUCUGCAAGUCAUAAUUAAAUGUUGAAUUAUAUGGAAUUAAUGCUUUAUAAAUCUGCCUGCGCUGGCUUUUUUUUUUUUGUGGGGUCGAAUUGAUGCUCUGGUUUUCGACUAGUUUUUGUUGUCAAAAUUUUCUCUGUUUUUUUCAAAUUGAUGCUUUAUUUAUAUCUUCUUCGUGAAAAGUGAUUUAAUUUCCUGCCAAAAGACGAACGAGAAGAACAUUAGAGUCAAACUAAUGCUCACAUAAAUUUCCCGUAAGAAUAUAUAUAUAAUUAGACUGGAAUGCACACCUCUAGAUUGAACAGAAUUGAAGCUGAGAAAAUAUUGAGUAUAGUAGCCCUCUUUAAAGUUAAUUUAGAAAAAGAUAUAUUCUUGAUUAAUCCAUUUUCUGAAGUUUUUUAUUUUGUAUGGUCAAUUAUACCUUCAUACUCAAAAUUUCUGAAGUUAUAAAUUAGUGCAAAUUGACAAUUUUUACUGAUGAUAUCUUCUAUUUUUCCUUUCUUUUUUUUUACUCUCAUAGAAUGUUACUGUCAUUUUACUUACAAAUAGGUUUGACUUUGAGCCCAUGAAACGAUACUUUGAUUGCCAAACCACCGUCCAAUUUUUUUAAAAAAAGAAAAAAAAUAUGUAAUCCAUGAAUCUGGUUAAUUUUGUUUGUUUGUUUUUUUUAAUCUGUUAUACAUUUGAAACAUUCCAUUAAUUGCCAAUUAUGUAAGCGAGAUAGUAAUUAAUUUUUUUAUUUAAAAAAAAGUGAAAAUUAAUCCUAUGCAAUGUGAAUAAAUUUCUUUCCUUUUUCCUUCACUCUUUUUAUUUGAUAAUUAAGUUUCAAUCUAUGUACGCAAAAUUUCUGCAACAACUGCAAAACAUAAAAAUAUAUGAUUGUUAAGGGAAACACGCAGAAGUUCAUCACUUCAAUGUUCAGUAUUUCCAAUUUUGGCAUUAAGCUCUUACGAAUAUAUUCCACUUAGAAAGCAAAAUAUUAGAAUUGUGAUUUUAAUUCAUUCAUCAUAUCUCAUUUCAAUCCCAAAAUAUUCAAGUGGAUCCAAGUUACCAUAAGACUUCAGAGGCUCGAGCCUUAGCCAGAGAUGGUUAAUUGAUAGACUAUGUGCCUGGGUCGAGCACUGGAAGCCUGCAAUGCAGACUGAUUGAUUUAUCAGUUUGACGUGUUCCAGGAAUGAAGAACUGGAAUAUCACCCUCAAGCAAACACCCUGUGGAGCAAUACCAUAGAAUGCACAAUCCGGCUUUGCAAGGUGACACUGGAGGCUUUUUGAAAAGUGCUUCACGCUCACUUGCACUGAUUGAGCAUCCCCUCUGGAUAUUGCCCUCUCUGAUCGAGUCUGAGCACUCAAAUUUCGGUCCUCAGAUGGAGCUACAGCUUUCUCUCCAAUAACCAACAAUUUUCUAAACUCAGCACCUAGUGUGAUCAGAGUUGUUGAUAUUUGCAAAUGGAGAUCCCCAUAUUUGCAAAUGGAGACAUUUAACAAAUCACCAACAUGCUUCAUCCGGUGUACAAAAUUCUGCAGCUGAUUCAAAUCUGGAACCUGAACCAGAGUCGGAGGUAAAUCUUGAGCCAUAUCUAAAGCAGUUUGAAGUUCAAGUACUUGAGCCCUUGACAAUGGUUUUGAAAUUGGAACAUCUUGGAUUACUGCAGACUUGUACCCCUUGGUUUCAAAGGUAAGGAAAGGCAUUGCUUGAGUACAAUUUGGAGGCAGCGGAUCCAGCUGCACCAACUUCAGAGCAAAUACUGACACUACUUCGAACAGCACACUGAAGAAGUGAUAUGUCUACGGCAAAGGCAAUGCAGUCCUCAUUUUGGCUUGAGAUGCAGUAAUCAUCGAAGAGAGUUUCCUUGUGAAACUGGGCAACACAUUGAAUCCCUUUGCCACUGAGAAGGUUGUGGAGGAAGUAAGCUUUCUCUCUAGUGAGGAAGAGGUGGCAUACCUUCCCCAUUUUGUCUAGGGCAGGUAGGAAUCUUUUUUCUAAGAGAUUUACUUCAUUCUCGGUGAGAAAUGCUUUGAACUUCAUCCCUCUGUCUCUAUCCUCACUUAUCAGAAAAUAAGUUGAAAGCACUACGGAGAGAGAGAGAGAGAGAAUUAAGAUAUAUAGACAAGAAAAAUAUUAGACGGUGAUCUUACAAACUAAUACUUCAAGCAGUAUCCUAGAAAGCUAAAAACUGCAAGAUGGCUUGAAAUUUGAAAAGAGCACGUGCUUUUCCUCCUUAACUUGAGAAAAUGUUUAAUAUAGUGCACCUUACAGAAGCAUUUAAGCAAUUAGAACUAUGCACAAAAACAUCACGAAGACUAAACAAAUCAGAUGCAGUGUCUUUGUCCAAGCACAAAUUGCAUUUUGUCCUCAACUUUAAUAUUUAUUGAUGAGAAUCAAUACAGGUCCCUCAUUUGUUAUAGAAAGCUUUCUUGUAGUCUCACCAGUUAAUUCACAGGUCUAUAAUCAUCUUGCAAAGUUAAGGGCAUUUCUUUCGAUCUAAAGUCUUUGCAUCACCACCUCAUCACACGCCAAGCCAAUAUUCCAUUUACCUCUACAACAAAAAGUUUUAAGUAAACAAUCCUAAUGCACGCAGCCAAAUAAAAUGCAGUAAGAAUAUUCAACUUAAAAAUCUGAAAGCCAACUUGGUGAAUUGCCUCCUUAGGUGAAGUUCCAUGCUUUACUAUAGUUGACAGAACUCAGCAAAAGCUUCCAUACAACAGAUUUUGAAAAUGAUGAUGCCAAUAGAUACUCAUUCAAUCCAUUGAAAAUCCAAAGGUUCAUUGUUAAUAGAAGUUUACAGAGUUUUGGUCAUCAAAUAGCUCAGACCUAAUCCCAAACAAAAAACGAGUGAAAAUUAGAUCACGAGCAGCUAAUUGUAAAUUCUAACUUAACUCUUCAUCUCCUUUGUAAACAAGAAACAAAAUGAAGACACGCAAAAUGAAUAUGGAGAAAAUUUGAACUCAAAUGAAAUGAGGGCACGAAAGCAAACAAAUGGCAUGCACAAAAAAACCAAGCCUCAAUCAAAAACUAAUUAACCAUUAAGAAAAAAAUUGGUCUGAGAAUGAACUCCAAAUUCAGGAGUGAAGCAAGAAGCUUUCAUUAUUUCAGAAGCUCCUGUACAAAUUAAUAAGUUAUGCUCUUUGGAAGCAAACCUAAAUUCCAAGAGAAACAGAACCCAAAAAAUUUGCAAUUUUACGCAAAGGAAGUGAAGCACAGGAUUCUGUCACACAUAGGAAUUGUAAAACAAGAGAUCGAUAUAUCGAAUUAGAAAACUCAAUUCGAAUUUAUGUCAAAAAUCAAAAUUAGAAGAUUUCACAUUUUGAGAGGAACAAGCAACAGAUGAAGUUCAAAAUUUCAGCCAUAACAUGCUAAAAAUGCUACACUUAACGGUUCAUUUUCAUGGAUUUUCUCGGGAAACAAACAGAAAAUUACGGUUCAGAGAGUUGACUGACCUUUUGGCUUUUGAAAUUGAGAAGAUCGCGCGCCAAAUUGGAAGAGGGAAAGUGAAAGUGCGAGUUUUAAUAUGGGUAUUAGAUAAGGAAAUUUAAUUAGGUUGCGAGGGUAAAAAAGGAAAGAGAUAUCAUUAUUUUAUUAUCGAUAAUUAUUAAAUUUUUUUCCAAAAAAAAGAACAAGCAAGGAUAUUUUAUUUUCAUUACUAAGUUAAAAAAAAUUGUUUCAAAAUUACUCGAGUCAUAUCCAAUGGACCAACAAAGUAAUCGUUUUUAUUUUUAUUGAUUUUUGCAGGAAAUUAAUAACUUCUUAUUUCAUAAUCCAACUCCAGUACUAAGUUAAAAAAAAUUGUUUCAAAAUUACUUGAAUCAUAUCCAAUGGACCAACAAUGUAAUCGUUUUUAUUUUUAUUGAUUUUUGCAGGAAAUUAAUAACUUAAAAAUACUGAAAGCUAUUGUAAAAAUUUUUAUUAUCAACCUCAUAGUUUUUUUUUUUUUGGGAAGAGAAUUCAAACUUUUUUUUUUUUAAUUUCCAAGAAUUCUUGACACCCGUCUUAAUUAAAAGCUAUAUUUUAAUUCAAAAGUCAUGCUAUUCAUUCACUCACAGACCAAAGGCUUUCCGCAGCAAUAUUAUUAUUUAAAUUACAACAAAGGGGAAAUCAAAUACGUCAUACAGAAGCUUAAAGCUGAAUCUACAAAAUCUAGAGCUCGCAACUACAAAAAUUACACUUGAUGAUCCUCUACAAGAUGAAGCUUGUUCAAUAUCUCAUCCAAAGCUUGUAAAGUAACCUUGUAACGAUCUUGAGAUUGCCUGCCUUCCUCGACGACCUGCACGAUGCGUUUGUACCAAUCAUCAUACCUGUGCACCGGAUUUUUAAUAUCAACGCCACUGCAGCUGUGAUCAAGAACAUAAGAGCGUUUAACAUCUUUUCUCCAUCGAGAAAGAAUGUAGUGAGAUGGGAUCUCCUCCAUACCACUCUGGUUUAGAACACAAAGAAUGUGUCUGCAUAAAUAUCCUCUGAAAUUGAACAACCCACAAACACAAAGCACCUCCAAGUCGGAGGCAUUGUACAAAACAUCGAAAGCCCUUGAAUCUUUCUCGUUGCUACCAACCUCAAAUUCUUCCUUCACUAUGUAUGUUAUAGGUCCAUCAGCACUGACAUGUUUUGUGCUAUAGCAAAGAGUACAUAGCCUCCACCUCCGUCUGAAACUUCCUUAACAUUUCAUUUGUGUACAGUUUUGAGAGUUGAAAUUCAUAGUAACAUCUUGGUUUCUGGAUACAACUUGAAUUUCUUGAAUCCAUAUCUGCCAAGGCUUCCAGUUGAUAAUUCGCCUGCAGUGCUUGAUCAGACUUGUCUAAGAAUUCUUUCAAAGGAGUAUUCUUAUCAAGAUAUCCUUCAAAGUAUGAAGUAGAAACCUCAUUCUGCAGGAACGAAAACACUCCUGAUAAAAAAGCUUCCUUCAAAUAAAUAGGAGCCCACCUUUUACGAUCUUCAUAUAAAGUUUGAAUCCAUCCGUGAUCCUUUAUUCCAUGACGUUGAUGUUGAAAAGUCAAAAGAGUUUUGGUUGAAAAAGAAAAGUGAGUAUUAAAAAAGGCGGGAACCUUUUGUUUUCCGCAGCCUUCACCAUGUUACUAUACAAAGCUGCCAGAAGUUGAAAGAUUCGACAUUCCUUGUUUUUGCUCCAAACCUCAAGUCUCUUUCGAUGGUCAAAUGCAAUGCUAUGGAAGAAAUAAUCAGCGUCGGAAAAUUUGCUGAGACUCCUGAGAUGAUGGGACAUAUAAGCCCUUUUGAAAAUCUCCAAAUGCUUGAUUUAAUAGGUUUGCCACAUUUGAAGAGCAUCUUCUGGAAGCCAUUGCCUUUCACUCAUCUCAAAGAAAUAUAUGUGGGUUAUUGCCCUAAUCUUAAAAAGAUUCCACUCGAUUCCAACAGUGCAAAGGAGCGUAAAUUUGUUAUUCGUGGAGAAGAAGACUGGUGGAACCGACUUCAAUGGGAGGAUGAAGCCACUCAAAUUGCUUUUCGUUCCUGUUUCCAACCUCGUUCCUGAGCGGUGGUCGCAAAAUUUGAUUUCUGGUGAGCGCGUUUGUCUUUUAAAAGAAGAAUUUAAAAGAAAUUUAUUCUUAUCGUUUUCUUCUCUGUUUUUAUUUCAGUUUCUCUCUCUCUCUUUGUCUUCUGCAAAUCACAAUUAAAUGUUGAAUUAAUGGAAUUAAUGCUUCAUAAAUUUGCCGGCACUGCCAUUACUUUUUUUUUUUAAUACGAAUUGAAACUUUAUUUAUUUCUUCUUAGCGAUUUAAUUUCCUGUCAAAAGACGAGCGAGAAGAACAUAUAUAUGACUUAAAUUUUUUGUUCAAGGAUUUUUAUUUCGGGUAUUAAUAAUAGUCCACCAAAAGAGGGAACACUUGGAUGCUGCUCUAAGGGUCUCUCUAAUCAAUAGCUGGAAGCAAUUGAGAAGGCGGUCGCUACUGUGUACAAAUCCAUGCAGUAUUUGCUAUUCAUCUUAAUAAUUAUGAAGCUUUGGUAAAAUUUUCAGACAAAGUUGACAUGUUAUUUUGAGAUUUGGUUCGUGAUUUUGUAUGAAUAUCGUUGUUCCGUUUGAGUUGGAUAUGAAUUCGAGUCUAAAUAUUCUUUGGUUUUCAAUUUUGAACUCAAUUUUUUUUUUCUCAAGCAUGUUAUGCAGAAAUGAUUUUUACUAAAUCAUUUUUGAUGAAUUAUUUAAAUUAAACAAUUGGAAUCAGAAUUGUAACGAUUUAUCACAAGCAUGCUAAUAUGAUAAUUCUGAAACUAUCAUUUUUUUUUUCAAUUUGCUGCAGGGAAAGCCAAAUUUUGUAUUUUUCAGUUUUAUCUGAUAUGGAAUUUAUUUCCUCUACACUAGCUACCUAAAGAUUUAUCAAAUUGCUUCUCUUCCCUGCUUCAAAUAUCUUCAUGGCAUCAUAGGAAAAGAGAGUUUGGGUUGUAUUUAUUAUAGUUUUUAUUUUUUUUUCGUUAUAAGCAAAUUUAUUUUAAAUACUUUAGUAGUAACAGUUUUUAUUGAAUAAUAAUGGGGGAUGAUUAUUAUAUGUUCAAAUAGUUGUUAGAACAUUAUAAAAAGUCUAUUUGCUAUCAAAUGUUUUAAAUUGAUGCAACAUGAUAAUUGUCUCAUAUAAUUUUUUUAUACUAUAUAUGUCCCAUAAUCUUAACAUGAAUAAAUGAUUUUCAAUGGUUAAAUUUGACACGAUUAUUAAAUAGAUCAUAUCUAUAUUAAUUCGAUUUAAAAUCUGGUCACAUUUGGAUUUAGAGUUUCUAACAUGGUAUCUUGUUUUAUGACAUAAUUUACUAAUCAAUUAAUAGAAAAUCAAAUGUUAGUCAAUUAAAUAUGUGGUACAUUUGUCAUAUUUUAAAAAUUAUUUAUUUAUAUUUGAAAUAAAUUUGACUAGACUUUGUGCAGGUAAUACUGCAUAAUUUCUAAAAAAAUGUAAUAAAAACAUGUUAAAAUGUUAUUUUUAUGAAGAAAAAUUGGAAUUUUAUUAAAUAGGAGACACAAUAAUAAAUGGAUAAAAAUUGAGAUUAUUGAUAUAAUGAUUAAAUAGAUUGAAUUGAAGUGAGUUUCAAUUUUGAGAAGAUAAUAAGACGACGCGACACAAAUACAACCAACCAGUCAACCCAAAUUGCCACCUUUUACUAUCUUCUUUGUGUUAUUUCUCUAAAAAUUUGUGCCUUCUCUUACACUUUUAAAUCUUAAGUGUUUGAACUGGAGUACACAAAUUAUCUCUCUACAAUUCCAAAACAACCAAUUUGUAACUUGGUAAAUCUUAAUCAAUGGCAGGAAGCAAUUGAGAAGGCGGUCGCUACUGUGUACAAAGCCAUGCAGUAUUUGCUAUUCAUCUUAACAAUUGUUGAGCUUCGGUAAAUUUUCAAAUAUAGUUGACUUUUUAUUUUGAGAUUUGGUUCAUGAUUUUGUAUGAAUAUCGUUGUUCCGUUUGAGUUGGAUGUGAAUUCAAACCUAAAUAUUCUUUGGUUUUCCAUUUUGAAUUCAAUUUUUUUCCUCAAGCAUGUUAUGCAGAAAUGAUUUUUACGAAAUGAUUUUUGAUCGAUUAUUUAAAUUAAACAAUUGGAAUAAGAAUUGUAACGGUUUAUCGUAAGCAUGCUAAUAUGAUAACUUGUUUUACGAACGAUUAGUUAAUCAAUUAAUAUUAAAUUGUAUAUUAGUCAAUUAGAUAUGUGUUAUAUUUGUCAUAUUCUAAAAAUUAUUUAUUUAUAUUUCAAAUAAAUUUGACCAGAGGUUACGUAGGUAAUACUACAUAAUUUCGAAAGGAUGUAAAAAUUUAAAAUUUCAUUAAAUAGGUGACUCAACAAUAAAUGGAUUUCUGCAAGAAUUGAGAUUCUUGAGAUAAUUAUUGCAUAGGGGGAAUUUUGGUUAGUUCAAUUUUGACAUGAUAAGAAGACAACACAGCGCAGAAAACCCAAAUUGCCACUUCUACUAGUAAUAAAAGAUGAGCGAAUUGCGUGGGAUAUACUUGUUUUCCCUCAAAAUACCCAAAAUAUACCUCCACAUAUUAAAAUUGCUAGCUUUACACAUAUAUACUUAAAAAGAUCAGAGAAAAUACAAAAAUAACCUUAAUAAAAAUACUCGACUUAUUUAAUAUGCUUACUCGACUCAUUUAAUAUUCUUACUCGAUUUCUUACCGGACCAUAUACUCGACUUAGUUAAUAUGCUUACUCGACUUAUUUAAUAUUUUUAUUCGACUUAUUUAAUAUUCUUACUCGACUUCUUACCCGACCAUAUACUCGAUUUAUUUAAUAUGUUUACUCGACUCAUUUAAUAUUCUUACUCGACUUCUUACCGGACCAUAUACUCGAUUUAGUUAAUAUGCUUACUCGACUUAUUUAAUAUUCUUACUCGACUUCUUACCGGACCAUAUACUCGACUUAUUUAAUAUGCUUACUCGACUCAUGUAAUAUUCUUAUUCGACUUCUUACCCGACCAUAUACUCGACUUAUUUAAUAUGCUUACUCGACUCAUUUAAUAUUCUUACUCGACUUAUUUAAUAUUCUUACUCGACUUCUUACCCGACCAUAUACUCGACUUAUUUAAUAUGCUUACUCGACUCAUGUAAUAUUCUUACUCGACUUCUUACCCGACCAUAUACUCGACUUAUUUAAUAUGCUUACUCGACUCAUUUAAUAUUCUUACUCGACUUCUUACCCGACCAUAUACUCGACUUAGUUAAUAUUCUUACUCGACUCAUUUAAUAUUCUUAUUCGACUUCUUACCUGACCAUAUACUCGACUUCUUUAAUAUGCUUACUCGACUCAUUUAAUUUUCUUACUCGACUUCUUACCCGACCAUAUACUCGACUUAUUUAAUAUGCUUACUCGAUUCAUUUAAUAUUCUUACUCGACUUCUUACCCGACCAUAUACUCGACUUAUUUAAUAUGCUUACUCGACUCAUUUAAUAUUCUUACUCGACUUCUUACCCGACCAUAUACUCGACUUACUUAUCUCUAAUUCUUACUCGACUAAAUUCUCGAUUUACCCGACUUUGUACCCGACUUCGUACCCGACUUCUUCCUGCACUGAUUCUUCAAUCAUUCAUAACUUAAAUGUAGUCUUAAAUCCCUACAUUGAAAUAGUGUGUGUGUGCAAGCACAAAAAAUGAAUAAUGUACUACUAAAAUUCAUAAAUCAUUAGGAAGUACACUUAUAAGAAAAAUAGAGAAUGGUGAGAGAAGCCCAAAAAAGAGAAGCAAUGGGAGAAGAGAGAUGUGAAUUCUUAGUUUUUUUAAGGUUAUUUUUGACUUUUUCUAUCUUCAUAAGGUAUAUGUAUGUAAUAGGAUAUAAAUUUGGCAUUUAAGGGUAAAUUAAGGAUAUUUAAAUAAAAAACCCAUAAAAGAUACCUGUUUCAAAAGUAAUUAUAAACUAUCUUCUUUGUGUUAUUUCUCAAAACUGUUAUUUCCCUGGAGAAAAGUACGAAAUACCCACUUUCACGUUGGCAGAAGCAAAGCAAAGCUAUGAGCUAUCUCUGUAUACUUGAAACGCCAUUGCUAAACGAUUCUCGAUGAUGGGUGCCACUGGGCCAGUGUUGUCGCUGAUUUGCAUGAUUUAUUAGUUGUCCAGAUGCCAGAGAAACCAUGGUGGCAUUGAAGUUACCCAGAUGGUUAGUUUUCUGAUCAUUUUUUUAUUCAAUUAUUUAUUUUUUUUAGAAAAAUGUAAGAAAUAUGUAGAAAUGUUGACAGCUAUGAUUUUGAAACUUUGCCUAAAAUUGUUAUCAUCACUUAUUUAAAGAGAAAUCCUAGAAACAUGACAUGAUUAGUAGCCUAAUUCAAAAUUAGACAUGAUUACAACAAGAGAAAAGUGGAGAGAACUUGAUAGUCGAGUGCAUUUAGAAUUUAAUUUUUCUUUUAGCUGCCAAUCAUUAAAUUUUCGAUUUCAGAAAAUUAUACCUAGAAUAUUUCAAGGAUAUACUAUGAAGAUUAUGAAGGUUUGAUUACAUGUCACUAUCAAUUGCCCCAAUCAUUUGUAGUAAAUUAAUUGAUCAUUUUGAUGCAAAUGAUUCCCUACUAAAAAAUUCAAGUCAAGGCUGAAUUGCACAGUAGUUAGUCGCGCUUGCACUUCAAAUUAAGUAUUGUAUUUUCUGCCUGGUUUGGUUGAUUAAAGUAUGUGCAUUUGCUUAUGAAAGUUGUAGUAUAGAAAUCGAAACAUUUGUUUUUCGCUAAGCCCAGAAGCAAAGUUCUUUGUACUGUACUCAUCACUUCUCUUCGUUCUCUUCAUUGAAAUUUUAUCCAAACAGCGGUUUCUUCGAAUUUGUGCCUUCUCUUACACUUUUAAAUCUAGCAAAGAACCGUUACCUGAGAAGAUUGCCAUCAGGAAUUUCUAAAUUGAUUUCACUAUAAUACCUUAAUCUUUCAAAUACUCCUCUCACUGGGUUGCCAAUAGUACUAAAAGCCUUGGUGAAUCCUACGUGUUUGAACUGGAGUACAAAAGUUAUCUCUCCACAAUUCCAAAACAACUGAUUUGUUACUUUUCAAUGCUACACGUUCUGCGAACGUUCAGUUGUGGUUAUCUUGCUGAAAUACCAGAAAAUAGGGUUCUAUUUGGUGGUAGUGGAUUCUUGGUUGGGGAGUUGCUUAGUUUAAAACGUUUAGAUGUAUUAAGCAUCACCUUAAAAGGUUUUUCUUCUGUCCAAAAACUUAUGAGCUCCCAACAGUUUCAAAGCCGUACAAAAAUGUUUGGAGCUUAUAGACUGUGAUGAUUCAAAGUCGUUUGCCUUGGCAGAGUUGAAGCAUCUUGUAAAACUAGGUUUGUCAAAUUGUGGAAAUUUGGAAGAUAAAUUACAUUUAUAAACUGUGGAUCGCCCUUUAUAAGUAUUAGGCUUAUUCCAUACUCGAGCAAUGUGGAAUACCUUUAUAAGCAUUAAGCCUCUCCCAUACAAUUUCUGUACAUGACUCUUCUUUUUUUUUUUUUUUUGAAGACCGUUCAAAGUGGUUGAUGAUCCGUUUUGUAAUAUCAUAGAGGGAUCAUGAAUUCCUUUUCUUUUCUGUGGCUAGGCAACACUUUUGGGCCAAAGUAAGGGAAUCUAUUUUAGGUCAUGUAAAAACCAGUUGUGGGAUGUAAUAGUUUAUUAUGCACUGACAAUAACUUUUUGUAUAAUUGUCAGUUUAAUGAAUACGAGAGGAACUCUGUUGGCAAAUUCAUCCAUGAUAGAUGCUAAAAUUAUACCAGUUGCCUUAACUUAUUUUUCUCAACACUGGUAUUGAACAGGAAAAUGAAUAUGCAAUUUGUAUUUGUGCCAUUGUGGAGAAUUUGGAUAUUCUUAUUUUUAGUAACAAGGAGAGUAUUGGCCUCAUCUUUAAAAAAUGAAUCUUUGAGAAAUGAGGAGUGGGUGAUUGGCAGUGUCAGAGUGUCUUCCUGUAAAUGUUCAUUUAUUUGUAUUUUGAACUAUUAGUAGAAUCUUUAUAUGCCAAAUUAGUAAUACAAAUAUUCAGAUGAUUUUUCCUGUUGAUCAUUUCAUUCUUGAGAGCCAUGUACAAUACUAGUAUACCAGAGAAACCAAGGUAGCAUUGAAGUUGCCCCAGUGGCUAGUUUUCCGAUCAUUUUUUAUUCAAAUUUUUAUGUUUUAGAAAAAUGUAAGAAAUAUGUAGAAAUGUUGAUAGCUAUGAUUUUGAAACUUUGCCUAAAAUUGUUAUCAUCACUUAUUGUUUCUUAUUUAAAGAGAAAUCCUGGAAACGUGACAUGAUUAUUCCAUACUUGUUUUUAUAUUAUUUAUUAGCAGCCUAAUUCAAAAUUACACGUGAUUAUUUGUUACUUUUAAUGCUACAUAUUCUGGGAAUAUUCAGUUGUGGUUAUCUUGUUGAAAUACCAGAAAAUAGCGUUCUAUUUGGUGGUAGUGGAUUCUUGGUUGGUUUAAAUGUAUUAAGCAUCACCUUAGAAGGUGUUUCUGCUGUCCAAAAACUUACGAGCUCCCAAAAGUUUCAAAGCUGUGCACAACCUUUGGAGCUUAUAGACUGUAGUGAUUCAAAGUUGUUUGCCUUCACAGAGUUGAAGCAUCUUGAAAAACUAGGUUUUUCAAAUUGUGGAAAUUGGAAGAGUUUAAGUUCUGCUGUGUCGAGGAUGGAAAGGCUCGAGAAUGUUUUCGUGUGAACAGCCUCCAACGAGUUAAGAUAAAGGCUUGUCAUAAAUUGAGGGAAGUGACAUGGCUUGUAUUUGCUCUGUAUCUUGAGGUUAUUCAAAUAGACAAAUGUAUGGGGAUGGAAGUAAUAAUCAGUGCAAGGAAAUUGGGUGAAGUUCCAGAGAUGAUGGCAGAUCUAAACCCUUUGGUAAAACUCCAAUAUCUUGGCCCACGAGUUCUACCAAAAUUAAAAUGCAUCUAUUGGAAUCAAUUGCCCUCUCUACAUGUCAGGCAAAUUUUGUAUCUGAAUGUCCAAUUCUCAAGAAGCUUCCACUUGGUUUUAACAAUGCAAAGGAAUCUAAAACUAUCAUUAGGGGAGAAGAACACUGGUCGAAUGAGCUGCAAUGGGAGGACAAAGUGACCCUUAAUGUUCUUCUUCCUUGUUUCGGAUCCAUUUGAGGGCAUCAACAUGGAUUGAUACUUUGCAGUGGAGAAAUUCGAAUAAAACCUGGUAAGUGCUUUUCCAUUUAUUGCAUAUUUAUAUCUAACUUUUGUUUUCCUUUGUGGUUAAACUUUGCUCUAUAUACGUUGUUGUACGGUGACAUUCUCAUAUCAAUUAUUAGCUUUUUAAUUCUCUUCUCACAUUAACUGCCCUUUUGAUCAUGUAGGAUAUGCUGAUGUCAAAGAGUCGUAAUUUGGACUGCAAAUGUAAGAAUUAGACAGAUGACCAGUUGUUUUGAAGCGCUCGAAGAAGGAUUAAUUACGUCAUUGAAAGCCUCCAAUUUUAUGACUUUUUUUUUAAUUUGUUGUUUUUCUAUUUUUAGAUAGCUUGAUUGUUAGUUGUCGUGACGUAAUGCUUUAGUGUAGAAAAAUGAUAUUCGGCCAAGACAACAUUAGGAGGGCACCUUGUGCAUGCAUACUAGUGGAUAAUUUUGGCAUGCUAAAUCCAGUUAGGGUGGAUGACCUUUUAUAAGCAUUAGGCUUCUCUCAUACCCGAAAACAAUGUAGAAUAUGCUUAUAAGCUGUGGAUCACCCAUUAUAAGUUUUAGGCUUCUCCUAUACUCGAGCGAUGUGGAAUACCUUUAUAAGCAUUAAGCUUCUCCCGGUAUCUUUAUGUUAAAAAUAAUAAUAAUAAAAGAAAUCCAUUUUAAAAUAGACUCUUUUUGCUUUUUCUAUAUAAACAAAUGCAUUCUUCAAAUCAAUUGUGGGCAGAAGAAGUUAGUAGAAAAGAACUAGUCCCCUUUCAUUCCCCCUUAAACCUCACCAAAGCCUCUUUUGUAAGCUUUUCGGAUUUUCUUUCUAUAUUGCUUACGAUCUCAUUUUUGAUUGAAUCACUUCUUUUGCAUGCUGCAUUUUUUGUUUGUUGUAUUUGGAUAUUAUCGUAUUUGGAAUGCUGUUAUGAUUGAUGGAACAAGUAAUCGAUUUUUAGUCUGAUGGAAGUUGACUUAUUUAUUUAUUGUUAUUUUUAUUGAAAUUAUGUACAAUUGCAUUUCAUUCAUUUCUUCCCCCCUAACAUAUUUGUUAUGUAUAAUUGCGUUUCAUUUGAUAUUGAUCAUGCUGUAGAUAACCAUGUGAUUGUAGGAUGGGGAUUUCAAGUUUGUUGAAUAUUCAAGUAAGUGAAGUAACUGUCAAAAUACUAGUGAAAUUGGGAGCUUUAUUCAUGAGCUUGUGGUUUUGAAAAGUACCACAGUUCAACCGAUGAAGGUUCCUUUUUGGGGUUUGUUGAUGCGAGAUUCUGGUUAUGCUCGUCCUACGACCAGGAUAUCUGCUCGAUCAACCUCACCUCGAUCAGGAUCUCUCCUCGUAUGCUUUCUUCUCCAAGUAUCCCUGCGUUCACAGAAACGAGUCAGAGCACGCCGGUUGUUUUCUCGGCGUAAACCCUCCGACGCUCAAGUCAGAUGUGAAGGUUCUGGGAACGCUUGCCACAGAUCUUAUGGCUUUUCUAUAAUCUCAGUUCUUAGAGUUCUCUUUUCUUAGUUCCAAAAUCAAAAAUUCUAAACCUUUUACCUUCGUUGGCUACCUUUUUAUAGGCUUCCUCUGAAUCCAGAUCUUCCGCAGUCCACGCCCGCCAUUCUCCCCACUUUCGGGUGUGGACGCCCCAUUACCGCCAUUGUCGGCGAAUAGAGAUGGACCUCGUGUCUUAAUUCUCGGAUAGGAAUGCACGUCCUGCCAACUGUCGUUGACUGGGUCUCCUCGCCUCGAUGCCUAGCAGGAAUGACCUUAUGCCUCUAAUAGGAGUUCGGCCUCACGAAUGGCAUAUUCGUGGACGAGCAGAAUACUCCUGCUCGUAUUCCCCUGCUACUUGGCUCUUGCAGGAUACCCCUGCUCGCAGAACCCUGCCACCAACCACCUGCUCAUCAUGUUUGGUCGCCUCGAUAUAUUUCCCUCAAACACCGGUCCCCCAGUUUCUGGUGUUGGGUAAUGUAAUGGACCAGCAGUAGAAACUCAACGGUUCUUGCUCGCGUGGGACUGGAGAAGGCUGCCAAGAGUCGUGUCGCAUUUAAUUGCGGACGAGGUGAUGUGGCAGAAAUCUGCCCCUCUAUUUGAAUUUCAAACCAACGGUUACGAGGCCCUUGGGGUUUGGUUCCGUUAAAUGCUGGCAACCUAAGAGUCCGUCCCCUUUAUGAAACCCACCUCCUUUCGUACAACAAAUUCAUCAUCCACUCCGUCUCCGUCUCCGUCUCUCCGGCAAAGAAGUUCCGGCAUAAAGGCCUCCAUCUCUGUCUUUCACCGACUGAAAAAUUACUUCAGGUACUUCUUCUAUCUCCUUGGUCUCGAAUAGUUGUAGAUAAUUUCUCUUCUCUUUUGUUCGGGUAAUAGUUGGUGGUGGCGUUGUGGUUAGCGCUUAGGGAAUGUCGAAAGGUAAAGAGAAGGUCGUUGAGGUUGACGACGAUGAGUUGGACUUCCUGCCUGGUCUGCUCACCGAUCCUGCUUUUGACCCCGGGAUCCCCUUAGAGCCCAUCAGAUCCAGUGUUGGUACUAGCGCUAGGAGGAUGUCUCCCCAAACAACCUCCUCGAGCGGAAAUAACGAUGAAGAGGGGUCUUCUGGAUCGGAGAACACCCCGAGUGAGGGUCGAGGAGAUGAUUCUGGUGAGGUGUCCCCAUCAGGAGCGUCGCGACCAGAAGAGAGGAGUACAAUAGGAGGUAGAGCCCUAUCGCGGGAUUACGCUAUUGAUUAUAUGACGUGCACGACCACGUUUGAUGAGCUCGAUGACCUCCGGCUUAGGUAUAGUAUUCCUGGUGAAAUACCUCUUAAGGUCCCAGGAAAGAAGGAUGCUCCUAGCCGGCCUCCUAGGGGAUAUGUUACCCUAUAUCUGGAUAGCUUUAAGUAUGGGCUGAGGUGUCCCUUGCAACCUUACUUUGCCCGGAUACUUGACGGGCUGAAUCUAUCUCCUGGUCAGUUGAACCCAAACGGUUGGAGAGUGCUCUCUGGUCUGUUCAUAUUGUGGGACAGAUGUUGCCAAAGCGAGCCCACAAUUGAUGAGGUGAAGCACCUGUACCAGCUAAAGAGCAGCCCCAAAGAUGCCGGCUGGUACUACUUCCAAUCUAGCACCAAGACCAGGAAACCUAUAACCGACCUCCCUUCUGGUGGUGGUGGGAAUUGGAAGAGAAAGUUCUUUUUUGCUGGGGGUCCUUGGGGUCAGGUUGCACAAAUGGACGGGAAGGAUUAUCGGGUCCCACCCCGUUUCACAGUCCCAGGUUGCCUGCUCGCUUGAGAUGUCCUGUAUCCAUAAUUGUUCUUGCUUUAUUGGCUUGUCUCUAACCAAGUGUCUGUUUGUGUUGUAGUUUCUUGGGGUGUUCAUUUCCCGCUCCAACCUGGCCAGCUCAAACAGGUUGAGGCUGUGCUAGUCAAUUCCUGCCCGAGCCGAGAGCUGUUAACUACUUACAACUUGCUCGAGUCUCGUUUGAUACUACCUGGUCAUAAGAUGGAGGACGUUGUGAUUGGGGCUCUGAACAGGAAACGUUCUCGACCUCAAACCACGAAGAGGGACCAGAAUAAGGACGCCCUUACUGCAAAGCGGGCCAACAUCGUGCAGCAGGUCUUUCCCUUGAAGACUUUACCUCCUGCUCCUGCCAAAGUCGGGGAAACUAGUGGAGCAGCCACCGAUCCUGCUUCUUCUUCUCCUCCUGUCGGGCCGCGAUCUCGCUUACCUGAUAGCCGAGCAGAACACUUGGUCCUCUAUCUCAAUGAGUUAUCUAAGCUCGUGAGCAAGAAGGACCUGGAGGACUUUGAUGGCUGCACUCUGGGCGAGCUGGUGGGAGCCAUGCAGUAUAGUGCUUUCCAUCUCAGUUGCAUGACCACCUACUAUAAGGCCAAGGUUGGCCGUUAUGACAGGAAGAUGAAGGAGGACAUUCAGUCGGCGACGACCAGAGCUGACGUUGCUGAGAAGAAAGCAGGGGACUUAAACCUCGAGAAUCUCAAGUUGAUUGAGCGAGAAUCUCUUGCUCAAGCCAAGGCUAUUACUCUCGAGGAAGAGCUGGCCAAGGUCAAGGAAGAUCUGCAGAGGCAGAAAGCUAUGUACGAGGCUCAGCUCGAAUCUCUCCGUGAUUCCCACCGGGUUCAGGUCGAGAACUUAGAGAAGGAGGCUGACAACCAGUACGACCAGGGACUUCGGCAUUCCUAUCGUUGCAUCAUGGCCGUCCUCGGGAAGCAACACCCUGAUCUAAAGAUGGAUGACCUUGCAGUUGGUGUUGCUCAACAUAUGGAUGAGGAGGCGGCCGAGGAAGAUGCUGAAGGGGUAGAGCCGAUCGUGAUUGAGGAGGAAACCUCUCCUCCUCGUGCAGUCCCUGCUGCUGUUGGCGAGGCGAGCACCCCCCCGGACGCAACUGGUGAUACCCCCCCUGCACCUGAGGAGGUCCAGACAACCGAUGCUGCUCGGCUUACUGAUCCACCAUCUUCUUAAUAUAUUUCUUGUACUGUAAUGAACAAUUUUUGUGACGAUUAUCUCUUCUGUUAAUUACUAACAAUUAAUAAAGAUGUUUUUUAUUACUUUCUUAUGUUGUAAUCACGGCUUAUUUUCCGUUUGAGAAUCUGCUCGUCCUUGUCCGGUCGAGCAAGUUCUGGCUUGGCAUAUGGUUUUGCCACAUGCCUUAGAAAAUUCUUCGAUGUUCGAGAUUCUGCUCGCCUUCGCGCGAUCGAGCAGACCCUUCCACGCUUGACUUCAUUCUCGCCAUAAACAGGCUUUGAGACUUGACGAGCCUUUGCAUGCCUUAGAAAUUUUUUCGAUGCUUGGGGAUUCUACUCGCCUUCGCGUGGUCGAGCAGAUCCUGGCACGCUUGGCUUCUGUCUCGCCAUAAACAGGCUUUGAGACUUGACGAGCCUUUGCAUGCCUUAGAAAUUUUUUCGAUGCUUGGGGAUUCUGCUCGCCUUCGCGUGGUCGAGCAGAUCCUGGCACGCUUGGCUUCUGUCUCGCCAUAAACAGGCUUUGAGACUUGAUGAGCCUUUACAUGCCUUUGAUUCUUCAAGGACUGGGAUUCUGCUCGCCUUCUCGUGGUCGAGCAGAUCCUGGCACGCUUGGCUUCUGUCUCGCCAUAAAUAGGCUUUGAGACUUGAUGAGCCUUUGCAUGCCUUUGAUUCUUCAAGGACUGGGAUUCUGCUCGCCUUCUCGUGGUCAAGCAGAUCCUGGCACGCUUGGCUUCUGUCUCGCCAUAAAACAGGCUUUGAGACUUGAUGAGCCUUUGCAUGCCUUUGAUUCUUCAAGGACUGGGAUUCUGCUCGCCUUCUCGUGGUCAAGCAGAUCCUGGCACGCUUGGCUUCUGUCUCGCCAUAAAACAGGUUUGAGACUUGAUGAGCCUUUGCAUGCCUUUGAUUCUUCAAGGACUGGGAUUCUGCUCGCCUUCUCGUGGUCAAGCAGAUCCUGGCACGCUUGGCUUCUGUCUCGCCAUAAAACAGGCUUUGAGACUUGAUGAGCCUUUGCAUGUCUUUGAUUCUUCAAGGACUGGGAUUCUGCUCGCCUUCUCGUGGUCGAGCAGAUCCUGGCACGCUUGGCUUCUGUCUCGCCAUAAACAGGCUUUGAGACUUGAUGAGCCUUUGCAUGCCUUUGAUUCUUCAAGGACUGGGAUUCUGCUCGCCUUCUCGUAGUUGAGCAGAUCCUGGCACGCUUGGCUUCUGUCUCGCCAUAAAACAGGCUUUGAGACUUGAUGAGCCUUUGCAUGCCUUAGAAAAUUUUCACAGUUUCAAGCGAAUGAAAUUCCUCAUUGAUUUAUUAUUGAGUUCGGCUUACAUGAGGUUGCUUUGAAAUAAGAAAUCAAAAAUAGAAAACAACGGACACGAACAGAAAAAAAAAACUUUAAAACAUGAAUAAGUCUUACUAGAAAUAUUUCCUGAGGUGUGCCGCGCUCCAGGGGCGUUUCACCUCGUGGCCCUCCGUGCGAACCAACUUGUAAACUCCGGGUCCAACUAGCUGCCAUUCCCGGCUUCCACUCGGGUAUCAAGGUAUGUUAUCUGCAUUGCUUCCCUUGCUGCCGAGGAGUAACAGCUUCGUGCGAUUCUCUGGUCUCCUCGUACCACUCCAACUACCCCAUUCACCCGGUACUUGAGAGCCAGAUAAUGGUUGGACAGCACCGCUUUGCUGAUCCUCAGAAAUGGCCGGCCUAGGAUCAUCUGAUAAGGACCUUCCUCAUCCACUACCACAAAGUCCAGUAUCAUUGUCCUUUCUGUCGGGGAGCUCCCAAUCGUGAUAGGCAGCUCGACCACGCCCAGAGGGACCAGCUUUCCUCCUCCAAACCCCUUCAAGGAGGUAUUGGUGUACUCCAACUUCCGGUCUGCUAUUCCCAUCUCUUCCAAGGUUGACUUAAAUAACACAUCAACUGAACUCCCUGUAUCAACCAGUAUCCGGUCACACUUCUUGCUAGCGACAGUAGCCUUGAUGACUAAAGCAUCCUCGUGGGGGUAUAGAAUUCCUUCCUCAUCUUCAUCCGUCCACAUGAUUGGCACUUGCCUGACCCUUGCUCGUUUGGCUGCUGGGGUGUUGAAGAAUACCUCUUUACUAGUCAUGGCGUAUCUAGCAUAGUUCUUCCUAGAUCUGUUGGAAUCUCCAGCCAAUGUCGGGCCCCCAGCAAUCACCCUUACUGUAGGCUGCUCGUGCCUCAAAUUUCUGCCACUCUGGUCCCCUUCACAUGUCGAGGCCACCAUCGGGAAAGUCCCAUCUACAAACUCGUCCAGGUACCGAUUUCUCACCAAAUCUUCAACUUGGGUCUUGAGAUCUUUGCAUUCUGCGGUGGUAUGGCCAUGAGUGCCAUGGAACUUACAAUGACGUCCCCUAUCCCUCCUGCCGGGUAGCUUUGUUAUUGGGGCAGGGAGGUACAUCGAUCCUUGGUCCUUUAUGGCCUCGUAUACUUCGUCCAGGGACAUCUUCAAGGAAGUGUAUCGCCCAUACUCCUGGUUCUGGUCAAUCAGGUGCACUGCUCUUUCUCUGUUUGCUCCGUUCUGAGUUGGGUGCGGUGGCAGUACCUCUGGUCUGCUCCCUCUGCUACCGUGGGAGUGUUGAUGACCACCAUAUGAUGAAUCGUGCCUUCUCCAAGGCUCCCUAGCUGGGGAGCGAGGAGGCUGCGCCCUGCUGCGCUGAUACUGUGGUGGCCUCUGAUGAGGCUGGUAAGCAAUUACCCGACCUCCUGCUCCACUAUCCGAGGCCUGGUGGUCCCUCCUCCUGAUCGGCCCAUUCCCCGGUAAUGCUUUCUUCUCUUUCCUCCCCAACCCUUCUAACUGGUCUAUCUUAAUGCGUGCUGCCUUCUCCUCUUCGAUCUCAAUAUCUCUCUUAGCCUGCUCGUAUGCGGCCGCAUACGUCUGGAUAGCUGGGCUUCUCAAGUUGUACCACAGCCUUCCUAUCUUCACUCCUUCUUUCAAUCCCCUUAACGCCUGAGGGUGGUUGAAGGCUCCCAAGUCGAGGACAGCACGAUGAAACCUCUUGAUGAAUUCCCGAAGGGUUUCUUGCUCCCCUUGUUUCAUGCUUUUCAGCUCCAUCAUGUCAUCUUCUGGUGCCAUUGCCCCACUAAAUUGCUCUGCGAAUUCCUGGCACAUCUGCUCGAAGGUUUUAAUGCUGCCCCGAGGAAGUUUCCUGUACCACUCGCGUGCACAUCCCUCCAGGGAUAGUGGGAACACCCUGCACCUUUGAGGCUGAGAUAAUCCUUGUACCCCCGUUAUGUCAUUGAAGCGUUCUAUGUGCACCAGCGGAUCAGUUCGUCCCGAAUAUCUAAGGUCCGGGAGACGGAAAUCUCUCGGAAUAACUGCCCUCAUGAUAUCUGCUGCGAGCGGUGACUCUCCGUCCAGCAUUAUCCUCCAACCAGGAGCUCUGCUCCUUCCUUGCAUAUCGUCAAUUAUCUGCGCUAGUCUGCGCACUUCCUCCUCCAGCUGCACCGCACGACCAGGGUCACGUGCUGUAACUUGAUCCCUCUCUUGCUCUACAUCAUGCAAGUGUUGCCUCAACUCUGUUUCUUUUGCAUUCGCCACCCCAUCGUCCUCGUAAAAAAUCUGUCUUGCCGGGGAUUGCUCUUCGUCUCUAUGGAAUUCUCCCCGCAGAGGUAUGUUACCUCUCUCACCACCAAGUCUCCCGGUGGUUUGACUUCUCCUUGUACCAUCGGGACCUGGUGCCACUCCACCACCUCUCACCAUUUCCUCCUGAGUUACCCUUCGUUCACUCCGCAACUCAUGCAUGAUGGUUGUCAAGGUCUCCAUCUGCUUUUCCAUCCGUUCCAUUCGGUCGAACAUGGCUUUUUCCCUGGCUUCGCUGGCUAUCUCCCUCAGCAUCACGGAAUCGUUCAGCCUCAUAUCACCCCCUUGUGCACUACUUCCUCCUGUCUCCAUUACUUUUCACUUGCUUCACUCCUCUUCUUGCUAUCAACAUAAGCUUUUUGCUCAGUUCCCCACAGACGGCGCCAAAAUAUUGAUGCGAGAUUCUGGUUAUGCUCGUCCUACGACCAGGAUAUCUGCUCGAUCAACCUCACCUCGAUCAGGAUCUCUCCUCGUAUGCUUUCUUCUCCAAGUAUCCCUGCGUUCACAGAAACGAGUCAGAGCACGCCGGUUGUUUUCCCGGCGUAAACCCUCCGACGCUCAAGUCAGAUGUGAAGGUUCUGGGAAUGCUUGCCACAGAUCUUAUGGCUUUUCUAUAAUCUCAGUUCUUAGAGUUCUCUUUUCUUAGUUCCAAAAUCAAAAAUUCUAAACCUUUUACCUUCGUUGGCUACCUUUUUAUAGGCUUCCUCUGAAUCCAGAUCUUCCACAGUCCACGCCCGCCAUUCUCCCCACUCUCGGGUGUGGACGCCCCAUUACCGCCAUUGUCGGCGAAUAGAGAUGGACCUCGUGUCUUAAUUCUCGGAUAGGAAUGCACGUCCUGCCAACUGUCGUUGACUGGGUCUCCUCGCCUCGAUGCCUAGCAGGAAUGACUUUAUGCCUCUAAUAGGAGUUCGGCCUCAUGAAUGGCAUAUUCGUGGACGAGCAAAAUACUCCUGCUCGUAUUCCCCUGCUACUUGGCUCUUGUAGGAUACCCCUGCUCGCAGAACCCUGCCACCAACCACCUGCUCAUCAUGUUUGGUCGCCUCGAUAUAUUUCCCUCAAACAGGGUUCUUCUUUUUCUAGGCUGCAAUUAGGAUAUGUACAUGUUAGACAAUCUUUUGUGGGUUUAGCAUAUCUUCUCUGAUUUUGUCUUUUAUUCCCCAAUCUUGUAAUUACACACCAUGAAUGUUGAGUGAUUGUAUAGAUAAUUUAUGUUAGAACCAAAGCAUUGUGAAGGAGUUAAGUUAGUGGCUUCUGUUUUUUUGGCAUUGAUUGGGUAGAUUAUGUGUUACAGUGAUUCAAUUUGUGAUCCAAACUUUGCUUUAAUUUCUGUUUUCCCUAAUUAUUUAUGUCAAAUUUAAAUCCAGAAGCAUGUGCUGAUUUUUUCUUUUUGUAUUAAUCUGUGAAGUUUAUUUGGAAUGGAAGUAUCUGGGUUGGGUCUAACGGAUUAAAUUAUGACAUUGGGGGGAAGGCAGUAAAGGGUUUGCUUGACACAUUUGGUUCUGUGUUUACUUUGCAAGAAAUAGCUUUUGGUUCUCGCAAUGCUGGGGGAAAUCCCGAUUUGGCCAGUGAAUUUCUUUGUGACAAAUAGGCGAACACAUCAACCUCUUCUAUCCAUCCUUCUACUCGUAAGGCAAGGGGUAAAGAGUCUUCAAAAUCAUCAAAUAGUAACAUCUCUGAGAAUUCAUUUUAUGCAAAUGGAAAAUCUUGACCUUCUAAGACAAAAUGGCGUCCUGUAUCAGGAGGUACCGUUUCAAGUUUUCUUGGUAAAAAUUAUGUUAAACCUGCACAGCCAGCUAAUGGCACAUUUCUAGUAUCAAAGCCAUUGAAGUUGGAUCCAAAGGGGUUUCCCAUGUCUCCACUUUUGUGGAGAAGAUACUAAACUGAAACAAUCAAAGGAUGACCAUUUGCAGAAGGAUAUUGAAGAUUUUCUGUUUAAAUUGCUAGGAGAAGUGUUCCAAUUUAAUACAUAUUGUCCUUUUCAAUGUUCUUUCUUUCUUUCUCUUCUUUUCUUCUUCUUCUUCUUUUUUCUUUUUGUGUGCGUGUGAUCACUAAUUUGGUAUUGUAGUUAAGUUGCAGAUAGUUGUGGAUAUGAUAUGCAAAAGGCAAGGACUAUAUCUUCCUGAUGGAGGCCUCUGCUUUUUCCUUUAUGUGUAAUUUAAUAAAUUGCAUCUUCCUUUCCGAUUGUUAGAUCAUAUCAAAGACAAGUCUUAAAUACUGCUGUCAUAUGUUAAGGUUCAACUUGCAGUUUGAUUAACAUUCAUGGCUCAAAGGCCUGCAAAAACUUGCCAGUAAUUGUAAAAUGACAUUCUUUGCUUUUAAUGCAAUAGAGGGAACAGGGAAGUAUAGCUUUGGAAGCCUGGAUUGGUAACUAUAGAGAGACUUAGUAUUUAAUUGAUAAAAAUUCCCAUAACCCAAGGGUCAAGAAAAUUUUAGAUCGUUAAAGACUUCAUUUUGUUUCGGCCAGAAAUGUUUGUUUCGAUCGAAGACUUGAACCAUUUUCAUUGAACCUGAUUAUGAUGCUUUACGUUAUGCAUGUUCCUCUUAAUCAAGAAAAGUUGAGGUGAUGAUUUUAUAUUUCUAUAUUGUAAGUUGAAAUAAUAAUUGGUCUGCUUGUUUCUGUAGCUUGAUAACAUGAAUUUUCCUUCUCAAGUUAAUUUAAUCAAUAAAGUAAUUCUUCAAAGAAAAUAUGCCCAUUCUAUAAUCAUUUUCUUAACUAACAUGUUUUUUUCUUCACUCUUCAGAGCAUGUUGAAACUAAUUGUUUCGGCAGAGACUUUGGGUGAGAAGACAAAAUUUCUCGGUAAAUCCUCUGAAAAGGUAUGCAUAAUUCCGGAGUAUUAAAUAACCAAUGGUCAUAAUUUUUGUACAGGACUCUUUUCUUGUGGAGAUGAUUAAAAGUGGCUGAUGAUCCAGUUUGUAUAUCAUAGAGAGCAUCAAUUCCUUUUCUUUUCAGUGGCUAGGCAACACUUUCAGGGCAAAGUAAGGAAAUCUAUUUUAGGCAAUGUAAAAACCAAUGGUAGGAUGUAAUAGUUUAACAUGCACUGACAAUAACUUUUUGUAUAAUUGUCAGUUGAACGAAUACAAGAGGAACUCUGUUGACAAUUCAUCCAAGAUAGAUGCUAAAAUUAUUUAUGCAUGCCAGUUGCCUUAACUAAUUUUUCUUGACACUGGUAUUGAAGAGGAAAAUGGAUAUGCAAUUUGUAUAUUGUGCCAUGUGGAGAAUUUGGAUAUUCCUAUCUAAGUAACAAGGAGAGUAUUUGCCUCAUCUUUAGACAAUGAAUCUUUGAGAAAUUAGGAGUGGGUGAUUGGCAGUGUCUUCAUGUAAAUGUUCAUUUGUUUGUAUUUUGAACUAUUAUGAGAAUCUUUUAUAUGCCAAAUUAGUAAUGCAAAUGUUCAGAUUAUUUUUUCUGUUGAUCGUGCAUUUGUGUCUGCAAACAACCAUUGUAUAUCACUUCAUUCUGAUGUGCAAGUCUCUGUAGUUUAGAAGAAAAGAAAUAAUAAUGAUAUAUUAUUGCUUGAUUCAUGAUUAUUAAAUGAUUAUGGCUUUAAAAAGCCUACAAAUUCCUUCUGUUGAUAUAUGAAUGUACCAAGUUUGCUAUAUCUUAGAUUACCAUUUCCAAGAUUACAAGUUCAAAUUUUUUCUUUAUCCUUUUCCAUCACAGUUGCAUUUUAAGUGUAAGAUUUGUUAUUAAUACCUGGUUUCCCGUCAUUAUGAUUUCAUAAACAGUGUAUGGGUAUGUGCUCUACUUUUGGAGGGCCUCCACGUGAAAGAAAAAUUGCAACAAUUGAAUUCUUCCAGAUUGUAUGGUAUUUAAUUUAUUUUCUCAACCUCUUGUAAGACUAAUAUAUUUUCCUUCAGUAGACACGGCAUGGUGGGAAGGGUUUUUUAUUGAAAGAAUUCUGAUAUUUCUUAGACUUUGUUUUGGAAGGGGGUGCAGGGGUUUCUCAUCCAUAUAUGGUUACUUGAUUAGCUUUUGACUGUAUUGCCUUAAUCAUGCAAAGGAAGAUCCAAAUACAAACGAAGGAGAAUUGUUUAGACACCCAGAAGAUGGAAAUGAACUACAGAAGGAAGUUUUUGCUGCUUUAUUUAGUGCUCCUGAGAAAUCUGAUGAAUUUCCUGAAAUUACGGUGAAGACCAAGUGUGAGGUCCAAAGCAUUAGGAAAGGUGGUGAGUGAACUGCCGGAGGAAUUGGUACAGAAUACAAGGCUAAUGUGGUGGACUUGCAGCAAGAUAACCGAAACAGUCCGUGCUCUUAUAUUAACUAUAUUGACUGGAUUUGCUAGUGUGUAUAUUUUUGUGUGUAUACUCACUUUUGUAUUUAUGCAUAUUAACGUGUGUAGGAUUCUUGAUUUCUGCCACUUACUGGAGAACUAGUGGAAAGCUUUAUACUGAUAUAUGUGCUAUAACUAAUGGAAACUAUGAUAUUAAUAUUUUCUCUCGCUUGGAGAACUGCAUAACAUAUAUACUUUGUGGCUCUGGAAUACUAAAGAUUCUGCAAUAACUAAUGGAAACUAUGAUAUGAAUAUUUUCUCUCACCUGGAGAACUUUGUAACAGUUACACUUUGGGGCUUGGAAUGUCUAAAGAAUUUUGUCUGCUUCAGUUAGAUCAAAUAUCUUUUAGUUGCAUACAUUAUAGAAAAGAUAAAGUUCUCUGAAUCUGAACGACUUAAAAUUUUGCGCAUUUCUUGAAAGGGAAAUAUCUGUAGAUACUAGUUCAUGCAUUGUGGUAGCAUCAGUGUUAAAGAAAAACAGCAGUAAGUUAUUAUAUAGAAUUAGGUUGACUUGCUUUAAAUCCUGGUCUGGUCAACCAUAUGAACCUGUAAGUGGUUCUGUAGAAAUAUAUAUAUAUACGGGGAGAAAGUAGCUAAAUUUUCCUUUCAUUUAUGGGUUUGGUCAUUUUUUCCCCUUAUUUAUGUUUUCUCACACAUUUUUUAAAUGCCCCAGACAUGCAAUUUUGUAUGUGUCAAUUGCCUUUUAAGUUUUAAAAACCAUAAAGUAAGAAUACAGUUUCUUGUCAGGCUAUUGAUGCAUUUGCUCGGGGGGAUCAUGCUCGAGCAGGAAAACUUCUAGAACAGGUAAGGUUUCCAUCUACAGCCAUUUAUUGACAACAUAUAUAUUUUCAUUCAGCAAGCACUGUUAGCAUUCAAGAUGCUGGCAGAUUCACUUGAUUCUUAUUAGUUUGUUUAGUAGCAAAGCAUAUAACCUGUAUUUCAAAGCUAAGUUGUGCUAUUGAUUAUGUUAACUUUAUUGUUCACAUAAAGUGAUAUAGAGGAAAUAAUCAAUGUAGGAAAAUUAGGUGAAGAGAUGAUGUCAAAUCUUGAACCUCUUACAAAACUCUAAGCUCUUUACUUGAAGAAGCUACCAAAUUCGAACAGCAUGUACUGGAAGGCCUUGCCAUUCCCUGAUGCAUGCAGAAUUUUUGUAUUUAAAUGCCCAGAGCUUAAGAAGCUGCCACUGGAUCUUGAAAGGGCAGGCCAAGGUAAAAUUCUUAUGAAGGGAAAGAAAGAUUGGUGGAAACAAACUUCAAUGGGAGGAUCAAGUAACUCAGAAUGCAUUGCUUCCAUUUUUAAAAUCAACCAACAAGUGAUUGAAGGGGGCAUCAUCAACAUGGAUGGAGAGAUUCUGGAGCAGAUCAGCGGGGUUUAGUACGACCUGUGGUGGUUGCUUUUUUGUGACUUUUUUCCCUUUCAUUUUUUCACUCCCUGUCAUAUUAUCAUUUCUUUGUCUCUGUUUCUAUUGCUGGUGUUGCUGCAUGCUUGCUGUCCUUGACAAAGUUAGCUAGUUUUUUUGUUUAUUAAAUUUUGUAUGUUCGGGACAGUCACAAAGUACUACUUGUUCUAUAAGGGGGUGAUGUGAAUCCACUUUUCAAUUAUAUAUUCUGUGGUAAUUGUGAAUUCAAUUCAUUUGUCUCCAGCAAAUUAUGAAGAAAGUGCAGAGUUACAAUAUGGAAAAGUUCACUGGCAAAUACUUUGUAAAAGCUUCGGAGUGAAACAGGGAAUGCACUGGCAACUAAGGACAAAUUGGUGGCCAGCUAAUGCAUUCAUUUUAUGUACAUUCCUCUUUUUAAUUAUUGAAGAUAAGUGGUUCGUUGCUUUUGUUGUAGAUAAAAUUCAGACGACCUCAAUUGUGAGAUGACAAUAUUUAAAAUAUCUCUUAAAUUAUUAUAAACUUUAAUUUAUCUUAAUUUUAUUUAAAAGAUAAAAGAAAAAUGUGGUAUAUGGAUAAAUUUUUUUUUAUCUUCUUAAUAAAAUGAAAUAAAUUAAAAUUUAUAAUAAUUUAUAAUAUUUUAAAAAUUAUUAUUUCAUAAGAGAUUAAUAUGAAAUUAAUCCUUUUUACUUUUUGAAUGUGAAAGGACAGGAAAAGAGAAAGCAAGUGUCACUGCUUUUUAUUUUAUUUGAAAUCGGAGUUAUCCCAUAUACUUUACUACUUUAGCUCUAACAUUACAAUGUUUUUAGGCUACACUUUUAUUUUUCUUUUUCCCCCUUUUUUUAUACAUGCAUGUGGAUUACUUUCCUCUAAGCGCCUUAAUAUUUAAGACAAAUCAUAAAAGCGAUUGAAGUAUAACCAGAUGAUCAAAACAUUUAACCCAAAAAAAAAAAGAAAUAAAACAUUGAAAAUGGAGAUGUUGAUUAAUUUAGAAGAGAUGCAAGUAAAAGAUAUUCCCAAAAAAAAGAAAAAAAGAAAAAAGCAACGUUAGUUCAUCCAUGUCUGUCAAUGCGUUUUUUAUGGUUUUUUUUCCAGUUGUUUGUUGUAAUAGAUUGAUUGUAAAUUGAUAUGAACUUGAUGUUGUAAUAUGUUCCCUUUUGUGGAAUUAAAUUUGAAUAUUCAAGAUUAUUCAAGUCUUAUUUAGUAUGUGUUUAGUUGUGUUGUCGAUAACUUUGCAUUCGAAUAAGUUUUCACCUAAAAUAUUAGCAUGAGUAGUAGUCCUUGAAACUUUGGUCAAAAUUAUUGUUAUUGUUUCUUUUAGAGGAAAUUUUUUUAUUAAAGCCUCGUUAACACUAUUUCUUAUUAAGAUUAUAAGUUAGUGUCGGUGUAGGAUUUGCAACGACAAAUCCUGUCUAGCCACGUGUCAAAAGUACAAAUAAAUCAAGGGAAAGCACAUGUCGCGGAUUAGGAUCCAAUAAAAUUUAAAUCCCAAGGAAAAGGACAACUGUAUCCUAAAGUUUCAAUAAGAGAUACUGAUAUAUCUUUUGACUAAUGUUAUUUUUUGGCUUCAUUAAUAAAAAGAUCCAAUAGUUUAUAACAAAUAAAAAUAUAGCAUUAAGCUAAAUGUGAUAAUAUAUACAUUUUACAUAAUUUCAAUAAAAAAACAUUUUAAUGUUUUACGAUCUAUCAGACAUAUUUUAUUAAAUUAAUAGGAAUUUUCUGAUAAAUAGCAACAUAAUAUUAAAAUAAAUUUAUAAAGAUUUAAAUGUAAAAUAAUUUUAGUAUAAUUAAUACAUGGGAUAUAUUUUGUAAAUUAUAAAAUUACUUAACCCAAUGAUUUUUAAAAAUCUUUAAAAUAAAUAAAAAUAAAUUAUUCACAUUUUGAUGUAAAUAUUUAAAACAUUUUUAUACAUUAGUCCACAAUUAUUUAUGUUAUAUUUGUAUUUAUUAGAAAUUUUGAAAGUGAAAUGUUUUUCACCUCUAUCUUAUUAGAAUUAUUGCACACAGAGAAAGAGCCAUAUAUGCUUUAUAGCUUUAAAAUCGGUUUGUUUUAUAGCUGGGAACAGAGAUGAUCAUUAUUAUAAGGAUUAAAAAAAGAUAAAGAAUAUUAAUGAUUAACGAAAUCUUUAUGGAAAUUGAAUUUAGUAAGAAAAAAUUGAGCUGAUUUUAGUGGUAUAGUCAUAUUUUAUAUAGAGAAAAGUAAAAGUUGCACCCCGAAAUGUUCAAAACUCUUUUUUAAUAAUAAUAUCCUUUUUUCUAGAUAACUUAAAAAUUUGACUCUAAUAUUUUAUAAUAAAUAAAAACAUAUAAUCCUAAAAUAAAUAAAAUAAUAUAUAUUUUAAAAUAAUCUCAAUAUUUAAAAUAUAUUUUAACAUUUUAUAGUCUAUCAUAUAUAUUUUAUUUUUUUAAAGUAAAUUUUAUAAUAAAUACCAACAUACUAUUAAAAAAGAUAUAUAAAAAAUUUAAAAUAUUUUGAAUAUUAUAUAAAAUAACUUUAAUAUUGUUAAUAUGUGAGAUAUAUUUUAUUAAUUAAAAAUUCUAUUUAACCCAAAGAUUUAUUUAAGAUAAAUUAAUAAUUAUAUUUUUGAAAUUAUUUCAAAUAUUAAAAAAUAUUUUAAUAUUACUAACUAUUAGAUAGACUAAACUAUUUAUAUUAUUUUAUAUUUAUUAUAAAAUUUCAAAGUUAAUCUUUUUAACUACUAUUCAAAAGAUAUUAUGAUAAAAACAGAAUUUUUGUGUUUUUAUUGACAAUUUGGAGUUUACAUCUAUUUUUUUCAAAUAUUCGGGGUGUAAAUGUUUUUUCCCUUUUAUAUAUACGAACGGUGGUGAGAAAGCUUGAUUUAACGUUAUUUAUUUAAAUAAAAUCUCAGUUAAAAAUGUACAGAGAAGAAAUUUCUGUUGGUAUUUUAGUCUUUUACCAAUUAUCACGAUUAGGCCUUGGCCUUGAAACAUUAAUUGUUUCACUUUUAGCGCUAGUGGCGUUGAAAGUUGUCAAGAAAAAAGCAAGACCAUAUUCCACAAAAGCAAAAGUAACGUUGGCUCUUUUAUUAAAGGCAAAGUAUAAAGUAGUCAAGAAUCGAAUAUCCUGUCGUCUACUCUUUUUUAAAUUCUUCUUUUAUUAUCUUUUAGAAUAGUUUUUGGUAAUUACAAUCAUUAUUCAGAGUUAUUGUUAUCUUCCGGGGCAGUCUCUGUUCAUCGAACUCGUUACCCUUUUUUAUAGAUUAGUUCCAGUGGUCAGCAGUAAUUUUCUUAGAACUCGGAUCUUUAAUUCGAGUUUCUGUGUGAAUUAAUAAUAAAAAAUUUCAUUACACGCAAUUUAAGCUACGAAUUACUUUUUGCAAAGUUGAAUAUGAAAUUGGAGAAAUUAAGUAAUUUAGAAUGUUGGUAAAAAUUGACGAACAUAUCUCCAAUUACAGUAAAACCUCUCUACAGUCAUAACAUUAUAAUAAAAUUAAUUUUAUUACUAUGUUGAGGUAAUAUAGGUUUAGUUACAAAAUUAUUGUUUUAAUAUGGUUAGUGUCAAGUGAUAUAAAGGUUAAGUAUGUAGUACAUUGAUAAUUAAAUAAUGAAGCGUGUCAAAUCUAAUGUAUAUAUAUAUAUAUAUAUAUAUAUAUUUUUUUUUUUUUGGUUUUGACCACGAGGUAUCCUGGGGAGGGCCCCAACUGUGGGAGACACCUUUAAGCCCGUACCACAACCCAGACUAGAAGUCCUCACUCGAAUCGAGAGGCACAGGUUCUCCCAACAAAGGCGACUUCCCUACGACUCGAACUGGGGAGCAAACCCAGUCAAGCCACUUAAGGGGACUCCAUUGCCAGUGGAGCCAACACUUUGUUGGUUAUAUAUAUUAAUGAUAUAGAUAGACAUAGUUUUAAAAAACUAAUUAAUGUAUAUUUAUGUAGUGUUAUGAAUAUGGAAAGUCAAGCCUACACUUUACAUUAUCCUUAAUUUUUUCUCUCAGUUAAAUUCUACAAAAAUUUUACAAUGAUUGGGCAAGAACUCUAAAUUAAGAAUAAAUUAUUGUCACAAAUAAUUUUAGAAAAUAUUUUAUUUCGUCUUAAACCUUUAAUGUAAGUAAACAUAUAUAUAUAUAUAUAUAUAUAUAUAUAUAUAUAUAUAUAUAUAUAUAUAUAUAUAUAUAUGUGCAUAUUUUGCAACGUAUAGAUAAUUGUUAGUAUAUGGAGACAAGUCUUUUAAGGUAGGACCUAGGAAAAUUUAUAACUUACUACACUGGGGAGUUUUUAUUCCUUUUUAUAAUUGGCUCAUAUUGAUACAUUCUUACACAAAAUAUUACCACUGACAUAUUUUAUUACAAUUAGUUUAGAACAUUUGUUAGGAAAAAAAAAGAAAAGAAAACAUCCCUUGGAUGUAGCUCUCCUGAUUAUUUAAAUCUUUUAAGGAAAAAAAGAAAAAAGAAAAACUAACACAUUCAAAUCUUGAAGCAAUUACAUUAAAACCUCUCCAUAAUGAUAGGAAUAAUCUCCAUUUAGUAAUAAAAAAUUUUGUUCGCAAUUUAGGCAUAGUUAUAAAUAAGAAUAAAAUCCUCAUUGUAAUAAGUUAUAUUUAUUAUGGAUCCCAUCCUAAGGAACUUGUCUCUAUAUAGUAAUAAUUAUUUGAAUAUUAUAAAUAUAUAUGUUGCAUUAGAUUAAAUGAACUUGUCUCCACAUACUACUUAGACAACGAGAGAAAGUUAUUAAAGAGAACACAAAUAUUUAAAGAUUUUUAAGAUUACUUUGUAUAUUUAUAACAAUAAUACAUUGAUAUAUGUAUUAGUUUUUUGAUAUAUUAGAUUUGACAUGCUCUAUUAAUAAAUUAUUAAUACGAUGCAUACUUCAUCUCUAUAUCCUUGCAAUAAAAGUAACUAAGUUAUAACGAUAAUUUUUGUAACUACAUGCUUAUUAGGUUUUAACUACUUCAUAAUAAUAAAUUAGUUUCGUCCUAAUAUUAUAAUUAUGUAGAGUUGUGGUGUAUAGACACACCCAAUUUAAAUAGUAUAUCAAAUAAAAUUGUCCCCACAAAAAAGAAAAAAGGGGUAAAGGAUUGUUAUUUCUUCAAACAUUAGGAUCACGUUUGUACAAGUGCGAUGCCUUUCUUUUGAAGGCAACGUCAGUGGGUACCCAAUAGGACGUGUGUAAAUCUUUCCAAAAUUUCUCCGGUAUAACGGACAGAGAUCAUUACUUUUCUCUUCCAUAGACCACAGCAGCUUCAGUUAAUCAGACUCAAUCAAUUUUCUUGGUUUCUUCGCUUAUCAAAAUUCCAAAGUAUGGGUAGCAUAUUUCAAAUCACAUGCGAUGGUGCUUUUUUCAAUCGUUGCUUGGAUUGCUUUCUUGGAAAAGUAGCAAACACAAGUAAGCUCCAUGAUAACCUUGUUGCCUUGGAGACUGAAUUGGGAAAACUAAUCGCAGCAAAGAACGAUGUGAUGAUGAGGGUUGUCAAUGCUGAACGGCAACAACUGAGAACGCUGGACCAAGUGCAUGUGUGGCUUUCGAGGGUGGAAGCUGUUGAAACUGAAGCUGAUGAAUUGAAAAGACACGGCUCUCAAGAAAUUGACAAAUUAUGUGUUGGAGGCUACUGUUCCAAGAACUGCGCGUCAAGCUACAAGUUCGGGAAACAAGUGGCUAAAAAGCUACGGGAUGUGCGGACUUUAAUCGACGAAGGAGUUUUUGCGGCGGUGGCUACCGAGGUGGUGCCUGAGAGAGCUCCAGAACCUGUAGCAGAUGAAAGACCCACUGAGCCAACAAUAGUAGGCUUGCAAUCACAACUUGAACAAGUUUGGAGAUGUCUUGUAGAAGAAUCAGUGGGAAUCAUUGGCCUAUAUGGUAUGGGCGGUGUUGGUAAAACUACACUAUUGACCCAUAUCAACAAUAAAUUUCUUGAGAGUCCAACCAGUUUUGAUUGUGUGAUUUGGGCCGUAGUUUCAAAGGACUUGCGACUCGAAAAAAUUCAAGAAGAUAUUGGGAAAAAGAUCGGUUUGGUUGAUGAUUCAUGGAAGAGUAAAAGUGUAGAGGAGAAAGCUCUCGACAUCUUCCGGAGUUUAAGAGAGAAGAGAAUUGUAUUGCUGUUAGAUGAUAUAUGGGAGCGGGUUGAUUUAACAAAAGUGGGCAUUCCACUUUCCGGACCAAAAAAUACUACCUCAAAAGUCGUAUUCACAACCCGUUUCGUCGAUGUUUGUGGUAGCAUGGAAGCUGACAAGAAGUUCCAAGUGGCAUGCUUAUCAGAAGAGCAUGCUUGGGAACUGUUUCGAAAAAAAGUUGGGGAAGAAACUCUUGAGAGUGAUCAUGAUAUCGUUGAGCUAGCCCAAACUGUGGCCAAAGAGUGUGGUGGUUUGCCACUCGCACUUAUUACUAUUGGUCGAGCUAUGGCCUUCAAAAAGACAGCCGAGGAGUGGAGUCAUGCAAUUGAUGUGCUAAGAACAUCAGCUUCUGAGUUUGCAGGUUUGGGAGAAAAGGUGUAUCGUCUUUUAAAGUUUAGCUAUGAUAGUUUGCAGAAUGAGACGAUUAGAUCUUGUUUCUUAUAUUGUUGUUUAUAUCCCGAGGAUUAUGGCAUUCUUAAAUGGGACUUGAUUGAUUGUUGGAUUGGUGAGGGAUUCUUAGAGGAAUCUGACAGGUUCAGUGCAGAAAACCAAGGAUACUACAUUGUGGGCACUCUUGUUCAUGCAUGUUUAUUAGAAGAGUUAGAAGGUGAUAAAGUAAAAAUGCAUGACGUUGUUCGUGAUAUGGCUCGAUGGAUAGCUUGUGAAAUUGAGAAGGAGAAGAGAAAAUUUUUGGUUUGUGCAGGUGCUGGAGUAGGAGCGGUACCAGAUGUUGAAGGAUGGGAAAAUGUGAGAAGAUUGUCAUUGAUGCAAAACCAAAUUGAAAUUCUGUCAGAGGUUCCCACAUGCCCUCAUCUCCUCACUUUAUUUCUUGACUUUAAUUAUAAAUUGGAGACGAUCACCGAUGGCUUCUUCCAAUGUAUGCCUUCUCUCAAAGUUUUGAAGAUGUCAAACUGUGGGCAUGUCAAAGUUUUGAAAUUACCUUUUGGGAUGUCAAAGUUGGGUUCACUACAACUUCUUGAUAUUUCACAUACCGGCAUAAGAGAGUUACCAGAAGAGUUAAAGUUGUUGGUAAAUCUGAAAUGUUUGAAUUUGAGGUGGACACAUAUGUUAAAUAAAAUUCCACGGCAGCUAAUAUCAAAUUCUUCAUGGUUACGUGUGUUGAGAAUGUUCGCUAUUGGCUUCGAAAAUUCUAAAGAACCAUCAGAAGACAGCGUUUUAAUUGGUGGGGGUGAAGUUUUAGUACAUGAAUUGCUCGGUUUGAAAUAUUUAGAGGUAUUGGAGUUGACCUUGCGAAGUUAUGAUGCUCUCCAAUUUUUUUUGAGCUCAAAUAAGUUAAAAAGUUGUAUUCGAUCUCUUUUCCUCAUUAAGCUGGGAGAUACAAAGUCGAUUCAUGCUACGGCAUUCGCAGAUCUAAAGCAUCUCAAUGAACUAUGCAUUCGUUCGGCAGUGGAGUUGGAAGAAUUGAAGGUUGAUUAUACAGAGAUUGCGCCAAAAAGGUCGGAACCUUUUGUUUUCCGCAGCCUUCACCGUGUUACUAUGGAGCGGUGCCAUAAAUUGAAAGAUUUGACAUUCCUCGUUUUUGCUCCAAGCCUCAAGUCUCUUUCGCUAUACGGUUGCAAUGCUAUGGAAGAAAUAAUCAGCGUUGGAAAAUUUGCUGAGACUCCUGAGGUGAUGGGACAUAUAAGCCCUUUUGGAAAUCUCCAAACGCUUUAUUUAACUGAUUUGCCAGAGUUGAAAAGCAUCUACUGGAAGCCGUUGCCUUUCACUCAUCUCAAAGAAAUGACGGUACAUGGGUGUAAUCAGCUUAAAAAGCUUCCACUCGAUUCCAACAGUGCAACAGAGCGUAAAUUUGUUAUUCGUGGAUACACACACUGGUGGAACCGUCUUCAAUGGGAGGAUGAAGCCACUCAAAUUGCUUUUCGUUCCUGUUUCCAAUCUCAUGAAAUAUAAAUUCCUGAGCGGUGGUUGCAAAAUUUGAUUUCUAGUGAGUGCUUUUUUCUGAAACUCUUACAUAUAUUCUCGUCGUUUGCUUCGUGCAACAGACUAGGUUUUUAUUUCAGAUUCGUUUUUUGUCUCCUGCAAAUCACAAUUAAAUGUUGAAUUAUAUGGAGUCAAUGCUUUAGAAAAUUUUCAAGGCACUGCCAUUUCCUUUUUCUUUUUUCUUUUUUUGGGGUCGAAUUGAUGCUCUGGCUUUUUUCUUCUUCUUGUCAAAUUUUGCUCUGUUUUUUCAAGUUGAUGAUUGAAUAGUUGAAUUCAAUUAAUGCUCACAUAAAUUUGUUUAGUUGCCGUAAAAGGAUAUAAUUAGACUGAAGUACACACUUCUAGAAUGAAUACAAAAUGUUAAGUAUACUAGCCCUCUUUACAGAAAAUCAAAUGAAAAUCAAUUUUUUGGGGCUUUGAUUUUCUAUGGUCUAUUAUAUACUCUUUUUAAUAUCUUCUGUUCUAACUAUAACCAAAUCCUUUGUUCAAGGAUUUUUAGUUGGGGUAUUGAUAACUGUCCACCAAAAGAGUGAACACUUGGAUGCUGCUCAAGGAUCUCUAAUCAAUAGGUGGAAGCAACUGAGAAGGCGGUCGCUACUGUUUACAAAGCGAUGCAGUAUUCGCCAUUCAUCUUAAUAAUUGUGAAGCUUUGGUAAAAUUUUCAAACAAAGUUGAACAUGCUGUUUUGAGAUUUGGUUCAUGAUUUUCGAUGAAUAUCGUUGUUCCGUUUGAGUUGGAUGUGAAUUCAAAAUCUAUAUAUUCUUUAGUUUUCAAUUCUGAACUCAAUUUCUUUUUCUCAAGCAUGUUAUGCAGAAAUGAUUUUUAUAAUUACUAAAUCAUUUUUGAUGAAUUGUUUAAAUUAAACAAGUGGAAUAAGAAUUGUAAAGGUUUAUCAUAAGCAUGCUAAUAUGAUAAGUUGUUUUAUGAACGAUUAAUUAAUUAAUCAAUUAAUAUUAAAUUAUAUAUUAGUCAAUUAGAUAUGCGUUACAUGUCAUGUUUAAAAACUAUUUAUUUAUAUUUCAAACAAAUUUGACUGGAUGUUGUGUAGGUAAUACUACAUAAUUUCAAAACAAAAAAAGUAACAAAAACAAGUUAAAUUUUGUUUUUAUGAAGAAAAAAUUUAAAAUUUUAUUAAGUAGGUGAAAAUAAUAAAUGGAUUCGUGUAUGGUUUGAGAUUCUUGACAUAAUUAUGAAAUAAGCCGGAUUCAACUUAGUUCAAUUUUGACGCGAUAAGAAGACGACACCACACAAACACACGAUAAGAACCGUUACCUGAGAAGAUUGCCAUCAGGAAUUUUGAAAUUGAUUUCACUACAAUACCUUAAUCUUUCAGAUACUCCCAUCACUGAGCUGCCGGAAGAGCUAAAAGCCUUGGUAAAUCUUAAGUGUUUGAACUGUACACAAAUUAUCUCUCUACAAUUCAAAAACAACUGAUUUGUUACUUUUUCAAUGCUACAUGUUCUGCGAAUAUUGAGUUGUGGUUAUCUUGUUGAAAAAUCAGAAAAUAGAGUUCUAUUUGGUGGUAGUGAAUUGUUGGUUGGGGAGUUGCUUAGUUUAAAACGUUUAAAUGUAUUAAGCAUCACCUUACAAGGUUUUUCUGCUGUCCAAAAACUUAUGAGCUCUCAAAAGUUUCAAAGCUGUACAAAAUGUUUGGAGCUUAUAGACUGUGAUGAUUCAAAGUCUUUUGCCUUGGCAGAGUUGAAGCAUCUCGAAAAACUAGUUUUUCGAAUUGUGGAAGAGUUUAAGUUCUGCUGUGUUGAAGUUGGAAAAGCUCAAGAAUGUUUUCGUUUGAACAGCUUUCACCGAGUUAAUAUAAAGGCUUGUCAUAAAUUGAGGGAUGUGACAUGGCUUGUAUUUGCUCCAAAUCUUAUGGUUAUUCAAAUAGAAAAAUGUAUGCAGAUGGAAGCAAUAAUCAGUGCAAGGAAAUUGGGUGAAAUUCCAGAGAUGAUGGCAGAUCUAAACCCUUUUGCAAAACUCCAAUAUCUUCGCUUCCGAGUUCUUCCAAAAUUAAAAAUCGUCUAUUGGAAUGAGUCACCCUUUCCACAUGUCAGGGAAAUUAUUGUAUCUGAAUGCCCAAUUCUCAAGAAGCUUUCACUCAAUUUUAACAAUGCAAAGGAAUCUAAAAUUGUCAUUAAGGGAGAGGAACACUGGUGGAACGAGCUGCAAAGGGAGGAUGAAGCGACCGUUAAUGCUUUUCUUCCUUAUUUUGGUUCCAUUUGACAGGCAUCAACAUGGAUUUAUAUUUUGCGGUGGACAACUUGUAGUAAGUGCUUUUCCAUUUAUUACAUGUUUAUAUCUAACUUUUGUUUUCCUUUAUGGUUAAAUUUUACUAUAUAUAUGUUGUUAUACGGUGACAUUCUCGCAUCAAUUAUUAGCUUUUUAAUUCUCUUCUCGCAUUAAUUGUCCUUCUGAUCAUGUAGGAUUUGCCGAUGUCAAAGAGUAGUAAAUUGGGAUACAAAUGUAAGAAAUUAGCCAGAUGACAUGUUGUUUUGAAGCUUUCGAAGAAGGACUAAUUAUGUCAUUCAAAGCAUCCAAUUUCGCUACUUUUUUUUUUCAUUUGUUGCUUUUUCUAUUUUUAGAUAGCUUGAUUGUCAGUUGUCGUAAUGUAAUGUUUUAGUGUAGAAAAAUGAUAUUCGGCCAAGACAUCGAUAGUAGGGCACAUUGUGCAUGCACACUAGUGGAUGAUUUCGGCAUGCCGAAUCCAAUUAGUGUGGACAACCCUUUAUAAGCAUCAGGCUUCUCUCAUACCAGAGCAAUGUAGAAUAUGUUUAUAAACUGUGGAUUACCCUUUAUAAGUAUUAGGCUUCUUCUAUACUCGCGCGAUGAAACAAAAUGCAUUCUUCAAAUCAAUAGUGGGUGGAAGAAGUGAGUAGAGAAGAACUAGGCCCCUUUCAUUCCCCUAAAACCUCACCGAAACCUCUCUUGUGAACUUCUCAGAUUCUCUCUCAAUAUUUCUUAUGAUCUCAUUUUUGAUAGAAUCAAUUCUUUUGCAUGCUGCAUUUUGUGUGUCUUUUUUGGGUAAUAUCUUAUCUGGAAUGCUGUUAUGAUCAAUAGAAAAAGUAAUCAAGUUUUGGUUUGACGGAAGUCGAUUUAUUUAUUUACUAUUAUUUUUAUUUGAAAUUUUGUACAAUUGUGUUUCAUUCAUUUCUUUCAUUUUUUUAAAUAUUUAUUAUGUAUUGUUGAUGCUGAAAUCUGCUCGCCCUUUGCCCAAUCAGAUCUUUCCACCAAUGUUUACGUGGCUAGAAGAGAAGGUGUCACUUUCUUCUUGUUUCGACUGUUUGCUCAAGCCGCUGGGGUUGGAAUCACCCUUCCUUCUUUUACUAAACAUGCGUUCACAAAAAUGGAUCAGAGACGCCGGUGGUUUUAUCGGCGUAAACUCUCCGAUGCCUAAGUCAGCACAAGGUGUUUAUGGGAAAACAGUGCAGUUUAGAUUUUGAGAUUGCUUAUAAUUUGCUCAAAGUUUGUAUAGAAGACGGCUUGGUUUCAAUUUGGCAGAGUUUUCCCCCCUCUCAGUUUUUCUGUCCCUUCUCCAUUGGUUUUUCCUUAUUUUUAUAGCCGUUGUCCCACGUUUCCGUUCACCCUUCAUGCCCCCCCUUUUCUCGGGUAGUGGCAACCCCUCAUGGGACUCCAACUGCUAUAUUGUGGGUAAACGUGGGACACUGUGUCUCCCUCUACGAUUUUGGGCACAGCGCAACUGGCGUGAUUUCGUGAGAUCGUGUUCCCGCUCUUUGGGGAAUGGGUAUCUGCUCGGUAUAUGUCUCUGGUCGGUGCAUUCCUCUGGCUGGUACUCGUCUCUGGUUGGCCCAUGUUUGUAGAAGGCUCAUUAUCAGUGUUCUGCUCGUACCAUUUGGCUGAGGUGAUCCCUGCCGAGGUGGGGAUGAUGGCAUGGCUGAGCUGAUGCUCUUAUUUACUUAACAUGUAUAAUUGUGUUUCAGUUGAUAUUGAUCAUACUCUAGAUAACUAUGUGAUUGUAGCUGGGGAUUUUAAGUUUUGUGAAUUCAAGAAACUGUCAAAAUGCUAGUGAAAUUGGGACCUUUAUUCAUAAGCUUGUAGUUUUGAAAAGUAGCCCAGUUCAACUGAUGAAGUUCCUUUUUGGGAUUCUUUUUUUCCUAGGCUGCAAUUCGGAUAUGUACCUGAUAGACAAUCUUUUGUGGGUUUAGCAUAUCUUCUCUGAUUUUGUCUUUUAUUCCUCAAUUUUAUAAUUACACACCAUGAAUGUUGAGUGAUUGUAUAGAAAAUUUGAGUUAUAACCAAAGCAUUGUGAAGGAGUUAAGUUAGUGGCUUCUGUUUUAUUGGCAUUGAUUGGGUAGAUUACGUGUUACAGUGAUUCAAUUUGUGAUCCAAACAUUUUUUUAAUUUCUGUUUUCCCAAAUUAUUUAUGUCAAAUUCAAAACCAGAAGCAUGUGCUGAUUUUUUCUUUUUGUAUUAAUCUGUGAAGUUUAUUUGGAAAGGAAGUAUCUGGGUCUAAUGGAUUAAAUUAUGUAAGUGGCAGAAAUUCCUACACACAUAAAUAUGCAUAAAUACAAGAGUAUACACAAAAAAAUGCACACACUCAUACAUCCAGUCAAUAUAGUUAAUGUAUGAUACCAAUUGUUGGGGAAAAAUUAGGUUUUUAAUUUUUUAUAAAACCUUUUGAAGAUCGCUCUCAUAUAAUAUAUAAGAAUUUGUAUUCUAGAAAUCGUACCUUGAAAAUCCGAGUUGGCUUUUUCCGCUGAAGUGUUUUAGGCUCCUAGAUCACGAUCCGCCACCACCGCUCCUGUUAGAUCACGAUCCGUCACCACCACGCUUGUUAGAUCACGAACAGUCUCCAAUGAUCUUCCAGGUUAUGACUCAGGUUCGAUCUGCACUUGACGUGUAGGCGCCUUUAUCACUACCAAAGCAACUAGCACGAGAAAAUUUUUCUCUCAACAAUAGAGAGAAAAAUCUUUUUCUCUGAUCUGUAUAAAGUGGCUUCUCACUUUUUCUUUAGGGAAAAAUAAGCCUUUUAUAUCACCCUUUAGUGAAAACCCUAGGCUCCAAAUAAAUGAAAAAUAAAACCCACGUUUAUUUGCUUUUUCAAUAGGGGACCCACCUUGUAAAAUAACAUAAGGCCCCUUAUACAAAAGCUAAUUAAAUGGAGCCUCCCACUAAAUGAUAUAUUUAGGCUUUUGACCCAAAUAGCUGGUUAUCUUACUUAUUAGUCCAGUAGUGGUGCAGUCAAUUAAAUGAGCUAACCCGGGGAUCAUUUGGGAACAUACAAUAGUGGCUACAAUAAUUAGGCCUGUAAUUAAACUAGCCCAAUUAUUUAAUUCCAAAUCUACUCCAUUAAAAGAUUGGAACUGACUUCCAUAAUUGUAUGCUCGAAUAAUAAUUCGUCCCAAGCCACAUUGAUUUCUUUACUGCACAAUCCUUUGUACCACAUCGUUAAUUAAAUUGAUAUCUCAACUGUCCAAUCAAUUUAAUAACAUCUUAUUCCUUGAUCCUUACUGGUUUUCUCUAAUGAUCAUUUUCAACAUACUAAAUAUGUUGACACACUCUGGCCAGAGAAUUCUAUGAUCAAGUGCCGAAAACCCAUGAAGAGAUGUGUUGUACAAAUUCUAUAUUGUUAAUCUAUAACUCCAAUACUCAUAAUUGCUCCCACCAAGAUACCGGGUAAUCUUGACCACAAGGAUGUGUCGUGCCCAUUGGUAACUCAAAUGGAAUAACAAUUACAAUCAUGAAAUCAUAAUUAACUCAAGAUUAAGAUUACAGUAAAAUCAACGCCUAUGAGAUUUAAUAAGUCUGACAGUUAUUACAAAGUUAAUUAAAUCUCAUAUGUGAUCCUGUUCAAUGUAGUCGUACUACAUCAAUAAAUUCAUACAUGAUUAAGACAAAUCAUUCAAUGAAUUUAUUACAGUCUAUACCUAAAUAAAGUGCCCAACUUUAUUUAUCAACUGCGAACUAAAUUUAUUUAAUCAUAAGAUAACAUGUAUUUAUGUCUUCUGUGAAUCCACAUGGUAAUCACAUAAAUACAUAUAAUAUGAUUAAAUGGACUUUAAUACAAGUAUUAAUGCAAUUAAGAUAUUUGAAUAAAAUACCUCAUUUAUUUUAUUAAUCAGAAAAAUAGUUUAUUACAAUUAAAUAAACAUAUAUGCUUUUAAAGAGCAUAUUUUCCCAACACAUACCGGUUUGGUUAUCUUGCUGCAAGUGCACCACAUUAGCCUUGCAUUCUGGUGCCAACUCCUCCGGCGGUUCACCCACUACCUUUCCCAAUGCUUUGGACCUCCAUUCGGUCUCCAUCAGAUUUCUCAGGAGCACUAAAUAAAGCAGCUAAAACUUGCUUCUGUAGUUCAUUUCUGUCUUUCGGGUGUCUAGGCAAUUUUCCUUCGUUGGUAUUUCGAUCUUCCUUUACAUGACUGAGGAAAUACAGUCAAAAGCUAAUCAAGUAACCAUACAUGGAUGAGAAAUCCCUCCACCCCCUUCCAAAACAAAGUCUAAGAAAUAUCAGAAUUCUUUCAGUAAAAACCCUUCCCCCCAUGCUGUGCCCACUGAAUGAAAUAUAUUAAUCUUAUGAGAAGUUGAGAAAAUAAAUUAAAGACCAUACCCUCCGGAAGAAUUCAAUUGUUGCAAUUUUCUUUCACGUGGAGGUCCUCCAAAGUUAGAGCACAUAUCCGUACACUGUUUAUGAAAUCAUAAUAACAGGGGACCAUUUAUUAAUAACAAAUCUUGACACCUAAAAGUCAACUGUGAUGAAAAAGAUUAAAAAGAAUAUGAACUUGUUAUCUUGGAAGUGAAAAAUAUUUGAGAUGCUUGAAUAUGGUGAAAAUAGUAAUUGUUUUUGUUACUUCUACAAUUCUUGAAUUUUACAAAUAUAUAAAGACAUUCAAGAUGCUGUACAAGGAAAGACAAUAUUUACAAUAAUUAUAAUAAUCAACUAGCCGUUGUGAUGAAUCCACCAUGACAUGUGCUACUAUAUUCUCCAUCAAUUAUGGCUUAGACGAGAUGUUGGAAAUCCUCUUGCCAUGGCGGUACAAGCUACCAUAUUUGUUGCUUGUGACUUGUCCUUAUCAGCCCCCUUUAAGCUAGGCAGUGACAUGCGAUGAACACCUAGCUUGGUUCGUAGCGUGAGAAAUUGAUGCUUCCCCAAAGGUUUUGUAAGAGUGUCUGCAAUCUGAAGAUGAGAAGGCACAUAUCGUGUAAAUAAUGACCCUUUAGCAACCUUUUCACGAACAAAAUGCACGUCAAGCUCAAUAUGUUUCAUUCUAGCAUGAAACACUGGGUUCUUAGUCAUAUGAAUUGCACUCAAAUUGUCACAGAGAAGCGUGGGUGCUUUCGGAAUACAGAACCCAAUGUCAUUAAGUAGAUAUGUGAGCCAUGUUAACUCGGCAGCGGCAGAGGCCGUGGACCUAUAUUCGGCUUUGGCACUUGAGCGAGAGACUGUGUGUUGUUUCUUGGAGCUCCAAGAGAUACAAUUGCUUCCAAGAUAAAUGCAAAAUCCUGUUGUACUUCGUCUUGUUAUUGGACAUCCAGCCCAAUCGGAAUCAGAAAAGGCAUAGAGCUUGAGAGAGCUUUGAGACAAAAAUCUAAGGCCAAAGUCAAGGGUACCGUUAAGGUAACGAAGGAUCAUUUUCACGUCCUUGAGGUUGGCUUUUGUUGGCGCUUGGAAGUGUUGAGAGACUCAAUUGACAACAAAUGUGAUAUCGGGCCUUGUGUAGGUGAGAUAUUGAAGGCGUCCAACAAGGCCUCUAUAUUCGGUUGCAUCCAUAGGUUCAUUAUCAUCCGAACAUGGUAUUGAUCGUAUAGCCAUCGGCGUGUUGAUAGGAGAACAAUCCUGCAUUCUUGCCUUGGAAAGAAGGUCUUUAGUGUACUUCGCUUGAGAUAGGAAGAUGCUAUGCGUGAAUUGUUGAACUUCAAUGCCUAGGAAGUAAUGUAGGUUGCCAAGAUCUUUUAAAGCAAACUUUGAGCUCAGAUUGUUGAUGAUUGAUUGAAUUUCCUUCUCAUUAUUUCCUGUAAUGAUCACAUCGUCAACAUAAAUUAAUAUAAGUAUAAGAAUGGAUUUGUUAUUAAAUAUAAAUAAAGAACUAUCAGCUUUGCUACUAGAAAAUCCAAGAGAAAUUAAGGCUUGAGAAAAACACUCGAACCACGCUCUAGGUGCCUGUUUCAGGCCAUAGAGCGAUUUUUGAAGCUUGCAAACAUAUGUUGGAUGACGUGAAUUGCGAAACCCGGGAGGCUGCUCCAUGUAGACAAUCUCCUUUAGUAGUCCAUGAAGAAAAGCAUUGCGAACAUCCAGUUGCUUGAUAAGCCAUUUUGAGCUCACAACAAUUGCAAGGAUAAGGCGAAUAGUUGUGGCCUUUAUAACGGGACUGAAGGUUUCAUCGAAGUCGACUCCUGGAACCUAUGUGAAUCCCUUGGCAACUAAUCGAGCUUUAUAGCGAUCAAUGGUUCCAUCUUCUCUGUAUUUGAUACGAUAUACCCACUUCGAUUUGAUGACAUUAACAUUGUUAGGCCGCGGCACAAGGACCCAUGUAUGAUUUUGAUGCAAUGCUUGAAGCUCUUCUUUCAUAGCUUGAGUCCAAAGUGGAUUCUUUAAGGCAAUUUUGAGUGUUUUGGGUUCAAUUUCUCUACUGUCGCUGGCUUGAAGGGCUAAUUUAGGAUUUUGUUUGAGUUUAUUGCGUGUCAUCAUGGGAUGAGUAUUUAUGCUUUGCAGUUCUGCAGCUGUGUUUGGUAUCUUAAGUUCCACAAAUAAGCGAUUGGAUAUGUCAGGAUAAUCUGGUUGUGAAUUUGUGGCAGGGCUGUUGUCCGUAUUUCUGGACAAAUUAAGUGGUUCAGUUGCAUGUGAACUACUAGAAUUUGAAUCAUUUGUAGUCAAAUGUUGCAUUGCAUGUGGAGACUCCAAAAUAUUUGGAAUUGCUUCUGACUUGUCGUGUGGAGUUGCUGAAUUCAAAUUGUCCUCUAAAUUGUCUUGUGGGAAAUCUAAAAUAAUUGGAGAAGUGGCAUUUUAGUUGUUGUCCAAGUUCACGUCCUUGUGGGGCAUGAAUUGCACAUGUGGUGUUGAUAUUGUAGCGCCUUUACAAUUGUUUACUUUGACAGCACGUGAAUCAUUAAGAUUCUCACAAUUGGGAGAAUUCUUUGGGAGCCACUCAUCUUGUUGAGGGAAGGUGGUCAAUGUACUAUGUUCCUGCACAUUAAAAAAUGAUGUUAAAAUUUUUGAAUGGUAAAUAAUUUUCAUCAAAUACAACAUGCCCAUAUAUAUAUACACGAUUAGUCUCAGGUUGUAGACAACGACAUCCUUUAUGGAGGGGACUAUAGCCUAUGAAAACACAUGGAUAUGAUUUUUUUAUCAAAUUUUGUUUUACUGUAAUCCUGAAGAUAAGGAAAACAUCUACAACCUAGGACUUUUAACCCUCUAUAAUCCGGUAAUUUUUUGAAAAGAAUUUCAUAAGGGCUUUUAUUUUUUAAAGGUGAAAGAGGCAGCCUGUUAAUGAUAUAAGUGGCUGCAAGAAAAGAAUCCACCCAUAAUUUGAGUGGCAAAGAAGCAUGAAACAUCAUCGUCAAGGCUGUCUCAUUGAUGUGCCUAUGCUUUCUCUCAGCAACACCAUUUUGCUCCGGAGUGUAUGGACAAGAAAUUUGUCUUGUGAUGCCGCAAUUUUCAAGAUGUUUGAUGAAGGCCGUAUCCAUCACUUUGAAAUAUUGUGAUCUUUUUGUCCAAUUGUUUUUCAACUUGUUUCUGAAAUUUCAAGAAGCACUCCAAGAAAUCAGAUUUUUGUUUUAAGGGAUAUAACCAACUAAAACGUGAGUAAUCAUCUACAAAUAAUACAUAGUAACGAAAAUGUUGAGUAAAAGUAAUGGGAGCUGGACCCCAUAUAUCACAAUGCACUUUUUGUAAAGGAAAAUCUGCUUUAUUAUUAGAUAAAUUAAAAGAUUUCCUACAACUCUUGCCUAAUUGGCAAGAAACACAAAUAUGGGGUGCUUUAGACCAACUAGAAAAGUCAAUAAAAUUAUUGCGUUUUAAGGCCUCCAAGAUUUUAGGAUUGGCAUGGCCAAGCCUCUUGUGCCAUAAACUAAAACCGCUAGAUUCUCCUUGAAUUGUGUUGAAGGCAGCAUGAAAGUCUCAUUCCAAUGUGUAUAGCUUCCCUUGCUUACUCCCCUUUGCUAGAACCUUGUUUUCCUUUCUCUUCACAAUAAAACCAUCAGUGUUAAAUUUAAAAACACAUUUAAUAUCAUCAAUGAGUUGUCCAACUGAUAAGAGAUUCUUUUUGAGUUUUGGAACAACUAAAAUAUUAUUUAAGUGCAAAGAACCGUGAUUUGUAUUUAAAGAAGCAGAACCAAUAUGUGAAAUAUUUAAAUCUUGACCAUUGCCAACAAUUAUUUUGUCAUUACCUCUAUACGGCCUUACAUGAUCAAGAUUAUCUGUGUUAUUUAUCAUGUGUGAUGUUGCUCCAGAAUCCACAUAGAACUGUUGAUCAUUAUUUUCUUGAAGAUUCAUCGCAGCUAGGGCAUGUGGAUCCUCUUCAUUGUCAUAGUCGUAUCUGUACCAACAUUCAGCAGCACUAUGUUUGCGUUUGUGACAGAUUUGGCAAAUAACUUCUUCAUCUGAGGUAUUAUUUUCUUUAUUUGGUUUUUGAGGCUGCUGUUGUGGUUUACGGUUGUUGCCAUUGUUGUAGUUGUUGGGGUAAUUUCUACCACCUGAGUUGCGUUGAGAUCCUCUGCCUCGGUAUGGAGGUCUUCCACCUCUUUGAUUUCUGCCUCUUCCACCUAUAUUAUGGAAAAGAUAGAGUUCUCUGAAUCUGAAAGACUGAAACAUUUUGCAUAUUUCGUGAAAGGGAAAUAUUUGUAGAUACUAGUUCAUGCAUUGAGGUAACAUCAAUGUUAAAGAAAAACGGCAAUAACUUAUUAUAUAGAAUUAGGUUCACUUGCUUUAAAUGCUGGUCUGGUCAACCAUAUGAACCUGUAAGUGUAUCUGCAGAAGUAUGGUCAGCCAUAUGAACCUUUUUGGGGGGCAAAUUAGAAAAAUUUUCCUAAAAAAGUGAAAAAAAUCAUUUUUUUUUUUUUAAAAAAAAAAAACUUUAAAAAUUUUUUCAAAAGCUUUUUUUUUUUUUUAAAACCAAUGGUUUGAGGCUGCUGUUGUGGUUACGGUUGUGCCAUUGUUGUAGUUGUUGGGGUAAUUUCUACCACCUGAGUUGCGUUGAGAUCCUCUGCCUCGGUAUGGAGGUCUUCCACCUCUUUGAUUUCUGCCUCUUCCACCUAUAUUAUGGAAAAGAUAGAGUUCUCUGAAUCUGAAAGACUGAAACAUUUUGCAUAUUUCGUGAAAGGGAAAUAUUUGUAGAUACUAGUUCAUGCAUUGAGGUAACAUCAAUGUUAAAGAAAAACGGCAAUAACUUAUUAUAUAGAAUUAGGUUCACUUGCUUUAAAUGCUGGUCUGGUCAACCAUAUGAACCUGUAAGUGUAUCUGCAGAAGUAUGGUCAGCCAUAUGAACCAUAUGGGGGGACAAAUUAGCUAAAUUUUCCUCUUAUUUAUGGGUUUGGUCAUUUUUUCCCCUUCAGCUUUCCUUCUCCUGAAGUAUGUUAACAAUUGCAGAUAAUGACGAAGAGGACCGCUUCCAGGCUCUUCGUAGAGCUGCGAUGUAAUAUAGGGGCACAAUGAAGGAACAUUGUAAAGCUGUAGGUUCUUUUUCUCCUGUCAUUUAUGUUUUCUCACACAUUUUUUAUAUGCUCCAAGCAUCCAAUUUUGUAUGUGUCUUUGCCUUUUAAGUUUUAAAAACCAUAAAGUAAGAAUACAGUUCCUUGUCAGGUUAUUGAUGCAUUCACUCAGGGGGAUCAUGCUCGAGCAGGAAAACUUCUAGAACAGGUAAGGUUUCCAUCUACAGCCAUUUAUUGACAACAUAUAUAUUUUCAUUCAGCAAGCACUGUUAGCAUUCAAGAUGCUGGCAGAUUCACUUGAUUCUUAUUAGUUUGUUUAGUAGCAAAGCAUAUAACCUGUAUUUUAAAGCUAAGUUGUGCUAUUGAUUAUGUUAACUUUAUUGUUCACAUAAAGUGAUAUUGAGGAAAUAAUCAAUGUAGGAAAAUUAGGUGAAGAGAUGAUGUCAAAUCUUGAACCUCUUACAAAACUCCAAGUUCUUUACUUGAAGAAGCUACCAAAUUCGAACAGCAUCUACUGGAAGGCCUUGCCAUUCCCUGAUGUAUGCAGAAUUUUUGUAUUUAAAUGCCCAGAGCUUAAGAAGCUGCCACUAGAUCUUGAAAGGGCAGGCCAAGGUAAAAUUCUUAUCAAGGAAAAGAAAGAUGGGUGGAAACAACUUCAAUGGGAGGAUCAAGUAACUCAUAUUGCAUUGCUUCCAUCUUUAAAAUCAACCAACAAGUGAUUGAAGGGGGCAUCAUCAACAUCAUCAACAUGGAUAGAGAGAUUCUGGAGCAGAUCAGCCGGGUUUAGUACGACCUGUGGUGGUUUCUUUUUUGUGACUUUUUUCCCUUUCAUUUUUUCACUUCCUGUCAUAUUAUCAUUUCUUUGUCUCUGUUUCUAUUGCUGGUGUUGCUGCAUGCUUGCUGCCCUUGACAAAGUUAGCUAGUUUUUUUGUUUAUUAAAUUUUGUAUGUUCGGGACAGUCACAAAGUACUACUUGUUCUAUAUGGGGGUGAUGUGAAUCAACUUUUCAAUUAUAUAUUCUGUGGUAAUUGUGAAUUCAAUUUCAUUUGUCUCCUGCAAAUUAUGAAGAAAGUGCAGAGUUACAAUAUGGAAAAGUUCACUGGCAAAUACUUUGUAAAAGCUUCGGAGUGAAACAGGGAAUGCACUAGCAACUAAGGACAAAUUGGUGGCCAGCUAAUGCAUUCAUUUUAUGUACAUUGCUAAUUUGUAUGUUAAUUAUUAGAUAAUCAAUUAUUUGGAUAAUCCCUUGUGUUUUAUCUCUAAUUAGAACAUCAAUCUUCACAAUAUCUACAAUGCUACAAUGGCUAUAAAACAAAACCUGUUUGCAAAUUGUCAAGGAUACUUAUCCUUUCGCUUGACAAGUCAUUUGGAAAAAUAUUGUCCCUUGGCGGCUCCAUGUCUUCUCUGCCCCUCCUUUUGGUCUUAAUGUACGGUUGCAUAAUGAUAGUUUAGGCCCUUCAGGGACUACUUUCCCUGGUGUUGUUAAGUCUUAGCUUGUGCUAGGCUCGUUUUUCUUACCAAAAGAAAAGGAAUACUUCUCCUAUAAGAAAUAAUCUCUAUAUAUAGGGUAGUUGGAUUCACUUGUUUACAUAACAAAUCAAUUAGUUCUCUGUAAGUAGAGAGUUUCAAGUAUGAGAGAAACGGUAGGUCUAUCGAGAGAUUAUGUGUUAUUAGGAUUUUGGUUGUGAAGAAAAGUACUAGAGUGAUUGUGUUAAUUUUCUACAUAGUGGAUUUUUCUAUCGUCAUCUUUGUGGCUGUGAUUUUUCUUUUAUAUAGAAGUUUCCCACGUAAAUUGUUAUGUUAUGUGAUUAGUUUUAUUCUCCAUCUAUUUUUUGUUUAUUAUUUGUUUGAUAUUUUAUUUGUAAGAUGUUGGAUGGGAUUAAAAUUCCUUAACAAAUAACGGAUUAAAAAUAUUGAAGAAAAAGCUCAAGAGAUCUUCAAGAUUUGAAGUGUGAAAAAGUUCAUAUUACUGCUAGAUGAUAUAUAGGAGCGGGUUGAUUUAGUAAAAAUGGGUGUCCCUCUUCCUAGAUCAGAAAACAACACAUCCAAAGUGAUAUUUACAAACCCGUUCUGAGGAAGUUUGCGGCUUAAUGGAAGCUCGUAGGAGUUUUAAAGUGGCGUGCUUAUCAAAUAAAAAUGCUUAGGAUUAUUUCGAUACAAAGUUGGGGAAGAAACUUUGAACAAUCAUCUUGAUAUCCUUGAGCAAGCACAAUAGUUGUUAAGGAGUGUGGUGGUUUGCCACUUGCACUUUUUACCAUCGGCCGAUCUAUGGCGUGCAAGAAGACACAGCCGAAGAAUGGAGAUAUGCUAUUCAAGUGUUCACUUCGUCCGCUUCCUGUUUCCAGGUCUGGAAGAAGGGAUAUAUACUCUUGUAAAAUUCAGUUAUGAUAGUUUACCCAAUGACACAAUUACACCUUGUCUGUUAUAUUGUAGUUUAUAUCCAGAAGAUUGUUGCAUUUCUAAAGAGAAUUUGGUAGAUUGUUAGAUCAAUGAAGGAUUUUUUAAUGAAAGUGAUUGGUUUGGAGAAAAAAUCAAGGAUACUUCAUUUUGGGCAUUCUUCUUCAUGUUUUUUUUUGGAAAAGGGAGGAGAUUGUGAAGUGAAAAAUGCAUGCAUGACGUUAUUCGUGAUAUGGCUUUGUGGAUCGCAUGCGACUAUGAGAAGGAGAAGGAGAACUUUUUGGUUUACGCUGGUGUUGGUUUAGCUAAGGUACCGGAUAUUAGAGAUUGGGAAAAGGUAAGGAGAUUGUCAUUGAUGAAAAAUAAAAUUGAGAAUCUAUCUGAGGCUCAUACAUGCCCUCAUCUCCUCACUUUCUUUCUUGACGAUAAUGAGUUUCGGAAGAUCCCCGGUGAUUUCUUCCAGUUUAUGCCUUCUCUCACUGUUUUAAACUUGUCAUGUAUUAAACUAAAGUCAGUUCCUUUAGGGACUUCAAGGUUGGUUCCACUACAACAACUCGAUCAUUCAUAUUCAAGCAUAAAAGAGUUGCAAGAAGAGUUAAAUGCCCUGAUUAAAGUUAAAUGCUUGAAUAUAGAUCAUGUAGAGGAGCUAAUUACAGUUCCACAACAACGGAUAUUUAAUUUUUAAGGUUAUAUGUGUUGAGAAUGUUCGAUACUAUUAGUUUAAAUUUUCAAGAAGCAUUAAAUAAAGACAGCAUUUUAUUUGGUGGGGAGGAAGUUUAAGCAGAGGAGUUGCUCGGUUUGGAAUAUUUGGAGGUAUUGAGCUUCACUUGAGAAGUGUUCGUGCUCUCCAAUUUAUUUUGAGCUCACAUAAGCUACGAAGUUGUACUCAAGCGCUGUUCCUCCAAUCCUUCAAUAAUUCGAUAUGGCUUGAUAUUUCACUUUUGGCAGAGUUAAAAGCACCACUGCAGAUUUAAGUAUUUUUGGCUGUAGAAAAUUGGAGGACUUGAAGAUGGAAUAUACAGGGGGAGCGAAAAACAAGCGGCAACCUUGUGUUUUCUAAGGCCUACAUACAGUUCACAUAGAGGUUUGUUCUAAAUUGAAGGACUUAACAUUCCUUGUUUCUGCUCCAAAUCUCAAGAACUUGGAAAUACAAAAUUGCCCUGCUGUGGAAGCAAUCAUCGGUGUGGGAGAAUUUGCGGAAGCUCUAGAUGUGGUGGAAAAUCUAAACCCAUUUGCAAAACUCCAGUUUCUUGGACUAGAAAAUCUGCCAAAUGUGGAGAGCAUCUAUUGCAGGCCUCUGCCCUUUCCAUGUUUGAAAAGAAAUGACUGUGGAUAGUUGCGGUUGUCUUAAAAAGCUUCCACUCUACUCCAACAGAGUAAAAGAGUGUACAAUUGUUAUUUCAUCAUUCGGAGAGUUAAUGGUGCAAUGAGAUUUGGCAGUUAACUCUCGUGGGAAGAGCUUUAAUGGGAAGACGAAGCCACUCGAAUUGCUUUUCAUUUCUGUUUCAAAUCUCUAAUUGGAUUGGAGAUUGCAUUUCGCCUCAGGUUCGUACUUUUCUUGAAUUUUUCUUGUUAACUUCAUUUGUUCAUUUAUCCAUUUUUUUUUUAAAGGAAUCAGAAGGGUUAAUAUUUUUGGUUGUGUUAGGUCGACUUCUAAUCACGAGGCAGAAGGAGCUGAGAUGAAGUUUAAUUUUGGUGGAGAAAUUGUUUGAUUUAAAAAAUUUAAAUGAGUUGACCAUCAUUCUUUAGCAUAUUUGUAUGAACAGGAGUGUGUAAAUAUGCAAACUGUCCAGCUGUAUGUGUAUAACGUAAUAAUUUUGAGGAGUUAAAACAUUGAAGAAUAUUGAUGUUUCCAUUGUCAAACCAAAUAUACUUAAUUACUUGAGGAUAAUGAUUACUGCUAAUACAUUUGCAAAGAAAAAAACAUGCCUAUUGAAAAACUCAUCUUAUUAGCAACAGCAUUAUAAGUAGUAUCCAAUCAUAGUUUCAUGCAAGAUUUUGAGAUUUUUCAAAUGCUGAUUCCGGGAAUGGAGAUUAAUAGAUAAUGGAGACAGGUUGACUGCAAUGGCUAAUUGCAAGAGGGAAUUUUAGUCGUAAAAACAGACCAACUAGCAAAGCAGAUUCCAAAUCUUGGAAUGAAGUAGCAAAAAAACGAAACAAACAACUGGCAAGAGGAAGUGACUAUACAAUAAUAACAUCGACUUGCAAUUCAACAUUUAUAUAGUUAUACACACCAAGAAAAGAGAAAAUUACAAUAGCAAUUUGGCUACUAGAAGAUGUUCAUUCAUGCUUAUGCCUGUCAUAUGGAUUUGAAACAAGGAGUAAAAGCAUUUAGAGUGGCUUUAUCCUUCCACUGCAGCUCAUUCCACCAGUGUUGCUCUCCCCUAAUAACAAGUUUGCGUUCCUUGGCGCUGUUGUAAUCGAGUGGAAGCUUCUUGAGGUUCGGGCAUCCAGAUACAAACAAUUCCAAGAGAUUUGGAAAGGGCAAUGCAUUCAAACAGAUCUUCUUCAAAUUUCUUAGAACUUGCAACCGAAGAUAUUGGAGUUUCGCAAAAGGUUUUAGCCCUGGAACUUCUUCCACUUUCCAAACACUGAUUAUUUCUUCCAUCUCAUAACAACGUUCUACAUGCACCAUCUUCAGAUUUGGGGCAAAAACAAGCCUUGUCAUCUCCCUCAAUUUACUGCAAUAGUCUAUGGUAACACUUUGAAGGCUGUUGAAACCAUAAGUUCUCUUGUUGUUUGAACUUCUGCAUAGUCAACCUUUAGCUCUUCCAAACUUGUACAAUACACAAAAUCUAGUUUGUCAAGGUACUUGAGAUCUGCUAUGGACAAAAUAUUCCAUGACCUUGAAUCCUCACAGCGGCGAAGCUCUAAAGCAUAUUUACAACUCUUGUACUGUUGGCAGCUCAAAAGUCUUCGUAGAGCAUAAAAACUUCUUAACGUGACGCUUAAUACAUUUAAAUGUUCCAAAGUAAUCAACUCCUCUACCAAAAUUUCACUACCACCAAAUAGAACGCUAUCUUCUGGUACUGUAUUAGCAGAGCCACAAUCUAGCAUCCUCAACACCUUUAACCCAGAAAAAUUACAAAGCAGUUGCCGUGGAAUCGUAUGGAGAUAACGCAUGUACUCCAAGUUCAAACACUUUAGAUUUUUCAAGGCUUUUAAUUCAUGUGGUAACUCUUUGAUGAAAGUUUCUGAAAGAUUAAGAUAUUGUAGUGAAACCAAUUUUGAAAUUCCUGAAGGCAAUUGACUCAAGGAGCGAUUCUUUGAUAGGUUUAAAACUUUUUUUUUUUUGGUGAGAGGGGGCUCGUCAAAACGAGCUAAAUAGAAACAAAACGGGGUUGAGUAACCCCAAACAAGUCUUGCGAAAUGAUAGAAUAUAUACCCAUAGGAGGGUCAGAGAACACUUGCAAUCCAAGAGGAGCUGAAUGAGCCAUAUUAGCCAUGAAGUCCGCAGCUGAGUUUGCUUCACGAUAGAUAUGGGUGAUAGCAAUCUGCCAAUUUCUACUUAAUAAUUCGUGGACAGCUACUAUUAAAGCAUGGAACACAUUAGGAACGACCACCUGCUUAGAGAUUAUUUGUGUAAUACAAAGACUAUCCACUUCCACCAACAGCCGUUUUAUGCCUACAUCCCAAGCCAGAAUUAGACCCUGAUACAGCCCCCAAAGCUCAGCCAUAAGCACUGAACUCUCCCCAAUUCUCAUACAAAAUCCGGAAAUCCAAUGACCGACUGAGUCUUGAAUGACACCUCCUGCUCCUGCUUCCCUGUCAUUUUUACGAGAGCCAUCUGAAUUUAAUUUGCACCAUGGCCAUGGCGGCGGAAUCCAACGAAUAAAAAUCUCCUUUCUCCUCGGCUGUUGACUUAUACCGGAAUUAUAAACUUUGUAAAUUUCAUUAGCUCUAGCCAUAGCAUCCAUAUAGACUGUUACACCAUCCACCAACUUCCCCGCAAACAAGAAAUGGUUCCUCCAGAACCACAGCCUCCAAACCACCACUCCAAAGAUACAAUCCCAAGGGAGGGAAGAUGCAAUCUUCCAUUUGUUCUGCAAGUUCCCAGUAAUCCAUUCACGUAGAUUCGAAUUGAAGAAAGCGUUAUGAGUUGCCAUUGGGACAAGCUUACGCCAAACCUGAUUAAUACAGCAGUAAUCUCUCAAUGCAUGGAGAAUAUCUUCAACCGCACCCCCACAUCUAUCACAGCCCUCAGGAGCAUUGAUAUGGCGCCUAGCUAGCUCAACAUGAGUCUUUAAUUUCCCAUGCAUCAGCUGCCACAGAAAAAGACGGAUGGAUUGAGGCCCCUUCCAACUCCACGGAAGCUUCCAAAUUCUGUCAUGAUCAGCCAAGUGAUGAUAGCAAAGGGAUGCAUAAGCUGAACGAACCGUAAACAUGCCGCUCGGAUCCAGACCCCAGUAAAUUUUGUCAGACCCAAAAUGCGGUCUCGGAGGCAUGACUGAUGCGAUCUGCAUGAGAGUAUAAUGUGGCAGCAAAUGCUCAAAGCUCGACCAAUUCCAUCCCCCCUGACCAUUCGUAAACUCACUCACGGUGGCGUUGAUAAGCUCCUGAGGAAUCGGCUGGAGAGCUAGGCUGCUCAAGGGAUAUUUCGUAGCCCAACAAUCUAUCCAAAAGCGAGCUCGACCUCCAUCGCAAACAGACCAGCGAGCUCCCUGAACUAUUGUCAACCACUUGCUACGAAUAGCUCUCCAAAUCUGAGAACCCGGUUUAUCUGGAAGGGACAUCGGUAAAUUUGCUGGAAUCCAAUCCAUAUUUGGAACAGAAAACUUUCACCCACAAUUUAUCCGAGCUGGACACAAUCUCCCAGCUCAAUUUCAUUAUCAGCGCCUGGUUCAUCUCGUCCAUUUUUUUGAACCCCAGACCUCCAUAUUGUUUCGGCAUGCAGAUUUUGCUCCACCCCACCAUACUCAUCUUAGGACUCUUUGAAUUCCCAUCCCAAAUAAAUCGCCGACAAGAUUUGUCUAUUUUAUGCCUCACUGGAGAAGGAAGAAAUGUCGUUUGCAUGGCAUAAAUAGGCAUUGCUUGCAGAACUGAUUGAGCCAGGGUGACGCGUCCAGCAAAAGAGAGAUGAGUCGCAUUCCAACCAGUAAGUCGGUUAUCGACUUUAUCAAGGAUGGACUGAUACGUGGAUUUAUUAACCCGCGUGUGAAUUAAUGGCAUUCCAAGAUAAUCACCCAAAUUAUUUGUGGCCGAAAAACCCAAAGUAGAGCCUAUGAGAUUGGCAUCCCGAGUAUCAACAUUUUUUGAGAAGAACACCUUGGUUUUCAACUUAUUUAUUUUUGCUUCAGAGCUCCUACAAUAGUUUUCCAGAACAACAUCAACCACAUAAGCUUGGUCAAUUGAAGCUUCCACAAAUAAAAGCAAAUCGUCUGCAAAAAAGAGAUGAGUUAAGGGAGUUCCAUAUUUGGCCAACCUAAUAGGCCUCUAUCUCCCAUCCAUUACCGCUUGGGUUAUCCCAUGACUCAAACGCUCGAUACACAGAACAAAAAGAUAAGGCGAGAGGGGAUCUCCCUGACGAAUACCUCUCCCUGGAGUGAAGGUCCCUGUAACCUCACCAUUCCACAAAAUACUCAUACUAGCUGAAGUUACGCAAUCCAUGAUAAGUCUAGAUAAAUGAGUUGGAAUACCAGUCUGUUGAAGCGUAUCAAAAAUGAAAUCCCAAUUAAGCCAGUCAUACGCCUUCUCUAGGUCAACCUUAAUGGCCAUAAAUCCUUUCCUGCCAGUUUUUCUGCGCAUUGAGUGAACAACUUCCUGAGCCACAACAAUAUUAUCUACGAUAUUCCUCCCUGGAACAAAACUUGUCUGAUUGGGGCCUAUUAGAUUGGGCAACAGCGAUUGCAAGCGAGUGGCUAUAAUUUUAGUCACCGUCUUGUAAGCCAUUGUGCAUAGGCUUAUGGGCCUAAACAUCUUUAAGCUAGUAGGGUGCUCCUCUUUUGGAAUCAAAACCAGGAGGGUAGUAUUUAUCUCUUGCGGCACUUUGCCCGUGGUAAAAAUAUCAUCAAUAAACCUGCAAAACGACGGACCCACAACAUACCAUUGGGAUUGAUAAAAAAUAGCAUGCAACCCAUCCGUAUCUAGAGCUUUCAGCGGCUUCAUACUAAAAACGGCACUUUUAAUCUCCUCCCUCAAAAUUGGGGCUGCGGCACCAUCAACGUCAUGAGAACUCAAGUCUGGAAAAAAAUUUGGCACAUGGUAGUUCUGAUAAAUAGCAUUUUCUCUUUUAAAUAAUUCUGAAAAAUACCCCACUGCAUGCCUCUUUAUAUCUUCCUCAUCAUACAGCCAAUUCCCUGAACUGUCUCGGAUAGCCUCGAUUCUAUUCCGCCGCCUUCGAGCAAUAGUUUUUUUAUGGAAAAAAUUCGUAUUUCUGUCUCCAUGUAAAAGCCAAUCCUUUCGAGAUUUCUGGAGCCACAGAAUUUCCUCCUGGCUCAUCACCAUUUCGAGCUCAUUACGCAAUCGGGCCUCCAAUCGCCUCAAACUGCGAGAGCUAUAUUUCUCUAGGGUGGCUUGAAUUCCAUUAAUCCGAGCCAUAAGCCGGCGUUUCCUCUGAAAGAUAUUCCCAAACACAUCUCGAUUCCAAACUUGAACCUCCUGAACAAAAUGAGAAGCUGCUGCACUAUAGUGGGAUUGCGGAUUCCACAUCCGCUUAACAAAAUUGUUAAAGUGCUCAUGAGUUAACCAAGCAGCCAAGAAGCGGAAAGGCCUGGUGUUGAGUGUUAGAAAAUGCAUAUUUAUAAAGGAGAAAACCGUCAUUUUACAUUUUAAGUCUUACUAACAACCCUUACUUUUAUAUAUUUAACCUUCUUGUGAUUUAAUUACAUGUGUUUUAUUUUAAUUAAGUAUUUUAUGUAUUUUAGGGGCAUUAUAGUCAUUUCACAAUAAAGGAGAGAUCAGACGGCAAAACGGACAUCACUUUUGAACUCAGGACGGUCGAAAACCUUAGGAGGAGCAUAAAAGGAAAAAUGGCACUAUUCACAUGUACGGUACUAUUCACGUAUACGGUACUGUCUACGUUACUGUUCACGACACUGUUCACAUAGACGGAUCGAUGACGUGGCAUUGACCGAUGAUGUGGCAUUGACUGAUGAGGUGUCACGAUCCUGUUGGGCUAAAAUUCUUAUGUACUGUUGAUGGUGACGUGGCAGCAUAUCAGUGGACGAAAAAUCUCGUGUACGGUGCAUGCAUCACACAGGAUUAUUUUCAACCAAACCGCGUUACUGUUCAUCCGGGUCAAACCGCGUUACUGUUCAAAGUCGGGUCAAACCGUGUUACUGUUCAUCCGCGUGGUCAAACCGUGGACUGUUGACUGAUGACGUGGCGCAAUCCUGAGCGUCCAAACUGUUUUUAAUCCGAUGGCCAUGAUUUACUCCAUGUAUCUAUAAAAAGGGGGCCUCCCCCCCCUAAUUUGAUAUCUCUGAAUCCAUUUUUGGGAUCCAUUUUCUGUAAUUCCUUCUCCAUCUUGUAUUUUCUUCGUAUUUUAAUAAAUUCCCAUUUUGCCCCUAGUUCAAUUAUGAGUGGCUAAUUUUCUUUCAAGCUUGGGUUGAAGGUGAAGUCUCAACAUGUGUCAUGGGCUUAAUUUGGUAAAUUUAUUUUCUCUUCCCCUCUAGUUUUUGUGGAUGUUUUGACUUCUCGUCGACAAAUAAUACUAAUCUUGUCUAGUACCGCCUUGGUUUCACCGGCUCUCUAGUAUAAGGUUAUUAUUAUUUGGCACGAUAAGCCCUUAGCACCAUAUUGAUUAGAGCGUGGUUCAUGCGGUGUGGAUUCCCCCCUCAUGAUUUAAUUGGUAUUAAUAAGGAAUAUUUAGCCUAUGAUGCAUGUUGAUACGGAUCCAGAUACCCAAGUACGUCAUUUCAAUAGAAUUCUCUUCAAUUUAUUCUCACCAUUUCAAUACCAAUUUUAGAAUUUAUUCUCUCCAUUUUAAUUUAAGUUUUAGCAUAUUCCAAUCAUUUCCACCACAAAUCUAAUCACCCAUUCACAAAAUUAAUUCUACACAAUUAAAAUCCACCUCCUCGUGGGAUCGACACUCGUCACCAUUAAUCUAUACUACAACAGAUUCGUGCGCUUGCGAGUACAUUAAAAUUUGCACAACAAGUUUUUGGCGCCGUUGCCGGGGAGGUAAGUAAUUUUAAUUCAUAGAAUUAAUUUUUGUGAAUAAUUUCUUUUAUUUGUUUUCUUGUAUUUUUUUUAUUAUUAAAAAAAAAGAAAAAAAAAGUGAAUCUACAUUUAAAGGUUAGUAUUUCUUUUCUUUUUCUCUUCUUUAAAAUUCUGUAAUUUAAUUUUCAAUUUAUUUUUUCUUUGUAAUUUUUGUUUAUUUUAUUAAUUUAAUUUUUAGUUAAUUUCACGUAUUUGUUUUUGUGUAUUUUUAUAGUAAGGUUGUAAUAGCGCAAUAAGGUUAGUAUCGUAAUUUCUCCCUCUUCUUUAUUUUUAUUUGUUUUGUUCCCAUCUUUAUUUUUUGUUUUGUUUGCAUCUUUAUUUUUAUUUUAUUUAUUUGCAUGCAUGGUCGUAGGUCAUUAUUACCUAAUCUUGAACCUAUAGACCUUGAAUUAGAAAAAACACUUCGCACACACAAACACGUUAAAAAUAAAAUGGAUUUACAAGCACCACAGGAGAGGCCAUUUAAGGACUAUUUUAGUCCCUUAGCUAAUUUGAGCACGUCAUGCAUAAGAUACCCAAAUGUAGCUGCUAGGAGUUUUGAAUUAAAACCUAGUGUGUUAAAUUGUCUCCCUACAUUUUAUGGCCUAGAAAAUGAGGAUCCAUAUAAUCAUUUGAAUGAUUUUCAUGCCAUUUGUCAAACAUUCAAAUAUGAGAAUUUUUCAGAUGAUGAUGUUAAACUUAGACUAUUCCCAUUUUCUUUAAAAGAUAGAGCUCGUUCAUGGCUUAAUACAUUGCCUGCUAAUAGCAUUGCAUCAUGGGAACAAAUGGUAACGAAAUUUUUGAAUAAAUAUUUCCCAGUGCAUAAAACCAAUGCUAUUCGCAGGGAAAUCUCAGAGUUUACUCAGAGAGAGGACGAGCAGUUUUUCGAGACAUGGGAGCGAUUCAAUGGGCUACUCUUGAAGUGUCCACAUCAUGGGUAUGAGAAAUGGCAUCAAUGCCAAUACUUUUUGGAGGGAUUACUACCGAAUGUGCAAGAAUGGCUAAUGGCAACAAGUGGAGGAGAGCUAAUGUCAAAAAGUGCAUCAGAAAUUUGGGAGUUUUUCCAGCGACAAGCGGACAAUUCCCAACAACGGAGUCGAUCACUCAGGAAUACUAGAAGGAUUAAAGGAGUGAAUGAGGUUCACAUUGGCGAGUCAACUUCGGGAAUCAAAGAAGUCAAGGAGAUGGUUGAAGGUCUUGCUCGACAAAUAGCAUCAUUAUCGAUUGCUAAAUCAACAGAACCACAUGACCAUGACUCAUACUCAGAUCAAGCCAAUGCCAUAGGUGUAAUGAGAAAGCCAUCAAAUUACAACCCAUACUCCAACACAUAUAACCCUGGAUGGAGAGACCACCCUAAUUUUUCAUGGUCUCAAGGAUUCCAACAGAAUGGACCAGCAGCUCCAGCUCCACCAAUUCCACAAAAUCCUCAAGCCUCUCAGCCAUCAUUUAGACCAUUCAAUCAGAACCAUAAUUAUUCUCAACCCAGACCAUGGGAGGAUGCAUUUCAGAAUUUCAGGAAUGUUACUCACUCCACGAUUGAGCAACAGAACCGCACCAUUGAUGGAUUACGAAAUGAGUUGAAAGCGGGCUUCAACUCACAAGCCCAAUCAGUUUCAAGCCUUGAGAAGAUGGUGGGACAACUUGCUUCUUCAGUUCAGACCUUGGCAAUGACCGUUGAGAAAGGCAAAUUUCCAAGUCAACCAGUACCUAAUCCUAAAGGAGUGCAUGAAGUAAGUACCAGUUCACCACAGCAGCAUGGAGAGGUCAAAGCAGUAAUGACCUUGCGAAAAGGAAAGGAAGUCGACAACAAAGUGGAGAUGCCGGUGACAAAAGAAAAUCAAAUUGUACCUGUGAAUGUUGAGGACUCAUCACCGGAGGAGAAAGAAGAAACUAACCCACGAGAAUAUGUUCCGAAAGCUCCAUUUCCCCAGAGGUUAGCUAAAGGCAAGAAGGGAAAAUCCACAGGUGAGAUUCUCGAAAUCUUCAAACAGGUAAGUGUUAACAUCCCUUUACUUGAUGCUAUUAAACAAGUUCCAUCUUAUGCCAAGUUUCUUAAAGACCUUUGUACUAAAAAGAGAAAUAUGCAUGUUCAAAAGAAGGCAUUUUUAAUAGAAAACGUUAGUUCUAUACUCCAACAUAAAAUUCCUUUAAAAUGCAAAGACCCAGGCUCCCCCACUAUCUCAUGUAGUAUAGGGAACCACACAAUUGAGAAUGCUUUAUUGGAUUUAGGAGCUAGUGUAAAUCUUUUGCCUUACUCUGUAUUCGUGAAACUUGGACUUGGAGAAUUACACCCAACUCCAGUGGUGUUACAACUUGCAGAUCGGUCCACAAAAAUACCUCGUGGUAUUGUGGAGGACGUGCUUAUCCAGGUAGACAAGUUUUAUUUUCCUGUUGAUUUCAUUGUAAUUGACACUCAACCAAUACAGGAUUCAAGGAAGCACAUCCCCAUUAUUCUAGGCCGACCUUUCUUGGCAACUGCGGAUGCUCACAUUCAAUGCAGGACUGGAAAUAUGCAGUUGUCUUUCGGCAACAUGACUAUGGAGCUGAACAUCUUCAACAUUGCCAAACAACCUCACAGUGCAGAUGAUGGAAUUGUUGAUGUGGAUUUAAUAGAAACAAUAGUUGAUAAUACUUUUCUUUCAAACCUUAGUGAUGAUCCUUUACAAACAUGUUUAACUCACUUUGGUUUGGAUUUUGAUAUUGACAGAUCAGUCGAUGAGGUCAACGCCCUGCUUGACUCAACACCAUCCAUGGACACUAAUAAAUGGAAGUCAAGAGUUGAACAACUAACACCAUCAGAGAAGAAACUCAUCACAUCAUCAGAAUCACCACCGAAACUCGAGCUCAAACCAUUGCCCAACACAUUAGAAUAUGCGUUUUUGGGAGAAGAAAGUUCUCUGCCGGUAAUCAUCUCAUCAUCCCUUAAUGACGAACAAAAAGGUAAGUUGUUGGAUGUUUUGAAAGAGCAUAAAGGGGCAUUAGGAUGGACCAUAGCAGACAUAAAAGGUAUAAACCCUGCAGAUUGCAUGCAUUACAUUCACCUUGAUGAAAAUGCUAAAUCUACUAGGGAAAUGCAACGUCGGUUAAAUCCUAAUAUGAAAGAAGUUGUUAGAACAGAAGUCCUUAAGCUAUUAGACGCAGGUAUCAUUUACCCAAUUUCUGAUAGUUCAUGGGUCAGUCCUGUACAAGUUGUCCCCAAAAAGUCAGGAGUCACAGUAGUUACGAAUGCAGAUAAUGAAUUGAUACCCACUAGAGUAACUACAGGAUGGCGUGUACGCAUUGAUUAUAGAAAAUUGAAUUCUGUCACACGUAAAGACCAUUUUCCUUUACCAUUUAUUGAUCAAAUGCUUGAUAGAUUAGCAGGCCAUGAAUUUUAUUGCUUUCUAGAUGGUUACUCAGGAUAUAAUCAGAUUCCCAUAGCACCAAAAGAUCAAGAGAAAACUACUUUCACUUGCCCUUUUGGCACAUUUGCAUAUAGGAGAAUGCCAUUUGGAUUAUGUAAUGCACCUGCUACAUUUCAACGAUGCAUGUUGAGCAUUUUUUCUGAUAUGGUGGAACGAUUCCUUGAAGUCUUUAUGGAUGAUUUUUCUGUCUUUGGUGACUCGUUUGAUCAAUGUUUACAUCAUCUAACACUAGUUCUGCAGAGAUGUAUCGAGAAGAACUUGGUCUUAAAUUGGGAGAAAUGCCAUUUUAUGGUAAAACAAGGUAUUGUUCUCGGUCACAUCAUUUCGAGCAAAGGUAUUGAGGUUGACAAAGCCAAGGUGGAUCUCAUUUCUAAUCUUCCUCCACCCAAAACAGUCAGAGAAGUAAGAUCUUUCCUUGGGCAUGCUGGUUUCUAUAGACGUUUCAUUAAAGAUUUUAGUAAAGUUUCUAGACCCUUAUGCAAUUUGCUUGCUAAGGAUGUACCUUUUGUCUUUGAUGAUUCAUGUCUUGUUGCGUUUGAAAAAUUAAAGCAUUUGUUGACAUCAUCACCCAUCAUUCAGGCCCCAAACUGGAACUUACCAUUUGAGCUAAUGUGUGAUGCAUCUGAUUAUGCAGUAGGAGCAGUAUUAGGACAAAGAGUUGAUCGAAUUCCCCAUGUUAUUUACUAUGCUAGUAUGACAUUGAAUGAUGCACAGUUGAACUAUUCAACUACUGAAAAAGAAAUGCUAGCAGUAGUGUUUGUAUUGGAAAAAUUUCGAUCAUAUCUCAUUGGUUGUAAAAUAAUUAUAUUCACAGAUCAUGCUGCUCUUAAAUAUCUUCUCACAAAGAAAGAUGCAAAAGCCAGACUAAUUCGUUGGGUGUUACUUUUGCAGGAAUUUGACUUGGAAUUCAAAGAUAAAAAAGGGACAGAAAAUGUUGUGGCGGACCACCUCUCUCGUCUCCAUUUUGACACAAUAAUAGAACAAUUACCAUUAAAUGAGUCAUUUCCAGAUGAACAAUUAAUGAGUGUGGAAGUAUUACCUUGGUAUGCUGAUAUAGUUAAUUAUCUUGUUACAGGUAAACUUCCAGAGCAUUGGACCAAGCAAGACAAGGCUAAAUUCUUUGCAGAGAUAAAGAAUUUCUUUUGGGAUGACCCGUAUUUGUUCAAGUAUUGUGCGGAUCAAAUUGUUAGACGAUGUGUCCCAGAAAGUGAAAUUCAGAAUAUCCUUUCAUUCUGCCAUGAACAAGCUUGUGGAGGCCAUUUCAGUGCUAAGAAAACAGCGACUAAAGUUUUACAAUGUGGUUUCUAUUGGCCAACACUAUUUCGAGACGCUUACACUUUUUGUUCUUCAUGUGAUAGGUGUCAACGAAUGGGGAGCAUUACACGAAGGAACAUGAUGCCACUAAAUCCAAUUUUAGUGGUUGAGAUUUUUGACGUAUGGGGUAUCGACUUCAUGGGACCCUUUCCCCCUUCUUUUGGCCAUCAAUACAUAUUGGUUGGUGUUGACUACGUCUCAAAAUGGGUAGAAGCAAUUCCAUGUAGGACCAAUGAUCACAAGGUGGUGAUAGGAUUUUUGAAAAGCAACAUUGUCUCGCGCUUUGGAUUCCCUCGAGCAAUAAUCAGUGAUGGUGGUGCCCACUUUUGUAACAAAGCAUUCAAAGCUCUUUUGACAAAGUAUUCAAUCACGCACAAAGUGGCGACCCCGUAUCAUCCGCAAACCAGUGGCCAAGUUGAGAUCUCCAAUCGAGAAAUAAAGCACAUAUUAGAAAAAACGGUGAGGCCGGACAGAAAAGAUUGGUCAUUAAGACUUGAUGAUGCCUUAUGGGCAUAUAGAACGGCUUUCAAGACCCCGAUUGGGAUGUCACCCUACAGGCUAGUGUAUGGAAAAGCUUGCCACCUACCUGUGGAACUCGAGCAUCGUGCGUAUUGGGCCAUCAAGAAAUUCAAUUUUGACAUGCAGCAAGCCAGCUCAGAAAGAAGAUUACAGCUGGCAGAACUUGAAGAAAUUCGCAAUGACGCGUACGAAAAUGCCAAGAUUUACAAGCAACGAAUGAAAGUCUUCCAUGACAAGCAAAUUAUGAGAAAAUCUUUCACCCCAGGUCAGAAAGUGCUUUUAUUCAAUUCUCGCUUGCACCUAUUCCCAGGUAAGUUACGCUCUCGAUGGUCUGGCCCAUUUAUUGUUCAUACUGUUUUUCCACAUGGGGCAAUUGAAAUUAAAGACCCAAAGAACGGUGUCACGUUUAAAGUUAAUGGUCAAAGAUUAAAGCCAUAUCUAGAGUACCAACCACAUGAAGAAGACACCGAAAUAAAUUUGAGUGACCCACCAAAUUUGAAUUGAUUUUUUUUUUCUUUUCGUUGAUUUGAUUUUUCUUUCUUUCUUUUUAUUAUUAUUCUUUUGCUAAUUGAAAUUGUUUUUGCAUAAGUGUGUUUAUUUUACCAUUAAGUUUUCUCUUAUCAUUUUUAAUCAUGAGUCUCAUACUUAGACCGUUCCUCCUGAACAUUCUUAAACCACUUCAACGUGUCAAAACUCAUCUCAAAAGACAGAUUCAAUUUUGUAAAACACAUCGCAUUUGGGCUCUACAACCACCAGAGUUAGUAGCCUAUGUUGAGGGUUUAGAACACCAACUCAGAGACAUUGAGAGAAGUGUUUACGACAUCCAGUUGGAGCUUGAGGUAAAUUCAAUAAGAGGACGAUUUUAAUUUUCUUUGUGUGUUUUAAUUUGUUUUUCUAUUUGUGUGCUUUAGUUUGUUACCCCGGUGAAAUGGCGGAUAACGGUACUCCGUGACAAUCAAGUCGGUUACUUCAGUCUCCCAUAAUAACUGAUAUUCUGAGGCGAAGGUAUGGACAGAAACGAGAUUCUAGCGAAGCUUCACAAGCGAUUCCCUUCACUUCCUCAGAAUGCCCUCCUUACGAUCUAUAAAGCUCGGUCCGAACGCAUGCGAUUACUCAUGAGGAAUAACAUACCUGCUGACAUCCGUUGGUUAAUCGAGGCUAAAGUACGAUCGGCAGGUGAGUUACCUCCAAAAUUUAUUGCAUACAUGCCUGGUUGUGGUAAAGGAAAUUAUGCAAGAAAACGACGAGCUCGAAGAAUUUCUGUUGCUUGUCAUAAGUGUGCCAGAAUGAGUUGCAAUAAAAACCCAUGUUCUUUAGGAAUGGUGUCUGAUAACAGGGAAGAUAAGAUUCAAUUCAUUAGGGAUGGCUUGAAUAAGGAGUCAUUGGAUGAUAUCCUUUUGUCUCUUGAAACGCAUCCCAGUGGAUAUGUGCAAGGAGCGAUUCUCCAGUUAUGGCCAUUAUUCCAGAAAGAGCAUGCACGAUAUAGUCUCGGGAAUCUGACUAUAAACGACCCUGUUUGCCAGUUUAUAAGAAAAUUGGAUAGGAAGCCUAUCCUCGACCCAUAGAGGGCGUUCAAGCCGUUUCUGGACGUAAAACCAGAGGAAGAUGUGAGCCACAGUCGCAACUACCUGUAAAUAUUCUUUUACUUUAUUAUUUCACUAUUGUCUUAUUGUUUGCAUUAUUGUCUUUAAUAAUUUUAUUACUGUUUGCUUUUUUUCUUUUUACUGUUUUCUUUUUGACUCGCGAGCCACGUGCUUUACGCGUUAUUUGACAUGGACAUGUGACCUCAUACACAACUAUGACCCAUUAUCACCAAGACUCUUAAAUGUGAUUUUCUUUGUCAAUCACUCACAAAUUAUUUUUGCGAAGUAUCACAAUGGCAGCUACUCCCAAUAGACAAUUCAAGAACAUUUGUGUGCUUUCUGGAUUUACAUAUGGCAAACAUAAAGAGUUCGUUGAGGCAGCCAUAGAUCUUGGUCGAAGCAUAGCAGCGAGAAAAUUACACUUGGUGUAUGGAGGAGGUAAUCGAGGGUUAUCAAAAAUGGUCUCAGAAGCAGCUCUUAUCAGAGGAAGUCAAGUGUUAGGCAUCAUCCCAAGAGUCUUAAAACCAUUGGGCAGUUCGUCUGACUCAUCAACUGGAGAAGAGUUAGUCGUCUCAAGUAUGCAGGAAAGAAUAACUGAAAUGCUUAAUCAUGCUGAUGCUUUUAUUUUCCUUCCAGGAGAUCUUGCAACACUAGAGGCACUUAUGACACUAGCAUCUUGGGCCCAUCUACACAUUCACCAGAAACCCAUCGGUUUGUUAAAUGUCAAUAACUUUUAUGAUGGCUUUAUCGCAUUUCUUAACCAUGCAAUAAAAAACUAUUUCAUUCCCUCUAAUGCGAAAAAACUCUUUAUUUGUGCUCACACUGCUAAUGAGCUACUUGAUAUGUUACAAGCUUAUCGACCGGAGCCAGACCCCUGGACCUUUGUGUUGGAGCGUCCAAAUAAUGAUGGUAACAGUAGCCGCAGUAAGAAGUACAAAUUAGAUUUAACUCUCCGCCUGUAAAUAUUUUCUUCUGUGUUGCACCACCCAGGUGAUGUCUUCUAAACUCUACUUCUUUCAUUUCAAACAUUGAGGACAAUGUUUCGUUCUGGUUGGGGGGAGGGAAUAGUCGACAAUUGUGGAAUUUUGGUUAAGUUUUUACUAAUUUUUUGUUGUAGAAACUAACUGUUGCUAACUUUUUGUGUUGAAGAUGGCUGAAUAUGGAGUGUAGUUACUCUAGAAACGCAUCUUCAUUGUUUGAAAAAAAAAAUUCAAAAAAAAAAAACAAUUCAGACAUUUUCUUUUUCUUUAUUAUGUGUUUAUGUUUAUUUUUCUUCUUUAAUUUCUCCUCUAUAAAUAUAAAUUUUCCAACUUUUGAGUCGAAGAUGGCUGAAUAUGGAGUGUAGUUCCUCUAGAAACGCAUCUUCUUUUAAAAAAAAAAAAAUCAUUUUCGUUUUCUAUCAUUUUACGUGUAACUUUUCUAAUUAGUUUUUAUACAUCAUUUUCACAUUUCUGCAUGCAUAUUUUCCUUUCAUGUUUAGAAUAGGUUGGGGGGUAGAAUGAUGUUUAAAAAAAAAAAUGUGUGAUUUGUUUUAACAUUGGAUGACAUGAUUAAUUUCAAAUUUUAGUAUUUGUAUUAUCUUUGGUCUUAAGUGAUGUUACGCUAUGUUUGCUACUUUACAUGUUGAUGUCGGAGACAAAUGUGAGUUGCUUGAAGGAAUGAAUAUGUCAUAAUAAGUACCAAGUGAGUUUUUGAGCCUAUUAUUUUUCUUGGAGAAUAACCCUUUUGCCCACUCUUUAUACAGCUUAGCAGUUUAUUAUUUUAUACACGAUCUCUAAAUUACUUUUGAGUUAACCCUUAAAAAAAAAAUUGUAAAAUAAAAAAAAAGAGAAAAAAGAAAAAGAAAAAAGAGUGUGUUGCUACAUUUGGAGGCCCAUCUAACUAGUAGAUAUGGAAGAUUAUUUAGAGCCCUAAAAGACGAUGGAGAGGCCAUCUUUGAUCCGUUUGAGCCUUUCAAGCCAUCCCUUUUUAAUAUCCAUAGUUAACCCUUUUGAGCCUAUAAAAAAAAAAAAAAAAAAAAAACCUUUUCUUUGUCAACUUAUCAUCUUGACCCACUCCGAUUUGGAGUAUUACCCGAUAUCUUAUAAGUUCCAUCACCUAUUUAUGUUUGAGAAAAUGUAAAUAAUUAUUUUGUUCAGUGAAGUUAUGCCAAAUAAAAAAAAAACAAAAACAAAAGUUGUUGUUUCAAAAGAAUAAAAAUAGGUGAAAUCCACCUUGCAACUUCCAAAAAAAAAAAAAAAAUUCUCUGCAUUUUUCUCAAACAUACACUUUGUUUUCCUUAUUUUCCUUCUUUGUUAGCCAUGUCCCUAGCCUACGUUUCGUCCUAAUAAAAGUCCUUCUUGAUUUUAGGGAACUAUAGUUUGAAGUAGAAGCUAGUUAUAUGGGCUAAAAAGAUGUAGUGAUGCAUAAUUAAAAAAAAAAAAAAAGAUAAAUAAAGUGGGUUGACUAACAUUUUAUUUGACUUGAGAUCGUAUUAUUUCUAAGCUGAGGGCAUAUUUAUUUCAUCUUGGUGAGAGCAUGUGAUAUCACUUCUUUAUUAUUUUCUCUCUCAAUUACCAUUCAUUGGAGUGACUAUUUUUAUUGGGAUUAAUUUAUUUGUGAGAGUGUCACUACUUCCAGUGAGAUUUUGGGGUUUGACAUUUCAUUCUUGAGAGUAGCUAUAACAAAGUCUACUGGGCUAAUUCAUGUGGAUGGUUGAUGUGGGUGUGAUGUUGCUUUAGACUGGAGAUAAUGCUUAUACUUUUAUUUGAUUGCUAUCAUUAAUCUGAUGGAAUAAAUACGAGUGUUUCUAUUAAAAAAAAAAAAAUUAUUUUGAAUUUGAAUUUUGUUUUCGCUUUAUUUGCUAGGGACUAGCAAUAAGCUGGUUGGGGGGUGUGUUGAGUGUUAGAAAAUGCAUAUUUAUAAAGGAGAAAACCGUCAUUUUACAUUUUAAGUCUUACUAACAACCCUUACUUUUAUAUAUUUAACCUUCUUGUGAUUUAAUUACAUGUGUUUUAUUUUAAUUAAGUAUUUUAUGUAUUUUAGGGGCAUUAUAGUCAUUUCACAAUAAAGGAGAGAUCAGACGGCAAAACGGACAUCACUUUUGAACUCAGGACGGUCGAAAACCUUAGGAGGAGCAUAAAAGGAAAAAUGGCACUAUUCACAUGUACGGUACUAUUCACGUAUACGGUACUGUCUACGUUACUGUUCACGACACUGUUCACAUAGACGGAUCGAUGACGUGGCAUUGACCGAUGAUGUGGCAUUGACUGAUGAGGUGUCACGAUCCUGUUGGGCUAAAAUUCUUAUGUACUGUUGAUGGUGACGUGGCAGCAUAUCAGUGGACGAAAAAUCUCGUGUACGGUGCAUGCAUCACACAGGAUUAUUUUCAACCAAACCGCGUUACUGUUCAUCCGGGUCAAACCGCGUUACUGUUCAAAGUCGGGUCAAACCGUGUUACUGUUCAUCCGCGUGGUCAAACCGUGGACUGUUGACUGAUGACGUGGCGCAAUCCUGAGCGUCCAAACUGUUUUUAAUCCGAUGGCCAUGAUUUACUCCAUGUAUCUAUAAAAAGGGGGCCUCCCCCCCCUAAUUUGAUAUCUCUGAAUCCAUUUUUGGGAUCCAUUUUCUGUAAUUCCUUCUCCAUCUUGUAUUUUCUUCAUAUUUUAAUAAAUUCCCAUUUUGCCCCUAGUUCAAUUAUGAGUGGCUAAUUUUCUUUCAAGCUUGGGUUGAAGGUGAAGUCUCAACAUGUGUCAUGGGCUUAAUUUGGUAAAUUUAUUUUCUCUUCCCCUCUAGUUUUUGUGGAUGUUUUGACUUCUCGUCGACAAAUAAUACUAAUCUUGUCUAGUACCGCCUUGGUUUCACCGGCUCUCUAGUAUAAGGUUAUUAUUAUUUGGCACGAUAAGCCCUUAGCACCAUAUUGAUUAGAGUGUGGUUCAUGCGGUGUGGAUUCCCCCCUCAUGAUUUAAUUGGUAUUAAUAAGGAAUAUUUAGCCUAUGAUGCAUGUUGAUACGGAUCCAGAUACCCAAGUACGUCAUUUCAAUAGAAUUCUCUUCAAUUUAUUCUCACCAUUUCAAUACCAAUUUUAGAAUUUAUUCUCUCCAUUUUAAUUUAAGUUUUAGCAUAUUCCAAUCAUUUCCACCACAAAUCUAAUCACCCAUUCACAAAAUUAAUUCUACACAAUUAAAAUCCACCUCCUCGUGGGAUCGACACUCGUCACCAUUAAUCUAUACUACAACAGAUUCGUGCGCUUGCGAGUACAUUAAAAUUUGCACAACACCUGGUCCUCUGGUGGCCAGCCACAUCUCUCUCAAAACGAACCAGCACCGGCCUGUGAUCCGAAGCAAUUUUCGGGAGAUGGAGCACAUAAUUAUUCAUAUAUUUAAGCAGCCAUUCACUAUUACACAAAGCUCUAUCAAGCCUUUUAAAAAGCAAUCCACGUGACCAAGUAAACCUUGGACCCUUAAAUUUCAAGUCAAAAAGUUUAUGCCCAUCAAACCACUUCCGAAACAGAUUACACACUCCUGAGUUCCUGGCCACACCCCCUUGCUUUUCUGAGGCGUAUAAGAUAGAGUUGAAAUCCCCACCUAUCAACCAAGGCUCUUGAAUUAAAGGCGCAAGGUUCUCCAUAUGGCACCACAGCUGUCUCCGCAACAUUGGGUUUGGACUGGCAUAAACAGCCGUUACCCAAGACACAAAAACAUUGUUCCUGCAAAUUUUAAAAUGGAUGAACUGCCUGUGAUUAAUUGAGACCUCCACCUCUAUAGAACUUCGCCAAAGAAGCCAAAUUCCUCCAGAAAAACCCACAGCUUCCACCCGGUGCGAGUAAUCAAAUCCACUUUUCUUUAUAAAUUCAUCGGCUUUCACCCCACUAGUACGAGGUUCCAUUAAUACCACCAUCGAUGGGUUGUAAUUUUUAAUAAUAGUCCUAAACGAGCACCUGAAUUCCCCCGAGGCUGCCCCUUGGACAUUCCAGAACAUAAUACUGACUGUCAUAAAAAAUAUAAGAAGAGAGAACAUGAGGCUACUGUUGCUAUCCAGAGACAUCAUCCAUCAAUGCCAACGGCGUUUCCUGAACCAUCGAAAAUUCAUCAUCAGUCAUCCCAUCUCCAUCUAUACCACUCAUAGGAACAUCUGGAUGGUUACAAACAUGUCCACCUUCUUUCACCCGAGAAGUGUUAUGGUUAUCAGGAGGGUCUGCUAAGGGUUGCGGAUCCGAUCCCUGCAUCUCUAUAUGAUCCGUGGCCACUUCCCUUACAUCUCCAUUAAGAAGUGUUGGGGGAGAACAAAAAACCAUUGUGUGUUUAGUAGGAUCCAAGGUGGAUUCGAAAGAAACCACACGUUGGUUACUAGAUACUUUCUGGGGGAAACUAUGUGAAUUGGAUUUUUGGUUGGCAUGGGGUAAGAGAGUUAUAUCCUCAUCUCUGAUACUUAAAUCACUAGGCUGGAAAGGGUUACUAGUAGGGACCACUGGAGCAUUUAGCUUUUUGCUCUGAUUCCUUAUUACCACGGUCUUAUUUUGCAGCUUUCGACGAGCUAAAAUCUGUACUGUGUUAUUUGUUUUGGCUGUAAAUGUAGGGUUUGAGGCGGAUAUGAAAGGCUACCGUGAGGUGGAGGGGAAGUCUGUGCAAGCCUCCUGCACUUGGUGUCCUCCUUCAUCCGGGACUUGGGAUAGAAUGUGAAACCUUGAGGUACCAGCUCCAGUAAACUCCCUAUUCCGAUUUAAGUCUCUAGUAUUCAUCCUUCCAUUAUUAGGCUUUCUUCCUCUCCUAGGAGCCAUCAUCCAGGGACCAAAUGGUUCCACAGUGCUGUCGCCAUUACAACCUUUAGCCUGUUGGCCAGGAGCCUCGUUUCCCGGCAUUGCCUGAUGGGAUUGACCAGCUUCUUUAGAGCUUGUCGAGUUCUUAGCAUCUUUGCAAUUAUUACUAUUGUGCCCGUAAAGUCCACACUUAUAACAAAUUACUGGCAAGCCCUCAUAUUCGACCUUCUGUAUCUUCCCAUCCAACUCAAACUGAGACACCAGUGGCCUAGUUAAAGAGAUACUCACUGCAAGGCGGGCAAAUCUUCCACGAGAUGAGGAGGCUGUAUUCAAAUCGAUUGUAAUCACGUUCCCCACUAACUGACCCAGCUUUUGAAGAACUUUUCGAUCGUAAAGAUGAACAGCAAGGCCAGGUAAUCUGAUCCACACCGUGACCUGUUCAAGAGCCGUGUUUGUGAAGUCAAAGGAUGGCGUCCAUGGCUGCACCGUUAAAUAGUGACCCAUGACAAGCCACGGCCCCUUGGUUAAUGCAUCCAUAGCAUCCCCUACCGAGCGAAACCGAACCAGAUAAUAGUUAUUCUCCAAGUCUAUCACUGAAAACCCCAUGGCUGAUUUCCACAUGCCAUUCAAUCUUGCACAAAGGGCUCUAUAGCCAAUUGUGCGGCCAAGCAACUUUACAACAACCGAGUUCUUCCAAGGCUCACUUAACUUAGCAUGAACCCUAGCCGAAAAAGUGAUGGAUGGCAUGGAUCCCUCGUUACUUUCAGUAACGUCCCCUUCCUCAAAAUCCCAGUCAUCUAGUCCACCUCCAACUCCUUGCUCCAUCGCUUGCGUUGCAUUCACUAGGGUUUCUUUGUACGAUACCUGAGCAGUGGGAUCACCAGCAUGUUCCUCAUCGCGAAACCUCGCUUUUUUAGUCGUUCUAGCCUCCCUGAACGGCGGGGGAAAAAUCCCUCCGGAGAUAGGGUUUCCUUCACAUCCGUGGUUUUCGGAGCUUUCCAUUGAAUUUCGCUUGAUUCACUAAAAAAAUUAACGUUUUUAUGAAGGCUCGAACCAUUGCACUCAACAUUGUAAGUGCAUAUUGGAGUUAUUGGUAAAAUCACAAUUUUAUUUCUCAUCAACGAUAUCCUUCUCUUAUCUUCCCAUUGUUUAACCUCGGGUGGUUCAGUUAAUUCAAUACCGGCAGAAACCAAAAAGUUUUCAUUCUCCACUUCACAGGCUAUCCACAAGGUCAUAUCACGAAUCACAUCAUGCAGUUUUACAUAAUCUGAUCCUGCUUCUUCCAAUAGGCAUGCAUGAACAAGAACACCAAUAAUGUAGUAUCCUUGGUUAUGUACUCCAUUAAUUCCUUUAUAUUCCUUUAGAAAACCCUCACCAAUCCAACACCCUACCAAUUCAAUUUUGCUAAUUUGAUAAUCCUCAAGAAAUAAACUACAGUAUAACAGACAAGAUCUAAGGACGUCACUAGACAAACUAUCAUAACUGAAUUUUAAAAGACGAAACACCUCUUUCUCCAUACCUGGAAAUUCAUAAGCUGAUCUCCUUAACAUCUGAAUUGCAUAGCUCCAUUCUUCGGGUGUCUUCUUGCUGCUCAUGGCACGACCGGUGGUAAUAAGUGCAAGUGGCAAACCACUACACUCCUUUGCCACAGUUUGGGCUAACUCCGGAAUAUCGGGAUGACUUUCAAGAGUCUCUUCUCCGACCUUCUUUAGGAACAAUUCCCAAGCAUCUUGAUCUGCCAAACACUCCACCUUGAACUUUUUUUGAGCUUCCAUGAGGCCACAGACGUCCACAAGACGAGUCGUAAAGACUAUCUUUGAUGCAUUUCUUGAACUCCCAGGAAAAGGGACACCCACUUUGGCUAAAUCAAUUCUUUCCCAUAUAUCAUCUAACAAUAGCAGAAAUUUCAUUUUGCUCAAUAAAUUGAAUAUGCCUGAUGCUUUCUCUUCAAAGCUUCUAUUCUGAAGCCAUCCUAUUCUUUCUCCGAUUUUCUGUUGAAUUCUCUCAAGUUGCAUGUCUUUUGACACCACCACCCAAAUCACAAUAUCAAAAUAAUUUGGUGUAUUAAGGAACUUGUUGUUGAUUUGGGUUAAUAGUGUAGUCUUGCCGACUCCCCCCAUGCCAUAAAGUCCGAUGAUUCCAAAUUGUCCUUCUACAAGACAUCUCCAAACUUGAUCAAAUGAUGAUUCUAGGCCGAUUAUUGUUGGCUGAAGAGGCCUUUCAUCCACUGCUGGUUGUGGUACCUUUUCAGCUACCACUGCAAAAGCUCCAUCAUCUAUUAAAGUAGCCACAAGCUGCAGCUUUUUAGACACCUUUUUCCCAAACUUGUAGCUUGACUUGCAGUUCUUGGAGCAGUAGCCUCCAAGACAUAGUUUUUCAAUUUCUUGAGAGCUGUCCCUUCUCAAUUCACCUACUUCAGCUUCCACAGCCUCCAACCUUGCACUCUGUUCAGCCGUCUUAGUUGUUGUUGCUCAGCAUUAGCGACCCUCAUCAUCACAUCGUUCUUUGUUUCAAUUAGUUUCUGCAAUUCGGUCUGGACGGCAACCAGAUUAUUUUCAAGCUGGCUUAGAUAUGCUGCUUUUCUGCGGGUACAAUUGAUGAAGCCAGUGGAAAGGGCAUCACAUGUAAGUUGGAUUCCCAAAAUAUUACCCAUAGUUUGUAUGAGAUUCAGAGUACAAUAGAAGGAAUGCAACACAGUAUGUAUUCGGUUGUGGUGUCUAUGAUUUUACAGUCGCAGAAGCUUAUUCACCUUGUGAGGGCUGGUCAGGUGGGCACCAUCACUCUCCUUACUCUUUAUAGAGAGCGAUAGUCCAUGUGGUCAGAUCUCAUUCAGAUAACUAGCCAAGUGGGCAAUCGCUCCACCUUAUCAAAAUUCUUCAUCUUAUAAUAAUAUCAUGAGUAGGCCUUGAAUUUUUCUUUUAAUUUUAACAUUUAAAAGGUAGAGGUGAAAAAGUCUACAUAGUAUUUUUGUCCUCGUACUUUAAUAACAUUUCUUGAAAGUCACUCGAUCUCAAAAUUUAAUUAAGAAGAUAUUAUAGAUUUAUAAGCCCUUAAAUUUUAUUUGCAAGUAAGCCCAUAAGACUUACUAAAAGUCGUCAACUCGUCAUGACCAAAAUUGAAAAUUCGUCCGCGCGUGAAAUACGGCAUGCACAGUCGUAUUAAAAGCAAAGGCCAGCUAUGAUAGUCUUCGUAUACUUGCAUUCCCUAUCAUCUUAUUAAUAAUUUCAGACACGUAGUUCGUUGCUUGUGAUUUUUCAUAUGCAAAAGCACAGUCAGUGUUACAUUUUACAAUUACAAUUGAGUGCCACCUAUAUACUCCUUCAUUCUUUUCAAAAUAUGUUGUAGGAUGGGUAAUUGUGACAAAAGUGAUUUUUAAAAAAAAUUAACUUUUAAUUUUUUUUAAAUUACUUUUGAGAUUUGUGAAAAAAAUCCUAAACGGGUCUCAGAAGUAUAAUUAGCACCGCGAAUUUAUAAAAUGAUCAAAGGAAUCCAUCGCCUAAUAUUAUAGUACGCAAUUGAUUGCUAUAAACUAAAUUGCUAUGAUCUCACUUCAUAAUAAUUUAUUUUCAAUCUCCAUCAUGGUAGAAAAAUUUCAUCAAUCAACAUACCCUACCACCACCCAAUAGUCGACCAUUUAUCAUCUUCUAUCCGUAAAAAACCGAAAAAAAAAAAGAAAAGGAAAAAUUUAGUCCACAAAAGAAUAUAUCGCAAGACCAAACAGAGAGAGAAAAUAGAAAAAGCAAAGAGCUGUACUGAAUACCGGCGGUGAUGGCUCCGUACUUGACCAUUUAGGUUUGAUUCUGCAUUCACAUAAUAUUUUUUCUACACUGCAGUCACAUCACAACCAUUGAAUAGUCGUGAUCUAUUUUUCUAAAGCGAAUAAUAUUAUCUUCUCGUGUCGGUGGCUUGAUCAUAUAACAAAAUAGACUAAUAAUGUUUCAAUAGACAUUUUGGUAAAUGGAAGAAGUUAUGAUCUGUCCAUUUUUAUGUUACUUUAUUUUAAUUUGUUAAUUACUAUUAAUAUCUUUGAGUGGGAUAGAAUCUUGACCUAAGAUAUGACUAGGCUCCACAUGUUAUAUAUUAAUUUGAUUAAGCCUAGCUAAUUGUUAAUUAUUAAUUUGAUUGCGGCUUUUUAUUUUACCCACAUUUUUUAUGCGUGAAAUCUUUCUUAGUGAAAAACUACACGUAUUUGCAAAUAUUCGGAAUGGACAUUUUCGAAAAAACAAGUAAAAGAAAAUGACUAAAAAGUAAAAGAAAAUAGACACCCAAUUGUAAUUGCGAGGACAAUAGAAGGAAUGCAACAAACAGCUCUCUCCUUACACUCUUAUAGAGAGUUAUAGUCCAUGAUCUCAUUGAGAGAACUAGCCAAGUGGGCAAUCGCUCCACCUGAUCACAAUUCUUCAUCUUAUAAUAAUAUCUUGAGUCGGCCUUCAAUUUUUUUUUUCAAUUUUUAUCUUUAAAAGGUAGAAGAAGUGAAAAAGUUAAAUAAUAUUUUUGUCCUCCUAUAUAACAUUUUUUGAAAAUCACUCGAUCUUAAAACUUAAUUAAGAAAAUAUUAUAGAUUUUUAAGUUAGUGGCCCUUAAAAUUUAUUUGCAAGUAACAAUUAGAGAAAAGUCGUCAUGCCCAAAUGACUUACUAAAAGUCUGCAACUCGUCAUGACCAAAAUUCUUCCGAGUGUGAAAUACGGCAUGCGCAGAUGCAUUAAAAACAAAGGCCAGCUAUGAUAAUCUUUGUAUACUUGCCUUCCCUAUCAUCUUAUUAAUAAUUUCAGACGCGUCGUUCGUUGCCUGUGAAUUUUCAUAUGCAAAAGCACAGUCAGUGUUACUUGCAUUCCCUGUCACCUUAUUAAUAAUUUCAGACACAUCGUUGGUUGCCUGUGAUUUUCAUAUGCAAAAGCACAGUCAGAAUUACAAUUUACAUUUGGAAUUGAGUGCCAUCUAUUUAUUCUAGCUGGAUCUAAAAUGAUAUUGCAGUAUUGCACUGACUUUUCAGUCACAGCGUUUCUCUAUGAAUUCCUUAAAGUUUAGACCCAUCAUGGAAUAAUUAUUUUCUUAAAGACCAAAUUAACAUAAUUCUUAAAUCAUCUUCCGAGUGUCAAAUACGGCAUGCGCAGAUGCAUUAAAAACAAAGGCCAGCUAUGAUAUUCUCUGCAUACUUGCAUUCCCUGUCACCUUUAUUAAUAAUUUCAGACACGUCGUUGGUUGCCUGUGAUUUUCAGACACAUCGUUGGUUGUCAGAAUUACAAUUUACACUGAUUUUUUAGUCACAGCGUUUCUCUAUGAAUUCCUUAAAGUUUAGACCCAUCAUGGAAUAAUUAUUUUCUUAAAGACCAAAUUAACAUAAUUCUUAAAUCAUUUAUAAAACAACAUUUAUCAUAUAACAGAUCGUACAUGAAUAAAUUUACCUUGAACCGUAGCAAACAAACAAGAAUCUCAACCACAUCAAUAUCAUAAUCCCUUCUGACCUUAACAAUAAUUUUAUUCGUCCUUAAUUCAUAGGUAUAAGUAUCCCAAUAUAUACUUGAUGUCAACCUUUACAAUUCUUUACAGAAUUGCAGCAGACCAAAUUUGUAUGCAAAACUGAAAUCAUACAGUAAUUGAAUACAGUGAUAGUAAUUAGUAUAUAUAAAUAUCUUAAUAAUUUAAAAGUUUCUUAAACUGCUUUUACAUAUCUGAAAAAUUAUAGAAAUCGGAACUGCUGCAGAAAUCAUAAUUUCCCAGCGAAUGUGUUACAACUUCAGAAACUCAUAAGAAAUUAAAUUCUUGGGAUCACAAAAUAAUUCAAUAGAAAGCUUAAGAUGUCUAGUUCAUAAAAUCUGAAUUUUUUUUUAAAAAAUAAGAUCUUUGGAAUUUAAGAGAUUCAGCAGUACUUUUAUUACAUCAAUUCUUCAAACAAUCACCAAUCUAACAUUCAUCAAAAUUAAGUCAUAAAAAUCAUGUGGUUUAUAAAAAGAAUUACCUGAAAAAGAUUAGCCUUCCCCUUUCAAAAGCAACGUGAAACUCCAAAAACUCUUCUUCCAUUGCCUAUUCAAACAUGAAAAAAAAAAUUAGUAUAUCUUCUUUAAACGCGUGAUGAGUGUGCUCUGUUUUCUCUGUUCUUCUUCUUCUUUUUUAGAUUUCGAAAACGUAAAGAGUGUUGGAGUCUUUAUUUUCUAAAAACAAGACUUUUCCAUGUAUUCAGUUAAAUUAAAUUAUGUCCUAAUGCUAUGUCAGUUCCAUCAUUAGCAUUUUUUUUUUUGGCUUUUAACACCAACAUUAGCGUAUGUUAAGUAUCAUAAUCCAUAGUUGGACAAUUUGAAAUCUCUUCGUGGUUUAUCUCAAAGUAGAGCUUCAAUCAAUUUGUACCUCAUAAAUUUACAAUAUCUAUGAGGGCUAAUAAGACCAAACUCUGGCAUAUUGUCAAAUGUGCUUAUACUUUCGCUUGACAAGUCAUUUUAAAAUUGUCUUUCAAUGCCAAAAAAACCACAUCAACUAAUGGUCCACUACUUUAAUUUGAAAGCAUGCAUGCGAUCGCCAAUAAUCAAGGAUGUUAGGGUCAUGCUACAGAGUAUAGAAUAUGAUUUUAUGGUAUAGCCUUCUUUCUUUAUAAUUUUUAAAUUUAAUACUGUUACUUAUGUAGCACAUAAGUUGGAAAACAUAACAUAAAAUUUGAAAAAUGUAUAGUUUUCGUUCCCUUUUUUCCCCUCUAAAAAUGGGAAAAAAGAACGUAAUUUUGAUUUAUUUAAAUUACUGUUGUGAUAACAAUUUUUAUUUUAUUGAUUAUUUACCCAUUCAUGUGGCAAAUUUUUUAAGAUAAGGUGAAGGAUGAAGCUCAAAAACAUAAAUUAUAUAAUUAAUUACCCUCUCUAGUAAGUUUAAAGUUUAUUAUUUUGAACUACAUGUUUAUAAUUUAUUUUUAUUAUGUGUUAAUAUAUAGAUCUAAAUUCACUUUGGAACCAUAUACAUAUUUAGACCUAAUGUGCAUGUUAAUCUAUAGAUCUAAAUUUACUUCUAAAUUCACUUUAGAUCUAUAUGAGUAUUUAGACAUAACGUAUUGCAACCAUAUUGGCAUGUUCUCACUAUAGUAUUGGUGUAUUGACAUUAUAUCUAAUUGUCCCUAUAAAUCCAAAAAUAAUCUAGAUAUACAAAUUAACAUAAAAUAAAGAUAAUUGGUAGAAAAUGCAAAUUAUAAACAUAUAAUUGAAAACGAUAAAUUUAAAUUUACUUAAGAAAGUAAUUAAUCACUUAUUUCUUUUUUAUAAUAUGACAAAUAUUAUAAUAAAUAUUAAUUAAUAAUAAUUAGAAUAACAAACUAAAGAUAUUUUAGUAACUUAAAAUAAUUCAUUUUGAUUUCGAGACAAAAUAAACACAUCAAUCGCAAUACAACUCAUUCUGAUUCCACUCAUUCAGAUUUCAACAUAUUUUAAUUAAUUCAAGUGCUCUCCAUUAUAAUUGAAGCCGCUGCCCCAUCCCACUCGUGAUUCCAAACUUUAUCUUUUUCCUUUUUUAAAUUAAUGCAAGCAGCCGCUGUCCUUUUUGUUAAUUAAUUAAUUAAUUCGGCCGCCCACAUUUCUUUUCCUAAUGUCUUCGGCUUUCGAUUUUCUUUUAUUUUCUUUUUAUUCUUAAAAUAGACUUAUAAUAAUAAAAUAUAAAAAUAUAAAAAAAAUUAACAUAAUCAAAAUAUAAUUUAACAGAAAAUUAAGAUAAAAAUGUGAAAAUAAUAUAUAAAUUAUGAGCGUAUCAAUCAAUAAAUGAAAAAUAAUAAUUUUUAUUUUUAUUAAAUAUAUAUUUUUCAAUAUUAAUCAGUUAUCUAAAUAACUAAAAUCAGUUAAAAAUAAAUAAAUAAAUUAUUCUUAAAAAAAAAAAACUUUUUAUACCACUCACUAUGCUGGCUGUCAAGGGUAGAAGCUUUGGGGACUGAAGUUGGUAACUUCUACAAGUAGUCUUAAGUUGACUGGCAACAACUAUAUUGGCAUUUGGACAUAAUGUUCUGCAACCAUAUUGGCAUGUUCAAUUGUUCUCACUAUUGUGUUGGUGUGUCGAUAUUAUCUCUAACUGCCCUAUAGAUCCAAAAAUAAUCUAAAUUUAUAAUUUAACAUAAAAUAAAAUAAUUGGUAGAAAACAAUUAUGGUUCAUUUACUUAUCAGUAAUUAGAAUAGACUGAAAUCAGAAUGAGUUGUACUGCCGUUAAUGUGUUUAUGUUGUCCUUGAAUCGGAAUGAAUUAUUUUAAUUUACUAAAAUACCCUUGGUUUGUUAUUCUAAUUAUUAUUAUUUAACAUUUAUUAUAAUAUUUGUCGUAUUAUUAAAAAGAAUUAAUAAUGAUGAUAAUAUUAUCAUUAUUGUUUGUUAUAUUAUUAUUAUUAUUUAAAAAGUUAUUGUUAAUAACAAUAAUAACUUUAUUUCAAUAAUAAAAAUGAUAAAAUUAAUAAUAACAAUCAUGACAACAACAAUAAUUAUUUAUUAUGCCAAAAAUAACAAUAAUAAUAAGAAUAAUAAUCAUCAUCAUUUCAAAAAAAAAUCAUCAUCAUCAUCAUUUUUGUAGUGGCUGCCUAUCGGCUGUUGCUUUCAUGCGAGAUUAACUUGCGACGCUUCAACUGCUAUUAUUUCUGGCAAUGUCAGGUGUUGUUGUUUCAAUGGGGGGAGAAGCUGUUUCGGUGCACUAACGAUGGGAGGUGUUGUGGCUGCGAUUCGAGGAGCUACUGGUUCAGUGCACUAAUGACGGCAGGUGUUGCUGCUCAAUGCAAGGUCCAUGGCCAGUUGUCUUGUUUUACACCCAGCUCUUGUAGGAAAUUCUUUAUCAAAAAUAUUUUUUUUGUAACCUUCAAUAAUUGUAAUAUCAUUUGCUUCCGUGGUAGAAAGGACAACUCAUUACUAAGUCUAGAUUGUGAUGAGACUGCUCUCCCUACAAAAGUGAGCAAAUAUCAUUGUAGGGAUUUUUCAGAAUCAACAUCUCCUGUCAUAUCUACACACUUGUAACACAAGUUUGUCACCACCAAAAUAUAAACAUAUUCUGGAAAUGCCUAUAAGAUAUCUGAGAAUUCAUUUCACUGUUGUCCAGUGCUCUUUGCCGAGAUUGAAGAGAAACCGACUGACUACACUGACUGCAUAGGCAAUAGCUGGUCUUGCACAAAUCAUGGUGUACACCAAACUGCCAAUUGCCUAAGCAUAAGGAACUCCUCUCACUGAGAAAUGGGUUUUGCUCUUGAGAUUUUUGGGAACAUGAAGAAUAAAGAUGUAAUUUCUUGGACUACCAUUGUGUUGGGGUAUAUAAAUAGAAGACAAGUCGAUAUAGCUCGACAGUAUUUUGCUCAGAUGCCAGAACGAGAUUAUGUCUUAUGGACUGCCAUGAUUGAUGGGUACCUUCGAGUGAAUAGGUAUAGAGAGGCUUUGACACUUUUCCGGGAGAUGCAAACUUCAAAUAUAAGGCGAGACGAGUUUACCAUUGUUAGGAUUCUUACAGCUUGUGCGAAUCUGGGGGCACUAGAACUGGGAGAAUGGAUAAAGACUUACACUGACAAAAACAAGGUCAAGAAUGAUAUAUUUGUGGGGAAUGCUUUGAUAGACAUGUACUGUAAAUGCGGAGAUGUUGAGAAAGCUCAAAGGGUAUUCAGGAAGAUGCUUCGAAAGGACAAAUUCACAUGGACGGCCAUGAUUGUUGGCCUUGCCAUCAGUGGCCAUGGUGAUAAAGCUCUUGAUAUGUUUUCCCAAAUGCUUAGGGCUUCGAUCAGACCAGAUGAGGUAACUUAUGUUGGUGUUCUGUCUGCCUGUACUCACAAUGGUAACGAAAAUUUUGUGAUAAACAGUUGCAACUUAAGGUGAGAAUUGGAGGAAACGAAAUAGACUGAAGUUGUUCAAUCAUCGGUGGUUGCUAUUUGAUUUUAAGUUGUUCAAUCAUCGGUCGUCUCUAUUUGGUUUUCUCCAAUAUCUCAUCUCCAGUUUUGACUCAGAUUCUGUCUUACCACUAGUAAUUACAUAGACUUGUUGCCAAAGGUAAGAAUGGGAAUAAAUUAAAUAGAUUAUGUCGAUAACGAAAUAGAUUUACUAUUGCUAUGUGCAUUCUAUUUGGUUCCUGCAAAAUAUUUUCUCCUGCCUAAAAUUUUUUGAAUCAGUAAGUUUUUACCUUAUGCAAGAAUUGUGCUAAGAGUAAUUCCAGUCUCUCUAUGUUUCAAUGAAGACGUAAAACUUGUGUUUUAGAGCACCAAUGUUAUGCUUCUUACAAUUGGAUUUUAAUUUACUUCGUAGAACUUUUGUCAAAAAGUACUAAGAGUGUAUUUGAAAUUGAUGUACUGUAUCUUUUAAGCUACAGCUGCUGUGGAAAAAAAAACUGUAACUAUGAAAUAAAAGUUAAUAAUAUAUAGUAAAUAUAAAUUUUAAAUAAUAAUUUUGAUAAAAUUAUUAAAGAUAUAAUAGUUUUUUUAUUAUACAAGUGAAAAAUUAUAUAAACAUAGUUUUCAAGUUACAGCAGCUAGUGUUUAUCAAACACUUUAGUACUGUAUCUUUUAAGUUACAGUUGCCCGAGUUCAAUCUCAAACGCAACUUAACGAGUAGUGCACCAAACACCAACUUUAUUACAGAGAGGACUUUGGUUAAACUUUAAGAAAAACACUCAAAGGAAGAGUUAUAAAUUAUUAUAGAAAUAUUUGACAUAAAUAAAAGCCAUUCCACAAUGCGAAGAUCUUGCUAUCAUCACCAGAAACCAUCGGGAGCUUUCAGGGUUUCCAUGAAAACGCCAUUUCAUUCCAAGAGUCAAUGGUGGGUAGAAAGUGGUGCAAACGAUACUCAUUGUUAAUGCUAUAAGUUUUUGCUAAAUUAUGUCUUACCCAAAAUGAUGAUUUAAUUUCCAUUCUCAAUUAAUUUUCAAAUUUCAACACUUUUCUUUGUAGCAUGACAUUGGAAAGAUCUUGUACUACUAAAAGCUAGCACCACACGUUAAUUAUUGUUAAGUUCUUUUUCAACGUGAAAUAAAGGAAGUAGUCCUUCGUUAAAACCAUUAUAGCCAAAUUUCAUGUAAUUGGACACUUACAGACUUUCAUUUCAAGCUGGAAUUUGGUCCAACGUUUCAAAGUUGACCCAACUAAUUGUCUGGUCAAGUCCUACACAGCUAAGACCCUCAAUGAAUGAGGGUGAGACUGCUAAAAAUUACGACAGUUGAUAUUAUUAUUAUUUUGGGAUAAAUCCUCACCAAGGUGAGUGAGGAGAUUUUAUCAAAAUAAAAAUAAAAAUAUAACAAGAAAACUAGCUAAAUUAAAAUAUUACAAAAGCUAGAUGAAAUGAAAGGCAGCCUAAAAACAACCUUAUGCAAAAGAGAAGCAACAUGCUAGUAUUCCAAGCUUCUUGUUAUAAAAGUGUAGAAUGAAGUAGGUGAUGUAGUUUUAAAUUACACCUCCAUGCCCAAUCACAAUAUCAAAUAAUGCUUAAAGUAGUUAUAUUAACUCUUAAAUUUAUAAAUAAUUAAAUUUUUAAAAGUUUGGAUUUAUAUUAAAAAAUUUCUAUAUAAAUAAAUAAUCUAUGCAUUUUUACAACAUAGUCUUUAAAUUUAAACUUUUCUAGAAAAAUCUUCUGGAUAUCUUUUCUAUUAAAAAAGAGAUUCUCAAAAUUUAUAAAAGUAACUUAAAGUUUUGUCUUCCCUUUUCUUUUAGCUUAUACAUAUGUGUGUGUAUUCUUUUAUAGCAAUAACUAACGUUAUUUAUUUUUAAAUCAUAAAAAAAUUAUGAAAAAAAAAUGUACCAAAUUUAAUUGGACCCAGCACAAUGCACAUGCAUAGAACACAUUCUGAAAAGCCAUGCUAUUCGGAAAUUGACGAAUGGAAAGUGAAGAGGCAGCAGUCAAUGCUAUUUCGGCUUGGCCCAAAAUUUCACCAGUUUGUUAAUCAGUGUUCUGCAGCUCUUGCUGCUUUCCUAGAGAUUCUACAUCUUUUGCAAUCUGAUAGAUUUAAAAAAAAAAAAAAAAUUAGUGGCCAUUUGGAAUGGAGGAGAGAUUUGUGUGAAUGGUAUAGGUGAAAAAUUGGAUGAAAAUAAACAGGCAACCGUCCGUAUAAAACAACAAUAACAAUAUACAAAAAGAUAAGUAAUUCACGAAAGGAAAUUUACGGUUGUUUCUGGAAAACAUACAUAUUAAUUUCACUUAUACUCUAAGAUUUGCCAUCAUGACUGGACUUGUGAGGAAUUUGGAAACAUGUAUGCUGUAGAAAUGCUGAAGUAGCUUGAACCCGAUAAAAAUUGAUUGGUAGAAUUGUUAAAAAGUCUAAAUUUUUAGUUCAAACCUAUUGCAUAUUUAAGAAAAUCUCAAAUGAAUUGCUUAUUGCUAUCGUCAUCAUCAUUGCCCAUAUAAUUAUUAUUAUUAUUAUUAUUAUGUCUUUAUAAUUAUUAGUAUCGCUGUUAUUAUUUUUAUGGGUAAAUGGUUUUUCUAUCCUGGCAAUUUAAGCCAAUUACCUAACUAAUCCACGUAAUUUUAAAAAUGUUUCAAAAGAUCUUUAUUUUAUAUAUGUUUCCACUACAAUUUAUUUAAUGAUUCUUUAUUUUUCAAUUAUUGCAUGUUCGAUAUUUUUGAGUUCUAAGCUAUAUCAAUAGAAAUGUUAUCUUAUCCAUAAAAAGUUAGAUCCAGCAAUUAUGAAAAUUACUAUAGAGCUGCUUUGAAUAAUUUUAAAAAAAUACCACAAGCAAAUAAUAAUUAGUUUAAAUAGUGGAGACUAAAAAGCAUUCACCCUUAUUCUUUAUCUGUUAUUUGUUUUUUUUUUUUUCCGUUAAUGCACAUAUUAUACAUUUUAAACAUUCCGUUAAUUGCCAAUUAUGCAAGCGAGAUAGUAAUUUAAAUUUUUUUAUUUUAAAAAAAAGUGAAAAUUAAUCCUAUGCAAUGUGAAUAAAUUUCUUUCCUUUUUCCUUCUCUCUUUUUAUUUGAUAAUUAAGUUUCAACCUAUGUACCCAAAAUUUCUGCAACAGGUAAAAAAACAUAAAAAUAUAUGAUUGUUAAUGUAAACACGCGGAAGUUCAUCAUUUCAAUGUUCAGUAUUUCCAAUUUUGGCAUACGAAUAUAUUCCACUUAGAAAGCCAAAUAUUAGAAUUGUGAUUUUAAUUCAUUCAUCAUAUCUCAUUUCAAUCCCAAAAUAUUCAAGAGGAUCCAAGUUACCAUAAGACUUCAGAGGCUCGAGCCUUAGCCAGAGACGGUUAAUUGAUAGACUAUGUGCCCGGGUCGAGCACUGGAAGCCUGCAAUGCAGACUGAUUGAUUUAUCAGUUUGAUGUGUGCCAGGAAUGAAGAACUGGAAUAUCACCGUCAAGCAAGCACCCAGUGAAGCAAUACCAUAGAAUGCACAAUCCGGCCUUGCUAGGUGACACUGGAGGCUUUUUGAAAAGUGCUUCACGCUUACUUGCACAGAUUGAGCAUACCCUCUGGAUAUUGCCCUCUCUGAUCCAGUCUGAGCACUCAAAUUUCGGUCCUCAGAUGGAGCUACAGCUUUCUCUCCAAUAACCAACAAUUUUCUAAACUCAGCACCUAGUGUGAUCAGAGUUGUUGAUAUUUGUAAAUGGAGAUCCCCAUAUUUGAAAAUGGAGACAUUUAACAAAUCACCAACAUGCUUCAUCCGGUCUACGAAAUUCUGCAGCUGAUUCAAAUCCGGAACCUGAACCAGAGUCGGAGGUAAAUCUUGAGCCAUAUCUAAAGCAGUUUGAAGUUCAAGUACUUGAGCCCUUGACAGUGGUUUUGAAAUUGGAACAUCUUGAAUUACUGCAGACCUGUACCCUUUGGUUUCAAAGGUAAGGAAAGGCAUUGCUUGAGUACAAUUUGGAGGCAGCUUCUUCACCAAUUUUAUUUGGAGGCGAUUGGCAGCGGAUCCAGCUGCACCAAUUUCAGAGCAAAUACUGACACUACUUCAAACAGCACGCUGAAGAAGCGCUAUGUCUAUGGCAAAGGCAAUGCAGUCCUCAUUUUGGCUUGAGAUGCGGUAAUCAUCGAAGAGAGUUUCCUUAUGAAACUGGGCAACACAUUGAAUCCCUUCACCACUGAGAAGGUUGUGGAGGAAGUACGCUUUCUCUCUAGUGAGGAAGAGGUGGCAUACCUUCCCCAUUUUGUCUAGGGCAGUUAGGAAUCUUUUUUCUAAGAGAUUUACUCCAUUCUCUGUGAGAAAUGCUUUGAACUUCAUCCCUCUGUCUCUAUCCUCACUUAUCAGUAAAACAGUUGAAAGUGAUACAAGGAGAGAAAAGGAGAGUACUAAGAUAUAUAGACAAGAAAAACAUUAGGUGUCGAUCUUACAUGUUAAUACUUCAAACAGUAUCCUAGAAAGCUAAAAACUGCAGAAUGGCUUGAAAUUUGAAAAGAACACAUGCUUUUCCUCCUUAACUUGAGAAAAUGUUUGACAUAGCGCGCCUUACAGAAGCAAGCAAUUAGAACUUUGCACAAAAACAUUCAAGAAGACCAAUAUUUCAACUAUUUUACUGAUGAAAAUCUCAAAGCACAAAUGGCAUUGCAUUUUGUCCUCAACUGUAAUAUUUAUUGAUGAAAAUCAGUACAGGUCCCUCAUUUGUUAUGGAAAGCUUUCUUGUAGUCUGACCGGUUAAUUCACGGGUCUAUAAUCAUCUUGCAAAGUUACGGACAUUUCUUUCGAUUUAAAGUCUUUGCAUCACCACCUCAUCACACACCAAACCAAUAUUCUGUCUACCUCUACAACAAAAAGUUUUAAGUAAACGAUCCUAAUGCACGCAGCCAAAUAAAAUGCAGUAAGAAUAUUCAACUUAAAAAUCUGAAAGUAUCUUGGUGAAUUGCCUUCUUAGGGGAAGUUCCAUGAUUUACUAUACUAGACAGAACUGAGCAAAAGCUUCCAUACGACAGAUUUUGACAAUAAUGAUGCCAACAGAUCCUCAUUAACUCCAUUAAAACUCCUAAGGUUCAUUGUUCAUGGAUGUUUACAGAGUUUUGGCCAUCAAAUAGCUCAGACCACAAUCCCAAAGAAAAGACGAGUGAAAGUUAGAUAACGAGCAGCUAAUUGUAAAUUCUAACUUAACUCUUCAUCUCCUUUGUAAAAAGGAAACAAAAUGGAGACGCGUAAAUUCUAACUUAACUCAAAUAAAAUGAGGGCACGAAAGCAAACAAAUGGCAUGCACAAACAAACCAAGCAUCAAUCAAAAACUAAUUAACCAUUAAAAAAAAUAAAAAUUGGUCAGAGAAUGAACUCCAAAUUCGGGAGUGAAGCAAGAAGCUUUCACUAUUUCAGAAGCUCCUGUACAAAUUAAUAAGUUAUGCUCUUUGGAGACAAUCCUAAAUUCCAAGAGAAACAGAGCUCAAAAAAAUUUUGCAAUUAUGCGCAAAGGAAGUGAAGCACAGCAUUCUACCACACACAGGAAUUGUAUAACAUGAGAUCGAUAUAUCGAAUUGGAAGAACUCAAUUCUAAUUUGUGUCAAAAAUCAAAAUUAGAAGAUUGCAUAUUUCGAGAGGAACAAGCAACAGGUGAGGUUCAAAAUUUCAGCCAUAACAUGCUAAAAUUGCUACAUUUAACGGUUUAUUUUCAUGGAUUUUCUCGGGAAACAAACAGAAAAUUACGGUUUAGAGAGUUGACUGACCUUUUGGCUUUUAGAAUUGAGAAGAUCGCGCACUGCAUUAGUCCAUAGUAUAAUUAUAGACAGUUUUGAGUCAAAGUGUAGUUUCAGUGAACAGUAUUACUGUAGCAAAAUUCAAAAAUAACGGUAAUAUUACUGUUCCUGAGCGGCUAGCCGGAUAAUCAAGCGGCUAACCGCUUGAGCACGGGAUUUUGCCUAUAACGACUAGUUUUUGGGCUUCCACUAUAAAAACUCAACUCAAACUUCUUUCUAAGGACUAAUGCACGCAAAUAUAAGAUCAUACAACAUAUAUUGAGCUUCCAAAACGUAAAUCAUAAUUGAUUGAAUCAUUGUUGAGCUAUUAGUUGCAUAUCCACUCUUAAAGAGAGUUUUUGUUGUAAUUUUCAUUUCUUAUCAAAUUGUGAGUGUGUAAGUGUGGGAAACACUUGGGGUAAAGAGAUUAGGGAGAUAAUCUCUUGGUUGUAAAGGUUCAUUGACACCUUGGAAGGCAAUUGUAAAAACUUGAAGCCUUGGGAGGCUUGGAUAGUGAAAUCCUCGAGCUCGGUUGGCUUGGAGGCGUGGACGUAGGCGGGGAUUGCCGAACCAGAUAAAUAUCCGCGUGUUUGCUUUUCUCUUCCGUAACUCUUUUAUUUUUAUGCUUGCUUGAAUUUAUUGUUCUCCAUUUCAUUAAGGCGUUAGAUUGAUUUUAUUGUGCGAAUUGUAUUGCAUUAAUUUUAAAAAUCCAAUUCACCCCCCUCUUGGGUUGCGUUACUUAUAUUUCAUUUGGUAUCAGAGAUUGGUUCUCUUGUUAGGACUUAACCGUCUAGAGUAAAAGAUCUAUGGCAAUCCAAAUUGAUUCAACCUUUAGGGAAGGACAAUCCACAACUAGGCCACCGUUCUUUGACGGAAAUGACUACCCAUAUUGGAAAACUAGGAUGAGAAUUUAUUUACAAGCAUUAGAUUAUGAAAUUUGGGAAGUUGUAUGUGAUGGUCCUUUUAUGCCUUUGACUAAAAACGAAAUUGGGGAAGACAUUCCAAAACCUUCACGGGAAUGGAAUGAAUUGGAAAAGAGAAAAGCUUCUCUAAAUUCCAAAGCCAUAAAUGCCUUGUUUUGUGCACUCGAUAAGAAAGAGUUUCAUAGAGUGUCUAGUUGUGAAAGUGCUAAUGAAAUUUGGCACAACUUGAAGUUGUUUAUGAAGGCACGAAUCAAGUGAAAGAGUCUAAAAUUAGUAGGUACACUCGGCAAUAUGAAUUGUUCCAAAUGGAACAAAAUAAGAGUGUGUAUUCUAUGUAUACUAGAUUUACGGACAUAGUAAACACUCUAGGAGCCCUAGGAAAGACGUUUUCAAAUAGCGAGAAAGUUGAGAAAAUCAUUAGGUCAUUACCUAAGGAAUGGAGACCAAAAAGGACUGCCAUUGAGGAAGCUAAAGAUUUGAAUAUCUUACCUACUGAUGAUUUAAUUGGUUCUCUUAUUUCUUAUGAGAGAGAUUUGGCAGCUGAAUGAGGAAAUGAGGAAAGAAAGAAAAACAUUGCUCUCAAGGUCACCAAACAUGAGAGUGAUGAGGAAAGUGAGCCGGAUGAUGAGGAGUUGGCUAUGCUAGCAAGGAGGUUCAGAAAAUUUUUCAAGAAAACUGGUGACCAAAGAAAAUUCAGAAAUUUCAAAAACCAAAAGGAGAAGAAAGAGGUAAUCAUAUGCUAUGAAUGCAAGAAGCCUGGCCAUAUAAGAUCGGAAUGCCCACUUAUCAACAAACUCAAGAAGAAAGCUAUGGUUGCUACUUGGGAUGAUAGCGAUGAAGAUUCAAGUGAUGAAGAUGAGUCACAAGAAGUAUCAAACCUAGCAUUUAUGGCACUAGGAGAUGAUGAUGAUCUCAAUGAGGUAAGUGAUCCAACCUAUGAUGAAUUGUAUGAUGCUUUUAAAGAAAUGCAUGAUGAGUUGAUGAAAAUUGGUAAAAAGAAUGCAUGCCUUAAAAAGAAAUUGCUAGAAUCUACAAAUGAAAAGGAUACCAUGCAAAAAUGCAAUGAGCCAUUGAAUGAGAAGACUAAAGGAUUAGAAUUAGAGAAUAAAACCUUGCAUAAUAGAGUUGCAUUAUUAAAUGAAAAAUCUAGCACUUCACAUGAGCAUUUAGAGUCACAUGUACAUGAUUUGAAAAAGGAAAAUGAAAUGCUCAAGAAAAAGAAUAUUGAACUUAGUAAUGUUGUUCUAAAAUUUACAAAUGGACAAAAGAUGUUGGAUAACAUGCUUAACUCCCAAAAAUGUGUUUUUGAUAAAAGAGGACUUGGGUAUAAGCCUAACUUGAAGUAAAAGUAUUAUAAGAAUUAUUUUGUUAAAGCUACCUCCACAAAUGAUCAUAAGAUUGUUUGCGAUUAUUGCAAUCAAAAUGGUCACAUGAAAUAUAGAUGUCUUGUAAAAAGGAAUGCAUAUAAUGGUGUCAAAUGUGUGUGGGUUCCAAAAGGAACCGUUGCUAACGAUCAAGGGCCUAAAAAGGUUUGGGUACCUAAAACAUAAGAUUUUCUUUGAAGGGCUUGAAGAAAAAGAAAAAUAAAUGGUACUUGGAUAGCGGAUGUUCUAGGCAUAUGACCGGAAACUAUGCAUGGUUCUCAAGUUUUACCAAAAUCGAAAAUGGUGGAGAUGUAUCUUUUGGAGAUAACUCAAAAGGAAAAAUUCUCGGAAUUGGAAAUGUUGGUAAAAUUUCUUCAACUCUAAUUGAAAAUGUAUGUUUGGUUGAAAAUUUGAAACACAAUCUGAUUAACAUUAGUCAACUAUGUGACAAAGGCUAUAAAGUUAUUUUUGAUAAAUCAAGAUAUGUUAUUGAGAAUGCAUGUGAUGGGAAAAUUUUGUUUAUGGGAAAUAGAUGUGGCAAUGUUUACACGAUUGAUAUAGAGUGUGCAUCUACUCAUGAUAAAUGUUUUUCGGCAUUGCAUGAUGAUUGAUGGGUGUCGAAGCCAACAAAAAUAAAUUCCUACUCUAAAUAAAUUGUGUAUAGUGAUUGAGCAGGGUCGUGUCCACAGAGAUCGGUAAUUAAUUAAAUCCUUUUGAAACGUAAAACGUAAAAUGGGGGAAUUGUUGACAAUAAUAAAAAUCAAAUUAAAAUAACAAGAAUACAAAUUAAAGUUGUAAUUCAAAUUAGAGAAAGCUCUGGUUGAAGGAAUUAACUCAGCUUGAUUCGACUACUGAUCAUUGAUUCAAAUAUAGAUUAUUAUUACUCAUGAAUAGACCGGUUAUAGCUACUGAGACCCUCUAAUAGCCAAUCUCUCCUUAACUAGUCGAUAACCAAGGUACGACCGUUGGUUAUUUCCCUAAUCAAUAGACAACCCUAGAUACGAUCAUAGAAUUUAAUCAAUUGACAGCCUGAAAAACCAGAGAGACCCAAAUCCUAAUCAACACAUAUGAUGAUUCAUUUAAAUUAGAUUGUUUAUUCUCACAACACAACUCUCUGCUAUGUUAUUUGUCACAAGCAUUAAAUUCUUUAUACGAUGAAUCCUUUAAUUGACAAUAGAUUAAGUUGAUAAUUAAAUAGUGGCCAAUUACCUAAUUAACAAACAUAAUCAUGAAAAUAAUUCAGAGAAUAAACAAAUACCCAAAAAGUAAUAAAACAAUUAAAGUAUAAGAAAGAUCUCACAGUAGUGAUGAAUCAAAGCUUCAUUAUCCUUCAACCAGAAAAAUAGGUUUAGUUCUUCAUAAAGAGAAGAGAAAAAUUAAGUCUAGGGUUUCUUUCUUUCUCCAAUCCCCCAAAAAAUCCCCAUUUUCCACAAUAGAUUCCUCCCUUAAAUACUCUCUCUCUCUUCUCUUUUAGAAUUCUAUUUAAAAUAAAAUCCUAAUAUCUGAAAUAUUAAAUUCGUAAUUACAAAUAUAGCCAAAAAUAUAAAACACGUUAAACUAAAAACUGCAGGUCCGCAGUUGACAGCACGCGCCCACGCCUUAUCAACAAAGUUCUUCUGCCGCUCAUAAUUUCUCCAAGGGAACAAUCAUCCCUAAACAUCAUCUUGUAGCUCAAUUUUAUCACCAAUCAAUAGAAUUGCACCUACAAAAGUAAAUCACAAGUAAAUCACUAUUAUUAAGUGCAAAACAUCGAUAUUAAGAGAAGUAAACAAUGCAAAACUAGUGCAUAAAUUGCACUCUAACAAUGAUGGUUGGUUAUGGCAUAGAAGACUAGGACAUGCUAGCAUGGAUUUAAUUUCAAAAAUUUCGAAAAAUUAUUUAGUUAAAGGUCUUCCAAAAAUUGGUUUUCAAAAGGAUAGAAUUUGUGAAGCAUGUCAAUUUGGAAAACAAAUCAAAACCUCUUUCAAAAACAAGAAUCAUAUCUCUACUUUAAAACCUCUUCAAUUACUUCACAUAGAUUUGUUUGGACCCUCUAGAUAUGCUAGUUUAAGUGGCAAAUUUUAUGCAUUUGUAAUUGUAGAUGAUUAUUCUAGAUACACAUGGGUAUUAUUCUUAGUUAAUAAGGAUGAUGACAUUGAUGCAUUUAAAAUUUUCUGUAAAAAGGUUCAAAAUGAAAAGGGUUAUUAUAUUACUUGUAUUAGAAGUGAUCAUGGUGGAGAGUUUGAAAAUCAUGCAUUUGAAAAUUUUUGUAAUGAUUUUGGCAUUGAGCAUCAAUUUUCAUCACCUAGGACUCCACAACAAAAUGGAGUUGUUGAGAGAAAGGAUAUGUCUAUUCAAGAAAUGGCUAGGACCAUGUUAAAUAAAAAUGCAUUACCGAAAUAUUUUUGGGCCGAAGCCGUCAACACCGCUUGUUAUGUUUUAAAUCGGGUGUUGAUUAGACCUUAUCUCAAUAAAACUCUCUAUGAGCUUUGGAAAGAUAGAAAAUCCAACAUUGGUUAUUUCAAAGUUUUUGGAUGCAAAUGUUUUGUUUUAAACACAAAAAAUAAUCUUGGUAAAUUUGAUCCAAAAUCUGAUGUUGGCAUCUUUCUCGGGUAUUCAAACUCAAGCAAAGCUUAUAGAGUUUAUAAUAAAAGAACUUUAGUUGUGGAAGAAUCCAUGCAUAUUACGUUUGAUGAAUCUAACCCCUCCUCUGCUGAGAAAGGAGUUGUUAAUGAUGAUACAAAUGGAGAGUUACAAGAAGAAUCAUCAAAAGAGAAUCAAGAGAAUGCACCAUAAGAAAAUCAAGAGGAUAGACAAGAAGAACAAACAAAUAUGGAGCUGGAGCAACAGGAAGGUAGUUCUCAAACACUCCCCAAGGAGUGGAGGUAUGUUUCCUCUCAUUCUAAGGAUUUAAUUGUAGGUGAUCCUUUAAAAGGUAUCACAACUAGAUCGUCACUUAGAAACACAUGUGAGCAUGCUGCAUUUAUUUCUCAAAUUGAACCAAAAUCUUUUGCGGAUGCGGAAAAUGAUAAGUUUUGGAUUAUGGUAAUGCAAGAAGAGUUAAAUCAAUUUGAGAGAAAUAAAGUAUAGGAAUUGGUUCCUAAACUGGAACAUCAAUCCAUUAUAGGCACUAAAUGGGUAUUUAGAAAUAAAAUGGAUGAAUUCGGUAUGGUUGUAAGAAAUAAAGCUAGAUUAGUGGCUCAAGGAUACAACCAAGAAGAAGGAAUUGAUUUCGAUGAAACAUUUGCACCUGUAGCUAGAUUAGAAUCCAUUAGGAUGUUGUUAGCAUUUGCAUGUCAUAAAGAUUUUAUUUUGUUUCAAAUGGAUAUCAAGAGUGCUUUCCUAAAUAGUUAUAUUAUGGAGGAAGUUUAUGUGAAACAACCUCCUGGUUUCGAAAAUGAGAAAUUUUCAAAUCAUGUGUAUAAGUUAUCAAAAGCAUUGUAUGGAUUAAAACAAGCACCUAGAGCAUGGUAUGAUAGACUUAAAAAUUUCUUGUUGGAUAACGAUUUUUUGAUGGGAAGAGCGGAUACUACCCUCUUUAUUAAAAAUAAAAAUCAAAAUAUAUUUGUUGUUCAAAUUUAUGUUGAUGAUAUUAUUUUUGUUCUACUAAUGAAUCUUUGUGCAAAGAAUUUUCCUCUUGUAUGAGUAAGGAAUUUGAGAUGAGCAUGAUGGGAGAAUUGAAGUAUUUUCUUGGACUUCAAAUCAAACAAAACAAUGAGGGGAUUUUCAUCAACCAAGCUAAGUACGUCAAAGACUUGCUCAAGAGAUUUGGUAUUGAUGAAUCAAAUACCAAGAAUACUCCAAUGAGUACAACAAUCAAGCUUGAUAAAGAUGAGAGAGGUAAAGAGGUUGAUAUUAAAAAGUAUCGAGGUAUGAUCGGAUCCUUACUUUACUUAACUGCAAGUAGACCCGAUAUCAUGUUUAGUGUAUGUUUGUGUGCAAGAUUUCAAUCAUGUCCCAAGGAAUCUCAUUUGCUUGUUGUUAAAAGAAUUUUUCGUUAUUUAAGUGGAACCAUAGAUAUUGGCCUUUGGUAUCCUAGAGGAACUCAUAUAGAUUUAACUUGUUAUUUAGAUGCCGAUUUUAAUGGUCACAAGGUCGAUAGAAAGAGUACUAGUGAAACUUGCCAUUUUCUUGGUCAUUCACUUGUUUCAUGGUUUAGUAAGAAACAAAAUUUUGUGGCACUCUCAACUACUGAGGCGGAAUAUAUUGCCGCAGGAAGUUGUUGUGCACAAGCACUUUGGAUGAAACAAACACUUAGAGACUAUGGUAUUGUUCUUGAAAAAAUUCCUAUCAAGUGUGAUAAUACUAGCACCAUAAAUCUUUCAAAGAAUCCCAUUCAGCAUUCUAGGACCAAGCAUAUAGAGAUUAGGCAUCAUUUCUUGAGAGAUCAUGUUCAAAAAGAUGAUAUUGCAUUAUAAUUUAUCUCUACGGAAAAACAACUUGCCGAUAUUUUUACAAAACCCCUUUGCGAAGAACAAUUUUCAAAAAUUCAGCAUGAACUUGAGAUGAUGAAAUUUUCGCAUUAACAUCUCUAGUUAUGUUAUUUAAUCUAUUAAAAUUGUUUGGAAAACAAAGGAUUCGUUGAAAAUCCCAAGUCUGCACAAGCUGUAAUGAAUUGGUCAUAACUCCUUCUAGAGAACUCCAAAUCCAGCUCUAUAAAAUUUAUUGGAAAGCUAACUUAAUUAUCUUUCCAACGGUAUAUAGUUUGCACAUUACUUCUGGCUCAAUCAAUACAGUUUUUAUUCCGAAUUUGACAUUUCUGCAUUUUAUUAAGUUUUGAAUGCUUAUAUGCUUCAUGAUUGUAUGCUUGUUGGAUGGAUUAUUUGUUUGAAUUAACUAUCUUUUGGAUGUUUAAAAUCAUGAAUCAUGCAUUAAAUUGGCUCUUGAGAUGUUUCGGGAUCACAAACUGGUCACGAAAUUAAUUAAAAUUGGCCGAAAAUUAACUAAGGUACAGCUGGACAACAACCAGGAGGCUAGCCGCUUGGAAAUGUCCCCCCAACCCGAGAGCAAGCGGCUAGCCGCUUGGUCACGGGUGUGGCAAUUGUUUUUUGCUUCUUCUUCUUCCUUUGUUAAUUUUCUGCACAUGCUUUCUCUCUCACUCAAAACCGUGAGCAACCCAUCCAUUUUCACCUCCAUUUUCUUCCUUUUUCAUCUAUUUUCAUGCCCAAAUCAACCAUUCAAACUAAUACCCAUGCAUUUCAUCUUCAUUAAACACUUCUCCAUCAUGAUUUCUUCAUUUGUUUUUCAUCAUUUCAUCAUCAUCUCUCACGCGUGAACAGUACCUCUCCAUUUCUCUCUCAAAAUUCUUCAUUUUUCACUCACUUUCUUGUUAAAAUCAAUCAUCCAAAUCAUUAUUCAUCCAUUACUCCUUCAAUUUUCGUUCUCAAAACUUCAUUUCAUCAACUCUCCACAUAAAACCCAAAAUCAAAAAACCUAACUCUACCCUUUCUCUCUCUACAUUUUCAAGCUUCCUUUAGCCCAUUUUUGAUCCAAUCUACAUCAUAUAUUAGCUUCAUUCAUCUCUAGGAUCAAUUUUCUUGGCUCAAACAAAUCCAUUUCACUCAAUUUUUGUAAACCCGAAAUUGCAUAUUUAAGCUCUUUUUAGUCCACUUUUGAUCCAAUCAACACCAUCCAUUAUCUUAAAUCAUCUCUUGGAUCAAUAUAAUUGGUUUAAAAUCAUCUAUUUCACUCAUUAUUUUACAAAAUUAAAUUUGUGCAUUUUGGGUAUAUGCACCUACAUUUUCAUAUGCAUAAUUGUUUUAAUUGUGGAUUACGGAUGAUGGUUGUUUAAUAUUAAGAUAAUUUAUAUUUGGAUGAUAUUUUCUGAAUUCUUAGAAUGAAUAUGACUCUUUAGUUAAUUGCACGCUUAAUUUUUAUAUGCUUCUUGAUUAAUCAUUGAGAUAUUCUUUUUGGUAUAAACAUGGAUUUAUAGUACUUUUGAUGAUUGAUGAUUAUAUGUGUGUUGCUUGAUGAAUUAAUGGAGUUGUUGGUUUGUGUUACUUGUUUAAGUUCAUAUGGAAGUGUUUUUAAUCACAUUGUGUAUUUGAGGAUUUGUUCAUUUUUAAGGGGAGACUCUGCCGAAAUUUUUACUCGCACACAAUUGGUAAUAUCUUCCUUGAAUCAUUUUUUAUGAUCUUGCUUCAAAUUGCAUUUUUCUAUUUUUUAUGAAAUGGGAGAUAAAUAUGAUAUGUUUUUGGAUAAUAUUAUUUUGGUUAAAUUUUUUAAUUGGCCAUAUAUUUAGGGGGAGCAUACAAUAUGAUUUUGGAUAAUACGCAUUUUGAGCAUUCUUUUGAUGGCAUAAUGGUUCAUGAUCAUUUAAUGGUUAAUUGGAUGUUUGGUUAUUAUAUGUUUCUUGAUUAACCAUUGACAUAUUAUCGAUCUUCGGAUGAAUUUCUAGUAAUUUUGAUGAUGAAGGGGGAGAAGUCAUGUAUUUUGAAUAUGAAGACAUGUAAUACAUAUUUUUGUAUUUCAAGUAUUUAUGCAUGUUUUUGAAAUAUUAAGGGGGAGCUUUCAAAUUAUCAUAAAUCAAAUAUUCAGGGGAAGUUUUUGAUUUAUAUAUGCCAUGUAUUAAGGGGGAGUUUAAUGUCAAAAUAAAUGAGAUGUUUGUCAUCAUCAAAAAGGGGGAGAUUGUUAGCCUAAAGGGCUAUACAUAAUGUAAUUUUGAUGAUAACAAAUAUAUGUAUUAAGUGAUUUAAUAAAUAUUGUAUUUCACAUUUUCACUAGUUUUUUAAGGAUAAUAUUUAUGCAAGUGAAUCAAAUGAAAUCAAGAUUGAAGACACUCAACGGACAACGGCGACAUCAAGAAUAGUCUAGAGCUCAACGAACAAAUUAGUGCGAUAAAUUCUUAUAAAGCCGGUAUGAUUUAAUUGAUGCAUGAUUUAGCAUUUGAGAAGCUCAAGAGAUUAAUUAAUUAAAUAUUUUUCAUAAACUAAAAUGUUUUAUUUUUAAAAAGUAAAGUAUUUUGUGGAUUUGAGUAAAUUGGACUUAAAUGUUAAGAUUUAUAAUCUUUGAGUUUAAUAAAUAUUAUUUUGAAAUUCAAAUUUGGACUUAUUUGCAAAGGUUUGAAACGUUUUGAGGCAUAUUAUAAUUUAUGAAAGUUUGAGGACCCGAAUGUAAUCUAGACACUUGAAAUCCAAAGUUGGACAGAGAGGAAGCGGCUAACCCCCUGAGCGCUAGCGGCUAGCCGCCUGAGGGAAAUCUCAUAUUUUCAAUUUUUGGACUAAAGUGAAAGAUUUUGAUAACUUUAAAAAAUAUGGGUAUUAUGCUAAAUUUAAAAAGGACCUCUUUGAAAAAUAAUAAUAUCUUUGGGGCUAUAUCAUAAUUUUAGAAAGUUUUGGAAAGAUAACUAAUCUUAAGUAAUUCUAAAAUUAGAUCUAUUUGCAAACUUUUCUGACGUUUUGGGUCAUAAUAUAAUUAUAGAAAGUUUUAGGUCAAAGUGUAGUUUCAGUGAACAGUAUUACUGUAGCAAAAUUCAAAAAUAACGGUGAUAUUACUGUUCCUGAGCGGCUAGCCGGAUAAUCAAGCGGCUAACCGCUUGAGCACGGGAUUUUGCCUAUAACGACUAGUUUUUGGGCUUUCACUAUAAAAACUCAACUCAAACUUCUUUCUAAGGACUAAUGCACGCAAAUAUAAGAUUAUACAACAUAUAUUGAGCUUCCAAAACGCAAAUCAUAAUUGAUUGAAUCAUUGUUGAGAUAUUAGUUGCAUAUCCACUCUUAAAGAGAGUUUUUGUUGUAAUUUUCAUUUCUUAUCAAAUUGUGACUGUGUAAGUGUGGAAAACACUUAGGGUGAAGAGAUUAUGGAGAUAAUGUCUUGGUUGUAAAGGUUCAUUGACACCUUGAAAGUCAAUUGUAAAAACUUGAAGCCUUGGGAGGCUUGGAUAGUGAAAUUCUCGAGCUCGAUUGGCUUGGAGGCGUGGACGUAGGCAGGGAUUGUCGAACCACGUAAAAAUCCGCGUGUUUGUUUUUCUGGUCCCUAACUCUUUUAUUUUUACGCUUGCUUGAAUUUAUUGUUCUCCAUUUCAUUAAGGCGUUAGAUUGAUUUUAUUGUGCGAAUUGUAUUGCAUUAAUUUUAAAAACCCAAUUCAUCCCCCUCUUGGGUUGCGUUACUUGUAUUUCAAAAAGUGCGUGUGAAGUGUAAAAUUAGGGUUGGUCUUUUGGCUUUAUGUGUUAUGCUUAAAAUUACAAUAUUAGUUUUCAUAUUUUAAAAAGUUUCCAAAUUAAUUUAAGGAUAAAAAAGUAAUUUAAUUAAACAAAUUUUAAAUGAAUCGACCUAUAUUUGAUUCGUUUAUAACUCGUUUAUUAAAUGAAUUUUAAACAAAUAAAUGAAUCAAAAUCUUCUAACCUGCAAUUUGUUUAAUUAGCGAAUCGAAUCGAAUCGAAUUCAUCCAUUUAUUAAAUUAAUUAAUUUUUUCAAACUUAAAUUUAUUUAAUUCACAUCUAAUCGAAUUAAAUAAAUAAAUCCUUACCCAUAUUAGUACCCGUAAACGGAUCAUUAAUGUUACCGGUCUUUCCUAUAUUUUAUUGCAAAUUGAUGCUAACAAGAAAAAGCUAGAUCAUAUUCCACAAAAGCAAAAGUGAUAAAACAACCAGCUGGAUUCUUUUAUUAAACUACAAAUUAAAAUGGACUUUUUUUUAAUAAACUAUAUAUGAAACUGGAAUCUUUUGAAUAUACGUGGGGUAGGUUCCCUUUCAAAAAAAAAAGCGGGGUAGGCUCUUUUAUUAAAGACAAGUCACAAGACGAUUAGGGUCUUUUAUUAAACUACAAAUUGUAUAAUAUUUUUCAAAUUGUACAGACAUUUAUAAAUUGGUGGUCCCUUGGAAAUUUAAUGCCAAUCAGAGAAAAGUCAUCAUGCACAAUCUUCAAUAAUUGUUUCGAUAUUUAUAAAUUGGUAGCCCUGCGUCUUUAAUAAAUGAAAUCAUGUUACGAUUGCAUAUAGUCGUUAGAUGCACUUAAAUUAGUGAGAUUUAUUAAUAUCUAAUAAUUAGAUAUAAUUAUAACCCAAUACAAUAGUUACACCAAAGUUUCCCCCAAUAAUUAUUCGGAUACUUAUAAAUUGGUGACCCCUUAGUAAUUUUACAGCAGCUUGCAAGUGCCAACUAGUGAAAAGUCAUCAUUCACAAUCUUCCAAGUGAAACAGGGGAUAUACAAAGAUUAAGACAUGUCAUUUUUUUUUUCAUUCCGUUUCAUGUAACUUACACCCAAAUAUAUAAAUAAUAUAAAAUGAAUGGAGAGAUGCCGGAGCAGAUCGGCAGGGUUUGAAUAUGACCUUUGGCGCUUGCUUUUUUUUGUGAUUUUUUUUUUCAUUUUUUCCUUCCUGUCAUUUUAUCAUUUCUUUGGCUUUGUCUCUGUUGCGGGUGUUACUGCAUGCUAACUGUUGCUUGACAAAGUUUGCUAGCUUUUCCUUUUGUUUAUUAAUUUUUUUAUGGUCACAAAGUAUUACUCGUUCUAUUUGACAGUGAUGUGAAUCAAUUUUUCAAUUUUAUAUUUUGUGGUCAAUGUGAAUUCAAUUUCAGUUGUCUCCUGCAAUUAUGAAAAAAUUGCAGUCAUAAUAUGGAAAAGUACGCGGGCAAAAAUUUUGUAAAAGCUUCGGAGUGAUACGGGGAAUUCACUUACUACUAAGGACAAUUGGUGGCAAGCUAUUCCAUUCAUUUUAUGUCCAUCCAUCUAUUUAGUUAUUGAAGACUAGUGGUCUAUUUAUAAAUUUCAGAUUGUUUCUCUCUCUCUCUCGAAAUAACAAUAUUUAAAAUAGAGUAAUGAUACAGCUACAAACUCUUGUACAAACUUAUUUUGUACAAACUGACGUGACAUUAAUUCAUUGGUUGAAUGAAAAUAUAAAUUAAUAAAAACAAAUCAUGUGGGACAAGUGAUAUUUAAUUCAACCAAUCUUAUCAUGUCAUAUCAGUUUGUACAAAAUAAGUUUGUAUAAGAGUUUGUGGCAGUAUCAUUACUCUUUAAAAUAUCUCUUAAAUUAUUAUAAAUUUUAAUUUACUCUCGAUUUAAAAUGGAGCAUGUCAAUAAAUUUUUUUUCUUCUUAAUAAAAUUGACGUAAGUUGUGUUUACAGUAGUUUGAAGUUUGAAAUAUUUUAAAGAUUAUUAUUCUAUAAGGGAGUAAUAUGAAAUGAAAUUUACUUUUCAUGUGUGAAAUGAAAAAGGACGAAGCAAGUGUCCCUGCUUUUAUUUUAUUUCAAGGAGGAGUCAUCUCACAGACUUUAGCUCUUAACAUUACAUUUUUUCUGGUUACAUUUUUAUUUUUUAUUUAUUUUUACACAUGCGUGUGGGUUGCUUUUCUGUAAGCUCCUUAAUAUAUAUUUAAGACAAAUUAUGGAAGAGAUGGGAUUAUAUCAAGAUGAUCAAACCAUGUAAAAAAAGAAAAAAGAAAAAAAAUUAAGAAGUAAGACACUGAAAAUGGAGAAGAGAUGGAAUCAAAAGAUAUUCCAAAACAAAGCAAUCUGUCCCCUUUCCAGGGCAGACUUAUCAGGUUUAAAAAAGUACAUGCUUUGGAUUGGUAGUUGCAAUCAAUUGAAAAUAAAUAGGAUCCAAUGAAAUUUAAAUUUCGGAGAAAUAAAAUAAUCAUGCAGAUUUUUAAGAUUUUAAUAAGAGAUACUAAUAUCUUAUUUUGAUUAAUAAUAUUCUUUCACUGUGUUAACUCAAAAAAAUAUAUUUUAAAGUUUUACAGUAAAUAAAAAUAUAAUAUUAAAAUAAAUGUGACAAAUAUAUAUAUAUAUAUAUAUAUAUAUAUAUAUAUAUUAAAUAAUUUCAAUAAAAAAACAUUUUAAUGUUUUACAAUCUACUACACAUAUUUUAUUAAGUUAAUAUAAUUUUUCAAAUAAAUAGGGACAUAAUAUUAAAAUAAAUUUAUAAAAAUUUAAAUUAUUUUGAAUUUAAAAUAAUUUUAAUAUUAUUAAUAUUUUAUAUAUGUUUUAUUAAUUAUAAGAAUUAUUUAACCCAAAGUUUUUUUAUAAAUAUUUUCAGUGGAUAUAAAUAUAUUAUUUAUACUUUGAUUAUUUAACCAUUAUUAGUCUACAAUUAUUUAUAAUUAUAUUUUCAUUUAUUAGAAUACAGUUAAAGUCAAAUCUUUUGCACUUUUACCUAGCUAGAAUUAUUGCACACAGAGAAAUAAACAUAUAUUCUUUAUAACUUUAGAAAUCGGUUUUUUUUAUAGCUGGGAACAGAGAUGAUGAUUAUUAUAAGGAUGGAGAAAAGGAUAAAAAAUAUCAAUGAUUAACAAAGUCUCUGUGCAAAUUGAUUUUAGCAGUAAAAUAGUGAGCUGAAUGAUGUACGCGAUUAGUGGUAAUAGAAAUCUUCUCAUAAAUCUCCUUUUUGAGUUAUAGUUAUUUUAUUUCCGAAAUAUCCUUUUUCUUCUUUAAUACACUUCUAAUUUUUCAUUUAAUUUUUUUAUUGUUAAACUCAAAAUAUUAUUGUGAUAUUUUUCGUGUCUUUUGCAAUCUUAUUAUUACUCUACACACGAAUUAAAAAAAUUUUUUAGGUGAUGAACUUUUGAAUGUUAAUCUUGGCUUAAAUUUCACAUAUUUUACAUUAUAAUAUAAAAUUAAUUACAAAAAUAUUUAAUCAAUAAAAAUUAUAAAAAAUAAAUUAUUUUAAAUUUAUACAAUUUAUUUUAAUUAGAUAAGCAGUAACAACUACAAAAAGGAUUUGGUUAUGAAAUUUGUUGCAGCUUAAUAUUCCACAAAAGCAAAUCGUAAUAUUCCACAAAGGAGUACGAUCCACAAAAGCAAACAACCAGCUGGAUUUUUUUAUUAAGCUACAAAUUAAAGUGGAAUCGUUUAUUAAACAACAAAUUAAAGUUUGAAUAUUUAAGUAGUAGUGCGUUAGAUGNNNNNNNNNNNNNNNNNNNNNNNNNNNNNNNNNNNNNNNNNNNNNNNNNNNNNNNNNNNNNNNNNNNNNNNNNNNNNNNNNNNNNNNNNNNNNNNNNNNNCUUGUAGCUAAUUUGUCAAUAAUAUUAAACUACAAGUGCUGACAACAAGUGCGAUGCUCUUUUUCUAAAGAGAAUUAAAGUUGGUCCCGAAUAGGACGUGCCUAAAUCUGUUUAAAUUUUUUCCAGUAAAACUAACAGAGGUCAUUACUAGAAUUAUUUAUAUUGUUUUAUAUUUAUUAACAAAUUUUAAAGUCAAUCUUUUUAAUUAUUAUUCAAAAGAUAUUAUAAUUAAAAAAUAGUGUCUACUAUUAAAAAUUUAGAAAUUUACAUUACCGUUCUCUUAAAUCUCUAAAUAUUUAAGAUGUAAUUGUUAUUUUCCUUUUAUAUAUAUUAGGAAAUAGAACCGCGCUUCGCGCGGUUUGAGAAAAAAAAAUUAGUAUUAUUAUUUUUUCUCACUUUGCAUUUGAUGAAAUUGAUAAAAAAUUAUGAAUUAUUUUUUUUAAGAUGAGACAGCCUCAUAAAACUAAUGUCAUUUAUGAAAUAAUUAUUUUUUUUGUUAACUUUUAAAAUAUAUAUUAAUAUGUAUAGUGUAAGUGUACAUACCUUAUACCUUUUGUAGUUGUUGAUAAGUUCCAAGUUAUACUCAACUUGCUAAUCUGUUAGAACUUUUAUAUAUCUUUUUUUUUCUAACUAGUUCCAACGAUCUCAAUAUCACCCACACUACAUAAACUUCUGACAACGUCUGUAAUAUUAUGAAAAAAUAAUAUAAAUAUGUUAAAACAUAAGGAUCAAUAAUUUCUAAUAUACACUUAAAGAUUAACGAACAUUAAUAAUUUAAAAAUAAUAUCUGAGAGGAUUGUAUUAUCAUUCACACGUAUAUCAAUCAAAUUCAGAGAUAUGAAUUGAAAUCUAUUAAUCGAAAUCUUAACAGUUCCUUCUUCUAAACUCUUAAGUGAAGUUAUAAGCAAGAAAAUUAAUUUUAUACUGAUUUGAAAGUAGUCUGUACUCGCCUGUAGUUGAAACAACUUUCAAAUUCUUGACACUAUACAAAGAACCAUCACUCAACAUGUGCCUAAACCUUGUCACUAAAUUUUUCUUAGUUGUUGCAUGCAUUAGAAUGUCCUAUAAAAAAGAAAAACAUGCUACAUUAAGCGUAAAACAAUUGGGAAAAAAAAGAGAAAAUAAGGGGAGAAUGAAUUUUUUAUACAACCUUUUCAUCAAUAAAAAUUAUGUUCACACUAAUCAAUUAUCCAUUCUUUUUAGUAUUAACAGACUCCCACAUCCUAAAAAACAUAAUCCUUAUCAUCUAACUAUCUUUAUCAUUGUUCAACUCAUGAAGAAAAUAGUACUUCAUGAAGCACACAAUACAAAAACUUUAAAAAGUCAAAAAUAAAAUCAUGAGGAUAUUUUUAAAGAGGAUAUUGGUUAAAUAUUUAAAAAAAACUCAAACAUAACAAAUAUUAAAUACUUAAUGUUUAAAGAGUUUUAAGAAGUCAAAAGACACAAAACAAAAUGUUGAAUAAUUAAAUAUGAGAUUAUUGCAUUAAAAUUAUACUCUAAUGCCAUUGGUGAGAGAAGAUGAAGGAACCUUCCUUCAUUUAAUAAUUAGUUUAUGUAUUUUAAGCCACUAAAGUUUAGUUGUUGGCUUAAUAAAAUAAAUGAAUGUUUCAAGACUUAUAAUUAAUUAUUAUUAAUGGUUACAUAUUGUUGAAUUUAAUAGAAAGAUGAAGAGACAUGUAAUCUUUUGCAAUCUAAUAAUUAUUUUCUAUUUUUAAUACUUUGUAAUGUAAUUAUUUUUUAAUUGCAACCAAUUUAUUAAAUAAUAGAGAAUAUAAGAAGAUGAGAAAUGGUGAUGCCACAUCACCUCCUGUAGUCCCAGCUUUAUAUAUAUACUAGGAAAUAGAACCGCGCUUCGCGCGACUUAAAAAAAAUUAAUAUAAUUUUUUUCUUACUUUGCACUUGAUGAAACUGAUAAAAAUUAUGAAUUAAUUUUUUUAAAGAUGACACAACUUUAUAAAACUAAUAUUAUUUAUGAAAGUUCAUUUUUUUGUUAACUUUAAAAAUAUAUAUUAAUGUGUACACAAUAUUUUCAUCAAUAAAAAUUAUGUUCACAAUAAUCAAUUCUCCAUUCUUCUUGAUAUUAACAGACUCCCAUAUCCUAAAAUCUAACCUUUAUCAUCCAAUUAUCUUUAUCAUUGUUCAACCCAAGAAAAUAGUACUCUAUGAAGCACACAAUACUAAAAUUUUAAAAAGUCAAAAAAUAAAAACACAAGAACAUUUCUAAAGAGGAUGUUAGUUAAAUAAUAAAAAAAACUCAAACAUAAUAAAUCUUAAAUACUUAAUGUUUAUAGAGUUUAAAGAAGCCAAAAGACACUAAACAAAAGGUUGCAUAAUUAAAUAUGAGAUUAUGACAUUACAAUUAGGCCCUAAUGACAUUGUUGAGGGAAAAUGAAGGAACUUUCCUUUCUAUAUUAAUUAAUUGAUGUAUUUAAAACACUAAAGUUUAAUUAUUGGCAUAAUAAAAUAAAUGAAUGUUUCAAGACUUAUAAUUAAUUAUUAUUAAUGGUUACAUAUUAUUGAAUUUAAAUAAACAGAGGAAAGGACAUGUAAUCUUUUGUAAUCUAAUAAUUAUUUUUUAUUUUUAAAAUUUUGUAAUGUAAUUAUUUUUUUAAUCUCAACCAAUUUAUUAGAUAAUAGAGAAUACAAGAAGAUGAAAAAUAGUAAUGUCACAUCACCUCUUCUAGUUAAUUAAUUGAUGCAUUUAAGCUACUAAAGUUUAGUUGUUGGCUUAGUAAAAUAAAUGUAUGUUUCAAAACUUAUAAUUAAUUAUCAUUAAUGGUCACAUAUUGUUGAAUUUAAAUAGAAAGAGGAAGAGACAUGUAAUCUUUUGUAAUCUAAUAAUUAUUUUCUAUUUAUUUUUUAUUUUUAAUAUUUUGUAAUGUAAUUAUUUUUUAAUCUCAACCAAUAUAUUAGAUAAUAAAGAAUAUAAAAAUAUGAGAAAUAAUGAUGCCACAAAUCUUAAUUACUUAAUAUUUAUAGAGUUUGAAGAAGGCAAAAGACACUAAACAAAAUGUUGCAUAAUUAAAUAUGAGAUUAUGAUAUUAAAAUUAGGCCCUAAUGGUAUUGUUGAGGGAAGAUGAAGGAACCUUCCUUCCUAUAUUAAUUAAUUGAUUUAUUUAAGCCACUAAAGUUUAAUUGUUGGCAUAAUAAAAUAAAUGAAUGUUUCAAGACUUAUAAUUAACUAUUAUUAAUUGUUACAUAUUAUUGAAUUUAAAUAGAAAGAGGAAGAGAUAUGUAAUCUUUUGUAAUCUAAUAAUUAUUUUUAUUUUUAAAAUUUUGCAAUAUAAUUAUUUUUUUAAUAUCAACCAAUUUAUUAGAUAAUAGAGAAUGCAAGAAGAUGAAAAAUAGUGAUAUCAUAUCAUCUCAUCUAGUCCUAACUUUAUUAUCUAUGUAAGAAAAUAAAAAAAUAGUAAUGGCACAGCACCUCCCCUAGUCUCAUCUUUAUAUAUAUAUAUAUAUAGAUAUAUAAAAACCACGGUGGUGAAACUUUAUUUAAUAUUAUUGAUUUAAAUAACAAUAUCUCAAUUAAAAAUGAACAGAGAAGAAAUUUCGGUGGGUAUAUUAGUCUUUUACAAUUAUCAUGAUUAGCCCUUCCUCUUGUAACGUUGGUCAGAAAAGUUUUCUUUUACUUUUAACGUUAGCGGCCUUCCUUAUAUUUUAUUACAAAUUAAUCCUAACAAGAAAAAGCGAGAUCAUAUUCCACAAAAGCAUAAGUGACAAAACAACCAGUUGGAUUCUUUUAUUAAACUACAAUUUAAAAUGGUUUUAAAGUGGAUUCUUUUGAAUACAGGUGGGGUAGACGAUUAGGCUUUUUCAAAUUCUUGUUUUAUUAUUUUUCAAAAACUAGUUUUUGGUAAUUACAAUCGGGUCAUUAAUCAUUAUUCAGUGUUAGUUUUAUCUUCGGGGGCAGUGGGUAAAAGGCUAAAUGAUAAUUACUACCUGUUUUUCCUUCAAAAGUUAGUGGCUCGUGUUUUGCAAGUGUGAACGUGCGAUGCUCUUUGUCUAAGGGCAAUUACAGUGGGUCCCGAAUCGGACGUGCCUAAAUCUUUUAAAAAAUUUUCCGGUAUAACGGACAUAGGCCAUUACUAAAAUUUCUCUUCCACAGGCAAUUACAGCAGCUCGAGUUUAUCAAACUCAACCAAUUUUCUUUCUUAACAAAAUCCAAAGAUGUGUAGCAUUUUUCAGAUCACAUGCGAUGGUGCUUUUUUCAAUCGUUGCUUGGAUUGCUUUCUUGGAAAAGCAGCGUACAUAAGCAACCUCCAAGAUAAUCUUGUAGCCUUGGAGACUAAAAUGGGAAAUCUGAUCGCAGCAAAGAACGAAGUGAUUAUGAGGGUUGUCGCUACUGAACGGCAACAAUUGAGAAGGCUGGACCGAGUGCAAGUGUGGGUUUCCAGGGUGGAAGCUGUUAAAAUUGAAGCUGAUGAACUUAUCAGAGACGGCUCUCAAGAAAUUGACAAAUUAUGUGUUGGAGGCUACUGUUCUACGAACUGCACGUCAAGCUACAAGUUCGGGAAACAAGUGGCUAAAAAGCUACGAGAUGUGGAGACUUUAAUCGCCGAAGGAGUUUUUGAGGUGGUGGCUGACAGAGCUCCAGAGUCUGUAGCAGAUGAAAGACCUACUGAGCGAACACUAGUAGGCUUGCAAUCACAACUUGAACAAGUCUGGAGAUGUCUUAUAGAAGAAUCAGCGGGAAUCAUUGGCCUAUAUGGUAUGGGCGGUGUUGGUAAAACUACACUAUUGAUCCAUAUCAACAAUAAAUUUCUCGAGAGUCGAACCAACUUUGAUUUUGUGAUUUGGGUAGUAGUUUCAAAAGACCCGCGACUCGAAAAAAUUCAAGAAGAUAUUGGGAAAAGGAUAGGUUUGGUUGAUGAUUCAUGGAAGAGUAAAAGUGUAGAGGAGAAAGCUCUCGACAUCUUCCGGAGUUUAAGAGAGAAGAGAAUUGUAUUGUUGUUAGAUGAUAUAUGGGAGCGGCUUGAUUUAACAAAAGUGGGCGUUCCACUUCCCGGACCAAAAAAUACUACCUCAAAAGUCGUAUUCACAACCCGUUUCUUCGAUGUUUGUGGUAGCAUGGAAGCUCACAGGACGUUCGAAGUGGCAUGCUUAUCAGAAAAGGAUGCUUGGGAACUGUUUCAAGAAAAAGUAGGAGAAGAAACUCUUAAGAGUGAUCAUGAUAUCGCUGAGCUAGCCCAAACCGUGGCCAAGAAGUGUGGUGGUUUGCCGCUCGCACUUGUUACUAUUGGUCGAGCUAUGGCCAGCAAAAAGACAGCCGAGGAGUGGAGACAUGCAAUUGAAGAGUUAGGAAGAUCAGCUUCAGAGUUUCCAGGUUUGGGAAAAGAGGUGUAUCCUGUUUUAAAAUUCAGUUAUGAUAGUUUGCCGAAUGAGACGAUUAGAUCUUGUUUCUUAUAUUGUUGUUUAUAUCCUGAAGAUUAUGGCAUUCUUAAAUGGGACUUGAUUGAUUGUUGGAUUGGUGAGGGAUUCUUAGAGGAAUCUAACAGGUUUGGUGCAGAAAACCGAGGAUACUACAUUGUGGGCACUCUUGUUCAUACGUGUUUACUAGAAGAGAUAGAAGAUGAUAAAGUAAAAAUGCAUGACGUUGUUCGUGAUAUGGCUCUAUGGAUAGCUUGUGAAACUGAGAAGGAGAAGAUAAACUUUUUGGUUUGUGCAGGUGCUGGAUUAAAGGAGGCACCGGAUGUUAAAGGAUGGGAAAAUGUGAGAAGAUUGUCAUUGAUGCAAAACCAAAUUAAAGUUCUGUCAGAGGUUCCUACAUGCCCUCAUCUCCUCACUUUAUUUCUUGACUUUAAUAGAGAGUUAAUGAUGAUCGCGGGUGGCUACUUCCAAUUUAUGCCUUCUCUCAAAGUUUUGAAGAUAUCAAACAUUGGGUAUUUCAACGUUUUGAAAUUACCUUUGGGGAUGUCAAAGUUGGGUUCACUAGAACUUCUCGAUAUUUCACAUAGCAGCAUAGAGGAGUUACCAGAAGAGUUAAAGUUGUUGGUAAAUCUGAAAUGUCUGAAUUUGAGGUGGACAGAUGUGUUAAAUAAAAUUCCACGGCAACUAAUAUCAAAUCUUUCAAGGGUACGUGUGUUGAGAAUGUUCGCUACUGGCUAUGAUCGUUUUCAUGAAGCAUCAGAAGACAGCGUUUUAUUUGGUGGGGGUGAAGUUUUGAUACAGGAAUUGCUCGGUUUGAAAUAUUUAGAGGUAUUGGAGUUGACCUUGGGAAGUUAUCAUGCUCUCCAAAUUCUUUUGAGCUCAAAUAAGUUAAAAAGUUGUAUUCGAUCUCUUCUCCUCUUCGGGUUCAGAGGUACAAAGUAUUUUAUUGAUGCUACGGCUUUCGCAGAUCUAAAGCACCUCAAUGAAUUACAGAUUCAUGAUUGUAGGGGGUUGGAAGAGUUGAAGAUUGAUUACACAGAGAUAGCACAAAAAAGGCGGGAACCUUUUGUUUUCCGCAGCCUUCGUCGUGUUACUAUGGUUUCGUGCCAUAAAUUGAAAGAUUUGACAUUCCUCGUUUUUGCUCCAAACCUCAAGUCUAUUUCGCUAGGCGAUUGCGAUGCUUUGGAAGAAAUAAUCAGCGUUGGAAAAUUUGCUGAGGUUCCUGAGAUGAUGGGACAUCUAAGCCCUUUCGAAAAUCUCCAAAAUCUUGACCUAUCGUAUUUGCUGGCUUUGAAGAGCAUCUACUGGAAGCCAUUGCCUUUCACUUAUCUGAAAGAAAUGGUGGUAAAUGGGUGUGAUCAACUUAAAAAGCUUCCACUCGAUUCCAGCUGUGCAGAAGAGCGUAAAUUUGUUAUUCGCGGAGAAGCACACUGGUGGAACUGCCUUGAAUGGGAGGAUGAAGCCACUCAAAUUGCUUUUCGUUCCUGUUUCCAGCCUUAUUCCUGAGUGGUGGUUGCAAAAUUUGAUUUCUGGUGUGGUCUUUUAUUCUCUGUUUUUAUUUAAGUUUCUUUUCCUUUCCUUUUCCUUUUUUUUUUUAAUUUCUCCUGCAAAUCACAAUUAAACAUUGAAUUAUAUGGAAUUAAUGCUUUAUAAAUUUGCCGGCACUGCCUUUUUUUUUUUUUGUCGGAGUGAUACUCUAGCUUUUGACUUUUGGUUGUCAAAUUCUGCUCUGCCUUUUUAAAUUGAUGCUUUAUUUAUAUUUUCUUAGUGAUUUAGUUUCCUGUCAAAAGACGAACGAGAAGAACAUUUGAAUUAAAUAAAUGCUCGCAAAUUUGCGGUAAAAAGAUGUAAUUAGCCGAGAAAAUAUUAAAUAUAGUAGCCCUCUUUACAGAAAAUCAAGUGGAAGUUAAUUCAGCAAGUUAUAUUCUUGAUUAAUUCCUUUUCUGAAGUUUUUAUUUUCUAUGGUCAAUUAUACCUUCAUACUAAAAAUUGCUGCUAUUGGGUGUUGAGUGUUAUGCUAAAAUUUUGCCCUAUUUUGGGCCAAUAUUUUAGAAGUGAAACAUACUUCAGAGUUGAAGUAAACUUUGAAAAUAGAGAUAAUGAUUAAUUUAGAAGAGAUGCAAGUAAAAGAUAUUCUAAAAAAAAAAAAGCAAUAUGUCCCUUUGGAGGGCAAACUUGUCAGUUUGAAAAAGUUACAUGCUUUGGAUUGAUAGUUGCAGGAUAUUUGUUUUGUCACUGUGUAUUAGGUGCGUUUGGAAUUGAAGUGUUGUAGUUUUUAAGUUAUAAUUGUUGUAAAAAAAAAUUGUAACUAUAAAACAAAAGUUAAUAAUAUAUAAUAAAUUUAAAUUUAAAUAAUAAUUUUAAUAAAAUUAUUAAAGAUAUAAUAGAUUAUUUAUUAUACAAGUGAAAAUUAUAUCAACAUAUCUUUCAAGUUACAAUAGUUAUUGAUUACUAAACACUUUACUGUUGUAACUUUUAAGUUAUAGCUAUUUAACCUCAAUUCCAAACGCAUCGGAGAAGUCACGCCUAGUGAAGAAUGUUAUGAAAGAGCAAAGGAUAUUCCUAAUCGAGCUCUAUUUGAUUAUGUAUCCAGUGAAUGGAUGUGUUGUUGGAAGAUAUUUGAGUGCAUUAGUUCAUUUGUGUCGGUCAAUGUGCUUUUAAUGAUUUUUCCACUUGUUUGUUGUAAAAGAUUAUUGUAAAUUGAAAUGAAUUGGAUGUUGUAAUAUUUUCUCUUUAGUGGAAUUUCACCUUGUAUGUAUUCAGUUGUGUUGUCUAAAAUUUUACAUUCGAAUAAGUUUUCACCUAAAAUAUUAGCAUGAGUUGUGGCCCUUGAAACUUUGGUCAAAAUUAUUGUUAUUAUUUCUUACUAGAUGUAAACUUUUUAUUAAACCUCGUUAACAUAAUUCUUAAUUAAAAGUAUAGGUUAGUGUCGGUGCAGAAUUUGCAACACCAAAUCCUGCCUAGGCAAGUGUCAAAAGUGCAAAAUAAAUGAAGAGAAAGCACGAAUACAUGAUUUAGAUUAGGAUAGAAGGAAACUUAAAUCCUAGAGAAAAGGAUAGCUAUAUCCCAAGAUUUAAAAAAAUAGUCAUGUAGAUUUUUAAGAUUUCAAUAAGCGACUAAGAUUUUCUUUUGACAAAUAAUUUCCUUUAGCUCUAUUAACAAAAAAAAUAAAGACUCAAAUAUUUUAUAAUAAAUAAAAUAUAAUAUUAAAAUAUAUGUGAUAAUAUAGAAAUUUUAAAUAAUUUCAAUCCAAAUAAAUAGUUAUGUUUUACAAGCUAUUAAACAUAUUUUAUUAAAUUAAUAUAAAUGUUUUAUAAAAUAGGAACAUAAUAUUAAAAUAAAUUUACAAAAUUUUUAAGAAUUUUGAAUGUAAAAUAAUUUUAAUAUAUUAAUACGUGAGAUUUUUUUAUUAUUAUAAAAAUUAUUUAACUUUAAGAUUUUUUAAAAUCCUUACAAUAAGUAUAAAUAUAUUAUUUACAUUUAAAAAUAUUUAAAUAUUAUUAACCUACAAUUAUAUUUGCAUUUAUUAGAAAAUUUUAAAGUCAAAUAUUUUGCACUUCUACAUUAUUAGAAUUAUUGAACACAAAGAAAGAAACAUAUAUGCUUUAUAGCUUUAGAAAUUGUUUUCUUUUACAUCUGGAAACAAAGAUGAUGAUUAUUAUAAGGAUAAAAAAUGGAUAAAGAAUAUUAAUGAUUAACGAAAUCUCUGUGCAAAUUGAUUUUAGUAGAAAAAGAGUGAGAUGAAUGAUUUCUUUUACAACUAGAAACAAAGAUGAUGAUUAUUAUAAGGAUGAAAAAAAGAUAAAGAAUAUUAAUUAUUAAUGGAAUCUCUAUGCAAAUUGAUUUUAGUAGAAAAAACGAGCUAAAUGAUUUAGACAUUCAUUCUGUGUUUAUUUUUGUGAUUAGCAUUAAAAAUUGUUUAAUUAUCAAACGAUAAUAAUGUUAUUUUGUACUUAUGUUAUAAUUUAUAUUUGUGUUUAUGUAAUAUAUUAGAAAUUAUUAAUUAUGUUUUAAAUAUAUCUAAUUUUGAGUAUAUUUGUGUGUUUAUUAGGAAAAAUAUUAAUUUUAGAUAAAUUGAGGCUCCAAACAAUUAAACGGAGGUCAAAUUUGGAUUCCGGAGGUUUGAAAACCUUAAGAUCAGUCAAGAUCGGCUUAAAAUUAGGUUUGUGUAAAAAGAGUUGACUUUUUCUGCUGACCGAGCACUGAUUGGAUGAUGAAAUGAGCUUACAAUAGAUAUGAGUGCAUGGGAUAACUGGCAAUUUUGACUAAAUCUCAACCGUUCAUGAUUCAAUGGCCAUGAUUGUGCCAUGUGGUAGUGGUUGAUGAAGCAAGUUGUAGGAUCUGAAUCUUUGUAUACGGGUCGACCUGAUCCGCCCAUUAACUCGCCAAAUCACAACCGUUCUUUGGCCAAAUCGGACGAGUCAAACGAUGCCACAUGUGAAGUUGACUUUUGAAGUUUGACCAGCCAUUGGAUCUUGAUCUAAAGGUUGUGAGAGCAUGAAGCUUAUGGAGCUUAUGAUGGACCGCAAAACACUGGAUUAUAAAUUUAUUUUUCUAUAAAUAGAGCCUCAUUUUUAUGUUUUUAAUUAUCUCUACAUCUCUCUUCUUCUCAAAUUCUCUCCAUCUCCCUGUAAUAUUUUGUAUAAUUAUUUUAUUAAAUAAAUUUAGUUUUAUUUUCAAUUUUAGUUGUUUUUAUUACUUUUAAUUAUAAGUAAUUAAAUUUUAAUAUUUCUUUUUAUUUCAAUUAUGCUUAACUAAAUAAUAUUAGUUGGGGUAAGGUGAAACUCUUAGGAAAUAAAUAUGAUUUAAUCAAAUUUUAUUUUUAAUUUUAUAAAUUAAAUUAUUUUCUAUUUAAUUUUAUACAUAUUUUAUAUUUUAAAAUUUUGAUUUAUUGUAGACAAACAAAUAAAUUUGGCACAAUAAAUUCUUAAGAUCUUAAUAUAAGGUAUGGUAAAAUGGUAUUUUGACUUAUUGUAGACAAAUUAAAUUUUGACACAAUAAAUACUUAAUCCAUCAUAAAAUUAGAGGGAAAAUAAUAAUAAUUUAUAUAAUUAAUCUUUUGGGCAAUAAAUUUAAAAAAAUAGCAAAAAGAAUUUAUUGAGUUUUAUUUACUACUAAGAGUGGAUCCACAAUCCUAACUAGAUCAAUUUCAUAAUUUCAUUUAAAUUAAGUUGUUUUUAUUCAAGUUUUUAUUUCAAUUUUUAGAUAAAAUAAAUUAAAUUAAUUAAAUCUUUUCUCUGUAGAUCGACCUCAGACUCACCGAGGACUGACCAAGGUAUAAUACAACAAGACACUCUUAUAAUUAAGAGUUUAAAAUUACUUUUAAGUUGUGUCAUUUUGGAUUGGUGAAUUAGAAUUAUUGACAACGCUAACUUCAUCUUCACAAUUUGCAAUCCAAUAGCAGCAAUUGUCACCGAUAAUGAUAUCUCCAAUGAUAAUGACGAUUUUAUUAUUAUUAUUGAUAAAAAGUAUUAUAAUUAAUUAAUAUAUUAAUGUUAAUAUUAUUAUUAUUAAGAUUAACAAUAAUUAUUAAUAAUAACAAUUUUUUGAAUAAAAAUAAUUACAAUAAUUUAAAUAUAAAUUAAUAAUUAUGACAAUAAUUAAUUAAUGUCUUUUUAAUAAUUUACUGAUUAUCACAGUUCAAGUAAACAAAUUAUUAUGAUUCCUAUUCUCCAUUUCCAUUUCAGCUCACUCCGAUUCCAAUCCAUUUCGACUUCUGCCUAAAAAACUCACCAUUAGUGCUAUAGUAAUAUUUCAUAUAGAGAAAAGUAAAAUCUACACCUAAGAUUAAGGUAAAGGACUUCAAAACUCUCUUUUGAUUAUAAUACCUUUUGUCCUAAUUAACUUAAAGAUUUUGAAUCUAAUAUUUUAUAAUAAAUAAAAAUAUAUUCCUAAAAUAAAUAUAAUAUCAAUAUUUAAAGUAUGUUUUAAUAUUUUACAAUCUAUCAGACACAUUUUAUUAUAUUAAAGUAAAUUUUAUAAUAAAUACAAACAUACUAUUAAAAUGAAUAUACAAAAAAGUUUAGAGUAUUUUGAAUAUUAUAUAAAAUAAUUUUAAUAUAAUGCGUGAGAUAUAUUUUAUUAAUUUAAAAUGCUAUUUUACCUAAAAAUUUAUUUAUGAUAAAUUAAUAAUUAUAUUUUUAAAAUUAUUUUAAAUAUUAUAAAAAAUUUAAUAUUAUUAGUGUUUUAGAUAGAUUAAAUUAUUUUAAAAUGCCUUAAUUGUUUUUACUUUUAACGUUACCGGCCUUUCUUAUAUUUUAUUGCAGCUAACAAGAAAAAGCCAGAUCAUAUUCCACAAAAGCAAAAGUGACAAAACAACCAGCUGGAUUCUUUUAUUAAACUACAAAUUAAAGGAUCCCAUUAUCUUACAACUAAUGUAAGAUACAUCCCUCACAUAAAUAGUAUAUAAACUCCACAUAUAUACUGUUCAUGUGAGGAAAUGUACCUUACAUUAAGAUAGUGUUUGCCCAAAUUAAAAUAGAUUUUUUCGAUGAACUACAAAUUAAAGUGGAUUCUUUUGAAUAUAGCUGGGGUUAGGGUAGGCUCUUUUAUUUAAGGCAAGUCUAGAGUAGUCAAAGACGAUUAGGCUCUUUUAUUAAACUACAAAUUGUAUAGUCUUUUUCAAAUUGUUCAGAUGCUUAUAAAUUAGUGGCCCCUUGUAAAUUUAACUGGAAGUGCCAAUCAGAGAAAAGUUCAAUUCUAAAUAAUUGUUCCGAUAUUUAUAAAUUGGUGGCCCCUACAAUCCUCAAUAAUUGUUCCGAUAUGUAUAAAUUGAUGGCCCCUACAAUCCUCAAUAAUUGUUCCUAUAUUUGUAAAUUGGUGGCCCCUUAGAAAUUUAACCGCAAGUCUGCAAGUGACAAUCGGAGAAAAGUCAUAAUUUACAAUCUUCCAAGGGAAGUAGGGAACCAGGGGAUAUACAAAGAUUAAGACAUGUCAUUCAUUUUUUUGGCUGCAUUCCCUUUCGUGUUCUUAAUAAUUGAAGACAGGUUGUUCAUUACAUGCUUACUUUUCAAAUGUGGAGCCGCAGCUAAUGUCGCUACUUUAAUUUGGGAUUAAAUUAGGGAAACAUUAUAUUGUAGUAUGCACUAACUUGAUGUUUAUCUAAACUCCUUAAAUUUAAGACAGAUUAUGGCAUAAAUAAGAAUAUAACGAUAACAAAAGAGUAUAUAAAAUAUUUAGAGUAUUUUGAAUAUUAUAUAAAAUAAUUUUAACAUAAUGCAUGAGAUAUAUUUUAUUAAUUUUAAAUGCUAUUUAACCUAAAGAUGUAUUUAUGAUAAAUUAAUGAUUAUAUUUUUGAAAUUAUUUCAAAUAUUAAAAAAUUAAUAUUAUAGACUAAAUUAUUUAUAUUAUUUUUUAUUUAUUAAAAAAUUUUUAAGUCAAUCUUUUUAAUUACUAUUCAAAGAAUAUAAUGAUUAAAAAAAUCUUUAUGCCUUCAUUAAAAAUUUAAAAAUUUACAUAACGAUUUCUAUAAAUAUUUAGGGUAUAUAUGAAGCACGGUGGAGAAGCUUUAUUUAAUAUUAUUGAUUUAAAUAAUAUCUCAAUUAAAAAUGUACAGAGAAGAAAUUUCGGUGGGUAUUUUAGUCUUUUCAGCAAUUAUCAUGACCAGAUCUGCCUUUGGCCUUGAAACGUCGGUCAGAAAAGUUUUAAAGUGCUUUAAUUGUUUUUAAGGCCGCUAAUAACUCUGCUCGUGCAAGUUGAGGAUAAAUGUUAAAUUAAUUACAAAAGCAAAAGGCUAAUUUAUUGAAGACAAGUAAAGCAGUCACGAAUGGUACAUGCCUAAUCUUUUCUAUAUUUACAGAAACACAAUUUUUUUUCAAUCCGCCGCAGCUUCUGUUAAAAUUAUCUUGGUUUCUCGUAGUUGAUUUCUAUUAUCCCAAAAAAAAAAAAAAGGUAACUGUUGAUGCCGAAAAAUGAUUUCAACAGCUGAAUUUAUUUUUUUUGGAGAAUUACAGUGUGAAUCCAAGCUCAAACGCAAGUCUGAUCGCAACUUUCUAUAUCUGCUAAUCAGAAAACACAGUUAGGAUACGCCGGUGGGGUUUCGGCUAGACCUUCCGAUACUUAAGUCAGAAAUUAUGUAUAAAAGGAGAAAAAUGAGAAUGAAGAAUUAUGAAUGAGUUAAAGUCAAGUAAUUUUCCGGUAGAGGGGUUGAAAAUCUUGUAGAAGCUUUGGUUGAUUUUGCUAACCCCUUCACCUGAUGCGCUCUUCAGUUUAAAUAGACUCUUGGUCGUGUACGGUUACCUCCUUAACUUCAGAAGUUGCAAGUGGUUGUCAGUUGGAGGUGGUUUAAAUAGAUCGUGGCACACAACUUCCUUAUAAAUUAGGCCACGUUCUCUUAACUAGCAAUUUUCCAUGUCAAGCUAAUUCUCAGGUCGGACAAGAGAAUUUCAAGGUCGGAUUACUUCACUUUCAGAUUAGACAGAUGAAUUUCUCAGUCGCUCAUAUAACGUUAAGGUUGUAUUCUUAAACUAAGUCAUUCACAUAGAUCUUAGGUCGUACUUAUAAACCAGGUCGCCAACAUAGGCUCCAGGUUGUACUUAUGAGGUUAGCUCAACAACAAUAAGUUUUGAGUAGAUUAGGAUCGACUAUAUUUUGAGACACUACCAGAAAAAUCCAACCCAAACACCAGUCCCCUAAUUUUCAAUACUGGAAAGUCAUUGCCAGUGUUGGAAACUAAUGGAAAACAUUUCUCAAAACCCAAUACCAGUCCCCUAGUUUUCAAUACUGAGAAGAUAUGAACGGUAUUGGAAACUAAAAUAAUUAAGAAAGAGCAAUAUAGCCACAAGCAAAAGAAAGACGGUGUAGAGCGGAACAAUGAGCAAAGAGAAGAGUAAAAAGAAAACUUCAGGUGUGGACCAAGAAAAUAACCAUGACCAAAUGCCUCGAGGUGAUAGAGUCGGGGUUGAGGGUGAGGUCUUCCUAACUAGUAGGGUUGUUGAAGACCAAGAGAGAACUUCCUAAAUUUAAUUAUUACAAUGCUUGCCCUUUUUUGCAAUAUGAACUUGUGUAGACCGUAUGCUACUGAACUUUAUUUUGCCUUUGUAAUCGGAUAAUUAUUAUGCUGACCUUGCCUUUUUUACUCUUUAUUUACUAGGGUUGGUUAUGAAUUGCAUUCCGUAGACUGAGCCCAUUUAAGACUCUGUUGAGGUCAAACAAAUAGAUAUGGUCAACUUUGGUAGCAAUAACACCAAGCAAUGACCUUGAAUUCACCAAGAUUCUAUCAUUUCGAUAUCAAUCUUGAUAAGGAAAAUGUUGACCUCACGAAAAUAUCAACUUCAACAAGAUAAAUUGUUGACCUCAACAAGAUAAAUUGUUGACCUCAACAAGAUAAAUUGUUGACCUCAACAAGGUUAAGUGUAGAGCUAAAAUGCCAACCUCACGACAAGGAAAAUGUUGACCUCACGAUAAGGAAAAUGUUGACCUCACGAAAAUGUCAACCUUAACAAAAUAGAUUGUCGACCUCAACAAGGUUAAGUGUAGAGCUAAAAUGCUGAACUCACGAUCUCACGACAAGGAAAAUGUCAACCUCACGAAAAUGUCAACCUCAACAAGAUAGAGUGUUGAACGCAAUAAGGUUAAAAUGUAAAGCUAAAAUGCCGACCUAAAAAAAAAUUGAAAAUUGGAGAACUUAAAUGUUAAGCUUAUGAUCAACCUCAACAAGGCAAUGACUGACCUCAAUAAAAUUGAAAAUUGGGCAACGACCUCAACAAGGCAAUGGCCGACCUCAACAAGGCAAUGGCCGACCUUAAAAAAAAUUAAAAAUUGUAGAACUUAAAUGUUAAGCUUAUGGCCGACCUCAACAAAAUUGAACAUUGUAGAACGUAAAUGUUAAGGCUAUGGCCAAACUCCACGAGGCAAUGACCAACCGCAAUAAAUAGAAAAUUGUAGAUUUUAACUUAUGGCCGACCUCAAUAAGGUAAUGGUCGACCUCAACAAAAUUAAACAUUGUAGAACGUAAAUGUUAAGGCUAUGGGCAAACUCCAUGAGGCAAUGACAAACCUCAAUAAAUAGAAAAUUGUAGAAUUUAGCUUAUGGCUGACCUCAAUCAGGCAAUAGCCGACCUCAACAAAAUUGAACAUUGUAGAACGUAAAUGUUAAGGCUAUGGCCAAACUCCACGAGGCAAUGAGCAACUUCAAUAAAUAGAAAAUUGUAGAACUUAGUUUAUGGCUUACCUCAAUAAGAAAAUGGUCGACCUAAAUAAAGUAAAGGCGAAUUUCGAUAAAAUUGAAAAAUGUAGAUCUCAACAAGAUAAAAGUUAAGGCUAUCUAACCACAAGGUAAUAGCUGUCUUCAAUCUCAAAAAGGCCGAAUUACAAUUAGACCUCAACAAGGUCAAAAUGACAAUCUCGAUCUCAAUAAGAUUUGAUAAAUUUUUCAGGUAGGACCUCAACAAGGCAGCAAUGUCGAUCUCAAUCUCAAUAAGAUUGGAUGAAUUUUUCAGGUAGAAUCUCCACAAAGCCGAAAUGCCGAUCUCAAUCUCAAUAAGAUUGGAUAAAAUUUUCAGGUAGGACUUAAAUAAGGCCGCAAUGUCGAUCUCAAUCUCAAUAAGAUUGAAUGAAUUUUUUUCAUGUCAGACCUCAGUAAAGUCGUCAUGUCGAUCUCAAUCUCAAUAAGAUUAGAUAAAUCUUUUCACGUUGGACCUCAAUACGGUCCAAAAAUGCCGAUCUCAAUCUCAAUAAGAUUGGAUAAAAUUUUCAGGUAGGACCUCAACAAAGCUGCAAUGUCGAUCUCAAUCUCAAUAAGAUUGGAUGAAUUUUUUCACGUUGGACCUCAGCAAGGCCGCCAUGUCGAUCUCAAUCUCAAUAAUAUUGGAUAAAUCUUUUCAUGUUGGACCUCAAUACGGUCCAAAAAUGCCGAUCUCAAUCUCAAUAAGAUUGGGUAACUUUUUCAUGUUGGACCUCAAUAAGGUCACAAAGUUGAUAUCAAUCUCAAUAAGAUUGAAUAAAUAUUUUCACGUUGGACCUCAAUACGGUCCAAAAAUGCUGAUCUCGAUCUCAAUCUCAAUAAGAUUGGGUAAUUUUUUCACGUUGGACCUCAACAAGGUUGCAAUAUCGAUAUCAAUCUCAAUAAGAUUGGAUAAAUUUUUUCACGUUGGACCUCAAUAAGGUCCAAAAAUGCCAAUCUCAAUCUCAAUCAGUCUGGAUAAAUUUAUUUCAUAUUGGACCUCAAUCAAGUCCAAGUGUCGAUCUCGAUCUCAAAUAAGACCGGUCACAAGUAGAUAAGAAAUAAAGUUGCACUUUUAAAUAACCUCAUUGAUACUAAUAUAACAGAAGUUAUAGAAUUGAACGCAUAACAAAUUGAAAUAACAAAGAAACAAACUUUCUUAGCAUAUUUAAAGAAAAUAAACAAACAAUAUUUAAAGAAAAUAAACAAACAAGGACAUCAUAAAUAAGAUAUAUCUUAACUGAUAGUAUUUUCGCAGGUGCUCUGCAUUCCAUGCCUUGCCAACGACCCUGCCAUCCUGAUAACUUAAUUUAUAUGCCCCAUUAUCAAAUUAGGGUAGCACUUUAUAUGGUCCUUCCCAGCUCGGCCCUAGAACUCCAUCAAUAAAUCUGAAGCUCAUUGGAGAUGUCAUCCAUCAUUUUUGUUCCCACUCUUACCACCCUGCUCGGAUCAACCUCACUUAUCGGCAUGUUUCAUUUCUUCAUUAGGUCACUGUUGGCACAAUCUAUUCUCAGCUCGUGGGUCGAUACUCGUGAUCUGCAUGGAUUCUCUUGCAGCUGUAGCGUAACAACUUCGAGCUAUUUGUUGCUGGCCCCUCAUCACUCCAACCCCAUAUUGAACUCUAAACUUCACACGUUGCAUGUGGGUUGAGCUCACGGCUCUUACUAUCCUAUUGAAAGGUCUACCCAAAAUAAAUUGAUAAGGGUUGGGCUCAUCAACUACCACCCAUGUCACCAUCACUGUCUUUUGUAGUGGGUUGGACUUUAUUAUCAGUGGCAAGUCAAUCAUCCCAAGGGGAAUCAACUCAGCUCCGCCAAACCCUUUUAGUGAUGUUCUGACGGGAUCAAGCCUAAGGUCCCCUAUUUGUAGAUCUUCCAGGGUUUGCUUAAACAAAAUGUCGACUGAGCUUCCUCCAUAUAUAAGAGCUCGGUUCAAAUCCUGCCCUACCAAGGUAACCUUCACUAUGAGCGCAUCCUCAUGUGGAUGUGCGACCGCUUCCUCGUCCUCGUCUGUGAACAUGAUCGGCACCCUUUGAACCCGUUGCUUCUUUGGUAUUGAAACAUUAAAAUUCAACUUAUAACUUUCUAAUGACUAUCUACUAUAAUUUCUCCUUGAACGAUUUGAGUCUCCUACUAGGGUCGGCCCUCCCAUAAUCAUCAUCGCUACAUUAUCUCUGAUGUCUCCUCUUCUCCCACCUAUUCCUUGGUCAUUCACAUACUCCUUUAGAUAUUGAUUUUGCACUAGCCACAAAAUCUGUUCUUUCAAGUCUAUGUAAUCUGCAGUUCCAUGUCCGAACACAAUGUGAAACUCGCAAUACUUGUGGUGAGCACUUCUGCCCAGACUUCUUACAAUUGGCUUUGGCGGUUUAAGUAGCCCCUUCUUUUCUACUACAACAUAUAUUUCCGCUCUGCUUUUGUUCGAUGGUGUGUAUCUUCCACUCUACUCUAAUAAGUUCACCCCAUGGUCAGAUCUCGAUACUCUCUGUUCUAUAGGCAGUGGCAACCUAUUGUAGUCUCUUGCUCGGUUCUCCCUUUAGUUCAUCUCAUAAUUAUUUCCUCUAUCUCGGCCCCAUCCCAUUAAUGAGAUUUAUCUCAUUUCACGAUUUCUUUCCCAAUCUCGACCCGACCUUUCUGGUCAUCUGUAAUUGAACAACUCUCCGCCGUAAUGACGUCUAUCAUCCGAGUUCCUCCUCGAGCUAUACUCGAGGUUAUCACUUGACCCUCUCUCUGCUCUUCCAUUCUCCUAUUUUCUUCCUCUGCAUCUUCAGUUUUCAUAUCUAAUUUUGUCUAGUCGUACGCCUCAGCGUAUGUUGUUAUCCCCUUGUUAUAUAAGCUAUUCCAUAAUCGAUUGAUUCUCAACUCCUUCUUUAAUCCCUCUAGAACAUCUGGAAGAUCAAAGGCCCCUAGAUCGGUAACCUCUCUAUGAUACCUGGUCACAAAACUCGUCAAACUUUCAAAUUCUCCUUGGACCAAUUUUGUCAAGCUGCUCAUAUCCUGCUCUGAUAUGCAUGAACCUCUAAAAUGCAUAGCGGAAAGCACACAUAACUCCUUGAAAUUUCCUAUGCUUCUAUUCUUUAAUCUCCGGUACCAUUCCCAUGCUUGUCCAUCUAGAGUUAAGGGAAAAAUACGGCACCUUUGAAAAUCAUUCAAACCUUGAAUUACAGUCAUCUCAUUAAACUUCUCCACAUGAUGAUUUGGGUCAGUUUUUCCUUCAUACACCAAGACUUGAACCACAUACUUGGGUGGCAAAGUUACUGCCAUCACUUCAGGUACCAAGGGGGACUCGUCAUCGAGUAACAGCCUUCCUACCACUUUCUUGCCCUCUGUUUUCGCCUCUAAUACCUCUAAGGUUUUUUGAAAUUGCAGCAUUCGUUGCUCAAGCUCAUUUGCCCGUUGGGGUCUCUCAGCUCUUCCCUCUCUCUUUCUUGAUUCAAGUCAUUGAUUCUCCCCCUCAACUCAUUCACUUGUUCUCCUGCACUUCUAUUCUUUUGUCGUACCCCAACUUGUGGUAGUCCCAUUCCGCUCUGCUGUUCACCAUCAAGCUCUUCCCUCUCUCGCGCUCCACUACAUUUUGGAUCACUAGCUCGAACGUGAGCCUCUCUGACUUGGGCAUCAACCAGCCCCCGAUCAUCUUCUCAAAUCUCGCCAUUUGCCUCUCAAUCCCUUCUCUCCAUCUCUUAUCUGCCGUGGCAUUCAUUUCCUCAGCCAAUUGGCGCAAGGUCUACGUAUCUUCAUCCUUAUCAUCUAUCACUAUUUUGUAAUCCGAUAGCUUCUCCUUCUAAAUCUUCAAACGUAUGGCUUUUCGCACUGAUCCCCACAGAUAGCGUCAAGAUGUUGAUGCUGAAAAACGACAUGAACAGCUGAAUUUGUUUCUUUUGGGGAAUUACAAUGUGAAUUUAAGCUCAAACGCAAGUCUGAACGCAACUUUCUAUAUCUACCAACCAGAAAACACAGUUAGGAUAUGCCGGUGGGGUUCCGGCGCAGACCCUCCGAUGCUUAAGUCAAAUUAUGUAUAAAAGGAGAAAAAUAAGAAUGAAGAAUUAUGAAUGAGUUAAAGUCAAGUAAUUUUCCAGUAGAGGGGCUAAAAAUCUUGUAGAAGCUUCAGUGAAUUUUGCUAACCCCUUCACCUGAUGCGCUCUUCAAUUUAAAUAGACUCUUGGUCAUGUACGGUUACCUCCUUAACUUCAGCCCGCUUUCUUCAGUAGUUGCAAGUGGUUGUCAGUUGGAGGUGGUUUAAAUAGAUCGUGGCACACAACUUCCUUAUAAAUUAGGCCACGUUCUCUUAACUAGCAAUUUUUCAUGUCAAGCUAAUUCAUUGGUCGGACAAGAGAAUUUCAAGGUCGGAUUACUUCACUUUCAUAUCAGACAGAUGAAUUUGUUAGUCGCUCAUAUAGCGUUGGGGUUGUAUUAUUAAACUAAGUCAUUCACAUAGAUCUUAGGUCGUACUUGUAAACCAAGUCGCCAACAUAGGCUUCAGGUUGUACUUAUGAGGUCAACUCAACAACAAUAAGUUUUGAGUAAAUUAGUAUCGACUAUAUUUUGAGACACUACAAAAAAAAUCCAACCCAAACAGUAACAUUUUGCAAAUCUCAAUCGACGGUGCUAUUUUCAAUCGUUGCCUGGAUUGCUUUCUUGGAAAAGCAGCAUCUAUAAGAAACCUGCAAAAAAAUGUUGUAGCCUUGGAGACUGAAUUGGGAAAACUAAUCGAAGCAAAGAACGAUGUGGUGGCGAGGGUCGUCAACGCUGAAAGGCAACAAACGAUGACAAGGCUGAACAAAGUUCAAGGCUGGCUUUCGAGGGUGGACGCUGUUAAAGCUGAAGCUGAUGAAUUGAUAAGACAUGGCCCUCAAGAAAUUGAGAAACUAUAACUUAGAGGCUACUGUUCCAAGAACUGCAAGUCAAGCUAAAAGUUUGGCAAAAAAGUGGCUAAAAAGCUAAGAGACGCCGGGACUUUAAUGGCCAAUGGAGCAUUUGAAGUGGUAGCUGAGAGAGCUCCAGAAUCAGUAGCGGAUGAAAGGCCUAUCGAGCCCACAGUAGUAGGCCUGCAAUUGCAACUCGAGCAUGUUUGGAGAUGUCUUGAAGGAGAAUCAGUCGGAAUUGUUGGCCUAUACGGCAUGGGCGGUGUCGGUAAAACUACACUAUUGACCCAUAUCAACAACAAAUUUCUUGAGAGUCCAACUAAUUUUAAUUAUGUGAUAUGGGUCGUAAUGUCAAAAGACUCGCGACUUGAAAACAUUCAAGAAACUAUCGGGGAGUAGAUUGGUUUGUAAAAAUUUGCCAAUUUACACAGCAAACAAUUUCCACCCAAUUAAUGUUUUUUAGAAAAUUGUAAAAAUUUGGAGUUAUGAAAAUAGAAACUAUAUAAUAAGAAGAAAUAAUUUAAGAUUUUAAGAUUUAUAUAUAUUUUAUAAAUAAAACAUUAAAAGAGAUGCUUGUUAUUACGAUGAAAUUUUAUGAGUAAGAUGAUUAACUUUAAUAUAUGAGUUUGUAUUUUAUAAAUUAAUCAGAGGUAUUUUAGAAAAUAAAUUCAAAAUGGGAGUUAUAAGAGUUUUAGAGUGGUGUUAAAAGCUCAACUCUUUUGAAUUUUACUGCCCAAUUAUAUAGUACAUUAGCGUGAUUGUUAUGUAUUCAUUUUUUUCAGAUACAACAAACGAGCUGCGUAGUGCUCAAAUAACAAAAAUUAAUAAUUUCACACACCCAUAUACAUAUAUGUAUACAUAUAGAUACAUAUUAUAUUUAAUUAAGCAAAAGAAAGAACCCCCUGUACGACGCCAGUGAGAAGAGAGAGAGAGAGAGAGAGAGGAAGAGAGCUUUUUGUGUUAUAUUUCAUAAUUUUUAUUUAAUUAAAAAUAUUUGUAGUUUGGAUUUGGGCGCCCCAAAGAAUUUCUAAAUCAAAACCUUAAUUUUUAUUAGGUCUUGAGCCUAUUCUCGAAAUAGAUCCUAUUAUAUUCUUAGGUGGUGUUUGGUUUUAAGAAAAUGGAAGAGAGGAGAGGUGAAAAAAGAAGAUGAACGGAGAGGUGAUGAGAGGAAAAGAGUGUAAAAAUUAAUUGUUAUUGUUUGGUUUCACAUUAAAUUUGAAAGGAAAAGAAAUUACAUAUUUUUUAUUUGGACGAAUAUACCCACUAUUUUAAUGCUAAUAUUGUUAAUAAAUUAAAAAAUAAUAAAACUAUGAAUUAAUUUAAUCUAGAAAUUACCUAAUUAAAUUAAAAAAUUAUUUUUUAAAAAAAUACAGCAUUUGGCCAUGGACAGCCUCCACGUUGACCACCGUUGACUGGCGAAUUUGACUGUCGUUGACCGUCAUUUUUCAUCGCGUUAAAUGCAUAAUAAUAAUAAGAAAUGAAUGAUUUAUUCAUUGGAAGUGUUAAUUUUGCAGAAAAUACACUAUAUAGUAGGAAAUAUGAGAGUUAAAAUUUUCCCAAGCAUUUAAACAAGACUUGAGGUAAAUAACAAUGUAUAUUAGCAUUUUUAAUCUCAUAGCAUUGUAGAUGGACUCAUGAGGAUUCCAUUGAUACCGGUUUUGAUGAAAAAGUGCGUCUCCGGCGAAACUCCGACGAGUCACUUUACUGUUUUUUCUUUUUUCAAAUAAGUUUAUCCUAUUAAUUUAAGAAAAUAAAUAUAAAUUAUUUGUACUUUAAUUUAUUUAACAUUGAUUUUGUUUAGAGGAUAAUAUUGGAAUUUUUGUGUUUAAAUAGAUAAGAAAUUUAAAAUCUUUAGUCAUUGAUAAGAAAUACAAAUUCUUCAAAUUGAUGGAAAUUCAAUUCCAUUAAACUUGGUCCAAGUAGAAAAGAAAUCAAUUUUUUUUGGCUCUCCCCACUUCCCUACCCCUAAGCAAACAUGGCCUUAUGGUUUUUGAGAACUCAUACCAAAUUCAAAUUAAUCAGGAGCCCACGGGUCCCGGGGCUCGCGGGAAAGUUGCCAUCCCUACCUUCAUCUGACGGAAAGUCCCUACAAACAAAUGUUUCUUUAUUUAUUUAUUUUUAUAAAAGAAAUUUCAGUUUGAAUGUCUUUUGGACGUUUCCAAUUGUCAUGAUUAGCCCUUGAACCUUUGGUCAAAAAAGUAUUAUCACGCGUUGAUUGUUUGUAUCGCAAAUGCUAGUGGCAUUUGAAAGUUGAUAUAAUUAAUUACAAUCUACAAAUGUUUAACAAAAAAGUGGGAUGGAUAUGGCACAAAAGUAAAGCAAGCAGGAUUCGUUGAAAAAGCUAUUUUGACACCUACUUCGGUUAUAAAAUUUUCAAAAAAAAAAAAAAAUUUUGAUUAAAAGUAAAUUGUAUAGGUUCAACUACCGUGCACUUGGUGCAUGGGACAUGUAUUUUGUCUAUAUAUAAGUUACCCGUCAGAUAUAACAUAGAACUUGCUUCAACGGCAUAGAUGUAUUCUCUUUAGUUUUUAACAUUGACAUCUAUGUUGUUUUUCAAAAAAGAAAAAUAGUGAAAGGUUUGACACAUAAUUUUAGAUUAUUUUUAAAUUUUAUAUUUUAAUCAAUUGAUUUAAUUUACUGUUAAAAUUAAUGACAGUAUAAGCGUAAUAACUUGAAAAAACUUUUUAAUACAUAAUUUUUUUUAUUUUUUGAAAAUAAUAUAAUAUCAAUUUAAUCUAUAAUAAAUAAUUUUAACAUAUAAUUAAAUUUUAAUUUAUCAAUAAUAAUAUGACCAAAUGACAAUGUUAAAGAAUUUCAUUAUAAUCAACUAUGAUUUAGUAUUCAAAUAUAAAUAAUAGAAAUAUACUCUAAGUGUAAAUAAUAGAAAUAUAUCAAACUUAUAUGUUAAAAUUUCAAAACUUUUAAUUUUUUCACUUUUCAGCAAACAAGAGGGAGUAAUUUACCAAAAACAAGGGGUAUCGUACACCUGGGGCACCAUAGCUUCCUCCAAAUUGUAUAAAAAAUAGAAAUAUUUUUAGUCUCCAAAUUGUAUAAAAAAGUAAAAAUAUUUUGACUAAAAGUAAAUUGUGCGUAACUACUUUAAUAUUUUAUUUCUUUCAUAACUUUAUCAAAAUCUUGUCAUCAAAUAUUUUAUCAAUGUAACGCUGUAAACAGCAAAUUAAAGUUUAAUUAUUUAAUUACAACUGGCAAAAGAGACGUUUAAUUAUUUAAUUACAAGCGGGAUAGUCUCUUUUGUUGAAGGAAAUUAAAGUUUAGUUAUUUAAAUCGAGCACGCGUAAUCUUUUCAAGCACAAACAAAAGAGAUCAUAAUUCAAAGUUGAUGUUCUCUUCACAGCAGCUUCUAUUCAUCGAACUCCAUCGUUAAAAUUUCCUUGGUUUUUCCUGGUUGAAUUCUCAUCCAAAAUAUGGGUAACAUUUUCCAAAUCACAUGCGACGGCGCUCUCUUUAACCGUUGCCUGGAUUGCUUUCUUGGAAAAGCAGCAUAUAUAAAAAACCUCAAACAAAAUCUUGCAGACUUGGAGACUGAAUUGGGAAAACUAAUCGACGCAAAGGAAGAUGUGAUGAGGGAGGUCAACGCUGCUGAAAGGCACCCAAUGAUGAAAAGGCUGACCAAAGUUGAAGGCUGGCUUUCGAGGGUCGAAGCUGCUAAAUCCGACGGUGACAAAUUGAUAGCAUUUGGCUCUCAAGAAAUUAAGAAACUAUGUCUUGGAGGCUACUGUUCCAAGAACUGCAAGUCAAGCUACGAGUUUGGCAAACAAGUGGCUAGAAAGCUAGGAGAUGUCAAGACUUUAAUGGCUGAAGAAGCUUUUGAAAAGGUAGCUGAGGAAGUACAACCACCUUUGGUAGAUGAGAGACCCACCGAGCCAACCGUAGUAGGCUUCCAAUCACAAUUUGAACAAGUCUGCAAAUGUCUUGAAGAAGAAUCAGUCAGAAUUGUUGGCCUAUACGGCAUGGGCGGUGUCGGUAAAACCACACUAUUGACUCAUAUCCACAAUAACUUUCUUCAGAGUCCAACUUUUAAUUGUGUGAUAUGGGUCCUAGUGUCAAAAGAUCUGCGACUUGAAAACAUUCAAGAAACUAUCGGGGAUCUGCGACUUGAAAACAUUCAAGAAACUAUCGGGGAGCAGAUUGGUUUGUUAAACGAUACAUGGAAAAAUAAACGAAUUGAACAGAAAGCUCAAGACAUCUUCAGGAUUUUGAAGGAGAAGAAGUUUUUGCUGUUGCUAGAUGACUUAUGGCAGCGGGUUGAUUUAACAAAAGUGGGCGUCCCUCUUCCUGGCCCGCAAAAUAAUGCAUCCAAAGUGGUAUUCACAACCCGUUCCGAAGAAGUUUGUGGUUUGAUGGGAGCUCACACGAGGUUUAAAGUGGCGUGCCUGUCAAAUAUCGAUGCUUGGGAAUUGUUUCGGCAGAACGUUGGAGAAGAAACUCUGAACAGUGAUCCCGAUAUUCUUCAACUCGCCCAAGCAGCAGCCAGAGAGUGUGAUGGUUUGCCACUAGCACUUAUUACCAUUGGCCGAGCUAUGGCUUGCAAGAAGACACCUGACGAAUGGAUUUACGAUAUUGAGGUGCUAAGAACAUCAAGUUCUCAGUUCCCAGGUUUGGGAAAUGAGGUUUAUCCUCUUUUAAAAUUCAGUUACGAUAGAUUGCCGAGUGACACAAUUAAAUCAUGUCUCUUAUAUUGUAGUUUAUAUCCAGAAGAUUAUUGCAUUUCUAAAGAGAAAUUGAUAGACUGUUGGAUCGGCGAGGGAUUUUUGACAGAAAGGGACAGGAUUGGAGAACAAAAAGAAGGAUACCAUAUUCUGGGCAUUCUUCUUCAUGCCUGCUUACUGGAAGAGGGAGGAGACGGUGAAGUAAAAAUGCACGACGUGAUUCGAGAUAUGGCAAUAUGGAUAGCAUGCGACAUUGAAAAGGAGAAGGAGAAUUUUUUUGUUAAUGCUGGCGUUGGAUUAGUUGAAGCACCCGAUGUCACAGGAUGGGAAAAGGCGAGGAGAUUGUCACUGAUGCACAAUCAAAUUACGAAUCUAUCAGAGAUUCCUACAUGUCCUCAUCUCCUUACUUUUUUCCUUAACAAAAAUAGGUUUCAGAUGAUCCCCAAUGACUUCUUCCAAUUUAUGCCCUCCCUCAAAGUUUUAAAUCUGUCAUACAGCAAACUAACCAGCUUACCAUUGGGGAUUUCAAAGUUGGUUUCACUGCAACAUCUUGACCUGUCAGAAUCCGACAUAGAAGAGUUGCCAGGAGAGUUAAAGGCAUUGGUAAAUCUUAAAUGUUUGGAUUUGGAAUAUACAGGGAAUUUAAUUACAAUUCCACGUCAACUAAUAUCUAAUCUUUCAAGGUUACAUGUGUUGAGAAUGUUUGGUGCUGGUCAUAAUGCCUUUGAUGAAGCAUCAAAAGACAGCAGUUUAUUUGGUGGGGGUGAAUUCAUAGUAGAGGAACUGCUUGGUUUGAAAUCUUUAGAGGUGAUUAGCUUCACCUUGAGAAGUUCUCAUGGUCUCCAAAUGAUUUUGAGCUCGGAUCAGUUACGAAGUUGCACUCGAGCACUCUCAUUCCAAUGCUUCAACGAUUCGACAUCGCUUGAAGUUUCAGCUUUGGCAGAUCUGAAGCAACUUAAAAUGUUGCGGAUUGCAAGGAGUGAAAUAUUGGAGGAAUUAAAGAUGGAUUGUGCAGGGGAAGUUCGACAGUUUGUUUUCCAUAGUCUCAAUAAGGUUGAAAUAUACGGUUGCAGUAAAUUGAAGGACUUGACAUUCCUUGUUUUCGCUCCAAACCUCAAGUCUAUUAAAGUAACAGGUUCCCAUGCUAUGGAAGCAAUCAUAAGUGUGGGUAAAUUUGCAGAAGUUCCAGAGGUAAUGGCAAAUUUAAACCCAUUUGCAAAACUCCAAAAUCUUGAAGUAAUUGGUGCGAUAAAUUUGAAGAGCAUUUACUGGAAGCCCCUGCGCUUCCCACAUCUGAAAACAAUGAGUUUCUUUCAUUGCAACAAGCUUAAAAUGCUUCCACUUGAUUCCAAUAGUGCAAGAGAGCAUAGCAUUGUUAUUCGUGGAGACAGAAUGUGGUGGGCACAGCUUCAAUGGGAGGAUGAAGCCACUCGAAAUGCUUUUCUUCCCUGUUUCAAAUCUUGAGCAGAGAUCACAUUUGAAUAAUUUCUGGUGCGUGCUUUUUCUUACAUUAUUCUUCUUGUUAAUUUCCUUCAUGCAGACAUCUGCACCUAAUAACUCGUUACUUCAAAUAUUCUCUAAAUUAUUUGAGGGUACUCGCCCCUGCACAUAAUGUAUAUUUAUAUCUAAUUAAAUUUUUUAAAAAGUCAAUAUUAUAUUUUUUAUGUCAUUAAAUAAAGUCUUGUUAUUUUAUCGAAUUAUAUUCAACUUGAAAAUAGUUCUAGCUUUUAGAUAUAAGUUAUGUAAGUACAAGUUCAAAGUGUAUCAGCAUUAAAUUACUCAUAUUCAAUCAUUUAUAAUCUGAUGUUGAAAAAAAAAUGUCAUUCAAUCAUAUGCAUUUAACUAAAUUCAAAUAUAAUCUAAAUUCAGAUACGUUAAAAUUAUUUGGGAAAAAAAAGCGCCACAACUCUAUAUUGUUUAUUGAGUAAACCAGAUAUUAACUCUAUCAUGAACGUAAUAGCCUCCAGCAUUUUUUAUUAUCUGUUCAAACCAUAUUUUAUUAUUUUAAUUUAUUUAUAUUCAUUGCAUUUCAAUUAGGUCAUGUUUUCUUUUGUUUUCUGUUUUAUAUUCUUUGAUCAUUUUGGCAACAUGGAGUACUAUGAUUAAUCAUUUUGUACUGGUCUCAAAUUUCAGUCGGAUUAUCUGCGGAAAAUAUCUCUGAAGAUGCUUUCAAUGGAGUCCAGUACUCAGAAUGCGAUGCCUAAUCCUUUGCAAUCCAACAAUGCUAGCAGGAGCAACGAACCCCCUCAUCCAGGUAGUGACGUGGAAUAGUAAAUGCAGCUUCACUUUCAAUUUGUCUCUGAAACCGCUCCCUAUAAUCAAUCCUAGCAUUCUUAUGUGUUCUUAACUUCUGCAGCCUGAAUAUUUCUUCCUCGACAAUCAAAGUCAUAACAGUAUGAUUGGCUGGAGUAGCUUUCCUCCAGACCCCUCAUUAUAGUUAUAAAUAAUUCCGAUAUUUGAUAUCAUGAUCGGGGAUUUCAGAGCUUAGAAAAUAUGAUUUGUACCCAUAUGUGUCUGAUCAUGAGAAGUUUGAAAAUAUACAUCAAAAACUGUAUGGAUUGGAAAAAUAUAAUCUUAUUAUGGUGUGUUAAAUCGUCAUUUGAUGAACGGAUUUGGGAUACAUUAUAAUAUGAUGUCAUUAUUAAUUAGGGUGUGUUUUUGGAAGUGCUUAAUUAUAUUCGUUUAAUGUGUAUUUCUUUUAUCACUUUUGAAAAGAAUUCUUAAAUAUUUAAAUAUUUCAAUGUUUAUAUCUUAACUUCAAAUAUAAUAAAAUAAAAUAAAAUAACUGUUCUCCAAUAUGAGGGUCCGAACUAAGGGUCUACGUCAAUAACAUGAAAUAUAAUAAUUUUUGUAAAUUUUUCUUAAAUUCAAAAUAAAUUUUGUUACUGAUUCAAAUGUUUAACAAAAUGUGGCAGCUUAUCUGUAAUUGCCACAUCAAUUGAGAUUCAAAUUACUACUCAAAUCCUGAAAUUCCUAAAGGUCCCUAACAUUAAUAUUUUAUUAAGUCAAUAUUGAAGUUGAACUAUGGGGUUCGUCGGCUAUUUCACACUAACAGAGGAAUCAUUUUAUCUUCUACAAAGGGUUCAGUUUUCUUGCACUGUAUGAUAUGAAGUAAUAUUGUCAUAUGUUGUUCUGAAUUAAUUUUUUUCUUCUCUCGUGCGAAUCAGAAAGAAAUGUUGUAUUUAAGAUGUGGAAAGUAUAAGAUCUUAGGAGUUUUACAGUGUAUAUAUAUAUAAAUUUUUUUUUGACAAACAGAGAAAUUCAGUCUAGAAUAUGAGAACAAACUAAAAGCUACGAAAUACAUUGGCAUUUUUGAGAAGUAGGAUAAAUAUUAUUUUUUUUUUUGAAAAAAAAAGGACUUGGCACCUCAAUGCUUUAAUAACCUAAUGUUAUACUUUUGGUUUGAUUUUUCUAUGUACUCUCUUCCAAUGGUCAAUUUAGGCUAUGUUUGGUAUUGAGAUAUUAUAACUAAAAAAUUUUAGGAUUUAUCACUUAAAAGAUAGAGUAGCCGUGGGAAAAAAGAGAGAGAGAGCUGAAAUUAUGAAAUAAAAUUAUUAAUGUAUUGUAAAUAAGAUGUUCAAAUAAAAAAAUUGACAAAAAUAGUAAAAAUACAAUACCAAACAAGAAUUUAUUUAGGAUACCGAUUCCAGGUCUCUAAAGAUUUGUUUUUAUGCUUUGCAGUUAUUUUCUUCUAGCUGACUGAUGAAUUAUUGUGAAAUUGCUAUGAAAAUUACUAGGGAAAUUAUCAGUCAUACACUCUUAAAUGACACCCGUAUCAAAUAUGCUACAACAUUUUUCAAGUAUAUCACUCGUAUACUCUAAGUUGACAAAACACUUCUACCGUCCACCAAUAUGUUAACUUCUAUUAGAAAGUUAAUAGAAUUGUGGCAAAUUGACUAUUUCGUCCUUGAAACUCAAAAUGAGAUUAAAAAAAAUUUACCCAAAAAAUUAAAGUAAAUUUUCAAUACAUAAUUUUUUUUAAUUUCGUUAUUAACAAUACAUUUUUUUAUUAAAAAAUAUGAAUUAUUAAUGGUACAUAUUAUUAACAAUUAUCCAUAAAAAUAUCCAUAUUAUACCAUAAAAAAUUAUUAACAACAUAUUAUUUACAAUUAUACAUAUUAUACCAUAAAAAACUCCAAUUGGAGCUUGGAGGAGUAGAUCUUAAAAAAUUUAGGUUAAAUUUUGGAUGAGUAGAUUCGGUUGUAAAGUAGUUGUUUUUUUAUAUGUAAUUAUUAACAAUUAUCCAAUAAAUGGGAUGACAUGUCAUUUUAUCAAUAUAUAUCAUAUGACAUGUCAUUGCUUAAUAGGAAAAUGGGAUGACAUGUCGUUUUUAAAAAAGACUAUAUUUACCCUUAUGAUGUCAGCACUUGCAAACGGCAGUUAACGGAUUGGUGAACGGUAGAAAUGUUUUGUCAACUUAAAGUAUACGAGUGAUAUACUUGAAAAGUGUUGUAUCACGUUUGAUAUUAGUGUCAUUUAACGAUAUAUGACUGAUAAUUUUCCAAAUUACUACUAUAACUUAUGGCAAAUUGGCAAUUAAAAAUCAUAAAAGUCUUUCCUCUUGAAUGAGAAAGUGGGUUAUUUUCGUUUACUAUAUAUAUAGUGUCACAAUCAAGAUUAGCAAAGGUUUGUUCACAAACCACCAUCUAUGAAACUAUGAUGACAAAUAUUAUUUGCUAUUAUCAUGUCACUGCAUUACUCUAAUGCCAUUAUUUGCCUAAUUAAAUAUUCAUGUCGGUUUUAAGAUGAAUUUCAAGACAUUUAACUAACCAUAUCUAUUGUAUUUUAUUAUGGUGCUCUAGCUAGCUGGUUGCCAGCUUUGCCUUUCAAUGGGGUUUGAUUAAUUACUCUGCAUAUAGACCAUUAUAUACUAGGACGGCCAAUGGUUAAUGUAAUAUAAACACAAUAAAUUUUAAUCAAAUAUGAAUUUUCUGAAUAAUUGUUUCUUUAUUUUAUGAAUUUUAUUUAAACGAUAUCCCAAUUUAAAAAAAAAAAAGAAAGAAAGAAAAUCAGCGCGUUUGUCUCCUCCCCAUUGUCAUGAUCAACCUUGUUGGAAACGUUGGUGAGAAAAGUAAUACUAUACGUUAAUUGCUUUUAAUAUUUUAAUCGUUGGUGGCACAACCGCACAAGAAAGUAAAAGUUGUUAUAUAUAUAUAUAUUUUAAAUAAAAGUUUAGCUUUCAAUAAUUCAACUUUGAAAAAGGUACAAAAGAUGUGUAGGACAUUCGUUGAACCACAUUAUUGGUUGUACACUUUCUAAAGCUACUUUGGCUAUGGAAUAGGCCAUGAUUAUGAAGCCGAGAAGUAUGUUGCAGUGUGGGGUUGUGUAGUUCCUUUUAGCUUCUUCUUACAAAUUAAUGCUGACAGAAAAAGCAAGAUCAUAUUCCACAAAAGUAAAAGUAACAAAACAACCAGCUGGAAUCUUUUAUUAAACUACGAUAAACUACAAAUUAAAGUGGAUUCUUUUGAAUACAAGUGGGAUAGACGAUUGGCUCUUUUAUUAAAGGCCAGUAGUCAAGAAUCGAAUAUCUCGAUUGCAUAGUCUUUUUCAAAUUCUUGUUUUAUUAUUUUUCAAAACUAAUUUUUUAUUAGUCUACAAUUAUUUAUAAUUAUAUUUUCAUUUAGAAUACAGUUCAAGUCAAAUCUUUUGCACUUCUACCUAACUCGGGCUAAUACUAGUCCACUCAUUAUUCAUGUGAGAGAGUUGUAAGGUACAUGCAUGUAACUUCUCUAACUCGAAUUAUUCCACACAGAGAAAUAAACAUAGAUGCUUUAUAACUUUAGAAAUCCGAUCUCUUACAGUUGGAAACAGAGAUGAUGAUUACUAUAAGAAUGAAGAAAAAGAUAAAAAAUUGUCAAUGAUUAACGAAGUCUCUAUGCAAAUUUCUCUAUGCAAAUUGAUUUUAGCAGAAAAAUAGUGAGUUGAAUGAUGUAGGCGAUUAGUGGUAAUAUUUCAUAGAGUUAGAGUAUUGGCAACCCUUCAAUCUUCUCAUGAAUCCCCUUUUUGAGUUAUAGUUAUUUUAUUUCGAAAUAUCCUUUUUCUUCUUUAAUACACUUCUAAUUUUUCAUUUAAUUUUUUUAUUGUUAAACUCAAAGUAUUAUUGUGAUAUUUUUCGUUUCUUUUGUAAUCUUAUUAUAAUUAAAAAAACCAAAAAAAAAGAUUGGCUAUGAAAUUUGUUGGAAAAAAUCUAUGUGCGUUUAAUUUUUGUUUGUCUUUGACUGUAAUUUAUUUGAAGUGGGGUUUUAUAAGCAUAAUGAAGGGAUCAAAGGAUGCCCAUAACUUCACUCUAUUUUAUAUGGAGAAAAGUAAAAGGUACACCUAAAGUUAAUGGAAAGUACUUCGCAGCUUUCUUUUGAUUAUAAUAUCCUUUAAUUUAAUUAACUUAAAAAUUUUGACUUUAAUAAUUUAUAAUAAAUUAAAUUAUAAUCUUAAAAUAAAUAUAAUAAUAUAUUUUAAAAUAAUCUCUAUAUUUAAAAUUUAUUUAUUUUCACAUUUUAUAUAAAUUUUAUAAUAAAGACAAACAUACUAUUAAAAUAAUAUAUAAAAAAUUUAAAAGUAUUUUGAAUAUUAUAUAAAAUAACUAUAACAUUUUUUAAUACAUGAGAUAUAUUUUGUUAAUUUAAAAUUCUAUUUAAUCCAAAGAUUUAUUUAAGAUAAAUUAAUAAUAAUAUUUUUGAAAUUAUUUGAAAUACUAAAAAAUAUUUUAAUAUUACUAGUCUAUUAAAUAAAUUAAAUAUAUUUAAUAGACUAGUAAUAUUCUGAAAAAUAAUAAAAGAAGAAUUAAAAAAAGACUAGACAAUAGAGAUAUUCGAUUCUUUUAAAGCAAAUCGUAAUAUUCCACAAAGGAGUAAGAUCCACAAAAGCAAACAACCAGUUGGAUUCUUUUAAAGUGGAAUCGUUUAUUAAACAACAAAUUAAUGUUCAAAUAUUUAAAUAGCAGUGCAUUAGACGAUUAGACUGUCUUAUUAAAGGCGAGUAUAAAGUAGUCAAGAAUCGAAUAUCUCUAUUGUCUAGUCUUUUUUUAAUUCUUCUUUUAUUAUUUUUCAGAAUAGGUUUUGGUGAUUACAAUGGGUUAUUAUUCAGAGUUAUUGUUAUCUUCCGGGUCAAUUUCUGUUCAUCGAAGUCGUUAAUUCAAAUUUUAGAACUUUUAUCAAAAGAAUGUUUUUCGUUAUCUUUUUUAUGGUCUAAUUCCAAUUGUAAGAAGUAGUCAUUUUAAAAUUUGGGUCUUGAAUCGAAUUUCAGUGCAUGAAUUAAUAUUAAAAAAAAAUCACUACACACAGUUUAGGCUGCAGACUACUUUUUGCAAAUUUGACUCUGAAAAUUGGAGAAAUUAAGUAAUUUAGAAUGUUUGCAAAGAAAAAGACUAACAUACUUCCUAUUACACUAAAUCUCUAUUAUCAUAAUGUUGAGACUAAACUAACUUAAAUACGUUUUAUUUGAAAAGCUAUAUUAAAUGCAGCCUAAUUUUAUUAACCUGAAGAGCUAAUAGAAGUGUAGUUAUAAAAAUUAUAUUCUGACUUAAUUAGUACAAGUGAUAUAAAGGUUAAGUGUGCACUAUAUUUAAUAAUUAAUUAAUGGAGCAUGUUAAAUAAAAUGAUAAUUUAUAUUUAUAUAAUGUUAGGAAUAUGUAAAGUCUAAGUCCACAAGUUGCAUUAUCUUUAAUAUUUUCUCUCAAUUAAAUUCUAAAAAUACUUUACAAUUAUUUAGUAACAACUGUAAAUUAAGAAUAAAUUAUUGUCCCAAACAACAUUAAAAAAUAUUUUAUUCCAUUUGAAUCCUUUAAUUUUUUUUACAGUAUAUAGAUAAUUAUUACUAUGUGAAUGUAAGUUUCUUAAGAUGGGACCUAUAACAAUUUAGAACUUAUUACAACGGGGAGUUUAUUAGGACCAAAAUUUUUUAUGAGUACAUAAAGUUAUCUUGUAUAGAAUAUUAGUAUAUAGAUGUUUUACUGUAAUUAGUCUAGAACAUUUAAAAAAAAAAAACAUAUACCGUCCCUUGGAUGUAGCUCUUGGGUGACCAUGAAUGUUCUUUGUUCCACAUACGNNNNNNNNNNNNNNNNNNNNNNNNNNNNNNNNNNNNNNNNNNNNNNNNNNNNNNNNNNNNNNNNNNNNNNNNNNNNNNNNNNNNNNNNNNNNNNNNNNNNACCCUCUAUGGGAAUAAUCUAUUUAGUUAUAAAAAAUUAUGAUCCCAAUUUAGACUAGUUAUAAAUAACAACAAAUUCCACUUUGUAAUAAAUUAUAUUUUUUCUAUAUCUUAUCUUAAGAAACUUAUCUCUACAUAGUAAUAAUUAUUUGUAUAGGUAAGAAUGGAUCAAGAUCCUCUCCUGAUCUGAGCACUCCUGAUCUUUUACAGAUCUUAUACCACCUGUGUUUUACUGUUAGUGGAUGAUUAUGAUUUGACUAUUUUUUCUUUUUAAUUUAUUAAUCACCAAUUAUAUUAAUAAAAUUUGCUCAGAUGAAGAUCAGAUCAAGAAAGGAUCCUGAUCCAAUAAGAAUACAUGUUAUAUUAGACUAAAGGAACUUGUCUGCACAUAACGAUUAGACAACGAGCGAAAAUUAUUAAAGCGAAUGCAAAUAAUUAGAAUUUUUUAAGAUGACUUUGUAUAUUCACAAUAAUAAUUGAUAGAUACAUGUACCAACGUUUUAAUAUAUUUGACAUCCUCCAUUAAUAAAUCAUUGAUGUAAUAUAGACUUUAUCUCUAUAUCCUCACACUACGGACAACUAAGUCAUAAUAAUAAUUUUUGUAACUACAUCUCUAUUACUUCCUCAUAAUAAUAAGUUAAUUUGAUCUCUACAUUAUGACUAUGGAGAUUUUAUUGUAUAGGGACACCCAAUAUAAAUAGUAUCCCAACUAAAAUUGUCCCAAAAAAAAAAUCGCUAAAGGAUAAUUAUAAUUUUUUUUCACUUCUCAAACGUUGGUGGCAGUUGUAAGCUAAGUUGUCAAAUAUAUUAAACUACAAGUGCUGCCACCAAGUGCGAUGCUCUUUUCUAAAGAGAAGUACAGUGGGUCCCGAAUAGGACGUGCUUAAAUCUGUUUAAAUUUUUCCAGUAUAACUAACAGAGGUCAUUACUAGAAUUAUAUUACUAGCCUAUUAGAUAGAAAAAAUUAGUUAUAUUAUUUUAUAUUUAUUAAAAAAGUUUAAAGUUAAUCUUUUUAAUUACUAUUUAAAAGAUAUUAUAAUAAAAAAAUAGUGUCUUUACUAAAAAUUUAGAAAUUUAUUUGACCGUUCUCUAAACUUUAUUUAAUAUUAUUGAUUUAAAUAAUAUCUAAAUUAAAAAUGUACAGAGAAGAAAUUUCGGUGGGUAUAUUAGUCUUUUACUUUUAACGUUAGUGGCCUUCUUAUAUUUUAUUACAAAUUAAUCCUAACAAGAAAAAGCUAGAUCAUAUUCCACAAAAGCAAGAGUGACAAAACAUGAAAACAACCAACUGGAUUCUUUUAUUAAACUACAAAUUAAAAUUGUUUUUUUUAAUAAACUAUAAAUUAAAGCGGAUUCUUUUGAAUACAGGUGGGACAGACUUAAGCUCUUUUAUUAAAGGCAAGUAUAAAGUAGUCAAGAAUCGAAUAGUCUUUUUCAAAUUCUUGUUUUAUUAUUUUUCAAAACUAAUUUUUGGUAAUUACACUCGGGUCAUUAAUCAUUAUUCAGAGUCAUUGUUAUCUUCGGAGACAGUGGGUAAAAGAUAAUUACUGGCUGUUUUUCCUUCAAAAGUUAGUGGCUCAUGUUUGCAAGUGUGAAUGUGCGAUGCUCUUUUUCCAAAUGCAAUUACAGUGGGUCCCGAAUCGGAGGAUAAAAAUCCUUUUAGUUUUUGUAUUUUAAGAUUAGUAUAUAUUUAGUCUUUAUAUUUUUAAAAAUACCUCGAAACAUUCAUGCCGUUAAAGUAUUGAUACCACUACCAUUACUUUUCAUUUCUUUUAACUUAAUUUUACAAUAUUACCCUUUUAUAAUAAUUUUUUUAGACAUUAAUAAAAAAUAAUUAAAUCACUAAUUUAACUCUAAAAAAUAAAAAAAUUAUAUUAAUUUUUUUGCAAGCACCGUUUGCACACUUGGUAGGUUGCAUACAAUUUUUGAUAAUUAAAAAUUAAUAUAAAUUUUUAUUUUUAUUUUUAGGGUUAAAUUGAUAAUUUAAUUAUUUUAUUUUUAUUAAUGUACAAACAAAAAAAUUAUUAUUAAAGGGUAAUAUUGUAAAAAUAAGCCAAAAGAAAUGAAAAAUAACGGUAGAAGUAUCAAUACUUUAACGACAAGGAUGUUUCUAGAUAUUUUUAAAAAUAUAGAGAUUAAAUGAAUACUAAUCUUCAAAUACAGGAUUAAAUAGAAUUUUACCCCGAAUCGAACGUGCCUAAAUCUUUUUAAAAUUUUUGCCGUACAACGGACAGAGGUCAUUACUAAAAUUUCUCUUCCACAGCCCACAUCAGCUUCAGGAAUCAGUUUAUCAAACUCAAUCAAUUUUCUUUCUUAACAAAAUUCCAAAGAUGUGUAGCAUUUUUCAGAUCACAUGCGAUGGUGCUUUUUUCAAUCGUUGCUUGGAUUGCUUUCUUGGAAAAGCAGCAUACACACGUAACCUCCAAGAUAAUCUUGUGGCCUUGCAGACUGAAUUAAUGAAACUAAACGCAGCAAAGGACGAUCUGAUGAGGAGGGUCGUCAAUGCUGAACGUCAACAAAUGAGAAGGCUGGACGGAGUGCAAGUGUGGGUUUCGAGGGUGGAUGCUGUUACAACUGAAGCUAAUGAACUUAUCAGAGACGGCUCUCAAGAAAUUGAAAAAUUAUGUCUUGGAGGGUUCUGUUCCAGGAACUGCACGUCAAGCUACAAGUUUGGGAAACAAGUGGCUAAAAAGCUACGAGAUGUGGAGGCUUUAUUUGCCGAAGGGGUUUUUGAGGCGGUGGCUACCAAGGUGGUGCCUGAGAGAGCUCCAGAGCCUGUAGCAGAUGAAAGACCUGCCGAGCGAACAGUAGUAGGCUUGCAAUCACAACUUGAACAAGUCUGGAGAUGUCUUGCAGAAGAAUCAGCGGGAAUCAUUGGCCUAUAUGGUAUGGGCGGUGUUGGUAAAACUACACUAUUGACCCAUAUCAACAAUAAAUUUCUCGAGAGUCCAACCAACUUUGAUUGUGUGAUUUGGGUAGUAGUUUCAAAAGACCUGCGACUCGAAAAAAUUCAAGAAGAUAUUGGGAAAAAGAUAUGUUUGGUUGAUGAUGAUUUGUGGAAGAGUAAAAUUUUUGAAGAGAAAGCUGUAGCCAUCUUGCGGAGAUUAGGAGAGAAGAGAUUUGUAUUGUUGUUAGAUGAUUUAUGGGAGCGGGUUGAUUUAACAAAAGUGGGCGUUCCACUUCCCAGACCAAAAAAUACUACCUCAUAAGUCGUAUUCACAAGCCGUUUCAUCGAUGUUUGUGGUAGCAUGGAAGCUGGCAGGAAGUUCCAAGUAGCAUGCUUAUCAGAAAAGGAUGCUUGGGAACUGUUUCAAGAAAAAGUUGGGGAAGAAACUCUUGAGAGUGAUCAUGAUAUCGUUGAGCUAGCCCAAACCGUGGCCAAGAAGUGUGGUGGUUUGCCACUCGCACUUAUUACUAUUGGUCGAGCUAUGGCCAUCAAAAAGACAGCCGAGGAGUGGAGACAUGCAAUUGAAGUGUUAAGACGAUCAGCUUCAGAGUUUCCAGGUUUGGGAAAAGAGGUGUAUCCUCUUUUAAACUUUAGCUAUGAUAGUUUGCUGAAUGAGACGAUUAGAUCUUGUUUCUUAUAUUGUUGUUUAUAUCCUGAAGAUUAUGGCAUUCUUAAAUGGGACUUGAUUGAUUGUUGGAUUUCUGAGGGAUUCUUAGAGGAAUCUAAUAGGUUUGGUUGUUAGAGUGCAAUUUAUGCACUAGUUUUGCAUUAUUUACUUCCCUUAAUAUCAAUGUUUUGCACUUAAUAAUAGUGAUUUACUUGUGUUUUACUUUUGUAGGUGCAAUUCUAUUGAUUGAUGAUAAAAUUGAGCUAUAAGAUGAUGUUUAAGGAUGAUUGUUCUCUUGAAGAAAUUAUGAGCGUCAGAAGAACUUUGUUGAUAAGGCGUGGGCGCGUGCUGUCAACUGCGGACCUGCAGUUUUAGUUUAACGUGUUUUGUAUUUUUGGUUAUUUUUGUAAUUACGAAUUUAAUAUUUCAGAUAUUAGGAUUUUAUUUUAAAUAGAAUUCUAAAAGAGAAGAGAGAGAAAGUAUUUAAGGGAGGAAUCUAUUGUGAAAGGGGGAUUUUGGAUUGGAGAAAAAGAAACCCUAGAUCUAAUUUUUCUCUUCUCUCUAUGAGGAACUAAACCCAUUUUUCUGGUUGAAGGUUAAUGAAGCUUUGAUUCAUCACUACUGUGAGAUCUUUCUUGUGCUUUAAUUGUUUUAUUACUUUUUGGGUAUUUGUUUAUUCUCUGAAUUAUUUUCAUGAUUAUGUUUGUUAAUUAGGUAAUUGGCCACUAUUUAAUUAUCAACUUAAUCUAUUGUCAAUUAAAGGAUUCAUCGUAUGAAGAAUUUAAUGUUUGUGACAAAUAACAUAGCAGAGAGUUGUGUUGUGAGAAUAAACAAUCUAAUUUAAAUGAAUCAUCAUAUGUGUUGAUUAGGAUUUGGGUCUCUCUGGUUUUUCAGGCUGUCAAUUGAUUAAAUUCUAUGAUCGUAUCUAGGGUUGUCUAUUGAUUAGGGAAAUAACCAACGGUCGUACCUUGGUUAUCGACUAGUUAAGGAGAGAUUGGCUAUUAGAGGGUCUCAGUAGCUAUAACCGGUCUAUUCAUGAGUAAUAAUAAUCUAUAUUUGAAUCAAUGAUCAGUAGUCGAAUCAAGCUGAGUUAAUUCCUUCAACCAGAGCUUUCUCCAAUUUGAAUUACAACUUUAAUUUGCAUUCUUGUUAUUUUAAUUUGAUUUUUAUUAUUGUCAACAAUUCCCCUAUUUUACGUUUUACGUUUCAAAAGGAUUUAAUUAAUUACCGAUCUCUGUGGACACGACCCUGCUCAAUCACUAUACACAAUUUAUUUAGAGUAGGAAUUUACUUUUGUUGGCUUCGACACCCAUCAUUGGUGCAGAAAACCGAGGAUACUACAUUGUGGGCACUCUUGUUCAUGUGUGUUUACUAGAAGAGAUAGAAGAUGAUAAAGUAAAAAUGCUUGACGUUGUUCGUGAUAUGGCUCUAUGGAUAGCUUGUGAAACUGAGAAGGAGAAGAUAAACUUUUUGGUUUGUGCAGGUGCUGGAUUAGAAGAGGCACCGGAUGUUAAAGAAUGGGAAAAUGUGAGAAGAUUGUCAUUGAUGCAAAACCAAAUUGAAACUCUGUCAGAGGUUCCCACAUGCCCUCAUUUCGUCACUUUAUUUCUUGACUUUAAUGGGGAGUUGAAGAUGAUCGCGGAUGGCUUCUUCCAACUUAUGCCUUCUCUCAAAGUUUUGAAGAUGUCAAACUGCUGGAAUUUGAAAUUUCUUGUUGGGAUGUCAAAGUUGGGUUCGCUACAGCUUCUUGAUAUUUCACAGAACGCCAUAGAAGAGUUACCAGAAGAGUUGAAGUUGUUGAUAAAUCUGACAUGUUUGAAUUUGAGGGGGACAGGCCAAUUAAAUAAAAUUCCACGGCAACUAAUAUCAAAUUUUUCAAGGUUACGUGGGUUAAGGAAGUUCAUAACGUGUGCAAGCAGUCAACUCAAGGUUAGCACGUGGGAGAAUUUGCUGAGCUAAAGUUAGUUAAAUAAGCAAUGCCAGCUCAACAAAUUCAGUCAAGGUUUACUGAGAUUUUAUUCCUAUUGUUUUCUUUUCUGUUAACAAUGUAUAAAGGUGUUCUUUGUACUCAUUUGAUCAUUAAGAAAAAAAGAAAUAAAAUCUAGAAUAUUCUCUGAAGUUUUCUCAGUAAAACAGAGUAAAUUUUCUCAGUAACUAAACAGUAUAUAUCAGUGGAAUUUACGUUUUAUAACAUGGUAUCAGAGCCAAACAGUAACCAGCAAACAAUGAUGAGAAAUCUAGCAAUCAAUAAUACACAUCAACACACUCAAAUCAAUUUCUCUUUCACGAAUCCAAUUAAACUAGAUCGAUCAAACUACCUGCUCUGGCGUUCACAAGUUCUGGCUUCGAUUAGAGGUAAUCGACUAGAAGACUUCAUAACUAGAAUCAAAUCAACAUCUGAAGAAAAUAUUUUGUUAGCUGGAGUUGAUGGAUCUACACAACAAAUUGAGAAUCCUGAGUAUCAGAUCUGGAGAUCACAAGAUCAAAUUCUUCUUGGUUGGCUACUGUCAACCUUAAGUGAAGGUAUCCUUAGUCUUGUUAUUAACUGUAAAAGCUCAUUUUCUUCAGCUCAGAUAUGAACUGAACACUCUUAAAAAGGAGUCUCUUAGUAUUGAAGAUUAUUGUGUUAAAAUGAAAGCAAUAGCUGAUAAGCUUGCUAGUGCUGGUAGCUCGAUAACAGAAAAGGAUCUAAUGCUAACCAUACUCAAUGGAUUAGGAUCAGGAUAUAGUGAUAUUGCUACUUUCAUAACUGGUUCACGAAUGGAAUUUGAUGAUACUUAUGCAUUAUUGCUCACUCAUGAAACUAGGUUGGAACAAGAUCAUGAUGAUAAGAGUAUGUUCAAUGCUAACUAUGCAUAUACUAAUGCAUUUCAUCCUAAGGUUUAUUAUGCACAGCCUAGAGGAAAUUUUAAGAGAGGAGGUUAUUAUGGUGGUAGGAAUGUUUUCUCUGGUAGAGGGAAUAUGAAUUUUUCUCCAAGAAUGUUUAAUGGAGGUUUUAGAAGUGGUUUUGGUAGAGGAUAUUAUGUUGGUAAUCCUUUUAAUGGUAAUAAUUCUUUAGCACCAAAGAAUUCAUCAUCUGUUAUCAAGAAUGGAUCACAGAGAACUUUUAAUAACAAUCCAGGGGACUCAGUAUGUCAGAUUUGUCUCAAACUUGGUCAUACUGCUGAUAUUUGUUGGCAUAGAUUUGUUGAAGAUUAUGUGCCAAUGCCAAGGGGUUUUUAGAAAAGGAAAAGCACCCAGAGCAGCAUCACUACUAGAAAAAUAGCUUUUACUGAUACUUGUCUUGUGAUACUUUUCUAAAAAGUAUCAGCAAUUACAUAUAUUUGGGCCAUUUUCCGUGUUUAACAAACAAGUGUCACAAAUUACUGAUUCUAUGAUGUUUGUAUAUUAAACAUCAGAGAUCGUCGACACUAAGGUAUCAGAAACAACAAAAAAAAAUAAAAAAUCUAUUUUUGUUUUAGUUGCGACUCGAACCUAGGACCUCAAAACUAAAGUGCUUUAUGUUCAACCAACAAACCACCAUGCCAAAUUCAUAAAUUAGUUUGUGUUGAACAUGUUGAAAUUAUCAAAUUAAAUUAAUAUAGAAAACAAAAAUAUAAAAGCAAAAGAAAAAAACCCUAAAUCAACAUAAACAUAAAAUUCCCUAACUCCUAAAUCCAUGGCCAGCCGCCUCAUCUCUCUGGCGAUAUCCUUCUUCUUCUUCAUACCUCUAAAACUUCGAGCCCUAAAAUUCAAGGGUCCAUGUCAUAAGAAAUCCUACCACCACUGCUCAAAUUCUAACACCCAUACCAUACGAAACCCUAAUGAUCUACAUUAUGCAAAACAUCCACCAUGCCGCUAUGCCACAAGCUCACAAGACCCGCUUUAGAUCUCCACAUUUUGCUCACCCUACUCGAGUGCACACCGCCCCUCUCGCUUCGACUUCUCGGGAUUUCUUGUUAGCUGAAGUUUUGUUUUCUUCCGCUAAUUCGAUCUUCGAAAGGUCUCGGAGCUCCAAGUAACUAAGUAAGCUCGGUUUUCUUCUAUUCUCUCAGAUACUUGCUUACACAUUCCUUUUUUUUUCGUGUUAAAUUUUGUUGUUUCGUUGUGUUAUAUGGAUCGAUGAGAGUCACAGACUUUGACGAGACAAUGACGAUAUUGUUUUGGAGUUUCGUUUCGUAGAUCUGUGAUAGAGUCUCCUUUUUCAGAUAUUUCCUUUCAUUUACCAUAUUUGCACAAUUUGUUUUGUCAUUAAAUUAUUUGCGUUUGAAUGUACAAUUUUUGUUUUCGUUUUAUAUUUUCAAAUACUGUUUCUUGGAGCGAAUUAGUGGAGGAAUUUUUGGUUGAAGCAGAGGAUGGAUAACUUUUGUAUUUUGAACUUUGUAUGUUAUUUAUUAUUUGAACUUGAAGCUAAAAGGUGACCAAAUUUUCCAAAGGUUAGGGUUUGGUUGGCUUAUGUGAAAAUGCCGAACGAAUGUGUAUUAUUCAUACUCCAAUAUUGUAGGUGCGUCAAUGCACCUCCUUGCGAUGGUUGCAGCAACGAAACUGUAGGUCAAGGUUUGGGUACCCCAUUUCCUUCAAAGAUCCAAUAUGGAGCAACUCGAGUCGAGCUUUUUCGGUCAAUUUAAACAAAACCUUUACUCCUAAUUUAUUGUCUUUUGCUUUCUGUUUGUACCUGUAGGAGUUCAUAUUUUGUAAUGUUCCGUAAGUGUCCAAUAACUGGUUAAAUUAUGACUUAUGCUAGGUGAAGAUUUUGUGUUACAAUCCCCUUCAAUAGGCAAUCACUCUUUUUGUAAAUGUUCAUGGGUAAUUGCUUUGCCUUUGCUUCUGUUGUACUUUUGUUUUUGUGGGGUUUUAGUUAAUGGAUGUUGAGUUAUAUUUCAAUCAGUUUGAUUUCUCUGCAUAUUUUUCAUAUUUUAGUAUUAGAAGAGGUAUUUAAUCAAAUGAAGACAAAAACAAUUGUCGGCCAACCAACAAACUCACUUUAGUUUGUUGUGAAAUGAUUUUCUCUCUCUCUCUCGAUUUUCACUGGUUCUGUGGUUUUUUCCCUUCCACAAUGUGAUUUAGUUCUGUUCUAUUUAUGGAUGUUACCAACAUUUUAGCUUUUAAGAAACAGACAAAAAGAUUCUGAAGUUUGUUUCUUGUUUCUUACUCUGAAUUUCCAAGGCAUCUUAUUUGGAGAAAUGCAUUCUGAAUGGAGAAAUUUCUCCAAAUUUAUGAGAUGUGGUUCUGUCUUGCUGAAUGAACAUUGUAUUUCCUUCAAUGGUUUGCGAGCCAUUAAGUUAUUUGAGCAAACAAAAUUAGCAAUAUGGAAUCCUGUUUCUACAGGAUUAUAGUUGUAGGACUCUAGAAUUUAGUCUAGGUAAUGUUUUUACCAUUGUAAAAAGUAUCUGACAUUGGUGAUGUUUAAGCAUAUGUGUCAUUUCUUUUGGGCUUCACUUUGGAUCCUUUUUUUCUUUUUUUACAAACAAUGGAUGGUUAAAACCUAAGAGACUGAUUGAUUUUUGUUUUAAAUCCAGUGGUUAUGCCUUGUAAACUUUUGAGUUGUAUCAAUUUCUUUUCCUGGCCUAACUUGGCUAAAUUUAUGCUAUAUAAUUGAAUUCUACAAAUUUUGGCUAUGUAUGAUGUAAAGGUCAUAAGUCUUGUAUCUUCAUUUGUUCACCACAGGCUUGAUACUUCACAACUACCAUAAGUUAUGUCAUGCCAUGUCUUCUUUAGCAAUAUUGUGUGGCUUUGAGUAGUAUUAAUGUUUUUGUUUGUUAAUUCACGACUUAAUGGAACCAUUUUCCUUAUAAUCGAGAACCUUCGUGCGAGUGUUGUGGAGAAAUCUUAUGAUUCAUGUGUAGGUGUGUUUGCUUAAUGUGAUGACUUUUAUUAUGUGUUGUAGUUCUUGUGUCUAUAAGAGGAACCUUUGCUCCUAUGUCUAUUUAUCUCCGACUUUCAGUUUAGGCGUAAAUAGGUUACUCUUCUUUCUUUCUCAUUUUUUAAUUUCUAUGUUCUCCUAUGUCUAUUUACAUGGACUGCUUUGCUGCUUCUCUGCAGUGAAAACAACCCUGGUAAUUUACAGGAGCUUUUUUCACUUCAGAACAAUAGCAAGACAUCCCCUGCAGAUUUUUUAUUGAUUUUGCAUAGAUUGGUUUGUUGCUUUGGGUUGGAAUGCUACUGGAUAUAUGUCAGAAUUAUAGCGCUAUUGGAAGAUGGUGGGUUGUUGCAUAUGAGUUGGAGUGUUCCUGGGUAUGUAGCUAGAAUUAGAGUGCUGUUGGAAGAUGGUAUUGCUACUGGAAGUUUUGCUCAAAAACUUGUCGUUGGAAUACUUGCAUUAAUUUUUGGAAAUUUUAUUGGGUAACUUGGCUAGGUGGCUGAAAUUUUAAUUGCUUUUGUGUAUUGAAGCAUUUGGAUUGUGUAAUAUAUAUUGAUAAUAUUUAAAUGUUAUGAAAGGUUUUGAUAAAUAAAUUGAUUUUUGUUCUUAUUUCUCACAGCCUUUUAAUUCUAUCAACAAAUCAAUGGGUAAUGUCAUUUUGUAUAAUUAUUUUUUUAAAUAAUACAUAAAGUAGUGAUACUAUAGUAACAGUAUCACAAAUACUAAUAUAGUAUUGUAAUAUUUUGAUACCAUGGUGUUAUGAUUUUAAUGAUACUAUAGUAAUAGUAAUUACUGACACCACUUACAAGUGUCACUAUUUUUCUGACUGCCAGAUUACUGACACAAUUAGCAAGUGUCACUAAAAGUAAUUACUGACACUAUUCUAAUGUCAGUAAAGACCAUUUUUCUAGUAGUGCAUAUCUGUCAAAUUUUGAUGGUUCUGUUUCAAAUCCAAACUUUGAAGAUUAUGAGAACUUCAACUAUAUGCCUUCAGCUUAUAAUCCUAUGUCUGGCAAUAGCUAUUAUUCUGGUUUUGAUGCUUGUACUCCUGGAGUAGCAUUUAUGGCUAACUUUGAAGGAGUUGCUAAUGAUGAAUGGUACUUGGAUAGUGGGGCAACUCACCAUCUGGACAACAACAUGGAGAGCUUGCAGAUCAGUGAGGAGUUUAAGGGUACUGAUUAGCUCAUAAUUGGUAAUGGUCAAGGUUUGUUUAUCACUAAUGUUGAUUUUGCAUUUCUGUCACAAAGAGCAUCAAAUUACUUAUCUGCACAUUCCAGAAUAGCACUUAAGGAUAUAUUACUUGUUCCAUCAAUUACCAAAAAUCUACUAAGCAUUUCCAAAUUGACAUCUGAUAACCCUAUAACUGUUGAAUUUUGUGGGAAUGUUUGUUUUGUGAAGGACAUGAAUAGACAAGUUCUGCUGCAGGGACUUGCCGAAAAAGGUCUAUACAAGCUGCUGCUGAGUUCUAAUUCCUCUUCUUCAUUUCCUUCAUCUCAUCUUUGUCAUACUCAACUAAAUAAUUAUGUCUCAAUGUUGUCUAGCUUUCAAAGCUUUGAUAAUCCUUCUAAAGUUUGUUAUCAUUCUGUUUUCAAUAAAUGCAAAACCAAAUAUGAUGUAAUGACAUUGUUACAUAGAAAAUUUGGUCAUCCAAGUUCAAUGAUUCUGAUGCAUUUAGCUAAGUCUUGCAAGCAAUUAAAAAUCUCUCAAAAAGAUAUUCUAUCUUGUACAAAUUCUUUGUGUGAGGCAUGUCAGUUAGGCAAAGUUCACAGGCAAAGUUUUCCAGCAACUGAAACAAAAACAAAAGGAGUAUUAGAACUGAUUCAUACUGAUAUCUAGGGACCUUCACCCACUGUAUCUAGAAAUGGAUACAAGUAUUACAUUAGUUUUGUGGAUGAUUACACUAGAUACACCUGGAUCUAUCCACUUAAGCUUAAAUCACAAGCAUUUGAAGUUUUCAAACUGUUCAAGGCACAAGUUGAAAAUUAGUUUAAUACCAAGAUUAAGGAAUUACAAUCUGAUCUGGGGGAGAGAGUUUAGAGUAUUCAGUAAUUUCCUAAGUCAAAAUGGAAUCAAGUUUAGACAUUCAUGCCCUUAUACUCAUCACCAGAAUGGUCUUGUUGAGAAGAAACAAAGACACAUAAUUGAAUUAGCAUUAACACUCUUAGCUCAAGCUAAUCUCCCUUUUCAGUUUUGGUGGAAAGCUGUUCACACAGCAACAUAUCAUAUUAAUAGGUUACCAACACCUGUUCUUAAGCUUUUAUCUCCUUAUGAAAAGCUCUUUAAACACAAACCAGAUUAUUCAUUUCAUAAGUGCUUUGGUUGCCUAUGUUAUCCAUAUAUGAGAGAUUUAAAUAAACACAAAUUUGAUUUUCACACCACCAAAUGCAUCUUCAUUGGCUAUAGUCAUUCUUACAAGGGUUAUAAGUGUUUAACAAGCUCAGGAAAAAUUCAUAUCCUAAGGCAUGUUAUCUUUGAUGAAAAUACAUUCCCUUACUUAACAAACAAAGUCUUUCAUUUAUCCGAGAACAGUUCAAAUUCUGAAAUAUCAGUGUCAAACUUUUCCCAGUAACAAAUUUAUCAUCUCUCCACAUUAUCCUUAACUGACAGCAGCUUGGAAGAUCUUCAAUCAGCAAGUUCAGAAAGCAAUGAACAAGUACCUUCUGUUUCUGCACACACAAAUAAUCUGCAUCAACAAGAGCAUUCUCAAGAGCAUUCCUCAUCAACUAUACCAUUAUCACCAACACAACAACAAACUGAAUCACAACCACAAAAUGAACCACAUCUAUCUACUUCCUAGCACAUAAAUCAAACUCAAACUAGAAACCUUCCUUCACAACCAUCACAUUCAAUGGUAACCAGAUCGAAAAUAUGGAAUCUUCAAGCCAAAAGUUUACAUAACCACCUUAACCAACAAAGAACCCAGUACUGUUCAAGAAGCUCUAAGUGAUCAGAAUUGGCAUCAAGCUCUGAAAGAUGAAUAUGAAGCUUUGCUUAGGAAUGAAACAUGGUCACUAGUACCAUUUUCAGAGGUAUACAAGGUUGUUGACAGUAAAGGGGUUUUCAGAAUUAAACAAAACACAGAUGAGAGUGUAGCUAAAUACAAAGCCAGGUUAGUUGCAAAGGGUUUCCAGCAAACUAAUGGUGUUGACUACUUUGAGACCUUUAGUCUUGUGGUAAAGGCCUGCACAGUAAGAAUUAUUUUUAGUUUGGCUGUGAUGAACAAGUGGAAAAUAAGGCAAGUGGAUGUCAAUAAUGCAUUCUUAAAUGGAGAAUUGACUGAAGAUGUUUACAUGUAUAAGCCAGAAGGUUUCAUUGAUGAGAAAAAGUCCAGUUAUGUAUGCAAGUUGAAGAAAGCCCUGUAUGGCUUAAAACAAGCUCCUAGAGCUUGGUAUGAUAAGUUGAAAAACCGUCUGAUAAGUUGAAAAACUGUUUGAUAAGUAAUUGGGGUUUUCAAAAUUCCAGAGCUGAUACUUCUCUCUUCUUCAAAGAGAUUCAAGGCUCAAUAAUACUUGUGCUUAUAUAUGUGAAUGAUAUACUUAUUACAGGGCCUGACAUUGGAGAAUUAGAGAAGUUUAUCUUAGAAUUCAGUAAGACAUUUGCUUUAAAGGAUCUAGGAAUACUAUCAUACUUUCUUGGGAUAGAAGUCUCUUAUGCUGAUGGUUGUAUGUACUUAUCUCAGAGAAAGUAUAUUAAUGAUCUCUUGUCUAAAGCUGAUAUGUUGAACUGUAAAGGGUGUGAUACUCCCAUAGCGAUUGGACUGAAACUUCAAAAGGAGGUUAAAGGUUGUUUAGGUCAGUAUGUUGAGGAUGCAACCAGUUACAGAAGUUUGGUUGGAGGCUUGCAAUAUCUGGUGUUAACCAGACCAGAGAUAGCCUUUGCUGUGCACAAACUCAGUCAAUAUGUGACAGCUCCAACAUUGCAGCACAUAAUGGCCUGUAAACGAGUUCUAAGAUACCUAAAGGAAACCAUGGAUUAUGGUCUAAAGUUUUCAGCUGGUGGAGAAAUGGAAAUCACAGGUUUUAUAAAUGCAGAUUGGGCAUGCGAUAUUGAUGACAGAAAAUCUAUAGGUGCAUACUGUAUCUAUUUUGGAAAUAAUCUGGUGUCAUGGUCAUCUAAGAAGUAGUCUGUGGUGAUAAGGUCUAGUGCAGAAAGCGAAUACAGAGCUUUGGCUUCUGCAAGUGUAGAAAUAGCAUGGAUUCAAUCUUUGUUCAGUGAGCUAAAUAUAAGAUGUGUCUCAGUACUUAUCAUCUGGUGUGACAACAUGAGUGCAACAAAGUUAAGAUAAAAAUCUAGUCUACCAUUCACGUACCAAACACAUUGAACUGGAUAUGCAUUUUGUUAGAGAUAAGGUUUUAGCAGAGGAGCUGAAAAUUAACUUCAUUCAAAGUGAAGAACAGAUAGCCGAUGUCCUAACAAAACCUCUCACAUUCAUUCAUUUUAAUUAUUUCAUAAACAAACUCAAUGUGCAGCCAUGCCCCUUGAGUUUGAGGAGGGCUGUUAAGGAAGCUCAUAACGUGUACAAGCAGUCAGCUCAAGGUUAGCACGUGGGAGAAUUUGCUGAGCUAAAGUUAGUUAAGUAAGCGAUGUCAGCUCAGCAAAUUCAGUCAAGGUUUACUGAGAUUUUAUUCAUAUUGUUUUCUUUUCUAUUAACAAUGUAUAAAGGCAUGCUUUGUACUCAUUUGAUCAAUAAGAAAAGAAGAAAUAAAAUCCAGAAUAUUCUCUGAAGUUUUCUCAGUAAAACAGAGUAAAUUUUCUUAGUAACCAAACAGUACAGAUCAGUGGAAUUUACGUUUUAUAACAACGUGUGUUGAGAAUGUUGGGUAUUGGCCAAUUCAAUUUUCAUGAAGCACCAGAAGACAACGCUUUAUUUGGUGGGGGUGAAGUUUUGAUACAGGUAUUGCUCGGUUUGAAAUAUUUAGAGGUAUUGGAGUUGACCUUGGGAAGUUAUCAUGCUCUCCAAAUUCUUUUGAGCUCAAAUCAGUCAAAAAGUUGUAUUCGAUCUCUUCUCCUCCACAAGUUUAGAGGUACAACGCCGAUUAUUGAUGCUACGGCUUUCGCAGAGCUAAACCACCUCAACGAAUUAUUUAUUAAUAAUAGUAUUGAGUUGAUAGAAUUGAAGAUUGAUUAUACAGAGAUAGUACAAAAAAGGCAGGAACCUUUUGUUUUCCGCAGCCUUCACCGUGUUACCAUAUUUAGGGCCCGUUUGGGAGUGAGGUGCUGUAGCUUUUAAGCUGCAGUUGCUGUGGAGUAAAAGCUAUAGAUGUGGAAUGGAAGUUGAUGGUGUUUGGUAAAAGUGUUGUAGCUUUUAAGCUGCAACUACUGAUGGUGUUUGGUAGAGUGGAUGAAUAUUUGUAAUAAUUAAUUUUAAAUAACAUUAUUUUUAAUUGUUAACAAAUCAAUUAUUUUUCAUUCUUCAAAUUAUUAUAUUGACAUACAAUUACGAUUUAUUCCGUUACAAAUUAAAUUAAUAUUUAAUAAAUCAAAUUUAUUUUUUUGCACAAGUUGUAAUAAAUAAUUUAUAAAACACAUCAUGGGGUCAAUUAUAAAUAAUUUUAAAUAACUAUUAUUGACAAUGCCAACCGGGCAGUGUACAUGAUAUGCUUCUCCAAAUUGCUUCGGUUUGUACCUGAUAUGAUUAAUCGAGUAUUAUUUACAAUACCAAAUAUAUCUAAUAAAAAUCAUACAACAAAACAAAAUAAAAUUAAAAUGUAAUUAAUUACAAAAUUUGUAUAAAUAUUUCUAUUGUUGUGCCUCCAUUAAACUUGCAGCAAUGCCAUCUUUCAAGAUUAUUAUAUCUUGAGUUGUGCUAUCAAUUGUUUCAUAACUUUCUUCAUGAGAUGCAAUAUGUUCGCUAAUACUAUGACUUGGUUCAUCCGUCAUUUCAUCAAAAUGAUCAUUAUUUUGUGAAUAUCUUCUGAUAUAAUUAUGCAAGGCCAUGGUAGCAAUAACUAUUUUCACCUGCUUCUUGAAUGGAUAGCUUGGCAUACUUCGUAAAAUCUUCCAUGUAUUCUUCCAAACCCCAAAAGUACGCUCAAUAACACUUCUCAAGGAAGAGUGCUUGUAGUUGAACAAUUCUUUAUAACCCAUUGGUUGGCUACCUCUACGAAAUUCAGGAAGGUGAUAUCUUUCACCCUUAUAUGGUCCUAAGUACCCACAUAACUCCGGAUAUCCUGCAUCUACUAAAUAAUAUUUUCCUAAAAAUAAAAAGAAAAAUACAAAAUAAAUAAAACAAUCUAAUCAAUUGAAUAUGUAUAUAUAAAAGAAAAAUUAGAAACACAAACCUGGAGGAGGGUUUGGAAAAUUGAAUGCAGGAUUCGUAAUAGUUGUUUGAAAUACCCUUGCAUCAUGGGCACUGCCUUCCCAACCAGCCACUGCAAAUAUGAAUUGCAUAUCAAAGCUACAUACAGCCAUUACAAAUUCUUUUCCCACCAUUCCUCACUUGCAUCAACUGUCCUCAACCUAUGAUUCCACCCUAAACCAGUUUCUUUGCCAAUCAAAUUCUUCCACAAUUUCCAAUCAGUUCUAAGAGAAUCCCAUUUAUUUUUCAUUUGAGUUCUGUUGUAAUCUAAUCCAGUUUCUUUAGUGAACUCCUUAAUCAAAUUUUCAUAUCCUUGGGAAGUCAAAUGAGUCCCUGGACGAUGUCCGGCAUCCACCUCUUUAACGCAUAAGUCACAAAAUACAUCUAAAGUCUGGGGGUUCCAAGUAGCCUUACUAGUUGAGCUAUUAGACACAAUUUCAUACACUUAAACCUAGGAAAAAAAAUAUUUCUUUAUCAAACAACAAUACAGAAAAAAUAAGAAUAUAGAAGUUAAGAAAAUUACUAGAAUCUUGUUAUGGAUGGUGGAAGGAAAAAUAAUUCGAUAUUAAAAAAUUAAAAAAAAAGACAAACCAGAACAAGUUACCUUAGUUGUUACUUUACUUGAAAUACUUUUCCAGCAAACAAUAAUGAUCAUAGCCCACGAAUAGAAACAAUUACAAGCAAGUCAAUAAAGCAACAAAAGACAAACCAGACUAGGAAACAAAGAAAUUCAACUAAACAAUCAUUAGGUACAAACUGCAAUUGCAUUUAGCCUCACAAUCUCAAAUUUGCUACGUGCUUUGAUAUUUCCUGUACUAUUCUUUUGGCCCAUCCUAAGACAUAUACAAUUGCAAUUGCAACACUUUCUCCCUUCUUUUUUCUGUAAUUCGUAUGGCGACUUACGUAUAUAUAACCUAAUUAAUUGAAUUAAAUUGAUGAUGGGUUAGAAAAUCAUUAGGCUUAUUAAUUAUACGCGUCAAAAGAAUGGUCGGCCAAUAAUUAGGUGUCCUGCUUAUACUCCUGUAAUUUAGUCAUUCUCUAGUAAAUAUUAUUAAAUAAAAAGAAACACAAACAAUUAAGCUUAUUGGUAACUGAACUGGUGCCCAAAAAUAACAAGAGCAGGAGAAAGCAAACACACCCAAGAAUUUGACAAACUUCAACUUGAAAUCCAGAAUUUGACAAACUUCCUUUUGUUUACUGAAGCAUAGUAUUUCAUAACGAAGGCAUGCAUUUUAUUAUUUAAUGUCUUGUAGAACUGGAAACUCAAAUCAAACAGGGGUUGUGCAUGUUUAUAAAAAGCAACUACAAAAAUAAAAACUACAAUAAAAACAAUGGUUACAAGCAAAUAAAUCACGCAUGACCCAUCACCCAUCAAUUUAUUCUAACAAAAGCCCCAACAUUUUAUGAAUGAAAAGGAAGAAAAUGAAAAAUUGCUUGAAAUAGAGUAAAGGAGUACUCAAAAAUGAACAACAGAUAGAGGAAAAGGCACCACUGACAGAGGCGUAUGAGAGUGGCCGGUGUCGGAAUCGCGCCGAUGAGAAUUUCGGUGUCAGAAUCGCAUCAAUUGGAACUCCCACAGUCGGAAUCGUGCUGAUGAGAAUGGGUGUUUAGGGUUUGUUUAAAAAAAUCGAUUUGAAAUAGAACUCCCACUGACAUGACUGUUUGAUAAAAUGAAAAUGGAAUAAUAUAUAAAGUUAAUUUAGUAAUUAAACUUGCAGCUGGGAAAAAAAAUCUGUCAAGUUGUCAAAACACAACUAUAAGUGGUACCAAACACUUUGGUGGCUGGGCUGCUCACCACACUCCCAAACGGGACCUUAGUUGCGGUAAAUUGAAAGAUGUGACAUUCCUCGUUUUUGCUCCAAACCUCAAGUCUCUUUGGCUAUUCGAUUGCGGUGCUAUGGAAGAAAUAAUCAGCGUCGGAAAAUUUGCUGAGACUCCUGAGAUGAUGGGACAUAUAAUCCCUUUUGAAAAUCUCCAAAUGCUUAAUUUAAUGGAAUUGCCGGAGUUGAAGAGAAUUUUCUGGAAGCCAUUGCCUUUCACUCAUCUGAAAGAAAUAUCUGUGGGUUAUUGCCGUAAUCUUAAAAAGCUUCCACUCGAUUCCAACAGUGCAAAAGAGCGUAAAUUUGUAAUUCGUGGAGAAGAAGACUGGUGGAACCGACUUCAAUGGGAGGAUGAAGCCACUCAAAUUGCUUUUCGUUCCUGUUUCCAACCUCGUUCCUGAGCGGUGGUCGCAAAAUUUGAUUUCUGGUGAGUGCGUUUUUGUUAACGCUUAUGUUUUUAUUCCAGUGUGUUUUUCUUCUGUCUUCUGCAAAUCACGAUUAAAUGUUGAAUAAUAUGGAAUCAAUGCUUUAUAAAUUUUCCGGCGUGGCCAUUUCCUUUUCCCUUUUUUUUUUUGGGGGGGGGGGGGGGGCGUGGUUCGAUUGAUGCUCUGGCUUUUUACUUUUUGUCUUCGAAUUUUGCUCUGUUUUUCAAAUUGAUGCUUGAAUAGUUGAAUUCAAUUAAUGCUCACAUAAAUUUGUUUAGUUGCCGUAAAACGGUAAAAGGAUAUAAUUAGAUUGAAAUUCGCACUUCUAGAAUGAAUAGAAUUACAAUAGAGAAAAUAUUAAGUAUACAAGCCCUCUUUACAGAAAAUCAAAUGAAAAUAAAAUUUUUUGGAUAUUUGAUUUUCUAUGGUCUACUGUAUACGCUUUAUAAAUUCCUCUGCUUUAACGAUAACCAAAUCCUUUUUUCAAGGAUUUUUAUUUGGGGUAUUGAUAAUAGUCCACCAACAUAGUGAACGCUUGGAUGCUGCUUAAGGAUCUCUAAUCAGUAGCUGGAAGCAAAUGAGAAGGCGGUCGCUACUUUGUACAAAGCCAUGCAGCAAUUGCUAUUCAUUUUCAAACAAAGUUGAGAUGUUAUUUUCAGAUUUGGUUCCAGAUUUUGUAUGAAUAUCGUUGUUCCAUUGAGUUGUAUAUGAAUUCAAAUGUAAAAUAUUCUUUGGUUUUCAAUUUUGAAUUCAAUUUCUUUUUCUUAAGCAUGUUGUGCAGAAAUGAUUUCUACUAAAUCAUUUUUGAUAAACUAUUUAAAUUAAACAACUGGAAUAAGAACUGUAAGGAUUUAUCGUAAGCAGACUAAUAUGAUAAUUCUGAAACUAUCAUUUUUUUUUUUUCAAUUUGUUGCAGGGAAAGCCAAAUUUUGCGUUUUUCAGUUUUAUCUGAUAUGGGCUUUAUUUCCUCUACACUAGCUACCUAAAGAUUUAUCAAAUUGCUUCUCUUCCCUGCUUCAAAUAUCUUCAUGGCAUCAUAGGAAAAGAGAGUUUGGGUUGUAUUUAUUAUAGUUUUUAUUUUUUUUUUUGUUAUAAGCAAAUUUAUUUUAAAUACUUUAGUAGUAACAGUUUUUAUUGAAUAAUAAUGAGGGAUGAUUAUUAUAGGUUCAAAUAGUUGUUAGAACAUUAUAAAAAGUCUAUUUACUAUCAAAUGUUUUAAAUUGAUGCAACGUGAUAAUUGUCUCAUAUAAUUUUUUUAUAAUAUAUAUGUCCCAUAAUCUUAACAUGAAUAAAUGAAUUUCAACGGUUAAAUUUGACACGAUUAUUAAAUAGAUCAUAUCUAUAUUAAUUCGAUUUAAAAUCUGGUCACAUUUGGAUUUAGAGUUUCUAACAUGAUAACUUGUUUUAUGACAUGAUUUACUAAUCAAUUAAUAGUAAAUCAAAUGUCAGUCAAUUAAAUAUGUGGUACAUUUGUCAUAUUUUAAAAAUUAUUUAUUUAUAUUUGAAAUGAAUUUGGUGCNNNNNNNNNNNNNNNNNNNNNNNNNNNNNNNNNNNNNNNNNNNNNNNNNNNNNNNNNNNNNNNNNNNNNNNNNNNNNNNNNNNNNNNNNNNNNNNNNNNNAUAAGACGACGCGACACAAAUACAACCAACAAGUCAACCCAAAUUGCCACCUUUUACUAUCUUCUUUGUGUUAUUUCUCUAAAAAUUUGUGCCUUCUCUUACACUUUUAAAUCUGAAGUGUUUGAACUGGAGUACACAAAUUAUCUCUCUACAAUUCCAAAACAACCAAUUUGUUACUUGGUAAAUCUUAAUCAAUGGCAGGAAGCAAUUGAGAAGGCGGUCGCUACUGUGUACAAAGCCAUGCAGUAUUUGCUAUUCAUCUUAAUAAUUGUUAAGCUUUGGUAAAAUUUUCAAACAUAGUUGACAUCAUGUUGUUUUGAGAUUUGGUUCAUGAUUUUGUAUGAAUAUCGUUGUUCCGUUUGAGUUGGAUGUGAAUUGAAACCUAAAUAUUCUUUAUUUUUCAAUUUUGAAUUCAAUUUCUUUUUCUCAAGCAUGUUAUGCAGAAAUGAUUUUUACGAAAUCAUUUUUGAUGAAUUAUUUAAAUUAAACAAUUGGAAUAAGAAUUGUAACGAUUUAUCAUAAGCAUGCUAAUAUGAUAAGUUGUUUUACGAACGAUUAAUUAAUCAAUUAAUAUUAGAUUAUAUAUUAGUCAAUUAGAUAUGUGUUACAUUUGUCAUAUUCUAAAAACUAUUUAUUUAUAUUUCAAAUAAAUUUGACCAGAGGUUACGUAGGUAAUACUACAUAAUUUCUAAAGGAAUGUAAAAAUUUAAAGUUUUAUUAAAUAGGUGACUCAAUAAUAAAUGGAUUUCUGCAAGAAUUGAGAUUCUUGAGAUAAUUAUUACAUAGGGAAUUUUGGUUAGUUCAAUUUUGACAUGGUAAGAAGACGACACGGCGCAGAAAACCCAAAUUGCCACUUCUACUAGUAAUAAAAGAUACCUGUUUGAAAAGUAAUUAUAAACUAUCUUCUUUGUGUUAUUUCUCAAAACUUUUGUGGCACAAUGUUAUUUCCCUGGAGAAAAGUACGAAAUACCCCCUUUCACGUCGGCAGAAGCAAAGCAAAGCUAUGAGCUAUCUCUGUAUACUUGAAACGCCAUUGCUAAACGAUUCUCGAUGAUGGGUGCCACUGGGUCAGUGUUGUCUCUGAUUUACAUGAUUUAUUAGUUGUCCAGAUGCCAGAGAAACCAUGGUGGCAUUGAAGUUGCCCAGAUGGUUAGUUUUCUGAUCAUUUUUUUAUUCAAUUAUUUAUUUUUUUAGAAAAAUGUGAGAAAUAUGUAGAAAUGUUGACAGCUAUGAUUUUGAAACUUUGCCUAAAAUUGUUAUCAUCACUUAUUUAAAGAGAAAUCCUAGAAACAUGAAAUGAUUAGUAGCCUAAUUCAAAAUUAGACGUGAUUACAACAAGAGAAAAGUGGAGAGAACUUGAUAAUCGAGUGCAUUUAGAAUUUAAUUUUUCUUUUAGCUGCCGAUCAUUAAAUUUUCGAUUUCAGAAAAUUAUACCUAGAAUAUUUCAAGGAUAUACUAUGAAGAUUAUGAAGGUUUGAUUACAUGUCACUAUCAAUUGCCCCAAUCAUUUGUAGUAAAUUAAUUGAUCAUUUUGAUGCAAAUGAUUCCCUACUAAAAAAUUUAAGUCAAGGCUGAAUUGCAUAGUAGUUAGUCGCGCUUGCACUUCAAAUUAAGUAUUGUAUUUUCUGCCUGGUUUGGUUGAUUAAAGUGUGUGCAUUUGCUUUUGAACGUUGUAGUAUAGAAAUCGAAACAUUUGUUUUUCGCUAAGCCCAGAAGCAAAGUUCUUUGUACUGUACUCAUCACUUCUCUUCAUUCUCUUUGUUGAAAUUUUUUCCAAACAGCGGUUUCUUCGAAUUUGUGCCUUCUCUUCCACUUUUAAAUCUAUCAAAGAACCGUUACCUGAGAAGAUUGCCAUCAGGAAUUUCUAAAUUGAUUUCACUAUAAUACCUUAAUCUUUCAGAUACUCCCGUCACUGGGUUGCCAAAAGUGCUAAAAGCCUUCGUAAAUCCUACGUGUUUGAACUGGAGUACAAAUGUUAUCUCUCCACAAUUCCAAAACAACUGAUUUGUUACUUUUCAAUGCUACACGUUCUGCGAAUGUUCAGUUGUGGUUAUCUUGCUGAAAUACCAGAAAAUAGGGUUCUAGUUGGCGGUAGUGGAUUCUUGGUUGGGGAAUUGCUUAGUUUAAAACAUUUAGAUGUAUUAAGCAUCACCUUAAAAGGUUUUUCUUCUGUCCAAAAACUUAUGAGCUCCCAACAGUUUCAAAGCUGUACAAAAUGUUUGGAGCUUAUAGACUGUGAUGAUUCAAAGUCGUUUGCCUUGGCAGAGUUGAAGCAUCUUGAAAAACUAGGUUUUUCAAAUUGUGGAAAUUUGGAAGAUAAAUUACAUUUAUAAACUGUGGAUCGCCCUUUAUAAGUAUUAGGCUUAUCCCAUACUCGAGCAAUGUGGAAUACCUUUAUAAGCAUUAAGCCUCUCCCAUACAAUUUCUGUACAUGACUUUAAAAGUGGUUGAUGACCCGUUUUGUAAUAUCAUAGAGGGAUCAUGAAUUCCUUUUCUUUUCUGUGGCUAGGCAACACUUUUGGGCCAAAGUAAGGAAAUCUAUUUUAGGUAAUGUAAAAACCAGUUGUGGGAUGUAAUAGUUUAUUAUGCACUGACAACAACUUUUUGUAUAAUUGUCAGUUUAAUGAAUACGAGAGGAACUCUGUUGGCAAAUUCAUCCAUGAUAGAUGCUAAAAUUAUACCAGUUGCCUUAACUAAUUUUUCUCAACACUGGUAUUGAACAGGAAAAUGAAUAUGCAAUUUGUAUUUGUGCCAUUGUGGAGAAUUUGGAUAUUCUUAGUUUUAGUAACAAGGAGAGUAUUUGCCUCAUCUUUAAACAAUGAAUCUUUGAGAAAUGAGGACUGGGUGAUUGGCAGUGUCAGAGUGUCUUCAUGUAAAUGUUCAUUUAUUUGUAUUUUGAACUAUUAUUAGAAUCUUUAUAUGCCAAAUUAGUAAUACAAAUGUUCAGAUGAUUUUUCCUGGUGAUCAUUUCAUUCUUGAGAGCCAUGUACAAUACUAGGAUACCAGAGAAACCAAGGUAGCAUUGAAGUUGCCCCAGUGGCUAGUUUUCCGAUCAUUUUUUAUUCAAAUUUUUAUGUUUCAGAAAAAUGUAAGAAAUUUAUAGAAAUGUUGAUAGCUAUGAUUUUGAAACUUUGCCUAAAAUUGUUAUCAUCACUUAUUGUUUCUUAUUUAAAGAGAAAUCCUAGAAACGUGACAUGAUUAUUCCAUACUUGUUUUAAUAUUAUUUAUUAGCAGCCUAAUUCAAAAUUAGACGUGAUUAUUUGUUACUUUUAAUGCUACAUGUUCUGGGAAUAUUCAGUUGUGGUUAUCUUGUUGAAAUACCAGAAAAUAGCGUUCUAUUUGGUGGUAGUGGAUUCUUGGUUGGUUUGAAUGUAUUAAGCAUCACCUUAAAAGGUUUUUCUGCUGUCCAAAAACUUACGAGCCCCCAAAAGUUUCAAAGCUGUGCACAACCUUUGGAGCUUAUAGACUGUAGUGAUUCAAAGUUGUUUGCCUUCGCAGAGUUGAAGCAUCUUGAAAAACUAGGUUUUUCAAAUUGUGGAAAUUGGAAGAGUUUAAGUUCUGCUGUGUUGAGGAUGGAAAGGCUCGAGAAUGUUUUCGUGUGAACAGCUUCAACGAGUUAAGAUAAAGGCUUGUCAUAAAUUGAGGGAAGUGACAUGGCUUGUAUUUGCUCCGUAUCUUGAGGUUAUUCAAAUAGCCAAAUGUAUGGGGAUAGAAGUAAUAAUCAGUGCAAGGAAAUUGGGUGAAGUUCCAGAGAUGAUGGCAGAUCUAAACCCUUUUGCAAAACUCCAAUAUCUUGGCCCACGAGUUCUACCAAAAUUAAAAAGCAUCUAUUGGAAUCAGUUGCCCUCUCUACAUGUCAGGCGAAUUUUGUGUCUGAAUGCCCAAUUCUCAAGAAGCUUCCACUUGGUUUUAACAAUGCAAAGGAAUCUAAAACUAUCAUUAGGGGAGAAGAACACUGGUUGAAUGAGCUGCAAUGGGAGGACAAAGUGACCCUUAAUGUUCUUCUUCCUUGUUUCGGAUCCAUUUGAAGGCAUCAACAUGGAUUGAUACUUUGCAGUGGAGAAAUUUGAAUAAAACCUAUGGUAAGCGCUUUUCCAUUUAUUGCAUAUUUAUAUCUAACUUUUGUUUUCCUUUGUGGUUAAAUUUUGCUCUAUAUACGUUGUUGUACGGUGACAUUCUCAUAUCAAUUAUUAGCUUUUUAAUUCUCUUCUCACAUUAACUGCCCUUUUGAUCAUGUAGGAUAUGCUGAUGUCAAAGAGUCGUAAUUUGGGAUGCAAAUGUAAGAAUUAGACAGAUGACCAGUUGUUUUGAAGCGCUCGAAGAAGGAUUAAUUACGUCAUUGAAAGGCUCCAAUUUUGUGACUUUUUUUUUUAAUUUGUUGUUUUUUCUAUUUUUAGAUAGCUUGAUUGUCAGUUGUCGUGAUGUAAUGCUUUAGUGUAGAAAAAUGAUAUUCGGCCAAGACAACAUUAGCAGGGCACCUUGUGCAUGCAUACUAGUGGAUAAUUUCGGCAUGCUAAAUCCAAUUAGGGUGGAUGACCCUUUAUAAGCAUUAGGCUUCUCUCAUACCCGAAAACAAUGUAGAAUACGCUUAUAAGCUGCGGAUCACCCAUUAUAAGUUUUAGGCUUCUCCUUUACUCGAGCGAUGUGGAAUACCUUUAUAAGCAUUAAGCUUCUCCCAGUAUCUUUAUGUUAAAAAUAAUAAUAAUAAAAGAAAUCCAUUUUAAAAUAGACUCUUUUUUCUUUUUCUAUAUAAACAAAUGCAUUCUUCAAAUCAAUUGUGGGCAGAAGAAGUUAGUAGAAAAGAACUAGUCCCCUUUCAUUCCCCCUUAAAGCUCACCAAAGCCUCUUUUGUAAGCUUUUCGGAUUUUCUUUCUAUAUUGCUUAUGAUCUCAUUUUUGAUUGAAUCACUUCUUUUGCAUGCUGCAUAUUUUGUUUGUUGUAUUUGGAUAUUAUCGUAUCUGGAAUGCUGUUAUGAUUGAUGGAACAAGUAAUCGAUAUUUGGUCUGAUGGAAGUUGACUUAUUUAUUUAUUGUUAUUUUAAUUUGAAACUAUGUACAAUUGCAUUUCAUUCAUUUCUCUCUCUCCCCCCCCCCCCCCCCCACACACACACACAUAUAUUUGUUAUGUAUAAUUGCGUUUCAUUUGAUAUUGAUCAUGCUGUAGAUAACCAUGUGAUUGUAGAUGGGGAUUUCAAGUUUGUUGAAUAUUCAAGUAAGUGAAGUAACUGUCAAAAUACUAGUGAAAUUGGGAGCUUUAUUCAUGAGCUUGUGGUUUUGAAAAGUACCACAGUUCAACCGAUGAAGGUUCCUUUUUGGGGUUCUUCUUUUUCUAGGCUGCAAUUAGGAUAUGUACAUGUUAGACAAUCUUUUGCGGGUUUAGCAUAUCUUCUCUGAUUUUGUCUUUUAUUCCCCAAUCUUAUAAUUGCACACCAUGAAUGUUGAGUGAUUGUAUAGAAAAUUUGUGUUAUAACCAAAGCGUUGUGAAGGAGUUAAGUUAGUGGCUUCUGUUUUAUUGGCAUUGAUUGGGUAGAUUAUGUGUUACAGUGAUUCAAUUUGUGCUCCAAAGUUUGCUUUAAUUUCUUUUUUCCCUAAUUAUUUAUGUCAAAUUUAAAUCCAGAAGCAUGUACUGAUUUUUUCUUUUUGUAUUAAUCUGUGAAGGUUAUUUGGAAUGGAAGUAUCUGGGUUGGGUCUAACGGAUUAAAUUAUGACAUUGGGGGGAAGGCAGUAAAGGGUUUGCUCGACACAUUUGGUUCUGUGUUUACUUUGCAAGAAAUAGCUUUUGGUUAUCACAAUGCCGGUGGAAUCCCGAUUUGGCUCGUGAAUUUCUUUGUGACAAAUAGGCAAACACAUCAACCUCUUCUAUCCAUCCUUCUACUGGUAAGGCAAGGGGUAAAGAGUCUUCAAAAUCAUCAAAUAGUAACAUCUCUGAGAAUUCAUUUUAUGCAAAUGGAAAAUCUAGACCUUCUAAGACAAAAUGGCGUCCUGUAUCAGGAGGUACCGUUUCAAGUUUUCUUGGUAAAAAUUAUGUUAAACCUGCACAGCCAGCUAAUGGCACAUUUCUAGCAUCAAAGCCAUUGAAGUUGGAUCCAAAGGGGUUUCCCAUGUCUCCACUUUUGCGGAGAAGAUACUAAACUGAAACAAUCAAAGGAUGACCAUUUGCAGAAGGAUAUGGAAGAUUUUCUGUUUAAAUUGCUAGGAGAAGUGUUCCUAUUGUCCUUUUCAAUGUUCUUUCUUUCUUUCUCUUCUUUUCUUCUUCUUCUUCUUUUUUCUUUUUGUGUGCGUGUGAUCACUAAUUUGGUAUUGUAGUUUAGUUGCAGAUAGUUGUGGAUAUGAUAUGCAAAAGGUAAGGACUAUAUCUUCCUGAUGGAGGCCUCUGCUUUUUCCUUUAUGUGUAAUUUAAUAAAUUGCAUCUUCCUUUGUGAUUGUUAUAUCAUAUCAAAGACAAGUCUUAAAUACUGCUGUCAUAUGUUAAGGUUCAACUUGCAGUUUGAUUAACAUUCAUGGCUCAAAGGCCUGAAAAAACUUGCCAGUAAUUGUAAAAUGACAUUCUUUGCUUUUAAUGCAAUAGAGGGAACAGGGAAGUAUAGCUUUGGAAGCCUGGAUUGGUAACUAUAGAGAGACUUAGUAUUUAAUUGAUAAAAAUUCCCAUAACCCAAGGUCAAGAAAAUUUUAGAUCGUUAAAGACUUCAUUUUGUUUCGGCCAGAAAUGUUUGUUUCGAUCGAAGACUUGAACCAUUUCGAUUGAACCUGAUUAUGAUGCUUUACGUUAUGCAUGUUCCUCUUAAUCAAGAAAAGUUGAGGUGAUGAUUUUAUAUUUCUAUAUUGUAAGUUGAAAUAAUAAUUGGUCUGCUUGUUUCUGUAGCUUGAUAACAUGAAUUUUCCUUCUCAAGUUAAUUUAAUCAAUAAAGUAAUUCUUCAAAGAAAAUAUGCCCAUUCUAUAAUCAUUUUCUUAAUUAACAUGUUUUUUUCUUCACACUUCAGAGCAUGUUGAAACUAAUUGAUCGCUCGGCAGAGACUUUGGGUGAGAAGACAAAAUUUCUCGGUAAAUCCUCUGAAAAGGUAUGCAUAAUUCCGCAGUAUUAAAUAACCAAUGGUCAUAAUUUUUGUACAGGACUCUUUUCUUGUGGAGAUAAUUAAAAGUGGCUGAUGAUCCAGUUUGUAUAUCAUAGAGGGAGCAUCAAUUCCUUUUGUUUUCAGUGGCUAGGCAACACUUUCAGGGCAAAGUAAGGAAAUCUAUUUUAGGCAAGUAAAGCCAUGUAGAUGUAAUAGUUAACAUGCACUGACAAUAACUUUGUAUAAUGUCAGUGAACGAUACAAGAGGAAUCUGUUGACAAUCAUCCAAGAUAGAUGCUAAAAUUAUUAUGCAUGCCAGUUGCUUAAUAAUUUUCUUACACUGGUAUUGAAGAGGAAAAUGAAUAUGCAAUUUGUAUAUGUGCCAUGUGAGAAUUUGGAUAUCUAUCUAAGUAACAAGGAGAGUAUUGCCUCAUCUUUAGACAAUGAAUCUUGAGAAUUUGGAUAUUCAUGUAAAUGUUCAUUUGUUUGUAUUUUGAACUAUUAUGAGAAUCUUUUAUAUGCCAAAUUAGUAAUGCAAAUGUUCAGAUUAUUUUUUCUGUUGAUCGUGCAUUUGUGUCUGCACACAACCAUUGUAUAUCACUUCAUUCUGAUGCGCAAGUGUCUGUAGUUUAGAAGAAAAGAAAUAAUAAUGAUAUAUUAUUGCUUGAUUCAUGAUUAUUAAAUGAUUAUGGCUUUAAAAAACCUACAAAUUCCUUUUGUUGAUAUAUGAAUGUACCAAGUUUGCUAUAUCUUAGAUUACCAUUUCCAAGAUAACAAGUUCAAAUUUUUUCUUUAUCCUUUUCCUUCACAGUUGCAUUUUAAGUGUAAGAUUUGUUAUUAAUACCUGGUUUCCCGUCAUUAUGAUUUCAUAAACAGUGUAUGGGUAUGUGCUCUACUUUUGGAGGGCCUCCACGUGAAAGAAAAUUGUAACAAUUGAAUUCUUCCGGAUGGUAUGGUAUUUAAUUUAUUUUCUCAACCUCUUGUAAGACUAAUAUAUUUUCCUUUAGUAGACACGGCAUGGUGGGAAGGGUUUUUUAUUGAAAGAAUUCUGAUAUUUCUUAGACUUUGUUUUGGAAGGGGGUGCAGGGGUUUCUCAUCCAUAUAUGGUUACUUGAUUAGCUUUUGACUGUAUUGCCUCAAUCGUGCAAAGGAAGAUCCAAAUACAAACGAAAGAGAAUUGUUUAGACACCCAGAAGAUGGAAAUGAACUACAGAAGGAAGUUUUUGCUGCUUUAUUUAGUGCUCCUGAGAAAUCUGAUGAAUUUCCUGAAAUUACGGUGAAGACCAAGUGUGAGGUCCAAAGCAUUAGGAAAGGUGGUGAGUGAACUGCCGGAGCAAUUGGUACAGAAUACAAGGCUAAUGUGGUGGACUUGCAGCAAGAUAACCGGAACAGUACGUGCUCUUAUAUUAACUAUAUUGACUGGAUUUGCUAGUGUGUGCAUUUUCGUGUGUAUACUUUUGUAUUUAUGCAUAUUAAUGUGUGUAGGAUUCUUGAUUUCUGCCACUUAUUGGAGAACUAAUGGAAAGCUUUAUACUGGUAUAUCUGCAAUAACUAAUGGAAACUAUGAUAUUAAUAUUUUCUCUCGCUUGGAGAAUGCGUAACAGAUAUACUUUGUGGCUCUGGAAUACUAAAGAUUCUGCAAUAACUAAUGGAAACUAUGAUAUGAAUAUUUUCUCUCACCUGGAGAACUUUGUAACAGUUACACUUUGGGGCUUGGAAUGUCUAAAGAAUUUUGUCUGCUUCAGUUAGAUCAAAUAUCUUUUAGUUACAUACAUUAUAGAAAAGAUAAAGUUCUCUGAAUCUGAAAGACUUAAAAUUUUGCAUAUUUCUUGAUAGGGAAAUAUCUGUAGAUACUAGUUCAUGCAUUGUGGUAGCAUCAGUGUUAAAGAAAAACAGCAGUAAGUUAUUAUAUAGAAUUAGGUUCACUUGCUUUAAAUCCUGGUCUGGUCAACCAUAUGAACCUGUAAGUGGUUCUGUAGAAAUAUAUAUAUACGGGGAGAAAGUAGCUAAAUUUUCCUUUCAUUUAUGGGUUUGGUCAUUUUUUCCCCUUAUUUAUGUUUUCUCACACAUUUUUUAAAUGCCCCAGACAUGCAAUUUUGUAUGUGUCAAUUGCCUUUUAAGUUUUAAAAACCAUAAAGUAAGAAUACAGUUUCUUGUCAGGCUAUUGAUGCAUUUGCUCGGGGGGAUCAUGCUCGAGCAGGAAAACUUCUAGAACAGGUAAGGUUUCCAUCUACAGCCAUUUAUUGACAACAUAUAUAUUUUCAUUCAGCAAGCACUGUUAGCAUUCAAGAUGCUGGCAGAUUCACUUGAUUCUUAUUAGUUUGUUUAGUAGCAAAGCAUAUAACCUGUAUUUUAAAGCUAAGUUGUGCUAUUGAUUAUGUUAACUUUAUUGUUCACAUAAAGUGAUAUUGAGGAAAUAAUCAAUGUAGGAAAAUUAGGUGAAGAGAUGAUGUCAAAUCUUGAACCUCUUACAAAACUCCAAGUUCUUUACUUGAAGAAGCUACCAAAUUCGAACAGCAUCUACUGGAAGGCCUUGCCAUUCCCUGAUGUAUGCAGAAUUUUUGUAUUUAAAUGCCCAGAGCUUAAGAAGCUGCCACUGGAUCUUGAGAGGGCAGGCCAAGGUAAAAUUCUUAUCAAGGGAAAGAAAGAUGGGUGGAAACAACUUCAAUGGGAGGAUCAAGUAACUCAGAAUGCAUUGCUUUCAUUUUAAAAAUCAACCAACAAGUGAUUGAAGGGGGCAUCAUCAACGUAAUCAACAUGGAUGGAGAGAUUCUGGAGCAGAUCAGCGGGGUUUAGUACGACCUGUGGUGGUUUCUUUUUUGUGACUUUUUUGCCUUUCAUUUUUUCACUUCCUGUCAUAUUAUCAUUUCUUUGUCUGUGUUUCUAUUGCUAGUGUUGCUGCAUGCUUGCUGUCCUUGACAAAGUUAGCUAGUUUUUUUUGUUUAUUAAAUUUUGUAUGUUCGGUCGGGACAGUCACAAAGUACUACUUGUUCUAUAUGGGGGUGAUGUGAAUCAACUUUUCAAUUAUAUAUUCUGUGGUAAUUGUGAAUUCAAUUUCAUUUAUCUCCUGCAAAUUAUGAAGAAAGUGCAGAGUUACAAUAUGGAAAAGUUCACUGGCAAAUACUUUGUAAAAGCUUCGGAGUGAAACAGGAAAUGCACUUGCAACUAAGGACAAAUUGGUGGCCGGCUAAUGCAUUCAUUUUAGGGAAAAGGACACAGACCCUCAACGUUUUAAUAAGGGACAUAAAACUCCCUAAUAUUUUAAAAAAAAUACUCAAACCCCCAUUUGUUAAUAGUAAAUUCUAAGUUUAAAGUGUAAUUACCAUUAUACCUUUAUAGCAUAUUAAAAAAUAAUUAUUCAUUAUUCAAUUUAUUCUUAUAUUAUUAAUAAAAUUACGAAUAUAAUUUCAUUAUCUAAUUUUUUCAUUUAAUUUUUGUUAAAUUUUCUCUUCAAACUAAAUAAAUUUAAUCCAUUGCUUAAGAAUAAAAAUAAAUUAAAUUGAUUACUAAUAUAAUAAAAAUAACAUAUAUUUAAUAUAAAAAUAACAUAUAUUAAAUUAAAAUAAAUUUAAUUUAUAUAUAGAGAAUUGUUAUUUUUAAGAAAUUAUCAAUUUAAUUUAUAUAUAAGAAAUUAUAAGAAAUAACAUAUGGAGAAUUGUUAUUUUUAUUAUAUUAAUAAUCAAUUUAAUUUAUUUUUAUUUUUGAGCAAUGGAUUAAAUUUAUUUAGUUUGAAGAGAAAAUUUGAUAAAAAUUAAAUGGAAAAAUUGGGUAAUGAAGUUAUAUUCAUAAUUUUAUUAAUAAUAUAGGAAUAAAUUAGAUAAUGAACAAUUAUUUUUUAAUAUGCUAUAAGGGUAUAAUGGUAAUUGUACUUUAAAAUUAGAAUUUACUGUUAACAAAUAGGGGUCUGAGUGUCUUUUUUGAAACAUUAGGAAAUUUUGUGUCUCUUAUUCAAACGUUGGGGGUUUCUGUGUUAUUUUCCCUUCAUUUUAUGUACAUUCAUCUUUUUAAUUAUUGAAGAUAAGUGGUUCGUUGCUUUUGUUGUAGAUAAAAUUCAGACGACCUCAAUUGUGACAUGACAAUAUUUAAAACAUCUCUUAAAUUAUUAUAAAUUUAAUUUAUCUUAACUUUAUUGAAAAGAUAAAAGAAAAAUGUGGUGUAUGGAUAAAUUUUUUUUUAUCUUCUUAAUCAAAUGGAAUAAAUUAAAAUUUACAAUAAUUUAAAAUAUUUUAAAAAUUAUUAUUUCAUAAGAGAUUAAUAUGAAAUUAAUCGUUUUUACUUUUUUAAUGUGAAAGGACAAGAAAAGAGAAAGCAUGUGUCCCUGCUUUUUAGUUUUUAUUUUAUUUGAAAUCGGAGUUAUCCCAUAUACUUUACUAAUUUAGCUCUAACAUUACAAUGUUUUUAGGCUACACUUUUAUUUUUCUUUUUCCCCCUUUUUUUAUACAUGCAUGUGGAUUACUUUUCUCUAAGCUCCUUAAUAUUUAAGACAAAUCAUAAAAGCAAUUGAAGUAUAACAAGAUGAUCAAAACAUUUAACCAAAAAAAAAGAAAGAAAAAAGAAAGAAAACAUUGAAAAUGGAGAUGUUGAUUAAUUUAGAAGAGAUGCAAGCAAAAGAUAUUCCCAAAAAAAAGAAAAAAAGAAAAAAACAACGUUAGUUCAUCCAUGUCUGUCAAUGCGUUUUUUAUGGUUUUUUUUUUCCAGUUGUUUGUUGUAAUAGAUUGAUUGUAAAUUGAUAUGAAUUUGAUGUUGUAAUAUGUUCGCUUUUGUGGAAUUAAAUUUGAAUAUUCAAGAUUAUUCAAGUCUUAUCUAGUAUGUGUUCAAUUGUGUUGUCGAUAAUUUUGCAUUCGAAUAAUUUUUCACCUAAAAUAUUAGCAUGAGUAGUAGUCCUUGAAAUUUUGGUCAAAAUUAUUGUUAUUGUUUGUUUUAGAGGAAAUUUUUUUAUUAAAGCCUCGUUAACACUAUACCUUAUUAAGAUUAUAAGUUAGUGUCAGUGCAGGAUUUACAGCAACAAAUCUUGUCUAGCCACGUGUCAAAAGUACAAAUAAAUCAAGAGUAAGCACAUGACAUGGAUUAGGAUCCAAUAAGAUUUAAAUCCCAAGGAAAAGGACAAUUGUAUCCUAAAGUUUCAAUAAGAGAUACUGAGAUAUCUUUUGACUAAUGUUAUUUUUUUAGCUUUAUUAAUAAAAAGAUCAAAUAGUUUAUAACAAAUAAAAAUAUAGUAUGAAGCUAAAUGUGAUAAUAUAUACAUUUUACAUAAUUUCAAUAAAAAAAAUUUCAAUAAAAAACAUUUUAAUGUUUUACGAUCUAUUAGACAUAUUUUAUUAAAUUAAUAGGAAUUUUCUGAUAAAUAGCAACAUAAUAUUAAAAUAAAUUUAUAAAGAUUUAAAUGUAAAAUAAUUUUAGUAUAAUUAAUACGUGGGAUAUAUUUUGUAAAUUAUAAAAUUACUUAACCCAAUGAUUUUUAAAAAUCUUUAAAAUAAAUAAAAAUAAAUUAUUCACAUUUUGAUGUAAAUAUUUAAAACAUUUUUAUACAUUAGUCCACAAUUAUUUAUGUUAUAUUUGUAUUUAUUAGAAAUUUUGAAAGUCAAAUGUUUUUCACCUCUAUCUUAUUAGAAUUAUUGCACACAGAGAAAGAGCCAUAUAUGCUUUAUAGCUUUAAAAUCGAUUUGUUUUAUAGCUGGGAACAGAGAUGAUCAUUAUUAUAAGGAUUAAAAAAAAGAUAAAGAAUAUUAAUGAUUAGCGAAAUCUCUAUGGAAAUUGAAUUUAGUAAGAAAAAAUUGAGCUGAUUUUAGCGGUAUAGUAAUAUUUUAUAUAGAGAAAAGUAAAAGCUGCACCCAAGGUUAAGGGAAAUGGUCAAAACUCUUUUUUAAUCAUAAUACUCUUUUUCCUACAUAAUUUAAAAAUUUGACAUUAAUAUUUUAUAAUAAAUAAAAACAUAUAAUCCUAAAAUAAAUAAAAUAAUAUAUAUUUUAAAAUAAUCUCAAUAUUUAAAAUAUAUUUUAACAUUUUAUAGUCUAUCAGAUAUAUUUUAUUUUUUUUAAAGUAAAUUUUAUAAUAAAUACAAAACAUACUAUUAAAAUAGAUAUAAAAAUUUUAAAGUAUUUUGAAUAUUAUAUAAAAUAACUUUAAUAUUGUUAAUGCGUGAGAUGCAUUUUAUUAAUUAAAAAUUCUAUUUAACCCAAAGAUUUAUUUAUAAUAAAUUAAUAAUCAUAUUUUUGAAAUUAUUUUAAAUAUUAAAAAAUAUUUUAAUAUUACUAACUAUUAGAUAGACUAAACUAUUUAUAUUAUUUUCUAUUUAUUAUAAAAUUUCAAAGUUAAUCUUUUUAACUACUAUUCAAAAGAUAUUAUGAUAAAAACAGAAUUUUUCUGUUUUAUUAAAAAUUUAGAGUUUACACCUAUUUUUUCAAAUAUUCGGGGUGUAACUGUUUUAUUUAAAUAAAAUCUCAGUUAAAAAUGUACAGAGAAGAAAUUUCUGUUGGUAUUUUAGUCUUUUACCAAUUAUCACGAUUAGGCCUUGGCCUUGAAACAUUAAUUGUUUCACUUUUAGCGCUAGUGGCGUUGAAAGUUGUCAAGAAAAAGCAAGACCAUAUUCCACAAAAGCAGCUCUUUUAUUAAAGGCAAAGUAUAAAGUAGUCAAGAAUCGAAUAUCCUGUCGUCUACUCUUUUUUAAAUUCUUCUUUUAUUAUCUUUUAGAAUAGUUUUUGGUAAUUACAAUCAUUAUUCAGAGUUAUUGUUAUCUUCUGGGGCAGUCUCUGUUCAUCGAAGUCGUUACCUUUUUUUCAUGGAUCAGUUCCAGUGCCAAGCAGUAAUUUUCUUAGAACUCGGAUCUUUAAUUCGAGUUUCUUUGUGAAUUAAUAAUAAAAAAUUUUCAUUACACGCAAUUUAAGCUACGAAUUACUUUUUGCAAAGUUGAAUAUGAAAUUGGAGAAAUUAAAUAAUUUAGAAUGUUGGUAAAAAUUGACUAACAUAUCCCCAAUUACAGUAAAACCUCUCUACAGUCAUAACAUUAUAACAAAAUUAAUUUUAUUACUAUGUUGAGGUAAUAUAGGUUUAGUUACAAAAUUAUUGUUUUAAUAUGGUUAGUGUCAAGUGAUAUAAAGGUUAAGUAUGCAGUACAUUGAUAAUUAAAUAAUGAAGCGUGUCAAAUCUAACGUAUAUAUAUUAAUGAUAUAGAUAGACAUAGUUUUAAAAAACUAAUUAAUGUAUAUUUAUGUACUGUUAUGAAUAUGGAAAGUCAAGCCUACACUUUACAUUAUCCUUAAUUUUUUCUCUCAGUUAAAUUCUACAAAUAUUGUACAAUGAUUGGGUAAGAACUCUAAAUUAAGAAUAAAUUAUUGUCACAAAUAAUUUUAAAAAAUAUUUUAUUUCAUCUUAAACCUUUAAUGUAAGUAAAUAUAUAUAUAUGUGUGUGUGUGUGUGCAUAUUUUGCAAGGUAUAGAUAAUUGUUAGUAUAUGGAGACAAGUCUUUUAAGGUAGGACCUAGGAAAAUUUAUAACUUACUACAUUGGGGAGUUUUUAUUCCUUUUUAUAAUUGGCUCAUAUUGAUACAUUCUUACACAAAAUAUUACCAUUGACAUAUUUUACUACAAUUGGUUUAGAACAUUUGUUAGGAAAAAAAAAAGAAAAGAAAACAUUCAUUGGAUGUAGCUCUCCCUCGUAUGCUUUUUUCUCCAAAUAUUCCUGCGUCCACAGAAACAAGUCAGAGCACGCCGGUUGUUUUCCCGGCGUAAACCCUCUGACGCUCAAGUCAGAUAUGAAGGCUCUGGGAAUGCUUGCCACAGAUCUUAUGGUUUUUCUGUAGUUUCUAUUCUUUAGAGUUUCAUUUAUCUCUGAAUAUAAUCUCAAAAAUGCUAACCCUUUUACCUUCCUUGGCUACCUUUUUAUAGGCUUCCUCUGAAUCCCGGUCUUCCGUAGUCCACGCCCGUUAUUCUCCCCACCCUCGGAUGUGGAUGCCCCAUUAUCGCCAUUGUGGGCGAAUGGAGAUGGACUUCGUGCCUUGAUUCUCGGAUAGGAAUGCACGUCUUGCCAACUGUCGUUGACUGGGUCUCCUCGCCUCUCGACCUCUAGCCGGAAUGGCCUUAUGCCUCUAACAAGAGUUCGACCUCGUGAAUGGCAUACUCGCGGACGAGCCGAAUAUUUCUGCUCAUGUUCCCCUGCUACCUGGCUCUUACAGGACAUACCUGUUCGCAGAACUCCGCCAUCAAAUAUCUGCUCAUCACGUCUGGUCUCGUUGAAGUAUUUCCCUCAAACAACAUAUUUUACUACAAUUAGUUUAGAACAUUUGUUAGGAAAAAAAAAGAAAAGAAAACAUUCCUUGGAUGUAGCUCUCCUGACUAUUUAAAUCUUUUAAGGAAAAAAAGAAAAAAGAAAAACUGACACAUUCAAAUCUUGAAGCAAUUACAUUAAAACCUCUCCAUAAUGAUAGGAAUAAUCUCCAUUUAGUAAUAAAAAAUUUUGUUCGCAAUCUAGGCAGAGUUAUAAAUAAGAAUAAAAUCCUCAUUGUAAUAAGUUGUAUUUAUUAUGGAUCCCAUCCUAAGGAACUUGUCUCUAUAUAGUAAUAAUUAUUUGCAUAUUAUAAAUAUAUAUGUUGCAUUAGAUUAAAUGAACUUGUCUCCACAUACUACUUAGACAAUGAGAGAAAGUUAUUAAAGAGAACACAAAUAUUUAGAGAUUUUUAAGAUUACUUUGCAUGUUUAUAACAAUAAUACAUUGAUAUAUGUAUUAGUUUUUUGAUAUAUUAGAUUUGACAUGCUCUAUUAAUAAAUUAUUAAUACGAUGCAAACUUCAUCUCUCUAUCCUUGCAAUAAAAGUAACUAAGUUAUAACAAUAAUUAUUAAUAAAUUAUUAAUACGAUGCGUACUUCAUCUCUAUAUCCUUGCAAUAAAAGUAACUAAGUUAUAACGAUAAUUUUUGUAACUACAUGCUUAUUAGGUUUUAACUACUUCAUAAUAAUAAAUUAAUUUCGUCCUAAUAUUAUAAUUAUGUAGAGUUGUAGUGUAUAGACACACCCAAUUUAAAUAGUAAAUCAAAUAAAAUUGUCCCCACAAAAAAGAAAAAAGGGGUAAAGGAUUGUUAUUUCUUCAAACAUUAGGAGCACGUUUGUUCAAGUGCGAUGCCUUUCUUUUGAAGGCAACGUCAGUGGGUACCCAAUAGGACGUGUGUAAAUCUUUCCAAAAUUUCUCCGGUAUAACGGACAGAGAUCAUUACUUUUCUCUUCCAUAGACCACAGCAGCUUCAGUUAAUCAGACUCAAUCAAUUUUCUUGGUUUCUUCGCUUAUCAAAAUUCCAAAAUAUGGGUAGCAUAUUUCAAAUCACAUGCGAUGGUGCUUUUUUCAAUCGUUGCUUGGAUUGCUUUCUUGGAAAAGUAGCAAACACAAGUAAGCUCCAAGAUAACCUUGUUGCCUUGGAGACUGAAUUGGGAAAACUAAUCGUAGCAAAGAACGAUGUGAUGAUGAGGAUUGUCAAUGCUGAACGGCAACAACUGAGAACGCUGGACCAAGUGCAAGUGUGGCUUUCGAGGGUGGAAGCUGUUAAAACUGAAGCUGAUGAAUUGAUAAGACACGGCUCUCAAGAAAUUGACAAAUUAUGUGUUGGAGGCUACUGUUCCAAGCACUGCGCGUCAAGCUACAAGUUCGGGAAACAAGUGGCUAAAAAGCUACGGGAUGUGCAGACUUUAAUCGGCGAAGGAGUUUUUGCGGCGGUGGCUACUGAGGUGGUGCCUGAGAGAGCUCCAGAACCUGUAGCAGAUGAAAGACCCACUGUGCCAACAAUAGUAGGCUUGCAAUCACAACUUGAACAAGUUUGGAGAUGUCUUGUAGAAGAAUCAGUGGGAAUCAUUGGCCUAUAUGGUAUGGGCGGUGUUGGUAAAACUACACUAUUGACCCAUAUCAACAAUAAAUUUCUUGAGAGUCGAACCAGUUUUGAUUGUGUGAUUUGGGCCGUAGUUUCAAAGGACUUGCAACUCGAAAAAAUUCAAGAAGAUAUUGGGAAAAAGAUCGGUUUGGUUGAUGAUUCAUGGAAGAGUAAAAGUGUAGAGGAGAAAGCUCUCGACAUCUUCCGGAGUUUAAGAGAGAAGAGAAUUGUAUUGUUGUUAGAUGAUAUAUGGGAGCGGGUUGAUUUAACAAAAGUGGGCAUUCCACUUUCGGGACCAAAGAAUACUACCUCAAAAGUCGUAUUCACAACCCGUUUCAUCGAUGUUUGUGGUAGCAUGGAAGCUGACAAGAAGUUCCAAGUGGCAUGCUUAUCAGAAGAGCAUGCUUGGGAACUGUUUCGAAAAAAAGUUGGGGAAGAAACUCUUGAGAGUGAUCAUGAUAUCGUUGAGCUAGCCCAAACUGUGGCCAAAGAGUGUGGUGGUUUGCCACUCGCACUUAUUACUAUUGGUCGAGCUAUGGCCUGCAAAAGGACAGCCGAGGAGUGGAGACACGCAGUUGAAGUGCUAAGAAGAUCAGCUUCUGAGUUUGCAGGUUUGGGAAAAGAGGUGUAUCCUCUUUUAAAGUUUAGCUAUGAUAGUUUGCAGAAUGAGACGAUUAAAUCUUGUUUCUUAUAUUGUUGUUUAUAUCCCGAGGAUUAUGGCAUUCUUAAAUGGGACUUGAUUGAUUGUUGGAUUGGUGAGGGAUUCUUAGAGGAAUCUGACAGGUUUGGUGCAGAAAACCAAGGAUACUACAUUGUGGGCACUCUUGUUCAUGCGUGUUUACUAGAAGAGAUAGAAGAUGAUAAAGUAAAAAUGCAUGACGUUGUUCGUGAUAUGGCUUUAUGGAUAGCUUGUGAAAUUGAGAAGGAGAAGAGAAACUUUUUGGUUUGUGCAGGUGCUGGAGUAGGAGCGGUACCAGAUGUUGAAGGAUGGGAAAAUGUGAGAAGAUUGUCAUUGAUGCAAAACCAAAUUGAAAUUCUGUCAGAGGUUCCCACAUGCCCUCAUCUCCUCACUUUAUUUCUUGACUUUAAUUAUAAAUUGGAGAUGAUCACUGAUGGCUUCUUCCAAUGUAUGCCUUCUCUCAAAGUUUUGAAGAUGUCAAACUGUGGGCAUGUCAAAGUUUUGAAAUUACCUUUUGGGAUGUCAAAGUUGGGUUCACUACAACUUCUUGAUAUUUCACAUACCGGCAUAAGAGAGUUACCAGAAGAGUUAAAGUUGUUGGUAAAUCUGAAAUGUUUGAAUUUGAGGUGGACACAUAUGUUAAAUAAAAUUCCACGGCAGCUAAUAUCAAAUUCUUCAUGGUUACGUGUGUUGAGAAUGUUCGCUAUUGGCUUUGAAAAUUCUAAAGAACCAUCAGAAGACAGCGUUUUAAUUGGUGGGGGUGAAGUUUUAGUACAGGAAUUGCUCGGUUUGAAAUAUUUAGAGGUAUUGGAGUUGACCUUGCGAAGUUAUCAUGCUCUCCAUUCUUUUUUGAGCUCAAAUAAGUUAAAAAGUUGUAUUCGAUCUCUUUUCCUCAAUAAGCUGGGAGAUACAAAGUCGAUUGAUGCUACGGCUUUGGCAGAUCUAAAGCAUCUCAAUGAAUUAUAUAUUCUUUUUUUUNNNNNNNNNNNNNNNNNNNNNNNNNNNNNNNNNNNNNNNNNNNNNNNNNNNNNNNNNNNNNNNNNNNNNNNNNNNNNNNNNNNNNNNNNNNNNNNNNNNNNNNNNNNNNNNNNNNNNNNNNNNNNNNNNNNNNNNNNNNNNNNNNNNUCUUUCGCUAUACGGUUGUAAUGCUGUGGAAGAAAUAAUCAGCGUUGGGAAAUUUGCUGAGGUUCCUGAGAUGAUGGGACAUAUAAGCCCUUUUCAGAAUCUCCAAAAGCUUGAUUUAUCACAUUUGCCAGCUUUGAAGAGCAUCUACUGGAAGCCAUUGCCUUUCGCUCAUCUGAAAGAAAUGGUGGUGCAUUGGUGUGAUCGGCUUAAAAAGCUUCCGCUCGAUUCCAACAGUGCAAAAGAGCGUAAAUUUGUUAUUCGUGGAAGAGCAGACUGGUGGAACCGUCUUCAAUGGGAGGAUGAAGCCACUCAAAUUGCUUUCCAUUCCUGUUUCCACCUAAUGAAAUAUAAAUUCCUUAGCGGUGGUUGCAAAAUUUGAUUUCUAGUGAGUGCUUUUUUCUUAAACUCUUACAUUUAUUUCAGAUUCGUUUUUUGUCUCCUGCAAAUCACAAUUAAAUGCUGAAUUAUAUGGAGUCAAUGCUUUAGAAAAUUUUCAAGGCACUGCCAUUUCCUUUUUUCCAUUUUUUUUUGGGUCGAAUUGAUGCUCUGGCUUUUUACUUUUUGUUGUCAAAUUUUGCUCUGUUUUUUCAAGUUGAUGCUUGAAUAGUUGAAUUCAAUUAAUGCUCACAUAAAUUUGUUUAGUUGCCGUAAAAGGAUAUAAUUAGACUGAAGUACACACUUCUAGAAUGAAUACAAAAUGUUAAGUAUACUAGCCCUCUUUACAGAAAAUCAAAUGAAAAUCAAUUUUUUGGGGCUUUGAUUUUCUAUGGUCUAUUAUAUACUCUUUUUAAUAUCUUCUGUUCUAACUAUAACCAAAUCCUUUGUUCAAGGAUUUUUAUUUGGGGUAUUGAUAACUAUCCACCAAAAGAGUGAACACUUGGAUGCUGCUCAAGGAUCUCUAAUCAAUAGCUGGAAGCAACUGAGAAGGCGGUCGCUGCUGUUUACAAAGUGAUGCAGUAUUUGCCAUUCAUCUUAAUAAUUAUGAAGCUUUGGUAAAAUUUUCAAACAAAAUUGAACAUGUUGUUUGAGAUUUGGUUCAUGAUUUUGGAUGAAUAUCGUUGUUCCGUUUGAGUUGGAUGUGAAUUCAAAAUCUAUAUAUUCUUUGGUUUUCAAGUCUGAACUCAAUUUCUUUUUCUCAAGCAUGUUAUGCAGAAAUGAUUUUUACUAAAUCAUUUUUGAUGAAUUGUUUAAAUUAAACACUUGGAAUAAGAAUUGUAAACGUUUAUCAUAAGCAUGCUAAUAUGAUAAAUUGUUUUAUGAACGACUAAUUAAUUAAUCAAUUAAUAUUAAAUUAUAUAUUAAUCAAUUAGAUAUGCGUUACAUGUCAUGUUUAAAAACUAUUUAUUUAUAUUUCAAACAAAUUUGACUGGAUGUUGUGUAGGUAAUACUACAUAAUUUCAAAACAAAAAAAAGUAAUAAAAACACGUUAAAUUUUGUUUUUAUGAAGAAAAAUUUAAAAUUUUAUUAAAUAGGUGAAAAUAAUAAAUGGAUUCGUGUAUGGUUUGAGAUUCUUGACAUAAUUAUGAAAUAAGCCGGAUUCGACUUAGUUCAAUUUUGACGCGAUAAGAAGACGACACCACACAAACACACGACAAGAACCGUUACCUGAGAAGAUUGCCAUCAGGAAUUUUGAAAUUGAUUUCACUACAAUAUCUUAAUCUUUCAGAUACUCCCAUCACUGAGCUGCCAUAAGAGCUAAAAGCCUUGGUAAAUCUUAAGUGUUUGAACUGUACACAAAUUAUCUCUCUACAAUUCAAAAACAACUGAUUUGUUACUUUUCAAUGCUACAUGUUCUGCGAAUAUUGAGUUGUGGUUAUCUUGUUGAAAUAUCAGAAAAUAGAGUUCUAUUUGGUGGUAGUGAAUUGUUGGUUGGGGAGUUACCUAGUUUAAAACGUUUAAAUGUAUUAAGCAUCACCUUACAAGGUUUUUCUGCUGUCCAAAAACUUAUGAGCUCUCAAAAGUUUCAAAGCUGUACAAAAUGUUUGGAGCUUAUAGACUGUGAUGAUUCAAAGUCUUUUGCCUUGGCAGAGUUGAAGCAUCUCGAGAAACUAGUUUUUCGAAUUGUGGAAGAGUUUAAGUUCUGCUGUGUUGAAGUUGGAAAAGCUCAAGAAUGUUUUCGUUUGAACAGCUUUCCCCGAGGUAAUAUAAAGGCUUGUCAUAAAUUGAGGGACGUGACAUGGCUUGUAUUUGCUCCAAAUCUUACGGUUAUUCAAUAGAAAAAUAUAUGCAGAUGGAAGUAAUAAUCAGUGCAAGGAAAUUGGGUGAAGUUCCAGGGAUGAUGGCAGAUCUAAACCCUUUUGCAAAACUCCAGUAUCUUCGUCUGCGAGUUCUACCAAAAUUAAAAAGCGUCUAUUGGAAUGAGUCACCCUUUCCACAUGUCAGGGAAAUUAUUGUAUCUGAAUGCCCAAUUCUCAAGAAGCUUUCACUCGGUUUUAACAAUGCAAAGGAAUCUAAAAUUGUCAUUUAUUACAUGUUUAUAUCUAACUUUUGUUUUCCUUUAUGGUUAAAUUUUACUUUAUAUAUGUUGUUAUACGGUGACAUUCUCGCAUCAAUUGUUAGCUUUUUAAUUCUCUUCUCCCAUUAAUUGCCCUUCUGAUCAUGUAAGAUAUGCCGAUGUCAAAGAGUAGUAAGUUGGGAUACAAAUGUAAGAAUUAACCAGAUGACAUGUUGUUUUGAAGCUCUCGGAGAAGGACUAAUUAUGUCAUUCAAAGCAUCCAAUUUCGCUACUUUUUUUUUCAUUUGUUGCUUUUUCUAUUUUUAGAGAGCUUGAUUGUCAGUUGUCGUAAUGUAAUGUUUUAGUGUAGAAAAAUGAUAUUCGGCCAAGACAUCAAUAGGAGGGCACAUUGUGCAUGCACACUAGUGGAUGAUUUCGGCAUGCCGAAUCCAAUUAGUGUGGAUAACCCUUUAUAAGCAAUUGGCUUCUCUCAUACCAGAGCAAUGUAGAAUAUAUUUAUAAACUGUGGAUUACUCUUUAUUAGGCUUCUUCUAUACUCGAGCAAUGUGGAAUACCUUUAUAAGCAAUAAGCUUCUCCCCUACACUUUAUGUUAAUAAUAAUAAUAAUAAAAUAAAUCCAUUUUAAAAUAGACUUUUUUUUUCUUUUUCUAUAUAAACAAAAUGCAUUCUUCAAAUCAAUAGUGGGUGGAAGAAGUGAGUAGAGAAGAACUAGUCCCCUUUCAUUCCCCUAAAACCUCACCGAAACCUCUCUUGUGAACUUCUCAGAUUCUCUCUCAAUAUUUCUUAUGAUCUCGUUUUUGAUAGAAUCACUUCUUUUGCAUGUUGCAUUUGGUGUGUCUUUUUUGGGUAAUAUCUUAUCUGGAAUGCUGUCAUGAUCAAUAGAACAAGUAAUCAAUUUUUGGCUUGACGGAAGUCGAUUUAUUUAUUUACUAUUAUUUUUAUUUGAAAUUUUGUACAAUUGUGUUUCAUUCAUUUCUUUCCUUUUUUUUUAAUAUUUAUUAUGUAUAAUUGUGUUUCAUUUGAUAUUGAUCAUACUCUAGAUAACUAUGUGAUUGUAGCUGGGGAUUUUAAGUUUUGUGAAUUCAAGAAACUGUCAAAAUGCUAGUGAAAUUGGGACCUUUAUUCAUAAGCUUGUGGUUUUGAAAAGUAGCCCGGUUCAACUGAUGAAGUUCCUUUUUGGGAUUCUUUUUUUUCCUAGGCUGCAAUUCGGAUAUGUACCUGAUAGACAAUCUUUUGUGGGUUUAGCAUAUCUUCUCGGAUUUUGUCUUUUAUUCCUCGAUUUUAUAAUUACACACCAUGAAUGUUGAGUGAUUGUAUAGAAAAUUUGUGUUAUAACCAAAGCAUUGUGAAGGAGUUAAGUUAGUGGCUUCUGUUUUAUUGGCAUUGAUUGGGUAGAUUACGUGUUACAGUGAUUCAAUUUGUGAUCCAAACUUUGUUUAAAUUUCUGUUUUCCCAAAUUAUUUAUGUCAAAUUCAAAACCAGAAGCAUGUGCUGAUUUUUUCUUUUUGUAUUAAUCUGUGAAGUUUAUUUGGAAAGGAAGUAUCUGGGUCUAAUGGAUUAAAUUAUGUAAGUGGCAGAAAUUCCUACACACAUAAAUAUGCAUAAAUACAAAAGUAUACACAAAAAAAUGCACACACUCAUACAUCCAGUCAAUAUAGUUAAUGUAAGAGCACAUACCGGUUUGGUUAUCUUGCUGCAAGUGCACCGCAUUAGCCUUGCAUUCUGGUGCCAACUCCUCCGGCGGUUCACUCACUACCUUUCCCAAUGCUUUGGACCUCCAUUCGGUCUCCAUCAGAUUUCUCAGGAGCACUAAAUAAAGCAGCUAAAACUUGCUUCUGUAGUUCAUUUCUGUCUUUCGGGUGUCUAGGCAAUUUUCCUUCGUCGGUAUUUCGAUCUUCCUUUACAUGACUGAGGAAAUACAGUCAAAAGCUAAUCAAGUAACCAUAUAUGGAUGAGAAAUCCCUCCACCCCCCUUCCAAAACAAAUUCUAAGAAAUAUCAGAAUUCUUUCAAUAAAAACCCUUCCCCCCAUGCUGUGCCUGCUGAAUGAAAUAUAUUAAUCUUACGAGAAGUUGAGAAAAUAAAUUAAAGAACAUACCCUCCGGAAGAAUUCAAUUGUUGCAAUUUUCUUUCACGUGGAGGUCCUCCAAAGUUAGAGCACAUAUCCGUACACUGUUUAUGAAAUCAUAAUAACAGGGGACCAGAUAUUAAUAACAAAUCUUGACACCUAAAAGUCAACUGUGAUGAAAAACAUUAAAAAGAAUAUGAACUUGUUAUCUUGGAAGAAGAUAAUUUAAGAUAUAGCAAACUUGGCACAUUCAUAUAUGAACAGAAGGAAUUUGUAGACGUUUUAAAGCCAUAAUCGUUUAAUAAUCAUGAACCAAGCAAUAAUAGAUGAUUAUUAUGUUGGGUGCAAGCGGAAGUGCAGAAAAAUUUUUAUUUAAGAUCAGAGUAUUUUGCUGGAAAUUUCUGAAACUUUAUUGCUUAAUUCAUUUUUUCGUUUCUCUCUUACUUUUCAUACAACCAGAGUUCUAUAUUUAUAUGCAUUAUAGACAACUCUAGAGAUUACAUUAAUCAUGCUUUACAUUUCCAAAGCCACAUUGCAAACAUCAAUUCUACCCUUUACUUCACGUUGAAAAACAAACCAAAUAAUCCUUCAAACUUCUUGCUCAAUUUACUAGAUUACUAAUUAUAUCUCAACACCCCCUCUUAAUUAGUAAUCUUCAAUUGCUUCUUGAAUUUUUCAAACUUCUCAAUAAUGAUUGCUUUGGUCAGAAAAUCUGCUGGCUGCUCAUUAGUGCUGAUAAACUCCAUAUUAACUUCUCCUUUGCUUACUAAGUCACGGAUGUAGUGAUAACGCAGCUCAAUGUGCUUAGAUUUAGCAUGAAAUACGAGGUUCUUUGUUAGAGCAAUGGCUGACAUGUUGUCACAAUAAAUUGUUGUUGCAGCAUCUUGAUUGAACUGCAAAUCCUUGAGAAUUCUUCUAAGCCAAACGGCUUCACAAGCUGAUUCAGUUGCUGCAAUGUACUCUGCCUCGGCUGAGGAUAAAGCUACUGACUUCUGCUUCCUUGAGCUCCAUGAAAUCACAUUUGUACCAAGACAAAAUAAAUAACCUGAUGUGCUUUUUCUGUCAUCAAGGGAACCAGCCCAGUCACUGUCAGUAAAACCAACAAGCUUGCAAUUGUCUUCUUUUUCAUACAUGAUCCCCUGCUUUUUUGUUCCUUGAAGAUACCUUAAGAUUCUCUUUGCUGCAAUAUAAUGGGACUUCCUUGGAUCAUUCAUAAAUCUAGAAAGAACACUAACUGAGUGCAAAAUGUCAGGUCUUGAGUUGGUUAGAUAAAUCAACGAACCAACCAAGCUUCUAUAGAUUCUUGCGUCAGCCUUUUCUUCUUUUUCAUCAUGUUUCAAUUUUUCAUUCAAACCCAUAGGAGUAGGUGCUGGUUUGCAUUUGAACAUGUGGAAUUUCUUCAACAAAUCUUCUACGUAUUUUUCUUGACAAAAGAAGAUUUUUCCUCUGGCUUGCUUCACUUGAAUGCCAAGAAAAUACUUCAUUAAGCCCAAGUCAGUCAUCUCAAAUUCAUCUAGCAUGCUUUUUUUAAACUCUUCCACCAUUUUCAGAUUAGUGCCACAAUAAAUUAGAUCAUCAACAUAAAGGCAAACAAUAAGGAAAUCAGUACCUUCCUUUUUGACAUAAAGAGAAGGUUCACUUGAGCUUCUGUCAAAUCCAUUUUUAACGAAAUAUCUAUCAAUUCUGCUAUUCCACGCUCGAGGGGCUUGCUUCAAGCCAUACAAGGCUUUUCGGAGUUGAUAAACUUUGUUUUCUUCACCUUUCACUUCAUAUCCUUUAGGUUGCUCAACAUAAACCUCUUCUUCAAUUUCACCAUUUAGAAAUGCCGAUUUUACAUCUAGUUGAAACACAUGUAAUUCCAUUUGGGCUGCCAAGGCAAGAACAGUUCGAAUAGUCUCCAUUCGAGCUACGGGAGCAAACGUUUCUGUAAAAUCAACUCCAGGCAGCUGAGAGUAUCCUUUGGCAACGAGCCGCGCCUUAUAUUUUUUAACUGAACCAUCUUCAUUGUACUUGAUUUUGAAGAUCCAUUUCAGCCCAAUUGUUUCUUUUCCAUUUGGCAAAUUAACCAUCUCCCAAGUUUUAUUUUUCACAAUGGUGGCCAUUUCCUCGUUCAUUGCUUGGAUCCAAUUUUCAUUUCUUGAGGCCUCCUCAAAGUCUUGAGGCUCACAAGAAAAUAAAGCAAGUUCACAUGACUCAUAAAUUUCUCUCAUUGACUUUAUCUUCCUUGGAGGGCUUUCAUCAUCCGAAGAACUUUCUGCUGCUGAAUUUGGAGAAUUUGGUUCCAAAUUAUUUUGCUGUGAAGAAUUUGGUGGAGAUACAGGAGCUUCGAAAAAGCUAGAUGCUUGAGAUUGAUCUUUUUCCCACUGCCAAGCUGAUGCCUCAUCAAAUACAACAUCUCUUGAGAUAACAAGCUUAUUUGUUGUAGGAUUCAACAACCGAUACCCUUUAGACUCAUCACUAUAGCCAAUAAACAAAUAUUUUUCACCUUUUUCAUCAAACUUCUCUCUGUUUUGAGCUAGAAUAAGAGCAUAAGCAAUACUCCCAAAAAUCUUCAAGUGAUCAACAGUUGGCUUUCGGUUGUGCCAAGCUUCAAAUGGAGUUUUGUCUCUAACAGCUUUUGUAGGAGACCUGUUGAGGAUGUACACAGCUGUAUGACAUGCUUCUGCCCAUAAGUUGUUAGGAAUGCCUUUGCCUUUUAACAUGCUUCUUGCCAUCUCUACAAUGGUACGGUUCUUCCGUUCUGCAACUCCGUUUUGUUGUGGACUUCGGCUGACAGUAAGUUGUCUUUGAAUUCCAUUAUCCCUGCAAUAAUUCAUGAAUGGAGUGUAGAUAAAUUCACCACCACGAUCAGUUCUCAAGGUCUUCAUUUUGCAUCCACUUUGCCUUUCUGCAAGAGCUUUAAACUGAAGAAAAGUUGAGAAAGCUUCUGAUUUUUCAUUCAAAAAAUAAAUCCACAUCAUCCUUGUAUAGUCAUCAACAAAAAGAAUGAAAUAUCUCCUGUUAUUGAGAGAGAGAGUCCUUGUAGGACCACAAAUAUCAGCAUGCACCAACUCCAACGGAGCUUUGGCUCUCCAUGAAUUUUUAGGAAAUGGAAGUCUAUGCAUUUUUCCAUAUAUACAGCCCUCGCAAACUUUUUCAUAUCUUCCAACAUCAGGUAAGCCAAUCACCAUGUUCUUUUGCUUGAGCAAAUUCAGCCCUUUAUAGUUUAAAUGACCAUAUCUGAGAUGCCAUAAAUUUGACAAAUCUGAAUUUUCAGUUUUGAGAGCAACAUUCUCAUCAAGUGGCAUAACAAGAGGAAAAACUUUGUUCUUUGACAUUUCAACAACGGCCACUGUAUGAUUAUUAGUUUUAUCAAUGAUUUUGCAUUUUUCAUCAUCAAAAUAAAUUGAAAAACCCUUUUGAAUUAGCUGCCCCACACUCAAGAGGUUUUGAGUUAAAUUUGGAACAUAAAGAACGUCAUAAAUGAGCUUUUUGUUACCUCCCUUUGUAUGGACAGCAAUAGUGCCUUUUCCCACAGCUUUCUGCAUCUUUCCAUCUCCAAGCUUCACUUGCGAAUUAAAACUUUGGUCAAGGUUGAUGAAAAUGUCACGUUCUCCAGUCAUGUGGUUGCUACAACCGCUAUCCAAGUACCACAAAUUAUAUGAUUCACGUUCAGCACCUUUACUUGAAUAAAACAAGUAAUCUCCAUCACAUUCUUUUGUAAAAUUUGCCUCAUUUUUGCCUUUCUUAUUUUGAUACCAGCAAUCCCUUUGAGAAUGGUUAGGAAUGCGACACCUUGUGCAUUUAUAACGACAAUCUUUUGAUUCAUGAUUAGACCGAUUACAAAUGAUGCACUGAGAAUCUGAAUUUUGCUGUGAAUUCCCUCUGUCAUUUUUCCACUUGUUGCGGUUGUCGUUCUGUUCUCUUUGCCCUAUGCCACGCUGCUCGUUUCUUUGAGACGAGCCUCCGUUCUUCUGGUCUUUCUUGCUGCUUUUAUUCUGAUCUGAAUUAUUAAUCUUUGACUGAAAAGCUUGCUCUGUAGGCUGACUUGAAGGUCGAUUGAUUCUUUGCUCAUGAGACCGUAAUGAUCCUGACAAAUCUGAAAAAGUCAUCUUGGACAAAUCCUUUGAUUCUUCAAUGGCUGCUGCUACAUGAUCAAACUUUGGAGGAAGACAUCUCAGCACCUUUUCAUUCACCUUCUUGUCUUCAAUGGAGUCCCCACAACCUUUAAUCUGGUUCACAAUCUCAGUAACUCUACUGCAAAAAUCCUGAAUUCCUUCUCUGUCUUUCAUUGAUAAAUUAUCGAACUCUUUCCACAAAGUCUGUAACUUGAUGGUGACUGCCUUUUCAGAACCUUGAAAUUCUUGUUUUAGGAUUUUCCAAGCAUUUUUGGCCUUUUUGACACCAAAUAUUCUGGGGAAAAUUGACUUACUAACACCUUGCUGGAUAUAUCGAAGUGUCGUGGCAUUUCUCUGUAUGUUUUCUUUGUACUGCUGUUGAUGUGCUGGAGUCCAAUCUGAAGAACUUGCAGAUUCUGGUGGUUCAGCAUAUCCAUCUUCAACAACAUCCCAUAAAUUUUGAGAGAGGAAAAAGGUUUCCAUUUGAUUACUCCAAUAUUCAUAAUGUACCCCUUCAAAUAUUGGAACUUGACUGGGAGCAUAUGAGAAUAAUGUGGGUAGGGUAUUUGAUGUCAUUUUGAGGGUGUUUUGGAAAAGCUCUGAUACCAAAUUUGUUGGGUGCAAGCGGAAGUGCAGAAAAAUUUUUAUUUAAGAACAGAGUAUUUUGCUGGAAAUUUCUGAAACUUUAUUGCUUAAUUCAUUUUUUCGUUUCUCUCUUACUUUUCAUACAACCAGAGUUCUAUAUUUAUAUGCAUUAUAGACAACUCUAGAGAUUACAUUAAUCAUGCUUUACAUUUCCAAAGCCACAUUGCAAACAUCAAUUCUACCCUUUACUUUACGUUGAAAAACAAACCAAAUAACCCUUCAAACUUCUUGCUCAAUUUACUAGAUUACUAAUUAUAUCUCAACAUAUUAUUCCGUUUCUUCUAAGCUACGCAUACUUGCACAUCAGAAUAAAGUGAUAUACAAUGGUUGUGUGCAGACACAAACGCAUGAUCAACAGGAAAAAUCAUCUGAACAUUUGUAUUACUGAUUUGGCAUAUAAGAUUCUCAUAAUAGUUCAAAAUACAAAUAAAUGAAUAUAUAUAUAUUCCCCACCGGAAUCACCCCCUGGAUCCUCACUCAAGGUGUCUUCCGAGCCAGAAGAUCCCUCCUCACCACUAUUUCCGCUCGUGGAGGUUGUUUGGGGGGACAUCCUCCUAGCGCUAGUCCCAACACUAGACCUAAUGGGUUCUAAGGGGAUCCCGGGGUCAAAAGCAGGAUCGGUGAGCAGACUAGACAAGAAACCUAAUUCGUCGUCAUCAAUCUCAACGAUUUUCUCUUUACCCUUCGACAUUCCCUAAACUAUAAUCAGAACACCACCACCAACUACAACCCCAAGCAAAGCACAGAGAAAAGAAAUUAUCUACAACUAACCAAGACCGAGAAAAUAGAAGAAAUACCUGAAGCAGGGAUUCGAUCAGAGAGAGAUAGGGAUGAAAGCUUUAAUGCCGAGGUUCAUUCGCCGGAGAGACAAGAAGGGAGAAAAUGACGAGUUCGUGUUUGAGGAUUUUGGGUUUUCUUACUGAGAAGCAAACUCUUGGGCUGCCAGCAUUUAAUGACACAUAUUCCGAGAAUCUUGCAACCGUAGGUUUGAAAUUCAAAUGGAGGGGUGGAUUUCUGCCACAUCACUUCAUCUGCAAUUAAAUGCGACACGACUCUUGGCAGUCUUUUCCAGUCCCACGCGAGCAAGAACCGAUUGAGUUUCUACUGCUGGUCCAUUACAUUACCCAACACCAGAAACUGGGGGACUGGUGUUUGAGGGAAAUACUUCGACGAGACCAGACGUGAUGAGCAGAUAUUUGAUGGCAGAGUUCUGCAAACAGGUGUGUCUUGUAAGAGCCAGGUAGCAGGGGAACAGGAGUAGGAAUAUUCUGCUCGUCCACGAAUAUGCCAUUCACGAGGUCAAACUCCUGUUAGAGGCAUAAGGCCAUUCCUGCUAGAGGUCGAGAAGCGAGGAGACCCGGUCAACGACAGUUGGCAAGACGUGCAUUCCUAUCCGAGAAUCAAGGCACAAAGUCCAUCUCCAUUCGCCCACAAUGGCGAUAAUGGGGCAUCCAUAUCCCGGGGGGGGGAGAAUAAGGGGCGUGGACUACGGAAGAUCGGGAUUCAGAGGAAGCUUAUAAAAAGGUAGCCAACGAAGGUAAAAGGGUUAGAAUUUUUGAGAUUGCAACUAAGAAAAGAGAGCUCUAAGAACUGAAACUAAAGAGAAGCCAUAAGAUUCGUGGCAAACAUUCCCAGAACCUUCAUAUCUGACUUGAGCGUCGGAGGAUUUACGCCGGGAAAACGACCGGCGCACCCUGACCUGCUUUUGUGUUCGCAUGAAUUUUUGGGGAAGAAACCUUACGAGGAGAGAUCCUGGUCAUGGUAGAGUUGGUCGAGCAGAGGUCCUGGUCUUGGUAGAGAAGGCAACCAGAAUCUCGCAUCAACAAUUAUUUUACUUGAAAUUAUGUACAAUUGCAUUUCAUUCAUUUCUCUCUCUCUUUUUCUUUUUUCCCCCCAUAUAUUUUUUAUGUAUAAUUGCGUUUCAUUUAAUAUUGAUCAUACUGUAGGUAACCAUGUGAUUGUAGAUGGGGAUUUCAAGUUUGUUGAAUAUUCAUGUAAGUGAAGUAACCGUCACAAUACUAGUGAAAUUGGGAGCUUUAUUCAUGAGUUUGUGGUUUUGAAAAGUACCACAGUUCAGCUGAUGAAGGCUUCUUUUUGGGAUUCUUCUUUUCCUAGGCUGCAAUUAGGAUAUGUACAUGAUAGACAAUCUUUUGUUGGUUUGGCAUAUCUUCGCUGAUUUUGUCUUUUAUUCCCCAAUUUUAUAAUUACACACCAUGAAUGUUGGGUGAUUGCAUAGAAAAUUUGUGUUAUAACAAAAACAUUGUGAAGGAGUUUCUGUGCUAAUAGUUAGUGGCUUCUGUUUUAUUGGCAUUGAUUGGGUAGAUUACGUGUUACAGUGAUUCAAUUUGUGUUCCAAACUUUGCUUUAAUUUUCUGUUUUCCCCAACUAUUUAUGUCAAAUUUAAAUCCAGAAGCAUGUACUGAUUUUUUCUUUUUGUAUUAAUUUGUGAAGUUUAUUUGGAAUGGAAGUAACUGGGUCGGGUCUAAUGGAUUAAAUUAUGACAUUGAGGGGAAGGCACUAAAAGGGUUUGCUUGACACAUUUGGUUCUGUGUCUGCAAGAAAUAGCUUUUGCUUAUUGCAAUGCAGGGGGAAAUCCCGAUUUGGCUGGUGAAUUUCUCUGCAACAAACGGGCAAACACCUUGACUUCUUCUGUCCAUACUUCUGCUGGGGAGGCAAGGGGUAAAGAGUCUUCAAAAUCAUCAAAUAGUAACAUCUCUGAGAAUUCAUUUUAUGGAAAUGGAAAAUCUAGAGCUUCUAAUACAAAAUGGUAUCUGGUAUCAGGACGUACCGUUUCAAGUUUUCUUGGUAAAGAUUAUGUUAAACCUGCACAGCCAGCUAAUGGCACUUUUCUGGCAUCAAAGCCAUUGAAGUUGGAUCCAAGGGAGUUUCGCAUUUCUGCACUUUCAGAGAAGAAACUAAACCGAAACAAUCAAAGGAUGACCAUUUGCAGAAGGAUAUGGAAGAUUUUCUGUUUAAAUUGCUAGGAGAAGGGUUCCAGCUGUACAGGGAUGUGAUUCAGAUGGUUCAUGGUAACGUCUUAAAUAUAUUGAUGCCAAUUUAAUACAUAUUGUCCUUUUCAAUGUUCUUUCUUUCUUUCUCCUCUUUUUAUUCUUCUUCUUCUUCUUUUUUCUUUUCAUGUGCAUCUGAUCACUAAUUUGGUAUUAUUCUUAACUUGCAGAUAGUUGUGGAUAUGAUAUGCAAAAAGGUAAGGACUAUAUCUUCUUGAUGGAGGCCUCUGAUUUUUUAAAUCGCAUUUUCCUUUGUGAUUGAUAUAUCAUACCAAAGUCAAGUCUUAAAUACUGCUGUCAUAUGUUAAGGUUCAACUUCCAUUUUGAUUAACGUCGAUUUGCUACUGCUUCCAAAAGUGAGAAUGAGAUACUUUGGUUAAUUUCAGUAGUUGAACCCAAUAGAGUACUUUAUUUAGAUCUUCAUGGUUCAAAGGCCUGAAAAAACUUGCCGGUGUUUGCAAAAUGACAUUCUGUGCUUUUAUUUAGACUUAUUAUUAAAGACAACAUUUUGUUUCAGCCAAAAAUGUUUGUUUCGAUUAAAGACUGAUUUUAUAUUUCUAUUUUGUAACUUGAAAUAAUUGGUCUGCCUGUUUCUGUUGCUUGAUAACAUGAAUUUUUCCUUCUGAAGUUAAUUUGAUCAAUAAAGUAAUUCUUCGGAGAGGAUAUGCCCAUUCUAUAGUCAUUUUCUUAGCUAACAUGUUUUUUCUUCACUCUUCAGAGCAUGUCUAAACUAAUUGAUCGCUCAGCGGAGACUUUGGGUGAGAAGACAAAAUUUCUUGGUAAAUCCUCUGAAAAGGUAUGCAUAAUUCCCGAGUAUUAAAUAAUCAUUGGUCAUAAUUUUUGUACACGACUCUUUUUUUGGAGAUCGUUAAAAGUGGUUGAUGAUCUAUUUUGUAAUAUCAUAGAGGGAUCAUGAAUUCCUUUUCUUUUCUGUGGCUAGGCAACACUUUCGAGCCAAGCUAAGGAAAUCUAUUUUAGGUAAUGUGAAAACCAGUUGUAGGAUGUAAUAGUUUAUUAUGCCCUGCCAAUAACUUUUUGUAUAAUUGUCAGUUUAAUGAAUACAAGAGGAACUCUGUUGGCAAGUUCAUCCAUGAUAGAUGCUAAAAUUAUUUAUGCAUACCAGUUGCCUUAACUAAUUUUUCUCAACACUGGUAUUGAACAGGAAAAUGAAUAUGCAAUUUGUAUAUUGUGCCAUUGUGGAGAAUUUGGAUAUUCUUAUUUAAGUAACAAGGAGAGUAUUUGCCUCAUCUUUAAACAAUGAAUCUUUGAGAAAUGAGGAGUGGGUGAUUGGCAGUGUCUUCAUGUAAAUGUUCAUUUAUUUGUAUUUUGAACUAUUAUGAGAAUCUUUGUAUGCCAAAUUAGUAAUACAAAUGUUCAGAUGAUUUUUCCUGUUGAUCAUGCGUGUGUAUCUGCACACAACCAUUGUGUACCACUUUAUUCUGAUGCGCAAAUAUCUGUAGUUUAGAAGAAAAGAAAUAAUAAUCAUAUAUUAUUGCUUGGUUCAUGAUUAUUAAACGAUUAUGGCUUUAGAAAAUCCACAAAUCCUUUGUGUUCAUAUAUGAAUGUGCGAAGUUCGCUAUAUCUUAGAUUACCUUCUUCCAAGAUAACAAGUUCAUAUAUUUUUUAAUCCUUUUUCAUCACAGUUGAAUUUCAAGUGUAAGUUUUGUUAUUAAUAGCUGGUUUCCUGUUAUUAUGAUUUCAUAAACAGUAAGAGGAUAUGUGCUCUACUUUUGGAGGGCCUCCACAUGAAAGAAAAUUGCAACAAUUGAAUUCUUCCGGAGGGUAUGGUAUUUAAUUUAUUUUCUCAGCUUGUUGUAAGACUAAUAUAUUUCCUUCAGUACGCACGGCAUGGUGGGAAGGGUUUUUAUUGAAACAGUUAUGAUAUUUCUUAGACUUUGUUUUGGAAGGGGGUGGAGGGAUUUCUCAUCCAUAUAUGGUUACUUGAUUAGCUUUUGACUGUAUUGUCUCCGUCGUGCAAAGGAAAAUCCAAAUACUAACGAAGGGGAAUUGCUUAGGCACCCAAAGGACAGAAAUGAAUUACGGAAGGAAGUUUUUGCUGCUUUAUUUAGUGCUGCUGAGAAAUCUGAUGGAUUUCCUGAAAUUACGGUGAAGACGGAGUGGAGGUCCAACGCAUUAGGAAAGGUGGUGAGUGAACCGCCGGAGGAAUUAGUACCAGAACACAAGGCUAAUGUGGUGCACUGGCAGCAAGAUGACCAGACCUGUAUGUGCUCUUAUAUUAACUAUAUUGGCUGGAUUUGUGAGUGUGUACAUUUUUGUGUGUAUACUCACUUUUGGAUUUAUGCAUAUUAACGUGUGUAGGAUUCUCGAUUUCUGCCACUUACUGGAGAACUAGUGGAAAGCUUUAUACUGAUAUAUGUGCUAUAUAACUAAUGGAAACUACAAUAUGAAUAUUUUCUCUCACCUGGAGAACAGUGUAACUGAUAUAAUUUGUGGCUCUGGAAUACUGAAGAUUCUGCAAUAACUAAUGGAAAAUAUGAUAUGAAUAUUUUUUCUCACCUGGAGAACUUUGUAACAGAUACAUUUUGUGCUGGAAUGUCUAAAGAAUGCUUCAGUUUAGAUCAAAUAUCUUUUAGUUAGAAAAGAUAAAAUUCUCUGAAUCUGAAAGACUGAAACAUUUUGCAUAUUUCGUGAAAGGCAAGUAUCUGUAGAUACUAGCUCAUGCAUUGAGGUAAUAUCAAUGUUAAAGAAAAACAGCAAUAAUUUAUUAUACAGAAUUAGGUUCACUUGCUUUAAAUGCUGGUCUGAUCAACCAUAUCAACCUGUAAUGGUCCUGCAGAAAUAUAUAUACGGGGAGAAACUAGCUAAUUUUCCUUUCACUUAUGGGUUUGGUCUUUUUUUUCCCCUAUUUUUCAGCUUUCCUUCUCCUGAAGUAUGUUAACAAUUGCAGAUAAUGACGAAGAGGACCGCUUCCAGGCUCUUUGUAGAGCUGUGAUGGAAUAUAGGGGCACAAUGAAAGAAUAUUGUAAGGCUGUAUGUACUUUCUCUCAUGUCAUUUAUGUUUUCUCACACAUUUUGUAUAUGCCCUGAACAUGCAGCUUUGUAUGUGUCAAUUGCCUUUUACGUUUUAAAAGCCAUAAAGUAAGAAUACAGUUCCUUGUCAGGCUAUUGAUGCGUUCGCUCAGAAGGGUCAUGUUCAAGCAGGAAAACUUCUAGAACAGGUAAGGUUUCCAUCUACAGCCAUCCAUUGACAGCAGAUAUAUUUUCAUUAAGCAGACACUGUUAGCAUUCAAGAUGCUGGCAGAUUCACUUGAUUCUUAUUAGUUUGUUUAGUGGCAAACCAUAUAACCUGUAUUUCAAAGCCAAGUUGUGCUAUUGAUUAUGUUAACUUUAUUGUUAACAUAAAGUGAUAUGGAGGACAUAAUCAAUGUAGGAAAAUUAGGUGAAGAGAUGAUGUCAAAUCUUGAACCUCUUACAAAGCUCCAAGUUCUUUACUUGAAGAAGCUGCCAAAUUUGAAGAGCGUCUACUGGAAGGCAUUUCCAUUCCCAGAUGUAUGCAGAAUUUUUGUAUUAAUGCCCAGUUCUUAAGAAGCUGCCACUGGAUUUUCAAGGGGCGGGCCAAGGUAAAAUUCUUAUCAAGGGAAAGGAAGAUUGGUGGAAAGAACUUCAAUGGGAGGAUCAAGCAACUCAGAAUGCAUUGCUUCCAUUUUUCAAAUCAACUGACAAGUGAUUGAAGGGGGCAUCAUCAACAUCAUCAACUGGGAUGGAGAGAUUAUGGAGCAGAUCAGCAGGGUUUGUAUAUGAUCUUUGGUGGUUGCUUUCUUUUGUGAUUUUUUUUUUCUCAUUUUUUUCCCUUCCUGUCAUUUUAUCAUUUCUUUGUCUCGUUUUCUAUUGCUGAUGUUAGUGUAUGCUUACUGUUGCUUGACAAAGUUUGCUUGCUUCUUGUUUAUUAAUUUUUUUAUGGUCACAAAAUAUUACUUGUUCUAUUUGAGAGUGAUGUGAAUCAAUUUUCAAUUAUAUAUUUUAUGGUCAAUGUGAAUUCAAUUUCAUUUGUCUCCUGCAAUUAUUUAAAAAAUGCAGAGUCAUAAUAUGGAAAAGUCGACCGGCAAAAACUUUGUGAAAGCUUCGGAGUGAAACAGGGAAUUCACUUACUAACAGGGAAUUCACUUACUACUAAGGACAAUUGGUGGCGAGCUAUUCCAUUCAUUUUAUGUCCAUACAUCUAUUUAAUUAUUAAAGAUAAGUGGUCCAUUUGUAAAUUUCAGAUUGUGUCUCUCUGAAAAUAACAAUAUUUAAAAUGUCUCUUAAAUUAUUAUAAAUUUUAAUUCACUCUCGAUUUAAAAUGGAACAUGCUGAUGAAAUUUUUUUUCUUCUUAAUAAAAUUGAAAUAAAUUGUGUUUGCAGUAGUUUGAAAUAUUUUAAAGAUUAUUAUUUUAUAAGGGAGUAAUAUGAAAUGAAAUUUACUUUUCAUGCGUGAAAUGUUGAAAAAGGACACAGCAAGUGUCCCUGCUUUUAUUUUAUUUCAAAGUGGAGUCAUCUCACAUACUUUAACUCUAUCGUUACAAUUUUUCAGGUUACAUUUUUAUUUAUUUAUUUAUUUUCUUUUUUACACAUGCAUGUGGGUUACUUUUCCGUAAGCUCCUUAAUAUAUAUAUUUAACACAAAUCAUGGAAGAGAUGGGAGUAUAUCAAGAUGAUCAAAGCAUGAAACAAAAAUAUUUAAGAAGUAAAACACUGAAAAUAGAGAAGAGAUGCAAGCAAAAGAUAUUCCAAAGAAAAGCAAUCUAUCUCCUUUCGAAGAAUGUUAUGGAAGAGUUGAACCCAGCGAAGAAUGUUAUGGAAGAGCAAAUUAAUGAUAUUUUUGAUAGAGUCUAUUUGAUUAUGUAGCCUGAAUAGAUGUCUUGUUGAAAGAUAUCUCAGUGCAUUAGUUCAUCCUUGACUGUCAAUGUGUUUUUAAUGGUUUUUCCAAAUUUUUAUUAUUAUAGAUUGAUUGUAAAUUUGAUAUGAAUUUAAUGUUGAAAUGUUUUCUCUUUAGUGGAAUGAAUUUAAAAGUGCAAAAGCUUAUUGCACACAGAGAAAUAAACAUAUAUGCUUUAUAACUUUAGCAAUCGAUUCUUUUACAGCUGGAAACAGAGAUGAUGAUUAUCAUAGGGGUGAAGAAAAGGACAAAAAAUGUUAAUGGUUAACGAAAUUUCUAUGCAAAUUGAUUUUAGCAGGAAAAAAGUGAGCUAAAUGAUCUUAAUGUUCCACAAGAAAAAGCAAGAUCUUAAUGUUCCACAAAAGCGUUAUUUAUUUUUUUUUGGUGAGCCACGUGGAGCUCAAUUAUCAUUGUCUUUACUUUAAAAACGUUAUUUUAUUUUCUUUUAUUACAAAUUAAUGCUAACAAGAAAAAGCAAGAUAUAAUAUUCCACAAAAGCAAAUCGUAAUAUUCCACAGAGGAGUAAGAUCCACAAAAGCAAACAACUAGCUGGAUUCUUUUAUUGAACUACAAAUUAAAACAACAAAUUAAAGUUCAAAUAUUUAAAUAGUAGUGCGUUAGACGAUUAGGCUCUUUUAUUAAAGGGAAGUAUAAAGUAGUCCAGAAUCGAACAUCUCUAUUGUCUAGUCUUUUUUUUUUUUUUUAAUUCUUCUUUUAUUAUUUUUCAGAAUAGGUUUUGGUGAUUACUAUUGGGUUAUUAUUGAGAGUUAUUGUUAUCUUCCGGGGCAGUUUCUGUUAAUCGAAAUCGUUAAUUAAAAUUUUAGAACUCUUAUUGGAAGAAUGUUUUUCCGUUAUUUUUUUAUAUUCUAAUUUCAAUUGUAAGAAGUAGUCAUUUUAGAAUUUGGGUCUUGAAUCGAAUUUCAAUGCAUGAAUUAAUAUUUAAAAAAAAAAUUACUACACGCAGUUUAGGUUACAAACUAUUUUUUGCAAAGUUGAUUAUGAAAUUGGAAAAAUUAAGUAAUUUAUAAUGUUUGCAAAGGAAGAGACUAACAUACUUCCAAUUACACUAUAUCUCUAUUAUCAUAAUGUUAAGAUUAAACUAACUUAAAAUAAAUUUUAUUUGAAAAGUUAUAUCAAACGCAGUCUAAUUUUAUUAACUUGAAGAGAUAAUAGUUAUAGAAAUUAUUGUUCUAACUUAAUUAGUACAAGUGGUAUAAAGGUUAAGUGUGCACUAAAUUUGUUUAAAUUUUUUCCAGAAUAACUAACAGAGGUCAUUACUAGAAUUAUAAUUACUAGUCUAUUAGAUAGAAAAAAUUAUUUAUAUUGUUUUAUAUUUAUUAAAAAAUUUUAAAGUCAAUCUUUUUAAUUAUUAUUUAAAGGAUAUUAUAAUUAAAAAAAAUUUAAUGUCUUUAUUAAAAAUUUAAAAAUUUAAAAAUUUAAAAAUUUACAUGACCGCUCUAUAAAUAUUGAAAGUGUAACUGUCAUUUUCUCAUAUAUAUAUAUAUAUAUAUAUAUAUAUAUAUAUAUAAACCACGGUGGUGAAGCUUUAUUUAAUAUUAAUGAUUUAAAUAACAAUAUCUCAAUUAAAAAUGUAGAGAGAAGAAAUUUCGGUGGGUAUAUUAGUCUUUUACAAUUAUCAUGAUUAACCCUUCCUCUUGUAACGUUGGUCAGAAAAGUUUUAAAAUGCCUUGAUUUCUUUUACUUUUAACGUUAGCGGCCUUCCUUAUAUUUUAUUACAAAUUAGUCCUAACAAGAAAAAGCGAGAUCAUAUUCCAAAAAAGCAAAAGUGACAAAAAAACCAGCUGUAUUCUUUUAUUAAACUACAAUUUAAAAUGAUUUUAAAGUGGAUUCUUUUGAAUACAGGUGGGGUAGUCGAAUAGUCUUUUUCAAAUUCUUGUUUUAUUAUUUUUCAAAACUAGUUUUUGGUAAUUACAAUCGGGUCAUUCAUUAGUCAUUAUUCAGAGUUAUUGUUAUCUUCGGGGGCAGUGGGUAAAAGGCUAAAUGAUAAUUACUAAGUGUUUUUCCUUCAAAAGUUAGUGGCUCGUGUUUUGCAAGUGUGUACGUGCGAUGCUCUUUGUCUAAAGGCAAUUACAGUGGGUCCCGAAUCGGACGUGCCUAAUAAAUCUUUUAAAAAUUUUUCUAAUAAAUAUUCCUAAAAUUUCUCUUCCACAGGCAAUUACAGCAGCUUCAGUUAAUCAAACUCAAUCAAUUUUCUUUCUUAACAAAAUUCCAAAGAUGUGUGGCUGUUUUCAGAUCACAUGCGAUGGUACUUUUUUCAAUCGUUGCUUAGAUUGCUUUCUUGGAAAAGCAGCAUACAUACGUAACCUCCAAGAUAACCUCGUUGCCUUGGAGACUGAACUAAGGAAACUAAUCGCAGCAAAGAACGAUGUGAUGACGGCGGUUGUCAAUGCUGAACGGCAACAAAUGAGAAGGCUGGAACGAGUGCAAGUGUGGGUUUCGAGUGUGGAUUCUGUUAAAACUGGAGCCGAUGAACUUAUCACAGACGGCUCUGAAGAAAUUGGCAAAUUAUGUGUUGGAGGCUACUGUUCCAAGAACUGCAGGUCAAGCUACAAGUUCGGAAAACAAGUGGCUGAAAAGCUACAACAUGUGAAGAAUUUAAUCGCCGAGGGAGUUUUUGAGGCGGUGGCCACUGAGGUGGUGCCCGAGAGAGCUCCGGAACCUGUAGCAGAUAAAAGACCCAUUGAGCCAACAAUAGUAGGCUUGCAAUCACAGCUUGAAGAAGUUUGGAGAUGUCUUGCAGAAGAAUCAGUGGGAAUCAUUGGCCUAUAUGGUAUGGGCGGUGUUGGUAAAACCACACUAUUGACCCAUAUCAACAAUAAAUUUCUUGAGAGUCCCACAAACUUUGAUUGUGUGAUUUGGGUCGUAGUUUCAAAAGACCUGCGACUUGAAAAAAUUCAAGAAGAUAUUGGGAAGAAGAUAGGUCUAUCUGAUGAUUCAUGGAAGAAUAAAAGUUUUGAAGAGAAAGCUGUGGACAUCUUGCGGAGAUUAGGAGAGAAGAGAUUUGUAUUGUUGUUAGAUGAUAUAUGGGACCGGGUUGAUUUAACAAAGGUGGGCGUUCCACUUCCCGGACCACAAAAUACUACCUCAAAAGUCGUAUUCACAACCCGUUCCAUCGAUGUUUGUGGCAGCAUGAGAGCUAGGCCGGUUAAAGUGGCAUGCCUAUCAGAAAAGCAAGCUUGGGAACUGUUCCACGAAAAUGUUGGGGAAGAAACUCUUGAGAGUGAUCAUGAGAUCGUUGAGCUAGCCCAAACAGUGGCCAAAGAGUGUGGUGGUUUGCCACUCGCACUUAUUACUAUUGGUCGAGCUAUGGCCUACAGAAAGAAAGCGGAGCAGUGGAGACGUGCAAUUGAAGAGUUAAGAAGAUCAGUUUCAGAGUUUGCAGGUUUGGGAAAAGAGGUGUAUCCUUUUUUAAAGUUCAGCUAUGAUAGUUUGCAGUAUGAUACGGUUAGAUCUUGUUUCUUGUAUUGUUGUUUAUAUCCUGAAGAUUAUGGCAUUCUUAAAUGGGACUUGAUUGAUUGUUGGUUUGGCGAGGGAUUUUUUGGGGAAUCUGACAGGUCUGGUGCAGAAAACCGAGGAUAUGGCAUUUUGGACACUCUUGUUCGUGCAUGUUUAUUAGAAGAGGUGGAAGAUGAUAAAGUAAAAAUGCAUGACGUUAUUCGUGAUAUGGCUAUAUGGAUAGCUUGUGAAAUUGAGAAGGAGAAGAGAAACUUUUUGGUUUGUGCAGGUGCUGGAUUAAAAGAGGCACCGGAUGUUAAAGGAUGGGAAAAUGUGAGAAGAUUGUCAUUGAUGCAAAACCAAAUUAAAACUCUGUCAGAGGUUCCUACAUGCCCUCAUCUCCAUACUCUAUUUCUUGACUUUAAUAAGGAGUUGGAGACGAUCGCGGAUGGCUUCUUCCAAUUUAUGCCUUCUCUCAAAGUUUUGAAGAUGUCAAACUGUGGGCAUGUCAAAGUUUUGAAAUUACCUAUUGGGAUGUCAGAGUUGGGUUCAUCACUAGAACUUCUUGAUAUUUCAAAUACCAACAUAACAGAGUUACCAGAAGAGUUGAAGUUGUUGGUAAAUCUGAAAUGUUUGAAUUUGAGGUGGACAAUUUGUUUAAAUAAAAUUCCAUGGCAACUAAUAUCAAAAUUUCAAGGUUACGUGUGUUGAGAAUGUUCGCUACUGGCUUUGCACGUUUUGAUGCAGCAUCAGAAGACAGCGUUUUAUUUGGUGGGGGUGAAGUUUUAGUACAGGAAUUGGUCGGUCUGAAAUAUUUAGAGGUAUUGGAGUUGACCUUGGGAUGUCAUCAUGCUCUCCAAAUUUUUUUGAGCUCAAAUAAGUUAAAAAGUUGUAUUCGAUCUCUUCUCCUCCAAUUGGCCGGAGAUACAAAGUCGAUUAUUGAUGCUACGGCUUUCGCAGAUCUAAACCACCUCAAUGAAUUAUGGAUUGAUAGGGCUAAGGAGUUGGAAGAAUUGAAGAUUGAUUGUAAAGAAAUAGUACAAAAAAGGCGGGAACCUUUUGUUUUCCGCAGCCUUCACCGUGUUACUAUACAUAGCUGCCAGAAGUUGAAAGAUUUGACAUUCCUCGUUUUUGCUCCAGACCUCAAGUCUCUCGAUCUAGACCGUUGCGAUGCUAUGGAAGAAAUAAUCAGCGUCGGAAAAUUUGCUGAGACUCCUGAGAUGAUGGGACAUAUAAGCCCUUUCGAAAAUCUCCAAACUCUUCAUUUAAGAGCGUUUAACAUCUUUUCUCGACGACCUGCACGAUUGCCUUUCACUCAUCUGAAGGAAAUGGAGGUAAGUGGGUGCGAUCAGCUUAAAAAGCUUCCACUCGAUUCCAACAGUGCAAAAGAGCGUAAAUUUGUUAUUCGUGGAAAAGAAGACUGGUGGAACCGACUUCAAUGGGAGGAUGAAGCCACUCAAAUUGCUUUUCGUUCCUGUUUCCAACCUGAGCGGUUAGUCGCAAAAUUUGAUUUCUGGUGAUUGCGUUUGUCUUUUAACUCUUAUAUAUAUUCUUGUCGUUUGUUUUCUUCUCUGUUUUUAACUCUUAUAUUGCGUUUGUCUUUUGAAAAUCUCCAAUUAAAUGUUGAAUUAAUGGAAUUAAUGCUUCAUAAAUUUGCCGGCACUGCCAUCACUUUUUUUUUUUUUAAUACAAAUUGAUACUUUAUUUAUAUCUUCUUAGCGAUAUAAUUUCCUGUCAAUUGACGAACGAGAAGAACAUACGACUUAAACCAAUUCACGCAUAAACUUGCUGUAAAAAGAUAUAAUCUCACUGAAAUGCACACGUCUAGAAUGAAUAGAAUUAAAACAGGGAAAAUAUUUAAGUAUAUUAGCCCUCUUUACCGAAAAUGAAAUGACAAUAAAUUUUUUGAAAGUUUUGAUUUUCUAUGGUCAAUUCCACCUUUUGCAAUUUCUUCUGUUCUAACAAAAACCAAUUUCUUUGUUCAAGUAUUUUCGUUUGGGUAUUAAUAAUUCUCCACCGAAAGAGUGAACUCUUGCUCAAGGGAUCUCUAAUCAAUAGCCGGAAGGGCGCCGAGACCUGAUCGGACCUAGGCCCAAGUUUGGUCUUAAAGCCUGGGCUUGAGCCUGGCAAUUAAAUUAAAACAUUAAUUGAUUUCUUGAUUGAAUUGUCGUGUAAUUGAUUUAUGGGGGAUGACACAUCAACAUGCUUGAAAACACACUAAUCUCAGCAUCAUCGGUUAAUAACUUUUAGAAUUAUGGGUAAUCAAUAGUUAAGAUUAGUUGUCAUUAAUACUAAAUAUUUUUUUACUAUUUUCGUCUCUUCUAGAGGAUCUUCUAGAAAAAUGCAUCCACAACAAAAUUUAAUACUUUACAUAAUAAACAAAGCAUAAAUGUUAAAUUUAAGAAACUGCAUUGUAUUUCAGCUGAAGUUGACUUUAAUAUUUAGGGUAGAAAAAUAAUAAAUCCUUAAUGUGUUUAAUUUCUAUCACUUGUGUCAUUAAAAUUUUCUAGUCACCCUAACCAAUUACAUCUCAACCCACUUUUUUUUGGAUGAUUUUAUUUUUACACUAUUAUUUUCAUCAUUUUUUUUCCUUUUAACACCAACAUUAGUGUAUGUUACGUAACAUAAUUCAUAUUUGGAUAAUUUGAAAUUUGUUUGUGUUUUAUCUCAAAAUAGAGCUUCAAUCAAUUUGUACCUCAUAAAUUCACAAUAUCUAUGAGGGCUAAUAAGACCAAACUCUGGCAUAUUGUCAAAUGUGCUUAUCCUUUUGCUUGACAUGUCAUUUUAAAAUUGUCAUUCAAUGCCAAAAAAUCACAUCAACUGAUGGCCGACUACUUUAAUUUGAAAGCAUGCAUGCGAUCGCCAAUAAUUAUAACUUAAUUGUUAUUUUGAAAUUUUUUUCUUUAUAAUUUUUAAGUUUAAUACUACUACAUGUGCAGCACAUAAGUUGGAAAAUAUAACAUAAAAUUUGAAAAAUGUGUAGCUUUCGUUCCUUUUUUUUCUUAAAAAUGAGGAAAAAGAAUGUAAUUUUGUUUAAAUUACUGUUGUGAUAACAAUUAUUAUUUUAUUGAUUAAUUGGCAGAGAAUGGUUAUGGUUUCGCAUGGUUGUUAAAACAUUGGAAAAUCCACUACAUCAUCCGUUAAUAACUUUCAGAUUUAUGGUUAAUCAAUAGUUGAGAUUUGUUAUCAUUAAUGUUAAAUAUUUUUUUAAUAUUUUUUCUCUCUCCUAGAGGAUCAUCACAGCAAAAAUUUAAUAUUAUAAAUAGUAAACAAAAUAUAAACAGUUAAAUCUAAGAAACUGCAUUGCAUUUCAGCUGAAGCUAACUUUAAUAUUUAAUGGAGAAAAAUAAUUAAGUCCUUAAUGUACUUUAUUUACCCAUACUGAUACGCUCUUAAUUCGUGAAACUGAGCAACAUCAAAAUUAUCACUACUUCGAGCGAGUGUUUGCUCCAGAAGAAAGAACUGGAAGUUGAGAAAUGAGAAAGAAGAAAAGAAGAAGAGUCACAGCGAGGAAUAAAAGUGGUCCAUUCAUUUCAUGCCUUCCCAAAAUGACAAAAUCCCGCAAUAUAUAACAGACAAUCGAAAAUAACCAAUUUGACAACGCAACAGAAAAUGACAAAAAAGAAUCCAAAACAAACGUAGCCAAUCACAAUGCUUUUACAGAUCAUCCUAAACGACGUAGUCUCGUAGCCAAUCUAGAAGUUUCUUGUUUCGUUUGGGCCGUUGAUUCUCUUGCACUGGCUCAUGGUGAAUGUCCUCUUUGGGUUGACUGACUGUGGGUUCUCGGUUGAGCUCUUCCACUUGCGCCCCCUCUAAUGGCUCUAAUUUGAUAUAUAAAUUCGUAUCAUUCCCUCCUGCUUGAAAACACACAUUGUCCUCAAGGUGAAAUGCUGGAUAGAGCUUACAAAAGGCGUCAAAGUUUUCCCAAGACGAAUUCUUCGGUGAACUGACGGUCCAUUGAACUAACACUUGAAGCGUUGGCUUCCCCUGUUGCAAAACUAUUCGGGUUGCACAAAUGGCAGCCGGUAGCAAAAGAGGAUGGUUAUCCACACUCAACUCUGGUAAAGGAUGUGAAAUAGCAGGGUCGUUGCCAUGAUAAUGCUUAAGGACAGAGAUGUGAAAAACCGAGUGGAUUUUGGAAGUAUUGGGUAACUCCAAUUUGUAAGCUACAUACCCCACUCUAGCAAGUACCGUAAAUGGCCCGUAGUAUCACUUGGCCAACUUCUGACAGGCGCGAGAAGCUAUAGUGGUCUGUCGAUAUGGCUGUAAUUUAACCAGCACUUUAUCCCCUACUUCAAAGUGAGCUUCACGGCGAUGGGCAUUAGCUUUCUGAGCCAUUCGAUGUUGUGCUUGCCUCAAAUUAGCUUUUAAAGAUUGGAGAAGAGUAUUACGUUCAAGGAGAAUGUCCUCCAAAGUUUGGAUUGAAGUAGAGCCCUUAGCAUAAUGAGGAAUAGUUGGAGGCAAUCGGCCAAAUAAAGCUUGAUAGGGAGACAUCUUCAAGCCACUGUGGAAAUGAGAAUUAUAACUAAAUUCUGCCCAACUCAGUAAGGAAACCCACUUCCGUGGUUUGUCUUGAGUGAAAGCUCGUAAAUAUUGCUCCAAUCCUCAAUUUACCACUUCCGUUUGACCAUCCGUUUGAGGGUGGUAUGCCGUGCUAUGACGAAGAGUUGUGCCACUUAAGAGGAAUAAUUGUUUUCAAAAAUUGCUCAAGAACACUGGGUCUCGAUCGGAGAUAAUUGAACUUGGAAAACCAUGUAUUUUAAUGACCAUGUCCACAAAGAGUUCAGCUGUCUUGAGGGCAGUAAAUUGACAGGGUAACGGACCAAAAUGGGCAAAUUUUGUAAGACGAUUGACAACAACCAAUAUGACCGAGAAACCUUGUGCUAACGAAAGACCUAUAACGAAAUCCAUUGUGACCUCAUCCCAAACCAUAUUAGGUAUCGGCAAUGGUUGAAGAAGACCAGCAGGGGCUUGAGUGGAAUACUUAGUUUGCUGGCAUAUUAAACACUCUCGGAUAAACGUUUCCACAUCAUGACGCAUCUUGGGCCAAUAGAAUGUUGAAGAUAAUCUGAUUAAGGUUCUAGUGACACCCACAUGACCUGCCAGUGGUGUAGAGUGAAAUUCUUGCAAUAGUACGACUUUUAAAGAGGAGGUAGGACUGAUGUAAUAACGCUGACGGUGGAGAAGAAAUCCGUUUUGAACAGAGAAGUCAACUGACAGUUUGCCUUGUAAAAGUUGCUGGUGAAGUGAUAUUAAAUCAGGUAAUGUGGUAUUCUCAUUAAGUAAUGACUGCAGCAAUUCAAAUGAAGGAUGGCUGUUGAAAGAAAGGCAAGUGGGGGAGAUGUUGAUGUUAUCCUCAGGAGCUGUUUCAUGGACACGGGAUAGAGCAUCAGCGGCGCUAUUGGUACAACAUGGUCUGUACUCAAUUCUGAAUUGGAAACCCAAUAAUUUGCGGAGAUAAACUUGCUGAUCUAGUGUUUGUAUCACUUGUUGAAGGAGUUCUUUGAUACUCUUAUGAUCCGUGCGGAUAACAAAGAAUCGGCCCAACAAAUACUGCCGCCACUUAUACACAGCUUCUACAAUUGCAUGCAACUCCUUGAUGUAAGUGGAAGAAGCCCGCAAUUUGGGACCCAACUUCUUGCUGAAAUAAGCAAUUAAAUGCCCAUGUUGUGUAAGUACAGCUCCUAUGCCUACAUUAGAAGCAUCGGUCUCAAUGACGAAUUCGAAAGUAAAAUUCGGCAACUUAAGGACUGGAGCUUGCACCAUUGCUUGUUUAAGAGCUUCAAAGGCCUCCAUGGCUGUCAAAUUCCAUUGAAAGGCAUCAUUUCGCAGCAAAUCAGUGAGUGGGGCUGCCAAGGAAGCAUAACCACGGAUGAAGCGCCUAUAAUAUCCAGUGAGACCAAGAAAACCCCUCAACUGUUUGAUAGAACGUGGAAUUGGCCAAUUAAGCAUGGCAUCAAUCUUUUGGGGGUCGGCUUGUACUCCCGAGGCUGAAACAAUACGGCUUAGAUACUCAAUAGCGGCUUGGCAAAACAAACAUUUGGAUAAUUUAAUAAAAAAUUGAUGAAGAUGUAAACAAGCUAAUACUUUCUCAAGAUGAAGCAAAUGCUCGGCCAUGGAGGAGCUAUAAACCAAGAUAUCAUAAAAAAAAACGAUCACAAAUUUCCGGAGAUGAGCUGCAAAAAUCUGAUUCAUUGUGGCUUGAAAAGUGGAUGGGGCAUUUGUCAACCCAAACGGCAUGACAAGAAACUCAUAAUGGCCCUCAUGUGUUCAAAAUGUCGUUUUGUAUAUGUCGCGGUUGUGGACACGAAUUUGAUGGUAUCCCGCGCGCAAAUCCAAUUUGCUAAAAAUGGUGGCGCCCCCAAGUUCAUCAAACAACUCAUCGAUUGUCGGUAUAGGAAAUUUGUCUUUGAUGGUUACGGCAUUUAAUGCACGAUAGUCAACACAAAACCGAUAGGUGCCAUCUUUUUUCUUGACCAAGAGAACCGGGGAGGAAAAAGGGCUUUAGUUCGGUCGGAUUAUGCCCUACUCUGACAUUUCCCUGAUCAGUUUUUCCAUUUCAGAUUUCUGGAAGUGUGGGUAGCGGUAUGGACGAACAUUGACGGGGGCUGUGUUGGGUAAUAAAUGGAUUUUGUGGUCAAUAGUUCUGUGCGGUGGUAGGCUAGAAGGUUGGAGAAAUAGGUGUUUGUAUUGCUGUAAAAGGUUGAGAAAUUGAGCAGGAAGGGAAAAAGGAAAUUCAAGUGAGGAAGUGUCUGUGAUGGAAAAUGAAGGCAAAGCAUCGAUAGCGGGCACUGGUUGUAAGGCACAAAGGCUGGUCACGGUAUCACUUUGAACCAAUACCUGCAAUUGAUUAUAAGUGAUCAAAUUAUUAGAAGACAAAUCACCAUGAAGCAUCACUGGUUGCUCAUUUAAAGAAAACUCCAUAGGACACUUUGCCCAAUUUCUGUAGCCAUUGAAUGCCAAGGACCACAUAUGUGCCCUCAAUUGGCAAAAUGAAGAGGUCUACCAUAAAAGCCGUGCCUUGCAUUGUUAAGUUCACUUGAGGACAGAACUGUUUACACACCAGGAAGUCACCGUUGCCAAUAUACACUCGGAAAUUGGUAGUUGGAUGAAUGGCUAACCCCAAUCGUUCCGCUAACGCCGGUUUUAUGAAAUUGUGAGUGUUGCCACUAUCAAUCAGCACUUGAAAGGUGUGCGAAUCAAUUUCUCCAAUUAAACGAAGAGAGCGAGGAUUGGCCUGCCCUGCUAGAGCAUUUAAGCUAGAGAUGUCACCAGUAAUACCAGCAUCUACCAAUUCUGAUGGUUCCUCGUUAUUUUUGGGUUCCAAUUCUUCAUCAUCCGUGCCCAUGAGAAGUAGAAAUUUACUGCGACAGAGAUGAUUGUUGCUGUAUUUUUUGUCACAAUUGUAACAUAAACCCUUCUCGCGUUUGUCGCAAAGUUCAGCCGAAGACAAACGGCGAAUUGGUAAUGUUGGUGUCGAUAAUAAUGCAGGUAAAGUGUUUGAUUUAUUGGUAUUGUGGGUUUGUGAGGGAAGAGUUGAAGAUGAUACGGGGGUGAUGGCUGUGGUAACAGUUGCAAGUGAUGAGGAUGGAUAAAUGGGUUUGGGUUGUGUUUGGAAACCAUGUGAAAGGGGAUAUGGUUGCUGCCAUUUAGGCCAUGAGCGUGAGCUCUGUUUCACUUCGUCAUAUUUGGCCUCAAAAGCACGAGCUAAAGUUUCCAUUAGUGAAGACGGUCUAGAGAAAAGCAAUUCCCGUCGAAUGUUGGGUUUCAGACCAGUGAUGAAAAAACUAAUCAAAAGAAGUUCAGAAAUUCCAGUGACCUUGUUCAUUAAAUCUUCAAAAGCUGACUGGAAAUCUGCAACCGUGGUAGUUUGACUCAAUUUGGACAAAUCACCUUGGGGAUCUUCACACAAAGAAGCACCAAAACGAUAGCGCAAGUUAGCUAAAAAUUCUUGCCAAGUAGUGAGCAAGUGAUUGUUCUUUAUCCAUUGAUACCACGCUGCAGCGCGACCCUCCAUAUGAAAAGAGACAAUCCGUAGUCGGAGGAUCUCAGGUGUGUCAUGAAAGUCAAAAAAUUCUUCUAUUCGAAAAAUCCAUCCAUUUGGGUCAGACCCAUCGAAUUUGGGCACAUCCAUUUUCAUGGAACAAAGUACUGGAGAAACUUUAGAACCAGUAAGAACGCCAUCAUAUUUAGAAGAUGAAGGGUGUGAAGGGUUGGAGGAACCAACUGGUUUGUUGGAAGACCCAUGAAUUUAUGUACGUAACUCCUCAAAACGAGAGUCAACUGAUGUCAUGAAUUGUUGGAUUGUUUGAUGGAUGGACAGUUGCUACCCAUCAAGUUUGGCGUCAAAAGUUGCUUGAAGGGUCUGUAAAGCAUAAAGAAUUUCAGAAUUUGCCAUGAUCAAUGAAAGCACCAGUGAUACGCUCUUAAUUCGUGAAACUGAGCAAUAUCAAAAUUAUCACUACUUCGAGCGAGUGUUUGCUCCAGAGGAAAGAACUGGAAGUUGAGAAAUGAAAAAGAAGAAAAGAAGAAGAGUCACAGAGAGGAAGAAAAGUGGUCCAUUCAUUUCUUGCCUUCCCAAAAUGACAAAAUCCCGCAAUAUAUAACAGACAAUAAAAAAUAACCAAUUUGACAACGCAACAGAAAAUGACAAAAAAGAAUCCAAAACAAACGCAGCCAAUCACAAUGCUUUUACAGAUCAUCCUAAACGACGUAGUCUCGUAGCCAGUCUGGAAGUUUCUUGUUUCGUUUGGGCCGUUGAUUCUCUUGCACUGGCUCAUGGUGAAUGUCCUCCUUGGGUUGACUGACUGUGGGUUCUUGGUUGAGCUCUUCCACUUGCGCCCCCUCUGAUGGCUCUAAUUUGAUAUAUAAAUUCGUAUCACAUACAUGCGGUUAAUUUUUUAAGAUAAAGGGGAAGGAUGAUGCUCAAAAAUAUAAAUUAUAGAAUUAAUUGAACUCUCAAAUAAGUUUAAAGUUCAUUAUUUUUAAUUACAUGUUUAUAAUUUAUUUUUAUUUCGUAUUAAUCUAUAGAUCUAAAUCCACUUUGGAUUCAUAUACACAUAUAGACAUAAUGUGUAUGUUAAUCUAUAGGUCUAAAUUCACUUUAGGUCUAUAUAGGUAUUUUGACAAAUGUACUCCAAUCAUGCAUAUUGGCAAGUUCAAAUUCAAUUUGGAAUAUGGUCAUGGUACGUUCUUGUUCUUCCCUCUUUACGAGUGCAUUCCCCCCAACCUCAAGCUCCCUCUCUCGUCUUCAAUGUCACUGCUUAUAUCCUUAUGUUGUUCUAGUUUGAAACAGUGGCUUCCACUAUUUCAGGGCCCCCAAAAAUCCAGAAACAUACUAUUCAUCACGAUGACAAAAUUUUGGGCAGGCAGGUGCUUCCUGACUUUCACACGGUAAUUCUCAAAUUCUGAUUUCACCAUAUUUUAAUUACUGAUUAUGCUCUCCAUUAUAAUAGAAGUCGCCGCCACACUAGUGAUUCCAAACUUUAUCUUUUUUCCUUUUUUAAAUUAAUGCAAGUAGCCGCUGUCCUUUUUAUUAAUUAAUUAAUUCGGCCGCCCACAUUUCUUUUUCUAAUGUCUUCUACUGUCGAGUUUAUUUUAUUUUCCCUUUAUUCUUAAAAUAUACUUAUAAUAAUAAAAUAUAAAAAUAAAAAUAAAAAUUAACAUAUCAAAAUAUAAUUUAACAGAAAAUUAAGAUGAAAAAUAAAAAAAAAUAAAUUCUGAACAUAUCAAUCAAUAAAUGAAAAAUAAUAAUUUUUAUUUUUAUUAAAUAUAUUUUUUUCAGUAUUAAUCAAUUAUCUGAAUAACUAAAAUCAUUUAAAAAUAAAUAAACAAAUUAUUCUUUAUAAAAAAAAAAAACUUUUUAUAACACUCACUAUGCUGGUUGUAGGGUAGACGCUUUGGGGACUGAAGUUGGUAACUUCUACAAGUAGUCUUAAGUUGAUAACUUCUACAAGUAGUCUUAAGUUGACUGGCAAAUGUUCUCAGUAUUAUAUUGGUGUGUCGAUAUUAUCUCUAACUGCCUUAUAGAUAAAAAAAUAAUCUAAAUUUAAAAUUUAACAUAAAAUAAAAUAAUUGGUAGAAAAACAAUUAUGGUUCAUUUACUUAUCAGUAAUCAGAAUAGACUGAAAUCGAAAUGAGUUGUAUUACCGUUGAUGUGUUUAUGUUGUCCUCGAAUCGGAAUGAAUUAUUUUAAGUUACUAAAAUAUCCUUGGUUUGUUAUUCUAAUUAUUAUUAUUUAAUAUUUAUUAUAAUAUUUGUCAUAUCAUUAAAAAGAAAUAAUAAUGAUGAUAAUAUUAUCAUUAUUGUUUGUUACAUUAUUAUUAUUCAAAAAAAUUAUUGUUAAUAACAAUAAUUACUUUAUUUCAAUACUAAUAAUGAUAAAAUUAAUAAUAACAAACAACAAUAAUUAUUUAUUAUGCCAAAAAUAACAAUAAUAAUAAUCAUCAUCAUUUUUUUUCCCAAAGAAGCAUUAUCAUCAUUUCAAAAAAAAUAUCAUCAUUAUCAUCAUCAUUUUUGUAGUGGCUGCCUAUCGGCUGUUGCUUUCAUGUGAGAUUGACUUGCGACGCUUCAACGGCUAUUAUUUCUGGCAAUGUCAGGUGUUACUGUUUCAAUUUAGGAAGAAGCUGUUUCGUUGUGCUAACGAUGGGAGAUGUUGUGGCUGCGAUUCGGGGAGCUACUAGUUUAUUGCACUAAUGACGGCAGGUGCUGCUGCUUGAUGCGAGGUCCAUGGCCAGUUGUCAGCAGUUCGACUUUGGUAUGGGUGCUGCUGGUUCGAUUUUAGGUGUUGUCCAAUUUCAUUUUCAGGAUUUUAAUUUUAUUUUUCUUUUAUAUUUUCAUUAAUUAAUCAGGACAAAGUUGGAUUUUAGAAUUUGGAAUGAAGGUAAUUUUGUUAAUCAUGGAAAUGAGAUUCUGAUUGUCGAGAAUGAGCUUACACAAACAACUACAAAUUAAGUGAAAACAAAACGCUUUUUCUCUUUGUGUGAUUAAAACAUGAUAUGUACCAUAAAUAAAUAGGUAAAAAAUAAAUUAAUACAAUCCAAAACAGUAAACUAAUUACAAGAGGCACAAAUUUUUAUGUGAAAUACCAAAAAUAGAAAAAACCACAGCAUCUUAGUAUGAGAUAAUCUUCUACUAUAUUAAUGAGAUUAUAGCACAAAUUCUUCCUUAUAUAACACUAGAGGUUAACAACAUCAAGAAUUUCAAUAAUCUUGACUUACAAUACAGCCUAAUAUUUGUCUCUCUAAUAAGUAGAUAUCUAAAAUAACAGUCUCUAAUAAAUAAGUAUCUCAAAUAACAGUCUCUAAUAAGUAUCUCAAAUAAUAAUUUCUAAUAAGUAUGUAUCUCAAAUAAUAGUUAACAAGAGGAUAAAACAAAAAUUAAGAUUAGUAGGAUUGUAUAAGGCGAUGCUAUCAACUUAUCUUCUAAAUUUGAGAAAAAUAGUUAAAUUCACUUUUUCGAUUGUGACCAAAGAUGGAAACCUUUGCCCCAAAACCAAAGGAAUCACCAUUUCUCUCUCUCUCUCUCUCUCUCUCUCUCUCUCUCUCUCUCUCUCUAUCUCUCUCUCUCUCUCUCUCUUCUUCUACUUUUCUUAAUGUUAGCCGCCACUCGCUUUUAUUCUUUAUAGCAUUUAAAAAGCUACUUUUAAUGGUAAAUUUCAUUUAAGUCCAAAACUUAGUGAUAAUUGUACACCAAACAAUUCUUUUUGGACUAUGAGCUUUUGGGCCUCCAAAUGAGAUGAAUACAACAAAUCUCCCCCUUUAGAUCAUGUGGGGGGCACCACAAGCCUGCUCUCUGCAUAUAGUUUUUCAACUUCUCCUUGAAUAAUGACUUUGUCAUCAUACAUAACCCAUUCUCUGUUGUGUAAAUUUUCUCAAGCUGUAGCUGUUGCUUCUCAAGCACGUCUCGUAUCUAAUGAUAUCUCACAUCAAUAUGCUUAGAUUUCGAAUGGUUUAUCAAAUUCUUUGAACGGCACUCUGACUGUCGCAGUACAUAACAUAGCUGUCUCGUUUUACACCCAGCUCUUAUAGGAAAUUCAUUAUCCAUAAUAUUUUUUUGCAACCUUCAAUAAUUGUUAUAUCAUUUGCUUUAGUGGUAGAAAACGUAACUUAUUACUAAAGUUUAGAUUGCAAUGAGACUUCUCCCCCUGCAAAAGUGAGCAAACAUCCUAGAAGGAAUUUUUCGGAAUCAACAUCUUCUGCCAUAUCUACACACUUGUAACACAGGUUUGUCACCACUAAAAUAUAAACAUGCUCUGGAAAUGCCUCUAAGAUAUCUGAGAAUUUUUCAUUGUUGUCCAAUGCUCUUUUAUAAUAAAUACAAACAUAAUGAAUUUAUAAAACAUUUAGAGUAUUUUGAAUAUUAUAUAAAAUAAUUUUAAUAUAAUGCAUGAGAUAUAUUUUAUUAAUUUAAAAUGCUAUUUAAUCUAAAGAUUUAUUUAAGAUAAAUUAAUAAUUAAAUUUUUUUAAUUAUUUCAAAUAUUAAAAAUUUGUAAUAUUAUUAGUCUAUUAGAUAGAUUAAAUUAUUUAUUUUAUUUUGUAUUUAUUAAAAAAUUUUAAAGUCAAUAUUUUUAAUUACUAUUCGAAGGAUAUAAUGAUUAAAAAAAUCUUAAUAUUUUUUAUUAAAAAUUUAAAAAUUUACAUGACCAUUUCUAUAAAUAUUUAGGGUAUAUAUGAGCCACGGUGGAGAAGAUUUAUUUAAUAUUAUUGAUUUAAAUAAUAUCUAAUUAAAAAUAUACUGAGAAAAAAUUUCGGUGGGUAUUUUAGUCUUUUCAGCAAUCACAUGAUUAGCCUUUGGGCUUUGGCCUUGAAACGUCGGUCAGAAAAGUUUUAAACUGCUUAAUUGUUUUUCACUUUUAACGUUAGUGGCUGCUUAUAUUUUAGGAAAAUGAGAUUCUCACCACAGUGAGAACCACACUGAGCACAGAACGGUGCGUUUUGUGCUCAGUAUAAAUUCUAACUGUAGCGGAAAUAUCGCAACACAAACGCGCCAUUCCAAACCCACGCGCGUUCUCCCUCACGCCAGCAAAUCUCACCACGCUUCCUCCUCACUGUAAGCGCCCCCCCUCCCCGGGGGCGGUCGGCUGCGUCACGCUCCCUCACGGCGCCUCACUCUCUCGGCUCUCUUAGAAAAUUGAAUUGCGGCUUCCGCCGUGGGGUUCUCUCCUCAACUGCCGUUGUCUCGUCUCUGACAGCUGCCUUAAUCAAAUUCUGAAGGUAGUUUGCUUCAAUUCAUUACAUUAAUUUCAAAUUUGGUUUGUGUGGGAUUAUGAGUUUGUGAAGAUUUAGUUCUGUUUCAUGGUAAACUAUUUUUUGCUCAGUGUGUUGAGAAUAUCAGCACGGUUUAAAAUUCUUUUUAGAUUCUGUCGUAAAGUUUUCUUUGUAUUGGGCAAGUCAGUUACUUUAGUUUUGUGUCUGAAAACAAAAACACUUAGCUUAGUGAGUUUUAAGAGAUUUUGCUAUUUUGUUCAACGAAGCUUAAAAAGGGGAAGCUUUUAUGGCGUCUGUGAGCCGAGGCAAUUUGGAUCGGGUGCUUUUUCAGUUCAUUUGUUUGUUUCUUAUUUGGGUUCUUUAUUGUUAGAUGUUCUUUUGAGAUUCUGGCAUCUGGCAUCUGGCUACUUGCUUUUGUGGAGUUUUUUUAUUAUUUGAAUUCUGUGAAUUCUUUGUUUUCUUUCCCAAAUGAUUCCACUCUAUAAAAUAUAUAUUGUGCUUGGCUAGAAUUUUCUUUUAGAUAAUUGCAUCCUGUACAUUGGCUUAACCUGUCAAGAAUGAGAAUGAUGGAAGAUGCCUAUCUUGGAAAGAAUAUAUUGAGUUACAUAGUACCGGUUCCAAAUGAAUAAAUUGGAACUUGCCUAAAACAGGCACCAAUCCACCAUGACACCAAGCCUUUUUAAAAUUUUUUUUUUUUUAAGUUUAAAGAAACUUAUGUUGCUUCUUUAGAUCUGUUUUAGCUUAUGAUGAAUUUUGCUAAUGGUAAAAUCCCUCCCCUUCAAAGUUGGGGGAGGGGAAGCAUCUAUAUGCAUAUGUGUACAUUAUGGAGCUCGAACUACAUGUCGCAGUAAUACAUUAUUCUCUUUGCUUUGCAGGUUUUGAUCAACAUGAGUGAUUGGGAUGUAGGUCUGUGCUUGAGAGGCCGGAGUGAUGACCAGAAUUCUGUCAACCAGACCAAAGACAAUCAACUGAUGAAGUGUUGUUGUUCUCUAUAUUGAUUGUUGGAAAUUAUGUGUUAUUUCCAGAUUUUUAGAAAAUUAUGAUUGCUGGAAAUAAUUAUAUAUGUACAAUCAUUAUGUCCUCCAGCACAAGUGAAUUUCCAAACCCACAACUGAAAGCUUGCGAAAAAUUUGUAGAAAAUUUGUACAUCAAAUCCACAAGCUAAGUGUUGUAUCAGAAUAUGAAUGACAAUAAAACAAAAAUCUGUGUUCUUCAUUCUUAAAAUACUAAUACAAUACAAGUACAUUCUUAUUCUGAGAAAUAACUACCUAUUAACUCCAUAUUCAUUAUCUUGUUGAAAGAGUAGCUGCUGAAAAUGUCCAUGUCGCUGAGCUUGUAUGUGCUAUUAAAAAAAAAUUAAACAUCUUGUUGUCAUCCGAAAAAAUAAAGAAGGCAAGAUGAACAAAUAAAAAACUUAUCACUACUUACGGUGCAAGAAUUUUAUGUAGAUAUUGAAUAAACAUUAUCCUCAAUUAUUUGUCACAAUAAUUUAUAUUCAAUUCAUGGUGUGUUGCAGCAAGCUUCCAUUGUUUAACUAAAUGACAGCUGAAUCUUUACAACUAAUUAUCUUUACAAUCAAAUUUGGAAUUAAUUAAGCAAAUUACCGCUAGAAAUCGACGAGUGAAGCUAAGAGAGUGAGGCUGCAAGUCGAAUUUUUGAGACAGCCGAGAGAGUGAGGCGCUGUGAGAGAUGCAAUGGACGGGCGAGAGAGAGACGAAGCCGAUGGUGAUUGCUGCAUUGGUAGGAUUGAGGGAGAGAGCGAAAGAGCCAGAGCGUGCGUGCUUGUUCUGCCAGAGAGCGCGUAUGUUUUUUCUCAAUGCGCGUGUUGCGUAAUUAUCCAUCUACAGUGACCAUUUUAUAGUUAUCUUGAAACGCACCGUUCGGUGCUAUAUGUGGGGCUGAAUGUUGUGAGCAUAUCGGUGCUGUAUAUUUUAUUAAAAAUUAAUGCUAACAAGAAAAAACCCCUCAAUGAAUGAGGGUGAGAUUGCUAAAAAUUACGACAGGUGAUAUUUUAUUAUUAUUAUUAUUAUUGGGGGAGAAAUCCUCACCAAAGUGAGGAGAUUUUAUCAAAAUCAAAAUAAAAAUAUAACAAGAACUGAAAGUUGGGCAGCCUAAAAGCUAGAUAAACUAAAAUUCAGGCGCCUAAAAACAACCUUAUGCAAAAGAGAAGCAACAUGAGACCGAUCAAGUAAAAGAAUCCACCGCAACACCUAAAUUGGCCAAAUUAUCUGUUGGUAUUACAAGUUUCUUGUUAUAAAAGUGUAGAAUGAAGAAGGUGACGUAGUUUUAAGUUACAGCUGCAUGCCCGAUCGCAAUAUCAAAUAAUGAUUAAAUAUCAAAUAAUACUUAAAAUAGUUGCCUAGACCCGCCACAAUUUAUAUUAACUCUUAAAUUUAUAAAUAAUUAAAUUUUUAAAAGUUCGGAUUUAUAUUAAAAAAUCUUCAUAUAAAUAAAUAAUAUAUGCACUUUUACAACACAGUCUUUAAAUUUAAAUUUUUCUAGAAAAAUCUUCUGUAUAUCUUUUCUAUUAAAAAAUUUCCAUAUAAAUAAAUAAUAUACCUAAUUUAAUUGGACCCAGCGCAACGCAUAUGCAUAGAACACAUUCCGAAAAGCCAUGAUAUUCGGAAAUUGACGAAUGAAAAGUGAGGAGGCAGCAGUCAAUGCUAUUUCGGCUUGGCCCAAAAUUGAUUUAUCAGUUUGACGUGUGCCAGGAAUGAAGAACUGGAAUAUCACCAUCAAGCAAGCAACCUGCGGAGCAAUACCAUAGAAUGCACAAUCCGGCUUUGCAAGGUGACACUGGAGGCUUUUUGAAAAGUGCUUCACGCUCACUUGACAGAUUGAGCAUCCCCUCUGGAUAUUGCCCUCUCUGAUCGAAUCUGAGCACUCAAAUUUCGGUCCUCAGAUGGAGCUACAGCUUUCUCUCCAAUAACCAACAAUUUUCUAAACUCAGCACCUAGUGUGAUCAGAGUUGUUGAUAUUUGUAAAUGGAGAUCCCCGUAUUUGCAAAUGGAGACAUUUACCAAAUCACCAACAUGCUUCAUCCAGUCUACGAAAUUCUGCAGCUGAUUCAAAUCCGGAACCUGAACAAGAGUCGGAGGUAAAUCUUGAGCCAUAUCUAAAGCAGUCUGAAGUUCAAGUACUUGAGCCCUUGACAAUGGUUUUGAAAUUGGAACAUCUUGGAUUACUGCAGACUUGUGCCCCUUGGUUUCAAAGGUAAGGAAAGGCAUUGCUUGAGUACAAUUUGGAGGCAGCUUCUUCACCAAUUUUAUUUGGAGGCGAUUGGCAGCGGAUCCAGCUGCACCAAUUUCAGAGCAAAUACUGACACUACUUCGAACAGCACACUGAAGAAGUGAUAUGUCUACGGCAAAGGCAAUGCAGUCCUCAUUUUGGCUUGAGAUGCAGUAAUCAUCGAAGAGAGUUUCCUUGUGAAACUGGGCAACACAUUGAAUCCCUUCGCCACUGAGAAGGUUGCGGAGGAAGUAAGCUUUCUCUCUAGUGAGGAAGAGGUGGCAUACCUUCCCCAUGUCUAGGGCAGGUAGGAAUCUUUUUUCUAAGAGAUUUACUUCAUUCUCUGUGAGAAAUGCUUUGAACUUCAUCCCUCUGUCUCUAUCCUCACUUAUCAGUAAAAUAGUUGAAAGUGCUACAAGGAGAGAAAAGAAGAGUAUUAAGAUAUAUAUAGACAAGAAAAACAUUAGAUGUCGAUCUUACAAGCUAAUACUUCAAACAGUAUCCUAGAAAGCUAAAAACUGCAAAAUGGCUUGACAUUUGAAAAGAACACAUGCUUUUCCUCCUUAACUUGAGAAAAUGUUUAAUAUAGUGCACCUUACAGAAACAUUUAAGCAAUUAGAACUUUGCACAAAAAUAUUCAAGAAGACUAAACAAAUCAGAUGCAGUGUAUUUCUCCAAGCACAAAUGGCAUUGCAUUUUUUCCUCAACUGUAAUAUUUAUUGAUGAAAAUCAGUACAGGUCCCUCAUUUGUUAUGGAAAGCUUUCUUGUAGUCUGACUGGUUAAUUCACGGAUCUAUAAUUAUCUUGCAAAGUUACAGGCAUUUCUUUCGAUUUAAAGUCUUUGCAUCACCACCUCAUCACACACCUAGCCAAUAUUCCGUCUACUUCUACAACAAAAAGUUUUAAGUAAACGAUCCUAAUGCAUGCAGCCAAAUAAAAUGCAGUAAGAAUAUUCAACUUAAAACUCUGAAAGCCAUCUUGGUGAAUUGCCUCCUUAGGGGAAGUUCCAUGAUUUACUAUACUUGACAGGACUGAGCAAAAGCUUACAUACAACAGAUUUUGAAAAUGAUGAUGCCAAUAGAUACUCAUACAAUCCAUUGAAACUCCUAAGGUCCAUUGUUCACAGAGGUUUACAGAGUUUUGGUUAUCAAAUAGCUCAGACCUUAAUCCCAAACAAAAAACGAGUGAAAAUUAGAUCACCAGCAGCAAAUUGUAAAUUCUAACUUAACUCUUCAUCUCCUUUGUAAACAGGAGACAAAAUGGAGACACGCAAAAUGAAUAAGGAGAACAUUUGAACUCAAAUGAAAUGAGGGCACGAAAGCAAACAAAUGGCAUGCGCAAACAAACCAAGCCUCAAUCAAAAACUAAUUAACCAUUAAAAAACAAAACUGGUCAGCUUCUGGUGUUCUCAAAUUGUAUAACAAGAGAUCGACACAUCGAAUCAGAAGAACUCAAUUCAAAUUUGUCUCAAAAAUCAAAAUUAGAAGAUUUCACAUUUCGAGAGGAACAAGCGACAGGUCAGAUGCAAAAUUUUCAGCCAUAACAUGCCACAAUUAACGGUUUAUUUCCAUGGAUUUAGAGAGCUGACUGACCUUUUGGCUUUUGGAAUUGAGAAGAUCGCGCGCCAAAAUGGAAGAGGGAAAGCGAAAGUGCGGGUUUUAAUAGGGUAUUGGAUUAGCAAAUUUUAUUAGUUUGCGAGGGUAAAAUAGGAAAGUGAUAUCACUAUUAACCUUUUUUUUAAUAAGAAAAAAGAAUAAUAAAGAAUAUUUUAUUGUCAUUUGCAGCAUUUAUUUUUUUUAAAUGCUAUUAGAAAAAUACGACAACAAAGAAAUGCUCUUUUUUUUUUUUUUUUUUUUCUCGAAGGUAAAAUCAAUUAUUUAGCUCCUUAUAUGUAAUCAAACUACAUUUCUUACUUUAAGUCAUAUCCAACGGACCAACAAAGUAAUUAUUUUUUUUUUCAUUCAUUUUUGCAGAAAAUUAAUAACUUAAAAAUAUUGAAAGCUAUUGUAAAAUUUUUUAUUAUCAACCUCAUAGUUUUAUUUUUUGGGAAGAAUUGAAUUUUUUUUUUUAAUUUCCAAGAAUUUCAUUCUCUAGUUUUUCCAUUAAUAUUACUUAUCUUGAUACCCAUCUUAAUUAAAAUCUGUAGUUUUAUUCAAGAGUCAUGCUAUUCAUUCACUCACAGACCAAAGGCUUUCCGCAGCAAUAUUAUUAUUUAAAUUACAACAAAGGGGAAAUCAAAUACGUCAUACAGAAGCUUAAAGCUGAAUCUACAAAAUCUAGAGCUCUCAACUACAUAAAUUACACUUGAUGAUCCUCUACAAGAUGAAGCUUGUUCAAUAUCUCAUCCAAAGCUUGUAAAGUAACAUUAUAACGAUCUUGAGAUUGCCUGCCUUCCUCGACGACCUGCACGAUGCGUUUGUACAAAUCAUCAUACCUGUGCACCGGAUUUUUAAUAUCAAUGCCACUGCAGCUGUGAUCAAGAACAUAAGAGCGUUUAACAUCUUUUCUCCAUCAAGAAAGAAUGUAGUGAGAUGGGAUCUCCUGCAUGCCACUCUGGUUUAGAACACAAAGAAUGUGUCUGCAUAAAUAUCCUCUGAAAUUGAACAACCCACAAACACAAAGCACCUCCAAGUCGGAGGCAUUGUACAAAACAUCGAAAAUAGUUAUGUUUUACAAUCUAUUAGACAUAUUUUAUUAAAUUAAUAUAAAUUUUCUAUAAAAUAAGAAUAUAAUAUUAAAAUAAAUUCACAAAAAAUUAAAGAAUUUUGAAUGUAAAAUAAUUUUAAUAGAUUAAUACGUGAGUUUUUUUAUUAAUAUAAAAAUUAUUUAACUUUAAGAUUUUUUAAAAUCUUUACAAUAAGUAUGACUAUAUUAUUUACAUUUAAAAAUAUUUAAAUAUUAUUAACCUACAAUUAUAUUUGCAUUUGUUAGAAUUUUUUAAGUCAAAUAUUUUGCACUUCUAUAUUAUUAGAAUUAUUGCACACAAAGAAAGAAACAUAUACCUUUAGAAAUUGUUUUCUUUUAAAAUAGAGAUGAUGAUUAGUAUAAGGAUGAAAAAAAUGAUAAAGAAUAUUAAUGAUUAACGAAAUCUCUAUACAAAUUGAUUUUAGUAGGAAAAGAGUGAGAUGAAUGAUUUCUUUUACGGUUAGAAACAUAGAUGAUGAUUAUUAUAACGAAGAAAAAAAGAUAAAGAAUAUUAAUUAUUAAUGGAAUCUCUAUGCAAAUUGAUUUUAGUAGGAAAAAAAAUGAGUUAAAUGAUUUAGAGUGCGUUUGGAAUUGAGAUUGGGCAGCCAUAGAUUUUAAGUUACAAUACUGAAGUGUUUGAUAAAUACUAGCUGCUGCAGAUUGAAAGUUAUAUUGAUAUGAUUUUUCACAUGUAUCAUAGAAAAUAUAUUACAUCUUUAAUAAUUUUUUUAAAAUUUAUAUUUGCUAUAUAUUAUUAAUUUUUUUUUAUAGUUAUAACUUUUUUUCCACAGCAGUUGUAGCUUAAAAGUCACAGCAUCUCAAUCUCAAACAAAUCCUUAGACAUUCAUAGUGUGUUUAUUUUUUGGAUUGGUGAAUCAAAAUUAUUGACAACGCUAACUUCAUCUUCAUUGUUCGCAAUCCAACAGCAGCAGCAAUUGUCACCAAUAAUGAUAUCUCCAAUGAUGAUGACAAUUAUUAUUAUUAUUAUUAUUAUUAUUAAUUUAUUAAUUAAUAUAUUAAUGUUAAUAAUAUUAUUAUUAAGAUUAACAAUAAUUAGUAGUAAUACAAUUUUUUGAAUAAAAAUAAUCACAAUAAUUAAAAUACAAAUUAAUAAUUAUGACAAUAGUUAAUUAAUGUCUUUUUAGUAAUUUGUAAUAAUCUAACUCAUUUUGAUUCUGAUUAUUACAGCUUAAGUAAACAAAUUAUUAUGAUUCCUAUUUUCCUUUCCUAUUUUAACUCACUUCGAUUCCAAUCUAUUCCAAUUUCUAUCUAAUAAAUGCACCAUUAGUGCUAAAGUAAUAUUUCAUACAUAGAAAAAUAAAAACUACACCUAAGGUUAAGGGAAAGGACUUCAAAACUCUCUUUUGAUCAUAAUACAUUUUGUCCUAAUUAACUUAAAGAUUUUGAAUCUAAUAUUUUAUAAUAAAUAAAAAUAUAUUCCUAAAAUAAAUAUAAUAUCAAUAUUUAAAAUAUGUUUUAAUAUUUUACAAUCUAUCAUACACAUUUUAUUAUAUUAAAGUAGAUUUUAUAAUAAAUACAAACGUACUAUUAAAAUUAAUAUAUAAAAAAUUUAGAAAAUUUAGAAUAUUAUAUAAAAUAAUUUUAAUAUAAUGCGUGAGAUAUAUUUUAUUAAUUUAAAAUUUUAUUUUACCUAAAAAUAUGAUAAAUUAAUAAUUACAUAUUUAAAGUUAUUUCAAAUAUUAAAAAAAUUUAAUAUUAUUAGUUUUUUAGAUAGAUUAAAUUAUUUUUAUAAGAGAUAGAUUAAAUUAUUUUAAAAUACCUUAAUUGUUUUUACUUUUAACGUUACCGGCCUUUCUUUUAUUUUAUUGUAAAUUAAUGCUAACAAGAAAAAGCUAGAUCAUAUUCCACAAAAGCAAAAGUGACAAACACAAUCAGCUGGAAUCUUUUAUAAAACUACAAAUUAAAAUGGUUUUUUUUUUUUUUUGAUAAAUUACAUAUAAAAGUGGAUUCUUUUGAAUAUAAGUGGGGUAGGCUCUUUUAUUUUUUUUUAAUACUGUAUAACAAGAUUGUAGACUCCUUGAUUAAGCACAAGUAUAAAGUAGUCGAGACGAUACUUUAUGCUAGGUGUCCAUUGAAUAUUAGAUCUUCAUUUCUUUGGCCAUUUAAUUUUUUCGAGAAAUUUUUCUUACGAUCCCGGCUAAGCUUGAAGAAAAGACAACUCAACGGUUUUUUUAAAACAAGUUUCCGUUUUGGUUGGUGAAAUGAAAACGAAAUAAAGCACUUCCAUCCAAAAAUCAUUCUUCUGGAGAAAGGGAUGACAGAUUAAAGAAAAGGGGUGUACUGAAAGGAGAAAAAAGGUUCUUGCAUGAGAGCUGGACACGUUAAAAGAAGUUGAACAAAUGUCUCAAAAAGAAGCUAUUUCGCUUUCAUACUAAAGCCUAUUUGUAAUAGCAUCAGCAAUGCUCCACUAUCCACAUUCUUGUGCGGAUAUCAUUGCAAUCUACUAAUGGUAUAUAAACAUGCAUGUUGUCCCAUGAUGAUUAAGUUAACACACACUUGGAGGUACUUAAAUUAUGCCAUAAAGAGAUAUAGUUAUUACGCAUACAAAUGUUAUUCAAUGGUUAAAAUGUAUGAUAAAGAAAUCGCUUGAAUUUUUUAUUUGCCGUUACGUAAUUUUUUUAUUGAUUCCGAGUUUGAAUCUUAAAAGAAAUAAAGGGUUAGAAAAUUAAUUUGAACUUUGUCCACUCUUUAACUUAAUGAGUAUAAAAACAGAAAAUGCAGGUAAUUUAAUUUUGACAUCUAACAUUUAAGAGAUAGAGCUUGAAAGAGUCCAAUAUUAAAUUAUAAAAUAAUUGAAAUAAAGUUUGCCCCAUAAGAAAAAUUGAACAAAAAAUCUUAAGUAUGAUAUGAUGCUAGAGAAAUUAUUUAUCUCAAAACUUUUAUUAGGUAAUUAAGUCCUAAGAAUAUGUAAUUACACAUGUAACAAAAAUUAGAGAUGAGGGUCUUUUAUUAAACUACAAAUUGUAUAGUCUUUUUAAAAUUGUUAUAAAUUGGUGGCCCCUACAAUCCUCAAUAAUUGUGCCGAUAUUCACAAGUUGGUGGCCCCUACAAUUAUCAACUGUGCAAGUGCUCAUUCACAAUCUUCCAGGUCAUGCUCUUAAUAAUUGUUUUUUUUUUCUGCAUUCCCUUUCAUGCUCUUAAUAAUUGAAGAGCAUACUUUUCAAAUAUGGAGCCGCAGCUAAUGUCGCUAAUUUAAUUUGGGAUUAAAUUAGGGGACCAUUAUGUUGCAGUGUGCACUAAUUUUUGUGUUUAUCUAAACUCCUUAAAUUUAAGACAUAUUACGGCAUAAAUAAGAAUAUAACAAUAACAAAAGAGUUAAAAAGUGUAGAGAAGAUCUUGCAGAAAUAUAAAUAAUAUCUAUUUUAAAAUAAUAUCAAUAUUUAAAAUAAUUUUUAAUAUUUUAUGAUCCAUUAGAUAUAUUUUAUUAUAUUAAAGUAAAUUUUAUAAUAAAUAAAACAUACUAAAUUUAGAGUAUUUUAAGUAUUAUAUAAAAUAAUUUUAAUAAAAUAUGUGAGAUAUUCAUAUUUUAUUAAUUUAAAAUACCAUUUAACCUAAAGAUUUAUUUAUGAUAAAUUAAUAAUUAUAUUUUUGAAAUUACUUCAAAUAUUAAAAAAAUUAAUAUUACUAAUCUAUUAGAUAGAUUAAAUUAUAUAUAUUAUUUUCUAUUUAUUAAAAAAUUUUAAAAUUAUUUUUAAUUACUAUUCAAAAAAUAUAAUGAUAAAAAAAAAUCUUAACAUCUUUAUUAAAAAUUUAAAAAUUUUCAUGAUCAAUUCUCUAAAUAUUUAGGGUAUAUGUGAACCACGGUGGAGAAGCUUUAUUUAAUAUUAUUGAUUUAAAUAAUAUGUGACAAAACAACUAGGUGGACUACAAAUUAAAGUGGAUUCUUUUGAAUACAAGUGGGACAGACGAUUAGGCUCUUUUUAAUUUUUAUUAAAGGCAAGUAAAAAGUAGUCGAAUAGUCUUUUUCAAAUUCUUGUUUUAUUGUUUUUCAAAACUAACAAGAAAAAGCGAGAUCAUAUUCCACCCCAAAAGCAAAAGUGACAAAACAACCAGCUGUAUUCUUUUAUUAAACUACAAAUUAAAAUGGAUUCUUUUGAAUACAAGUAGGACAGACGAUUAGGCUCUUUUUAUUAAACGCAAGUAAAAAGUAGUCGAAUAGUCUUUUUCAAAUUCUUGUUUUAUUAUUUUUCAAAAUUAGUUUUUGGUAAUUACUGUUUUUCCUUCAAAAGUUAGCGGUUCAUGUUUGCAAGUGUGAAUGUGCGAUGCUCUUUUCUUAAAGGCAAUUACAGUGGGGCCCGAAUGCCUAAAUCUUUUUAAAAUUUUUGCCGUAUAACGAACAGAGGUCAUUACUAAAAUUUCUCUUCCACAGCCUACAGCAGCUUCAGUUUAUCAAACUCAAUCAAUUUUCUUUCUUAACAAAAUUCCAAAGAUGUGUAGCAUUUUUCAGAUCGCAUGCGAUGGUGCUCUUUUCAAUCGUUGCUUGGAUUGCUUUCUUGGAAAAGCAGCAUACCUUCGUAACCUCCCAGAUAAUCUUGUAGACUUGGAGACUGAACUGGGAAGACUAAUCGCAGCAAAGAACGAUGUGAUGAUGAGGGUUGUCAAUGCUGAACGGCAACAAAUGAGAAGGCUGGGCCAAGUGGAAUGGUGGGUUUCGAGGGUGGAUGCUGUUAAAACUGGAGCCGAUGAACUUAUCACAGACGGCUCUGAAGAAAUUGGCGAAUUAUGUGUUGGAGGCUACUGUUCCAAGAACUGCAGGUCAAGCUACAAGUUCGGAAAACAAGUGGCUAAAAAGCUACAAGAUGUGAAGGCUUUAAUCGCCGAGGGAGUUUUUGAGGCGGUGGCUACUGAGGUGGUGCCCGAGAGAGCUCCGGAACCUGUAGCAGAUGAAAGACCCAUUGAGCGAACAGUAGUAGGCUUGCAAUCACAACUUGAACAAGUCUGGAGAUGUCUUGUAGAAGAAUCAGUGGGAAUCAUUGGCCUAUAUGGUAUGGGCGGUGUUGGUAAAACCACACUGUUGACCCAUAUCAACAAUAAAUUUCUUGAGAGUCCCACCAACUUUGAUUGUGUGAUUUGGGUCGUAGUUUCAAAAGACCUGCGACUUGAAAAAAUUCAAGACGAUAUUGGGAAGAAGAUAGGUCUGUCUGAUGAUUCAUGGAAGAAUAAAAGUUUUGAGGAGAAAGCUGUAGACAUCCUGCGGAGUUUAGGAGAGAAGAGAUUUGUAUUGUUGUUAGAUGAUUUAUGGGAGCGGGUUGAUUUAACAAAAGUGGGCGUUCCACUUCCCGGACCACAAAAUACUACCUCAAAAGUCGUAUUCGCAACCCGUUUCAUCGAUGUUUGUGGUAGCAUGGAAGCUGACAGGAAGUUCCUAGUGGCGUGCUUAUCAGAAAAGGAUGCUUGGGAACUGUUUCGAGAAAAAGUUGGGGAAGAAACUCUUCAGAGUCAUCAUGAUAUCGUUGAGCUAGCCCAAAUUGUGGCCAAAGAGUGUGGUGGUUUGCCACUCGCACUUAUUACUAUUGGUCGAGCUAUGGCCUGCAAAAGGACAGCCGAGGAGUGGAUACACGCAGUUGAAGUGCUAAGAAGAUCAGCUUUUGAGUUUGCAGGUUUGGGAAAAGAGGUGUAUCCUCUUUUAAAGUUUAGCUAUGAUAGUUUGCAGAAUGAGACGAUUAGAUCUUGUUUCUUAUAUUGUUGUUUAUAUCCCGAAGAUUAUGGAAUUCUUAAAUGGGACUUGAUUGAUUGUUGGAUUGGUGAGGGAUUCUUAGAGGAAUCUGACAGGUUUAGUGCAGAAAACCAAGGUUACUACAUUGUGGGCACUCUUAUUCAUGCGUGUUUACUAGAAGGGAUAGAAGAUGAUAGAGUAAAAAUGCAUGACGUUGUUCGUGAUAUGGCUCUAUGGAUAGCUUGUGAAAUUGAGGAGAGGAGACACUUUUUGGUUUGUGCAGGCGCUGGAUUAGAACAGGCACCGGCUGUUAGAGAAUCGGAAAAUGUGACAAGAUUGUCAUUGAUGCAAAACCAAAUUAAAAUUCUGUCGGAGGUUCCCACAUGCCCUGAUCUCCUCACUUUAUUUCUUGACUUUAAUGAGGAGUUGGAGAUGAUCGCGGAUGGCUUCUUCCAAUUUAUGCCUUCUCUCAAAGUUUUGAAGAUUUCAAACUGCGGGAAUUUUACUUUUCAAUUACCUUUGGGGAUGUCAAAGUUGGGUUCACUAGAACUUUUUGAUAUUUCACGCACCGAAAUACAAGAGUUACCAGAAGAGUUAAAGUUGUUGGUAAAUCUGAAAUGUUUGAAUUUGAGGUGGACAAGCAAGUUAAUUAGAAUUCCACGGCAACUAAUAUCAAAUUCUUCAGGGUUACGUGUGUUGAGAAUGUUCGCUACUGGCUAUGAAUGUUUUCAUGAAGCACCAGAAGACAGCGUUUUAUUUGGUGGGGGUGAAGUUUUAGUACAGGAAUUGCUCGGUUUGAAAUAUUUAGAGGUAUUGGAGUUGACCUUGGGAAGUUAUCAGGCUCUCCAAAUCUUUUUGAGCUCAAAUAAGUUAAAAAGUUGUAUUCGAUCUCUUUUCCUCCAGUUGGCCGGAGAUACAAAGUCGAUUAUUGAUGCUGCGGCUUUCGCAGAUCUAAACCACCUCAAUGAAUUAUAUAUUUAUGAAGGUAUUGAGUUGGAAGAAUUGAAGAUUGAUUAUACAGAGAUAGUACGAAAAAGGCGGGAACCUUUUGUUUUCCGCAGCCUUCACCGUGUUACCAUAUUUAGUUGCGGUAAAUUGAAAGAUGUGACAUUCCUCGUUUUUGCUCCAAACCUCAAGUCUCUUGAGCUAUUGCAAUGCGAUGCUAUGGAAGAAAUAAUCAGCGUCGGAGAAAUUGCUGAGACUCCUGAGAUGAUGGGACACAUAAGCCCUUUUGAAAAUCUCCAAAGUCUUCAUUUAUCGUAUUUACCAAUUUUGAGGAGCAUCUACUGGAAGCCAUUGCCUUUCACUCAUCUCAAAAAAAUGGAGGUACGUAGAUGCGAUCAGCUUAGAAGGCUUCCGCUCGAUUCCAACAGUGCAACAGAGCGUAAUGUUGUUAUUCGUGGAUACACACUCUGGUGGAACCGACUUCAAUGGGAGGAUGAAGCCACUCAAAUUGCUUUUCGUUCCUGUUUCCAACCUCGUUCCUGAGCAGUGGUCGCAAAAUUUGAUUUCUGGUGAGUGCGUUUGUCUUUUAAAAAGAAGAAUUUAAAAGAAAUUUAUUCUUGUCGUUUUCUUCACUGUUUUUAUUUGAUUUCUGGUUAGUUUCUUUCUCUCUCUCUCUCUCUUUGUCUUCUGCAAAUCACAAUUAAAUGUUGAAUUAAUGGAAUUGAUGCUCUGGUUUUUUACUUUUUGUUGUCAAAUUUUGCCCUGUUCUAUCUUCUUAGCGAUUUAAUUUCCUGUCAAAAGACGAGCGAGAAGAACAUAUAUAUGACUUAAACCAAUUGAUACUUUAUUUAUGUGCAUUGUAUGUAAUAAAUAUUAAGUAUACUUUAUUUUUGCCCUGUUCUCUGUUUUUAUUUCAGUCUCUCUCUCUCUUUCCUGUCUUCUGCAAAAUAUAAUCAAUUAUUUUCAAAAUAUCAUUGAUGAUUUUUCUGCUCUAAUGCUAUGUAAAUAGUAUGUUAAGUAAAACAUAAUCAAUUAUUUGUGUUUUAUCUCUAAUUAGAACAUCAAUCAGUUCAGUACCUCACAAAUAAUUCGCAAUAUCUACAAAAUACUAUAAUGGCUACAAAACAAAUCCUGCUUGCAAAUUGUCAAGGAUACCUAUCCGUUCGCUUGACAAGUCAUUUGAAUAAAUAUUGUUCACAUUCCUUACUCUAUCAAUUAUCCAAAGCACCAUCAAUGGUCCUCAACUUUAGUUUGAAUAGUAUACAUGCCAUCACCAUUACCAAGAAUCAAGCAUGGAAGAGUCAUUCUAUAGAGUUAAUCGAAGCAAGGAAUGAUGUAUCAGAAAAUAUUUGGUGGAGAAUUCAGCACAAACAUAUUUUGGAUGAUCAGAAUCAAUAAAACCUGGUGGUUGCGCCAUAUAAACAUCUUCGGAAAGCUGACCUUGAAGAAAGGCGUUAUUGAUAUCCAAUUGACGAAGAGGCCAGCCAUGACUAACAUCAAUACUAAGAACAAGCCGUACUGUGGUGGACUUAACAACUGGACUGAAAGUGUCAUAAUAGUCCACACCAGGCCAUUGAUUGAACCCUUUGGCAACAAGAUGAGCUUUAAACCUGUCAACAGAACCGUUGGAAUGUCUUUUAAUACAAAAAUCCAUUUGCAGCCAACAAUAUUGGAAGGGAUGGGAGGUGGAACAAGCUUCCAUGUCCCGUUACGAACAAGAGCAUCAUACUCUUCUGACAUAGCUGGACGCCAGUGAAGAUUUUUGAUAGCUUGCGUCACAGUUGUAGGUUCACAAUCAGAAGAAGGGCUAAAAUGAGCACGGAGGUUAAGUUUUUGUAACGGCUUGUGAAUCUUAUUUUUAGCUCGGGUAGUCAUAUCAUGAUGACUUGUGGGGCAAUGAUCUAGUGGAGUUUAGGAAGAUGAUUGAACAGGAAGUGAAGAAGUGCUUUGUGUAGAGGUAGAAGUAGGUUGGGAGGAUUGCUGCGGAGAUGUUACCGGUAGAGAAGAAGGAGCAGUACACGGUGGCAACUCCAGAGGGCCCACAAUAGAUGGAGUAGGUGCCGACAAUGGAGUACUAGGAAAUGAAACAGGAAGAAUUGGUGGAACACUUGCGUAAUUAGGAGUGGUAGAUGAGCUUGUAAUGAUUUGUAUGGAAAAACAAACUCUACAAAUUUAACGUGACGUGAAAUAAAAAUUCAACCCGAUUGCAUAUUUAAGAACAUCUCAAAUGAAUUGCUUACUGCUAUCAUCAUCAUUAUUGUCUAUAUAAUAAUGGAUCUUUAUUAUAUAUAUGUUUCCACUAAAAUAUAUUUAAUUAUUCUUUAUUUUUCUAUUGUUGCGUGUAAGAUUUAUUUGAGUUCUAAGUUAUAUCAAUACAAAUGUUAUCUUAUCCAUAAAAAGUUAGAUCCAACAAUUAUGAAAAUUACUAUAGAGUUGCUUUCAAUUAUUUUUUUAAAAUACCAGGAGUAAAUAAUAAUUAGUUCAAAUGGUGGAGACUAAAAUGCGUUCACCUUUAUUUUUUAUCUGUUAUUUACUUUUGUCAUUACAUUAAUGCACAUGCUAUACAUUUGAGACAUUCCAUUAAUUGCCAAUUAUGUAUGUGAGAUAGUAAUUUAAAUUAAAAAAUAAAAGUGAAAGUUAAUCCUAUGCAAUGUGAAUAAAUUUCUUUCCUUUUUCCUUUACUCUUUUUAUUUGACAAUAAAGUUUCCAUCUAUCAUCUAUCAUCUAUGUACACAAAAUUUCUGCAACAAGUACAAAACAUAAAAAUAUAUGAAUAUUAAGGGAAACACGCAGAAGUUCAUCAUUUCAAUGUUCAGUAUUACCAAUUUUGGCAUUAAGCUUGUACGAAUAUAUUCUACUUCGAAAGCAAAAUAUUAGACUCGUGAUUUUAAUUCAUUCAUUAUCUCUCAUUUUAAUCCCAAAAUAUUCAAGAGUAUCCAAGUUACCAUAAGACUUCAGAGGCUCGAGCCUUAGCCAGAGAUGGUUAAUUGAUAGACUAUGUGCCUGGGUCGAGCACUGGAAGCCUGCAAUGCAGACUGAUUGAUUUAUCAGUUUAACGUGUGCCAGGAAUGAAGAACUGGAAUAUCACCGUCAAGCAAGCACCCUGUGGAGCAAUACCAAAGAAUGCACAAUCUGGCUUUGCUAGGUGACCCUGGAGGCUUUUUGAAAAGUGCUUCAUGCUCACUUGCACAGAUUGAGCAUCCCCUCUGGAUAUUGCCCUCUCUGAUCGAGUCUGAGCACUCAAAUUUCGGUCCUCAGAUGGAGCUACAGCUUUCUCUCCAAUAACCAACAAUUUUCUAAACUCAGCACCUAGUGUGAUCAGAGUUGUUGAUAUUUGCAAAUGGAGAUCCCCAUAUUUGCAAAUGGAGACAUUUAACAAAUCACCAACAUGCUUCAUCCGGUCCACGAAAUUCUGCAACUGAUUCAAAUCUGGAACCUGAACCAGAGUCGGAGGUAUAUCUUGAGCCAUAUCUAAAGCAGUUUGAAGUUCAAGACCUUGAGCCCUUGACAAUGGUUUUGAAAUUGGAACAUCUUGGAUUACUGCAGACUUGUACCCCUUGGUUUCAAAGGUAAGGAAAGGCAUUGCUUGAGUACAAUUUGGAGGCAGCUUCUUCACCAAUUUUAUUUGGAGGCAAUUGGCAGCGGAUCCAGCUGCACCAAUUUCAGAGCAACUACUGACACUACUUCGAACAGCACACUGACGAAGUGAUAUGUCUACGGCAAAGGCAAUGCAGUCCUCAUUUUGGCUUGAGAUGCAGUAAUCAUCGAAGAGAGUUUCCUUGUGAAACUGGGCAACACAUUGAAUCCCUUCGCCACUGAGAAGGUUGUGGAGGAAGUAAGCUGUCUCUCUAGUGAGGAAGAGGUGGCAUACCUUCCCCAUUUUGUCUAGGGCAGGUAGGAAUCUUUUUUCUAAGAGAUUUACUUCAUUCUCUGUGAGAAAUGCUUUGAACUUCAUCCCUCUGUCUCUAUCCUCACUUAUCAGGAAAUAAGUUGAAAGCACUAUGAAGAGAGAGAGAGAGAGAGAGAGAAUUAAGAUAUAUAGACAAGAAAAUAAUUAGACGUUGAUCUUACAAACUAAUACUUCAAGCAGUAUCCUAGAAAGCUAAAAACUGCAAGAUGGCUUGAAAUUUGAAAAGAGCACAUGGUUUUCCUCCUUAACUUGAGAAAAUGUUUAAUAUAGUGCACCUUACAGAAGCAUUUAAGCAAUUAGAACUUUGCACAAAAACAUCAAGAAGACUAAACAAAUCAGAUGCAGUGUAUUUGUCCAAGCACAAAUUGCAUUUUGUCCUCAACUUUAAUAUUUAUUGAUGAGAAUCAAUACAGGUCCCUCAUUUGUUAUAGAAAGCUUUCUUGUAGUCUCACCAGUUAAUUCACAGGUCUAUAAUCAUCUUGCAAAGUUAAGGGCAUUUCUUUCGAUCUAAAGUCUUUGCAUCACCACCUCAUCACACGCCAAGCCAAUAUUCCAUUUACCUCUACAACAAAAAGUUUUUAAGUAAAUAAUCCUAAUGCACGCAGCCGAAUAAAAUGCAGUAAGAAUAUUCAACUUAAAAAUCUGAAAGCCAACUUGGUGAAUUGCCUCCUUAGGUGAAGUUCCAUGCUUUACUAUAGUUGACAGAACUCAGCAAAAGCUUCCAUACAACAGAUUUUGAAAAUGAUGAUGCCAAUAGAUACUCAUUCAAUCCAUUGAAACUCCAAAGGUUCAUUGUUCAUAGAAGUUUACAGAGUUUUGGUCAUCAAAUAGCUCAGACCUAAUCCCAAACAAAAAACGAGUGAAAAUUAGAUCACGAGCAGCUAAUUGUAAAUUCUAACUUAACUCUUCAUCUCCUUUGUAAACAAGAAACAAAAUGGAGACACGCAAAAUGAAUAUGGAGAAAAUUUGAACUCAAAUGAAAUGAGGGCACGAAAGCAAACAAAUGGCAUGCACAAAAAAACCAAGCCUCGAUAAAAAACUAAUUAACCAUUAAGAAAAAAAUUGGUCAGAGAAUGAACUCCAAAUUCAGGAGUCAAGCAAGAAGCUUUCAUUAUUUCAGAAGCUCCUGUACAAAUUAAUAAGUUAUGCUCUUUGGAAGCAAACCUAAAUUCCAAGAGAAACAGAACCCAAAAAAUUUGCAAUUAUACGCAAAGGAAGUGAAGCACAGGAUUCUAUCACACAUAGGAAUUGUAUAACAAGAGAUCGAUAUAUCGAAUUAGAAAACUCAAUUCGAAUUUGUGUCAAAAAUCAAAAUUAGAAGAUUUCACAUUUCGAGAGGAACAAGCAACAGAUGAAGUUCAAAAUUUCAGCCAUAACAUGCUAAAAAUGCUACACUUAACGGUUCAUUUUCAUGGAUUUUCUCGGGAAACAAACAGAAAAUUACGGUUUAGAGAGUUGACUGACCUUUUGGCUUUUGAAAUUGACCAGAUCGCGCGCCAAAUUGGAAGAGGGAAAGUGAAAGCGCGAGUUUUAAUAUGGGUAUUAGAUAAGGAAAUUUUAUUAGGUUGCGAGGGUAAAAAAGGAAAGAGAUAUCAUUAUUUUAUUAUCGAUAAUUAUUAAAUUUUUUUCCAAAAAAAAGAACAAGCAAGGAUUUUUUAUUGUCAUCACUAAGUUAAAAAAAAUUGUUUCAAAAUUACUUGAGUCAUAUCCAAUGGACCAACAAAGUAAUCGUUUUUAUUUUUAUUGAUUUUUGCAGGAAAUUAAUAACUUAAAAAUACUGAAAGCUACUGUAAAAAUUUUUAUUAUCAACCUCAUAAUUUUUUUUUUUUGGGGAAGAGAAUUCAAACUUUUUUUUUAUGAAUAUCGCUGUUUCGUUUGAGUUGGAUGUGAAUUCAAAUCCAAAUAUUCUUUGUUUUUCAAUUUUGAACUCAAUUUCUUUUUCUCAAGAAUGUUAUGCAGAAAUAAUUUUUACUAAAUCUUUUUUGAUGAAUUGUUUAAAUUAAACAAUUGGAAUAAGAAUUGUAACGAUUUAUCAUAAGCGUGCUAAUAUGAUAACUUGUUUUACGAAGGAUUAAUUAAUCAAUUAAUAUUAAAUUAUAUAUUAGUCAAUUAGAUAUGUGUUACAUUUAUCAUGUUUUGUAGGUGAUAGUACAUCAUUUCUAAAAGAAUAUAGUACGUUAAAAUAUUAUUUUAAUGAAGAAAAUUUUAUUAUUUUAUUAUUAGGUGACACAAUAAUAAAUGGAUUUCUGUAAGAAUUGAGAUUCUUGAUAUAAUUAUUACAUAAGGAGAAGUUUAGUUGGUUCAAUUUUGACGUGAUAAGAAGACAACACAGCACAGAAAACCCAAAUUGCCACUUCCACUAAUAAAAGAUACCUGUUUGAAAAGUAAUUAUAAACUAUCUUCUUUGUGUUAUUUCUCAAAACUUUUGUGGCACAAAUGUUAUUUCCAUUGACAACAGUACGAAAUACCACCCCUUUCACUUGAGCAGGAGCAAAGCAAAGGUAUGAUGAGCUAUCUCUGUAUAAUUGAAACGCCAUUACUAAACGAUUCUUGAUGAUGGGAGCCACCGUGCCAGCUUUGUCGCUGAUUUGCAUGAUUUAUUAGUUGUCCAGAUGGCGGAUUUUGUACUGUUACCUUCGUUUCAUUCUUCAGAGCCAUGUACUGUUCUAGGAUACCAGAGAAACCAAGGUGGCAUUGAAGUUGCCCUGGUGGUUAGUUUUCCGAUCAUUUUUUUAUUCAAUUAUUUAUGUUUUUAGAAAAAUGUAGGAAAUAUGUAGAAAUGUUGACAGCUAUGAUUUUGAAACUUUUGCCUAAAAUUGUUAUCAUUACUUGUUGUUUCUUAUUUAAAGAGAAAUUCUAGAAACAUGAAAUGAUUAUUCUACGCUUGUUUUAAUAUUGUGCUAUGAAGAUUACGAAGGUUUGAUUAUAUGUCACUAUCAAUUGCCUUAAUCGUUUGUCGUAAAUCAAUUAAGCAUUUUGAUGCGAAUGAUUCCCUAUUAAAAAAUUCAAGUCAGAGCUGAAUUGCAAAGUAGUUAGUCGUGCUUGCAAUUCAAAUUAAGUAUUGUAUUUUCUCCCUGAUUUGGUUGAUUCAACUAUGUGCAUUUGCUUAUGAACGUUGCAGUAUAGAAAUCGAAAUAUCUUGUCUUUUGCUAAGCCCAGAAGCAAAUUCUUUGUAUUCUACUCAUCAGUUUUCUUCAUUCUCUUUGUUGAAAUUUUAUCUAAACAGCGGUUUCUUCGAAUUUAUGCCUUCGCUUACUCUUUUAAAUUUUAUCCAAACAACGGUUUUGAAAUUGUUUUCACUACAAUACCUUAGUCUUUCAGAUGCUCCCGUCACUGAGUUGCCAGAAGAGCUAAAAGCCUUGGUAAAUCUUAAGUGUUUGAACCGGAGUACACAAAUUAUCUCUCUACAUUUCCAAAGCAAUUGAUUUGUUACUUUUCGAUGCUACAUGUUCCGCGAAUAUUCAGUUGUGGUUAUCUUGUUCAGAUACCAGAAAAUAGCGUUAUAUUUAGUGGUAAUGAAUUCUUGGUUUGGGAGUUGCUUAGUUUAAAACGUUUAAAUGUAUUAAGCAUCAUCUUGAAAAGUUUUUCUGCUGUCCAAAAACUUAUGAGCUUCCAAAAGUUUCAAAGCUGUACACAAUGCAUGGAGCUUGUAGACUGUGAUGAUCCAAAGUCAUUUGCCGUGGCAGAGUUGAAGCAUCUUGAAAAACUAGGUUUUUCAAGUUGUGGAAAUUUGGAAGAGUUAAAGUUCUGCUGUGUCGAAGUUGCAAAGGCUCGAGAAUGUUUUCGUUUGAACAGCCCUCACUGAGUUAAGAUGAAGGCUUGUCAUAAAUUGUGGGAAGCGACAGGUUAUUCAAAUAGAAAAAUUUAUGGAGAUGGAUGUUAAUCUUAAGGUUAUUCAAUUAGAAAAAUUUGAAUAAAAUUUAUGGUAAGUGCUUUUCCAUUUAUUGCAUAUUUAUAUCUAAUUUUUAUUUUCCUUUAUUGUUAAAUUUUGGUCUCUAUUUGUUGUUGUAUGGUGGCAUUCUUGUACAAUUAUUAGCUUUUCAUUUCUCUUCUCACAUUAACUGCCCUUCUGAUCAUGUAGGAUUUGCUGAUGCAAAGAGUCAUAAUUUGGGAUACAAAUGUAAGAAUUAGACAGAUGACAUGUUGUUUUGAAGCUCUCAAAGAAGGACUAAUUAUGUCAUUGAAAGCCUCCAAUUUUGUGAUUGGUUUCUUUUUAUUUUAUUUGUUGUUUUCUCUAUUUUCAGAUCACUUAAUUGUUAGUUGUUGUAAUGUAAUGUUUUAGUAUAGCAAAUUAUAUUCGGCCAAGACAGUGAUAGGAGGGCACAUUGUGCAUGCACACUAGUGGAUUUGGCAUGCCAAAUCCAAUUAGGAUGGAUAACACUUUAUAAGCAUUAGGCUUCUCUCAUACCUGAGUAAUAUAGAAUAUGUUUAUAAGUUGUGAAUCACCCUUUACAAGUGUUAGGCUUCUGCUAUACUCAGUGAUGUGAAAUAUAUUUAUAAGCACUAAACUUCUCCCAUACACUUUAUGUUAAUAAUAAUAAUAAUAAUAAUAAUAAUAAUAAUAAAAUAAUAAUAAAUAAACCCAUUUUAACAGACUCUUUUUUCUUUUUCUAUAUGAACAAAUGCAUUCUUCAAAGCAACUGUGGGGAGAAGAAGUGAGUAGAGAAGAACUGAGCCCCUGUCAUUCCCCUAAAACCUCACCAAAACCUCUCUUGUAAGCUUCUCGGAUUUUCUUUCUAUAUUUCUUAGGAACUCAUUUUUUAUUGAAUCACUUAUUUUGCAUGCUGCAUUUUUUGGUUGUCGUAUUUGUGUAUUAUCUUAUCUGGAAUGCUGUUAUGAUUGAUGGAACAAGUAAUCGAUUUUUGGUCUAAUGGAAGUUGAUUUAUUUAUUUAUUGUUGUUUUUAUUUGAAAUUAUGUACAAUUGUAUUUCAUUCAUUUCUCUCUCUUUUGCUUUUUUCCCCCCAUAUAUUUGUUAUGUAUAAUUGCGUUUCAUUUAAUAUUGAUCAUACUGUAGGUAACCAUGUGAUUGUAGAUGGGGAUUUCGAGUUUGUUGAAUAUUCAUGUAAGUGAAGUAACCGUCACAAUACUAGUGAAAUUGGGAGCUUUAUUCAUGAGUUUGUGGUUUUGAAAAGUACCACAGUUCAACUGGUGAAGGCUCCGUUUUGGGAUUCUUCUUUUUCUAGGCUGCAAUUAGGAUAUGUACAUGAUAGACAAUCUUUUGUUGGUUUAGCAUAUCUUCGCUGAUUUUGUCUUUUAUUCCCCAAUUUUAUAAUUACACACCAUGAAUGUUGGGUGAUUGUAUAGAAAAUUUGUGUUAUAACAAAAACAUUGUGAAGGAGUUUCCGUGCUAAUAGUUAGUGGCUUCUGUUUUAUUGGCAUUGAUUGGGUAGAUUACGUGUUACAGUGAUUCAAUUUGUGUUCCAAACUUUGCUUUAAUUUUCUGUUUUCCCCAACUAUUUAUGUCAAAUUUAAAUCCAGAAGCAUGUGCUGAUUUUUUCUUUUUGUAUUAAUCUGUGAAGUUUAUUUGGAAUGGAAGUAACUGGGUCGGGUCUAAUGGAUUAAAUUAUGACAUUGAGGGGAAGGCACUAAAAGGGUUUGCUUGACACAUUUGGUUCUGUGUUUACUCUGCAAGAAAUAACUUUUGCUUAUUGCAAUGCAGGGGGAAAUCCCGAUUUGGCUGGUGAAUUUCUCUGCAACAAACAGGCAAACACCUCAACAUCUUCUGUCCAUACUUCUGCUGGGGAGGCAAGGGGUAAAGAGUCUUCAAAAUCAUCAAAUAGUUACAUCUCUGAGAAUUCAUUUUAUGGAAAUGGAAAAUCUAGAGUUUCUAAUACAAAAUGGCAUCUGGUAUCAGGACGUACCGUUUCAAGUUUUCUUGGUAAAGAUUAUGUUAAACCUGCACAGCCAGCUAAUGGCACUUUUCUGGCAUCAAAGCCAUUGAAGUUGGAUCCAAGGGAGUUUCGCAUUUCUGCACUUUCAGAGAAGAAACUAAACCGACAAUCAAAGGAUGACCAUUUGCAGAAGGAUAUGGAAGAUUUUCUUUUUAAAUUGCUAGGAGAAGGGUUCCAGCUGUACAGGGAUGUGAUUCAGGAGGUUCAUGGUAACGUCUUAAAUAUAUUGAUGCCAAUUUAAUACAUAUUGUCCUUUUCAAUGUUCUUUCUUUCUUUCUCCUCUUUUUAUUAUUCUUCUUCUUCUUUUUUCUUUUCAUGUGCAUGUGAUCACUAAUUUGGUAUUAUUCUUGACUUGCAGAUAGUUGUGGAUAUGAAAUGCAAAAGGUAAGGGCUAUAUCUUCUUGAUGGAGGCCUCUGAUUUUUUAAAUCGCAUUUUCCUUUGUGAUUGAUAUAUCAUACCAAAGUCAAGUCUUAAAUACUGCUGUCAUAUGUUAAGGUUCAACUUCCAUUUUGAUUAACGUCGAUUUGCUACUGCUUCCAAAAGUGAGAAUGAGAUACUUUGGUUAAUUUCAGUAGUUGAACUCAAUGGAGUACUUUAUUUAGAUCUUCAUGGUUCAAAGGCCUGAAAAAACUUGCCGGUAUUUGCAAAAUGACAUCUGUGCUUUUAUUUAGACUUAUUAUUAAAGACAACAUUUUAUUUCAGCCAAAAAUGUUUGUUUCAAUUAAAGACUUGAACCAUUUUCAUUUAACCUGAUUGUGAUGCUUUACAUUAUGCAUGUUCCUCUCAAUCAAUAAAAGUUGAGGUCAUGAUUUUAUAUUUCUAUUUUGUAACUUGAAAUAAUUGGUCUGCCUGUUUCUGUUGCUUGAUAACAUGAAUUUUUCCUUCUGAAGUUAAUUUGAUCAAUAAAGUAAUUCUUCGGAGAGGAUAUGCCCAUUCUAUAGUCAUUUUCUUAGCUAACAUGUUUUUUCUUCACUCUUCAAAGCAUGUCUAAACUAAUUGAUCGCUCAGCGGAGACUUUGGGUGAGAAGACAAAAUUUCUUGGUAAAUCCUCUGAAAAGGUAUGCAUAAUUCCCGAGUAUUAAAUAAUCAUUGGUCAUAAUUUUUGUACACGACUCUUGUUUUGGAGAUCGUUAAAAGUGGUUGAUGAUCUAUUUUGUAAUAUCAUAGAGGGAUCAUGAAUUCCUUUUCUUUUCUGUGGCUAGGCAACACUUUCGAGCCAAGCUAAGGAAAUCUAUUUUAGGUAAUGUGAAAACUAGUUGUAGGAUGUAAUAGUUUAUUAUGCCCUGACAAUAACUUUUUGUAUAAUUGUCAGUUUAAUGAAUACAAGAGGAACUCUGUUGGCAAGUUCAUCCAUGAUAGAUGCUAAAAUUAUUUAUGCAUACCAGUUGCCUUAACUAAUUUUUCUCAACACUGGUAUUGAACAGGAAAAUGAAUAUGCAAUUUGUAUAUUGUGCCAUUGUGGAGAAUUUGGAUAUUCUUAUUUAAGUAACAAGGAGAGUAUUUGCCUCAUCUUUAAACAAUGAAUCUUUGAGAAAUGAGGAGUGGGUGAUUGACAGUGUCUUCAUGUAAAUGUUCAUUUAUUUGUAUUUUGAACUAUUAUGAGAAUCUUUGUAUGCCAAAUUAGUAAUACAAAUGUUCAGAUGAUUUUUCCUGUUGAUCAUGCGUGUGUAUCUGCACACAACCAUUGUGUACCACUUUAUUCUGAUGCACAAAUAUCUGUAGUUUAGAAGAAAAGAAAUAAUAAUCAUAUAUUAUUGCUUGGUUCAUGAUUAUUAAAUGAUUAUGGCUUUAGAAAAUCCACAAAUCCUUUGUGUUCAUAUAUGAAUGUGCGAAGUUCGCUAUAUCUUAGAUUACCUUCUUCCAAGAUAACAAGUUCAUAUAUUUUUUUUAAUCCUUUUUCAUCACAGUUGAAUUUCAAGUGUAAGUUUUGUUAUUAAUAGCUGGUUUCCUGUUAUUAUGAUUUCAUAAACAAUGAGAGGAUAUGUGCUCUACUUUUGGAUGGCCUCCACAUAAAAGAAAAUUGCAACAAUUGAAUUCUUCUGGAGGGUAUGGUAUUUAAUUUAUUUUCUCAGCUUGUUGUAAGACUAAUAUAUUUCCUUCAGUACGCACGGCAUGGUGGGAAGGGUUUUUAUUGAAAGAAUUAUGAUAUUUCUUAGACUUUGUUUUGGAAGGGGGUGGAGGGAUUUCUCAUCCAUGUAUGGUUACUUGAUUAGCUUUUGACUGUACUGUCUCCGUCGUGCAAAGGAAAAUCCAAAUACUAACGAAGGGGAAUUGCUUAGGCACCCAAAGGACAGAAAUGAAUUACGGAAGGAGGUUUUUGCUGCUUUAUUUAGUGCUGCUGAGAAAUCUGAUGAAUUUCCUGAAAUUACGGUGAAGACGGAGUGGAGGUCCAACGCAUUAGGAAAGGUGGUGAGUGAACCGCCAGAGGAAUUAGUACCAGAAUACAAGGCUAAUGUGGUGCACUGGCAGCAAGAUGACCAGACCUGUAUGUGCUCUUAUAUUAACUAUAUUGGCUGGAUUUGUGAGUGUGUUCAUUUUUGUGUGUAUACUCACUUUUGUAUUUAUGCAUAUUCACGUGUGUAGGAUUCUCGAUUUCUGCCACUUACUGGAGAACUAGUGGAAAGCUUUAUACUGAUAUAUGUGCUAUAUAACUAAUGGAAACUACAAUAUGAAUAUUUUCUCUCACCUGGAGAGCAGUGUAACUAAUAUAAUUUGUGGCUCUGGAAUACUGAAGAUUCUGCAAUAACUAAUGGAAAAUAUGAUAUGAAUAUUUUUUCUCACCUGGAGAACUUUGUAACAGAUACAUUUUGUGCUGGAAUGUCUAAAGAAUGCUUCAGUUUAUAUCAAAUAUCUUUUAGUUAGAAAAGAUAAAAUUCUCUGAAUCUGAAAGACUGAAACAUUUUGCAUAUUUCGUGAAAGGCAAGUAUCUGUAGAUACUAGCUCAUGCAUUGAGGUAAUAUCAAUGUUAAAGAAAAACAGCAAUAAUUUAUUAUACAGAAUUAGGUUCACUUGCUUUAAAUGCUGGUCUGAUCAACCAUAUCAACCUGUAAUGGUCCUGCAGAAAUAUAUAUACGGGGAGAAACUAGCUAAUUUUCCUUUCACUUAUGGGUUUGGUCUUUUUUUCCCCAAUUUUUCAGCUUUCCUUCUCCUGAAGUAUGUUAAUAAUUGCAGAUAAUGGCGAAGAGGACUGCUUCCAGGCUACCGGCAAAAACUUUGUGAAAGCUUUGGAGUUAAACAGGGAAUUCACUUACUGCUAAGGACAAUUGGUGGCGAGCUAUUUCAUUCAUUUUAUGUCCAUACAUCUAUUUAAUUAUUAAAGAUAAUGUACGCAUUUGUAAAUUUCAGAUUGUGUGUCUCUGAAAAUAACAAUAUUUAAAAUGUCUCUUAAAUUAUUAUAAAUUUUAAUUUACUCUCGAUUUAAAAUGGAACAUGUUGGUGAAAUAUUUUUUCUUCUUAAUAAAAUUGAAAUAAAUUAUGUUAGCAGUAGUUUGAAAUAUUUUAAAGAUGAUUAUUUUAUAAGGGAGUAAUAUGAAAUGAAAUUUACUUUUCAUGCGUGAAAUGUUGAAAAAGGACAAAGCAAGUGUCCCUGCUUUUAUUUUAUUUCAAAGUGGAGUCAUCUCACAUACUUUAGCUCUAUCAUUAGGAGCCGGCUAAGUUACGUUAAACGUAAUUUACGCCAGGCACAGCAAUAAUGACAAGUCCCAUGACUAGUAUUGUUGCUGUGUCUGACGUAAGUUACGUUUAACGUAACUUAGCCAAAGCCCUAUCAUUAAUAUAUAUUUAAAUUUAACACAUGCAUGUGGGUUACUUUUCCGUAAGUUCCUUAAUAUAUAUUUAACACAAAUCAUGGAAGAGAUGGGAGUAUAUCAAGAUGAUCAAAGCAUGAAACAAAAAUAUUUAAGAAGUAAAACACUGAAAAUGGAGAAGAGAUGCAAGCAAAAGAUAUUCUAAAGAAAAGCAAUCUAUCCCCUUUCGAGGGCAAACUUAUCAGGUUUAAGAAAAGUACAUGCUUUGGAUUGGUAGUUGCAGCCUUGCAGGAUAAUUGUUUUUGCCACUAUAUUAGUUGGAGGAGUUGAACCCAGUGAAGAAUGUUAUGGAAGAGCAAAUGAUAUUUCUGAUAGACUCUAUUUGAUUAUGUAGCCUGAAUAGAUGUCUUGUUGAAAGAUAUAUCAGUGCAUUAGUUCAUCCUUGUCUGUCAAUGUGUUUUUAAUGGUUUUUCCAAUUGUUUUUUUUUUUUUUGAAACUGAUUAAGCAUCAGGUUACUGCAUUACACAGAUAUAUAUACAACUGCUAUGACAGCAGGUCAUUACACUGAUAUUUACAAUCAGAUAUAUAUACAUGGGACUUAUAUUAUUACAUUUUUAUUCUAUGAAGUACAUGCCCAUCCCAAAUACCCCUCACGGAGGAGGGAUGUCUCUACUCCACUCGCAUUUCGCAAGGGAGAAAGACGUUUAUAGAAAUCUCCACACAAUUAUGUUUAAUUGGAGGAGGUUGAGUCCGUGGGGACUCGAACCAUUGCCCUCAAAGUCAUGCUUAACUUUGAGGGCAAUGGUCCACCACUGGGCUACAAGCCCAAGUGGCGGUUUUUCCAAUUGUUUAUUGCUAUAGAUUGAUUGUAAAUUGAUGUGAACUUAAUGUUGAAAUAUUUUCUCUUUAGUGGAAUGAAAGUUAAACAUUCAAGAUUAGAUUAUUCAAGGUCCACAUAGUAUGUGUUCCGUUGUGUUGUCUGUAAUUUUGCAUUUAAAUAAAUUUGAGUGCUGCCGUUUCGCUCCCACAAUCUCUCGCCUUUUUUUAAUUUUAAAAAUUAAAAUAUUAAUAAAAAACAAUAAAGAAAAUCGAAUCCUUUAUGUCAUUCCAUCUUUACAACUCUCUCUCACAAACUCCAUCUAACAGACUUCUCUCUUACUAUCUCGGUCGAACAAGACCAGUGACAAUGAUGACACGACCGCCGACGAUGAGAUGGUCAUCGCUAAAGAAUCGGGCCGUGUAUUUUACAAUUUCUUGGUUUGUGACAACAAUGGAAAACUCCUGAAAAUUUUGAAUUUGUAGUCGAGCAAAGGAAGAAGCAAGUUAUCUUCAAAGCAUUUUCCAGUAAUAGCUGAUGAAAUUUAAUACUUCAAGCUGGCCCUUUGCUGUCACAACUAGAUGCAUUUGCACUGUCAUUACAAUUUAUGGAAAUUAAAGUAAUUAAUGGUUCUAAUUAAUAGCUUCCCAAAAAACCAAUCUGCCCUUGUGAGAACCAAAGCAUUAAUUUCUUGUAAGAGCUGCAGAAGGCCAGAGAAUUUCAGAUCGUGAAAAGGAGUGUGUGAGUGAGAGAGAGAUCGUGAAAUAGUGAGAGACAAUGAGAGAGAGAGCCGCUCGACUGAGAUGGUGAGAGAGUUGCAAAAAUGGAGUAAGGAGCAGAUAAGAUUAUGUUUUCUUUAUUAUUUUUUAUUAAUAUUUUAAUUUUUUUAAUUAAAAAAGGGCGAGAGAUUUUGGGAGUGAAACGGCAGCAUGUUCCAAUAAAUUUUUACCAAAGUUUCUCUCGUGUUUCUCUCACCUUUCUAGAUACCAAGCAUUUUCCAAUAAAUUUUUACUAAAAACUUAGCAAGCCCUUGAAACUUUGGUCAAAAUUAUUGUUAUUAUUACUUUUAGAGGAAAAACUUUUAUUAAAACCUCAUUAACACAAUUCUUAAUUAAAAUUAUAAGUUUGUGUUGGUGUAAGGAUUUGCAGGAGCAAUUACUGCCUAGCCAAGUGUCAAAAGCACAAAAUAAAUCAAGAGAAAGUAGACAUGAAUUAGGAUCCAAUGAAAUUUAAAUCCCGGAGAAAAGAAAUAAUCAUGCAGAUUAUCAAGAUUUCAAUAAGGGAUAUUGAUAUCCUAUUUUGAUUAAUAAUAUCCUUUUACUGUGUUAACUCAAAAAAUAUGUAUAUUCUAAUAUUUUACAAUAAAUAGAAAUCUAAUAUUAAAAUAAAUGUGAUAUAUAUAUAUAUAUAUUAAAUAAUUUAAAUAUAAAAAAUAUUUUAAUGUUUUACAAUCUACUACACAUAUUUUAUUAAGUUAAUAUAAUUUUUCAAAUAAAUAGGGACAUAAUAUUAAAAUAAAUUUAUAAAAAUUUAAAUUAUUUUGAAUUUAAAAUAAUUUUAAUAUUAUUAAUAUGUUAGAUAUGUUUGAUUAAUUAUAAAAAUUAUUUACGCAAAUUUUUUUAAUAUUUUCAGUAGAUAUAAAUAUAUUACUUACAUUUUGAUUAUUUAACUAUUAUUAUUCUACAAUUAUUUAUAUAAUGUUUGCACUUAUUAGAAUAUAUUUAAAGUCAAAUCUUUUGCACUUCUACCUAGCUAGAAUUAUUGGACGCAGAGAAAUAAGCAUAUAUGCUUUAUAACUUUAGAAAUCGAAUUAUCUAUACAAAUUGAUUUUAGCUGGAAAAAAAGUGAGCUGAAUGAUAUAGGCGAUUAGUGUGGUAAUAUUUCAUAGAGUUAGACUAUUGAAUUUGGCACCCCUCCAAUCUUCUCAUGAUUACCUUUUUGAGUUAUUAAUACACUUCUAAUUUUUCGUUUAAUUUUUUUUAUUGUUAUACUCAAAGUAGUAUUGUGAUAUUUUAUAUUUCUUUUGCAAUCUUAUUAUUAUUUUACACAAAAUUAAAAAGUUUUCUAGGUGAUGAACUUUUGAGUUUUGAACAUUAAUCAUUGGCUUAAAUUUCAUAUAUUUUACAUUAUAAUUUGAAAUUAAGUACGAAAAUAUUUAAUAAAUUAUGAAAAGAUUAACAGAUUAUUCUAAAUUGAUACAACUUAUUUUAGUUAAAUAAAAAGUAACAGGUAAAAAAAAAAAGGAUUGGUUAUGAAAUUUGUUGGAAAAAAAUCUGUGUGUGUUUAAUUUUUAUUUGUCCUUAAUUGUAAUUUAUUUGAAGUGAGGUUUUAUAAGGAUAAUGAAGGGGUGCCAUAGUUUCACUCUAUUUCAUAUGGAGAGAGAAGUAAAAGGUACACCUGAGGUUAAUGGAAAGGACUUCGAAAGUUUCUUUUGAUUAUAAUACUGUUUGUUCUAAUUAACUUAAAAAAUUUUACUUUAAUAUUUUAUAAUAAAUUAAAUUUUAAUCUUAAAAUAAGUAUAAUCAUAUAUUUUAAAAUAAUCUUAAAAUAAAUACAAUCAUAUAUUUUAAAAUAAUCUUAAAAUAAAUACAAUCAUAUAUUUUAAAAUAAUCUUAAAAUAAAUACAAUCAUAUAUUUUAAAAUAAUCUUUAUAUUUAAAAUUUAUUUAUUUGUACAUAUUUUAUAAUAAAUAUAACACAUACUAUUAAAAUAAUAUAUAAAAAAUUAAAGUAUUUUGAAUAUUAUAUAAAAUAACUUUAAGAUUCUUAAUAUGUAAGAUAUAUUUUAUUAAUUUAAAAUUCUAUUUAAAAUUUUAUUAAUUUAAAAUUCUAUUUAACCCAAAGAUUUAUUUAAGAUAAAUUAAUAAUCAUAUUUUUUAAAUCAUUUCAAAUAUUAAAAAAUAUUUUGAUAUUACUAGUCUAUUAAAUAGAUUAAAUAUUUUUAUUAUUUUGUACUAAUCAAAAGUUACAGCUCGAAUGAUAUUAUGAGAACAGAAUUUUUAUGUCUUUAUUAAAAAUUUGGGUUUGUAUAAUUAUUUUUUCAAAUGUUAGGGGCAUAGCUGUCUUUUUACUUUUAUAUAUGUGAACCGCGGUGGUGAAAAAGUGUGAUUUAAUAUUAGUUAUUUAAAUAAUAUCUGAAUUAAAGAUGUACAGAGAAGAAAUUUCGGUGGGCAUUUUAGUCUUUUAACGAUUAUCAUGAUUAGGGAUUAGGUCCUGCUCUUGAAACGUUGGUCAGAAAAGUUCUAAAAUGCGUACAUUAUCUUUACUUUAAAAAAGUUAUUUUAUUUUAUUACAAAUUAAUGCCGACAAGAAAAAGCAAGAUCUUAAANNNNNNNNNNNNNNNNNNNNNNNNNNNNNNNNNNNNNNNNNNNNNNNNNNNNNNNNNNNNNNNNNNNNNNNNNNNNNNNNNNNNNNNNNNNNNNNNNNNNAUAAAGAUGAAGAAAAGGGCAAAAAAAUAUUAAUGAUUAACGAAAUCUCUAUCCAAAUUGAUUUUAGCAGGAAAAAAGUGAGCUAAAUGAUGUAGACGAUUAGUGGUAAUAUUUCAUAGAGUUAGACUAUUGGCACCCUUCCAAUCUUCUCACGAAUCCUCUUUUUGAGUUAUAUUUAUUUUAUUUUUAAAAUAUCUUUUUUCUCUUUUACUACACUUCUAAUUUUUCAUUUAAUUUUUUUAUUGUUAAACUCAAAGUAGUAUUGUGAUAUUUUUAAUUUCUUUUGCAAUCUUAUUAUUACUCUGCAUAUAAAUUAAAAAGUUUUUUAGGUGAUGAAUUUUUGAAUGUUAAUCAUUAGCUUAAAUUUCACAUAUUUUACAUUACAAUUUGAAAUUUAAUAUGAAAAUAUUUAAUCAAUAAGAAUUAUGAAAAGAUUAAUAAAUUAUUCUAAAUUUAUACAACUUAUUUUAGUUAGAUCAGAAGUAGCAGGUUAACAAAAGAAAGGAUUGGUUAUGAAAUUUGUUGGAAAAAAAUCUAUGUGUGUUUAAUUUUUAUUCGUUGUUAACUCUAAUUAAGUAGGUUAAAUAUUUUUGUUAUUUUUUACUUAUCAAAAAAUUUAAGAUCAAUAUUUUUAGUUACCAUUCGAAGGAUAUUAUGACAAAAACAGAAUUUUCACUUCUUUGUUAAAAAUUUGGGGGUUUGUGUAACUAUUUUUUCAAAUGUUAGGGGCAUAUCUGUCUUUUUACUCUAUAUAUAUGAACCAUGGUGGUGAAAAAGCGUGAUUUAAUGUUAUUUAUUUAAAUAAUAUCUCAAUUAAAAAUGUAAGGAGAAGAAAUUUCGGUGGGCAUUUUAGUCUUUUAACGAUUAUCAUGGUUAGGCCCUGGUCUUGAAACGUUGGUCAGAAAAGUUCUAAAAUGCGUUCAUUUGUCUUUACGCCAACAAUAAAAAGCAAGAUCUUAGUGUCCCACAAAAGCAAAUCGUAAUAUUCCGCAAUGGAGUUAGAUCCGCAAAAGCAAACAAAUUCUUUUAUUAAACUACAAAUUAAAGUGGAAUCAUUUACUAAACAACAAAUUAAAUUUGAAAUAUUUAAAUAGUCGUGCGUUAGACGAUUAGAGACUCUUAUUAAAGGCAAGUACAAAGUAGUGAAGAAUCGAAUAUUUCUAUUGUCUAGUCUUUUUUUAAAAAAAAUUUUCUUUUAUUAUUUUUCAGAAUAUGUUUUGGUGAUUACUAUUGGGUUAUUAUUCAGAGUUAUUGUUAUCUUCCGGGGCAGUUUCUGUUCAUCGAAUUCGUUAAUAAAAUUUUAAAACUCUUAUUGAAAGAAUGUUUUUCCGUUAUCUUUUUUAUAAUCUAAUUUUAAGUGUAAGAAGUAGUCAUUUUAGAAUUUGGGUCUUGAAUCGAAUUUCAAUGCAUGAAUUAAUAUUUAAAAAAAAUUUACUACAUGCAGUUUAGGUUACAAACUAUUUUUUGCAAAGUUGACUAUGAAAUUGGAGAAAUUAAGUAAUUUAUAAUGUUUGCAAAGAAAGAGACCAACAUACUUCCAAUUACACUAUAUCUCAAUUAUCAUAAUGUUAAGAUUAAACUAACUUAAAAUAAAAUUUAUUUAAAAAGUUUAUCAAACGCAGUCUAAUUUUAUUAACUUGAAGAGAUAAUAGUUAUAGAAAUUAUUAUUCUAACUUAAUUAGUAAAAGUGGUAUAAAGGUUAAGUGUGCACUAAAUCUAUUUAAAUUUUUUUCCAGUAUAACUAACAGAGGUCAUUACUAGAAUUAUAUUACUAGUCUAUUAGAUAGAAAAAAUUAUUUAUAUUGUUUUAUAUUUAUUAAAAAAAUUUAAAGUCAAUCUUUUUAAUUACUAUUUAAAGGAUAUUAUAAUUAAAAAAAUUUUAAUGUCUUCAUUAAAAAUUUAAAAUUUUAUAUGACCGUUAUCUAAAUAUUUAAAGUGUAACUGUCAUUUUCUCAUAUAUAUAUAUAAUUUCAUCAACCCCUUAUACUUUAUGUUAUUUAUAUUUUAUUCAUGAAUAUUAUAAAUUUUUUGAAAUAUAAAAUUUCGUUUAACCCUUUAUACUCAAUUUUAUUUUAUUAAAACCCUAGAGUAUGAAUUCGUCCCUAUAAUAUUAAAUUCUCAAAAUAACUUCCAUUUAAUUAAAAAAUAUAAUUAUUAUUAAAUGAAUUAUAAUUAUUAUUAUUAUGUUAUUAUAAUCAUAAAAAGCGAGAUCAUAUUCCACAAAAGCAUAAGUGACAAAACAACCAACUGGAUUCUUUUAUUAAUCAACAAAUUGUAUAGUCUUUUUCAAAUUGUUAUAAAUUGGUGGCCCCUACAAUCCUCAAUAAUUGUACCGAAAUUCACAAGUUGGUGGGCCCUACAAUUCUGUUCCGAUAAUUUAACUGUGCAAGUGCUCAUUCACAAUCUUCCAGGUCAUGCUCUUAACAAUUGUUUUUUCUUUUCUGCACGCCCUUUCAUGCUCUUAAUAAUUGAAGAGCAUACUUUUCAAAUGUGAAGCCGCAUCUAAUGUCGCUAAUUUAAUUUGGGAUUAAAUUACGGGACUAUUAUAUUGCAGUGUGCACUAAUUUUUAUGUUUAUCUAAACUCUUCAAAUUUAAAACAUAUUAUGGCAUAAAUAAGAAUGUAACAAUAACAAAAGAGUAAGAAAGUGUAGAGAAAAUCUUGCAGAAAUAUAAAUAAUAUUUAUUUUUAAAAUAAUAUUAAUAUUUAAAAUAAUUUUUAAUAUUUUAUGGUCCAUUAGAUAUAUUUUAUUAUAUUAAAAUAAAUUUUAUAAUAAAUAAAAACAUACUAUUAAAAUGAAUAUAUAUAGAAAAUUUAGAGUAUUUUAAGUAUUAUAUAAAAUAAUUUUAAUAAAAUAUGUGAGAUAUUCAUAUUUUAUUAAUUUAAGAUACCAUUUAACCUAAAGAUUUAUUUAUGAUAAAUUAAUAAUUAUAUUUUUGAAAUUACUUCAAAUAUUAAAAAAAUUAAUAUUACUAAUAUAUUAGAUAGAUUAAAUUAUAUAUAUUAUUUUUACUUAUUAAAAAAAUUUUAAAAUUAUUUUUAAUUACUAUUCAAAAAACGUAUUCAAAAAACAUAAUGAUAAAAAAAUCUUAACAUCUUUAUUAAAAAAUUAAAAACUUAUAUGAUAAAUUCUCUAAAUAUUUACGGUAUAUGUGAACCACGGUGGAUAAGCUUUAUUUAAUAUUAUUGAUUUAAAUAAUAUGUCAAUUAAAAAUGUACAGAGAAGAAAUUUCGGUGGGUAUUUUAGUCUUUUAAGCAAUUAUCAUGAUCAGAUCAGCCUUUAGCCUUCAAACGUCGGUCAGAAAAGUUUUAAAAUUAAUGCUAAAUUGUUUUUCACUUUUAACGUUGGUGGCCUUGAAAUUGCUUGUAUUUUAUUAAAAAUUAAUGCUAACAAGAAAAAGCUAGGUCAUAUUCCACAAAAUCAAAAGUGACAAAACAACCAGCUGGUUUCUUUUACUAAACUACAAAUUAAAAUAAAUUUUUUCGAUAAAUUACAAAUUAAAGUGGAUUCUUUUGAAUACAAAUGGGACAGACGAUUAGGCUCUUUUUAUUAGAGGCAAGUAAAAACUAGUCAAGAAUCGAACAGUCUUUUUCCAAUUCUUGUUUUAUUAUUUUUCAAAACUAGUUUUUGGUAAUUACAACCGGGUCAUUAAUCAUUAUUCAGAGUUAUCUUCCGGGGCAGUUUCUGUUCAUCGAAUUCGUUAAUAAAAUGUUAAAACUCUUAUUGAAAGAAUGUUUUUCCGUUAUCUUUUUUAUAAUCUAAUUUUAAGUGUAAGAAGUAGUCAUUUUAGAAUUUGGGUCUUGAAUCGAAUUUCAAUGCAUGAAUUAAUAUUUAAAAAAAAUUUACUACAUGCAGUUUAGGUUACAAACUAUUUUUUGCAAAGUUGACUAUGAAAUUGGAGAAAUUAAGUAAUUUAUAAUGUUUGCAAAGAAAGAGACCAACAUACUUCCAAUUACACUAUAUCUCAAUUAUCAUAAUGUUAAGAUUAAACUAACUUAAAAUAAAAUUUAUUUAAAAAGUUUAUCAAACGCAGUCUAAUUUUAUUAACUUGAAGAGAUAAUAGUUAUAGAAAUUAUUAUUCUAACUUAAUUAGUAAAAGUGGUAUAAAGGUUAAGUGUGCACUAAAUCUAUUUAAAUUUUUUUCCAGUAUAACUAACAGAGGUCAUUACUAGAAUUAUAUUACUAGUCUAUUAGAUAGAAAAAAUUAUUUAUAUUGUUUUAUAUUUAUUAAAAAAAUUUAAAGUCAAUCUUUUUAAUUACUAUUAAAGGAUAUUAUAAUUAAAAAAANNNNNNNNNNNNNNNNNNNNNNNNNNNNNNNNNNNNNNNNNNNNNNNNNNNNNNNNNNNNNNNNNNNNNNNNNNNNNNNNNNNNNNNNNNNNNNNNNNNNNNNNNNNNNNNNNNNNNNNNNNNNNNNNNNNNNNNNNNNNNNNNNNNNNNNNNNNNNNNNNNNNNNNNNNNNNNNNNNNNNNNNNNNNNNNNNNNNNNNNNNNNNNNNNNNNNNNNNNNNNNNNNNNNNNNNNNNNNNNNNNNNNNNNNNNNNNNNNNNNNNNNNNNNNNNNNNNNNNNNNNNNNNNNNNNNNNNNNNNNNNNNNNNNNNNNNNNNNNNNNNNNNNNNNNNNNNNNNNNNNNNNNNNNNNNNNNNNNNNNNNNNNNNNNNNNNNNNNNNNNNNNNNNNNNNNNNNNNNNNNNNNNNNNNNNNNNNNNNNNNNNNNNNNNNNNNNNNNNNNNNNNNNNNAUUGUGGGCACUCUUGUUCGUGCAUGUUUGCUAGAAGAGAUGGAAGAUGAUAAAGUAAAAAUGCAUGACGUUGUUCGUGAUAUGGCUUUAUGGAUAGCUUGUGAAAUUGAGAAGGAGAAGAGAAACUUUUUGGUUUGUGCAGGUGCUCGAUUAGAAGAGGCACCGGGUGUUAAAGAAUGGGAAAAUGUGAGAAGAUUGUCAUUGAUGCAAAACCAAAUUGAAACUGUGUCAGAGAUUCCCGCAUGCCCUCAUCUCCAUACUCUAUUUCUUGCCUCUAAUAGGAAUUUCAGGAUGAUCACGGAUGGCUUCUUUCAAUUUAUGCCUUCUCUCAAAGUUUUGAAGAUGUCACGCUGUGGGCAAUUCGAAGGUUUUCAAUUACCUGUUGGGAUGUCAGAGUUGGGUUCAUCACUAGAACUUCUUGAUAUUUCACAUACCACCAUAAGAGAGUUACCCGAAGAGUUAAAGUUGCUGGUAAAUCUGAAAUGUUUGAAUUUGAGGUGGACAGGUGCGUUAAUUAGAAUUCCACGGGGACUAAUAUCAAAAUUUUCAAGGUUACGUGUGUUGAGAAUGUUGGGUACUGGCGGGUUCAUUUUUUAUGAAGCACCAGAAGACAGCGUUUUAUUUGGUGGGGGUGAAGUUUUGAUACAGGAAUUGCUCGGUUUGAAAUAUUUAGAGGUAUUGGAGUUGACCUUGGGAAGUUAUCAUGCUCUCCAAAUUCUUUUGAGCUCAAAUAAGUUAAAAAGUUGUAUUCGAUCUCUUUACCUCUAUUUGACCGGAGAUAAAAAGUCGAUUAUUGAUGCUACGGCUUUCACAGACCUAAACCACCUCAAUGAAUUAUGGAUUGAUAAUGGAAUUGAGUUGGAAGAAUUGAAGAUUGAUUAUACGGAGAUAGUACGAAAAAGGCGGGAACCUUUUGUUUUCCACAGCCUUCACCUUGUUACGAUAUAUAGUUGCCAUAAAUUGAAAGAUUCGACAUUCCUCGCUUUUGCUCCAAACCUCAAGUCUCUUUCGCUAUUCAAAUGCCGUGCUAUGGAAGAAAUAAUCAGCGUCGGAAAAAUUGCUGAGAAUCCUGAGAUGAUGGGACAUAUAAGCCCUUUUGAAAAUCUCAAAAGUCUUGAUCUAUCAUAUUUGCCGGAGUUGAAGAGCAUUUUCUGGAAGCCAUUGCCUUUCACUCAUCUCAAAGAAAUGGGGGUAAGAGCAUGUGAUCAGCUUAGAAAGCUUCCACUCGAUUCCAACAGUGCAAAAGAGCGUAAAUUUGUAAUUCGUGGAGAAGAAGACUGGUGGAACCGACUUCAAUGGGAGGAUGAAGCCACUCAAAUUGCUUUUCGUUCCUGUUUCCAACCUGAUUCCUGAGCGGUGGUCGCAAAAUUUGAUUUCUGGUGAGUGCGUUUGUCUUUUAAAAGAAGAAUUUAAAAGAAAUUUAUUCUUGACGUUUUCUUCACUGUUUUUAUUUCAGUCUCUCUCUCUCUCUUUUUGUCUUCUGCUAAUCACAAUUAAAUGUUGAAUUAAUGGAAUUAAUGCUUCAUAAAUUUGCCGGCACUGCCAUUACUUUUUUUUUUUUUAAUACAAAUUGAUACUUUAUUUAUAUCUUCUUAGCGAUUUAAUUUCCUGUCAAUUGACGAACGAGAAGAACAUAUGACUUGAACCAAUGCUCGCAUAAACUUGCUGUAAAAAGAUAUAAUCUCACUGAAAUGCACACGCCUAGAAUGAAUAGAAUUAAAACAGGGAAAAUAUUAAGUAUAUUAGCCCUCUUUACCGAAAAUCAAAUGACAAUAAAUUUUUUGAAGUUUUGAUUUUCUAUGGUCAAUUCCACCUUUUGCAAUUUCUUCUGUUCUAACAAAAACCAAUUUCUUUGUUCAAGUAUUUUCGUUUGGGUAUUAAUAAUUCUCCACCGAAAGAGUGAACUCUUGCUCAAGGGAUCUCUAAUCAAUAGCCGGAAGGGCGCCGAGACCUGAUCGGACCUAGGCCCAAGUUUGGUCUUAAAGCCUGGGCUUGAGCCUGGCAAUUAAAUUAAAACAGUAAUUGAUUUCUUGAAUGAAUUGUCGUGUAAUUGAUUUAUGGGGGAUGACACAUCAACAUACUUGAAAAUACACUAAUCUCAGCAUCAUCCGUUAAUAACUUUUAGAUUUAUGGGCAAUCAAUAGUUAAAUUAGUUGUCAUUAAUACUAAAUAAUUUUUACUUUUUUUGUCUCUUCUAGAGGAUCUUCUAGAAAAAUGCAUCCACAAUUAAAUUUAAUACUUUACAUAAUAAAGAAAGCAUAAAUGUUAAAUUUAAGAAACUGCAUUGUAUUUCAGCUGAAGUUGACUUUAAUAUUUAGGGUAGAAAAAAAUUAAAUCCUUAAUGUGUUUAAUUUCUAUCACUUGUGUCAUUAAAAUUUUCUAGUCACCCUAACCAAUUACAUCUCAACCCACUUUUUUUUGGAUGAUUUUAUUUUUACACUAUUAUUUUCAACAUUUUUUUUUCCUUUUAACACCAACAUUAGUGUAUGUUACGUAACAUAAUCCAUAUUUGGAUAAUUUGAAAUUUGUUUGUGUUUUAUCUCAAAAUAGAGCUUCAAUCAAUUUGUACCUCAUAAAUUCACAAUAUCUGGCAUAUUGUCAAAUGUGCUUAUCCUUUUGCUUGACAUGUCAUUUUAAAAUUGUCAUUCAAUGUCAAAAAAUCACAUCAACUAAUGGCCGACUACUUUAAUUUGAAAGCAUGCGUGCGAUCGCCAAUAAUUAUAACUUAAUUGUUAUAUUGAAAUUUUUUUCUUUAUAAUUUAAGUUUAAUACUGCUACAUGUGUGGCACAUAAGUUGGAAAAUAUAACAUAAAAUUUGAAAAAUGUGUAGUUUUCGUUCCUUUUUUUUCUAAAAAAAUGGGAAAAAAGAAUGUAAUUUUGUUUAAAUUACUGUUGUCAUAACAAUUAUUAUUUUAUUGAUUAAUUGGCAGAGAAUCGUAAUGGUUUCGCAUGGUUGUUAAAACAUUGGAAAGUCCACUACAUCAUCGGUUAAUAACUUUCAGAUUUAUGGUUAAUUAAUAGCUGAGAUUUAUUAUCAUUAAUGCUAAAUAUUUUUUCUCUCUCCUGGAGGAUCAUCCACAGGCAGGUGCUUCCUGACGAUGACAAAAUUUUGGGCAGGCAGGUGCUUCCUGACUUUCACACGGUAAUUCUCAAAUUCUGAUUUCACCAUAUUUUAAUUACUGAUUAGCAUAUAUUCAAGUGCUCUCCAUUAUAAUGGAAGCCGCCGCCUCACUCGUAAUUCCAAACUUUAUCUUUUUUUCCUUUUUUAAAUUAAUGCAAGUAGCCGCUGUCCUUUCUAUUAAUUAAUUAAUUCGGCCGCCCACAUUUCUUUUCCUAAUGUCUUCUACUGUCGAGUUUAUUUUAUUUUCUCUUUAUUAUUAAAAUAUACUUAUAAUAAUAAAAAAAUAAAAAUUAACAUAUCAAAAUAUAAUUUAACAGAAAAUUAAGAUAAAAAAUUAAAAAUAAAUAAAUUAUGAGCAUAUCAAUCAAUAAAUGAAAAAUAAUAAUUUUUAUUUUUAUUAAAUAUAAAUUUUUCAGUAUUAAUCAAUUAUCUGAAUAAAUAAAAUCAUUUAAAAAUAAAUAAAUAAAUUAUUCUUAAAAAAAAAAAAAAAACUUUUUAUAACACUCACUAUGCUGGUUGUAGGGUUGACGCUUUGGGUACUGAAGCUAGUAACUUCUACAAGUAGUCUUAAGUUGACUGGCAACAACUAUAUUGGCAUUUAGAAAUAAUGUACUGCAACCAUAUUGGCAUGUUCAAAUGUUCUUAUUAUUGUAUUGGUGUGUCAAUAUUAUCUCUAACGGUUUUAUAAAUAAAAAAAUAAUCUAAAUUUAUAAUUUAACAUAAAAUAAAAUAAUUGGUAGAAAAACAAUUAUGGUUCAUUUACUUAUCAGUAAUCAGAAUAGACUGAAAUCGAAAUGAGUUGUAUUACUGUUGAUGUGUUUAUGUUGUACUCGAAUCGAAAUGAAUUAUUUUAAAUUACUAAAAUAUCCUUGGUCUGUUAUUCUAAUUAUUAUUAUUAUUUAAUAUUUAUUAUAAUAUUUUUCAUAUCAUUAAAAAAAAAUAAUAAUGAUGAUAAUAUUCUCAUUAUUGUUUGUUACAUUAUUAUUAUUCAAAAAAAUUAUUGUUAAUAACAAUAAUUACUUUAUUUCAAUAAUAAUAAUGAUAAAAUUAAUAAUAAUAAACAUGACAACAACAAUAAUUAUUUAUUAUGCCAAAAAAUAACAAUAAUAAUAAGAAUAAUAAUCAUCAUCAUUUUUUUGCCAAAGAAGCAUUAUCAUCAUCAUUUCAAAAAAAAAAUCAUCAUCAUCAUCAUCAUUUUUGUAGUGGCUACCUAUCGGCUGCUGCUUUCAUGUGAGAUUGACUUGCGACGCUUCAACGGCUAUUAUUUCUGACAAUGUCAGGUGUUGCUAUUUCAAUUUAGGAAGAAGUUGUUUCGGUGUGCUAGCGAUGGGAGAUGUUGUGGCUGCGAUUCGGGGAGCUACUAGUUUAUUGCACUAAUAACGGCAGGUGCUGUUGCUUGAUGCGAGGUCCAUGGCCAGUUGUCAGCAGUUCGACUUUGGUAUGGGUGCUGCUGGUUCGAUUUUAGGUGUUGUCCAAUUUCAUUUUCAGGAUUUUAAUUUUAUUUUUCUUUUAUAUUUUCAUUAAUUAAUCAGGGUAAAAUUGGAUUUUAGAAUUUAGAAUGAAGGUAAUUUUGUUAAUAAUGGAAAUGAGAUUCUGAUUGUCGAGAAUGAGCUUACACAAACAACUAUAAAUUAAGUGAAAACAAAACACUUUUUCUCUUUGUGUGAUUAAAACAUGAUAUGUACCAUAAAUAAAUAAGUAAAAAAUAAAUCAACACAAUCUAAAACAGUAAACAAAUUACAAGAGGCACAGAUUUUUAUGUGAAACACCGAAAAUGGAAAAAACCACAGCAUCUUAGUUUGAUAUAAUCUUCUACUAUAUUAAUGGGAUUAUAGCACAAAUUCUUUCCUAUAUAACACUAGAGAUUAACAACAUCAAGAAUCUCAAUAAUCUUGACUUACAAUACAGCCUAAUAUUUGUCUCUCUAAUAAGUAGAUAUCUAAAAUAACAGUCUCUAAUAAGUAUGUAUCUAAAAUAAUAGUCAACAAGAGGAUAAAACAAAAAUUAAGAUUAGUAGGAUGUGUAUAAGGUGAUGCUAUCAAUUUAUCUUCUAAAUUUGAGAAAAAUAGUUAAAUUCACUUUUUCGAUUGUCCGACCAAAAAUGGAAACCCUUGCCCCAAAACCAAAGGAAUCACCAUUAUGUUUUUCUCUCUCUCUCUCUCUAUCUCGUUCUUUUCUUCUUCUUUUCUUAAUGUUAGCCAUCACUUGCUUUUAUUCUUUAUAGCAUUCAAAAAGCUACUUUUAAUGGUAAAUUUCAUUUAAGUCUGCAACUUAGUGAUAAUUGCACACCAAACAAUCCUUACAUAGUGUUUUGGGCCCUCAAAUGAGAUGAAUACAACAAAUCUCCCCCUUUAAAUCAUGUGGGGGGCACCGCAAGCCCGCUAUUUGCAUAUAGCUUUUCAGCUUCUCCUUGAAUAAUGACUUUGUCAUCAUACAUAAUCCAUUCUUCGUUGUGUAAAUCUUCUCAAGCUGUAACUGUUCCUUCUCAAGCUGUAAUUAUUCCUUCUCAAGCACGUCUCGUAUCUAAUGAUACCUUACAUCAAUAUGCUUAGAUUUCGAAUAGUAUAACAGCACUCUGACUAUCGUAGUACAUAACAUAGCUGUCUUGUUUUACACCCAGCUCUUGUAGGAAAUUCUUCGUCCACAAUAUUUUUUUGCAACCUUCAAUAAUUGUAAUAUCAUUUGCUUUAGUGGUAGAAAAGGCAACUUAUUACUAAAGUUUAGAUUGCGAUGAGACUGUUCCCCCUGCAAAAGUGAGCAAACAUCCUAGUAGGAAUUUUUCGGAAUCAACAGCUCCUGCCAUAUCUACACACUUGUAACACAGGUUUGUCACCACCAAAAUAUAAACAUGCUCUGGAAAUGCAUCUAAGAUAUCUGAGAAUUUUUCACUGUUGUCCAGUGCUCUUUACCGAGGUUGAAGAGAAACCACUGACUACACUAACUGUAUAGGCAAUAUUUGGUCUUGUACAAAUUAUGGCGUACAAUAAACUGCCAACUGCUGAAGCAUAAGGAACUCCUCUCAUGGAGAAAUGGGUUUUACUCUUGAGAUUUUUGGGACCAUGAAGAAUAAAGAUGUAAUUUCUUAUACUGCCAUUGUUUCGGGAUAUAUAAAUAGAGAACAAGUCGAUAUAGCUCGACAGUGUUUUGAUCAGAUGCCAGAACGAGAUUAUGUCUUAUGGACUACCAUGAUUGAUGGGUACCUUCGAGUGAAUAGGUUCAGAGAGGCUUUGACACUUUUUCAGGAGAUACAAACUUCAAAUAUAAUGGGAGACGAGUUUACCAUUGUUAGCAUUCUUACAGCUCGUGCGAAUCUGGGGGCACUAGAACUGGGAGAAUGGAUAAAGACUUAUAUUGACAAAAACAAAGUCAAGAAUGAUAUAUUUGCGGGGAAUGCUUUGAUAGACAUGUACUGUAAAUGUACUGUAAAUGCGGAGAUGUUGAGAAAGCUCAAAAGGUAUUCAGGAAGAUGCUUUGAAAGGUCAAAUUCACAUGGACGACCAUGAUUGUUGGCCUUGCCAUCAGUGGAAAUGGUGAUAAAGCUCUUGAUAUGUUUUCCCAAAUGCUCAGGGCUUCGAUCAAACCAGAUGAGGUAGCUUAUGUUGGUGUUCUGUCUGCCCGUACUCACAAUGGUAACGAAACUUUUGUGAUAAAUAGUUGCAACUUAAGGUGAGAACUGGAGGAAGGGAAAUAGAUUGAAGUUGUUCAAUCAUCAGUAGUUGCUACUUGGUUUUAAGUUGUUCAAUCAUCGGUCGUCUCUAUUUGGUUUUCUCCAAUAUCUCAUCUUCAAUUUUGACUCAGAUUGUAUCUUACCACUAGUAAUUACAUAGACUUGCUGCCAAAGGUAAGAAUGGGAAUAAAUUAAAUAGAUUAUGUCGAAAACGAAAUAAAUUUACUAUUGUUCUGUUCAUUCUAUUUGUUUCCUACAAAAUAUUUCUCCUGCCUAAAAUUUUUUGAAUCAGUAAGUUUUUACCUUAUGGAUGAAUUGUGUUGAGAGUAAUUCCAUUUCUCAGUCUCUUUAUGUUUCAAUGAAGACGUAAAACUUGUGUUCUAGUGCACCAACGUUUAUGCUUCUUACAAUUUGACUUUAAUUUACUUUGUAAAAUUUUUGUCAAAAAGUACUAAAAAGUAGUGCACCAAACACCAACUUUAUUACAGAGAGGACUUUAGUUAAAUUUUAAGAAAACACUCAAAAGAAAGAGUUGUAAAUUAUUAUAAAAAUAUUUCACAUAAAUAAAAGCCAUCCCAUGCUGCAAAGAUCUUGCUAUAAUCACCAAAAACUAUCGGGAGCUUUUAGGGUUUCCAUAAAAAUGCCAUUUCGUUCCAUGUAUAUGAUUCUAUAGUCUCACUGGCAAGUAAACCACAGCCCAACAGCACUGACUGUCCAUGAUGAUUCACCCCAAUGAACGAAACCAGCGUUGCAUCAUAUCUUUCUGUCAAGCAUGUAAUAUCAAUUGAUUUGAGCUAUUAACAUCAUUUCCAAAUACUCCAUUGGCAUCUACAUUACCAUUUCCCUCGGCAUCAAUGAUAAGAGUUCGAAACAGUCUAAUCUUUUGAACUUCUUCAGCACCAUCUAAGAGCAAUGUUCUUUUGGUUCCAAUACCCAUGUGCUUAUGAUAUUUGUAAAAUAAUUAUUUGUAAAAUAAUUAGUUCAAUUUUGACAUAAUACGGAAUAAACACAACCUGCCAAUCUAAGUUACUAUCUUUUCCCGUCAUCAGGUACCUGUUUGAAAAAUAAUUAUAUACAAUUUUAUUUGCGUCGUCCCUCUAAAAAUUUGGGACUCAAAUGUUAUUUCUAAUUGCUAAAAGUACGAAAUUGCCCCCUUUCUCUUCAGCUAAAGGAGUGCAAAGUCAUCUGUAUAAUUGAAUCUGCAUCAUCAGUUUCUAUUGCUGGCUGGUGUUACUGCAUGCUUACAGUUGCUUGACAAAGUGAGCCAGUUUUUUGUUUAUUAAUUUUUUUUCUUGUCGAGACAGUCACAAAGUAUUACUUGUUCUAUUUGAGAAUGAUGUGAAUCAAUUUUUCAAUUAUGCAUUCUGUGGUAAUUAUUGUGAAUUUAGUUUCAUUUGUCUUGUCUCCUGCAAAUUUUGAAGAAAAUGCAGACAUACAAAUUUACAAUAUGUAUUUGCGUUAGUAUAAAAACAAUUGUUAGAUGAUUAAAGCGAUUUAUUUUUUUUUUUACAGCAUUUGAUUGUAUUAGUUAAAAUCAUUUUUUAAGGAUAAAAAUAAAUAGAAAAUUAUUCUCAUGUAGUGUGGAAAUCUUUUCUAAUUUCUUGUUGACUUGUACAUUUAUUUCAGAAUUUCCAUUCAUUAAUUCUACUGUUUUAAUCUUUGACUUAGCUACCGUAGUUGACUUUUUAUAUCAAAGGCUUAAACAGCAUGCAUUUUUGAAUUGACUGAGAAUAAUUUGGUGGACAAAUUACUAGUAAAGGACUUCAAAUGGUUGAAUUGACUGUGGGUUUUUCAUGCCCAAGUCACUCGUCACGUCGUUUCAUCGAAACAAAGUGCCCGGUGCAAAUGGUGUGAUGUAAAACACCUUUUUAAAUUGUCAUUUUUUUUCCUUUGCUUUUGCUUUAAUUUUCUAAAUGCUCAACGCCAUAAAUCCAUGUAUUCUUAAUUUUCGUUUGCUGUAUUGAUUCCCAACCCUCUAUGUCACAAGGUUUUGAAUGCCAGUAAUUAAGUUAAAUUAAACAUAUUUUAAGUCCUACUUUAAAUUAUUGAAAAAUGUAUUAUGGUUGAACUGAAUUUUAACUAAAAAAUAUAUACAAAAUAAAAGAUUAAUCAUAUCUUUUUAUGAGGAAGGUCAGUCAUCAUUCUGACCACAGACACUUAAAAUUAAUUGAGUGGAAUAUUGCAAAAUAUAUAUAAACCAUGCCAAAACUAGAUGUUUGAGUAAUGAAAACGAGAAUUCAUAUGACUCAGAAAUAUGGUCGCUUUCCUUUUUCUGAAAGGCAAAAAAAAAGGGGGAACCAAAAAGGACCAAAAUGAACAAAAAUGGAAGGCGAAGGUAAGCAGACAUGUUAUAUGUUUUACCUAAGAUGCCAAAUGCAACUCCCCAUUGAUGGUGAUCGAACAUUAUGGCCAUUUUCUUAGUAAACAAAAAAUGAAUUUUGAACACUCAACAACGAAACUUGAGCAGAAGAUCAAGCAAGGGCCUCGAUCUCAAAGAAGAUACUAUGAAACCCUACUUAAUGGUUAAAUAACUUUCAUUCAGCUUUGGACCCUAUUUCGUGAUACGGAAAGACAAACCUUUCUUGGCCGGCAGUGUCCCAGAUCUGGGCUUUGAUGAUCUAGAGGUUGAUGGUGACAGUUCUGGUUUGGAACUCGACGCCAAUGGUUUAUUUCGAUUCAAAGCAAAACUCAUUCUUGGUGAAUCUCGAAAGAAUCUGAGACUUGCCCACGGCCGAGUCACCGAUCACCACUACCUUGAAUACAUAGUCUAUUUUGUCAGGAAUCAUAUUCUCUCGUUGUUGAUGACGAUGAUCGGUGCCAUCACCACUCAUUUCUUCGUUCAUUCAUUCUAUGUCCAUUGAUCUUUUUGAAUUAUUGAAGACAAGUGGCUCACCGCUUUUAGUAUUGGUAAAAUUCAGAUAAUCUCUAUUCCGAAAUAAUAAUAUUAAAAAUAUCUCUUAAAUCAUUAUAAACUUCAAAUCUAUUUUAAUUUUAUUUAAAAGAUAAAAGAAAAAUAAGUUAUGUUGGUGAUUUUUUAUUAUCUUUUUAAUAAAAAUAGAAUAAAUUGAUGUUUAUAAUUAUUUAAAGUAUUUUAAAGAUUGCUAUUUUAUGAGAGAAUAAUAUUUCAUUUUUUUUUUCGUGUGAAAGACCGAAAAAGGACAAAGCAAGUUUCCCUAAUUUUUAUUUUAUGUGAAAUUGGUCAUCUCAUAUACUUUACCCUUCAACACUCUAAUUUUUUUGGUUAUAAUUUUAUUAUUUUUUCUCUUUUACACAUGCAUGUGAAUUACUUUUCUUUAAGCUCCUGAAUAUUUAAGACAAAUCAUGGAAGAGAUGAGAGUAUAACAAGAUGAUCAAAAUAUGUAACAAAAAAAUUUUAGAAGUGAAAAAUAUGUUAGAGUCGAAGUAAAACUCUGAGGUGAUGUUUGAUUUGAAGAAAAUGGAGGAGAGAAAAAGAGUGGAAUGGAGAGGAAAAGAGAGAAAAGGAGAGGAGAGGAGAGGAGAGUGAACUUUUUUUCUAAUGUUUGGUUUGUCACAUAAAUAUACAAAGAAAGGAAAUCUCCAAUUUUUUAUUUAGACAAUUUUAACCUUAAUAAGUAUUAAGCUUUCAAUAUUUAUCAUGUGUAUAAUUUAAAAAAAGUAAAUGGUAGAAAGCGGUUUCUGAUUCCGGCCACAUCGCCGGCAAUGGAAGGUACUUAUCAGAACAUCAAGAACCGGCCAUCAUUCCCUAGCCAUCACUGCUGUAGGAACACUGCUAAAAAGCUGCCGAUUGAACCGCGAAAAGUCGUGGAAAUCGUUGCCUCAAAUCGGUGAGUUUCGCCUUUUUCUGGUCAUGCCGUCGCCUUGGCUUUGUCCAUCAACGCUGCCACUUCCAUUUCAACCAUCCAUAGCCACUAUUAACCGCCAAAUCGCCGCCGAUCAGCGGGAUCUGUGGAAGUUAAAAAGUUUCUAAAAUUUUUUAAUUGGAUUUGAACAACAUACAACCAUUUUUUGAUCUCAAUAACGACAUAGUAAUGUUGAUCGUUGGUCGGCAAGUCGAAUGGUAGUGGCGGUGAGUAACACGCGCCAAUGACAUCGGCGGCGGCGGCGGCACUAUCCGGCUACUGUUAAAAUUAAUAUUUUAUAUUUGUAGAUUAAAUAAAUUUAUUUUAUUAAACUUUUUAAAUCAUUAUUUAAAUUUAAUUAAUUUAAAAUUAUCUAUGAUGUUGAAUUGAUAAAAUAAAUUUAUAAAUAAUAAUUAUGUGAUUACAUUAAAUAAGUUAAAAAGUUGAAGGGUUAUUUUUGGAAGAUUUAGUUUCCAACACAAAGGGAAUUUGAAUUCUUCACUUCUUAGUGUGGAAUUCAAAUUCUAUAUUGUAAUGGAUAUUAAAUUCCAAUAGAAAUUAAAUUCUUAUAAGUUAUGUCAAACCAAACAACGGAAAUAAAAAAAAAGAAUUUAAAUUACUUUCCUUUCCUCCACCCUCUCCUUCCAACCAAAUACAUCCUGAAAAUAGAGAUAUUGAUUAAUUUAGAAGAGAUGCAAGCAAAAGAUAUUCCACAAAAAAAAAAAAGCAAUAUGUCCCUUUGGAGGGCAAACUUGUCAGUUUUAAAAAAGUACAUGCUUUGGAUUGAUAGUUGUAGGAUAUUUGUUUUGUCACUAUGUGUUAGUUGGAGAAGUCAAGCCUUGUGAAGAAUGUUAUGAAAGAGCAAAGGAUAUUCCUGAUAGCUGAUAGAGCUCUAUUUGAUUAUGUAUCCAAUGAAUGGAUGUGUUGUUGGAAGAUAUUUGAGUGCAUUAGUUCAUAUGUGUCUAUCAAUGUGAUUUUAAUGAUUUUUCCACUUGUUUGUUGUAAAAGAUUAUUGUAAAUUGAAAUGAACUUGAUGUUGUAAUAUUUUCUCCUUAGUAGAAUUUCACCUAGUAUGUAUUUAGUUGUGUUGUCUAUAAUUUUGCAUUCGAAUAAGUUUCACCUAAAAUAUUAGCAUGAGUAGUGGCCCUUGAAACUUUGGUCAAAAUUAUUGUUAUUAUUUCCGACUAGAUGUAAAUUUUUUAUUAAAUCUCGCUAACACAAUUCUUAAUUAAAAGUAUAGGUUAGUGUUGGUGCAAGACUUGCCACACCAAAUUCUGCCUAACUGUCAAAAGUGCAAAAUAAAUGAAGAGAAAGCACAAAUACACGACUUGAAUAAGGAUACAACGAAACUUAAAUUCAAGAGAAAAUGAUAGCUAUAUCUCAAGAUUUGAAAAAACGGUCAUGUAGAUUUUUAAGAUUUCAAUAAGCGACUGAGAUUCAAAUAAUAUCCUUUAAUUCUAUUAACAAAAAACAAAGACUCAAAUAUUUUAUGAUAAAUAAAAAUAUAAUAUUAAAAUAUAUGUGAUAAUAUACACAUUUUAAAUACUUUCAAUCCAAAAAAAUAGUUAUGUUUUACAAUCUAUUAGACAUAUUUUAUUAAAUUAAUAUAAAUUUUCUAUAAAAUAAGAAUAUAAUAUUAAAAUAAAUUCACAAAAAUUUAAAGAAUUUUGAAUGUAAAAUAAUUUUAAUAUAUCAAUACGUGAGUUUUUUUAUUAAUAUAAAAUUUAUUUAACUUUAAGAUUUUUUAAAAUCUUUACAAUAAGUAUAACUAUAUUAUUUACAUUUAAAAAUAUUUAAAUAUUAUUAACCUACAAUUAUAUUUGCAUUUGUUAGAAAUUUUUUAAGUCAAAUAUUUUGCACUUCUAUAUUAUUAGAAUUAUUGCACAAAAAGAAAGAAACAUACACCUUUAGAAAUUGUUUUCUUUUAAAAUAGAGAUGAUGAUUAGUAUAAGGAUGAAAAAAAGGAUAAAGAAUAUUAAUGAUUAACGAAAUCUCUAUACAAAUUGAUUUUAGUAGGAAAAGAGUGAGAUGAAUGAUUUCUUUUACAGUUAGAAACAUAGAUGAUGAUUAUUAUAACGAAGAAAAAAAGAUAAAGAAUAUUAAUUAUUAAUGGAAUCUCUAUACAAAUUGAUUUUAGUAGGAAAAAAAUGAUUAAAUGAUUUAGAGUGCGUUUGGAAUUGAGAUUGGGCAGCCAUAGAUUUUAAGUUACAACACUGAAGUGUUUAGUAAAUACUAGUUGCUGCAGAUUGAAAGUUAUGUUGAUAUGAUUUUUCACAUGUAUCAUAGAAAAUAUAUUACAUCUUUAAUAUUUUUUAAAAAUUUAUAUUUGCUAUAUAUUAUUAAUUUUUUUUUAUAGUUAUAACUUUUUUUCCACAACAGUUGUAGCUUAAAAGUCACAGCACCUCAAUCUCAAACAAAUCCUUAGACAUUCAUAGUGUGUUUAUUUUUUGGAUUGGUGAAUCAAAAUUAUUGACAACGCUAACUUCAUCUUCACUGUUCGCAAUCCAACAGCAGCAAUUGUCGCCAAUAAUGAUAUCUCCAAUGAUGAUGACAAUUAUUAUUAUUAUUUUUAUUAUUAUUAUUAUUAUUAUUAUUAUUAUUAUUAAUUAAUUAAUUAAUUAAUUAAUUAAUUAAUUAAUAUAUUAAUGUUGAUAUUAUUAUUAUUAAGAUUAACAAUAAUUAUUAGUAAUACAAUUUUUUGAAUAAAAAUAAUCACAAUAAUUAAAAUACAAAUUAAUAAUUAUGACAAUAAUUAAUUAAUGUCUUUUUAGUAAUUUGUAAUAAUCUAACUCAUUUUGGUUCUGAUUAUUACAGCUUAAGUAAACAAAUUAUUAUGAUUCCUAUUCUCCUUUCCCAUUUUAACUCACUUUGAUUCCAGUCUAUUCCGAUUUCUAUUUAAUAAAUGCACCAUUAGUGCUAAAGUAAUAUUUCAUACAUAGAAAAAUAAAAACUACGCCUAAGGUUAAGGGAAAAGACUUCAAAAUUCUCUUUUGAUCAUAAUACAUUUUGUCCUAAUUAACUUAAAGAUUUUGAAUCUAAUAUUUUAUAAUAAAUAAAAAUAUAUUCCUAAAAUAAAUAUAAUAUCAAUAUUUAAAAUAUGUUUUAAUAUUUUACAAUCUAUCAUACACAUUUUAUUAUAUUAAAGUAGAUUUAUAAUAAAUAUAUAAAAAUUUAGAAUAUUUAGAAUAUUAUAUAAAAUAAUUUUAAUAUAAUGCGUGAUAUAUAUUUUAUUAAUUUAAAAUGUCAUUUUACCUAAAAAAUAUGAUAAAUUAAUAAUUACAUAUUUGAAGUUAUUUCAAAUAUUAAAAAAAUUUAAUAUUAUUAAUCUUUUAGAUAGAUUAAAUUAUUUUUUAUAAGAGAGAUUAAAUUAUUUUAAAAUGCCUUAAUUGUUUUUACUUUUAACGUUACGGGCCUUUCUUUUAUUUUAUUGCAAAUUAAUGCUAACUAGAAAAACAAAAACAAAAGUGACAAACACAACCAGCUGGAAUCUUUUAUAAAACUACAAAUUAAAAUGGAUUUUUUUUUUUUGUUGAUAAAUUACACAUGAAAGUGGAUUCUUUUGAAUAUAAGUGGGGUAGGCUCUUUUAUUUUUUUUUUAAUACCGUAUAACAGGACUGUAGACUCUUUUAUUAAGCACAAAUAUAGAGUUGUCGAGACAAUUAGGGUCUUUUAUUAAACUACAAAUUGUAUAGUCUUUUUUAAAUUGUUCAGAUAUUUAUAAAUUGGUGGCCCCUACAAUCCUCAAUAAUUGUACCGAUAUUCACAAGCUGGUGGCCCCUACAAUCCUUAAUAAUUGUUUUUUUUUUUUUCUGCAUUCCCUUUCAUGCUCUUAAUAAUUAAAGAGCAUACUUUUCAAAUGUGGAGCCGCGGCUAAUGUCGCUAAUUUAAUUUGGGAUUAAAUUAGGGGACUAUUAUAUUGCAGUGUGCACUAAUUUUUAUGUUUAUCUAAACUCCUUAAAUUUAAGAUAUAUUAUGGCAUAAAUAAGAAUAUAACAAUAGCAAAAGAGUUAGAAAGUGUAGAGAAGAUCUUGCAGAAAUAUAAAUAAUAUUUAUUUUAAAAUAAUAUCAAUAUUUAAAAUAAUUUUUAUUAUUUUAUGAUCCAUUAGAUAUAUUUUAUUAUAUUAAAGUAAAUUUUAUAAUAAAUAAAAACAUACUAUUAAAAUGAAUAUAUAGAAAAUUUAGAGUAUUUUAAGUAUUAUAUAAAAUAAUUUUAAUAAAAUAUGUGAGAUAUUCAUAUUUUAUUAAUUUAAAAUACCAUUUAACCUAAAGAUUUAUUUAUGAUAAAUUAAUAAUUAUAUUUUUGAAAUUACUUCAAAUAUUAAAAAAAUUAAUAUUACUAAUCUAUUAGAUAGAUUAAAUUAUAUAUAUUAUUUUCUAUUUAUUAAAAAAUUUCAAAUUAUUUUUAAUUACUAUUCAAAAAAUAUGAUGAUAAAAAAAUCUUAACAUCUUUAUUAAAAAAUUAAAAACUUACAUGAUCAAUUCUCUAAAUAUUUAGGGUAUAUGUGAACCACGGUGGACAGAGGUCAUUACUAAAAUUUCUCUUCCACAGGCAAUUACAGCAGCUCCAGUUUAUCAAACUCAACCAAUUUUCUUUCUUAACAAAAUUCCAAAGAUGUGUAGCUUUUUUCAGAUCACAUGCGAUGGUGCUUUUUUCAAUCGUUGCUUGGAUUGCUUUCUUGGAAAAGCAGCAUACAUACGUAACCUCCAAGAUAAUCUUGAUGCCUUGGACACUGAACUGGGAAGACUAAUCGCAGCAAAGAACGAUGUGAUGAUUAGGGUUGUCAAUGCUGAACGGCAAUAAAUGAGAAGGCUGGACGGAGUGCAAGUGUGGGUUUCGAGUGUGGAUGCUGUUAAAACUGGAGCCGAUGAACUUAUCACAGACGGCUCUGAAGAAAUUGGCAAAUUAUGUGUUGGAGGCUACUGUUCCAAGAACUGCAGGUCAAGCUACAAAUUCGGAAAACAAGUGGCUAGAAAGCUACGAGAUGUGGAGACUUUAAUCGCCGAAGGAGUUUUUGAGGCGGUGGCUACUGAGGUGGUGCCUGAGAGAGCUCCAGAGCCUGUAGCAGAUGAAAGACCUACCGAGCGAAAAGUAGUAGGCUUGCAAUCACAACUUGAACAAGUCUGGACGUGUCUUGUGGAAGAAUCAGCGGGAAUCAUUGGCCUAUACGGUAUGGGCGGUGUUGGUAAAACCACACUAUUGACCCAUAUCAACAAUAAAUUUCUCGAGAGUCCAACCAACUUUGAUUGUGUGAUUUGGGUAGUAGUUUCAAAAGACCUGCGACUUGAAAAACUUCAAGAAGAUAUUGGGAAAAAGAUAGGUUUGGUUGGUGAUUCAUGGAAGAGUAGAAGUGCAGAGGAGAAAGCUCUCGACAUCUUCCGGAGUCUAAGAGGGAAGAGAAUUGUAUUGUUGUUAGAUGAUAUAUGGGAGCGGGUUGAUUUAACAAAAGUGGGCGUUCCACUUCCUGGACCACAAAAUACUACCUCAAAAGUCGUAUUCACAACNNNNNNNNNNNNNNNNNNNNNNNNNNNNNNNNNNNNNNNNNNNNNNNNNNNNNNNNNNNNNNNNNNNNNNNNNNNNNNNNNNNNNNNNNNNNNNNNNNNNNNNNNNNNNNNNNNNNNNNNNNNNNNNNNNNNNNNNNNNNNNNNNNNNNNNNNNNNNNNNNNNNNNNNNNNNNNNNNNNNNNNNNNNNNNNNNNNNNNNNNNNNNNNNNNNNNNNNNNNNNNNNNNNNNNNNNNNNNNNNNNNNNNNNNNNNNNNNNNNNNNNNNNNNNNNNNNNNNNNNNNNNNNNNNNNNNNNNNNNNNNNNNNNNNNNNNNNNNNNNNNNNNNNNNNNNNNNNNNNNNNNNNNNNNNNNNNNNNNNNNNNNNNNNNNNNNNNNNNNNNNNNNNNNNNNNNNNNNNNNNNNNNNNNNNNNNNNNNNNNNNNNNNNNNNNNNNNNNNNNNNNNNNNNNNNNNNNNNNNNNNNNCAGGAAGUCCUAGUGCGUGCUAUCAGAAAAGAUGCUGGGAACUGUUUCGCGAAAAUGUUGGGGAAGAAACUCUUGAGAGUGAUCAUGAGAUCGUUGAGCUAGCCCAAACUGUGGCCAAAGAGUGUGGUGGUUUGCCACUCGCACUUAUUACUAUUGGUCGAGCUAUGGCCUACAGAAAGAAAGCGGAGCAGUGGAGACGUGCAAUUGAAGAGUUAAGAAGAUCAGCUUCAGAGUUUGCAGGUUUGGGAAAAGAGGUGUAUCCUCUUUUAAAGUUUAGCUAUGAUAGUUUGCAGAAUGAUACAAUUAGAUCUUGUUUCUUGUAUUGUUGUUUAUAUUCUGAAGAUUAUGGCAUUCUUAAAUGGGACUUGAUUGAUUGUUGGAUUGGUGAGGGAUUUUUGGGGGAAUCUGACAGGUUUGGUGCAGAAAACCAAGGAUAUGACAUUUUGGACACUCUUGUUCGUGCAUGUUUAUUAGAAGAGGUGGAAGAAGAUGAAGUAAAAAUGCAUGACGUUAUUCGUGAUAUGGCUAUAUGGAUAACCAGUGAAAUUGAGAAGGAGAAGAGAAACUUUUUGGUUUGUGCAGGUGCUGGAUUAGAAGAGGCACCGGAUGUUAAAGAAUGGGAAAAUGUGAGAAGAUUGUCAUUGAUGCAAAACCAAAUUGAAACUCUGUUUGGGGUUCCCACAUGCCCUCAUCUCAUCACUUUAUUUAUUGACUUUAAUAGGGAGUUGAAGACUAUCGCGGAUGGCUUCUUCCGAUGUGUGCCUUCUCUCAAAGUUUUGAAGAUGUCAAACUGUGGAAAGCCUUAGAAAGGUUUGGAAUUACCUUUGGGGAUGUCAAAGUUGGGUUCACUACAACUUCUUGAUAUUUCACACACCUGCAUACAAGAAUUACCACAAGAAUUAAAGUUGUUGGUAAAUCUGAAAUGUUUGAAUUUGAGGCGGACAAUUUGGUUAAAUAAAAUUUCAUGGCAACUAAUAUCAAAAUUUUCAAGGUUACGUGUGUUGAGAAUGUUCGCUACUGGCUGGUUCAGUUUUCAUGAAGCACCAGAAGACAGCGUUUUAUUUGGUGGGGGUGAAGUUUUGAUACAGGAAUUGCUCGGUUUGAAAUAUUUAGAGGUAUUGGAGUUGACCUUGGGAAGUUAUCAUGCUCUCCAAAUUCUUUUGAGCUCAAAUAAGUUAAAAAGUUGUAUUCGAUCUCUUUUCCUACAGUUGUUCAGAGAUACAACGUCGAUUAUUGAUGCUACGGCUUUCGCAGAUCUAAACCACCUCAAUCAAUUAUGUAUUAGUAACGGUUCUGAGUUGGAAGAAUUGAAGAUUGAUUAUACGGAGAUAGUACGAAAAAGGCGGGAACCUUUUGUUUUCCGCAGCCUUCAACGUGUUACCAUAGAGGAGUGCCAUAAAUUGAAAGAUUUGACAUUCCUCGUUUUUGCUCCAAACCUCAAGUCUCUUUCGCUAUACGAUUGCGGUGCUAUGGAAGAAAUAAUCAGCGUCGGAAAAUUUGCUGAGACUCCUGAGAUGAUGGGACAUAUAAGCCCUUUUGAAAAUCUCCAAAUGCUUUAUUUAAUGGCAUUGCCGGAGUUGAAGAGCGUCUACUGGAAGCCAUUGCCUUUCACUCAUCUGAAAGAAAUGGAGGUACUUGGGUGUGAUCAGCUUAAAAAGCUUCCACUCGAUUCCAACAGUGCAAAAGAGCGUAAAUUUGUAAUUCUUGGAGACACACAGUGGUGGAACCGUCUUCAAUGGGAGGAUGAAGCCACUCAAAUUGCUUUUCGUUCCUAUUUCCAAACCUGAUUCCUGAGCGGUGGUCGCAAAAUUUGAUUUCUGGUGAGUGCGUUUGUCUUUUAAAAGAAGAAUUUAAAAGAAAUUUAUUCUUGUCGUUUUCUUCUCUGUUUUUAUUUCAGUUUGUUUCUCUCUCUCUCUUUUUGUCUUCUGCAAAUCACAAUUAAAUGUUGAAUUAAUGGAAUUAAUGCUUCAUAAAUUUGCCGGCACUGCCAGUACUUUUUUUUUUUUUUAAUACGAAUUGAUGCUUUAUUUAUUUCUUCUUAGCGAUUUAAUUUCCUGUCAAAAGACGAGCGAGAAGAACAUAUGACUUAAACCAAUUGAUACUUUAUUUAUGUGCAUUGUAUGUAAUAAAAUUUUCUCUGUUUUUUUCAAAUUGAGGCUUUAUUUAUAUUUUCUUCGUGAAGAGUGAUUUAAUUUCCUGCCAAAAGACAAACGAGAAGAACAUUAGAGUCAAACUAAUGCUCACAUAAAUUUCCCGUAAGAAUAUAUAUAUAAUUAGACUGGAAUGCACACCUCUAGAUUGAACAGAAUUAAAGCUGAGAAAAUAUUGAGUAUAGUAGCCCUCUUUACAGAAAAUGACGCGAAAGUUAAUUUAGAAAGAUAUAUUCUUGAUUAAUCCAUUUUCUGAAGUUUUUUAUUUUGUAUGGUCAAUUAUACCUUCAUACUAAAAAAAAAAAAAAAAAAGAGAAAAUAUGUAAUCCAUGAAUGGUUAAUUUUGUUUGUUUGUUUUUUUUUCUUAAAUAUCAUUCUUUUUCGGCCACCCAAGGACAUUUUCACAAAUACCUUUUGUGUGCAGAAGUCUUCCAAACCAUCAAUGGAAAAAUAAAAAAUAAAAAAAACACGGUCCAGUAUACCUCAAAAUAUCAUUGAUGACUUUUCUGGUCUAAUGCUAUGUAAAUAGUAUGUUAAGUAAAACAUAAUCAGUUCAGUACCUCACAAAUAAUUCGCAAUAUCUACAAAAUACUAUAAUGGCUACAAAACAAAUCCUGCUUGCAAAUUGUCAAGGAUACCUAUCCGUUCGCUUGACAAGUCAUUUGAAUAAAUAUUGUUCACAUUCCUUACUCUGUCAAUUAUCCAAAGCACCAUCAACUUUAGUUUGAAUAGUAUACAUGCCAUCACCGUUACCAAGAAUCAAGCAUGGAAGGGUCAUUCUAUAGAGUGCAGAACAUGACUCUAUGCGGUAGUCAAUUUGACACACGACGAACACCAUAUGCUGCAUAACAUACAAAUUAAUUUCCCAUAUGUGAUGCAAUUUUCUCCUCAACAUAUGCGCAAUUCUUUCCAUUCCGGCAUUUACACUCAAAUUUUCCUUCCUUUCUCUUUGUGGUUGAAUCUUACACCACAACUCAUGUGAUGCAAUCUCCUCUCGCUGCCUAAAUUGCACUCUCAGCAAAGCAGCAUAUGUAAGCAAGCUUGAAGAUAAUCUUGCUGCUCUGCAGAAGAACGGCAAAAGUUAAUCGAAGCAAGGAAUGAUGUAUCAGAAAAUAUUUGGUGGAGAAUUCAGCACAAACAUAUUUCGGAUGAUCAGAAUCAAUAAAACCUGGUGGUUGUGCCAUAUAAACAUCUUUGGAAAGCUGACCUUGAAGAAAGGCGUUAUUGAUAUCCAAUUGAUGAAGAGGCCAGCCAUGACUAACAUCAAUACUAAGAACAAGCCGUACUGUGGUGGACUUAACAACUGGACUGAAAGUGUCAUAAUAGUCCACACCAGGCCAUUGAUUGAACCCUUUGGCAACAAGAUGAGCUUUAAACCUGUCAACAGAACCGUUGGAAUGUCUUUUAAUACAAAAAUCCAUUUGCAGCCAACAAUAUUGGAAGGGAUGGGAGGUGGAACAAGCUUCCAUGUCCCGUUACGAACAAGAGCAUCAUACUCUUCUGACAUAGCUGGACGCCAGUGAAGAUUUUUGAUAGCUUGCGUCACAGUUGUAGGUUCACAAUCAGAAGAAGGGCUAAAAUGAGCACGGAGGUUAAGUUUUUGUAACGGCUUGUGAAUCUUAUUUUUAGCUCGGGUAGUCAUAUCAUGAUGACUUGUGGGGCAAUGAUCUAGUGGAGUUUAGGAAGAUGAUUGAACAGGAAGUGAAGAAGUGCUUUGUGUAGAGGUAGAAGUAGGUUGGGAGGAUUGCUGCGGAGAUGUUACCGGUAGAGAAGAAGGAGCAGUACACGGUGGCAACUCCAGAGGGCCCACAAUAGAUGGAGUAGGUGCCGACAAUGGAGUACUAGGAAAUGAAACAGGAAGAAUUGGUGGAACACUUGCAUAAUUAGGAGUGGUAGAUGAGCUUGUAAUGAUUUGCAUGGAAAAACAAACUCUACAAAUUUAACGUGACGUGAAAUAAAAAUUUGAAAGGUGGAUGGGUCAAAACAUAAAUAAGCACUUUGAGAUAAAGGAAUAUCCUAGAAAAACACAAGGCUUAGAGGGUGGUUCGAGUUUAUGUGAUGAAACACAAACAUUCAAAAAAUUUUAAGUUUAUAUUAAUUAGGAGUGGUACCAAAAAUUAAUUAGCUAUGGGGUUGUUGGAUGUGUUUUGGAUAUUUACAGUUAAGUUUGAGUAUCUCAACUUAAAAUUUGUAGUUUUCACUUGAAAAAAUUCAGUUAAAUUUUGCAAUGCAGACUGAUUGAUUUAUCAGUUUAACGUGUGCCAGGAAUGAAGAACUGGAAUAUCACCGUCAAGCAAGCACCCUGUGGAGCAAUACCAAAGAAUGCACAAUCUGGCUUUGCUAGGUAACACUGGAGGCUUUUUGAAAAGUGCUUCACGCUCACUUGCACAGAUUGAGCAUCCCCUCUGGAUAUUGCCCUCUCUGAUCGAGUCUGAGCACUCAAAUUUUGGUCCUCAGAGGGAGCUACAGUUUUCUCUCCACUAACCAACAAUAUUCUAAACUCAGCACCUAGUGUGAUCAGAGUUGUUGAUAUUUGCAAAUGGAGAUCCCCAUAUUUGCAAAUGGAGACAUUUAACAAAUCACCAACAUGCUUCAUCCGGUCCACGAAAUUCUGCAACUGAUGCAAAUCUGGAACCUGAACCAGAGUCGGAGGUAUAUCUUGAGCCAUAUCUAAAGCAGUUUGAAGUUCAAGACCUUGAGCCCUUGACAAUGGUUUUGAAAUUGGAACAUCUUGGAUUACUGCAGACUUGUACCCCUUGGUUUCAAAGGUAAGGAAAGGCAUUGCUUGAGUACAAUUUGGAGGCAGCUUCUUCACCAAUUUUAUUUGGAGGCGAUUGGCAGCGGAUCCAGCUGCACCAAUUUCAGAGCAACUACUGACACUACUUCGAACAGCACACUGAAGAAGUGAUAUGUCUACGGCGAAGGCAAUGCAGUCCUCAUUUUGGCUUGAGACACAGUAAUCAUCGAAGAGAGUUUCCUUGUGAAACUGGGCAACACAUUGAAUCCCUUCGGCACUGAGAAGGUUGUGGAGGAAGUAAGCUUUCUCUCUAGUAAGGAAGAGGUGGCAUACAUUCCCCAUUUUGUCUAGGGCAGGUAGGAAUCUUUUUUCUAAGAGAUUUACUUCAUUCUCUGUGAGAAAUGCUUUGAACUUCAUCCCUCUGUCUCUAUCCUCACUUAUCAGUAAAAUAGUUGAAAGCGCUACAAGGAGAGAAAAGAAGAGUAUUAAGAUAUAUAUAUUAUAUAGACAAGAAAAACAUUAGAUGUCGAUCUUACAAGCUAAUACUUCAAACAAUAUCCUAGAAAGCUAAAAACUGCAAGAUGGCUUGAAAUUUGAAAAGAGCACGUGCUUUUCCUCCUUAACUUGAGAAAAUGUUUAAUAUAGUGCACCUUACAGAAGCAUUUAAGCAAUUAGAACUUUGCACAAAAACAUCAAGAAGACUAAACAAGUCAGAUGCAGUGUAUUUGUCCAAGCACAAAUUGCAUUUUGUCCUCAACUUUAAUAUUUAUUGAUGAGAAUCAAUACAGGUCCCUCAUUUGUUAUAGAAAGCUUUCUUGUAGUCUCACCAGUUAAUAUGGAUAUUAGAUAAGGAAACUUUAUUAGGUUGCGAGGGUAAAAAAGGAAAGAGAUAUCAUUAUUUUAUUAUCGAUAAUUAUUAAAUUUUUUUCCAAAAAAAAGAACAAGCAAGGAUAUUUUAUUGUCAAUUGCAACCUUUAAUUUUUUUAAAUGCUAUUAGAAACACAAGAUAACAAAAAUGUAGUGAGAUGGGAUCUCCUGCAUGCCACUCUGGUUUAGAACACAAAGAAUGUGUCUGCAUAAAUAUCCUCUGAAAUUGAACAACCCACAAACACAAAGCACCUCCAAGUCGGAGGCAUUGUACAAAACAUCAAAAGCCCUUGAAUCCUUCUCGUUGCCACCAACCUCGAAUUCUUCCUUCACUAUGUAUGUUAUAGGUCCAUCAGAACUAAUAUGUUUUGUGCUAUAGUAAGAGUACAUAGCCUCCACCUCCAUCUGAAACUUCCUUAACAUUUCAUUUGUGUACAGUUUUGAGAGUUGAAAUUCAUAGUAACAUCUUGGUUUCCGGAUACAACUUGAAUUUCUUGAAUCCAUAUCUGCCAAGGCUACCAGUUGAUAAUUCGCCUGCAGUGCUUGAUCAUACUUGUCUAAGAAUUCUUUCAAAGGAGUAUUCUUAUCAAGAUAUCCUUCAAAGUAUGAAGUAGAAACCUCAUUCUGCAGGAACGAAAACACUCCUGAUAAAAAAGCUUCCUUCAAAUAAAUAGGAGCCCACCUUUUAUGAUCUUCAUAUAAAGUUUGAAUCCAUCCGUGAUCCUUUAUUCCAUGACAUUGAAUCAUGUCUUCCCAAGCUGCUUCAAAUUUCUCAGGCCUGAGAGAGUGAUAAAUUGCUCUAUGUAAUGCAGCUUUAAUAGCUUCAUAUUCAAACAAUCCUUGGAGUUUCUCUGGAAUUUUUUUGCAUGAUGCAUGACAAUGAAAAGAAAUGAUAAGCUCUUGGGAAAACAUCACCAACAGCAAUUUGCAAGAUUCUACAUUGGUCAGUGAUGAUUGUUUGUGGAGAGCGCCCUAACAUACAUGUAAGCCACGCCGUAAACAACCAUGUAUAUGAUUCUAUGGUCUCACUGGCAAGUAAACCACAACCCAACAACACUGAUUGUCCAUGAUGAUUCACCCCAAUGAAUGAAACCAGUGGUACAUCAUAUCUUUCAGUCAGGCACGUAGUAUCAAUUAAGACCACAUCACCAAAGUACCUAUAUGCAACUCUUGACCUGGUAUCAGUCCAGAAUAGGUUUUUCAAGCAUCCCUUUUCAUUUAGAUCCACUACAUUAAAAAAGUUUGGAUCUGUCAACUGCAAAUGACAAAAGAAACUCUGGACAGCUUGUGCAUCUCCUGGUUUAAGCUUCAAUUGAUUUGAGCUAUUAACAUUAUUUCCAAAUACUCCAUUAACAUCUACCAUUUCCCUUGGUAUCAAUGAUAAGAGUUCGAAACAGUUUAAUUUUUUGAACUUCUUCAGCACUAUCUAAAUGCAAUGUUCUUUUGGUUCCAAUACCUAUGUGCUUAUGUGACUUGUAAAACUUUCCGCUUCUUGGGCUUAACAAGUGGUUAUGCUCAAGCUCGACUUCAAUGAUUCUCCACCUUUUGGUUUCCAUCAACCUAAACUUUAUCAUUGCUGGACAGCCAGUUCUUGUUUCUGGUCUUGGGCGGUUUGCCUCGCUUUUCUUCUUGAAGCCUGCACUACUACAGCUCAGCUUUCCUCUAUACUUUUCUCUACUCUUUCGGUACCAUGGAUUGCUAACUCUAACACCAAAACCCUGUUCCUUGGCAUAGCAAUUGUAAAAGUAAUAUACAUCAUCAUACAUCUCAAACUCCAUUCCAACAGUAGGAGGCAAGGGAUUUUGGAUUAUCCCAGUUUGUCCAACAUAUUCAGUCAUCGCACAAUCUCCUACAACCUCAAAAUCAUCAGUGUCAUCAUCACCUACUGGUUCGGUGUUGAGAGAAACUUCAUCCAUCUACAAUGGAUGUUCAAUGAAGUGAGCUUUAAGGAGAAAAAGCAAAAUCUGUUCAAGGAAUGAUAAUAUAAUCAUACAGUUACUUUCACAAAGCUUCAUAUUUCAUCACUGCUUUACCAACAUGCAACUGCCAGAGAACAAACAGACAUGUCAUAGACGCUUGAAUUAAGUAUUGGUACAAAUGAGCACACAUCAUGUGGGACAAAAUUUCAGUCACUAAACCCAAUACCACUUUUUACAUCAUACCAAGGAACAGAUUAAACCCGACACCUUCUUUUAAACCAUACCAAGGAACAGAUUAAAUCAUCAAUGAAAAAUUAAUCACAUAAUAACUUAACCAGACAAAUGAAGAGCCUGAAACAGCACAAAACUUGAAUCUGAUUAUGAUAAUUGUUGAGUCCUUGUAUCUACAGCUUUCCUUCAAUGAUAAGACAAUGAACAUAAACGAGACACAAAAAAAUUAUUUUAAACUGACAGCCCAUGAUAUAAAUCAAACAAAAUCAACUCCUUUUUUUACACAUUACAUCUCAUAUUCAUUUACAUUGAAACACAAAAAGGAAGCAGGAGUGGGAAAAAAACAACAGCAGAGGAACUUAUUUCCAUAAGGUUUACGAAAUAAGGAAUCUAUUAAAACCCAAAACUUGAGGUCACCACUAAGAAUUUGGUUCUCAUUAUUUUUUUCUUCAUUUUUCACCAAUUGAUGAACUUAAAAUACAAUCAUAAAUGAUAAAACCCCAUCUCCAUCUUUUUGAACUAGAGCUAAAGCAAAGCAUUUUAAGAUGUUUCAUCAUUUUUUUUUUUAAAAAAAACUCAAUAGUACAAUGUUUUUCAAUGCUAAAUGCACAAUUCAAUCUUCUCCUAAUUUACUCUAAUAAUCUCUUAAUUAAGGAAGAUUAAGCUUCAGUUGUAAGCUAAAACAAAUUUCUUAAAUCAAGCCCCAAUGCUUUAUGCUAUUCAACAAGGGCUCAUAAAUGAUAAAACUACUUCUAUAAAGAUACCCAUUUUCUAAAUUAAUUUCACAAACUGAAAUCAAACUCCUGAAACGUAACGAGCAUUAAUAUAAUCAAGCCCGAACAAGAAUUGAAAAAUGAUACAUAAACUCGUUUACACAUUUCGACAGACACUUUGCAAUCAAUGAGCAAAAAAUUAAUGGAGAAGAUAAAAUUCAAACGAAACAUGCCUUACAUUGAUAAAUUAGAAGGGCAAAAGAAAUUUUAGUACGAUAUGCGAUCAGGGUCUUGCCACGGUGAUGUUAUUUGUGAAGUUCGAGCGACUCAGCAGCCUUCGAGGUUGAAAAUUUGAUUGACCAAAAGCUUCCCGUUCGUUGAUUCUCUAAUAGUAGAAACGAGACUGGCAGUAUACACAAGAAGUUCGCCGAUUUUAAAUUCCGUUGUUUGAGAUGGAAAAUUUUUUGAAAAAAUUAAUGUGUUCGAUGAAAAUCAAAAUCUCAAAAACCUCUUGUUUUUCAUUUUUUUGGAAAAAACCAUUGAGAUCCUUACUAUUUUUUCUUAUAUCAUCUUCCUUAAUAAUUUGCAAAGUCUAUCGCAUAGCACCCAUGUAUGAUGUAUGCUGCGUUGUAAUUUACAAAAUUGCACAUGAAUAAAUCCAGCUAAAAUUUGUUAAAAGAAAAUAAUAAUAACAUGUUAAAACUUUAAAAUUUGAUUAUUCGAAGAAAUUUUAAUUUAGUUAAGUAGGUGACAUGAUAAUAAAUAGAUACGUAUAAUGUCCGAGAUUUUUUAUAAGAUUAAUAAAUAUGAUAAAUUUGGAUUAGUUCAAUUUUGACAUAAUUCAUAAUAAACACAGCUUGCUAAUCUAAAUUGCCACCGUUACUCAUCAUCAGGUACCUGUUUGAAAAAUAAUUACAAACAAUUUUAUUUGUGUUGUUUCUCUAAAAGUUUGAGACACAAAUGUUAUUUCAAAUUGAUAAAAGUACGAAAAUUCCCCCUUGCUCUUCAACUAAAAAUGAAACAUGCAAAUAUACACACUAAUUUAGAUGUGUGAAUAACAAAUAUGGAACGACACAUGCAAAGUCAUCUGUAUAAUUGAAACGCCAUGCACUAGUAGUAGGUAAGAGAAACCAAGGUUGAAGUUGCUCCAAUGGUUACUGUUAAUUUAUUUUUAUUUAUGAUUUUUUUUGUAAAAUGUAAGAAAUAUGUAGAAAUGUUGCCAGCAAUGAUUUUGGAACUUUGCAUAAAAUUUUUAUCAUUAUUGUUUUUGGUAUUAAGAAAUCCGAGGCGGUGAUUAGACGUAUGUUGCAACAAUUAAGAAAUUUCUUAUUGGAGAUAAUUUGGUAGGUUUGCAGCAAUUAGAGAAUAAUUUUCCUGCCAGUUAAUCAAUCAAUAAUAAAUUUCAAAUUGCAGAAAAUAAAAUAAUACAGCCUCACUUAGAAUCAUCUUUUCUAUCUCUUUCAAUUGUGGCAAUCAUUUGCAACAAAUAAAUCAAUUUGAUGCACAUCAUUUCCCCAAUUCAAAGUUCAAGUCACUGCUCAAUUACAGAGUAGUUAGUGGACAUGCAUGCAUGUUUAAUUAAGUACUGCAUUGUAGUAUCGAAAAUCAUAACAUCUCACCAAUAUCAGAUUAUUAACCAUGGAAAUCAUAUCACAAUAUCAUAUAGAAUUCACAAAUCUGAAAAUCAUCACCAAACAAGUACCCAGAGAAAUAAUCUCGUCAUAUCCAGACCUCAACGGACGGGCAAUGACGUACUAUUUGGGUAACGUCACACCCUGGAGCUACACGGAUAAAUAGGAAAAUACCAUCUCAUAUCUCAUCAUAUUUGUGCAUGCAUAAUCUAGUCCCCAAGGGACAAAAGCGCCCAAGCACACGGCCCAAAGCCUCUAUGUGUACUCAGACGGGCCCCAAAGGCCUGUAUCUCAUAUGUAUCAUAUGUAUCAUUUGUAUCUCAAUAUCUGUUUGUAUCUCAUUUCCGUAUAUCUAUAAUCAUCAUACCGCAUGCAUAUGCCCCCAAAAGACAAAAGCGCCCAAACACAUGGCCCAAAGCCUUUAUAUGUGUUUAGACGGGUCCCAAAAGCCUCUUAUCUCAUCUUAUCUGUAUCACUGUAUCUGGAGAGAAGGGUACUGUCUAAUGAUUUAAAAAACAAUCAUUAUACUCAUAUUUACAUACCUCUUAAUCAUAUUUGAAAUCAUAUCACAUUUGAAUCCACUUUUCUAAUCUUUAAAAUAUUAUCAUGCUUUAUUCAAAGUCGAUACGCAAAAUCAAUAACCAAACAUUUUAAAUCAAAUUAUUAACCAUGGAAAUCAUAUCACAAUAUCAUAUAGAAUUCACAAAUCUGAAAAUCAUCACCAAAUAAGUACCCAAAGAAAUAAUCUCGUCAUAUCCGGACCUCAACGGACGGGCAAUGACGUACUAUCUGGGUAACGUCACACCUUGGAGCUACACGGAUAAAUAGAGAAAUACCAUCUCAUAUCUCAUCAUAUCUGUGCAUGCAUAAUCUAGUCCCCAAGGGACAAAAGCGCCCAAGCACACAGCCCAAAGCCUCUAUGUGUACUCAGACGGGCUCCAAAGGCCUGUAUCUCAUAUGUAUCAUAUGUAUCAUUUGUAUCUCAAUAUCUGUCUGUAUCUCAUAUCCGUAUAUCUAUAAUCAUCAUACCGCAUGCAUAUGCCCCCAAAAGACAAAAGCGCCCAAACACAUGGCCCAAAGCCUUUAUAUGUGUUCAGACGGACCCCAAAAGCCUCUCAUCUCAUCUUAUCUGUAUCACUGUAUCUGGAGGGAAGGGUACUGUCUAAUGAUUUAAAAAAUAAUCAUUAUACUCAUAUUUACAUACCUCUUAUCAUAUUUGAAAUCAUAUCACAUUUGAAUCCACUUUUCUAAUCUUUAAAAUAUUAUCAUGCUUUAUUCAAAGUCGAUACGCAAAAUCAAUAACCAAACAUUUUAAUAAAAUACCAAUGCAUAAAUAAAAUUCAUUUCGAGAAAUCAUUAAAUCAGAACAUUUAAAAUACUUAUUUCGCAAACAUGCUUUACUAUCAUCGCUAACUAUGAAAAUAAGUUUUGUAUAUUCCACUUUCAGUGAUGGUGUUCACGGUCGGUUAUCGUCCAUAUCUGCAGACCGAUUCUCGCUCGCGAAUCCUCCUAAAUCAAGGAAACGACAUAAUUAUUUUUUGUAAAUCGGAAUUAUGACUAAAUUUUAUGCAAUAAACUCAAAACGAACAUCUAUUCAUAAUUGACAACUCCUAUAUCCAUAAAAUUACUAAAAUAUCCUUGAGUCCGUAGAUCAUUAACAUGCUCCGAAAUCGUAAAUCACUGAAUUACCCUCGGAAUCGUAAUUACACCCGAUCCUCAAUUAUAGGAAUUACUAACAGAUCCACAGGCUUAGAAAUUACAAAAUUGCCCUCGUAGUGUGAAAUUACCAAAAGCCGGAAGUUGGUCAACAAUGGCUAGGAAGCUCAAAUCGUAAAGUUCCAAUCACGCUGAGUUCAAUGGUACCGGCGGUGAGCUCCAACGCGCGACAACGAUGCCAGAAUCUAGCUCGGCAGCCGUGAAUUCCACCAAUCGACCGGCGGCACAACAGUGACUCUCGGUGCCUAUGGAUGGUCGAAAAUGGAAGAGGGAGCCGUGGGGAACAAAAUCCAACCGGUGGUGUCACCAAAACCGGUGAAAAUCCCGGCGGAGCAAAGUGAAACAGUCGCGGGUUUCAUGCUUCGAUCGCCGGUGUUCCGAUUGGUUUUUGGCGAGGAGGAUGGCAAGGGAACGACAGCCGGCUUCUAAGCUUCAGAUUGGUACCAAGCUCGGCCGAAACGAUGGCCGGAAAUGGGAGAUAUGACCGGGUCAAGGUCGCGGGUUCCGGGUCGGGUUUUUUGGUCUGUAGUUGGGUCGGUUUGGUAGCUUCUCUCUCACUCUCUGUUACACGUGCAUAUGUUUCCUCUGUUUCCAGCUUAUUCUUUUGCUUUUACUAACUUCUUAACCGCCUCAUACUUAUUCAUUUUUAAUUCACAUAUGUUACAAUAAUUCCCGAGUAUUAAAUAACCAGUGGUCAUAAUUUUUGUACAAGAUUCUUUUUUUUUUUUGGAGAUCGUUAAAAGUGGUUGACGAUCCAUUUCGUAAUAUCAUAGAGGGAUCAUCAAUUCCUUUUCUUUUCUGUGGCUAGGCAACACUUUUUGGCCAAAGUAAGGAAAUCUAUUUUAGGUAAUGUAAAAACCAGUUGUAGGAUGUAAUAGUUUAUUAUGCACUGACAAUAACUUUUUGUAUAAUUGUCAGUUUAAUGAAUGCAAGAGGAACUCUGUUGGCAAAUUCAUCCAAGAUAGAUGCUAAAAUUAUUUAUGCAUGCCAGUUGCCUUAACUAAGUUUUCUCAGCACUGGUUUUGAACAGGAAAAUGAAUAUGCAAUUUGUAUAUUGUGCCAUAGUGGAGAAUUUGGAUAUUCUUAUUUAAGUAACAAGGAGAUUAUUUGCCUCAUCUUUAAACAAUGAAUCUUUGAGAGAUGAGGAGUGGGUGAUUGGAUGUGUCUUCAUGUAAUUGUUCAUUUAUUUGUAUUUUGAACUGUUAUGAAAAUCUUUAUAUGCCAAAUUAGUAAUACAAGUAUUCAGAUGAUUUUUCCUAUUGAUCAUGCAUUUGUAUCUGCCCACAACCAUUGUAUAUCACUUUAUUCUGAUGCGCAAGCAUCUGUAAUUUAGAAGAAAAGAAAUAAUAAUCAUAUUUUAUUGCUUGGUUCAUGAUUAUUAACGAUUAUGGCUUUAAAAAUCUACAAAUUUCUUGUGUUCAUGUAUGAAUGUGCCAAGUUUGCUGUAUCUUAGAUUACCUUCUUCCAAGGUAACAAGUUCAUAUAUAUAUAUUUUUUAAAUCAUUUUCCAUUACAGUUGAAUUUCAAGUGUUAGUUUUGUUAUUAGUACCUGGUUUCCUGUUAUAAGGAUCUAAUAAACAGUGUACGGAUAUGUGCUCUACUUUUGGAGGGCUUCCACGUGAAAGAAAAUUACAACAAUUGAAUUCUUCCGGAGGAUAUGGUAAUUAAUUUAUUUUCUCAACUUCUUGUAAGACUAAUAUAUUUCCUUCAGUAGGCACAGCAUGGUGGGAAGGGUUUUUAUUGAAAGAAUUCUGAUAUUUCUUAGACUUUGUUUUGGAAGGGGGUGGAGGAAUUUCUCAUCCAUAUAUGGUUACUUGAUUAGCUUUUGACUGUAUUGUCUCUGUCGUGCAAAGGAAAAUCUAAAUACUAACGAUGGGGAAUUGCUUAGGCACCCAAAAGGCAGAAAUGAAUUACAGAAGGAAGUUUUUGCUGCUUUAUUUAGUGCUGCUGAGAAAUCUGAUGAAUUUCCUGAAAUUACGGUGAAGACCGAGUGGAGGUCCAAAGCAUUAGGAAAGGUGGUGAGUGAACUGCCGGAGGAAUUUGUACCAAAAUACAAGGCUAAUGUGGUGCACUUGCAGCAAGAUAACCAGACCGGUAUGUGCUCUUAUAUUAACUAUAUUGACUGGAUUUGUGAGUGUGUGCAUUUUUUUGUGUAUACUCACUUUUGUAUUUAUGCAUAUUAACAUGUGUAGGAUUCUUGAUUUCUGCCACUUACUGGAGAACUAGUGGAAAGCUUUAUAUUGAUAUAUCUGCAAUAACUAAUGGAAACUAUGAUAUGAAUAUUUUCUCUCACCUGGGGAGCUGUGUAACAGAUAUACUUUGUGGCUCUGGAAUGCUGAAGAUUCUGCAAUAACUAAUGGAAAAUAUGAUAUGAAUAUUUUGUCUCACCUGGAGAACUUUGUUACAGAUACCCUUUGUGGCUCUGGAAUGUCUAAAGAAUGCUUUAGUUAGAUCAAAUAUCUUUUAGUUAGAAAAGAUAAAAUUCUCUGAGUCUGAAAGACUGAAACAUUUUGCAUAUUUUGUGAAAGGGAAAUAUCUGUUGAUACUAGCUCAUGCAUUGAGGUAAUAUCGAUGUUAAAGAAAAACAGCAAUGAUUUAUGAUAUAGAAUUGGGUUCACUUGCUUCAAAUGCUGGUCUGAUCAACCAUAUCAACCUGUAAUGAUUCUGCAGAAAUAUAUAUACAUGGAGAAAGUAGCUAAAUUUUUCUUUCAUUUAUGGGUUCGGUCUUUUUUCCCCUUAUUUUUCAGCUUUCCUUCUCCUGAAGUAUGUUAACAAUUGCAGAUAAUGAUGAAGACGACAGCUUCCGGGCUCUCCUUAGAGCCGUGAUGGAAUAUAGGGGCACAAUGAAGGAAUAUUGUAAAGCUGUAGGUACUUUUUCUCCUUUCAUUUAUGUUUUCUCACACAUUUUGUAUAUGCCCUGAACAUGCACCUUUGUAUGUAUCAAUUGACUUUUAAAUUUUAAAAGCCAUAAAGUAAGAAUACGGUUCCUUGUCAGGCUACUGAUGACAUUCGCUCAGGGGGAUCAUGUUCGAGCAGGAAAAUUUCUAGAACAGGUAAGGUUUCCAUCUACAGCCAUCCAUUGACAGCAGAUACAUUUUCAUUCAGCAGACUCUGUUAGCAUUCAAGAUGCUGGCAGAUUCACUUGAUUCUUAUUAGCUUGUUUAGUGGCAAAGCCUAUAACCUGUAUUUCAAAGCCAAGUUGUGCUAUUGAUUAUGUUAACUUUUUUGUUAACAUAAAAUGAUAUGGAGGAAAUAAUCAGUGUUGGAAAAUUAGGUGAAAAGAUGAUGUCAAAUCUUGAACCUCUUACGAAACUCUAAGUUCUUUACUUGAAGAGGCUACGAAAUUUGAACAGCGUCUACUCGAAGGCCUUGCCAUUCCCUGAUGCAUGCAGAAUUUUUGUAUUUAAAUGCCCAGAGCUUAAGAAGCUGCCACUGGAUCUUGAAGGGGCAGACCAAGGUAAAAAUCUUAUCAAGGGAAAGGAAGAUUGGUGGAAACAACUUAAUGGGAGGAUCAAGUAACUCAGAAUGCAUUGCUUCCAUUUUUUAAAUUGACUGACAAGUGAUUGAACGGGGCAUCAUCAACAUCAUCAACAGGGAUGGAGAGAUACCGGAGCAGAUCAGCAGGGUUUGAAUAUGACCUUUGGCGGUUGCUUUUUUUUUGUGAUUUUUUUUUCAUUUUUUCCUUCCUGUCAUUUUAUCAUUUCUUUCUCUGUUUCUAUUGCGGGUGUUACUGCAUGCUUACUGUUGCUUGACAAAGUUUGCUAGCUUUUUGUUUGCAGUGUUGCUAUACACUCCGAGUCAAGCCUCGAAAAUUUAUUAAACGAAGCCGUUUCGACAGUAACAAUUCUUUUCUUUUCCCUUUGCAUGUCUCUUUCAUCUGCUGUUUCUCUAUCACUUUUCAUUUUUGAUUUCCUUGCUUCUCAGCUGCCCCUAAAUUGUUAUUCUAGCAAUAUACUUUCUCAUCUUUGAAUUUUCAUCCUUGAGUACUCCCACAGCCGUAAUUUCAUCAUCAUAGACUUCACUUGGAAUGCUGUAUUUUUUCGAUUCUUGAGCUACUUCAAUUACAUCUUAGUAUAGGAUCCUCAUCUUCCUUUAUUUCUUCAUCUUAUGAGGUAAUAAAUGGAUUUCACAACUCAUCUACUUUUAAGCAAUUACAUAUUAUACCUUGAAUGAUUCAACUGUUCUGACAGUUAAAGAUUUUAUGCUCAACCUGCAGUGCUACGAACAUUGUCCAUGAAAGAUGAGUUUCAGCAUAUAAAAUGAAAUAUAGAUGUUUAAUCUAAAAUAACCCUUCACUGCCAGAAACCUAGGUCACAAAAUUCACAGAUAAUGAUAAAGAGCUAAAAAAUUUGAAAAACUCUACAGAUCACACAUCAAGCAAGAUAUCAUGUUUUUUUCCCUCAUUCAGUGGUGAUUGAUUCGCUUUUUGAUGAUGGAUAUGGUAUAAAAGUGUUGACCCAAUUUCAAGCAAACACAAAUAGAAACACAAACACAAUCGGGACUAGAGUUGUGGGCGAUUAUCUUAGGUGUACAAGUGAAACGGUGGUGGCUGUCGAUGGUGGUAGUGGGGUGGUUGGGUAUGCGUGAUGGCUAGAUUUUAGGACAAUAAUGAUUGGAGUUGACCUCAAUCAACGAAGGAAAGUGACAACAAUUUUGACAUCAAACGGUGCAUUUUUUAGCUUAGUAAAAUGGAGCCGUUUCGAUUUUGGGGUUUAAUCCGGGGUUUGACUCGGUGCAAGUAUCAUUUUCCUUUUGUUUAUUAAAUUUUUUUAUGGUCACAAAGUAUCACUCGUUCUAUUUGAGAGUCAUGUGAAUCAAUUUUUCAAAUUUUCAAUUUUAAAUUUUGUGGUCAAUGUGAAUUCAAUUUCAUUUGUCUCCUGCAAUUAUGAAAAAAUUAAAUAGUCAUAAUAUGGAAAAAUACACCGGUAAAAACUUUGUAAAAGCUUCGGAGUGAUACGGGGAAUUCACUUACUACUAAGGACAAUUGGUGGCAAGCUAUUCCAUUCAUUUUAUGUCCAUCCAUCUAUUUAGUUAUUGAAGAUAAGUGGUCCAUUUGUAAAUUUCAGAUUGUCUCUCUCUCCCUCUUGAAAUAACAAUAUUUAAUAUAUCUCAUAAAUUAUUAUAAAUUUUAAUUUACUCUCGAUUUAAAAUGGAGCAUGUCGAUAAAUUUUUUUUCUUCUUAAUAAAAUUGACGUAAGUUGUGUUUACAGUAGUUUGAAGUUUGAAAUAUUUUAAAGAUUAUUAUUCUAUAAGGGAGUAAUAUGAAAUGAUAUUUACUUUUCAUGUGUGAAAUGAAAAAGGACGAAGCAAGUGUCCCUGCUUUUAUUUUAUUUCAAGGAGGAGUCAUCUCACAUACUUUAGCUCUUAACAUUACAUUUUUUCUGGUUACAUUUUUUAUUUAUUUAUUUUUUUUUUUUUACACAUGCGUGUGGGUUGCUUUUCUGUAAGCUCCUUAAUAUAUAUUUAAGACAAAUCAUGGAAGAGAUGGGAUUAUAUCAAGAUGAUCAAAGAAUGUUAAAAAAGAAAAAAGAAAAAAAAAAGAAGUAAGACACUGAAAAUGGAGAAGAGAUGGAAGCAAAAGAUAUUCCAAAACAAAGCAAUCUAUCCCCUUUCGAGGGCAGACUUAUCAGGUUUAAAAAAGUACACGCUUUGGAUUGGUAGUUGCAAUCAAGGGAAAAUAAAUAGGAUCCAAUGAAAUUUAAAUCUCGGAGAAAAUAAAUAAUCAUGCAGAUUUUCAAGAUUUUAAUAAGGGAUACUAAUAUCUUAUUUUGAUUAAUAAUAUCCUUUCAUUGUGUUAACUCAAAAAAUAUAUAUUUUAAUGUUUUGCAAUAAACAGAAACGUACUAUUAAAAUGAAUAUAUAAAGAAUUUAGAAAAUUUUGAAUGUUAUAUAAAAUAAUUUUAAGAUAAUGCGUGAGAUAUAUUUUAUUAAUUUAAAAUGUUAUUUUACCUAAAAAAUAUGAUAAAUUAAUAAUUACAUAUUUGAAGUUAUUUUAAAUAUUAAAAAAAUUUAAUAUUAUUAAUCUUUUAGAUAGAUUAAAUUAUUUUUUAUAAGAGAUAGAUUAAAUUAUUUUAAAAUACGUUAAUUGUUUUUACUUUUAACGUUACCGGCCUUUCUUUUAUUUUAUUGCAAAUUAAUGCUAACAAGAAAAAGCUAGAUCAUAUUCCACAAAAGCAAAAGUGACAAACACAACCAGCUGGAAUCUUUUAAUUACUAUUCAAUAAUUCGAGACGAUUAGGGUCUUUUAUUAAACUACAAAUUGUAUAGUCUUUUUAAAAUUGUUAUAAAUUGGUGGCACCUACAAUCCUCAAUAAUUGUACCGAUAUUCACAAGUUGGUGGCCCCUACAAUUCUGUUCGGAUAAUUUAACUGUGCAAGUGCUCAUUCACAAUAAUUGUUUUGUUUUUUUUUUCUGCAUUCCCUUUCAUGCUCUUAAUAAUUGAAGAGCAUACUUUUCAUUUUCAAAUGUGGAGCCGCAGCUAAUGUCGCUAAUUUAAUUUGGGAUUAAAUUAGGGGACCAUUAUAUUGCAGUGUGCACUAAUUUUUGUGUUUAUCUAAACUCCUUAAAUUUAAGACAUAUUAUGGCAUAAAUAAGAAUAUAACAAUAGCAAAAGAGUUAAAAAGUGUAGAGAAGAUCUUGCAGAAAUAUAAAUAAUAUCUAUUUUAAAAUAAUAUCAAUAUUUAAAAUAAUUUUUAAUAUUUUAUGAUUCAUUAGAUAUAUUUUAUUAUAUUAAAGUAAAUUUUAUAAUAAAUAAAAACAUACUAUUAAAAUGAAUAUAUAGAAAAUUUAGAGUAUUUUAAGUAUUAUAUAAAAUAAUUUUAAUAAAAUAUGUGAGAUAUUCAUAUUUUAUUAAUUUAAAAUACCAUUUAACCUAAAGAUUUAUUUAUGAUAAAUUAAUAAUUAUAUUUUUGAAGUUACUUCAAAUAUUAAAAAUAUUAAUAUUACUAAUCUAUUAGAUAGAUUAAAUUAUAUAUAUUAUUUUCUAUUUAUUAAAAAAUUUAAAAUUAUUUUUAAUUACUAUUCAAAAAAUAUAAUGAUAAAAAAGAAUCUUAACAUCUUUAUUAAAAAUUUAAAAAUUUACAUGAUCAAUUCUCUAAAUAUUUAGGGUUAUAUGUGAACAACGGUGGAGAAGCUUUAUUUAAUAUUAUUGAUUUAAAUAAUAUGUCAAUUAAAAAUGUACAGAGAAGGAAAUUUCGGUGGGUAUUUUAGUCUUUUCAGCAAUUAUCAUGAUCAGAUCAGCCUUUAGCCUUGAAUCGUCGGUCAGAAAAGUUUUAAAAUUAACGCUAACAAGAAAAAGCUAGGUCAUAUUCCACAAAAGCAAAACUGACAAAACAACCAGCUGGUUUCUUUUACUAAACUACAAAUUAAAAGUGGAUUCUUUUGAAUGCAAGUGGGACAGACGAUUAGGCUCUUUUUAUUAAAGGCAAGUAAAAACUAGUCGAAUAGUCUUUUUCAAAUUGUUGUUUUAUUAUUUUUCCUUCAAAAGUUAGUGUGGCUCAUGUUUGCAGGUGCGAAUGUGGGUCCCGAAUCAUUACUAAAAUUUCUAUUCCACAGCCCACCGCAGCUUCAGUUAAUCAAACUCAAAUCAAUUUUCUUUCUUAACAAAAUAUUCCAAAGAUGUGUAGCAUUUUUCAGAUCACAUGCGAUGGUGCUCUUUUCAAUCGUUGCUUGGAUUGCUUUCUUGGAAAAGCAGCAUACAUACGUAACCUCCAAGAUAAUGUUGAUACCUUGGGCACUGAAUUGGGAAAUCUGAUCGCUAGAAAGAACGAUCUGAUGAGGAGGGUUGUCGAUGCUGAACGGCAACAAAUGAGAAGGCUGGACGGAGUGCAAGUGUGGGUUUCGAGGGUGGAUUCUGUUAAAACUGAAGCUGAUCAAUUUAUAAGAGACGGCUCUCGAGAAAUUGAAAAAUUAUGUGUUGGAGGCUACUGUUCCAAGAAUUGCAUGUCAAGCUACAAGUUCGGGAAAAAAGUGGCUAAAAAGCUACGGGAUGUGCGGACUUUAAUCAGUGAAGGAGUUUUUGAGGUGGUGGCUGACAGAGCUCCAGAGUCUGUAGCAGAUGAAAGACCUACUGAGCGAACAGUAGUAGGCUUGCAAUCACAACUUGAACAAGUCUGGAGAUGUCUUGUAGAAGAAUCAGCGGGAAUCAUUGGCCUAUAUGGUAUGGGCGGUGUUGGUAAAACUACACUACUGACCCAUAUCAACAAUAAAUUUCUCGAGAGUCCAACCAACUUUGAUUGUGCGAUUUGGGUUGUAGUUUCAAAAGACCUGCGACUCGAAAAAAUUCAAGAAGAUAUUGGGAAAAAGAUAGGUUUGGUUGGUGAUUCAUGGAAGAGUAAAAGUGUAGAGGAGAAAGCUGUCGACAUCUUCCGGAGUUUAAGAGAGAAGAGAUUUGUAUUGUUGUUAGAUGAUAUAUGGGAGCGGGUUGAUUUAACAAAGGUGGGCAUUCCACUUCCCGGACCAAAAAAUACUACCUCAAAAGUCGUAUUCACAACCCGUUUCAUCGAUGUUUGUGGUAGCAUGGAAGUUGACAGGAAGUUUCAAGUAGCAUGCUUAUCAGAAAAGGAUGCUUGGGAACUGUUUCGAGAAAAAGUUGGGGAGGAAACUCUUCAGAGUCAUCAUGAUAUCGAUGAGCUAGCCCAAAUUGUGGUCAAAGAGUGUGGUGGUUUGCCACUCGCACUUAUUACUAUUGGUCGAGCUAUGGCCUACAGAAAGAAAGCGGAGCAGUGGAGACGUGCAAUUGAAGAGUUAAGGAGAUCAGCUUCAGAGUUUGCAGGUUUGGGAAAAGAGGUUUAUCCUCUUUUAAAAUUCAGCUAUGAUAGUUUGCAGAAUGAUACGGUUAGAUCUUGUUUCUUGUACUGUUGUUUAUAUCCUGAAGAUUAUGGCAUUCUUAAAUGGGACUUGAUUGAUUGUUGGUUUGGCGAGGGAUUUUUUGGGGAAUCUGACAGGUCUGGUGCAGAAAACCAAGGAUAUGACAUUUUGGACACUCUUGUUCGUGCGUGUUUAUUAGAAGAGGUGGAAGAUGAUGAAGUAAAAAUGCAUGACGUUAUUCGUGAUAUGGCUAUAUGGAUAACUUGUGAAAUUGAGAAGGAGAAGAGAAACUUUUUGGUUCGUGCAGGUGCUGGAUUAAAAGAUGCACCGGGUGUUAAAGGAUGGGAAAAUGUGAGAAGAUUGUCAUUGAUGCAAAACCAAAUUGAAACUCUGGCAGAGGUUCCCACAUGCCCUCAUCUCCAUACUCUAUUUCUUGACUUUAAUAGGGGGUUGGAUAUGAUCGCGGAUGGCUUCUUUCAAUUUAUGCCUUCUCUCAAAGUUUUGAAGAUGUCAAACUGUUCGAAUUUGAAAUUACCUGUUGGGAUGUCAGAGUUGGGUUCAUCACUAGAACUUCUUGAUAUUUCAGAAAACAGCACAAGAGAGUUACCGGAAGAGUUAAAGAAGUUGGUAAAUCUGAAAUGUUUGAAUUUGAGGUGGACAGAGCAUUUAAAUAAAAUUCCACGGCAACUAAUAUCAAAUUCUUCAAGGUUACGUGUGUUGAGAAUGUUCGCUACUGGCCGGUUCAAUUUUCAUGAAGCACCAGAAGACAGCGUUUUAUUUGGUGGGGGUGAAGUUUUGAUACAGGAAUUGCUCGGUUUGAAAUAUUUAGAGGUAUUGGAGUUGACCUUGGGAAGUUAUCAUGCUCUCCAAAUUCUUUUGAGCUCAAAUAAGUUAAAAAGUUGUAUUCGAUCUCUUUACCUCGAGUUGACCGGAGAUACAACGUCAAUUAUUGAUGCUACGGCUUUCGCAGAUCUAAACCACCUCAAUGAAUUACGGAUUGAUAAUGGUAUUGAGUUGGAAGAGUUGAAGAUUGAUUAUACGGAGAUAGUACGAAAAAGGCGGGAACCUUUUGUUUUCCGCAGCCUUCAACGUGUUACCAUAGCGGAGUGCCAUAAAUUGAAAGAUGUGACAUUCCUCGUUUUUGCUCCAAACCUCAAGUCUCUUCGGCUAUUCUAUUGCGGUGCUAUGGAAGAAAUAAUCAGCGUCGGAAAAUUUGCUGAGACUCCUGAGAUGAUGGGACAUAUAAGCCCUUUUGAAAAUCUCCAAAUGCUUGAUUUACAAGGUUUGCCACAUUUGAAGAGCAUCUUCUGGAAGCCAUUGCCUUUCACUCAUCUGAAAGAAAUGGAGGUACUUAGGUGCGAUCGGCUUGAAAAGCUUCCACUCGAUUCCAACAGUGCAAAGGAGCGCAAAUUUGUUAUUCGUGGAGAAGAAGACUGGUGGAACCGACUUCAAUGGGAGGAUGAAGCCACUCAAAUUGCUUUUCGUUCCUGUUUUAAAAGUGAUGCUUUAUUUAUAUCUUAUUCGUGAAAAGUGAUUUAAUUUCCUGCCAAAAGACGAACGAGAAGAACAAUAGAGUCAAACUAAUGCUCACAUAAAUUUCCCGUAAGAAUAUAUAAUUAGAUUGGAAUGCACACCUCUAGAUUGAACAGAAUUAAAGCUGAGAAAAUAUUGAGUAUAGUAGCCCUCUUUACAGAAAAUGACGUGAAAGUUAAUUUAGAAAGAUAUAUUCUUGAUUAAUCCAUUUUCUGAAGUUUUUAUUUUGUAUGGUCAAUUAUACCUUCAUACUAAAAAUUUCUGAAGUUAUAAAUUAGUGCAACUUGACAAUUUUUACUGAUGAUAUCUUCUAUUUUUCCCUUUUUUUUUUUUUCACUUUCAUAGACUGGCAGCGGAUCCUGCGGCACCAAUUUGAGAGAAUAUACUGACACUACUUCGAACAGCAAGCAGAAGAAGUAAUAUGUCUACGGCAAAGGCAAUGGAGUCCUCAUUUUGGCUCGAGAUGCAGUAAUCAUCGAAGAGAGUUUCCUUGUGAAACUGGGCAACACAUUGAAUCCCUUCACCACUGAGAAGGUUGUGGAGGAAGUAAGCUUUCUCUCCAGUGAGGAAGAGGUGGCAUAUACCUUCCCCAUUUUGUUGAGGGCAGGUAGGAAUCUUUUUUCUAAGAGAUUUACUUCGUUCUCUGUAAGAAAUGCUUUGAACUUCAUCCCUCUGUCUCUAUCCUCACUUAUCAGGAAAUAAGUUGAAAGCACUAUGAAGAGAGAGAGAGAGAGAGAGAGAGAGAGAGAGAGAGAGAAUUAAGAUAUAUAGACAAGAAAAAUAUUUGACGUUGAUCUUACAAACUAAUACUUCAAGCAGUAUCCUAGAAAGCUAAAAACUGCAAGAUGGCUUGAAAUUUGAAAAGAGCACAUGCUUUUCCUCCUUAACUUGAGAAAAUGUUUAAUAUAGUGCACCUUACAGAAGCAUUUAAGCAAUUAGAACUUUGCACAAAAACAUCAAGAAGACUAAACAAGUCAGAUGCAGUGUAUUUGUCCAAGCACAAAUUGCAUUUUUUCCUCAACUUUAAUAUUUAUUGAUGAGAAUCAAUACAGGUCCCUCAUUUGUUAUAGAAAGCUUUCUUUCUUGUAGUCUCACCAGUUAAUUCAGAGGUCUAUAAUCAUCUUGCAAAGUUAAGGGCAUUUCUUUUGAUCUAAAGUCUUUGCAUCACCACCUCAUCACACGCCAAGCCAAUAUUCCAUUUACCUCUACAACAAAAAGUUUUAAUUAAACAAUCCUAAUGCACGCAGCCAAAUAAAAUGCAGUAAGAAUAUUCAACUUAAAAAUCUGAAAGCCAACUUGGUGAAUUGCCUCCUUAGGUGAAGUUCCAUGCUUUACUAUAGUUGACAGAACUCAGCAAAAGCUUCCAUACAACAGAUUUUGAAAAUGAUGAUGCCAACAGAUACUCAUUCAAUGCAUUGAAACUCCAAAGGUUCAUUGUUCAUAGAAGUUUACAGAGUUUUGGUCAUCAAAUAGCUCAGACCUAAUCCCAAACAAAAAAUGAGUGAAAAUUAGAUCACGAGCAGCUAAUUGUAAAUUCUAACUUAACUCUUCAUCUCCUUUGUAAACAAGAAACAAAAUGGAGACACGCAAAAUGAAUAUGGAGAAAAUUUGAACUCAAAUGAAAUGAGGGCAUGAAAGCAAACAAAUGGCAUGCACCAAAAAACCAAGCCUCAAUCAAAAACUAAUUAACCAUUAAGAAAAAAAUUGGUCAGAGAAUGAACUCCAAAUUCAGGAGUCAAGCAAGAAGCUUUCAUUAUUAUCAAAGUCAAUUAUCUUUGUUAGUAUGCGAGUGUGACGACUAUAGGUUGUUCUUUUUCUAAUGUCAUAUGAUUCCAAUUUUAGGUACAGGGCAUCUCUCUCUCUCUCUCUCAUCGCUAAGUGGAUAUUUUUCUCUUUUGUCAUAUACUUUAGUUAUUCUUCAAUUUACUAACUAAAAUGAAGGCCGCUUUAUUAAGAAGUUAUAUCCAGUUAUAUAAUUUGUUGUAUUUAAUAUAUGUUUGGGCUCAUAAUUUUUUUUAAAAAUAUAUAUUUCAUUCUCCAUAAUUUUUUCCCAUCAUAGCUACGAAACGUCUUAGUUUCGACUAAAAUCCUAAAAUUGGUCCUUAAUUGAAUAUGCAUUGCAAUUUGCAAAUGUAAUAUUGUGAAUGGGACACUGGAGAUACCAAAAUGGUCAAAUGCGAAAUAAGUUAGGAUUGUACGAUGUAGUUUGUAUUCAUAUUCAAUGCCUUUUUUUUCAAAAAACAAAUUGAAAUGCCAUUACUAAACGAUUCUUGAUGAUGGGAGCCACCGUGCCAGCUUUGUCGCUGAUUUGGUAUUAUUCUUAACUUGCAGAUAGUUGUGGAUAUGAUAUGCAAAAAGGUAAGGACUAUAUCUUCUUGAUGGAGGCCUCUGAUUUUUUCCCUUCUAUGUAAUUUAGUAAAUCGCAUUUUCCCUUGUGAUUGAUAUAUCAUACCAAAGUCAAGUCUUAAAUACUGCUGUCAUAUGUUAAGGUUCAACUUCCAUUUUGAUUAACGUCCAUUUGCUGCUGCUUCCAAAAGUGAGAAUGAGAUACUUUGGUUAAUUUCAGUAGUUGAACCCAAUAGAGUACUUUAUUUAGAUCUUCAUGGUUCAAAGGCCUGAAAAAACUUGCCGGUAUUUGCAAAAUGACAUUCUGUGCUUUUAUUUAGGCUUAUUAUUUAAGUGAUAAAAACUCCCGUAACCUGCUGUCAAGAAAAUUUCAGAUUGUUAAAAGACAACAUUUUGUUUCAGCCAAAAAUGUUUGUUUCGAUUAAAGACUUGAACCAUUUUCAUUUAACCUUGAUUGUGAUGCUUUACAUUAUGCAUGUUCCUCUCAAUCAAUAAAAGUUGAGGUCAUGAUUUUAUAUUUCUAUUUUGUAACUUGAAAUAAUUGGUCUGCCUGUUUCUGUAGCUUGAUAACAUGAAUUUUUCCUUCUGAAGUUAAUUUGAUCAAUAAAGUAAUUCUUCGGAGAUGAUAUGCCCAUUCUAUAGUCAUUUUCUUAGGUAACAUGUUUUUUCUUCACUCUUCAGAGCAUGUCUAAACUAAUUGAUCGCUCAGCGGAGACUUUGGGUGAGAAGACAAAAUUUCUUGGUAAAUCCUCUAAAAAGGUAUGCAUAAUUCCCGAGUAUUAAAUAAUCAUUGGUCAUAAUUUUUGUACACAACUCUUUUUUUGGAGAUCGUUAAAAGUGGUUGAUGAUCUAUUUUGUAAUAUCAUAGAGGGAUCAUGAAUUCCUGUUCUUUUCUGUGGCUAGGCAACACUUUCGGGCCAAGCUAAGGAAAUCUAUUUUAGGUAAUGUGAAAACCAGUUGUAGGAUGUAAUAGUUUAUUAUGCCCUGACAAUAACUUUUUGUAUAAUUGUCAGUUUAAUGAAUACAAGAGGAACUCUGUUGGCAAAUUCAUCCAUGAUAGAUGCUAAAAGUAUUUAUGCAUACCAGUUGCCUUAACUAAUUUUUCUCAACACUGGUAUUGAACAGGAAAAUGAAUAUGCAAUUUGUAUAUUGUGCCAUUGUGGAGAAUUUGGAUAUUCUUAUUUAAGUAACAAGGAGAGUAUUUGCCUCAUCUUUAAACAAUGAAUCUUUGAGAAAUGAGGAGUGGGUGAUUGGCAGUGUCUUCAUGUAAAUGUUCAUUUAUUUGUAUUUUGAACUAUUAUGAGAAUCUUUGUAUGCCAAAUUAGUAAUACAAAUGUUCAGAUGAUUUUUCCUGUUGAUCAUGCGUGUGUAUCUGCACACAACCAUUGUGUCCCACUUUAUUCUGAUGCACAAAUAUCUGUAGUUUAGAAGAAAAGAAAUAAUAAUCAUAUAUUAUUGCUUGGUUCAUGAUUAUUAAACGAUUAUGGCUUUAGAAAAUCCACAAAUCCUUUGUGUUCAUAUAUGAAUGUGCGAAGUUUGCUAUCUCUUAGAUUACCUUCUUCCAAGAUAACAAGUUCAUAUAUUUUUUUUAAUCCUUUUUCAUCACAGUUGAAUUUCAAGUGUAAGUUUUGUUAUUAAUAGCUGGUUUCCUGUUAUUAUGAUUUCAUAAACAGUGAGAGGAUAUGUGCUCUACUUUUGGAGGGCCUCCACAUGAAAGAAAAUUGCAACAAUUGAAUUCUUCCGGAGGGUAUGGUAUUUAAUUUAUUUUCUCAGCUUGUUGUAAGACUAAUAUAUUUCCUUCAGUACCCAAAAGGACAGAAAUGAAUUACGGAAGGAAGUUUUUGCUGCUUUAUUUAGUGCUGCUGAGAAAUCUGAUGGAUUUCCUGAAAUUACGGUGAAGACGGAGUGGAGGUCCAACGCAUUAGGAAAGGUGGUGAGUGAACCGCCGGAGGAAUUAGUACCAGAAUACAAGGCUAAUGUGGUGCACUUGCAGCAAGAUGACCAGACCUGUAUGUGCUCUUAUAUUAACUAUAUUGGUUGGAUUUGUGAGUGUGUACAUUUUUGUGUGUAUACUCACAUUUGUAUUUAUGCAUAUUAACGUGUGUAGGAUUCUUGAUUUCUGCCACUUACUGGAGAACUAGUGGAAAGCUUUAUACUGAUAUAUGUGCUAUAACUAAUGGAAACUACAAUAUGAAUAUUUUCUCUCACCUGGAGAACUGUGUAACAGAUAUAAUUUGUGGCUCUGGAAUACUGAAGAUUCUGCAAUAACUAAUGGAAAAUAUGAUAUGAAUAUUUUUUCUCACCUGGAGAACUUUGUAACAGAUACAUUUUGUGGCUCUGGAAUGUCUAAAGAAUGCUUCAGUUUAGAUCAAAUAUCUUUUAGUUAGAAAAGAUAAAAUUCUCUGAAUCUGAAAGACUGAAACAUUUUGCAUAUUUUGUGAAAGGGAAGUAUCUGUAGAUACUAGCUCAUGCAUUGAGGUAAUAUCAAUGUUAAAGAAAAACAGCAAUAAUUUAUUAUACAGAAUUAGGUUCACUUGCUUUAAAUGCUGGUCUGAUCAACCAUAACAACCUGUAAUGGUCCUGCAGAAAUAUAUAUACGGGGAGAAACUAGCUAAAUUUUCCUUUCACUUAUGGGUUUGGUCUUUUUUUCCCCUAUUUUUCAGCUUUCCUUCUCCUGAAGUAUGUUAACAAUUGCAGAUAAUGACGAAGAGGACCGCUUCCAGGCUCUUUGUAGAGCUGUGAUGGAAUAUAGGGGCACAAUGAAAGAAUAUUGUAAGGUUGUAUGUACUUUCUCUCUUGUCAUUUAUGUUUUCUCACACAUUUUGUUUAUGCCCUGAACAUGCAGCUUUGUAUGUGUCAAUUGCCUUUUACGUUUUAAAAGCCAUAAAGUAAGAAUACAGUUCCUUGUCAGGCUAUUGAUGCGUUCGCUCAGAAGGGUCAUGUUCAAGCAGGAAAACUUCUAGAACAGGUAAGGUUUCCAUCUACAGCCAUCCAUUGACAGCAGAUAUAUUUUCAUUAAGCAGACACUGUUAGCAUUCAAGAUGCUGGCAGAUUCACUUGAUUCUUAUUAGUUUGUUUAGUGGCAAGGCAUAUAACCUGUAUUUCAAAGCCAAGUUGUGCUAUUGAUUAUGUUAACUUUAUUGUUAACAUAAAGUGAUAUGGAGGACAUAAUCAAUGUAGGAAAAUUAGGUGAAGAGAUGAUGUCAAAUCUUGAACCUCUUACAAAGCUCCAAGUUCUUUACUUGAAGAAGCUGCCAAAUUUGAAGAGCGUCUACUGGAAGGCAUUUCCAUUCCCAGAUGUAUGCAGAAUUUUUGUAUUAAUGCCCAGUUCUUAAGAACCUGCCACUGGAUUUUCAAGGGGUGGGCCAAGGUAAAAUUCUUAUCAAGGGAAAGGAAGAUUGGUGGAAAGAACUUCAAUGGGAGGAUCAAGCAACUCAGAAUGCAUUGCUUCCAUUUUUCAAAUCAACUGACAAGUGAUUGAAGGGGGCAUCAUCAACAUCAUCAACAGAGAUGGAGAGAUUCUGGAGCAGAUCAGCAGGGUUUGUAUAUGAUCUUUGGUGGUUGCUUUCUUUUGUGAUUUUUUUUUUCUUCCUGUCAUUUUAUCAUUUCUUUGUCUCUUUUUUUAUUGCUGAUGUUAGUGUAUGCUUACUGUUGCUUGACAAAGUUCGCUUGCUUCUUGUUUAUUAAAUUUUUUAUCGUCACAAAAUAUUACUUGUUCUAUUUGAGAGUGAUGUGAAUCAAUUUUCAAUUAUAUAUUUUGUGGUCAAUGUGAAUUCAAUUUCAUUUGUCUCCUGCAAUUAUGAGAAAACUGCAGAGUCAUAAUAUGGAAAAGUACACCAGCAAAAACUUUGUAAAAGCUUCGGAGUGAAACAGGGAAUUCACUUACUACUAAGAACAAUUGAUGGCGAGUUAUUCCAUUCAUUUUAUGUCCAUCUAUCUAUUUAAUUAUUAAAGAUAAAUGGUCCAUUUAUAAAUUUCAGAUUGUCUCUCUCUGAAAAUAACAAUAUUUAAAAUAUCUCUUAAAUUAUUAUAAAUUUUAAUACACUCUCGAUUUAAAAUGGAACAUGCUGAUGAAAUUGUUUUCUUCUUAAUAAAAUUGAAAUAAAUUGUGUUUGCAGUAGUUUGAAAUAUUUUAAAGAUUAUUAUUUUAUAAGGGAGUAAUAUGAAAUGAAAUUUACUUUUCAUGCGUGAAAUGUUGAAAAAGGACAAAGCAAGUGUCCCUGCUUUUAUUUUUAUUUUAAAGUGGAGUCAUCUCACAUACUUUAGCUCUAUCAUUACAAUUUUUCAGGUUACAUUUUUAUUAUUUAUUUAUUUUCUUUUUUACACAUGCAUGUGGGUUACUUUUCCGUAAGCUCCUCAAUAUAUAUUGAACCCAGCGAAGAAUGUUAUGGAAGAGCAAAUUAAUGAUAUUUCUGAUAGAGUCUAUUUGAUUAUGUAGCCUGAAUGGAUGUCUUGUUGAAAGAUAUCUCAGUGCAUUAGUUCAUCCUUGUCUGUCAAUGUGUUUUUAAUGGUUUUUCCAAUUGUUUAUUAUUAUAGAUUGAUUGUAAAUUGAUAUGAAAAUUUGAUAUGAAUUUAAUGUUGAAAUGUUUUCUCUUUAGUGGAAUGAAUUUAAAAGUGCAAAAGAUUAUUGCACACAGAGAAAUAAACAUAUAUGCUUUAUAACUUUAGCAAUCGAUUCUUUUACAGCUGGAAACAGAGAUGAUGAUUAUCAUAAGGAUGAAGAAAAGUAGUGCGUUAGACGAUUAGACUCUCUUAUUAAAGGCAAGUAUAAAGUAGUGAAGAAUCCAAUAUCUCUAUUGUCUAGUCUUUUGUUUAAUUCUUCUUUUAUUAUUUUUCAGAAUAAUUUUUGGUGAUUACAAUCGGGUUAUUAUUCAGAGUUAUUGUUAUCUUCUGGGGCAGUUUCUGUUCAUCGAAUUCAUUAAUUAAAAUUUUAGAACUCUUAUCAGAAGAAUAUUUUUCGGUUAUCUUUUUUAUGUUCUAAUUCCAAUUGUAAGAAGUAGCCAUUUUAGAAUUUGGGUCUUGAAUCGAAUUUCAAUGCAUGAAUUAAUAUUAAAAAAAAAAAAUUCACUACUCGCAGUUUAGGUUACAAAUUACUUUUUGGAAAGUUGACUUUGGAAUGUUUGCAAAGAAAGAGACUAACAUAUUUCCAAUUACACUAAAUCUCUAUUAUGAUAAUGUUAAGACUAAAUUAAUUUAAAUAAUUUUUAUUUGAAAAUUAUAUCAAACGCAGUCUAAUUUUAUUAAUUUUAAGAAAUAAUAAUUAUAAAAAUUAUUGUUCUGACUUAAUUAAUACAAGUGAUAUAAAAGUUAAGUGUGCACUAAAUCUGUUUUAAUUUUUUCCAGUAUAACUAACAGAGGUCAUUACUAGAAUUAUAUUACUAGUCUAUUAGAUAGAAAAAAUUACUUAUAUUGUUUUAUAUUUAUUAAAAAAUUUAAAGCCAAUUUUUUUAAUUACUAUUUAAAGAAUAUUAUAAUUUGAAAAAUUUUAAUAUCUUUAUUAAAAAUUUAGAAAUUUACAGUCCUCUAAAUAUUUAAGGCGUAACUGUCAUUUUCUCAAGAAGCUUUAUUUAAUAUUAUUGAUUUAAAUAAUAUCUUAUUAAAAAUGUACUGAGGAGAAAUUUUGGUGGGUAUUUUAGUCUUUUCAGCAAUCAUCAUGAUUAACCUUUGGUUGGCCUUGAAACGUCGGUCAGAAAAGUUUUAAAAUGCUUAAUUGUUUUUCACUGUUAACGUUAGUGGCCUUGAAAUUGCUUAUAUUUUAUUAAAAAUUAAUGCUAACAAGAAAAAACUAGAUCGUAUUCCACCCCCAAAGCAAAAGUGAUAAAACAACCGGCUGUAUUCUUUUAUUAAACUACAAAUUAAAAUGGAUUUCUUUAAUUAAAGUGGAUAUCAUUUAAUUAAUGUUUGAACAUUAAAGUUCUGAUAUAUAACCACUAUGCCGACCACCUAAUUGCUGCUAUUUAAUUUCGUUCCAGUUCUCUCUCUCUCUCUUUUUCUUUUUUUUUUGGGCCAAGCAAUAAAUAGUAAAAAUUCAAUAAAAGCAAUAUUAAUGCUGCAAGUGAGUCAUGUUAUUUAUUGUCAAUUAGGAAAUGUGAACCUAAUUUGAUUGCAUCCCUUUAAUCAUUUAAUAAUUAUGUAAGCACCAUCCCUUUAAUUAUUUAAUAACUAGAAAAUAGAACACUGCGUUUCACGCGGCUUUGAAAAAAGAAUUUAGUAUUAUCUUUUUUUCUUACUUUACACUUGAUGAAACUGAUAAAAAAUAUGAAUUGAUUUUUUUUAAAGAUGAGGCAGCCUUAUAAAAAAUAAAAAAAGCUAUUAGCCAGCAAUACAAAUAAAGAAGGAAUGCAAGAUAAAGAAUAAAAUGAGAGAAUAUAUUAUAGAGUGAUCUUAUUCAUUCUAAUUGUGUGUGUACAAAACAAAAAGAUGAGCUCUCCUUUUAUAACUACAUAAUUACUUCAUGAAAUUAAUGAAAAAUUAUGAAUCAUAAUUUCUUGUGAGAUAGUGGGAGUUAUUGGGAAGCUAAAAGUUGCUAAUGGGAGAUAGUGGGGAGACUAAGAGAUAUAUAUUAUGAACAUCUACAUUUAUUUUAAUAAAUUCAUAACACUCCCCCUUAAAUGUUCAUUACAAAGAAUAUGCCUCAUUAAAAUCUUUACAUAAUUGUUAUUGUGUAAUAACAAUCAAAUUAAUUAUAAGAAGAUGAAAAGCCAAAUCUAACAGAAAAUUUCUCUAUUUAUUAGAUAAUAGAGAAUAUAGCAAGAUGAGAAAUGGUAAUGCCACAUCAUCUCCUCACGUCCCAACUUUAUAUAUAUAUAUAUAGAUAAUAUAUAUUAUUCCUGUCCUACAUUCACAUAUUUAAUUGUCCUUUUGAAAAUAUUCAUGAGUUAGGCCAAGUAAAGUCAAAGAAAUUGGGAAAAAGGAACAAAAGGACAAACCUAAAUUAAUUGAACCUAAUUCAUGAAAAUGCACACUUUUGUGUUGCGGACGGCGGACCCUAAAGCUUCGUUGUUUGCAGCUGCAAUUAAUUCUUUUCCUUCAAAAGUUAGAGGCUCGUGUUUACAGUGGGUCCCGAAUCGGACGUACCUAAUAAAUCUUUUAAAAAAAUUUGCCGUAUAAAGGACAGAGGUCAUUACUGAAAUUUCUCUUCCACGGGCAAUUACAGCAGCUUCAGUUAAUCAAACUCAAAUCAAUUUUCUUUCUUAACAAAAUAUUCCAAAGAUGUGUAGCAUUUUUCAGAUCACAUGCGAUGGUGCUUUUUUCAAUCGUUGCUUGGAUUGCUUUCUUGGAAAAGCAGCAUACAUACGUAACCUCCAAGAUAAUCUUGUAGCCUUGGACACUGAAUUGGGAAAUCUGAUCGCUAAAAAGAACGAUGUGAUGAGGAGGGUUGUCGAUGCUGAACGGCAACAAAUGAGAAGGCUGGACGGAGUGCAAGUGUGGGUUUCGAGGCUCGAUGCUGUUAAAACUGAAGCCGAUGAACUUAUCACAGACGGCUCUCGAGAAAUUGAAAAAUUAUGUGUUGGAGGCUACUGUUCCAAGAACUGCAGGUCAAGCUACAAAUUCGGAAAACAAGUGGCAAGAAAGCUACGAGAUGUGGAGACUUUAAUCGCCGAGGGAGUUUUUGAGUCGGUGGCUGAGAGAGCUCCGGAACCUGUGGCAGAUAAAAGACCCACUGAGCCAACAAUAGUAGGCUUGCAAUCACAGCUUGAACAAGUUUGGAGAUGUCUUCUUGUAGAAGAAUCAGCGGGAAUCAUUGGCCUAUAUGGUAUGGGCGGUGUUGGUAAAACCACACUGUUGACCCAUAUCAACAAUAAAUUUCUUGAGAGUCCCACCAACUUUGAUUGUGUGAUUUGGGUCGUAGUUUCAAAAGACCUGCGACUUGAAAAAAUUCAAGAAGAUAUUGGGAAGAAGAUAGGUCUGUUUGAUGGUUCGUGGAAGAAUAAAAGUGUUGAGGAGAAAGCCGUAGACAUCUUGCGGAGAUUAGGAGAGAAGAGGUUUGUAUUGUUGUUAGAUGAUUUAUGGGAGCGGGUUGAUUUAACAGAAGUGGGCGUUCCACUUCCCAGCCCACAAAAAUACUACAUCAAAGUCGUAUUCACGACCCGUUUCAUUGAUGUGUGUGGUAGCAUGGAAAGUCACAGGAAGUUUAAAGUGGCAUGCUUAUCAGAAGAGGAUGCUUGGGAGCUGUUUCGAGGAAAAGUAAGGCAAGAAACUCUUGAGAGUCAUCAUGAUAUCGUUGAGCUAGCCCAAACUGUGGCCAGAGAGUGUGGCGGUUUGCCACUCGCGCUUAAAACUAUAGGUCGAUCUAUGGCCUACAGAAAGACAGCUAAGGAGUGGAGACAUGCAAUUGAAAUGUUAAGGAGAUCAGCUUCAGAGUUUGCAGGUUUGGGAGAAAAGGUGUAUCGUCUUUUAAAGUUUAGCUAUGAUAGUUUGCAGAAUGAUACGAUUAGAUCUUGUUUCUUAUAUUGUUGUUUGUAUCCUGAAGAUUAUGGCAUUCUUAAAUGGGAUUUGAUUGAUUGUUGGAUUGGUGAGGGAUUCUUAGAGGAAUCUGACAGGUUUAGUGCAGAAAACCAAGGAUACUACAUUGUGGGCACUCUUGUUCAUGCAUGUUUAUUAGAAGAGGUGGAAGAUGAUAAAGUAAAAAUGCAUGACGUUGUUCGUGAUAUGGCUAUAUGGAUAACCGGUGAAAUUGAGAAGGAGAAGCGAAACUUUUUGGUUUGUGCAGGUGCUGGAUUAAAAGAGGCACCGGAUGUUGAAGUAUGGGAAAAUGUGAGAAGAUUGUCAUUGAUGCAAAACCAAAUUGAAACUCUGUCAGAGGUUCCCACAUGCCCUCAUCUUCUCACUUUAUUUCUUGACUUUAAUAGGGAGUUGAAGACUAUUGCGGAUGGCUUCUUCCGAUGUAUGCCUUCUCUCAAAGUUUUGAAGAUGUCAAACUCUGGAAAGCCUUGGAAAGGUUUGGAAUUAAAUUUGGGGAUGCCAAAGUUGGGUUCACUACAGCUUCUUGAUAUUUCACACACCUGCAUACAAGAUUUACCGCAAGAAUUAAAGUUGUUGGUAAAUCUGAAAUGUUUGAAUUUGAGGCGGACAAUUUGGUUAAAUAAAAUUUCAUGGCAACUAAUAUCAAAUUUUUCAAGGUUACGUGUGUUGAGAAUGUUCGCUACUGGCUGGUUCAAUUUUCAUGAAGCACCAGAAGACAGCGUUUUAUUUGGUGGGGGUGAAGUUUUGAUACAGGAAUUGCUCGGUUUGAAAUAUUUAGAGGUAUUGGAGUUGACCUUGGGAAGUUAUCAUGCUCUCCAAAUUCUUUUCAGCUCAAAUAAGCUAAAAAGUUGUAUUCGAUCUCUUUACCUCCAGUUGACCGGAGAUACAGCGUUAAUUAUUGAUGCUACGGCUUUCGCAGAUCUAAAACACCUCAAUGAAUUACGCAUUGAGUCGGCUACAAAGCUGAAAGAAUUGACGGCUGAUUAUACAGAGAUAGUUCGAAAAAGGCGGGAACCUUUUGUUUUCCGCAGCCUUCACCAUGUUACUAUACAAAGCUGCCAGAAGUUGAAAGAUUCGACAUUCCUCGUUUUUGCUCCAAACCUCAAGUCUCUUUCGAUAGUCAAAUGCAAUGCUAUGGAAGAAAUAAUCAGCGUCGGAAAAUUUGCUGAGACUCCUGAGAUGAUGGGACAUAUAAGUCCUUUUGAAAAUCUCCAAAUGAUUGAUUUACUAGGUUUGCCACAUUUGAAGAGCAUCUUCUGGAAGCCAUUGCCUUUCACUCAUCUGAAAGAAAUAUCUGUGCGUUAUUGCCCUAAUCUUAAAAAGCUUCCACUCGAUUCCAACAGUGCAAAGGAGCGUAAAUUUGUUAUUCGUGGAGAAGAAGACUGGUGGAACCCACUUCAAUGGGAGGAUGAAGCCACUCAAAUUGCUUUUCGUUCCUGUUUCCAACCCUUGUUCCUGAACAGUGGUCGCAAAAUUUGAUUUCUGGUGAGUGCGUUUGUCUUUUAAAAAGAAUAAUUUAAAAGAAAUUUAUUCUUGUCGGUUUCUUCACUGUUUUUAUUUCAGUUUCUCUCUCUCUCUCUCUCUCUCUCUCUUUUUGUCUUCUGCAAAUCACAAUUACAUUUUUAUUCUUGUCGUUUUCUUCACUGUUUUUAUUUCAGUUUCUCUCUCUCUCUCUCUCUCUCUUUUUGUCUUCUGCAAAUCACAAUCAAAUGUUGAAUUAAUGGAAUUAAUGCUUCAUAAAUUUGCCGGCACUGCCAUUACUUUUUUUUGGGGGAUCGAAUUGAUACUUUAUUUAUAUCUUCUUAGCGAUUUAAUUUCCUGUCAAAAGACGAACGAGAAGAACAUAUGACUUAAACCAAUGCUCGCAUAAACUUGCUGUAAAAAGAUAUAAUCUCACUGAAAUGCACACGCCUAGAAUGAAUAGAAUUAAAACAGGGAAAAUAUUAAGUAUAUUAGCCCUCUUUACUGAAAAUCAAAUGACAGUAAAUUUUUUGAAGUUUUGAUUUUCUAUGGUCAAUUCCACCUUUUGCAAUUUCUUCUGUUCUAACAAAAACCAAUUUCUUUGUUCAAGUAUUUUCGUUUGGAUAUUAAUAAUUCUCCACCGAAAGAGUGAACUCUUGCUCAAAGGGAUCUCUAAUAAUACAUAACAUGAUUAUUUUCGUUUGAAUAAUUGAUUUCUUGAUUGAAUUGUCGUGUAAUUGAUUUAUGGGGGAUGACACAUCAACAUACUUGAAAAUACACUAAUCUCAGCAUCAUCGGUUAAUAACUUUUAGAUUUAUGGGUAAUCAAUAGUUAAGAUUAGUUGUCAUUAAUACUAAAUAAUUUUUACUUUUUUUGUCUCUUCUAGAGGAUCUUCUAGAAAAAUGCAUCCACAAUUAAAUUUAAUACUUUACAUAAUAAACAAAGCCUAAAUGUUAAAUUUAAGAAACUGCAUUGUAUUUCAGUUGAAGUUGACUUUAAUAUUUAGGGUAGAAAAACAAUUAAUUUUAUUUUUUGAAAUGUCCAUAUUCAGAGCACAUUUCAAAAAGACUCAAUAAUUUCUCAUAAAUUUCAAUUAAAAAUAUUCAAUUUGUUGUUUCAGUUCUUUUAUUUUUUAUUUUUUCCGACAUGAAAGCGACUUAAUGUUACUAAAUUGGGUGGUCUUUGGAUUUUCAUGACCCAAUAAUUGGAACAAAACAAUUUUCUCAAGCGCUCUCCCGCAACAUUUUAUAAUUGAAGCCGCUGCCCCGCCCGUGGUUUCAAACUUUUUUCUUUCUCCUUGUUUAAAUUAAUGGGAGCAGCCUCCGUCCUUGACUAGUUGACUGCUUGUCUUCUUUUUUUUAUUAAUUAAUUAAUUCAGCCGCCCCCCUUUCUUGUCCCAAUAUCUUCUACUUUCGGUUUCCUUUUAUUAUCUCUUUAUUUUUAAAAAAUGCUUAUAAUAAUAAUAAAAUAUAAAAUAUAAAAAUAAAAAUAUAAUUUAUCAGAAAAUUAAGAUAAAGAAAUAUUAUAAGCACAUCAAUCAACAAGUGAAAAAAAAACAAUUUUAAUUUACAUUAAAUAUAAACUUUCAGUGUUAAUCAACUUUUCUAAAUAACUAAAUUAAAAAAUUAAUUGAUUUAAUUGUGGUGUAAUUGAUUUGUAGGGGAUGAAUCAGCAGCAUCAUCGGUUAACGCUUUCAGAUUUAUAGUUAAUCAAUAGUUGAGAGUUGUUAUCACUAACGCCGUGUAUUUUUUAAUGUUUUUUCUCUCUCCUACAGCAUCUUCUAGGAAAGUGCAUCCGUUGCUAAAAUUUAGUAUCGUAAAUAAUAAACCAAGAAUAAAUAUUAAAUCUAAGAAACUGUAUUGCAUUUAAUAUUUAAGGGAGAAAAAUAAUUAUAGUGUCUUUAUUAAUCAGUAAAAAAAAAAAUUAGAAUCAUAAUAAAUUGUAUUGUUAUUGAUGUAUUUAUUUUAUUUUAUACUCAAAAUAAAUUAUUUUAAAUUAUUAAAAUAAUUUAAAAUUAGUAUUUUAUUUUAUACUCAAAAUAAAUAAUUUAAAAUUUUCAUUUCUUGUUUAUUUCGCAAGUUGUUAUUGCCUAAUGCUAUGUCAACUCGAACAUUAGCAUUUUUUUUUUUGGUCCUCUUUUAACGCAAAAUUAGUGUAGGUUAAGUAACAUAAUCAAUAUUAGGACAAUUUGAAAUCCCUAUGGGUGCGUUUGGUACACUGUAUUGUAUUAUACUGUAUUGCAUUAUUUUAAUGCUGAUGUAUUGUAUUAUGUUGUAUUGCAUUAGCACUGUAUUAUAACAAUGCUAUACAAUAUUUGGUGUUACAUUGUACUGUAUUAGAUUUUAAUUAUAUUAUAUUUAGUGUUACAAUUGUUGUAACAUAAACACGACCAAAAUAAAUUGUACUAAAUAAUCUAAGUAAGAGUUCUGUAGUAUAUGUAAUAAUACUAUUUAUAUUAUUAUUAUUAAUAAUUCUAAAUUAAUAUUAUUUAAUUUUAUUCAUAUUUAAAUAUGUAUUAUUAGUUUAUUAAAUUAUUUAAAAUAAUUAAUUUAUAUAUAUUAAUUAUUGUAACUUAAUUAAAUAAUGUAAUGCUAUAUUAUAUUUUUAUAUACUAUUUAAGUAUUUAUUAUUAAUUAUAUUUAAUUAUAAAUUUAUUAAUAAAUUAUAAUAUAAAAAUAAAAAAUAAAAAUUAAUAUUGUAUAAUAUUAUAUUAAAUUAAAGUUUUAUUUUUAUUACUAUUAUUAUAAAGUAAAAAAAAAAAAAAGGGAAGCUACUGACUUUUGAAACACAAAAGUCAGUAAUACAACCUAAUCACGAGGGGGGGCGCGGGUUUUGAUAAUGCGGCAAAAGCUGCAUUGUAAUGCUGCUCAAUGCAAUCCAUUUGAUCACCAAACACAGGUAUAUUUUAACUAAUGCUGGGCCCACAAAAUAAUACAAUGCAAUUCCGCAUGCCAAACAUACCCUAUGGGUGCGUUUGGUACACUGUAUUGUAUUAUACUGUAUUGUAUUAUUUUAAUGCUGGUGUAUUGUAUUAUGCUGUAUUGCGUUAGCAUUGUAUUAUAAUAAUGUUGUACAAUGUUUGGUGUUACACUGUACUGUAUUAAUUUUUAAUUAAACUAUAUUUGGUGUUAUAUUGUAUUGUAUUAAUUUUUAUAAUUAAUUAAAUUAAAUAAUUAAAAAAUAAUAUUUAUUAAUACUUAGAAAAAUAAUAAAUAUAGAAAUCUUAAUUGUAGAAAUUUAACAAAUUUUUUAGUAAAUAUUAAAAAUUAAUGAUUAAAUUUCUAAAAUUUGUAUUAUAAUUAUGAUAAAAUAAAUUUAUAAAAUUUAAUAUUAUAUGUAAAUAAUAAAUUUAGAUUAUAAUUAAUAUUAUAAUUGUUAAUAUAAAUUAAUAAAUUAUUAUUCAAUAAUAUUCAAUUAUAUUUUAAUUUACAAUAUAUUAUUAUUUUUACAUUUUAAUAUAUUAAUAAAUUUAUAAUUUAACAUAAAUAAUUAUAAAUUUAAAUAAUAUUAAUUUUAAAAUUAAUAUUAAUGUAAAUAAUAUUAUAAUAUUAAUAUAUUAUUUUUAUAUGAAUCAUUAAUAAAUAAAAUAAUAUUAUCAUAUAAUUUAUUUUUAUAUUUUAUUCAUUAUAUUAAUAUUUAAUAAUAAAAUAAUUUAUUUUUAUAAUAUUUUAAUAAAAUAAAUUUGCCUCAAUUGAGGCAUUAACUGUUGCCUCAAUUGAGGCAAAAAGCUUCCGCAUCCCUCGGGUUUGCGUAAUGCGGCCCCAUGCCUCAUUAUGCUGCAUUAUAAUGCAGCAUAAUGAGGUGUCAAAUUUUGCCAAACAUGUUCUUGGUAAUAAACUAAUGUGAAUAGUAGUAUAAUACCACAUAAUCUCAUGCACCAAACACGCCCUAUGUGUAUUAUUCACGGUAUCUAUGAGGGCUUAUCCUUUUGCUAGAACAAACUCUAGCAAAUUGUCAAAUGUGCUUAUCCUUUCCCUUGACGACUCAUUUUAAAAUUGUCACUCAUUUUAAAAUUGUCUUUCAAUGCACAAACACAGACAUAACCGCCGACAUCGAGCACCAAGUUUGGAAUUUAAUUGAUAAGCAUACAUUUGAUAAAUUAAUGAAAAGUUUGGAGAGUAGUUUUGAUCACCCUUGAUUAGGACGGUAUUACAAAAAAGAUCAAAAAGAAAACAUCGUCUCUCUUCACAAAAAUAAAUAUUUUCCGUUAGAAUUUAAUACAAUAAUAUUUUUUUUGAUUAAAAUUUAAUUAAAUACACAAAUAAAUUAUAUAUUUUUUAAAAAAAUUUACACCCAGUCACAAGGCUGGCUAUUAAACUUAAAGGGUGGAAGCUUCGGAGACUAAAGUUGGUAACUUCUCCAAGUGGUCUUAAGUUGACCGGAACUACCCAGACUUUAUGUUUGGUAGCCUAGACCUGAUCGGACCUAGGCCCAAGUUUGGUCUUAAAGUCCACAAUUAAAUUAAAAAAAAAUUAUUUGAUUUGUAAUUGAUUUAUGGGGAAUGAAUCCGCAGCCCUAAAAUUACACCAAUCUUGACAUAAUGACAUCAUCGGUUAAAAACGUUCAGAUUUAUGGUUAAUCAAUGGUUUGAGAUUUGUUAUCAUUAAUGCUAGAUAUUUUUUAACAUUUUUUUCUAUCUCUCUUCUCCUGAAGGAUUUUCUAGGAAAAUGCAUCCACAACAAAAAUUUUAAAUUGUAAACAAUAAACAGAGUAUAAACGUUAAAUCUAAGGAACAUCGCUGCAUUUCAGCUGAAGCGAACUUUAAUAUUUUACGGAGAAAAAUAAUUAAGUCUUUAAUGUGAUUUAUUGAUUAAUAUAUAUGACUAAUUUUUUAAAAGAAGAUGAAGGAUGAAGCUUAAAAAUAUAAAUUAUAGAAUUAAUUUAUCUCUUCAAUAAAUCUAAAGUUUAUUUUUUUUAUUACAUGCUUCUAUUUUAUUUUUAUUCCAUGUUAAUGAAUGGAGAUUUAAAUCCAUUUUGGAUUUAUAAAGAUGUUUAGAUAUUUAAAUCCACGUGUGAUUCCAAACUUGAACCUUUUUUUUUUUUUUUUCUAAUUAAUGCAAACAGCCGCCUCUUUGACUGCUUUUCUUCUUUGUUUAUUAAUUAAUUAAUUCAGCUGCCCACCUUUCUUUUCCUAAUGUUUUCUACUCCCAAAUUUUUUUAAGGACAAGGCUACGUUGCAGACGCUGUACCUAACAGCUGCACCUUCGCCAGCUUAAAAAAGGGUGCAUUUGGUAAGCAACUUUUCUUUCGUGUGCAUAUGUGUCCUGCCACCAUUGGGUGUGUACGUAACAGAUAAUGUACCGUAACAAGCUCCUAUUUUUAAAUUUGUUUAUAAUGAUAAAAUAUAAAAAUUAAGAUUAAAAUGUAAUGUAAUGUAAAAUUAAAGGUGGAAGAGUAUUAAAAUAAGGCUAAACCUAUGUUACGUUUAACGUAACAUACAUUUAAAUAUAUAAAAUAUCAAUGGAAACCCUCAAAUUUUAUGGAAACUAUAUUAAUAAAAUUAAAAGAAAUAUUUUUAAAUCUGAAAGAAGAAAUAAAAGAUAUAAAGCAAGAGAUAGGAAAACUAAAAAUAGAAAUAUCUGUAAAAGAAAAAGGAAAAGAAAAAUUAGAAAUAAAAGAAACAACUCCAACUGAAUCGAAUUCAGACUAAUGGAAGAUGUAUUAGAAACUUUAACUGAAAAAUUCAGUGACAUAAAUCUUAGUGAUUUAGAAGACUUUGAAAAAGAAUAUUAGAUAAAAAUGAAUACUGCUGGAGGACCAGAAAUGAAACCUAAUGUAGCAUAACCAAGUCAUAGAUAUGGUAUAAAUAAAAUGAAAAAUAAACCUUUUUACGAGUAUAUACCUCCUAUUAAAAAUACUCCUUGGAAAAAAGAAUACAAACCAAAUCAAGAUACAUUAACCCCAAUAAAUAAUGCUGGAACAUUUUUAAAUCUAGAUUGUAAGAUAGACAUUCGAAAGGCGUUAGCAGAAUGGGUGUUACAAAUGAAAUUAUUUUUUAUAUUUAACGGGUCAAAGGAUGACUAGAAUGUAGAGACUGAAGAAGAAAAAAUAGAUAUAUUUGUUGAAAUCUUAAUAGCCAGUUUUUCAGGAAAUGUGUUUAAUUGGUGGAGAGGAUUAAGCGAUGAUACACAAAACUUAAUAAAAGAUUCAACCAAAUAGCAUUUAGAAAAAAUAAAGCCUUAGGAAUGGAAAGGAUAACUGAAUACAUAGCUAGUGAAUUUUUAGGAGAAGAUUGGCUAGAAAAAUCGGGCAUAUAUGAAAAUUUAAAAAUUUAUGAUAAAAAGAUCUUAGUGUUUUUAUUAAAAAAUUAAAAUUUACAUGACUAUUUCUUUAAAUAUUUAGGGCAUAUAUGAACCACGGAGGAGAAAAGCUUUAUUUAAUAUUUUAGAAUAGUUUUUGAUCAGUACAAUUGGGUCCUUAUUCAGAAUUAUUGUUCUCUUCCGCAACAGUUUUUGUUUAUCAAAGUCGUCAAUUAAAAUUUUAGAAUUCUUAUCAGAAGAAGUAGUCGUUUUAGAAGUUGGGUCUUGGAUCAAAUUUCUACGAGUGCAUGAAUUAACAAUAAAAAAAUUUCAUUACACACGGUUUAAGCUACAAACUACUAUUUGCACAGUUGACUAUAAAACUUACCUCCAAUUACACUAAACCUCUCUAUUUGGUAACGUUGAGACUAAAUUAAUUUUAUUAGCAUGAAAAGAUGAUAGAAAUAUAAUUAUAAAUAUUAUUGUUGUUAAUCAAUUAGUACAUGUGAUAUAAAGGUUAAAUGUGCACUAUAUUUAAUAAUUAAUUAGUGGAGCAUGUUAAACAAAAUGUUAAUGUAUAUUUAUAUAGUGUUAGGAAUAUGCAAAGUCAAGUCCUCAAUUUGCAUUAUCCUGUAUAGAAUAUUACUCUAAAAAUGUUUUACUAUAAUUGGCUUAGAACAUUUGUAAAGAAAAAUAAUAAUAAAAUAAUAAAUAACAUACACCGUCACAUAGCACCUAGACAAUGAUAGAAAAUUAUUAAAGAGAGUGCAAACAAUUAAUUAGAGAUUUUUAUGAUGACUUUUAAUAUUCAUGAUAAUAACAAAUAAAUACAUGUAUCACUUUUUUAAAAUAUUAAAUUUGACUGCUCCAUUAAUAAAUUAUUAUUGUAAUUCAGACUCUAUCUAUAUAUCCUUGCACUAAGAAUAAUUAAGGUAACGUUUGUUUUUUAACUUAAUGACUUAAAGUGACUUAACUUAAUUAAUUAAGUUAAUUAGAGGUGUUUGUUUUAUAACUUAAUGAGACUUUUUAGAUAAUUUUGACUUAAUAAAAUAAGCUAAUUUUUUUUGGCUUUUUACUUAAUGGAGAAAUCUGAAUUAAGUCAAUUACUUGCUAAUGUCAAAAAUAUCCUUGUUUUAUAAUUUAUUUUUCAUGUCUAUCCCAAAACUCGCCCGUAGAUAUUUACCCCACAUAAAAAUAUCCCUGUUUUUUUCUUUCUUAUAUUAUAUACGAUAAAAUUUGAAAUUUAUAGUAUUUUAUAUAUUAAAAUUCUAAAAUAAUUAUGUAUUCACUUGAAUAUAGUUUUACUUAUAAAUGUUAAAAUAUGAUGGUAUUUAAUAUAUUAUUUAUUUGACAUUCAAAUUUAAUAAGGAUACAAAUGUAAAAGUACAUAUUUUCAGCUUUUUAAAUUGAAAAAAAAUAACUUAAUAUUUAUUUUCUGAGAUUCAGACGAAAAAAUAAACAUAUUAUUCAGAUUCAUACAUUCAGAUCUAUUCAGAAUUCAAACUAAUUCAAGUCUAUUCAAAUUUUAGACAAAAAAAUAAACGCCACCUAAGUCAUAAUAAAAAUUUUCGUAACUACAUCUCGUUUCUUCCUCAUAAUAAUAAUUAGAUUGGUUCGAAUAUUAUAACUAUAUAGAUUUAGUGUAUAGCCACAUCCAAUUUAAAUAUUGACCCAAUUGGGAUGGUCCCCAAAAAAAAAGAUUCGUUAAAGGAUAAUUCUAAUUAUUUUUACUUCUCAAACGUUAGUGGGACGUUUCUAUUAGCGCACUCGUAAGCCAAGUUGUCAAAUAUUUAUACUAAACUACAAUUGCUAACAAGAAAAAUCAAGAUCGUGUUAAGCAAGUGGGUCCCGAAUAGGACGUGCAAAUCUCUCGUAAGUCAAGUUGUCAAAUGUUUAUAUAAAACUAACAAUUACUGACAAGAAAAAUCAAGAUCGUAUUAAAAAUGGGUCCCGAAUAGGAUUAUCUUUUUAAGAAUAUUAUUAUUUUAUUAUUAAAAUUUUAUUAAUAUAACAGUAUUAAAAUUUAUUAAAAAAUAUAUUUUAUUAUUAAAAUUUUAUACCGUUAUCAAUUUAUUAUUAUUUUAUUAAAAAAAUUAAUAUUUAACAAAAAUUGAGAUAAAAAUUAAUUUUUGUUCUCUGUCUUUAUUUAUUUAUUUAUUUUUUUGGGUCUUCUGCAAAUCACAAUCAAAUGUUGAAUUAUAAAUUUGCCGGCAUUGCUUUUUUUUUUUUUUUUGGGCCGGGGGGUGGUGUUGAAUUGAUGCUCUGGGUUUUUGACUUUUGUUGUCAAAUUUUACUCUGUUUUUCCCAAAUUGAUGCUANNNNNNNNNNNNNNNNNNNNNNNNNNNNNNNNNNNNNNNNNNNNNNNNNNNNNNNNNNNNNNNNNNNNNNNNNNNNNNNNNNNNNNNNNNNNNNNNNNNNNNNNNNNNNNNNNNNNNNNNNNNNNNNNNNNNNNNNNNNNNNNNNNNNNNNNNNNNNNNNNNNNNNNNNNNNNNNNNNNNNNNNNNNNNNNNNNNNNNNNNNNNNNNNNNNNNNNNNNNNNNNNNNNNNNNNNNNNNNNNNNNNNNNNNNNNNNNNNNNNNNNNNNNNNNNNNNNNNNNNNNNNNNNNNNNNNNNNNNNNNNNNNNNNNNNNNNNNNNNNNNNNNNNNNNNNNNNNNNNNNNNNNNNNNNNNNNNNNNNNNNNNNNNNNNNNNNNNNNNNNNNNNNNNNNNNNNNNNNNNNNNNNNNNNNNNNNNNNNNNNNNNNNNNNNNNNNNNNNNNNNNNNNNNNNNNNNNNNNNNNNNNNNNNNNNNNNNNNNNNNNNNNNNNNNNNNNNNNNNNNNNNNNNNNNNNNNNNNNNNNNNNNNNNNNNNNNNNNNNNNNNNNNNNNNNNNNNNNNNNNNNNNNNNNNNNNNNNNNNNNNNNNNNNNNNNNNNNNNNNNNNNNNNNNNNNNNNNNNNNNNNNNNNNNNNNNNNNNNNNNNNNNNNNNNNNNNNNNNNNNNNNNNNNNNNNNNNNNNNNNNNNNNNNNNNNNNNNNNNNNNNNNNNNNNNNNNNNNNNNNNNNNNNNNNNNNNNNNNNNNNNNNNNNNNNNNNNNNNNNNNNNNNNNNNNNNNNNNNNNNNNNNNNNNNNNNNNNNNNNNNNNNNNNNNNNNNNNNNNNNNNNNNNNNNNNNNNNNNNNNNNNNNNNNNNNNNNNNNNNNNNNNNNNNNNNNNNNNNNNNNNNNNNNNNNNNNNNNNNNNNNNNNNNNNNNNNNNNNNNNNNNNNNNNNNNNNNNNNNNNNNNNNNNNNNNNNNNNNNNNNNNNNNNNNNNNNNNNNNNNNNNNNNNNNNNNNNNNNNNNNNNNNNNNNNNNNNNNNNNNNNNNNNNNNNNNNNNNNNNNNNNNNNNNNNNNNNNNNNNNNNNNNNNNNNNNNNNNNNNNNNNNNNNNNNNNNNNNNNNNNNNNNNNNNNNNNNNNNNNNNNNNNNNNNNNNNNNNNNNNNNNNNNNNNNNNNNNNNNNNNNNNNNNNNNNNNNNNNNNNNNNNNNNNNNNNNNNNNNNNNNNNNNNNNNNNNNNNNNNNNNNNNNNNNNNNNNNNNNNNNNNNNNNNNNNNNNNNNNNNNNNNNNNNNNNNNNNNNNNNNNNNNNNNNGAAGGGUCUCUAAUCAAUAGCUGGAAGCAAUUGAGAAGGCGGUUGCUACAGUGAAUUCAAAUGUAAAAUGUUUGCUAUUCUUCGAUUUGGUUAAUGAUUUCGUAUGAAUAUUGUUGUUCCGUUGAGUUGCAUGCGAAUUCAAAUGCAAAAUAUUCUUCGAUUUUCAAUUUUGAAAUCAAAUUUUUUUUUCCUUCUCAAGCAUGUUAUGCAGAAACGAUUGUCAUGUUAUGCAGAAACGAUUUUUACUAAAUCAUUUUUAACAAACUAUUGAAAUUAAACCACUGGAAUAAGAAUUGUAAGGAUUUAUCGUAAGCUUACUAAUACGAUAAUUCUGAAACUAUCACCUUUUUUUUUUUAUUUGUUGCAGGGAAACCCAAAUUUUGUAUUUUGUCAAUUUCAUCUGAUAUGGAAUUUAUUUCCUCCCUAAAGAUUUAUCAAACUGCUUCUCUUCCCUGCUUCAAUAUCUUUAUGCAAUUACGAUCUCAUAGGAAAAGAGAGUUUGGGUUGUAUAUCUUAUAGUAUUUAUUUAUUUUUUGUUAAAAGAAAUUUAUUUUAAAAUAGUUUAUAGCAACAGUUUUUAUUUAACAAUAAUGAGGAAGGAUUAUUAUAGGUUCAAAUAGUUGUUAGAACAUUAUAAAAAAGUCCAUUUACUAUCAAAUGUUUUAAAUUGGUGCAACGUGAUAAUUGUCUCAUAUAAUUUUUUAAGGGUAAAAACUCGUUUCAUUCCCAUAUUUUAAGAUUAUUACUCAUUUAGUCUUUAUAUUUUUAAAAAUGUUUCAAAACAUUCAUACCCUUAAAUUAUUAACAUCUCUGCUGUUACUUUUUAUUUUUUUUUGACUUGUUUUUACAAUAUUGCCCUCUUACAAUAAUGUUUCUUUUUAUAAAAUUAAUAAAAAGAAAAAAAAUUAAAUUAUCAAUUUAACCCCAAAAAUAAAAUAAAAAUAAAAAGAAUAAAUAUUAAUUUUUGUGAAAGUUUACAUGUGUCCAAAAUAAAUUUUAUUGUAAAAAUAAUUAAAUUGCCUUUUUUUUGGACAUUAGUAAUAAAAAAAUUAAUAUAUUAAUUCCUCAGCAGUGUGUUACAAAAAAGUAAAAUAUAUUAAUUUUGUUUUUAUUUUAGACAAUGAGAUAGAGAAAAGUACAAGAUAAAGGAAAGGACUUCAAAACUCACUGUUCAUCAUAAUGCCCUUUGCCUUUAAAAAAAAAUCAUUCUAAUAUUUUAUAACACAUAAAAUAUAAUCCUAAGAUAAAUAUAAUAAUACAUAUUUUAAACUAAUCUCGAUAUUUAAAAUAUGUUUUAAUAUUUUAUAAUCUAUCAGACAUAUUUUAUUAUAUUAAUGUAAAAUUUAUAAUAAAUACAAACAUAUUAUUAAAAUAAAUAUAUAAAAAAUAUUUAUUUUUUAUAUGUUUACACUGAGGACUCUCUUUAAUUCAUUUAUUUUCUCUCUCUCCAAACAGGUACUGUCUUCAGUUAGCAAUGCUAUGAUAGUAAUCCAAUUCUCUUCUCCCCCACCUGAGCGAGAUUUGAAUUUGAAUCCCUUGUUUUUCACCCACUCUGUUUUUUUUCACGCAAGAUUUGACAAUUUGAGUUAAAAAAUAUGGUCCAAAACUUGAACACGUAUCUUUUAAUUGUAAUAAAAGUUCUUUAAGCUUUGGAGAUGGCAUAUAUAUGGCUGGAAGUGUCCUUUUCUUUGACCUAGAGGCAGCACCAAGCUAUCCAGCAUCAUCAUUUUUCAAGUGGGUCUUAAAUGCCUAGAAACGUUGGUGUUUCUUGAUUUAAAGAUGACACAUGCUAUAAGUGUGAAUGGUUUGGCUAAGCCUAAAUUUAAAGUCUACUCAAGUCGCAUUCAGGAUCAUGGAAAUUGGAAAGGGAGAGAUGAUAGCAAGAUUUAUAAUAAACAAUUAACUUGGGUCCUCAGUGUACAAAGCAAAUGCCACGCAAGCGAUAGCCGGCCCAGCCCAGAAAACCCAGUGGCGAUCCCAGAGAUGGCCUCCUCUAACGAGUGCUGGGCCCAAAAAUCUUUGCGGGUUGAGCCCAGCUCCGGCAUAGCCCUUUUGAGCAGUAACAGUUGUCGAGACAAAAACCAGAAGACCCAACACUGUUCCAAUGACAAUGCAUACGGUAAACUCUGCCAAGAGCCUUGGCUUGUCUGGAGUCAAAAGCCAUCCACACAGAAGCAAAAAGGAACACAAACGAGCAAAUUAUCUCAAGCCAAAGGGCCUGCCUAGUCCCCAAGCCGAUCUCAACAGGCCCAUCUGGCCCAGGUACGACAACAUUCAGGGUGCAGCCUCCAAGUUGUCAAAUAUUUAUAUUAAACUACAAUUGCUGACUAGAAAAAUCAAGAUCGUAUUACAAGUGGGUCCCGAAUUGGACGUGCCUAAAUCUUUUUAUAAUUUUCCCAGUGUAGCGGACAGAGGUCAUUACUAAAUUUCUCUUCCACACGCCACAGCAGCUUCGGUUAAUCAAACUCAAUCAAUUUUCUUGGCUUCUCCGCUUAUCAAUAUUACAAGGUAUGGGUAGCAUUUUUCAAAUCACAUGCGAUGGUACUAUUUUCAAUCGUUGCUUAGAUUGCUUUCUUGGAAAAGCAGCAUACAUAAGUAACCUCCAAGAUAAUCUUGUUGCCUUGGAGACUGAACUAAGGAAACUAAUCGCAGCAAAGAACGAUGUGAUGACGGCGGUUGUCAAUGCUGAACGGCAACAAAUGAGAAGGCUGGACCAAGUGCAAGUGUGGGUUUCGAGGGCGGAUGCUGUUAAAAAUGAAGCUGAUGAACUUAUCAGAGGCGGCUCUCAAGAAAUUGAAAAAUUAUGUCUUAGAGGGUUCUGUUCCAGGAACUGCACGUCAAGCUACAAGUUCGGAAAACAAGUGGCUAAAAAGCUACGAGCUGUGGAGACUUUAAUCGCCGAAGGAGUUUUUGAGGCGGUGGCUGCCGAGGUGGUGCCUGAGAGAGCUCCAGAGCCUGUAGCAGAUGAAAGACCUACCGAGCGAACAGUAGUAGGCUUGCAAUCACAACUUGAACAAGUCUGGAGAUGUCUUGCAGAAGAAUCAGCGGGAAUCAUUGGCCUAUAUGGUAUGGGCGGUGUUGGUAAAACUACACUAUUGACCUAUAUCAACAAUAAAUUUCUCGAGAGUCCAACCAACUUUGAUUGUGUGAUUUGGGUAGUAGUUUCAAAAGACCUGCGACUUGAAAAACUUCAAGAAAAUAUUGGGAAAAAGAUAGGUUUGGUUGAUGAUUCAUGGAAGAGUAAAAGUGUAGAGGAGAAAGCUCUCGACAUCUUCCGGAGUUUAAGAGAGAAGAGAAUUGUAUUGCUGUUAGAUGAUAUAUGGGAGCGGGUUGAUUUAACAAAAGUGGGCGUUCCACUUCCAGGACCACAAAAUACUACCUCAAAAGUCGUAUUCACAACCCGUUUGAUCGAUGUUUGUGGUAGCAUGGAAGCUGACAGGAAGUUCAAAGUAGCAUGCUUAUCAGAAAAGGAUGCUUGGGAACUGUUUCGAAAAAAAGUUGGGGAAGAAACUCUUGGAAGUCAUCAUGAUAUCGUUGAGCUAGCCCAAACUGUGGCCAAAGAGUGUGGUGGUUUGCCACUCGCACUUAUUACUAUCGGUCGAGCUAUGGCCUACAAAAAGACAGCCGAAGAGUGGAGACACGCAGUUGAAGUUCUAAGAAGAUCAGCUUCGGAAUUUGCAGGUUUGGGAAAAGAGGUGUAUCCUCUUUUAAAGUUUAGCUAUGAUAGUUUGCAGAAUAAGACGAUUAGAUCUUGUUUCUUAUAUUGUUGUUUAUAUCCUGAAGAUUAUGGCAUUCUUAAAUGGGACUUGAUUGACUGUUGGAUUGGUGAGGGAUUCUUAGAGGAAUCUGACAGGUUUGGUGCAGAAAACCAAGGAUACUACAUUGUGGGCACUCUUGUUCAUGCGUGUUUACUAGAAGAGAUAGAAGAUGAUAAAGUAAAAAUGCAUGACGUUGUUCGUGAUAUGGCUCUAUGGAUAGCUUGUGAAAUUGAGAAGGAGAAGAGAAACUUUUUGGUUUGUGCAGGUGCGGGACUAAAGGAGGCACCUGAUGUUAAAAGAUGGGAAAAUGUGAGAAGAUUGUCAUUGAUGCAAAACCAAAUUGAAACUUUGUCAGAGGUUCCUGCAUGCCCUCAUCUCCAUACUCUAUUUCUUGCCUCUAAUAAUAGUUUGCAGAGGAUCACCGAUGGCUUCUUCCAAUUUAUGCCUUCUCUCAAAGUUUUCAAGAUGUCAAACUGCGGGAAUUUAAUUUUGGAAUUACCUUUUGGGAUGUCAAAGUUGGGUUCAUUGGAACUUCUCGAUAUUUCACAUACCUACAUACAAGAGUUACCACAAGAGUUAAAGUUGUUGGUAAAUCUGAAAUGUUUGAAUUUGAGGUGGACAAGCGAGUUAAAUAAAAUUCCACGGCAGCUAAUAUCAAAUUCUUCAAGGUUACGUGUGUUGAGAAUGUUGGGUACUGGCUGGUUCAAUUUUCAUGAAGCAUCAGAAGACAGCGUUUUAUUUGGCGGGGGUGAAGUUUUAGUACGGGAAUUGCUCGGUUUGAAAUAUUUAGAGGUAUUGGAGUUGACCUUGCGAAGUUAUCAUGCUCUCCAAAUUGUUUUGAGCUCAAAUAAGUUAAAAAGUUGUAUUCGAUCUCUUUACCUCCAGUUGACCGGAGAUAGAAAGUCGAUUAUUGAUGCUACGGCUUUCGCAGAUCUAAACCACCUCAAUGAAUGAUUGAUUUUUAAAGGUUUUGAGUUGGAAGAAUUGAAGAUUGAUUAUACAGAGAUAGUACGAAAAAGGCGGGAACCUUUUGUUUUCCGCAGCCUUCACCGUGUUACCAUAGAUUCGUGCCUUAAAUUGAAAGAUUUGACAUUCCUCGUUUUUGCUCCAAACCUCAAGUCUCUUUCGCUAUUCAAUUGCCGUGCUAUGGAAGAAAUAAUCAGCGUUGGAAAAUUUGCUGAGGUUCCUGAGAUGAUGGGACAUAUAAGCCCUUUUGAAAAUCUCCGAAGUCUUCGUUUGUCACAUUUGCCAAAUUUGAAGAGCAUCUACUGGAAGCCAUUGCCUUUCACUCAUCUGAAAGAAAUGGUGGUACAUGGGUGUGAUCAGCUUAAAAAGCUUCCACUCGAUUCCAACAGUGCAAAAGAGCGUAAAUUUGUUAUUCGUGGACAAGCAGACUGGUGGGACCGACUUCAAUGGGAGGAUGAAGCCACUCAAAUUGCUUUUAGUUCCUGUUUCCAACCUUAACUUGAUUUCUGGUUAGUGCUGUUUCCUUAACUUUUACAUAUAUUCUCGUCGUUUGCUUCGUGCAAAAUACUAGGUCUUUUGUUCUCUGUUUUUAUUUCGCCCAUUUUUUUUUUUUUUUUUUGUCUUCUGCAAAUGACAGACAAAUGUUGAACUAAAAGGAAUUAAUGCUUUAUAACUUUGCCGGCAUUGCUUUUUUCUUUUUCUUUUUUGAUUUUUUGGGGCGAGGGGGGAUCGAAUAGAUGCUCUGGUUUUUGACUUUUUGUUGUCAAAUUUUACUCUGUUUUUUUCAAAUUGAUGCUUGAAUAUUUGAAUCAAAUUAAUGCUCACGUAAAUUUGUUCAGUUGCCGUAAAAGGAUAUAAUUACACUGAAAUACACAAACUCUAGAAUGAAUAGAAUUAAACAGAGAAAAUCUUGAGUAUAUUAGCCGUCUUCACAUAAAAUCAUAUGAAAAUUAAAUUUUGAAGUUUUUAUUUUCUAUUUUUAAUCAUACCCUUUAUAAUUUCUUCUGUUCUAACUACAAUAAAAUUUUUGGUUCAAGGAUUUUUAUGAGGGGUAUUAAUAAUAGUCCACCAAAAGAGUGAACAGUUGGAUGCUGCCCUAAGGGUCUCUAAUCAAUAGCUGGAAGCAAUUGAGAAGGCGGUCGUUACUGUGUACAAAGCCAUGCAGUAUUUGCUAUUCAUCUUAGUAAUUAUGAAGCUUUGGUAAAAUUUUCAAACAAAGUUGACAUGUUAUUUUGAGAUUUGGUUCAUGAUUUUGUAUGAAUAUCGUUGUUCCAUUGAGUUGUAUAUGAAUUCAAAUGUAAAAUAUUCUUUGGUUUUCAAUUUUGAAUUCAAUUUCUUUUCUUAAGCAUGUUGUGCAGAAAUGAUUUCUACUAAAUCAUUUUUGAUAAACUACUUAAAUUAAACAACUGCAAUAAGAACUGUUAAGGAUUUAUCGUAAGCAGACUAAUAUGAUAAUUCUGAAACUAUCAUUUUUUUUUUCAAUUUGUUGCAGGGAAAGCCAAAUUUUGUAUUUUUCAGUUUUAUCUGAUAUGGAAUUUAUUUCCUCUACACUAGCUACCUAAAGAUUUAUCAAAUUGCUUCUCUUCCCUGCUUCAAAUUAAUAUCUUUAUGCAACUACAAUCUCAUAGGAAAAGACAGUUUGGGUUGUAUUUAUUAUAGUUUUUUUUUUCGUUAAGAGCAAUUUAUUUUAAAAUCGUUUAGUAGUAACAGUUUUUAUUGAAUAAUAAUGGGGUAGGAUUAUUAUAGGUUCAACUAGUUGUUAGAACAUUAUAAAAAGUCCAUUUACUAUCAAAUGCUUUAAAUUGGUGCAACAUGAUAAUUGUCCCACAUAAUUUUUAAUAAUAUAUAUGGCCCAUAAAUUUAAUAUGAAUAAAUGAGUUUCGAUAGUUAAAUUUGAUACGAUUAUUAAAUAAGUUAUAUCCAUGUCAAUUCGACUUAAAAUCUGGUAAAUUUAGAUUUAGAGUUUAUAACAUGAUAACUUGUUUUAUGACAUGAUUUACUAAUCAAUUAAUAUUAAAUUAUAUUUUAGCCAAUCAGAUAUGUGGUACAUUUGUCAAAUUUUAAAAAUUAUUUAUUUAUAUAUGAAAUAAAUUUGACUAGACUGUGUGUAGGUAAUAGUGCAUAAUUUCUAAAAAAAUGUAAUAAUAACACGUUAAAAUGUUAUUUUUAUGAAGAAAAAUUGAAAUUUUAUUAAAUAGGCGACACAAUAAUAAAUGGGUUGAGAUUAUUUACAUUUUAAGAAUUACUCUGAACAUUAUUUUAUUUUAUAAAUUUUAUAUUACAAAAACACCCAUAGUUUAAUUUACCAUUAAGAACAAUUUUGUGCGAUUAAAUAAAAUACAUUACUCUUUACCCUUUCACUACAUCGACAUAAAUCCUAAUUGUUAUGUUUCUAAUUUCUUUGAUAUGCUUAUUGAAGUCCACAUUAUAAUCAAUUUUAAACUAUUAUACCACUUAAAUACAUUUUAGAAUGAGAAGUUUGGUUUUCUUCAUGGGCUGCCUUGCUGAUGCUGUUAUUGAAACUAUCGAACUUAAUAAUUUUAUGGCCAAAAUGAUAUAUGUUGAACCAGCUUUUACAUCGAAUUCUACCACCAUAAAAAAUCGUACUUGUAACAUCUCAAGGUUCCAAUUUAUCAAAAGUUAAUCAUUCAUAUUUGUUAGUUCCUAACAGUCACAAGAGCGUACAAGCCAAUUUUUGUAGCUCCUUUUUCUGCAGUAGAUUCAAGUAUAUUAUUAUCAAGCAUUUUUGUUACACCCUUAAUUCCUUAUCAUCAUCCCUUCAUUCAGAGCAACUAAACAGAGGUCAAUGUCAUUAUGUUAGAGUUACGAGGAAGAGUACUGCCAAAAAAGUUCUUUGUAUGGGAUUUAAUUUUCUGGGUUUGUAGUGAUGAACAAAUUGAGGGUUGUUUUGGUAUUUUCAAGAGUGUAUUGAGUGAAAAUUAUUUUUAAAAAAUUUAACAAAUGAGUGUAAUGAGUAAAAAAGUGUUUAAAGUAUUUUUUAGAGUACAAAUAGCUCCACCUUAAUAAAUGAGUUCUUGUAAAAAUUGAGAUUAUUGAUAUAAUUAUUAAAUAGGUUGGAUUGAAGUUAGUUUAAUUUUGACAAGAUAAUAAGACGACGCGACACAAAUACAACCAACCAGUCAACCCAAAUUGCAACCUUUUACUAAUAAAAGAUACCUGUUUGAAAAGUAAUUAUAAGCUAUCUUCUUUGUGUUAUUUCUCUAAAAAUUUGCGGCACAAAUAUUAUUUCCAUGGAGAAAAGUACGAAAUACCCGCUUUCACUUCAGCAGAAGCAAAGCAAAGCUAUGAGCCAUCUCUGUAUAAUUGAAACGCCAUUGCUAAACGGUUCUUGAUGAUGGGUGCCACCGUGCCAGCGUUGUCGCUGAUUUGCAUGAUUUAUUAGUUGUUCAGAUGGCGGAUUUUGUACUGUCACUUUCAUUUCAUUCUUGAGAGCCACGUACAAUACUAGGUGGCAUUGAAGUUGCCCCAGUGGUUAGUUUUCUGAUUUUUUUUAAUUCAAAUUUUUAUGUUUUAGAAAAAUGUAAGAAAUAUGUAGAAAUGUUGACAGCUACAAUUUUGAAACUUUGCCUAAAAUUAUUAUCGUUGCUUAUUGUUUCUUAGCUAAAGAGAAAUCCUAGAAACAUGAAAUUAUUAUUCUAUGCUUGUUUUAAUAUUAUACAUUAGCAGGUUAAUUAAAAAUUAGACGUGAAUACAACAAGAGAUAAGUGGAGAGAAUUUGGUAGUCGACCGCAUUUAGAAUUUAAUUUUUCUUUUAGCUGCCGAUCAUUAAAUUUUAUAUUUCAGAAAAUUAUACCUAGAAUAUUUCAAGGAUAUACUACGAAGAUUAUGAAGGUUUGAUUACAUGUCACUAUCAAUUGCCUCAAUCAUUUGUAGUAAAUUAAUUAAUCAUUUUGCUGCAAAUGAUUUCCUAUUAAAAAAUUCAAGUCAGAGCUGAAUUGCACAGUAGUUAGUCGUGCUUGCAAUUCAAAUCAAGUAUUGUAUUUUCUGCCUGAUUUGGUUGAUUCAACUAUGUGCAUUUGCAUAAUGGAGAUGCUUAUGAACGUUGUAGUAUAGAAAUCGAAACGUCUUGUCUUUUGCUAAGCCCAGAAGCAAAGUUCUUUGUAUUAUACUCAUCAGUUUUCUUCGUUCUCUUCGUUGAAAUUUUAUCCAAACAGCGGUUUCUUCGAAUUUUUGCCCUCUCUUACAUUUUUAAAUCUAUCAAAGAACGGUUACCUGAGAAGAUUGCCAUCAGGUAUUUCGAAAUUGAUUUCACUACAAUACCUUAAUCUAUCAGAUUUUAAUCUAUCAGAUGCUCCCGUCACUCAGUUGCCAAAAGUGACAAAAGCCUUAGUAAAUUUUUAGAGUAAAAACUCAUUUAUUCCUUAUAUUUUAAGAUUAGUAUCUAUUUAGUCCUUAUAUUUUGAAAAAUACCUUGAAACAUCACUGCCAUUAAAGUAUUGAUACCCUUACCGUUACUUUUUAUUUAUUUUGGCUUAUUUUUACAAUAUUACCCUUUAAUAAUAAUUUUUUUGUUUAGACAUUAAUAAAAAUAAAAUAAUUAAAUUACCAAUUUAAUCCUAAAAAAUAAAAAUAAAAAUUUAUAUUAAUUUUUAAUUGUAAAAAAUUGUAUGCAAACUACCAAAUGUGCAAACGGUGCUUGCAAAAAAAUUAAUAUAAAUUUUUUAUUUUUAGGGUUAAAUUAGUAAUUUAAUUAUUUUAUUUUUAUUAAUGUCCAAAAAAUUAGUAAUUUAAUUAUUUUCUUUUUAUUAAUGUCCAAAAAUUAUUAUAAAAGGGUAAUAUUAUAAAAGUAAGCUAAAAGAAAUGAAAAGUAACGGUAGGGGUAUCAAUACUUUAACGGUAGGGAUGUUUCGAGGUAUUUUUAAAAAUAUAAAGAGUAAAUGGACACUAAUAUUAAAAUACAGGGACUAAAUAAGUUUUUAUCCUAAAUCUUUAAGUGUUUGAAUUGGAGUACAUAAAUUAUCUCUCUACAAUUCAAAAACAACAGAUUUGUUACUUUUCAACGCUACAGGUUCCGCGAAUAUUCAGUUGUGGUUAUCUUGUUGAAACACCAGAAAAUAGCGUUCUAUUUGGUGGUAAUGAAUUCUUGGUUGGGGAGUUACUUAGUUUAAAACAUUUAAAUGUAUUAAGCAUCGCCUUAAAAGGUUUUUCUACCGUCCAAAAAUUUAUGAGCUCCCAAAAGUUUCAAAGUUGUACAAAAUGUUUGGAGCUUAUAGACAGUGAUGAUUCAAAGUCGUUUGCCAUGGCAGAGUUGAAGCAUCUUGAAAAACUAGGUAUUUCAAAUUGUGGAAAUUUGGAAGAGUUUAAGUUCUGCUGUGUCGAAGUUGGAAAAACUUGAGAAGAUUUUUGUUUGAACAGCCUUCACCAAGUUAAGAGAAAGGCUUGUCAUAAAUUGAGGGAAGUGACAUGGCUUGUGUUUGUACCAAAUCUUAAGGUUAUUCAGAUAGAAAAAUGUAUGGAGAUGGAGGUUGUUGGGAAAGAGACUACCACAAGCAGCUAAAAAUUAAGCGAAUACAAAAUUCUUUCUCUCUUUGUGUGAUUAAAAUAGGAUGUGCACCACAAACAAAUAAGCAGAAAAAUAAACCAAUAAAUGCAAAGCAAAAACCAACCACAAGAGACACCGAUUUUUAAGUAGAAAAUUUAAAUUGGGAAAAAUCACAGGAUAGUAGUCUGAUAUAAACUUCUACUAUAUUAAUGAGAUUACAACACAAAUUCUUCUCCAGAUAAUACUAGAUGCUAACAAUAUUAAAAUUCUCAACAAUCUUAGUUUAUAAUAAUAGAUCUAAAAUCUAUUUCUUCAAUAAGUGAGUAUCUCAAAUAAUAGCUACUGAGAGAAUAAAAUACAGAUCAACACCAGUAGAAAUAUAGAGGGCAAUGUCAGGAACUUACCCUCCAAAUUUAGGACUAAUCAGAGCUAAAAUAACCUUUUGAUUGUUGAAUCAAAGAUUGAAAACCAAAAAAAAAAAAAAUAUCUCUUUCUCUCGCAGUGUCUUCUCACUUUCGCAAAAUGUCUACAGCUCUCGCGAUUCUUUACUUAUUUCCUUAGUUAAUUUCAUCCAAGUCCAAAAUUUUACAAUAAUUACACAUCAAGCAAAUUAUUUUGGACUUUGAACUUUUUGGUCCACUGAAGUGAAAUGGACCUUACAAAUCUCCCCCUCCAUCUCAUCUAAGGGGCACCACCAAGCCCGCUCUCUACUUACAGCUUUCCAGCUUCUCCUUGGGUAAUGACUUUAUCAUCAUAUCUGAUGCAUUCUUCGUUGUGUGAAUUUCUCCAAGCUGCAACUGUUUCUACUCAAGCACGUCUUGUAUCCAAUGAUACUUCAUAUCAAUAUGCUUCGAUUUCAAAUGAUAUGUUGAAUUCUUUGCCAAGUGGAUGACACUUUAACUGUCACAGUACACAACAUAACUAUCUUGAUUAACACCUAGUUCUUGUAGAAAAUUCUUCAUCCACAAGGUUUCUUUGUAACUUUCAGUGAUUGUAAUAUACUCUACUUCUGUAGUAGACAAAGCAACACACUACUAAAGUCUAGACUGCCAUGAAACUGCUCCUCCUACAUAGGUGAGCAAAUAUCUUGAUAGAGACUUUCUAGAAUCAACAUCUCCUGCCAUAUAUGCAUCCGUAUCUACUUGUAAUAUAGGUUUGUCACCACCAAAACAUAAACAUGCCUUGGAAGUGCCUCUGAGAUAUAUGACAAUCUACUUUACUGCUGUCCAGUGUUUUUUACCCAGAUUAGAGGAAAACCAGUUGACUACCAACUGUUGAAGCGUACCUCAAACUACCAACUGUUGAAGCAUAAAAAACUCUUUUUAUCUCUUGCUUCUCUUUCUCACUUAUGGGACAAUGCUUGAAACUAAGCUUGAAAUGACCUGCAAGUGGAAAAUAAACAUAUUUUGCUUUGUCCAUAUUAUAUCUUUUAAGAACUUUUUCAACAUAUGCUUCCUGAGAUAACCAUAAAUUCCCAGUUUUUCUGUCACGAGAAAUCUUCAUGCCAAGAAUUUGUUUCGCCGAUCCCAAGUCCUUCAUUACAAAAGACUUGCUAAGCUCUCUCUUCAAAUUGUCAAUCUUACUAGUAUCCUUGCCAACAAUCAACAUGUCAUCCACAAAAAGUAAAAGAAUAAUAAAAUCAUUAUCACUAAACUUUUUCACAAACAUACAAUGAUCACACAUUGUCUUGCAAAAGCCAUGAUUCUCCAUAAAAGAAUCAAACUUCUUAUACCACUGUCUUGGUGCAUGUUUCAGCCCAUAUAAAGUUUUUUUCAAUUUGUACACAAGUUCUUCUUUACCUUUGACACUGAACUCUUCAGGUUGUUAUAUGUAUAUUUCCUCCUUUAAGUCAUCGUGUAAGAAAGCAGUCUUUACAUUGAAUUGUUCAAUUUCCAAAUCCAAGCUAGCUACUAAUCCCAGAGGUGCUUGCUCAAUUGGUUCUGCUGGACCAUUAUUAUUAUCCUCUCCAGCUCCCCUAUGAUCAUCAUGAACAACAUGUGGAGAAACCGAAGUUGGAAUAAUAAGAAUCUCUGGAGAUGGCUGAGACUUAUCAUUUUUUUUUCAUCACCAACUAUCUAAUUUUUAAGAAACACAACAUCUCUAAUUCUGAUUACUUUUCUUGUCACUGGAUCCCAUAAUCUGUACCCAAAUUCUUCAUGUCCAUAGCUUAAGAAAAUACAUUUCUUGGCUUUAUCAUCAAGUUUUGAUCUCUCAUCUUUAGGGAUAUGAACAUACACUCUGCACUUAAACACCCUCAAGUGUUUAUAAGAAACAUCUUUCCCAAUCCAAACUCUUUUAGGUACAUCGUCAUCUAAUGGAGCUUAAGGAGAAAGAUUAAUCAAAUCAACUACAGUACGCAUAGCCUCCGCUCAGAAGGAUUUAUAAAGCUUGGCAUCAGAAAACAUACAUCUGACUAUCUUUUCAAUUGUUCUGUUCAUUAUUUCUGCAACACCACUCUGCUGAGGGGAUUUUGGUACAGUUUUCUUAAGUUUGAUUCCAUGAGAUCUGCAAUACUGCUCAAAUGGUCCUCUGUACCCACCAUCAUUUUCUGCCCUGACACAUUUCAAUUUUUUUCUUGUCCCUCUCUCAACAUAAGCACGAAAGAAUUUAAACAUAGUAAGCACGAAAGAAUUUAAACAUAUCAAGCACUUAAUCUUUAGAUUUUAAAGCAAAAGUCCAUACUUUUCUAGAACAAUCAUUAAUAAAAGUCAUAAAAUAAAGUGCACCUCCUAUUGAUCUAUUUUGCAUCAUGCAAAUAUCAAUGUGAAUCAAAUCAAGGAUUUGUGACUUUCUAGAUGGAGAAAAGCUUUUAAAAGUUACUUUAUGUGCCUUUCCAGCUAAACACUAAACACAAGUCUUGAGGGACGUACCUACAAAGCUUGGUAGAAAUCCUUUUUUGGCAAGAGUUCCUAACCCUUUCUCACCAAUGUGACCAAGCCUUUUAUGCCAUGUCUCAAUGUCAGAAUUGUUUACAGCCAUAUUCAUAUAUUCUUUCUUGAUUUUGGCUUCUAUUACGUAGAGGGUGUUCAUUUUCUUUCCUUUAGCCAACACUAGAGAGCCUUUGGUGAGCUUUCAUUUUCCUUCACCAAAUUAGUUAGUAUAACUAUCAUCAUCAAUUUUUCUUGUGGAGAUCAAAUUAAGACGAAUAUCUAGUACAUGCAAGCUUUUUUGUGGAGAUCAAAUUAAGGCGAAUAUCUAGUACAUGUCUGACAUCUUUAAGGAGUAGCUUAUAGCCAACACUGGUUUGAAGCAAAUAUCUCCUAUGCCCACAAUCUUGGAUGCCCCCUCAUUUCCCAUCCGAACAUGGUCAUAAUUACCAUUAACAUAGGAUGUGAAGUAAUCAUGAUGUGCAGUUGUUGUGCAAAUUUUAAUGUACUCGCAAGCGCACGAAUCUAUUGUAGUAUAGAUCAAUGGUGACGAGUGUCGAUCCCACGAGGAGGUGGAUUUUAAUUGUGUAUAGAAUUAAUUUUGCAAAUGGUUGAUUGGAUUUGUGGUGGAAAUGAUUUGGAAUAUGCUAAAACUUAAAUUAAAAUGGCGAGAAUAAAUUCUAAAAUUGGAAUUGAAAUUGCGAGAAUAAAGUUGAAGAGAAUUCUAUUGAAAUGACGUACUUGGGUAUCUGGAUCCGUAUCAACAUGCAUCAUGGGCUAAAUAAUGCGUAUUAAUGCCAAUUAAAUCAUGAGGGGGGAAUCCACACCUCAUGAACCACGCUCUAAUCAAUAUGGUGCUAAGGGCUUAUCGUGCCAAAUAAUAAUAACCUUGUACUAGAGAGCCGGUGUAACCAAGGCGGUACUAGACAAGAUUAGUAUUAUUUGUCGACGAGAAGUCAAAACAUCCACAAAAACUAGAGGGGAAGAGAAAAUAAAUUUACCAAAUAAAGCCCAUGACACAUGUUGAGACUUCACCUUCAACCCAAGCUUAAAAGAAAAUUAGCUACUCAUAAUUGAACUAAGGGCAAAAUGGGAAUUUAUUAAAAUACGAAGAAAAUACAAGAUAGAGAGGGAAUUACAGAAAAUGGAUCCCAAAAAUGGAUUCAGAGAUAUCAAAUUAGGGGGGGAGGCCCCCUUUUUAUAGAUACAUGGAGUAAAUCAUGGCAAUCGGAUUAAAAACAGUUUGGACGCUCAGGAUUGCGCCACGUCAUCAGUCAACAGUCCACGGUUUGACCACGCGGAUGAACAGUAAUACGGUUUGACCCAUAUGAACAGUACGCGGUUUGACCCGGAUGAACAGUAACGCGGUUUGGUUGAAAAUAAUCCUGUGUGAUGCAUGCACCGUACGCGAGAUUUUUUGUCCACUGAUAUGCUGCCACGUCACCAUCAACAGUACAUAAGAAUUUUAGUCCAACAGGAUCGUGACACCUCAUCAGUCAAUGCCACAUCAUCGAUCCGUCUAUGUGAGCAGUGCCGUGAACAGUAACAUAUACAGUACCGUAUACGUGAAUAGUACCGUACAUGUGAAUAGUGCUAUUUUUCCUUUUAUGCUCCUCCUAAGGUUUUCGACCGUCCUGAGUUCAAAAGUGAUGUCCGUUUUACCGUCUGAUCUCUCCUUUAUUGUGAAAUCACUAUAAUACCACUAAAAUACAUAAAAUACUUAAUUAAAAUAAAACACAUGUAAUUAAAUCACAAGAAGGUUAAAUACAUAAAAGUAAGGGUUGUUAGUAAGACUUGAAAUGUAAAAUGAUGGUUUUCUCCUUUAUAAAUAUGCAUUUUCUAACACUCAACAGCAGUAACCACGAUGUGCAGUAACAUCAAACGAAGCACCCGAAUCAAUCACCCAAUUACUGGUAUGGCAAGUAAGAUUUAUAGAGCUAUCAUUAUAAGCAAUGCCCAUAUCACCAUUAAUUACGGCUGUAACAUUCUCUUUGUCAUUUUUCUGACCAUCGCCUUUUUCUUUCGCAUGUUCUCUUUUCCACAAUUUACACUACCUUUUUACAUGGCCCAUUUUCUGACAAUGAAAGCACUUAGCUUCUCCUAUGGGACUUAGAUCUUCCUCCAGGGUUAUCAUUAUUCUGAUGACGGAAAUUUCUGCUUCGACUUCUCCCCCGUCUUUUUUGGUUUUCUGAAACAAGUGUAGCUGACUCAGAGGGAACUACUUCAGCAUUCUUUCUUCGAGAUUCUUCAUUCCGCAGUCUAUCUGUAACCAUAUCCAAGUUUAAUUUACCAUUCGGUGCCGAAUUAUUCACUGACACCACUAAUGUCUCCCAACUAUCAGGUAAAGAACUAAGCAACAACAAUGCUUGUAACUCGUCAUCUAGAAUAAUCUUCAUAGUAGUCAACUGAUCAACCAAACCCUGAAACUCACUAGUGUGUUCAGUAAUACUGUGGCCUUUUUUAUAUUUCAAGUUAACAAGCCUUUUCAUUAGAUUGACUUUAUUUUGUGCUGUUGGCUGCUCAUAAAUUAUUUCUAAUUUUCUCCAAAGAACAUCAGCCUUGGAUUCCUUCGCGACAUGAUGGUACACACUCUGAUCAAUCCAUGACCUAAUAGUGCCCACGGCUUUCUGGUUCAAUUGAGCCCAUUUCUUAUCAUCUAUAUCAACAAGUUUAACUUCAUCACCUUCAAUAGGUUCAUGUAAGUCUUUCAUGUAGAGCAAAUCUUUCAUUCUAGACUUCCAAAUAUCAUAAUUCCACGACUCAAUUUAAUCAUGAACGCCAAAGACUCCUCUAUUUCAACCACAUAAGUAAUAAAAACACACAACCUGGCUCUGAUACCACUCUAUUGGGAAAACGACUACCACAAACAGCUACAAAUUAAGCGAAAAUAAAAUUCUUUUCCUCUUUGUGUGAUUAAAAUAGGAUGUGCACCAUAAACAAAUAAGCAGAAAAAUUAAUCAAUAAAUUCAAAGCAAAAAUCAACCACAAGAGACACCGAUUUUAACGUGGAAAAUUCAAAUCGGGAAAAACCAUGGGACAAUAGUCCGAUAUAAAUUUCCACUAUAUUAAUGGGAUUACAGUACAAAUUCUUCUCCAGAUAACACUAGAGGUUAACAACAUCAAGAUUUUCAACAAUCUUGGCUUACAAUAAUAGAUCUAAAAUCUAUUUCUUCAAUAAGUGAGUAUCUCCAAUAACAGCUAAUGAGAGAAUAAAAUAUAGAUCAACACGAGUAGAAAUGUAAAGGGCGAUGUCAGGAACUUAUCCUCCAAAUUUGGGAGAAAUCAAAGCUAAAAUUAUUUUUCGAUCGUUGAAUCAAAGAUUGAAAACCCAAAGAAAAAAAAUAUCUUUUUCUCUCGCAACGUCUUCUCACUUGCGCGAAAUGGCUACAUCUCUCGCGAUUAUUCACUUAUUUCCUUUAUAUUUUUUUUGGUUAAUUUCAUCCAAGUCUAAAAUUUUACAAUAAUUACACAUCAAGCAAAUUAUUUUGGACUUUGGGCUUUUGGUCCACUGAAGUGAGAUGGACCCUACAGAAGCAAUAAUCAGUGCAAGAAAAUUAAGUGAAGUUCCAGAGAUGAUGGCAGAUCUAAACCCUUUUGUAAAACUCCAAUAUCUUGGCCUCCGAAUUCUACCAAAAUUAAAAAAGCGUCUAUUGGAAUGUGUUGCCCUCUCCACAUGUCAGGGAAAUUUUUGUAUCUGAAUGCCCAAUUCUCAUUAGAGGAGAGGAACACUGGUGGAAUAAGUUGCAAUGGGAGGAUGAAGCAACCUAUAAUGCUUUUCUUCCUUGUUUUGGAUCCAUUUGAUGGGCAUCAACAUGGAUUAAUAUUUUGCAGCGAACCAAUUUGAAUAAAACUUACGGUAAGUGCUUUUCCAUUUAUUGCAUAUUUAUAUCUAAUUUUUGUUUUCCUUUAUGGUUAAAUUUUGCCCUGUAUAUGUUGUUGUACGGUGACAUUCUUGAAUCAAUUAUUAAUUUUUUUAAUUCUCGUCUCACAACCACCCUUUUGAUCAUGAGGAUAUGCCGAUAUCAAAGAGUCAUAAUUUGGGAUACAAAUGUAAGAAUUAGGCAGAUGACAUGUUGUUUCAAAGCUUUCGAAGAAGGACUAAAUAUGUCAUUGAAAGCCUCCAAUUUUGCGACUGAUUUUUUUUUAAUUUGUUAUUUUUAUAGGUGGCAAAAAUACCCGUCUGAUUUGGACUCGGCUGAUUUGGGCCGGGUACGGAGUAUGAAGCCGGGUUGGUCCUGGGCAUCACUUGAAACUCGGAACCUGGAUUUUAUUAAAAAAUAUUAUAAAUAUAUAUUAUUUUAAAUAUCUAUAUUUAUUAGACUCAUCUAUUACAUAUAUCUAAUUUCAUUGAAAUAAAUUUAAAAAUUAUAAAAUUACCAAUAUAUAUAUAUAUAUAUAAUAUUAAAAAAGUAUAAAAUCUGAGUCCUCAGAUUAAAACCCAGUUCAAGUGUCUAAAAAAUACAUGUGGACCGAGUUUGAACAUUGCGAUACCCAGACCCAAACUUGGGUUUUGCCAACCCUAGUCUUUUAAAUUGCUUGAUUGUAAUGUUUUAGUAUAGAAAAAUGAUAGCCAAGACAACAAUAAGAGGGCACAUUGUGCAUGCACAAUAGUGGAUAAUUUCGGCAUUCCAAAUCCAAUUAGGGUGGAUAACCUUUUAUUAGUAUUAACCUUCUCUCGUAUUCAAGUAAUGUAAAAUAUGCUUAGAAGCUGUGGAUCCCCCUUUAUAAGUGUUGGGCUUAUGCCAAACUCGAUUGAUGUGGGAUGCCUUUAUAGGCAUCAAGUUUUCUCCCAUACACUUUAUGUUAAAAAUAAUAAUGAUAAAAUAAAUCCAUUUUAAAAUAGACUUCUUUUUCUUUUCUAUAUAAACAAACUCAUUCUUCAAAUCAGUUGUGGGUGGAAGGAGUGAGUAGAGAAGAACUGGGCCCCUUUCGUUCCUCUAAAAACCUCACCAAACCUCUCUUGUAAGCUUCUCAGUGUCCCUCUCAAUAUUUCUUAUGAUCUCGUUUUUUAUUGAAUCACUUCUUUUGUGUGCUGCAUUUUUGUGUGUCGUAUUUGGGUUUAUCUUAUCUGGAAUCCUGUUAUGAUUGAUGGAACAAGUAAUCGAUUUUUGGUUUAUUUGGAAUGGAAUUAUGGUUUAUUUGGAAUGGAAUUAUCUGGGUGUAACGGAUUAAAUUAUGACAUUGGGGAGAAGGCACUAAGGGGUUUGCUUGACACAUUUGGUUCUGUGUUUACUCUGAAAGAAAUAGCUUUUGCUUAUCGUAAUGCAAGGCGAAAUCCCGAUUUGGGUGGUGAAUUUCUCUAUCCCAAUUGGGCUGGUGAAUUUCUCUGUGACAAAUAGGCAAACAGCUCAACCUCUUUUAUCUAUCUUCUACUAGUGAGGCAAGGGAUAAAAAGUCUUCAAAAUCAUCAAAUAGUAACAUCUUCGAGAAUUCAUUUUAUGCAAAUGGAAAAUCUAGACCUUCUAAGACAAAAUGGCGUCCAGUAUCAAGAGGUACCGUUUCAAGUUUUCUUGGUAAAAAUUAUGUAAACUUGCACAGCCAGCUAAUGGCACUUUUCUAGUUUUCUGGCAUCAAAGCCAUUGAAGUCGUAUCCAAAGGAGUUUCCCAUGUCUGCACUUUGUGGAGAAGGAACUAAACAAAAACAAUCAAAGGAUGACCAUUUGCAGAAGGAUGUGGAAGAUUUUCUGUUUAAAUUGCUAGGAGAAGUGUUCCAGCUGAAUAGGGAUGUGAUUCGGGAAGUUCCAGUAAUGUCUUAAAUAUGUUGAUGCCAAUUUAAUAUAUAUUGUCAUUUUCAAUGUUCUUUCUUUCUUUCUUUAUCUUCUUUUCUUCUACUUCUUCUUCUUUUUCUUUUCGUGUGCAUGUGAUCACUAAUUUGUUAUUAUACUUAACUUGCAGGUAGUUGUGGAUAUGAUAUGCAAAAGGUAAGGACUAUAUCUUCCUGAUAGAGGCCUCUGCUUUUUCCCUUUUAUGUAAUUUAGUAAAUCUCAUCUCCCUUUGUGAUUGUUAUAUCAUAUCAAAGUCAAGUCUUAAAUACUGCUGUCAUAUGUUAAGGUUCAACUUGCAUUUUGACUAACAUCCAUUUGUUGUCGCUUCCAAAAGUGAGAAUGAGAUACUUCGGUUAAUUUCAGUAGUUGAACCCAAUCGAGUACUUUAUCUAGAUCUUCAUGGUUCAAAGGCCUGAAACUUGCCCGUGAUUGUAAAAUGAUAUUAUGUGCUUUUAAUGCAAUAGGGGGAACAAGGUGUCAAAGGAAUUAGCAGAUUCUAUGGCAGAUUCUAUGCCUGUACAACUGUAACAAUUAUCCUUAUGAUUGUAAAUCUUAUAUGUUUUCCUUAUUUAGGAUAUACUAGCUGUAGGCUAUUUUAGAUAGUUAUGUAUAUGAUAGUUUAGCUAUGUUUAGGGCUAAACAUAAGCUUGUAUUCAUAGUAUAUAAAGGGAAUUCUCUUCUAAGAGAAAGCAUAACUUUUGCUCAAAAUUCUCUGAGUUUAUCAUGGUAUCAGAGCCUCAGUUCUGAAUUCUCUUCUUCCUAGUUCAUUCCCUUGUUCUUAGUUAUUCUUUUUUUUAUCAAGUUAUCUCAGCCUCAUGUCUUCAGACAAGUAUGAUGCUUUUUUGAUCCGUUUUAAUGGCACAAACUACUCAGCCUGGGCAUUUCAUUUCGAGAUAUUUGUCAAAGGCAAAGAUCUAUGGGGACAAGUUGAUGGCAGGAAACCUGCCCCUGAUAAAGAGAUAGACCAGGAUGGGUACGCCAAGUGGGAAGUCAAGGAUGCUCAAAUCAUGGCAUGGAUUCUAGGAUCUGUGGAAUCCAACUUCAUCUUGAAUCUUCGACCCUUCAAGACUGCAGCAGGAAUGUGGAAUCAUCUAAAGAAACUCUACAGUCACACCAACACUGCUCGUUGAUUUCAGCUUGAACAUGAGCUAGCCAAUCUCCAACAAGGCAGUCUCUCUAUUUCUGAUUUUUAUUCUAUCUUUAUGAUUAUUUGGGCUGAAUAUACUGAUAUAAUCUAUGCUACCUUACCUCCGAAGGUCUUAGUUUUGUUCAAUCUGUACAUGAAACUACUAAGAGAGAUCAAUUUAUGAUAAAACUGAUAUAUGAAUUUGAAAGCACUAGGUCCAAUCUUAUGAAUUGAGAAUCUGUCCCUUCCUUGGAUACAUGCCUCAAUGACUUAUUUCAUGAGGAGCAACGACUUCUUACUCAAAAUACCAUGAAACAAAAAAAAUCUACUUCUGUUCCUAUGGCUUAUGCAGCUCAAGGCAAGCCAAAAGGUAAGGACAUCAGUAUAGUUCAAUGUUUUUGUUGCAAAGGAUUUGGACAUUACGCUUCAAAUUGUUCAAAAAAAUUAUGCAACUAUUGCAAAAAAGAUGGACAUAUCAUUAAGGAAUGCCUUACUCGACCCCCCAAGAAAUCUGAAACAACAUAUGCUACCUCAGUUGGUUCUUCUAGUGAUGGUAGUUCUGUGGAUACAGCACAUUUGACCCAAAGUGCUCCUGUUCCUGUUCAAUCUGUGACCCCAUAAAUGAUUCAACAAAUGAUCAUUAUUGUAUUCUCCUCAUUAGGACUCUCAGGUAAAUCACCCACUAGAUCUCCUUGGUACUUUGAUUCUGGGGCUUCCCAUCACAUGACAAACAAUGCUAAAUUCUUCACCAAUGUAAGUAAAUACCUUAGAAAUCUAAAAAUUCAUACAGCUGAUGGCAACUCUUUACCUAUCACAGCCACUAGUGAUGUUUCUUUUUCUAUAACCAAUGUCUUUGUCUCUCCUGGUCUUCCUACUAAUCUUGUUUCAAUCGGUCAGUUAGUUGACAAUAAUUGUAAAGUAGAAUUCUCUAAAUCUAGUUGUGUUGUGCAGGAUCAGCAGUCAGGGAAGAUGAUUGCCAGGGGGCCUAAAAUAUGACGUCUUUUCCCUCUCCAAUUUGCUAAGUCUCCAUGUUUCUCUUUGCCUAUCAUCACUUGCAAUUUUACUAAGGUUAAUUAUCGAGCAUGGCAUAAACGUCUAGGACACCUAAACUCUAAUGUAUUUUAUGCUUUGCUAAAUUCUGGUUUACUUGGGAAUAAAAGAUCACCAUCCCUUAGUGUUGUUCAAUUUGAUUGCAAUUCUUGCAAGCUUGGAAAAAGUAAAAUUCUGCCAUUUCCCACUCACACACCGAAUGUUGUCCAGCCUUUUGAUUUGAUACAUAGUGAUGUGUGGGGUAUGGCGCCUGUUACAUCUCAUGCUAAUUACAAGUACUUUGUCACUUUUAUUGAUGACUAUAGUCGCUUCACAUGGAUUUAUUUUCUACAUUCUAAAGAUGAAGUGUUCUCUGUUUUCAAGCUUUUUCAUGCAUAUAUUCAGACCCAAUUUUCUACUAAUAUCAAAAUUCUUUGCUUUGAUAAUGGGGGUGAGUAUAUGUCUCAUUUAUUUUAAGAAUUUUUGCACACCAAUGGUAUAAUUUCUCAAAGAUCUUGUCCUUCAACCCCUCAACAAAAUGGGGUGGCUGAAAGAAAGAACUAUCACCUUCUCGAUGUUGUCUUCAUUUGUACCCUCUCGUUUUUGGUGUGAAGCUUUCUCCACUGUUGUCUAUCUCAUCAACAGAUUGUCCUCUCAUUCCUUGAACCAUGUCUCCCAUUUCUUUCAGUUAUUUGGCCAUACACUAAGUUACUCUCAUCUCCAUACCUUCAGUUGUGUGUGCUAUGUUCAUCUUCCUCCAUAUGAGCGUACAAAACUCACAGCCCAAGCUGUGAAAUGUGCUUUUCUAGGAUAUUUUAUGCACUAAAAAUGUUUUCUUUGUUAUGAUCCAAAUUUGCAUCAUAUAAGGGUUUCUCGAAAUGUGAUUUUCUUUGAAAAUCAGUAUUUCUUUUCCGCAUACCACGACGAUUCUUCGCCUUCAUUUUCUGUUUUGCCAAAGUUUACUAACCCUUCUGCAGAUUCUGCACCUUCUAAACCUAUCAUAGUCUAUCAGCGACGCAAGAAUUUAGUACCUCUCGGGCCCCCUCCAGCAACUUCCCUGAAUGUUGAUCCAGUUCCAGCAACUGCACCUGAACCUUUCAGACAUAGUACUCGGGUUCGUAGACCACCAGAUAGGUAUGGUUUCACCUCUCCAUUAUUUUUGACAGCCACUUUGUCUUCUAUUCUUAUUCCUUCAUCAUAUAAACAGGCAAUAGAGCAUGAAUUUUGGUGAAAAUCUAUUGAAUCAGAACUUCUUGCACUUGAAGAAAACCAAACUUGGGAUAUUGUUUCAUGUCCUCCAUCCGUGAAACCCCUUAGUAGUAAGCUAGUGUUUUCUAUCAAGCUGCGUUUUAAUGAAUCCAUAGAUCGUUACAAGGCUCGGUUGGUGGUUCUUGGCAACAAGCAAGAAUAUGGCCUAGACUACGAUGAGACCUUCGCGCCGGUAGCCAAAAUGACCACUGUUCGAACAAUAUUAGCCCUUGCUGCAUCACAAUCAUGUUCUUUACAUUAAAUGGAUGUAAAGAACGCUUUCCUACAUAGUGAUCUCAAGGAGGAAAUUUACAUGAAACUUCCCCACGGUAUGACUACUUCCUCUCCUAAUGAUGUUUGCAAACUAAAAUGUUCGUUGUAUGGGUUGAAGCAAGCACCGCGAGUAUGGUUUGAGAAGUUUCGAUCAACUCUUUUCAGUUUUUCAUUCACUCAAAGUCAGUAUGACUCCUCCUUUUUUUUUUCCAACAGACAUCUAAGGGCAUCAUUGUUCUCCUUAUUUAUGUGGAUGACAUCGUUAUCACUGGUUCUGAUAUGGAGGCAAUUUCUAAACUUCAGAAUUUGUUGCACUCUAUUUUUCACAUGAAAGACCUCGGUCAACUCACCUAUUUUUUGGGGUUAGAGGUGCAUUAUCUGCCUCAAGGUAUCUUCUUGAAUCAACACAAGUAUAUUCAGGAUUUAAUUUAAUUAGCUGGACUUAUGGACAAAAAUUCUGUUGACACCCCAGUGGAACUUAAUGUGAAAUAUCGACAAGACGAAAGGGAACUACUUCAAGAUCCUACUUAUCUAUCUAACUAUCACCCGCCCAGACAUCUCUUAUGCUGUCCACACCGUUAGCAAGUUCAUGCAAGCCCUUCGACAUCUCCACGUAUCCACAGUCCGCCGCAUCAUUAGAUAUAUUCUUGGCACUCUUAACUGCAGUUUAUUCUUCCCUACUGGUUCUUCACUCCAACUACAAGCCUACAAUGACGCAGAUUGGGCUAGCUGCCCGGACACGAGAAAAUCUACUUUGGGAUGGUGCAUGUUUCUUGGUGAUGCCCUUAGCUCUUGGAAAUGCAAAAAGCAAGACUCAGUCUCCAAAUAAUCCACUGAGGCAGAAUACCGCGCCAUGUCUGUAGCCUGCUCCAAGAUCAUUUGGUCGCGUGGUCUCUUAACAGAGCUUGGUUUCUCACAACAUCAACCUACUCCCCUACAUGCUGACAACACAAGUGCCAUCCAAAUUGUAGCCAACCCUGUCUACCAUGAGCGCAUGAAACACAUAGAGGUUGACUGCCACUCUAUUCGAGAGGCCUAUGACCACCAAGUUAUCACCCUCCUGCAUAUCUCCACUACUCUACUGAUUACGAAUAUCUUCACCAAAUCCAUGACAUGUCAGCGACAUAACGUUCUUGUUAGCAAAUUGAUGCUUGUAGAUUUACCAGCAUCAAUUUGAGGGGGGAUGUCAAAGGAAUUAGUAGAUCUUAUGGCAAAUUCUAUGCCUGUACAGCUGUAACAAUUAUCUUUAUGGUUGUAAAUCUUAUAUUUUUUCCUUAUUUAAGAUAUACUAGCUGUAGGCUAUUUUAGAUAGUUAUGUAUAUGGUAGUUUAGCCAUGUUUAUGGCUAAACAUAAGCUCGUAUUCAUAGUAUAUAAAGGGAAUUCUCCUCCAAGAGAAAGCAUAUGAAAGAAACUUAGUUCUAUAUUGUUUGGUAGGCUAGAAAAUGAAAGAAAAUAAAAGAAAAGCUUUGCAAAGAAAACUGUUAGAUCCUUUUAUUAUACCAAACUUACAGUUUAAUGACUAAAAAUUGAUAUUUAUAUUGAGCUACAAACUCUUCACACACACACACGAGAUUGUUGCAACACAUAACCAAUUGCUGUAUAACUAACUUGACACAUCAGCUCAACCAGCUAACUAACUUUGACAGGUCAGCUUAAUGAUUUGAUCUGAUACAACCAGCUACACAGCAACAUCAUGCUCUGCUCCAGCUUCAUCUAAUUCACUAACAACUUUUGCUCAAAAUUCUCUUAGUUUAUCACAGGGAAGUAUAGCUUUGGAAAAGGCCGGAUCAAUAACUAUGGAGAGAUUUAUAAGUGAUAAAAAUUCCCGUAACCCGCUGUCAAGAAAAUUUCACAUAGUUAAAGACGCCAUUUUGUUUCAGCCAAAAAUGUUUGUUUAAUCUGCCAAAAAUGUUUGUUUCGAUUAAAGACUUGAACCGUUUUCAUUUAACCUGAUUGUGAUGCUUUAUGUUAUGUAUGUUCCUCUCAAUCAAGAAAAGUUGAGGUUCAUGAUUUUAUAUUUCUAUCUUGUAACUUGCAAUAAUAACUGGUCUUCUUGUUUUUGUAGCUUGAUAACAUGAAUUUUCCUUCUCAAGUUAAUUUGAUCAAUAAAGUAAUUCUUCAAAGAAAAUAUGCCCAUUCUAUAAUCAUUUUCUUAGCUAAUAUGUUUUUUUUUUGUUUACUCUUCAGAGUGUGUCGAAACUAAUUGAUUGCUCGGCAGAGACUUUGGGUGACAAGUCAAAAUUUCAUGGUAAAUCCUCUGAAAAGGUAUGCAUAAUUCCUGAAUAUUAAAUAACCAAUGGUCAUAGUUUUUGUACACGACUCUUUUUGUGGAGAUCGUUAAAAGUGGUUGAUGAUCCAUUUGUAAUUUCAUAGAGGGAUCAUCAAUUCCUUUUCUUUUCUGUGGCUAGGCAUCACUUUCGUGCCAAAGUAAGGAAAUCUAUUUUAGGUAAUGUAAAAAACAAUGGUAGGAUGUAAUAGCUUAUUAUGCACUGACAAUAACUUUUUGUAUAAUUGUCAGUUUAAGGAAUACAAGAGGAACUCUGUUGACAAAUUCAUCCAAGAUAGAUGCUAAAAUUAUUUAUGCAUGCCAGUUGCCUUAACUAAUUUUUCUUAACACUUGUAUUGAACAGGAAAUGAGUAUGCAAUUUGUGUACGUGCCAUUGUGGAGAAUUUGGAUAUUCUUAUUUAAGUAAGAAGAAGAGUAUUUGCCUCAUCUUUAAACAAUGAAUCUUUGAGAAAUGAGGAGUGGGUGAUUGGAAGUGUCUUCAUGUAAAUGUUCAUUUACUUGUAUUUUGAACUAUUAUGAGAAUCUUUUAUAUGCCAAAUUAGUAAUACAAAUGUUCAGAUGAUUUUUCCUGUUGAUCACGCGUUUGUGUCUGCAGACAACCAUUGUAUAUCACUUUAUUCUGAUGUGCAAUUAUGUAUAGAUUAGAAGAAAAGAAAUAAUAGUCUUAUAUUAUUGUUUGGUUCAUGAUUAUUAAACGAUUAUGGCUUCAAAAAAUCUACAAAUUCCUUCUGUUCAUAUAUGAAUGUGCCAAGUUUGCUAUAUCUUAGAUUGCCUUCUUCCAAGAUAACAAGUUCAUAUGUUUUUUAAUCCUCUUCAAUCACAGUUGAAUUUUAAGUGUUAAGAUUUGUUAUUAAUACCUGGUUCCCUGUUAUUAUGAUUUUUAUUAUGAUUUCAUAAACAGUGUACGGACAUGUGCUCUACUUUUAAAGGGCCUCCACGUGAAAGAAAAUUGCAACAAUUGAAUUCUUCCGGAGGGUAUGGCAUUUAAUUUAUUUUCUCAACUUCUUGUAAGACUAAUAUAUUUCCUUCAGUAGGCAGGGCAUGUUGGGAAGGGCUUUUAUUGAAAGAAUUCUGAUAUUUCUUAGACUUUGUUUUGGAAGGGAGGUGGAGGGAUUUCUCAUCCAUAUAUGGUUACUUGAUUAGCUUUUGACUGUAUUGCCUCAGUCGUGCAAAGGAAGAUCCAAAUACUAAUGAAUGAGAAUUGGUUAGAGACCCAAAAGACAGAAAUGAACUACAGAAGGAAGUUUUUGCUGCUUUAUUUAGUGUUCCUGAGAACUCUGAUGAAGAUGGAGUGGAGGUCCAAAGCAUUAAGAAAGGUGGUGAGUGAACCGCCAGAGGAAUUGGUACCAGAAUACAAAGCUAAUGUGGUGCAUUUGCAGCAAGAUAACCAGACUAGUAUGUGCUCUUGUAUUAACUAUAUUGACUGGAUUUGUGAGCAUGUUCAUUUUUGUGUGUAUAAUCACUUUUGUAUUUAUGCAUAUUAAUGUUAGUAGGAUUCUUGAUUUCCUCCACUUACUGGAGAACUAGUGGAAAGCUUUAUAGUGAAAUAUCUGCAAUAACUAAUGGAAACCAUGAUUUGAAUAUUUUCUCUCACCUGGAGAGCUUUGUAACAGAUGUACUUUGUGGCUAUGGAAUACUAGAGAUUCUGCAAUAACUAAUGGAAACUCUGAUAUGAAUAUUUUCUCUCACCUGCAGAACUUUGUAACAGAUACACUUUGUGGCUCUGGAAUGUCUAAAGAUUUUGUCUGCUUCAGUUAGAUCAAAUAUCUUUUAGUUACCUACAUUAUGGAAAAGAUAGAGUUCUCUGAAUCUGAAAGACUGAAACAUUUUGCAUAUUUCGUGAAAGGAAAAUAUCUGUAGAUACUAGUUCAUGCAUUGAGGUAACAUCAAUGUUAAAGAAAAACAGCAAUAACUUAUUAUAUAGAAUUAGGUUCACUUGCUUUAAAUGCUGGUCUGGUCAACCAUAUGAACCUGUAAGUGUAUCUGCAGAAAUAUAUAUGGGGGGACAAACUAGCUAAAUUUUCCUCUCAUUUCUGGCUUUGGUCAUUUUUUCCCCUUAUUUUUCAGCUUUCCUUCUCCUGAAGUAUGUUAACAAUUGCAGAUAAUGACGAAGAGGACAGCUUGCAGGCUCUUCGUGGAGCUGUGAUGGAAUAUAGGGGCACAAUGAAAGAACAUUUUAAAGCUGUAGGUUCUUUUUCUCCUGUCAUUUAUAUUUGCUCACACAUUUUUCAUAUGCUCCAAGCAUGCAAGUUUGUAUGUGUCUUUGCCUUUUAAGUUUUAAAAACCAUAAGGUAAGAAUACAGUUCCUCGUCAGGUUAUUGAUGCAUUCACUCCGGAGGAUCAUGUUCGAGCAGGAAAACUUCUAGAACAGGCAAGGUUUUCCAUCUACAGCCAUCUAUUGACAACAGAUACAUUUUCAUUCAGCAGACACUGUUAGCAUUCAAGAUGCUGGCAGAUUCACUUGAUUCUUAUUAGUUUGUUUAGUGGUAAAGCAUAUAACCUGUUUUUCAAAGCCAAGUUGUGCUAUUGAUUAUGUUAACUUUAUUGUUCACAUAAAGUGAUAUGGAGGAAAUAAUCAUUGUAGGAAAAUUAGGUGAAGAGGUGAUGUCAAAUCUUGAACCUGUUACAAAACUCCAAGUUCUUUACUUGAAGAAGCUACCAAAUUUGAACAGGGUCCACUGGAAGGCCUUGCCAUUCCCUGAUGCCUGCAGAAUUUUUGUAUUUAAAUGCCCAGAGCUUAAGAAGCUGCCACCGGAUCUUGAAAGGGCAGGCCAAGGUAAAAUUCUUAUCAAGGGAAAGGAAGAUUGGUGGAAACAACUUCAAUCGGAGGAUCAAGUAACUCAGAAUGCAUUGCUUCUAUUUUUAAAAUCAACUGACAAGUGAUUGAAGGGGGCAUCAUCAACAUCAUCAACAUGGAUGGAGAGAUUCAGGAGCAGAUCCGCAGGGUUUAUUACGACCUGUGGUGGUUGCUUUUUUGUGACUUGUUCCCUUUCAUUUUUUCACUUCCUGUCAUAUUAUCAUUUCUUUGUCUCUGUUUCUAUUGCUGAUGUUGCUGCAUGCUUGCAGCCCUUGACAAAGUUAGCAAUGCAAUAUAGAUUUUGAAAUUAAAUUUUGUAUGUUCGGGACAGUCACAAAGUACUACUUGUUCUAUAUGGGGGUGAUGUGAAUCAACUUUUCAAUUAUAUAUUCUGUGGUAAUUGUGAAUUCAAUUUCAUUUGUCUCCUGCAAAUUAUGAAGAAAGUGCAGAGUUAGAAUAUCGAAAAGUUCACUGGCAAAUACUUUGUAAAAGCUUCGGAGUGAAACAGGGAAUGCACUUGCAACUAAGGACAAAUUGGUGGCCAGCUAAUGCAUUCAUUUUAUGUACAUUCAUCUUUUUAAUUAUUGAAGAUAAGUGGUUCGUUGCUUUUGUUGUAGAAAAAAUUCAGACGACCUCAAUUGUGAGAUGAAAAUAUUUAAAAUAUCUCUUAAAUUAUUAUAAACUUUAAUUUAUCUUAAUUUUAUUUAAAAGAUAAAAGAAAAAUGUGGUAUAUGGGUAAAAAUUUUUUUAUCUUGUUAAUAAAAUGAAAUAAAUUAAAAUUUACAAUAAUUUAAAGUAUUUUAAAAUUAUUAUUUCAUAAGAGAUUAAUAUGAAAUUAAUCCUUUUUACUUUUUGAAUGUGAAAGGACAAGAAAAGAGAAAGCUAGUGUCACUGCUUUUUAUUUUAUUUGAAAUCGGAGUUAUCCCAUAUACUUUACUACUUUAGCUCUAACAUUACAAUGUUUUUAGGCUACACUUUUAUUUUUCUUUUUCCCCCUUUUUUUAUACAUGCAUGUGGAUUACUUUUCUCUAAGCUCCUUAAUAUUUAAGACAAAUCAUAAAAGCAAUUGAAGCAUAACAAGAUGAUCAAAACAUUUAACCGAAAAAAAAAGAAAUAAAACAUUGAAAAUGGAGAUGUUGAUUAAUUUAGAAGAGAUGCAAGCAAAAAAUAUUCCCAAAAAAAAAAAAAAAAAAAGCAACGUUAGUUCAUCCAUGUCUGUCAAUGCGUUUUUUAUGGUUUUUUUUUUCCAGUUGUUUGUUGUAAUAGAUUAAUUGUAAAUUGAUAUAAACUUGAUGUUGUAAUAUGUUCGCUUUUGUGGAAAUAAAUUUCAAUAUUCAAGAUUAUUCAAGUCUUAUCUAGUAUGUGUUCGGUUGUGUUGUCGAUAAUUUUACAUUCUAAUAAGUUUUCACCUAAAAUAUUAGCAUGAGUAGUAGUCCUUAAACCUUUGGUCAAAAUUAUUGUUAUUGUUUCUUUUAGAGGAAAUUUUUUUAUUAAAGCCUCGUUAACACUAUUCCUUAUUAAGAUUAUAAGUUAGUGUCGGUGCAGGAUUUGCAGCGACAAAUCUUGUCUAGCCACGUGUCAAAAUACAAAUAAAUCAAGGGAAAGCACAUGACAUGGAUUAGGAUCCAAUAAAAUUUAAAUCCCAAGGAAAAGGACAACUGUAUCCUAAAGUUUCAAUAAGAGAUACUGGGAUAUCUUUUGACUAAUGUUAUUUUUUGGCUUUAUUAAUAAAAAGAUCCAAUAGUUUAUAACAAAUAAAAAUAUAGUAUUAAGCUAAAUGUGAUAAUUUACACAUUUUACAUAAUUUCAAUAAAAAUUUUUUUAAUGUUUUACAAUCUAUCAGACAUAUUUUAUUAAAUUAAUAAGAAUUUUCUUAUAAAUAGCAACAUAAUAUUAAAAUAAAUUUAUAAAAAUUUAAAUGUAAAAUAAUUUUAGUAUAAUUAAUACGCGGGAUAUAUUUUGUAAAUUAUAAAAUUACUUAACCCAAUGAUUUUUAAAAAUCUUUAAAAUAAAUAAAAAUAAAUUAUUCACAUUUUGAUGUAAAUAUUUAAAACAUUUUUAUACAUUAGUCCACAAUUAUUUAUGUUAUAUUUGUAUUUAUUAGAAAUUUUGAAAGUCAAAUGUUUUUUACCUCUAUGUUAUUAGAAUUAUUGCACACAGAGAAAGAGCCAUAUAUGCUUUAUAACUUUAAAAUCGAUUUGUUUUAUAGCUGGGAAUAGAGAUGAUCAUUAUUAUAAGGAUUUUUUAAAAAAAGAUAAAGAAUAUUAAUGAUUAGCGAAAUCUCUAUGGAAAUUGAAUUUAGUAAGAAAAAAUUGAGCUGAUUUUAGUGGUAUAGUAAUAUUUUAUAUAGAGAAAAGUAAAAGCUGCACCCAAGGUUAAGGGAAAUGGUCAAAAUUCUUUUUUAAUCAUAAUACCCUUUUUCCUAGAUAAUUUAAAAAUUUUACUCUAAUAGUUUAUAAUAAAUAAAAACAUAUAAUCCUAAAAUAAAUAAAAUGAUAUAUAUUUUAAAAUAAUCUCAAUAUUUAAAAUAUAUUUUAACAUUUUAUAAUCUAUUAGAUAUAUUUUAUUAUAUUAAAGUAAAUUUUAUAAUAAAUACAAAACAUACUAUUAAAAUAGAUAUAAAAAUUUUAAAGUAUUUUGAAUAUUAUAUAAAAUAACUUUAAUAUUGUUAAUGCAUGAGAUGCAUUUUAUUAAUUAAAAAUUCUAUGUAACCCAAAGAUUUAUUUAUAAUAAAUUAAUAAUCAUAUUUUUGAAAUUAUUUUAAAUAUUAAAAAAUAUUUUAAUAUUACUAACUAUUAGAUAGACUAAACUAUUUAUUUUAUUUUCUAUUUAUUAUAAAAUUUCAAAGUUAAUCUUUUUAACUACUAUUCAAAAGAUGUUAUGAUAAAAACAGAAUUUUUGUGUUUUUAUUGAAAAUUUGGAGUUUACAUCUAUUUUUUCAAAUAUUCAGGGUGUAACUGUUUUUUCCCUUUUAUAUAUACGAACGGUGGUGAGAAAGUUUGAUUUAACGUUAUUUAUUUAAAUAAAAUCUCAGUUAAAAAUGUACAGAGAAGAAAUUUCGGUUGGUAUUUUAGUCUUGGUAAUCUCUAUAUUAUAUGCAUAUAAGAUACAUCAUUCUCACAUGAAUAGUAUAUGUGUGAGAUCCAUAUAUUAUUCAUGUGAGGGAGAUGUAUCUUAAUAAGAUAGAGGGAUCCGUUAGUCUUUUACCAAUCAUCACGAUUAGGCCUUGGCCUUGAAACAUUAAUUGUUUCACUUUUAGCGCUAGUGGCGUUGAAAGUUGUCAAGAAAAAGCAAGACCAUAUUCCACAAAAGCAAAAGUAACGUAGGCUCUUUUAUUAAAGGCAAAGUAUAAAGUAGUCAAGAAUCGAAUAUCCUGUCGUCUACUCUUUUUUAAAUUCUUCUUUUAUUAUCGUUUAGAAUAGUUUUUGGUAAUUACAAUCAUUAUUCAGAGUUAUUGUUAUCUUCCGGGGCAGUCUCUGUUCAUCGAAGUCGUUACCUUUUUUUUAAUGGAUCAGUUCCAGUGGUAAGCAGUAAUUUUCUUAGAACUCGGAUCUUUAAUUCGAGUUUCUGUGUGAAUUAAUAAUAAAAAAUUUUCAUUACACGCAAUUUAAGCUACGAAUUACUUUUUGCAAAGUUGAAUAUGGAAUUGGAGAAAUUAAGUAAUUUAGAAUGUUGGUAAAAAUUGACGAACAUAUCUCCAAUUACAGUAAAACCUCUCUACAGUCAUAACAUUAUAACAAAAUUAAUUUUAUUACUAUGUUGAGGUAAUAUAGGUUUAGUUACAAAAUUAUUGUUUUAAUAUGGUUAGUGUCAAGUGAUAUAAAGGUUAAGUAUGCAGUACAUUAAUAAUUAAAUAAUGAAGUGUCAAAUCUAAUGUAUAUAUAUUAAUGAUAUAGAUAGACAUAGUUUUAAAAAACUAAUUAAUGUAUAUUUAUGUAGUGUUAUGAAUAUGGAAAGUCAAGCCUACACUUUACAUUAUCCUUAAUUUUUUCUCUCAGUUAAAUUCUACAAAUAUUGUACAAUGGUUGGGCAAGAACUCUAAAUUAAGAAUAAAUUAUUGUCACAAAUAAUUUUAGAAAAUAUUUUAUUUCGUCUUAAACCUUUAAUAUAAAUAAACAUAUAUAUAUAUAUAUAUAUAUAUAUAUAUAUAUAUAUGUGUGUGUGUGUGUGUGUGUGUGUGUGUGUGUGUGUGUGUGUGUGUGUGUGUGUGCAUAUUUUGCAACGUAUAGAUAAUUGUUAGUAUAUGGAGACAAGUCUUUUAAGGUAGGACCUAGGAAAAUUUAUAACUUACUACACUGUGGAGUUUUUAUUCCUUUUUAUAAUUGGCUCAUAUUGAUACAUUCUUACACAAAAUAUUACCAUUGACAUAUUUUACUACAAUUAGUUUAGAACAUUUGUUAGGAAAAAAAAGAAAAGAAAAGAAAACAUCCCUUGGAUGUAGCUCUCCUGACUAUUUAAAUCUUUUAAGGAAAAAAAGAAAAAAGAAAAACUGGCACAUUCAAAUCUUGAAGCAAUUACAUUAAAAUCUCUCCAUAAUGAUAGGAAUAAUCUCCAUUUAGUAAUAAAAAAUUUUGUUCGCAAUUUAGGCAGAGUUAUAAAUAAGAAUAAAAUCCUCAUUGUAAUAAGUUAUAUUUAUUAUGGAUCCCAUCCUAAGGAAUUCGUCUCUAUAUAGUAAUAAUUAUUUGCAUAUUAUAAAUAUAUAUGUUGCAUUAGAUUAAAUGAACUUGUCUCCACAUACUACUUAGACAACGAGAGAAAAUUAUUAAAGAGAACACAAAUAUUUAGAUAUUUUUAAGAUUACUUUGCAUAUUUAUAACAAUAAUACAUUGAUAUAUGUAUUAGUUUUUUGAUAUAUUAGAUUUAACAUGCUCUAUUAAUAAAUUAUUAAUACGAUGCAUAUUCAUCUCUAUAUCCUUGCAAUAAAAGUAACUAAGUUAUAACAAUAAUUAUUAAUAAAUUAUUAAUACGUUGCGUACUUCAUCUCUAUAUCCUUACAAUAAAAAUAACUAAGUUAUAAUGAUAAUUUUUGUAACUACAUACUUAUUAGGUUUUAACUACUUCAUAAUAAUAAAUUAGUUUCGUCCUAAUAUUAUAAUUAUGUAGAGUUGUAGUGUAUAGACACACCCAAUUUAAAUAGUAUAUCAAAUAAAAUUGUCCCCACGAAAAAGAAAAAAGGGGUAAAGGAUUCUCAUUUCUUCAAACAUUAGGAUCACGUUUGUACAAGUGCGAUGCCUUUCUUUUGAAGGCAACGUCAGUGGGUACCCAAUAGGACGUGUGUAAAUCUUUCCAAAAUUUCUCUGGUAUAACGGACAGAGAUCAUUACUUUUCUCUUCCAUAUACCACAGCAGCUUCAGUUAAUCAGACUCAAUCAAUUUUCUUGGUUUCUUCGCUUAUCAAAAUUCCAAAAUAUGGGUAGCAUAUUUCAAAUCACAUGCGAUGGUGCUUUUUUCAAUCGUUGCUUGGAUUGCUUUCUUGGAAAAGUAGCAAACACAAGUAAGCUCCAAGAUAACCUUGUUGCCUUGGAGACUGAAUUGGGAAAACUAAUCGCAGCAAAGAACGAUGUGAUGAUGAGGGUUGUCAAUGCUGAACGGCAACACCUGAGAACGCUGGACCAAGUGCAAGUGUGGCUUUCGAGGGUGGAAGCUGUUGAAACUGAAGCUGAUGAAUUGAAAAGACACGGCUCUCAAGAAAUUGACAAAUUAUGUGUUGGAGGCUACUGUUCCAAGAACUGCGCGUCAAGCUACAAGUUCGGGAAACAAGUGGCUAAAAAGCUACGGGAUGUGCAGACUUUAAUCGACGAAGGAGUUUUUGCGGCGGUGGCUACCGAGGUGGUGCCUGAGAGAGCUCCAGAACCUGUAGCAGAUGAAAGACCCACUGAGCCAACAAUAGUAGGCUUGCAAUCACAACUUGAACAAGUUUGGAGAUGUCUUGUAGAAGAAUCAGUGGGAAUCAUUGGCCUAUAUGGUAUGGGCGGUGUUGGUAAAACUACACUAUUGACCCAUAUCAACAAUAAAUUUCUUGAGAGUCCAACCAGUUUUGAUUGUGUGAUUUGGGCCGUAGUUUCAAAGGACUUGCGACUCGAAAAAAUUCAAGAAGAUAUUGGGAAAAAGAUCGGUUUGGUUGAUGAUUCAUGGAAGAGUAAAAGUGUAGAGGAGAAAGCUCUCGACAUCUUCCGGAGUUUAAGAGAGAAGAGAAUUGUAUUGCUGUUAGAUGAUAUAUGGGAGCGGGUUGAUUUAACAAAAGUGGGCAUUCCACUUUCCGGACCAAAAAAUACUACAUCAAAAGUCGUAUUCACAACCCGUUUCGUCGAUGUUUGUGGUAGCAUGGAAGCUGACAAGAAGUUCCAGGUGGCAUGCUUAUCAGAAGAGCAUGCUUGGGAACUGUUUCGAAAAAAAGUUGGGGAAGAAACUCUUGAGAGUGAUCAUGAUAUCGUUGAGCUAGCCCAAACUGUGGCCAAAGAGUGUGGUGGUUUGCCACUCGCACUUAUUACUAUUGGUCGAGCUAUGGCCUUCAAAAAGACAGCCGAGGAGUGGAGUCAUGCAAUUGAUGUGCUAAGAACAUCAGCUUCUGAGUUUGCAGGUUUGGGAGAAAAGGUUUAUCGUCUUUUAAAGUUUAGCUAUGAUAGUUUGCAGAAUGAGACGAUUAGAUCUUGUUUCUUAUAUUGUUGUUUAUAUCCCGAGGAUUAUAGCAUUCUUAAAUGGGACUUGAUUGAUUGUUGGAUUGGUGAGGGAUUCUUAGAGGAAUCUGACAGGUUCAGUGCAGAAAACCAAGGAUACUACAUUGUGGGCACUCUUGUUCAUGCAUGUUUAUUGGAAGAGUUAGAAGAUGAUAAAGUAAAAAUGCAUGACGUUGUUCGUGAUAUGGCUCGAUGGAUAGCUUGUGAAAUUGAGAAGGAGAAGAGAAAAUUUUUGGUUUGUGCAGGUGCUGGAGUAGGAGCGGUGUCAGAUGUUGAAGGAUGGGAAAAUGUGGGAAGAUUGUCAUUGAUGCAAAACCAAAUUGAAAUUCUGUCAGAGGUUCCCACAUGCCCUCAUCUCCUCACUUUAUUUCUUGACUUUAAUUAUAAAUUGGAGAUGAUCACCGAUGGCUUCUUCCAAUGUAUGCCUUCUCUCAAAGUUUUGAAGAUGUCAAACUGUGGGCAUGUCAAAGUUUUGAAAUUACCUUUUGGGAUGUCAAAGCUGGGUUCACUACAACUUCUUGAUAUUUCACAUACCGGCAUAAGAGAGUUACCAGAAGAGUUAAAGUUGUUGGUAAAUCUGAAAUGUUUGAAUUUGAGGUGGACACAUAUGUUAAAUAAAAUUCCACGGCAGCUAAUAUCAAAUUCUUCAUGGUUACGUGUGUUGAGAAUGUUCGCUAUUGGCUUUGAAAAUUCUAAAGAACCAUCAGAAGACAGCGUUUUAAUUGGUGGGGGUGAAGUUUUAGUACAUGAAUUGCUCGGUUUGAAAUAUUUAGAGGUAUUGGAGUUGACCUUGCGAAGUUAUGAUGCUCUCCAAUUUUUUUUGAGCUCAAAUAAGUUAAAAAGUUGUAUUCGAUCUCUUUUCCUCAAUAAGCUGGGAGAUACAAAGUCGAUUCAUGCUACGGCUUUCGCAGAUCUAAAGCAUCUCAAUGAACUAUGCAUUCGUUCGGCAGUGGAGUUGGAAGAAUUGAAGGUUGAUUAUACAGAGAUUGCGCCAAAAAGGUCGGAACCUUUUGUUUUCCGCAGCCUUCACCGUGUUACUAUGGAGCGGUGCCAUAAAUUGAAAGAUUUGACAUUCCUCGUUUUUGCUCCAAGCCUCAAGUCUCUUUCGCUAUACGGUUGCAAUGCUAUAGAAGAAAUAAUCAGCGUUGGAAAAUUUGCUGAGACUCCUGAGGUGAUGGGACAUAUAAGCCCUUUUGGAAAUCUCCAAACGCUUUAUUUAACUGAUUUGCCAGAGUUGAAAAGCAUCUACUGGAAGCCAUUGCCUUUCACUCAUCUCAAAGAAAUGACGGUACAUGGGUGUAAUCAGCUUAAAAAGCUUCCAUUCGAUUCCAACAGUGCAACAGAGCGUAAAUUUGUUAUUCGUGGAUACACACUCUGGUGGAACCGUCUUCAAUGGGAGGAUGAAGCCACUCAAAUUGCUUUUCGUUCCUGUUUCCAAUCUCAUGAAAUAUAAAUUCCUGAGCGGUGGUUGCAAAAUUUGAUUUCUAGUGAGUGCUUUUUUCUUAAACUCUUACAUAUAUUCUCGUCGUUUGCUUCGUGCAACGGACUAGGUUUUUAUUUCAGAUUCGUUUUUUGUCUCCUGCAAAUCACAAUUAAAUGUUGAAUUAUAUGGAGUCAAUGCUUUAUAAAAUUUUCAAGGCACUGCCAUUUCCUUUUUCUUUUUCUUUUUUUUUUUGGGUCGAAUUGAUGCUCUGGCUUUUUACUUUUUGUUGUCACAUUUUGCUCUGUUUUUUCAAGUUGAUGCUUGAAUAGUUGAAUUCAAUUGAUGCUCACAUAAAUUUGUUUAGUUGCCGCAAAAGGAUAUAAUUAGACUGAAGUACACACUUCUAGAAUGAAUACAAAAUGUUAAGUAUACUAGCCCUCUUUACAGAAAAUCAAAUGAAAAUCAAUUUUUUGGGGCUUUGAUUUUCUAUGGUCUAUUAUAUACUCUUUUUAAUAUCUUCUGUUCUAACUAUAACCAAAUCCUUUGUUCAAGGAUUUUUAUUUGGGGUAUUGAUAACUGUCCACCAAAAGAGUGAACACUUGGAUGCUGCUCAAGGAUCUCUAAUCAAUAGCUGGAAGCAACUGAGAAGGCGGUCGCUACUGUUUACAAAGCGAUGCAGUAUUUGCCAUUCAUCUUAAUAAUUAUGAAGCUUUGGUAAAAUUUUCAAACAAAGUUGAACACAUGUUGUUUUGAGAUUUGGUUCAUGAUUUUGGAUGAAUAUCGUUGUUCCGUUUGAGUUGGAUGUGAAUUCAAAAUCUAUAUAUUCUUUGGUUUUCAAUUCUGAACUCAAUUUCUUUUUCUCAAGCAUGUUAUGCAGAAAUGAUUUUUUACUAAAUCAUUUUUGAUGAAUUGUUUAAAUUAAACAAUUGGAAUAAGAAUUGAAAAGGUUUAUCAUAAGCAUGCUAAUAUGAUAAGUUGUUUUAUGAACGAUUAAUUAAUUAAUCAAUUAAUAUUAAAUUAUCUAUUAGUCAAUUAGAUAUGCGUUACAUGUCAUGUUUAAAAAUUAUUUAUUUAUAUUUCAAACAAAUUUGACUGGAUGUUGUGUAGGUAAUACUACAUAAUUUCAAAACAAAAAAAGUAAUAAAAACACGUUAAAUUUUGUUUUUAUGAAGAAAAAUUUAAAAUUUUAUUAAAUAGGUGAAAAUAAUAAAUGGAUUCGUGUAUGGUUUGAGAUUCUUGACAUAAUUAUGAAAUAAGCCGGAUUCGACUUAGUUCAAUUUUGACGCGAUAAGAAGACGACACCACACAAACACACGAUAAGAACCGUUACCUGAGAAGAUUGCCAUCAGGAAUUUUGAAAUUGAUUUCACUACAAUACCUUAAUCUUUCAGAUACUACCAUCACUGAGCUGCCAGAAGAGCUAAAAGCCUUGGUAAAUCUUAAGUGUUUGAACUGUACACAAAUUAUCUCUCUACAAUUCAAAAACAACUAAUUUGUUACUUUUUCAAUGCUACAUGUUCUGCGAAUAUUGAGUUGUGGUUAUCUUGUUGAAAUAUCAGACAAUAGAGUUCUAUUUGGUGGUAGUGAAUUGUUGGUUGGGGAGUUGCCUAGUUUAAAACGUUUAAAUGUAUUAAGCAUCACCUUACAAGGUUUUUCUGCUGUCCAAAAACUUAUGAGCUCUCAAAAGUUUCAAAGCUGUACAAAAUGUUUGGAGCUUAUAGACUGUGAUGAUUCAAAGUCUUUUGCCUUGGCAGAGUUGAAGCAUCUCGAAAAACUAGUUUUUUGAAUUGUGGAAGAGUUUAAGUUCUGCUUUGUUGAAGUUGGAAAAGCUCAAGAAUGUUUUCGUUUGAACAGUUUUCACCGAGUUAAUAUAAAGGCUUGUCAUAAAUUGAGGGACGUGACAUGGCUUGUAUUUGCUCCAAAUCUUACAGUUAUUCAAAUAGAAAAAUGUAUGCAGAUGGAAGUAAUAGUCAGUGCAAGGAAAUUGGGUGAAGUUCCAGAGAUGAUGGCAGAUCUAAACCCUUUUGCAAAUAUCUUUGCCAGCGAGUUCUACCAAAAUUAAAAAGCGUCUAUUGGAAUGAGUCACCCUUUCCACAUGUCAGGGAAAUUAUUGUAUCUGAAUGCCCAAUUCUCAAGAAGCUUUCACUCGGUUUUAACAAUGCAAAGGAAUCUAAAAUUGUCAUUAGGGGAGAGGAACACUGGUGGAGUGAGCUGCAAAGGGAGGAUGAAGCGACCGUUAAUGCUUUUCUUCCUUGUUUCGGUUCCAUUUGAUAGGCAUCAACAUGGAUUUAUAUUUUGCGGUGGACAACUUGUGGUAAGUGCUUUUCCAUUUAUUACAUGUUUAUAUCUAACUUUUGUUUUCCUUUAUGGUUAAAUUUUACUGUAUAUAUGUUGUUAUACGGUGACAUUCUCGCAUCAAUUAUUAGCUUUUUAAUUCUCUUCUGGCAUUAAUUGCCCUUCUGAUCAUGUAGGAUAUGCCGAUGUCAAAGAGUAGUAAAUUGGGAUACAAAUGUAAGAAUUAGCCAGAUGACAUGUUGUUUUGAAGCUCUCUCGAAGGACUAGUUAUGUCAUUCAAAGCAUCCAAUUUCGCUACUUUUUUUUUCAUUUGUUGCUUUUUAUAUUUCUAGAUAGCUUGAUAUUCGGCCAAGACAUCGAUAGGAGGGCACAUUGUGCAUGCACACUAGUGGAUGAUUUGGGCAUGCCGAAUCCAAUUAGCGUGGAUGACCCUUUAUAAGCAUCAGGCUUCUCUCAUACCAGAGCAAUGUAGAAUAUGUUUAUAAACUGUGGAUUACCCUUUAUAAGUUUAGACUUCUUCUAUACUCGAGCGAUGUGGAAUACCUGUAUAAGCAUUAAGCUUCUCUCAUACACUUUAUGUUAAAAAUAAUAAUAAUAAUAAUAAAAUAAAUCCAUUUUAAAAUAGGCUCUUUUUUUCUUUUUUUAUAUAAACAAAAUGCAUUCUUCAAAUCAAUAGUGGGUGGAAGAAGUGAGUAGAGAAGGACUAGGCCCCUUCAUUCCGCCUAAAACCUCACCGAAACCUCUCUUGUGAACUUCUCAGAUUCUCUCUCAAUAUUUCUUAUGAUCUCGUUUUUGAUAGAAUCACUUCUAUUGCAUGCUGCAUUUUGUGCGUCGUUUUUGGGUAAUAUCUUAUCUGGAAUGCUGUUAUGAUCAAUAGAACAAGUAAUCAAUUUUUGGUUUGACGGAAGUCGAUUUAUUUAUUUACUAUUGUUUUUUAUUUGAAAUUUUGACAGUUGUGUUUCAUUCAUUUCUUUCCUUCUUUUUUUAUUUUAUAUUUAUUAUGUAUAAUUGUGUUUCAUUUGAUAUUGAUCAUACUGUAGAUAACUAUGUGAUUGUAGCUGGGGAUUUUAAGUUUUGUGAAUUCAAGAAACUGUCAAAAUGCUAGUGAAAUUGGGACCUUUAUUCAUAAGCUUGUGGUUUUCAAAAGUAGCCGGGUUCAACUGAUGAAGUUCCUUUUUGGGAUUCUUUUUUUUCUAGGCUGCAAUUCGGAUAUGUACCUGAUAGACAAUCUUUUGUGAGUUUAGCAUAUCUUCUCCGAUUUUGUCUUUUAUUCCCCAACUUUACAGCUACACACCAUGAAUGCUGGGUGAUUGUACAGAAAAUUUGUGUUAGAACAAAAGCAUUGUGAAGGAGUUUCUGUGCUAUAAGUUAUUGGCUUCAGCUUUAUUGGCAUUAAUUGGGUAGAUUAUGUGUUACAGUGAUUCAAUUUGUGAUCCACACUUUAAUUUUCUCUUUUCCCCAAUUAUUUAUGUCAAAUUCAAAUCCAGAAGCAUGCGCUGAUUUUUUUUUUUUUUUGUGAUAAUCUGUGAAGUUUAUUUGGAAAGGACGUAUCUGGGUUUAAUGGAUUAAAUUAUGACAUUGAGGGAAAGGCACUAAAGGUUUUGCUUGACACAUUUGGUCUGUGUUUACUCUGCAAUAAAUAGCUUCGCUUAUCAGAAAUCCCUAUUUGGCUGGUGAAUUUCUCUGUGACAGACAGGCAAACACCUAAACCGCUUCUAUCCAUUUUUCUGCUGGUGAGGUAAGGGGUAAAAAGUCUUCAAAAUCAUCAAAUAGUAACAUCUCUGAGAAUUGGUUUUAGAAAAAUGGAAAAUCUAGACCUACUAGGACAAAAUGGCGUCCGGUAUCAGGAGGUACCGUUUCAAGUUUUCUUGGUAAAGAAUAUAUUAAACCUGCGCAACCAGCUAAUGGCACUUUUCUGGCAUCAAAGCCAUUGAAGUUGGAUCUAAAGGAGUUUUCCCAUGCCUGCAUUGUGCAGAGAAGAAACUAAACAAAAACAAUCAAAGAAUGACCAUUUGCAGAAGGAUACGGAAGAUUUUCUAUUUAAAUUGUUAGGAGAAGGGUCCCAGCUGAACAGGGAUGUGAUUCAGGAGGUUCUCGGUAAUGUCUUAAAUAUACUGAUGCCAAUUUAAUACAUAUUGUCCUUUUCAAUGUUCUUUCUUUCUUUCUUUUUUUUUUCCUUCUUCUUCUUUUUCUUUUCGUGUGCAUGUGAUCACUGAUUUGGUAUUAUGCUUAAGUUGCAGAUAGCUGUGGAUUUGAUAUGCAAAAGGUAAGGACUAUAUCUUCCUGAUGUAGGCCUCUGCUUUUUCCCCUUCUAUGUAAUUUAGUAAUUCACAUCUUCCUUUGUGAUUGUUAUAUCAUAUCGAAGUCAAGUCUUAAAUACUGCUGUCAUAUGUGAAGGUUCAACUUGCAUUUUGAUUAAGAUCCAUUUGCUGCUGCUUCCAAAAGUGAGAAUGAGAUACUUUGGUUAAUUUCAGUGGUUGAACCCAAUAGAGAACUUUAUUUAGAUCUUCAUGGUUCAAAGGCCUGAAAAAACUUGCCCGUAAUUGUAAAAUGACAUUCUGUGCUUUUUAUGCAAUAGGGAACAGGGAAGUAGAGCUUUGGAAAAGCCUGGAUUGAUAACUAUGGAGAGACUUAUUAUUUAAGUGAUGAAAAAUUCCCAUCGCCCGCAGUCAAGAAAAUUUCAGAUAGUUAAAGACUCCAUUUUGCUUCAGCCAAAAAUGUUUGUUUCAAUUAAAGACUUGAACCAUUUUCAUUGAACCUGAUUGUGAUCCUUUACGUUAUGCAUGUUCCUCUCAAUCAAGAAAAGUUGAGGUCAUGAUUCUAUAUUUCUAUAUUGUAACUUGAAAUAAUAAUUGGUCUACUUGUUUCUGUAUCUUGAUAAUAUGAAUUUUCCUUCUCAAGUUAAUUUGUUCAAUAAAGUAAUUCUUCAAAGAAAAUAUGCCCAUUCUAUAAUCAUUUUCUUAGCUCAGAUGUUUUUUCUUCACUCUUCAGAGCAUGUCAAAACUAAUUGAUCGCUUGGCAGAUACUUUGGGUAAGAAGACAAAAUUUCUUGGUAAAUCCUCGGAAAAGGUAUGCAUAAUUCCCGAGUAUUAAAUAACCAAUAGUCAUAAUUUUUGUACAUGACUCUUUUUUCUCUUUUUUGUGGAGAUCAUUAAAAUUGGUUGAUGAUCCAUUUUGUAACAUCAUAGAGGGAUCAUCAAUUCCUUCUCUUUUCUGUGGCUAGGCAACACUUUCAGGCCAAAGUAAGAAAAUCUAUUUUAGGUAAUGUGAAAACCAACGGUAGGAUGUAAUAGUUUAUUAUGCACUGACAAUAACUUUUUGUAUGGUUGGCAGUUUAAUGAAUACAAGAGGAACUUUGUUGACAAAUUCAUCCAAGAUAGAUGCUAAAAUUAUUUAUGCAUGCCAGUUGCCUUAACUAAUUUUUCUUAACACUUGUAUUGAACAGGAAAAUGAAUAAGCAAUCUGUAUAUUGUGCCAUUGUGGAGUAUUUGGAUAUUCUGAUUUAAAUAACAAGGAGAAUACUUGCCUCAUCUUUAAAUGAGGAGUGGGGGAUUGGAAGUGUCUUCAUGUAAAUGUUCAUUUAUUUGUAUUUUGAACUAUUAUGAGAAUCUUAUAUGCCAAAUCAGUAAUACAAAUCUUCAGAUGAUUUUUGCUGUUGAUCAUGGGUUUGUGUCUGCACACAACCAUUGUAUAUCACUUUAUUCUGAUGUGCAGGUAUGUGUAGCUUAGAAGAAAUGGAAUAAUAAUCAUCUAUUAUUGCUUGGUUCAUGAUUAUUAAACGAUUAUGGCUUUAAAAAGUCUACAAAUUCCUUCUGUUCAUAUAUGAAUGUGCCAAGUUUGCUAUAUCUUAGAUUAUCUUCUUCCAAGAUAACAAGUUCAUAUUCUUUUUAAUCUUUUUCCCUCACAGUUGACUUUUAGGUGUUAAGAUUUGUUAUUAGUCCCCUGUUAUUAUGAUUUCAUAAACAGUGUACGGAUAUGUGCUCUAACUUUGGAGGACCUCCACAUGAAAGAAAAUUGCAACAAUUGAAUUCUUCCGGAGGGUAUGGUCUUUAAUUUAUUUUCUCAACUUCUCGUAAGAUUAAUAUAUUUCAUUCAGUAGGCACAGCAUGGGGGGAAGGGUUUUUAUUGAAAGAAUUCUGAUAUUUCUUAGACUUUGUUUUGGAAGGGGGGUGGAGGGAUUUCUCAUCCAUGUAUGGUUACUUGAUUAGCUUUUGACUGUAUUUCCUCAGUCAUGUAAAGGAAGAUCCAAAUACCAACGAAGGAAUAUUGCCUAGACACCCGAAAGACAGAAAUGAGCUACAGAAGCAAGUUUUACUACUUUAUUUAGUGCUCCUGAGAAAUCUGAUGGAGACCGAAUGGAGGUCCAAAGCAUUGGAAAAGGUAGUGAGUGAACCGCCGGAGGAGUUGGCACCAGAAUGCAAGGCUAAUGUGGUGCACUUGCAGCAAGAUAACCAAACCGGUAUGUGCUCUUAUAUUAACUAGACUGACUGGAUUUGUGAGUGUGUGCAUUUUUUUGUGUAUACUCUUGUAUUUAUGCAUAUUAAUGUGUGUAGGAAUUUCUGCCACUUACUGGAGAACUAGUGGAAAGCUUUAUAUCGAUAUAUCUGCAAUAACUAAUUGGAAACUAUGAUAUUAAUAUUUUCUCUCACCUGAGGAACUGUGUAACAGAUAUACUUUGUGGCUCUGGAGUACUAGAAAUUCUGCAAUAACUAAUGGAAACUAUGAUAUGAAUAUUUUAUCUCAACUGGAGAACUUUGUAACUUGUAGCUCUGGAAUGUCUAAGGAAUUUUGUCUGCUUCAGUUAGAUCAAAUAUCUUUUAGUUGCAUACAUUAUAGAAAAAGAUAAAGUUCUCUGAAUCUGAAAGACUGAAACAUUUUGUAUAUUUUGUGAAAGGGAAAUAUCUGUAGAUACUAGUUCAUGCAUUGAGGUAACAUCAAUGUUAAAGAAAAACAGCAAUAAGUUAUUAUGUGGAACUAGGUUCACUUGCUUUAAAUGCUGGUCUGGUCAACCAUAUGAACCUGUAAGUUCUGCAGAAAUAUAUAUACGGGGAGAAACUAGCUAAAUUUUCCGUUCAUUGAUGGCUUUGGUCAUUUUUUUCCCCUUAUUUUUCAGCUGUCCUUCUCCUGAAGUAUGUUAACAACUGCAGAUAAUGAUGAAGAGGACAGCUUGCAGGCUCUUCUUAGAGCCAUGAUGGAAUAUAGGGGCACAAUGAAGGAACAUUGCAAAGCUGUAGGUUCUUUUUCUCCUGUCAUUUAUGUUUUCUCACACAUUUUUUAUAUGCUCCAAGCAUGCAAUUUUGUAUGUGUCAACUGCUUUCUAAGUUUUAAAAACCAUAAUGUAAGAAUACAGUUUCUUGUCAGGCUAUUGAUGCAUUUGCUCAGGGGGAUCAUGUUCGAGCAGGAAAACUUCUAGAACAGACAAGGUUUUCCAUCUACAGCCAUCUAUUGACAACAGAUAUAUUUUCAUUCAGCAAACACUGUUAGCAUUCAAGAUACUGGCAGAUUCACUUGAUUCUUAUUAGUAAUGUUUAGUAGCAAAGGAUAUAACCUGUAUUUCAAAGCCAAGUUGUGCUAUUGAUUAUGUUAGCUUUAUUGUUCACAUAAAGUGAUAUGGAGGAAAUAAUGUGAAGUGAUAUGGAGGAAAUAAUCAAUGUAGGAAAAUUAGGUGAAGAAAUGAUGUCAAAUCUUGAACCUCUUACAAAACUCCAAGCUCUUUACUUGAAUAAGCUACUAAAUUUGAACAGGGUCCACUGGAAGGCCUUGCCAUUCUCUGAUGCAUGCAGAAUUUUUGCAUUUAAAUGCCCAGAGCUUAAGAAGCUGCCACUGGAUCUUGAAAGGGCAGGCCAAGGUAAAAUUCUUAUCAAGGGAAAGGAAGAUUGGUGGAAACAACUUCAAUGGGAGGAUCAAGUAACUCAGAAUGCAUUGCUUCCAUUUUUAAAACAACCAGCAAGUGAUUGAAGGGGGCAUCAUCAACGUCAUCAACAUGGAUGGAGAGAUUCAGGAGCAGAUCAGCAGGAUUUAGUACGACCUGUGGUGGUUUCUUUUUUGUGACUUUUUUCCCUUUCAUUUUUUCACUUCCUGUCAUAUUAUCAUUUCUUUGUCUCUGUUUCUAUUGCUGGUGUUGCUGCAUGCUUGCUGUCCUUGACAAAGUUAGCUAGUUUUUUUUUUUUUAAUUAAAUUUUGUAUGUUCGGUCGGGACAGUCACAAAGUACUACUUGUUCUAUAUGGGGGUGAUGUGAAUCAACUUUUCAAUUAUAUAUUCUGUGGUAAUUGCGAAUUCAAUUUCAUUUGUCUCCAGCAAAUUAUGAAGAAAGUGCAGAGUUACAAUAUGGAGAAGUUCACUGGCAAAUACUUUGUAAAAGCUUCGGAGUGAAACAGGAAAUGCACUUGCAGCUAAGGACAAAUUGGUGGCCAGCUAAUGCCUUCAUUUUAUGUACAUUCAUCUUUUUAAUUAUUGAAGAUAAGUGGUUCGUUGCUUUUGUUAAGAUUAUAAGUUAGCGUCGGUGCAGGAUUUGCAGCAACAAAUCUUGACUAGCCACGUGUCAAAAGCACAAAUAAAUCAAGGGAAAGCACAUGACAUGGAUUAGGAUCUAAUAAAAUUUAAAUCCCAAGGAAAAUGACAACUGCAUUAUGAAGUUUCAAUAAGGGAUACUGACUAAUGAUAUUUUUUGGCUUUAUUAAUAAAAAAAGAAUAUUUUAUAACAAAUUAAAACAUAAUAUUAAGCUAAAUGUGAUAAUUAUAUACAUUUUAAAUAAUUUCAAUAAAAAAACAUUUUAAUGUUUUACGAUCUAUCAUACAUAUUUUAUUAAAUUAAUAUGAAUUUUUUUUUAUAAAUAGCAACAUAAUAUUACAACAAAUUUAUAAGGAUUUAAAUGUAAAAUAAUUUUAGUAUAAAUAAUACGUGGGAUAUAUUUUGUAAAUUAUAAAAUUAUUUAACACAAAGUUUUUUAAAAAAUAUUUAAAAUAAAUAAAAAUAAAUUAUUCACAUCUUGAUUUAAAUAUUUAAAAUAUUUUUAUAUAUUAGUCUACAAUUAUUUAUGUUAUAUUUUUAUUUAUUAGAAAUUUUGAAAGUCAAAUGUUUUCACCUCUAAGAGAAAGACACAUAUGCUUUAUAGCUUUAAAAUCGGUCUGUUUUAUAUCUGGAAACAAAUAUAUCAUUAUUGGUAAGGAUUAAAAAAAGGGAUAAAGAAUAUUAAUGAUUAAUGAAAUCUCUAUGGAAAUUGAAUUUAGUAGGAAAAAAUUGAGCUAAAUGAUUUAGACAUUUAGUGGUAUAGUAAUAUUUUAUAUAUAGAAAUGUAAAAGCUGCACCCGAGGUUAAGGGAAAUGUUCAAAACUCUUUUUUACUCAUAAUACCCUUUGUCCUAACUAACUUACAAAUUCGACUCUAAUAUUUUAUAAUAAAUAAAAAUGUAAUCCUAAAAUAAAUAAAAUAAGAUAUAUUUUAAAAUAAUCUCAAUAUUUAAAAUAUACUUUAAUAUUUUAUAGUCUAUCAGACAUAUUUAAUUAUAUUAAAGUAAAUUUUGUAAUAAAUACAAACAUACUAUUAAAAUAGAUAUAUAAAAAAUUUAAAGUAUUUUGGAUAUUAUAUAAAAGAACUUUAAUAUUGUUAAUACGUGAGAUAUAUUUUAUUAAUUAAAAAUUCUAUUUAACCCAAAGAUUUAUUUAAGAUAAAUUAACAAUCAUAUUUGUGAAAUUAUUUCAAAUAUUAAAAAAUAUUUUAAUAUUACUAACUAUUAGAUAGACUAAACUAUUUAUAUUAUUUUCUAUUUAUUAUAAAAUUUCAAAAUUAAUCUUUUUAACUACUAUUCAAAAGAUAUUAUGAUAAAAAUAAUUUUUUUGUGUUUUUAUUAAAAAUUUGGAAUUUGCAUAACUCUUUUUUUAAAUAUUGGGGUAUAGCUGUCUUUUCCCUUUUAUAUAUACAAACCACAGUGGUGAAAAAGCUUGAUUUAAUGUUAUUUAUUUAAACAACACCGAUAUUCACACCACAUUGAGCACCAUAGUUUUUUUUUUUUUUUUGAAAAGAAAGUACACCUUUCAUUGAAUUAAGAGAAAAGAAACAAAACAUCCUCUGGAAAUUCAUCCAGCCAAAUACAAGGGUCUGACUUUUUGAAAGCCAACUUUGCCAAAUCAUGCGCUAAAAAGUUACACAUCCUAAGGACGUGCUGAGCUUUAAAAUUCUGAAAGAUUUUCUUAGCUUCUAUAAUAUCAAAAAUCACCCAAAAGGUGUCUGUCAAAGUGCUUCUCUUGUUAUUGAUUAGCUCUAUCACCCCUUUAGAAUCAGACUCUAAGAUAACUGAAGUUGCCCCUGCCUUGGCAGCUGCCUGCAUUCCCCACAAAACAGCUUUUGCCUCACUCAACUCCACAUCUCCUGAGCUCUUAAAAGUGCUAACAGCUGCAGCAACUGUUUCUCCCUUAUGGUUUUUAACUACUGCUCCCAGCCCAGCAAGAUAAUUCACCCUAUCCAUAGCAUCAUCAACAUUUACCUUAAGCCAUCCUUCUUCGGGUGGACUCCAUUGGCUUUGCUGAACAUUGUUUUGUUCUGCUAAGAAAUCCUCUUCUGACAUUGAGCACCAUAGUUAAGUACAAAACGGUGCGUUUUGUUCACGCAUGUUAGUAAACACCCACGCAACUUACACACAUACGCGCGGCUCACAACACGCGCUCUCCUCGCCCUAAAUCUCACCUGAUUGAAGCCACAAAUUUGGCCACGUUCUCCCACAGCUCUCUCCGUUCUGACCGUUUACUCUUCCUCUAGCCCCAUCGAUUACAUCUCUCAUAGCACCUCAUUCAACCGACGUAAUUGCCAGAAAACAACCUACCUGGUAAUAAAAGUCGAUUCUCUUACAAUUUUGGCCCAAAAAAAAAAAUUGCACAACUGAAAAAUCAAAAUGCCACUCUUUAAAACCAAAAAUCAAUUUUGGGCCCCCUUCAUCACCGCCUUCACUCUAGAUUUUUUCAAUCCACUUUGUCGUCAAAACCGUGGUGUUCUUAAACCAUUAUUAUAUUCACCAUCCCCUUAAUCACAUCCAACCAUCCCCAUUAUUCGUUUGUCAAACACGCUGUUCUCUUCCCAAAUUAAUUAAUUAAUUAAUGACAGACAGGAACAAAAGUACUUUAAAUCUCUGCCAAAUCGUAUUGUUAUUACUUCUUCCGAGUCGAGGCCACGUCGUUCUCGAUGGAAACCAUUGCUUUUUAUUACCACUCUUGAGGAGUUCGAAGCAUUCUCGACGGAGACCCGCGCAAGCUGUGGAAAGAGAGAGAGUCAACGGUGAAAAGAGAGCAUGGUGAGAUGUGUGAGCGACGGGGGGAGAGAGAGAGAGAAAGAAAGCCGACGGAGAGAGCACAUAGAGCUGAGAUGCGUGAGUUGGGUGAAGAUUUGGUGAGCGUUGUGUCAGUUGCCCGUGUGUUGUGUGAGCUCUGUGCCAUGUGAUAUGCGUGCUACUUUGAGAAUUUAUAGAUAGCACAAAACUCAAUCUAUAUCCAAUUCAUACCUAGAUAGAUGCGGAUUUGACUCAAUUUAUAUCCAAUUCGUCAUUUGCGAACUAAAAAUUUUUAAUUCUCUCAAAUUCACAAACUAACUAAAUAAAUAAAAAUUUAAUAUAAAAAUAACUGUACUACCGAUCAAAUUUAAAAUUAAAUAAUAUUUAAAUAAAUUAAUUGUUUAAAUAAAGUUAGAAAAUACAUUCAAAAUUUUAAAAUAUAACACAGUAAAAAGAAAAAAUCUCAUUUGUUUAGACCUAUGUAUGAAAAUUAAUUGUUUAGGAAUCUAUAUUUAUUUAUUUUUAUAUUAUUAUCGGAUAAGAUAUAAUAUGGUGUUAAUGUAACUAUAUUUUAACUUAUUUAUUUAUAAGACCAAUGCUAUAUGUACAAGUUUAAUUUUUUAAUUAAAUAAAUAUUUUUUUUUGCGGAAUUGUGGAUUUUUGCGGAUUUACAAAAGUAAAUCUAUAUCCAAUCCACCGACUAUGGAUUUUCAAAUUUUCAAAAUUUCAAAUUUUCAAAUUUUCAAAAUUUCAAAUUUUCAAAUUUUCAAUCCAAUCCAAUCCACCAAUUCACAAAUUCGGAUUUUUACGGAUUAGAUUUCUACAGAUUAAACGAAUUGAGCAGACCAUAUUUGAUUUUGAACAUUGCUAAUUUGUAUGUUAAGUAUAACAUAAUCAAUUAUUUGGAUAAUCCCUUGUGUUUUAUCUCUAAUUAGAGCAUCAAUCUUCACAAUAUCUACAAAGCUACAAUGGCUACAAAACAAACCUGCUUGCAAAUUGUCAAGGAUACUUAUCCUUUCUCUUGACAAGUCAUUUGGAAAAAUACUGUCCCUUGGCGGCUCCAUGACUUCUCUGCUCCUCCUUUUGGUCUUAAUGUACGGUUGCAUAAUGAUAGUUUAGGCCCUUUAGGGACUACUUUCCCUGGGGUUGUUAAGUCUUAGCUUGUGCUAGGCUCGUUUUUCUUACCAAAAAAAAAGGGAAUACUUCUCCUAUAAGAAAUAAUCUCUAUAUAUAGGGUGGUUGGAUUCACUUGUUUACAUAACAGAUCAAUUAGUUCUCUGUAAAUAGAGAGUUUCUAGUAUAAGAGAAACGGUAGAUCUAUUGAGAGAUUAUGUGUUAUUAAAAUUUUAGUUGCGAAGAAAAGUACUAGAGUGAUUGUAUUAAUUUUUUACAUAGUAGAUUUUUCUAUCGUCAUCUUUAUGGCUGUGAUUUUUCUUCCAUAUAGAAGUUUCUCACGUAAAUUUUUAUGUUGUGUGAUUAGUUUUAUUCUCUAUCUAUUUUUUGUUUAAUAUUUUAUUUGUAAGAUGCUGGAUGGGAUUAAAAUUUCUUAACAAAUAACGGAUUAAAAAUCAUGAAGAAAAAGCUCAAGAGAUCUUCAAGAUUUGAAGUGUGCAAAAGUUCAUAUUACUGCUAGAUGAUAUAUGGGAGCGGGUUGAUUUAGUAAAAAUGGGUGUCCCUCUUCCUAGAUCAGAAAACAGCACAUCCAAAGUGAUAUUUACAAACCCGUUCUGAGGAAGUUUGCGGCUUAAUGGAAGUUCGUAGGAGUUUUAAAGUGGCGUGCUUAUCAAAUAAAAAUGCUUGGGAAUUGUUUCUAUACAAAGUUGGGGAAGUGAAAGAAAACAGAGAUGUACUGUUUGGUUGAAUAGAAAAUUACAGAGAAAAUUCUCAAUACUUGUAUUUGAUAAGAUUCAAUUCUUAAGAGCUUUUACAAAUCAGUACAAGUAUUUAUAUUAUUCCUUACACGUGAGAAUUGCUAGUAACUCACUAACUAACUAACUUUCUUUGAGCUGGAUCACUAACACUUGACUAAUCACACUGAGCUGUUAUUCUUCACUAACAACCUUCUGCUGACGUGGCUUCACCAAGCUACUUGAAUAAUGAGCAGCCUUGACAGCCCCCCUCAAACUCAAGGGACAAGACAUGACGUUGAGUUUGGCCCUAAGAUAGUUAAAAUGGAUGAAUGAGAGUGGCUUGGUCAUGAUGUCAGCUACCUGCUCCUCACUUGGUAUAUAUUGAAUGUUUAGUUCUCCAGCAAGAACUUUGUUUCUAACAUAAUGAAUAUCAAUCUCAAUAUGCUUUGUUCUUGAGUGGAAAACUGGAUUGUGAGCUAACUCUGUUGCACUGAGAUUGUCACACCAAAUAACAGGUUUCUCUAUGCAUUGUAAUUUCAACUCAGAAAACAGUGAUUGCAGCCAGCUUAUCUCGGCACUUGCUGAGGCUAGGGACCUAUACUCACUCUCUGCACUGGACCUAGCAAUAACAGGCUGCUUCUUAGACGACCAAGAUAUCAGAUUAUGACCAAGAUAGAUGCAAUAGGCUCCAAUCGAUUUUCUGUCAUCCAGAUCCCCUGCCCAGUCUGCAUCUGUGAAUCCUGUUAGUUUCAGAUCACCAUCCUUAAUAAUUUUGAGUCCAUAGUUCUGUGUAGCCUUUAGAUAUCUGAGCACUCUUUUGCAAGCCAUAAGGUGCUGCAGUGUUGGUGCAGAAACGUAUUGACUCAGCUUGUGAACACUAAAGGCAAUUUCUGGUCUUGUUAAUACCAAAUAUUGCAUCCCACCAACAAUGCUUCUGUAAUGUGUUACAUCUUCAACAUAACAACCAAGAUUACCUUGAGCUUCCUUCUGUAGCUUCAUUCCUGUACUCAUAGGAGUAUCAAUAUCUUUGCAAUUUAUCAUCUCAACUCUUGACAGCAGAUCCCUUAUGUAUUUCCUUUGAGAUAAGAAAAUACAAUCUUUAUCAUACAGUACUUCAAUGCCUAAGAAAUAAGAGAGAACUCCAAGAUCCUUCAAAGCAAACUUUGUACUGAAUUCUGUAAUGAAUUUUUCCAGCUCAAAGCUAUUUGGUCCUGUUAUUAAAAUGUCAUCAACAUAUAUAAGAACUAGAAUCAUAGAUGACUUAUUUAUUUUCAAGAAUAAGGAGGUAUCUGAGCUGGAAUUUGUGAAUCCCCACUGCAACAAACAGCCUUUCAACUUAUCAUACCAAGCUCUUGGAGCUUGUUUAAGUCCAUAAAGAGACUUGUGAAGCUUGCAUACAAAGUCUGGUUUCUCAAAGCUGAUAAAUCCCUCUGGUUGAUCCAUGAACACUUCCUCUGUUAAGUCUCCAUUAAGAAAGGCAUUAUUCACAUCAACUUGCCUUAUCUUCCACUGAUUCAUCACAGCUAAACUCAAGACUACUCUUACAGUUGCUGGUUUUAUGACAGGACUGAAAGUUUCAAAAUAAUUCACUCCUAUAAUUUGUUGAAAUCCCUUUGCAACUAACCUAGCUUUGUAUUUAGCUACACUUCCAUCAGUGUUGUAUUUAACCCUAUACACUCAUUUGUUUCCAACAACUCUUUGAUCAUUUGUUUUUGGCACUAAGGACCAUGUACCACUCUGCAUCAAAGCUGCAUAUUCUUCUUUCAUGGCUGUAAACCAUUUUGGGUUUUGCAUAGCCUCAUAUACAGAAUCAGGUUAUUUGUGAACAAGGGUUGCUGUAUAAAGCUUUGGUUUGAAGAUACCAGUUUUGCUUCUGGUAGUCAUUGGAUGUGUAUUAGGUUGGACUGGAAAAGAUAUAUCAGGUGUAGGUUGAGCUAAUAAGGAUAUGUCAGGUGCAGGUUGUGGUGAAUUUUGAGGCUCUGUAGAUGGUUCAAUAAAUGUGGUAUGUGUUUGUGAAUAGGAAUGUUGAUUGUCAGUAUGAAAUGGAUUAUCUGAAUGUUGUGAACUGCUGCUGGUAGAAAUUGCAGAUAGAGGAUUGCAUGAGCUAUUUCCAUCUGAUACUGGUGUUGUAGAUAAUAUGGUCAGAUGAAACACUGGUUGGGGUGUAAGGGAUUGACUCGAAUAAGAUGAUGAUUCAUUAGAAUGAAAAACUGAGUCUGUAGAAUAAGGAAAUGUUGACUCAUAAAAAACAACAUGUCUGGCUAUGUACAUCUUGCCUGAUGAAUGCAAGCAUUUGUAACCUUUGUGAACUGGACUGUAGCCAAGGAAAAUGCAUUUGCUUGAGUGAUAAUCAAAUUUGUGUUUGUUGUAAUCCCUUAGAUAAGGAUAACAUGUGCAACCGAAACACUUGAGCAUGCUGUAAUCAGGUUUAAGUUUAAAAAUUGUCUCAUAUGGGGUAAGAAGUUUCAGAGCUGUUGAGGGUAAUCUGUUUAUAUGGUAAACAGCUGUAAGAAAAGCAUCCCACCAAAAUUUAAAUGGUAGCUUAGCUUGUGCUAAUAGGGUUAGUCCUAGCUCAACAAUGUGUCUAUGUUUUCUUUCUACCACCCCAUUUUGGUGAUGUGUAUAAGGACAAGAAUGUCUGAAAAUGAUUCCACAUUGGUUUAAGAAUUGAGUAAAUGAUCUGUAUUCUCCCCCCCAAUCAGAUUGCAGGUUUUUAAUGGGGCUGUCAAAUUGGUUUUCAACCUGCAAUUUGAAUAGUUUGAAUACAUCUAAUGCCUCAGAUUUCAACUUAAGAGGAUAAAUCCAAGUGUAUCGGCUAAAAUCAUCAACAAAACUUAUGUAAUAGACAUAGCUAUCUCUAGAAGGUGUAGGUGAGGGUCCCCAUAGGUCUGUAUGUAUAAGCUCAAGGGGUUUUGUUGUUUUGGUUUCUGUGCUGGGAAAAUGCAGCCUAUGGGAUUUGCCCAUUUGACAUGCUUCACAGAUAUGCUCAAGUGUUUGUUUUAUGUUAUUUCUUGAGAGAUUAACUGAAGUAAUUCCUUUUAGCAAAUGCAUUAGAAUUUGAGAAUUAGGAUGGCCAAAACGUUUGUGAAGAAGAAGAAUUUUAUUAUUCAAUGCAUCACAAGAUGAAAUGUAGCUGGAAAAUUUAUUUAUUGAUGCAUUACAAACUGUGACACAACUGGAAUCAUUAUUCUGAGUGUUUUUAAGAACACUUGAAUCAAAAGAACAUGCAGAUAACAUUGACAAAGGUUGAGUGGAUGAAGGUUGACCCAUGUAAGAACAAGGAAGAGACUCAGAUGGUCUUAGAAGUAGCUUAUACAAUCCUUUCUCAGCAAUUCCUGUCAGAAGCACUUGCCUCUUCAGAGAAUCCUUCACAUAGCAAACAUUAUCAACAAAUUCAAUAGAGAUAUUGUUAUCAGCAGUUAAUUUUGAUAUGCUGAGCAGGUUCUUUGUGAUAUCAGGUACUAAUAACAUGUCAUUCAGUAAGAUAUGUGUUGGUUUAUAUGCAGCAUUUGAUCCUUUAUAAGUAAAACAUGGAUUACCAACAUGAGUUAUAGGCAAACCUUGGCCAUUGCCGAUGACAAGUUGAUUAGAUCCUCUGAAUUCCUCUCUGACAUUCAUGUUGGCCAUACUGUUAGUCAAGUGAUGUGUGGCACCAUUGUCAAGGUGCCAUCCUUCAUCAGCAGGCCCUUCAUAGUUGGUAAGAUAGGCUUCAGGAAUUACUGUGUCUGUUGAUGGAUAAGAGGAGAAGGAUAAAGGAUUGUAGCUUGAGUAGGGUGCAGCAUACUGUUCUUCAGUUGAAGGAGCAGCAUAGGUUAGAGAUGGAUCAAAGUUAGCUGUGUAUGCAGCCUUAGAUUCAAAAGAUCUGCCCCUUCCAAAAUGCCUAGGUAAUGGUUGAGGAUUGUCAUCAUAUCUAUGCCAGCAUUCAUCUGCUGCAUGUCCUGUUUUGUGGCAUAUCUGACAUAUGGUUGGUAAUUCAUCAGCAUGCAUGUUAGCUGAAGGAUGAAAGUUUGGCUUCAUAGGUGGCCUAAAAGGUUGCAUCAUCUGGCCCCUGCCAUAACCCCCAACAUUACCAACACCAGGUGAAAAACCUCUGGGAUGUGGAUUGUGAAACAUGCCUCUUCCAACAUUAAAUCCUCUAGUCAUAGGUCGACCAUAAUUUCCAUUUCCAACAACACCUCUUCUAAAAUUUCCUCUCAUAUAAGGAUGAUUCACAUUCAUUGUGCUAUAGUUUGCAUUAAACACAGUUUUGGCACUUUGAUUUUGUUCAAGUCUAGCUUCAUGAGUCAGUAAUAAUGCAUAAGCAUCAUCAUAGCUCAUCUUAUUAGCUGUGAUUAUGGAAGCUAGAUCUAGAUAACCUGAACCUAAGCCAUUCAAAACUCUCAUUAACAGAUCCUUUUCAGUGAUUACAUCACCAGCACAAGCAAGUUUGUUGGCGAGUAAUUUCAUUUUAGCACAAUAUUCCUCAACAUUCAUUGAAUCUUUUCUUAAGAUAUUCAUUUCAUAUCUGAGUUGCAUAAUCUUAGCCUCAGAUUGAACUCCAAACUGUUUUUCAAUAGAUCUCCACACAUCAAAUGAAGUGUCAUAGCUAAGAACAGAACUAAGAAUACCUUCACUUAUAGUUGAGAGCAGCCAGCCAAGGAGUAUUUGAUCUUGUGCUCUCCAGUUGCUGUAGGCUGGAUUUUCAAUGCUCUCACCAGAUCCUUCGAUCAUUGAAUCAACUAGAUACUGUUCUGGAAUAAUUUGCGGCUCUAGAAUGAAUCUUUCAAGGCGAUUUCCUCUGAUUGAAGUUACCACUUGUUUGCGCCAAAGCAAGAAAUUUGAUCGAUCAAGUUUCACAGUUGCAGCAAAAGUAAAUGAUGUUUGUGUAUGUUGAUUUGAGUUUAUGAUUGUUUGAUUUGAGAUUGUAUUGCUUGAGCUGGCCAUUUGUGGCUCUGAUACCAUGAAAGAAAACAGAGAUGUACUAUUUGGUUGAAUAGAAAAUUACAGAGAAAAUUCUCAAUACUUGUAUUUGAUAAGAUUCAAUUCUUAAGAGCUUUUACAAAUCAGUACAAGUAUUUAUAUUAUUCCUUACACGUGAGAAUUACUAGUAACUCACUAACUAACUAACUAACUUUCUUUGAGCUGGAUCACUAACACUUGACUAAUCACGCUGAGCUGUUAUUCUUCACUAACAACCUUCUGCUGACGUGGCUUCACCAAACUGCUUGAAUAAUGAGCAGCCUUGACAGGAAGAAACUUUGAACAAUCAUCCUGAUAUCCUUCAGAAAGCACAAUAGUUGUUAAGGAGUGUGGUGGUUUGCCACUUGCACAUUUUACCAUCGGUCGAUUUAUGGCAUGCAAGAAGACACAGCCGAAGAAUGGAGAUAUGCUAUUCAAGUGUUCAAUUCGUCCGCUUCCCGUUUCCAGGUCUGGAAGAAUGGAUAUAUACUCUUGUAAAAUUCAGUUAUGAUAGUUUACCCAAUGACACAAUUACACCUUGUCUGUUAUAUUGUAGUUUAUAUCCAGAAGAUUGUUGCAUUUCUAAAGAGAAUUUGGUAGAUUGUUAGAUCAGUGAAGGAUUUUUUAAUGAGAGUGAUUGGUUUGGAGAAAAAAUCAAGGAUACUUCAUUUUGGGCAUUCUUCUUCACGUUUUUUUUUGGAAAAGGGAGGAGAUUGUGAAAUGAAAAAUGCAUGCAUGACGUUAUUCGUGAUAUGGCUUUGUGGAUCGCAUGCGACUAUGAGAAGGAGAAGGAGAACUUUUUGGUUUACGCUGGUGUUGGUUUAACUAAGGUACCGGAUAUUAGAGAUUGGGAAAAGGUAAGGAGAUUGUCAUUGAUGAAAAAUAAAAUUGAGAAUCUAUCCGAGGCUCAUACAUGCCCUCAUCUCCUCACUUUCUUUCUUGACGAUAAUGAGUUUCGGAAGAUCCCCGGUGAUUUCUUCCAGUUUAUGCCUUCUCUCACUGUUUUAAACUUGUCAUGUAUUAAACUAAAGUCAGUUCCUUUAGGGACUUCAAGGUUGGUUCCACUACAACAACUCGAUCAUUCAUAUUCAAGCAUAAAAGAGUUGCAAGAAGAGUUAAAUGCCCUGAUUAAAGUUAAAUGCUUGAAUAUAGAUCAUGUAGAGGAGCUAAUUACAGUUCCACAACAACGGAUAUUUAAUUUUUAAGGUUAUAUGUGUUGAGAAUGUUCGAUACUAUUAGUUUAAAUUUUCAAGAAGCAUUAAAUAAAGACAGCAUUUUAUUUGGUGGGGAGGAAGUUUAAGCAGAGGAGUUGCUCGGUUUGGAAUAUUUGGAGGUAUUGAGCUUCACUUGAGAGGUGUUCGUGCUCUCCAAUUUAUUUUGAGCUCACAUAAGCUACGAAGUUGUACUCAAGCGCUGUUCCUCCAAUCCUUCAAUAAUUCGAUAUGGCUUGAUAUUUCACUUUUGGCAGAGUUAAAAGCACCACUGCAGAUUUAAGUAUUUUUGGCUGUAGAAAAUUGGAGGACUUGAAGAUGGAAUAUACAGGGGGAGCGAAAAACAAGCGGCAACCUUGUGUUUUCUAAGGCCUACAUACAGUUCACAUAGAGGUUUGUUCUAAAUUGAAGGACUUAACAUUCCUUGUUUCUGCUCCAAAUCUCAAGAACUUGGAAAUACAAAAUUGCCCUGCUGUGGAAGCAAUCAUCAGUGUGGGAGAAUUUGCGGAAGCUCUAGAGGUGGUGGAAAAUCUAAACCCAUUUGCAAAACUCCAGUAUCUUGGACUAGAAAAUCUGCCAAAUGUGGAGAGCAUCUAUUGCAAGCCUCUGCCCUUUCCAUGUUUGAAAAGAAAUGACUGUGGAUAGUUGCGGUUGUCUUAAAAAGCUUCCACUCUACUCCAACAGUGUAAAAGAGUGUACAAUUGUUAUUUCAUCAUUCGGAGAGUUAAUGGUGCAAUGAGAUUUGGCAGUUAACUCUCGUGGGAAGAGCUUGAAUGGGAAGACGAAGCCACUCGAAUUGCUUUUCAUUCAUGUUUCAAAUCUCUGAUUGGAUUGGAGAUUGCAUUUCGCCUCAGGUUCGUACUUUUCUUGAAUUUUUCUUGUUAACUUCAUUUGUUCAUUUAUCCAUUUUUUUUUAAAGGAAUCAGAAGGGUUAAUAAUUUUGGUUGUGUUAGGUCGACUUCUAAUCACGAGGCAGAAGGAGUUGAGAUGAAGUUUAAUUUUGGUGGAGAAAUUGUUUGAUUUAAAAAAUUUAAAUGAGUUGACCAUCAUUCUUUAGCAUAUUUGUAUGAACAGGAGUGUGUAAAUAUGCAAACUGUCCAGCUGUAUGUGUAUAGCGUAAUAAUUUUGAGGAGUUAAAACAUUGAAGAAUAUUGAUGUUUCCAUUGUCAAACCAAAUAUACUUAAUUACUUGAGGAUAAUGAUUACUGCUAAUACAUUUGCUAAUACAUUUGCAAAGAAAAAAACAUGCCUAUUGAAAAACUCAUCUUAUUAGCAACAGCAUUAUAAGUAGUAUCCAAUCAUAGUUUCAUGCAAGAUUUUGAGAUUUUUCAAAUGCUGAUUCCGGGAAUGGAGAUUAAUAGAUAAUGGAGACAGGUUGACUGCAAUGGCUAAUUGCAAGAGGGAAUUUUAGUCGUAAAAACAGACCAACUAGCAAAGCAAAUUCCAAAUCUUGGAAUGAAGUGGCAAAAAAACGAAACAAACAAAUGGCAAGAGGAAGUGACUAUACAAUAAUAACAUCGACUUGCAAUUCAACAUUUAUACAGUUUUACUCACCAAGAAAAGAGAAAAUUACAAUAGCAAUUUGGCUACUAGAAGAUGUUCAUUCAUGCUUAUGCCUGUCAUAUGGAUUUGAAACAAGGAGUAAAAGCAUUUAGAGUGGCUUCAUCCUUCCACUGCAGCUCAUUCCACCAGUGUUGCUCUCCCCUAAUAACAAGUUUGCGUUCCUUGGCGCUGUUGUAAUCGAGUGGAAGCUUCUUGAGGUUCGGGCAUCCAGAUACAAACAAUUCUAAGAGAUUUGGAAAGUGCACUUAAAUUCUUAUGAAUUGCUUAAGUAUGCAAGCAGCAGAGCAGAAAACAAACAACCUUUUCAUAUAUUAUAAUAACAUGAAUAAUCAGAUAUACACAUCCUUCACAUAUUUAUACUAAACGUGAAAAAUGGUAGCUUGCUCAAAGGGAAAACAGAAAUGAAUAAAACAAAAGAUUACAGCUGCACUAGCCAAUCAUUGGAAACAUUCUAGAAACUCCAGCUUGCAGUAUUCACGUGUAAAUAUUCUCCUGCAUAACAGUUUUGCCAGCUCAUUGAAUACACCUCAACUUCUUCAUCAGCUGGUUGCUGGAUAUGGCUGCUCAGGUGGCAUGCCAGCAUGGCCUUUGGGUCAAUUGUUGACUCAUCUUCAUAAUCUGAAUUCUCAACACCCUCUCUCAAACUUAAGGUCUUGUCGAAGACAUUAAGUUUGCUUCUAAAUUGACUGAACUUGUAAUAAGGCAAUGGCUUGGUUAAUAUGUCUGCAACUUGAUCUCUGCUGGCUACAAAACUGAUUUCCAGCUCUCCUUGAGUGACUUUGUCUCUAAUGAAAUGAAGGUCUAUCUCAAAAUGCUUUGUCUUUGAGUGAUACACUGGAUUUGUGGCUAUUGCUGCUGCACUUGUGCUAUCACUUAAGAUCAUUGGAACUCUUUGCAUCUUGAUUUCCAAUUCACCAAACAGAGAAUUUAUCCAAGUGAUUUCAGUAGUACACAAAGCUAUGGCCCUGUACUCGGACUCAGCUGUCGAUCUUGCUACCAUGCCUUGCUUUAUUGAGCUCCAAGCUACUAAAUUGUCUCCCAAAAACACACAAUAUCCACUUACUGAUCUUCUGUCAUCUGGAUCACUAGCCCAGUCAGCAUCAAUAUAGGCUAUCAAAUCUAGAUGUUCUGACUUCUGGAACUUUAAGCACAUGUUUGCAGUGCUCUUUAGGUACCUCAACACUCGUUUGCAAGCUGUCCAGUGAGAUUGUCUUGGGUCAGACAGGUAUUGGCUAAGCUUGUUCACAGAAUAUGCAAGCUCUGGUCUUGUUAGAACAGCAUAAUGUAGACUUCCUACAACACUCCUAUAAAAUGAAGGAUUGUCAAGUUUGGUGCCUUCACCCUUCUUUAGUUUCUCUGCUGUGCUGAAAGGUGACUCUAUUCCCUUGCAAUUCUCCAUCUCUGUUUUAGCUAAUAGGUCUUGAACAUAUUUAGCUUGAGAGAGCAAAAUGGAGUUCUGAUUUCUUAUAACAUGUAUCCCAAGGAAGUAGCUUAAAUUUCCAAGAUCUUUCCACUUAACUUUCCUAUCACUUCCUCAAUACCCUUGCUGUUAUUUCCAGUCACAAUUAUGUCAUCUACAUACACAAGCACAAUGAUUAUUUCAGCACUGCUUCUUUUGAAGAAUAGAGAAAUAUCACACUUGGAGUUGUUGAAUCCCCAAGAGCACAGAGCAUUCUUUAAUUUGUCAAACCAUGCUCUGGGUGCUUGUCUCAGUCCAUAAAGAGCUUUCUUGAGCUUGCAUAUGUGGUUUGGUCUUCUCCUAUCCUCAAAUCCCUCAGGUUGUGGCAUGUACACUGUCUCUGUCAAAUCUCCAUUCAGAAAUGCAUUAUUUAUGUCAACCUGCCUCAACAGCCAAUCAUUACUUACAGCCAAAGUUAAAAUGAUUCUGAUUGUUGCAGCUUUGACCACAGGGCUGAAAGUCUCAUUAAAGUCAAGUCCUGGUGUCUGCAGAAACCCCUUCAAGACAAGUCUAGCUUUGUAUCUAUUUAUGGUGCCAUCUGGAUUUUCCUUUACUUUGUACACCCAUUUGUUGCCAAUGAGUUUGUAGUUCUGGUCAUGUGGAAUUAAGGUCCAGGUUUGGUUUUUGACAAGAGCAUUAUAUUCAUCCUCCAUUGCUCUUCUCCAUUUAGGAUCUUUCAGUGCCACAGUGGAGUCAGGGGGUAAGGAAGUUUGAGAUUGAGUGGAUAUUUGAUAAACCUUUGGCUUGCAAAUCCCUGCUUUUGACCUUGUGAUCAUGGGAUGUAAGGAGGCUUGAGUGUUUGGUUAUGUUAUGAGAGGCAAGGUGCAAUUUUCUACUGAGGUGUUUGGUGAGAGUUCAACAGGUGAGUGGUUGUCUGAUAUAGAGUUGAAGCUCAAAUUCUAACAAGCUCCAUCUUAACUAAAACUUGGGAGCUGUUCUGAGUUUCCAGCAGUGGCCUGAGAUUAACUAUGAGCUGCAUUUUGCUGUGUUGACUCAGGGGGAACAGUAGUGGAGAAAGAUACAACUUGAAAUUUUUCUAGAACUGUGGGGGAAUCAUUUUGGUCAGUGAGCCUUUGCUUGCAGAAAUUUGAGUCAUUUUGAAAAGGGAAUGAAUGAUCAUUAAAUUGACACUGGCUGAAAUGUAGAUCCUCCCAGAAUGAUGCAUGCAAAUGUAACCUUUGUGACUGAUGCUAAUGCCUAGUAGUGUGCACUUGAAAGUGUGAAAAUCAAACUUAUGCUUGUUGUAGGGUCUUAAGUAUGGAUAGCAUUCACAACCGAAAACUUUAAUUUGGGAAUAAUCUGGUUUGGUGAGAUAUAACAGCUCAAAUGGAGUUUUAUUUUCAAGAAUAGGUGAGGUUAAUCUGUUUAUGAUGUAGGUGGCAUAGCUGAAAGCUUCUUGCCAAUAUCUCAAAGGCAUUUUUGCUUGGGCUAGUAAUGUUAGGCCAGUUUCCACAAUGUGUCUGUGCUUUCUCUCCACCUUUCCAUUUUGUUCAUGUAAAUAAGGGCAUGAGUGUCUUAAGGCUAUUCCUUCUUUCUUGAGAAAGGGUUCGAAAGUUUUAAACUCCCCACCCAUGUCUGUUUGUAAAGCCUUGAUUCUUAAAUUUAGCUGAUUUUCUACUUGGUUUUUAAACACAAUGAAUGUGUCAAGGGCCUGUGAUUUUGUUGUUAAGGGAAACAACCAUGUGUAUCUUGUCUUGUCAUCCACAAAUGAUAUGUAAUAUCUGUGUCCAUGGGUAGAUGGAAUAGGUGCUGGUCCCCAGAGAUCACUAUGUAUUUGUUCUAAGGCUGUGCUGGUCUUGGUUUCAAUGCUUUUAAAGUUUAGUUUUGAUUGCUUUCCAUACUGACAAGCAUUACAGAAUGAGGGAAAUAUAUUUUUAUUUAAGUUGAGCUGAUUACAAGAUAAUAGAGUAUUUUUCAGAACUGACUCAUUUGGAUGCCUCAGCCUAUGGUGCCAGAGAUCUAUUUCAUUUGUUCUAAGAUCCCUACUGCUUGUAUCAGCUCUACUGGACUCGACAACACUGGCACCAACACUGGCACCUAAAGACUCAUUACUACUGAAAUUGAAACAUGCCAUUGACAUUGGAUUGCUAAUGCAACUUAUUGACUUGGGUAUUGGAAAUGAAGAUAACUCAGCAGCAUAAGUAACCUUGUUGCCACUCAAAUGAGUUGGCAUGCAUAGCAGCUCAUAUAGUCCAUCUCUAGCCACUCCUUUCACCAGAAUUCUCCCUUGGCUCUUGUCCUUGAUGAAGCAAACAGAUUUUUGAAACUCAACAUCAAUAUCAUUAUCAUGAAGCAAUUUGGAAACACUAAUGAGAUUUUUGGUAAUAUCAGGUACAAACAAAAUAUGAUUUAAUUUGAUGUGUUUGUGUGGACUGUAAGUGGGCAAUAUAGAAUAACCAAUGUGAGAGAUAUGAAGUUUGUUACCAUUACCAACAGUGAGCUUGUCAUUACCUUGGUACUCUGAGUUCAGGUUCAUGUUUCCAAUAGCAUUGGUCACAUGAUUUGUGGCACCACUGUCAAGGUACCAGGCAUUGCUGUUUUGUCCUUCUGUUGUGGCCAUGUAGGCUCCUCUCCUCCUAUUUAGCUGUGGCACAUAAUUUUUCUUAAACCUAUGCCAGCAUUCAACAGCUGUGUGCCCCAUUUUGAAGCAGAUUUGGCAUGGACCCUUUGAUUCAGAACCUUCACCUUCUGCAGCAGCUUUGCCUUUGCCUUUGUCUUGAAUAUUUUGAUUUCCCUGACCAUGACCACCAUUGCCACCAUUUCCAGUGCCACCACCAGGAUUUCUGAAGACUAUCCCAGGUUGUUGCUGACUGCCAAAUCUUUCACCAUUGCCCCAGUUCCUCCUGCCAUUUCUCAUCUGUGUGAAGUUAGCCUCAAGAAUCCCUGGGCUGAGAUUUUGCUCAGUCCUGGUUUCUUGGCUGAGGAGCAUGCUGUAGACCUCUGACAAUGAAGGAGUUUCUGGCAUAGAGUUAAUGUUAGUGACAACAGAGUCAUAUUCAGAUCAUACUCCAGCUAAGACACACAUAAUAAAGUCCUCAUCACUCAUGUUAUUUCCAGCUGCUCUGAGUGUAUUUAGGAUAGUUUUCAUCAUGGAGUAAUAAUCAUGGAUUGUAAGAGAGCCCUUUUUAGUGGUUUGAAUCUGUGUCCUCAAAUAUAGGAUUCUAGCUCUUGUUCUUGCACCAUACUGAUUGGUAAGAGUUGUCCAAACUUCAUGUGAAGUAGAACAAUCCACCACAGUGCCGAGGACACCCUCACUGAGAGAUGAGAGCAACCAGCUCAAAAGAAUGUGGUCCUGUUUCUUCCAGAUUUGAUAUUCUGGAUUUUGGUGGGUAACGGUAGCUUGGUUAGGUCCAGGACUGGUGAAAUAUCUGGGGGGACAGGUAUAGCUUCCAUUUAUGAAGCCUUCAAGCUCAUUUGCUCGUAUGCUGGAGACCACUUGUGAUCUCCAGAGCAUGAAAUUGUUCUGUGUUAACUUGAUGGGAGUGGUGAACACAUAUGUGUUGCUGGUGAUAUGUUGGGUAGGAGAUGGGUUCAUUAUGGUCACAUUUCUUGUGUUAUUAUCUGGAUUCUGAUUGUCGAUAUUUUCAGGUUGGUUUUGAUUCAAAUCAUUUGGUUGAUCAUCUGGAUUUUCCAGAGUUUGAUUCAUGUUUGUUUGUGAAUUUCUGCUGCUUUCCAUAGCUCAAAAGUUGCUCUGAUACCAACUUAAAUUCUUAUGAAUUGCUUAAGUAUGCAAGCAGAAGAGCAGAAAAAAAAUAACCUUUUCAUAUAUUAUAAUAACAUGAAUAAUCAGAUAUACACAUCCUUCACAUAUUUAUACUAAACGUGAAAAAUGGUAGCUUGCUCAAAGGGAAAACAGAAAUGAAUAAAACAAAAGAUUACAGCUGCACUAGCCAAUCAUUGGAAACAUUCUAGAAACUCCAGCUUGCAGUAUUCACGUGUAAAUAUUCUCCUGCAUAACAGUUUUGCCAGCUCAUUGAAUACACCUCAACUUCUUCAUCAGCUGGCUGCUGGAUAUGGCUGCUCAGGUGGCAUGCCAACAUGGCCUUGGGGUCAAUUGUUGACUCAUCUUCAUAAUCUGAAUUCUCAACAAUGCAUUCAAACAGAUCUUCUUCAAAUUUCUUAGAACUUGCAACCGAAGAUAUUGGAGUUUCGCAAAAGGUUUUAGCCCUGUAACUUCUUCCACUUUCCAAACACUGAUUAUUUCUUCCAUCUCAUAACAACGUUCUACAUGGACCAUCUUCAGAUUUGGGGCAAAAACAAGCCAUGUCAUCUCCCUCAAUUUACUGCAAUAGUCUAUGGUAACACUUUGAAGGCUGUUGAAACCAUAAGUUCUCUUGUUGUUUGAACUUCUGCAUAGUCAACCUUUAGCUCUUCCAAACUUGUACAAUACACAAAAUCUAGUUUGUCAAGAUACUUGAGAUCUGCUAUGGACAAAAUAUUCCAUGACCUUGAAUCCUCACAGCGUCGAAGCUCUAAAGCAUAUUUACAACUCUUGUACUGUUGGCAGCUCAAAAGUCUUCGUAGAGCAUAAAAACUUCUUAACGUGACGCUUAAUACAUUUAAAUGUUCCAAAGUAAUCAACUCCUCUACCAAAAUUUCACUACCACCAAAUAGAACGCUAUCUUCUGGUACUGUAUUAGCAGAGCCACAAUCUAGCAUCCUCAACACCUUUAACCCAGAAAAAUUACAAAGCAGUUGCCGUGGAAUCGUAUGGAGAUAACGCAUGUACUCCAAGUUCAAACACUUUAGAUUUUUCAAGGCUUUUAAUUCAUGUGGUAACUCUUUGAUGAAAGUUUCUGAAAGAUUAAGAUAUUGUAGUGAAACCAAUUUUGAAAUUCCUGAAGGCAAUUGACUCAAGGAGCGAUUCUUUGAUAGGUUUAAAACUUUAAGAGAAGGCAUAAAAUCGAAGAAAUCACUAGGGAUAGUAUCUAACAUAUUAAUGCCGAGGAACAAAGUUAUAAGAUGAGGGCAUAUUGGAGUUAUUGGUAAAAUCACAAUUUUAUUUCUCAUCAACGAUAUCCUUCUCUUAUCUUCCCAUUGUUUAACCUCGGGUGGUUCAGUUAAUUCAAUACCGGCAGAAACCAAAAAGUUUUCAUUCUCCACUUCACAGGCUAUCCACAAGGUCAUAUCACGAAUCACAUCAUGCAAUUUUACAUAAUCUGAUCCUGCUUCUUCCAAUAGGCAUGCAUGAACAAGAACACCAAUAAUGUAGUAUCCUUGGUUAUGUACUCCAUUAAUUCCUUCAUAUUCCUUCAGAAAACCCUCACCAAUCCAACACCCUAUCAAUUCAAUUUUGCUAAUUUGAUAAUCCUCAGGAAAUAAACUACAGUAUAACAGACAAGAUCUAAGGACGUCACUAGACAAACUAUCAUAACUGAAUUUUAAAAGACGAAACACCUCUUUCUCCAUACCUGGAAAUUCAUAAGCUGAUCUCCUUAACAUCUGAAUUGCAUAGCUCCAUUCUUCGGGUGUCUUCUUGCUGCUCAUGGCACGACCGGUGGUAAUAAGUGCAAGUGGCAAACCACUACACUCCUUUGCCACAGUUUUGGCUAACUCCGGAAUAUCGGGAUGACUUUCAAGAGUCUCUUCUCCGACCUUCUUUAGGAACAAUUCCCAAGCAUCUUGAUCUGCCAAACACUCCACCUUGAACUUUUUUUGAGCUUCCAUGAGGCCACAGACGUCCACAAGACGAGUCGUAAAUGUUGAAAGUCAUGGCUGGCGCCGGCCAUCUAGAUGGCCGGUGCCAACCAUUCAACAUUCAACACGGCCCGCCAUUAUUGGUGGUGCCGUGUUGAAUGACUCCAUAAAAAAAAAAAAAAAAAAAAAGAGCCAAAAUUUUGGCUAUAUAAAGAGGGCUUCCCACCCUCAUUUAUAAUCCAAUCUUGAGAGAGCAAUUUAGGGAGUUGAGAGAGAGUUUAAGAGCUUGCAUUUAUAAGCUCUUAUUUUAGUGAUUUGAGAGUUUGGGUGUAUUGGGGUUUUGGGUAGUGAGCUAAAAUACUACAAUACUUGUAACUCCUUUUCACUAGUAAAAUAUUUCCUUCUGUCUUUGCCCAUGGACGUAGGCUAAAAGCCGAACCACGUAAUUUCUGGUGUCCUCUAUUGUGCUUGUUCUUUAUUUUAUUUCCAAUUUCAUUUUAGCUGCGGUCCUGCUUCACCCACCAAUUUCCUAACAGUGGUAUCAGAGCUAUUGGUUGUAUUUUUGGAGUCGGGAACUGUUCACGUAAGGGGUACUAUUCACGUAUACGACACUAUUCACGUAUACUGUACUGUUCACGUAUACGGGUUUGUUCACAUAUACGGUACUGUUCACGUAUACGAUACUAUUCACGUAUACGGUACUAUUCACGUGAAACGGGGAAGCGAUCCAAGAAUUUUCCGGUGCAAAGCAGGGAAUAGUAGUGUGAGAAAAGCAACUGUGGUUUUGUACAUGUCUAGGAAAGUUCUGUCACAAAGGCGAUAAGAGCUUAAGGAGUCUGGGUUUUAAGUGGGACCAUUGUGACCCCUCCAGUCUUUCCUGGGAACUUUCCUGGUGUGCAUUCUCACACAUACUCACAACUAUUCAAGGUGGUAUACUAGCUUGUGUGCAGUAUUUAUCAACAAAAUGGCGGCAAAGUAUGAAAUUGAGAAGUUGAACGGAAAUAAUUUUUCGUUGUGGAAAAUGAAGAUGAAAGCUGUAUUGAGGAAAAAUAAUUGUUUGGCAGCAAUUGGAGAAAGGCCCAUGGAGAUAACUGAUGACAAGUGGAACGAGGUAGACGGUAACGCCAUUUCUGAUCUACACUUGGCACUUGCGGAUGGUGUAUUAUCUAGUGUGGCAGAGAAAAAUACGGCGAAGGAAAUAUGGGAUACUCUCACAAAAUUGUACGAGGCCAAGUCACUACACAACAAAAUCUUCUUGAAGAGAAAACUAUAUACUCUUCGAAUGGCGGAAUCUACAAUGGUGACCGACCACAUCAACACUUUGAAGACUCUAUUUUCACAACUCACAACGUUGGGUCAUAAUAUAGAGGAGAAUGAACGUGCAGAGCUUCUACUUCAAAGUCUACCAGAUUCGUAUGAUCAACUCAUCAUCAACCUGAUGAACAACAAUCCAGUGGAAAGUCUAGUUUUCGACAAUGUUGCAGCCUCCGUAUUAAAUGAGGAGAGCAGACGGAAAAAUAAGGAAAACAGACAAGCAAGUUCGCAGCAAGCAGAGGCGCUAUCGGUGACGAGAGGGAGAUCAACGGAACGUGGCCCCAGUGGGAGUCAAAGUUAUGGUAGAUCAAAAUCCAGAAGUAAGAAAAAUGUUAAAUGCUACAACUGUGGCAAGAAAGGGCACGUCAAGAAAGAGUGUUGGAGUAACCAGAAGAGAAGAGAGGGUAAAGAACCUGAGUCAUCAAAUGCUCAGGGGUGUGUAGCAAGUACCUCGGAUGAUGGCGAAAUUCUCUACAGUGAGGCAACAACUGUUUCAGAAGGCAGAAAACGACUUUCUGAUGUCUGGCUUAUAGACUCAGGAGCUACCUGGCACAUGACCUCUAGGAGAGAAUGGUUCUACACAUAUGAACCUAUCUCAGGAGGAUCUGUAUAUAUGGGUAACGAUCAUGCCUUGGAGAUCGCUGGUAUUGGUACUAUCAAAAUAAAAAUGUUUGAUGGUACAAUUCGCACAAUUGGGGAGGUACGACAUGUCAACGGCCUAAAGAAAAAUCUAUUGUCUUUAGGACAAAUGGAUAGUCAUGGGUACAAAACUCAUGUGGAGAAUGGAAUUAUGAAGAUCGUUAAAGGCGCGCUUGUAUUAAUGAAGGCAGAAAAGAUCAGUGCUAAUCUAUUCAUGCUUAAAGGAGAAACACUACAGGAGGCUGAUGCGUGUGUCGCGUCAAAUGGAGAAGAAUCAACGAUGAUGUGGCAUCUCAAACUCGGCCACAUGUCAGAACAAGGCUUGAAGAUUCUCUCUGAGCGAAAAUUGCUUCCGGGGCUCAAAUCAGUAAGUUUACCAUUUUGCGAGCAUUGUGUUAUAAGUAAGCAGUAUAGAUUAAAAUUCAGUAGAUCUAUUGCUAGAAGUAAAUGCAUUCUAGACUUGAUUCAUUCUGAUGUUUGGGAAUCACCGGAUAUAUCCAUGGGAGGUGCAAAGUACAUGGUGACUUUCAUUGAUGAUUAUUCCAGAAGAUGUUGGGUGUAUCCAAUUAAGAAAAAGUCAGAUGUAUUUCCUGUGUUUAAAGAAUACAAAGCGCGGGUGGAACUUGAAUCUGGUAAAAAGAUCAAGUGCUUAAGGACAGAUAAUGGUGGAGAAUAUACAUACGACGAGUUUCUUGCUUUCUGUAAGCAAGAAGGUAUUCAGAGGCAAUUCACGGUGGCAUACACUCCUCAACAAAACGGAGUAGCAGAGCGGAUGAACAGAACUCUUACAGAAAGAAUAAGAGCUAUGUUGAGGACUGCUGGUUUACCCAAUUCAUUCUGGGCAGAAGCAGCCAAAACCGCCUGUUAUAUAGUAAAUCGGUCGCCAUCUACAGCUAUUGGGUUGAAGACAGCGAUGGAGAUGUGGACUGGAAAGCCAGCUGAUUAUUCCUACCUACAUGCAUUUGGAUGUCCUGUGUACGUGAUGUACAAUGCCCAAGAAAGAACAAAGCUGGAUGCAAAAUCUAGAAGAUGUAUCUUCUUGGGGUAUGCUGAUGGAGUAAAGGGGUAUCGUCUGUGGGACCCCACUGCCCAUAAGAUCGUCAUCAGCAGAGAUGUUAUCUUUGUAGAAGAUCAACUACAAAGAAAAGAUGGAGAUGAUGGCACUGUAAAAGAAAAGUCAGAGACUGUACCAGUAUAUGUCGAAAAUAAUCUAGAAGAUUCAGAUUCUUCUGAAGCAGCACCAGAGCACGAGGAACAAGAACCAGUCGAGUCUGAGGCUCCAGAAGUUCGUCGGUCAACUCGUGAGAGACGACCACCGGCGUGGCACUCGGAGUAUGUCACAGAGAUCAACGUUGCAUACUGUCUUCUAACAGAGGAUGGAGAGCCUUCAACUUUCCAUGAAGCUUUAAACAACUUAGAUGUUGCUUUGUGGAUGACAGCAAUGCAGGAAGAAAUUGAAGCUCUACACAAGAACAAGACAUGGGAACUUGUACCACUACCACACGGAAGAAAAGCCAUUGGAAACAAAUGGGUCUACAAGAUCAAACGUGAUGGCAAUGACCAAGUGGACCGGUAUCGUGCAAGAUUGGUGGUGAAAGGAUAUGCUCAGAAAGAAGGUAUUGACUUCAACGAGAUAUUUUCUCCGGUGGUUCGACUCACAACAGUCAGAAUAGUCUUGGAGAUGUGUGCUACAUUUGAUCUACAUCUUGAGCAGUUAGAUGUUAAAACUGCAUUUCUUCAUGGAGAACUUGAAGAAGAAAUAUAUAUGCUCCAACCAGAAGGUUUUGCAGAAACAGGAAAGGAGAACUUGGUUUGCAGGUUGAACAAAUCUCUAUACGGUCUCAAACAGGCGCCGAGGUGUUGGUAUAAGAGAUUUGAUUCCUUCAUCAUGAGCCUUGGAUACAACAGACUCAGUUCAGACCAUUGUGCAUAUUACAAGAGGUUUGAAGAUAAUGAUUUCAUCAUUUUACUGUUGUACGUGGAUGACAUGUUGGUAGCAGGCCCCAACAAAGAUCAAGUCCAAGAAUUGAAGGCACAAUUGGCUAAGGAGUUUGAAAUGAAGGACUUGGGACCAGCAAACAAGAUUCUAGGGAUGCAAAUUCACCGAGACAAAAAUAACAGGAAGAUUUGGCUUUCACAGAAGAAUUACUUGAAGAAAAUCUUGCGGCGCUUCAACAUGUAAGAUUGUAAGUCAAUUUCUACCCCACUUCCUGUUAAUUUCAAAUUAUCCUCAAGUAUGUGUCCUAGCAAUGAAGUGGAGAGGAAGGAGAUGUCUCGAGUACCGUAUGCAUCAGCAGUGGGAAGUUUAAUGUUCGCUAUGAUAUGUACUAGACCAGACAUUGCACAAGCAGUGGGAGCAGUCAGUCGAUACAUGGCGAAUCCUGGUGGAGAGCAUUGGAUAGCUGUAAAGAGGAUUCUGAGAUACAUCAGAGGAACCUCAGAUGUUGCAUUAUGUUACGGAGGAUCAGAGUUUACUAUCAGGGGCUAUGUGGAUUCAGAUUUUGCAGGAGAUCUUGAUAAAAGAAAAUCCACUACUGGUUAUGUGUUUACACUUGCAGGAGCAGCUGUAAGCUGGGUUUCGAAACUGCAGAUCGUUGUGGCUUUANNNNNNNNNNNNNNNNNNNNNNNNNNNNNNNNNNNNNNNNNNNNNNNNNNNNNNNNNNNNNNNNNNNNNNNNNNNNNNNNNNNNNNNNNNNNNNNNNNNNAUAUUCUUGAUUAAUCCAUUUUCUGAAAUUUUUUAUUUUGUAUGGUCAAUUAUACCUUCAUACUAAAAAUUUCUGAUGUUAUGGGGUUGUUGGAUGUGUUUUGGAUAUUUGCAGCUAAGUUUGAGUUUAUAUCUCAACUUAAAAUUUGUAGUUUUCACUUGAAAAAAUUCAGUUAAAAAUUGAUUGGUAGAAUUGUGAAGAAGUUUAAAUUUUUAGUUCAACCCGAUUGCAUAUUUAAGAACAUCUCAAAUGAAUUGCUUACUGCUAUCAUCAUCAUAAUUGUCAGAGAUGGUUAAUUGAUAGACUAUGUGCCUGGGUCGAGCACUGGAAGCCUGCAAUGCAGACUGAUUGAUUUAUCAGUUUAACGUGUGCCAGGAAUGAAGAACUGGAAUAUCACCGUCAAGCAAGCACCCUGUGGAGCAAUACCAAAGAAUGCACAAUCCGGCUUUGCAAGGUGACACUGGAGGCUUUUUGAAAAGUGCUUCACGCUCACUUGCACAGAUUGAGCAUCCCCUCUGGAUAUUGCCCUCUCUGAUCGAGUCUGAGCACUCAAAUUUUGGUCCUCAGAGGGAGCUACAGUUUUCUCUCCAAUAACCAACAAUUUUCUAAACUCAGCACCUAGUGUGAUCAGAGUUGUUGAUAUUUAUAAAUGGAGAUCCCCAUAUUUGCAAGUGGAGACAUUUAACAAUUCACCAACAUGCUUCAUCCGGUGUACAAAAUUCUGCAGCUGAUUCAAAUCCGGAACCUGAACCAGAGUCGGAGGUAUAUCUUGAGCCAUAUCUAAAGUAGUUUGAAGUUCAAGACCUUGAGCCCUUGACAAUGGUUUUGAAAUUGGAACAUCUUGGAUUACUGCAGACUUGUACCCCUUGGUUUCAAAGGUAAGGAAAGGCAUUGCUUGAGUACAAUUUGGAGGCAGCUUCUUCACCAAUUUUAUUUGGAGGCGAUUGGCAGCGGAUCCAGCAGCACCAAUUUCAGAGCAAAUACUGACACUACUUCGAACAGCACACUGAAGAAGUGAUAUGUCUACGGCAAAGGCAAUGCAGUCCUCAUUUUGGCUUGAGAUGCAGUAAUCAUCGAAGAGAGUUUCCUUGUGAAACUGGGCAACACAUUGAAUCCCUUCGCCACUGAGAAGGUUGUGGAGGAAGUAAGCUUUCUCUCUAGUGAGGCAGAGGUGGCAUACCUUCCCCAUUUUGUCGAGGGCAGGUAGGAAUCUUUUUUCUAAGAGAUUUACUUCAUUCUCUGUGAGAAAUGCUUUGAACUUCAUCCCUCUGUCUCUAUCCUCACUUAUCAGGAAAUAAGUUGAAAGCACUACGAAGAGAGAGAGAGAGAGAGAGAGAGAAUUAAGAUAUAUAGACAAGAAAAAUAUUAGACGUUGAUCUUACAAACUAAUACUUCAAGCAGUAUCCUGGAAAGCUAAAAACUGCAAGAUGGCUUGAAAUUUGAAAAGAGCACGUGCUUUUCCUCCUUAACUUGAGAAAAUGUUUAAUAUAGUGCACCUUAUGGAAGCAUUUAAGCAAUUAGAACUUUGCACAAAAACAUCAAGAAGACUAAACAAGUCAGAUGCAGUGUAUUUGUCCAAGCACAAAUUGCAUUUUGUCCUCAACUUUAAUAUUUAUUGAUGAGAAUCAAUACAGGUCCCUCAUUUGUUAUAGAAAGCUUUCUUUCUUGUAGUCUCACCAGUUAAUUCACAGGUCUAUAAUCAUCUUGCAAAGUUAAGGGCAUUUCUUUUGAUCUAAAGUCUUUGCAUCACCACCUCAUCACACGCCAAGCCAAUAUUCCAUUUACCUCUACAACAAAAAGUUUUAAUUAAACAAUCCUAAUGCACGCAGCCAAAUAAAAUGCAGUAAGAAUAUUCAACUUAAAAAUCUGAAAGCCAACUUGGUGAAUUGCCUCCUUAGGUGAAGUUCCAUGCUUUACUAUAGUUGACAGAACUCAGCAAAAGCUUCCAUACAACAGAUUUUGAAAAUGAUGAUGCCAACAGAUACUCAUUCAAUCCAUUGAAACUCCAAAGGUUCAUUGUUCAUAGAAGUUUACAAAGUUUUGGUCAUCAAAUAGCUCAGACCUAAUCCCAAACAAAAAAAGAGUGAAAAUUAGAUCACGAGCAGCUAAUUGUAAAUUCUAACUUAACUCUUCAUCUCCUUUGUAAACAAGAAACAAAAUGGAGACACGCAAAAUGAAUAUGGAGAAAAUUUGAACUCAAAUGAAAUGAGGGCACGAAAGCAAACAAAUGGCAUGCACAAAAAAACCAAGCCUCAAUCAAAAACUAAUUAACCAUUAAGAAAAAAAUUGGUCAGACAAUGAACUCCAAAUUCAGGAGUCAAGCAAGAAGCUUUCAUUAUUUCAGAAGCUCCUGUACAAAUUAAUAAGUUAUGCUCUUUGGAAGCAAAACCAAAUUCCAAGAGAAACAGAACCCAAAAAAUUUGCAAUUAUUCGCAAAGGAAGUGAAGCACAGGAUUCUAUCACACAUAGGAAUUUUAUAACAAGAGAUCGAUAUAUCGAAUUAGAAAACUCAAUUCGAAUUUGUGUGAAAAAUCAAAAUUAGAAGAUUUCACAUUUCGAGAGGAACAAGCAACAGAUGAGUUUAAUUUCAGCCAUAACAUGCUAAAAAUGCUACACUUAACGGUUCCUUGUCAGCUAUUGAUGCGUUCGCUCANNNNNNNNNNNNNNNNNNNNNNNNNNNNNNNNNNNNNNNNNNNNNNNNNNNNNNNNNNNNNNNNNNNNNNNNNNNNNNNNNNNNNNNNNNNNNNNNNNNNAAGGGUCAUGUUCAAGCAGGAAAACUUCUAGAACAGGUAAGGAUUCCAUCUACAGACAUCCAUUGACAGCAGAUAUAUUUCAUUAAGCAGACACUGUUAGCAUUCAAGAUGCUGGCAGAUUCACUUGAUUCUUAUUAGUUUGUUUAGUGGCAAGGCAUAUAACCUGUAUUUCAAAGCCAAGUUGUGCUAUUGAUUAUGUUAACUUUAUUGUUAACAUUAAGUGAUUUGGAGGACAUAAUCAAUGUAGGAAAAUUAGGUGAAGAGAUGAUGUCAAAUCUUGAACCUCUUACAAAGCUCCAAGUUCUUUACUUGAAGAAGCUGCCAAAUUUGAAGAGCGUCUACUGGAAGGCAUUUCCAUUCCCAGAUGUAUGCAGAAUUUUUGUAUUAAUGCCCAGUUCUUAAGAAGCUGCCACUGGAUUUUCAUGGGGCGGGCCAAGGUAAAAUUCUUAUCAAGGGAAAGGAAGAUUGGUGGAAAGAACUUCAAUGGGAGGAUCAAGCAACUCAGAAUGCAUUGCUUCCAUUUUUCAAAUCAACUGACAAGUGAUUGAAGGGGGCAUCAUCAACAGAGAUGGAGAGAUUCUGGAGCAGAUCAGCAGGGUUUGUAUAUGAUCUUUGGUGGUUGCUUUCUUUUGUGAUUUUUUUUUUCUCAUUUUUUUACCUUCCUGUCAUUUUAUCAUUUCUUUGUCUCUUUUUCUAUUGCUGAUGUUAGUGUAUGCUUACUGUUGCUUGACAAAGUUUGCUUGCUUCUUGUUUAUUAAAUUUUUUAUGGUCACAAAAUAUUACUUGUUCUAUUUGAGAGUGAUGUGAAUCAAUUUUCAAUUAUAUAUUUUUUGGUCAAUGUGAAUUCAAUUUCAUUUGUCUCCUGCAAUUAUUAAAAAAAUGCAGUCUCAUAAUAUGGAAAAGUCGACCGGCAAAAAUUUUGUGAAAGCUUCGGAGUGAAACAGGGAAUUCACUUACUACUAAGGACAAUUGGUGGCGAGCUAUUCCAUUCAUUUUAUGUCCCUACAUCUAUUUAAUUAUUAAAGAUAAGUGGUCCAUUUGUAAAUUUCAGAUUGUGUCUCUCUGAAAAUAACAAUAUUUAAAAUGUCUCUUAAAUUAUUAUAAAUUUUAAUUCACUCUCGAUUUAAAAUGGAACAUGCUGAUGAAAAUUUUUUUCUUCUCAAUAUUCAAUAAAAUUGAAAUAAAUUGUGUUUGCAGUAUUUUGAAAUAUUUUAAAGAUUAUUAUUUUAUAAGAGAGUAAUAUGAAAUGAAAUUUACUCUUCAUGCGUGAAAUGUUGAAAAGGACAAAGGAAAGUGUCACUGCUUUUAUUUUAUUUCAAAGUGGAGUCAUCUCACAUACUUUACCUCUAUCAUUACAAUUUUUCACGUUACAUUUUGAUUUAUUUAUUUCUUUUAACACAUGCAUGUGGGUUACUUUUCCGUAAGCUCCUUAAUAUAUGUUUAACACAAAUCAUGGAAGAGAUGGGAGUAUAUCAAGAUGAUCAAAGCAUGAGACAAAAAUAUUUAAGAAGUAAAACACUGAAAAUAGAGGAGAGAUGCAAGCAAAAGAUAUUCCAAAGAAAAGCAAUCUAUCCCCUUUCGAGGGCAAACUUAAUCAGGUUUAAGAAAAGUACAUGUUUUGGAUUGGUAGUUGCAGCCUUGCAGGAUAAUUGUUUUUGCCAUUAUAUUAGUUGGAGGAGUUGAACCCAGCGAAGAAUGUUAUGGAAGAGCAAAUUAAUGAUAUUUCUGAUAGAGUCUAUUUGAUUAUGUAGCCUGAAUGGAUGUCUUGUUGAAAGAUAUCUCAGUGCAUUAGUUCAUCCUUGUCUGUCAAUGUGUUUUUAAUGGUUUUUCCAAUUGUUUAUUAUUAUAGAUUGAUUGUAAAUUUAUAUGAAAAUUUGAUAUGAAUUUAAUGUUGAAAUGUUUUCUCUUUAGUGGAAUGAAUUUAAAUUGAUUGAUUGUAAAUUGAUAUGAAUUUAAUGUUGCAAUGUUUUCUCUUUAGUGAAAUGAACUUAAAAGUGUAAAAGAUUAUUGCACACAUAGAAAUAAACAUAUAUGCUUUAUAGUAUAACUUUAGCAAUCGAUUCUUUUACGGCUGGAAACAGAGAUGAUGAUUAUCAUAGGGGUGAAGAAAAGGACAAAAAAUAUUAAUAAAUGAUCUUAAUGUUCCACAAAAGCAAAUCGUAAUAUUCCACAAGAAAAAGCAAGAUCUUAAUGUUCCACAAAAGCGUUAUUUAUUUUUUUUGGUGAGCCACGUGGAGCUCAAUUAUCAUUGUCUUUACUUUAAAAACGUUAUUUUAUUUUAUUUUCUUACAAAUUAAUGCUAACAAGAAAAAGCAAGAUAUAAUAUUCCACAAAAGCAAAUCGUAAUAUUCCACAGAGGAAUAAGAUCCACAAAAGCAAACAACUAGCUGGAUUCUUUUAUUAAACUACAAAUUAAAGUGGAAUCGUUUACUAAACAACAAAUUAAAGUUCAAAUAUUUAAAUAGUAGUGCGUUAGACGAUUAGGCUCUUUUAUUAAAGUCAAGUAUAAAGUAGUCCAGAAUCGAACAUCUCUAUUGUCUAGUCUUUUUUUUUUUUAAUUCUUCUUUUAUUAUUUUUCAGAAUAUGUUUUGGUGAUUACUAUUGGGUUAUUAUUCAGAGUUAUUGUUAUCUUCCGGGGCAGUUUCUGUUCAUCGAAAUCGUUAAUUAAAAUUUUAAAACUCUUAUCGGAAGAAUGUUUUUCCGUUAUUUUUUUAUAUUCUAAUUUCAAUUGUAAGAAGUAGUCAUUUUAGAAUUUGGGUCUUGAAUCGAAUUUCAAUGCAUGAAUUAAUAUUUUAAAAAAAUUUACUACAUGCAGUUUAGGUUACAAACUAUUUUUUGCAAAGUUGACUAUGAAAUUGGAGAAAUUAAGUAAUUUAUAAUGUUUGCAAAGAAAGAGACCAACAUACUUCCAAUUACACUAUAUCUCAAUUAUCAUAAUGUUAAGAUUAAACUAACUUAAAAUAAAAUUUAUUUAAAAAGUUUAUCAAACGCAGUCUAAUUUUAUUAACUUGAAGAGAUAAUAGUUAUAGAAAUUAUUAUUCUAACUUAAUUAGUAAAAGUGGUAUAAAGGUUAAGUGUGCACUAAAUCUAUUUAAAUUUUUUUCCAGUAUAACUAACAGAGGUCAUUACUAGAAUUAUAUUACUAGUCUAUUAGAUAGAAAAAAUUAUUUAUAUUGUUUUAUAUUUAUUAAAAAAAUUUAAAGUCAAUCUUUUUAAUUACUAUUUAAAGGAUAUUAUAAUUAAAAAAAUUUUAAUGUCUUCAUUAAAAAUUUAAAAUUUUAUAUGACCGUUAUCUAAAUAUUUAAAGUGUAACUGUCAUUUUCUCAUAUAUAUAUAUAAUUUCAUCAACCCCUUAUACUUUAUGUUAUUUAUAUUUUAUUCAUGAAUAUUAUAAAUUUUUUGAAAUAUAAAAUUUCGUUUAACCCUUUAUACUCAAUUUUAUUUUAUUAAAACCCUAGAGUAUGAAUUCGUCCCUAUAAUAUUAAAUUCUCAAAAUAACUUCCAUUUAAUUAAAAAAUAUAAUUAUUAUUAAAUGAAUUAUAAUUAUUAUUAUUAUGUUAUUAUAAUCAUAAAAAGCGAGAUCAUAUUCCACAAAAGCAUAAGUGACAAAACAACCAACUGGAUUCUUUUAUUAAUCAACAAAUUGUAUAGUCUUUUUCAAAUUGUUAUAAAUUGGUGGCCCCUACAAUCCUCAAUAAUUGUACCGAAAUUCACAAGUUGGUGGGCCCUACAAUUCUGUUCCGAUAAUUUAACUGUGCAAGUGCUCAUUCACAAUCUUCCAGGUCAUGCUCUUAACAAUUGUUUUUUCUUUUCUGCACGCCCUUUCAUGCUCUUAAUAAUUGAAGAGCAUACUUUUCAAAUGUGAAGCCGCAUCUAAUGUCGCUAAUUUAAUUUGGGAUUAAAUUACGGGACUAUUAUAUUGCAGUGUGCACUAAUUUUUAUGUUUAUCUAAACUCUUCAAAUUUAAAACAUAUUAUGGCAUAAAUAAGAAUGUAACAAUAACAAAAGAGUAAGAAAGUGUAGAGAAAAUCUUGCAGAAAUAUAAAUAAUAUUUAUUUUUAAAAUAAUAUUAAUAUUUAAAAUAAUUUUUAAUAUUUUAUGGUCCAUUAGAUAUAUUUUAUUAUAUUAAAAUAAAUUUUAUAAUAAAUAAAAACAUACUAUUAAAAUGAAUAUAUAUAGAAAAUUUAGAGUAUUUUAAGUAUUAUAUAAAAUAAUUUUAAUAAAAUAUGUGAGAUAUUCAUAUUUUAUUAAUUUAAGAUACCAUUUAACCUAAAGAUUUAUUUAUGAUAAAUUAAUAAUUAUAUUUUUGAAAUUACUUCAAAUAUUAAAAAAAUUAAUAUUACUAAUAUAUUAGAUAGAUUAAAUUAUAUAUAUUAUUUUUACUUAUUAAAAAAAUUUUAAAAUUAUUUUUAAUUACUAUUCAAAAAACGUAUUCAAAAAACAUAAUGAUAAAAAAAUCUUAACAUCUUUAUUAAAAAAUUAAAAACUUAUAUGAUAAAUUCUCUAAAUAUUUACGGUAUAUGUGAACCACGGUGGAUAAGCUUUAUUUAAUAUUAUUGAUUUAAAUAAUAUGUCAAUUAAAAAUGUACAGAGAAGAAAUUUCGGUGGGUAUUUUAGUCUUUUAAGCAAUUAUCAUGAUCAGAUCAGCCUUUAGCCUUCAAACGUCGGUCAGAAAAGUUUUAAAAUUAAUGCUAAAUUGUUUUUCACUUUUAACGUUGGUGGCCUUGAAAUUGCUUGUAUUUUAUUAAAAAUUAAUGCUAACAAGAAAAAGCUAGGUCAUAUUCCACAAAAUCAAAAGUGACAAAACAACCAGCUGGUUUCUUUUACUAAACUACAAAUUAAAAUAAAUUUUUUCGAUAAAUUACAAAUUAAAGUGGAUUCUUUUGAAUACAAAUGGGACAGACGAUUAGGCUCUUUUUAUUAGAGGCAAGUAAAAACUAGUCAAGAAUCGAACAGUCUUUUUCCAAUUCUUGUUUUAUUAUUUUUCAAAACUAGUUUUUGGUAAUUACAACCGGGUCAUUAAUCAUUAUUCAGAGUUACUGUUAUCUUCGGGGGCAGUGGGUAAAAGAUAAUUACUAACUGUUUUUCCUUCAAAAGUUAGCGGCUCAUGUUUGCAAGUGUGAAUGUGCGAUGCUCUUUUCUUAAAGGCCAUUACAGUGGGGCCCGAAUCAGACGUGCCUAAAUCUUUUUAAAAUUUUUGCCGUAUAACGAACAGAGGUCAUUACUAAAAUUUCUCUUCCACAGCCUACAGCAGCUUCAGUUUAUCAAACUCCAUCAAUUUUCUUUCUUAACAAAAUUCCAAAGAUGUGUAGCAUUUUUCAGAUCACAUGCGAUGGUGCUCUUUUCAAUCGUUGCUUGGAUUGCUUUCUUGGAAAAGCAGCAUACAUACGUAACCUCCAAGAUAAUCUUGAUGCCUUGGACACUGAACUGGGAAGACUAAUCGCUAAAAAGAACGAUGUGAUGAGGAGGGUUGUCGACGCUGAACGACAACAAAUGAGAAGGCUGGACGGAGUGCAAGUGUGGGUUUCGAGGGUGGAUGCUGUUAAAACUGGAGCCGAUGAACUUAUCACAGACGGCUCUGAAGAAAUUGGCAAAUUAUGUGUUGGAGGCUACUGUUCCAAGAACUGCAGGUCAAGCUACAAGUUCGGAAAACAAGUGGCUAAAAAGCUACAAGAUGUGAAGACUUUAAUCGCCGAGGGAGUUUUUGAGGCGGUGGCUACUGAGGUGGUGCCCGAGAGAGCUCCGGAACCUGUAGCAGAUAAAAGACCCAUUGAGCCAACAAUAGUAGGCUUGCAAUCACAGCUUGAACAAGUUUGGAGAUGUCUUGUAGAAGAAUCAGUGGGAAUCAUUGGCCUAUAUGGUAUGGGCGGUGUUGGUAAAACCACACUAUUGACCCGUAUCAACAAUAAAUUUCUUGAGAGUCAAAACAACUUUGAUUGUGUGAUUUGGGUCGUAGUUUCAAAAGACCUGCGGCUUGAAAAAAUUCAAGACGAUAUUGGGAAGAAGAUAGGUCUGUCUGAUGAUUCAUGGAAGAAUAAAAGUUUUGAAGAGAAAGCUGUGGACAUCCUGCGGAGAUUAGGAGAGAAGAGAUUUGUAUUGUUGUUAGAUGAUUUAUGGGAGCGGGUUGAUUUAACAAAAGUGGGCGUUCCACUUCCCAGCGCACAAAAUACUACCUCAAAAGUCGUAUUCACAACCCGUUCCAUUGGUGUUUGUGGCAGCAUGAGAGCUAGGCCGGUUAAAGUGGCAUGCCUAUCAGAAAAGCAAGCUUGGGAACUGUUCCGCGAAAAUGUUGGGGAAGAAACUCUUGAGAGUGAUCAUGAGAUCGUUGAGCUAGCCCAAACUGUGGCCAAAGAGUGUGGUGGUUUGCCACUCGCACUUAUUACUAUUGGUCGAGCUAUGGCCUUCAAAAAGACAGCCGAGGAGUGGAGUCAUGCAAUUGAUGUGCUAAGAACAUCAGCUUCUGAGUUUGCAGGUUUGGGAGAGAAGGUGUAUCGUCUUUUAAAGUUUAGCUAUGAUAGUUUGCAGAAUGAGACCAUUAGAUCUUGUUUCUUAUAUUGUUGUUUAUAUCCCGAGGAUUAUGGCAUUCUUAAAUGGGACUUGAUUGAUUGUUGGAUUGGUGAGGGAUUCUUGGAGGAAUCUGACAGGUUUAGUGCAGAAAACCAAGGAUACUACAUUGUGGGCACUCUUGUUCAUGCGUGUUUGCUAGAAGAGAUGGAAGAUGAUAAAGUAAAAAUGCAUGACGUUGUUCGUGAUAUGGCUCUAUGGAUAGCUUGUGAAAUUGAGAAGGAGAAGAGAAACUUUUUGGUUUGUGCAGGUGCUGGAUUAAAAGAGGCACCGGAUGUUAAAGGAUGGGAAAAUGUGAGAAGAUUGUCAUUGAUGCAAAACCAAAUUAAAACUCUGUCAGAGGUUCCCACAUGCCCUCAUCUCCAUACUUUAUUUCUUGCCUCUAAUAUGGAGUUGGAGAUGAUCGCGGAUGGCUUCUUCCAAUUUAUGCCUUCUCUCAAAGUUUUGAAGAUGUCACGCUGCUGGAAUUUUCAAUUACCUGUUGGGAUGUCAGAUUUGGGUUCAUCACUAGAACUUCUUGAUAUUUCACAUACCACCAUAAGAGAGUUACCCGAAGAGUUAAAGUUGCUGGUAAAUCUGAAAUGUUUGAAUUUGAGGUGGACAGGUGCGUUAAUUAGAAUUCCACGGGGACUAAUAUCAAAAUUUUCAAGGUUACGUGUGUUGAGAAUGUUGGGUACUGGCGGGUUCAUUUUUUAUGAAGCACCAGAAGACAGCGUUUUAUUUGGUGGGGGUGAAGUUUUGAUACAGGAAUUGCUCGGUUUGAAAUAUUUAGAGGUAUUGGAGUUGACCUUGGGAAGUUAUCAUGCUCUCCAAAUUCUUUUGAGCUCAAAUAAGUUAAAAAGUUGUAUUCGAUCUCUUUACCUCUAUUUGACCGGAGAUAAAAAGUCGAUUAUUGAUGCUACGGCUUUCACAGACCUAAACCACCUCAAUGAAUUAUGGAUUGAUAAUGGAAUUGAGUUGGAAGAAUUGAAGAUUGAUUAUACGGAGAUAGUACGAAAAAGGCGGGAACCUUUUGUUUUCCACAGCCUUCACCUUGUUACGAUAUAUAGUUGCCAUAAAUUGAAAGAUUCGACAUUCCUCGCUUUUGCUCCAAACCUCAAGUCUCUUUCGCUAUUCAAAUGCCGUGCUAUGGAAGAAAUAAUCAGCGUCGGAAAAAUUGCUGAGAAUCCUGAGAUGAUGGGACAUANNNNNNNNNNNNNNNNNNNNNNNNNNNNNNNNNNNNNNNNNNNNNNNNNNNNNNNNNNNNNNNNNNNNNNNNNNNNNNNNNNNNNNNNNNNNNNNNNNNNNNNNNNNNNNNNNNNNNNNNNNNNNNNNNNNNNNNNNNNNNNNNNNNNNNNNNNNNNNNNNNNNNNNNNNNNNNNNNNNNNNNNNNNNNNNNNNNNNNNNNNNNNNNNNNNNNNNNNNNNNNNNNNNNNNNNNNNNNNNNNNNNNNNNNNNNNNNNNNNNNNNNNNNNNNNNNNNNNNNNNNNNNNNNNNNNNNNNNNNNNNNNNNNNNNNNNNNNNNNNNNNNNNNNNNNNNNNNNNNNNNNNNNNNNNNNCACUGUUUUUAUUUCAGUCUCUCUCUCUCUCUUUGUCUCUGCUAAUCACAAUUAAAUGUGAAUUAAUGGAAUUAAUGCUUCAUAAAUUUGCCGGCACUGCCAUUACUUUUUUUUUUUUAAUACAAAUUGAUACUUUAUUUAUAUCUUCUUAGCGAUUUAAUUUCCUGUCAAUUGACGAACGAGAAGAACAUAUGACUUGAACCAAUGCUCGCAUAAACUUGCUGUAAAAAGAUAUAAUCUCACUGAAAUGCACACGCCUAGAAUGAAUAGAAUUAAAACAGGGAAAAUAUUAAGUAUAUUAGCCCUCUUUACCGAAAAUCAAAUGACAAUAAAUUUUUUGAAGUUUUGAUUUUCUAUGGUCAAUUCCACCUUUUGCAAUUUCUUCUGUUCUAACAAAAACCAAUUUCUUUGUUCAAGUAUUUUCGUUUGGGUAUUAAUAAUUCUCCACCGAAAGAGUGAACUCUUGCUCAAGGGAUCUCUAAUCAAUAGCCGGAAGGGCGCCGAGACCUGAUCGGACCUAGGCCCAAGUUUGGUCUUAAAGCCUGGGCUUGAGCCUGGCAAUUAAAUUAAAACAGUAAUUGAUUUCUUGAAUGAAUUGUCGUGUAAUUGAUUUAUGGGGGAUGACACAUCAACAUACUUGAAAAUACACUAAUCUCAGCAUCAUCCGUUAAUAACUUUUAGAUUUAUGGGCAAUCAAUAGUUAAAUUAGUUGUCAUUAAUACUAAAUAAUUUUUACUUUUUUUGUCUCUUCUAGAGGAUCUUCUAGAAAAAUGCAUCCACAAUUAAAUUUAAUACUUUACAUAAUAAAGAAAGCAUAAAUGUUAAAUUUAAGAAACUGCAUUGUAUUUCAGCUGAAGUUGACUUUAAUAUUUAGGGUAGAAAAAAAUUAAAUCCUUAAUGUGUUUAAUUUAUAUCACUUGUGUCAUUAAAAUUUUCUAGUCACCCUAACCAAUUACAUCUCAACCCACUUUUUUUUGGAUGAUUUUAUUUUUAUACUAUUAUUUUCAACAUUUUUUUUUCCUUUUAACACCAACAUUAGUGUAUGUUACGUAACAUAAUCCAUAUUUGGAUAAUUUGAAAUUUGUUUGUGUUUUAUCUCAAAAUAGAGCUUCAAUCAAUUUGUACCUCAUAAAUUCACAAUAUCUGGCAGGGCUAAUAAGACCAAACUCUGGCAUAUUAUCAAAUGUGCUUAUCCUUUUGCUUGACAUGUCAUUUUAAAAUUGUCAUUCAAUGCCAAAAAAAUCACAUCAACUGAUGGCCGACUACUUUAAUUUGAAAGCAUGCAUGCGAUCGCCACCAAUAAUUAUAACUUAAUUGUUAUAUUGAAAUUUUUUUCUUUAUAAUUUUUAAGUUUAAUACUGCUACAUGUGCGGCACAUAAGUUGGAAAAUAUAACAUAAAAUUUGAAAAAUGUGUAGUUUUCGUUCCUUUUUUUUCUUAAAAAUGGGGAAAAAGAAUGUAAUUUUGUUUAAAUUACUGUUGUGAUAACAAUUAUUAUUUUAUUGAUUAAUUGGCAGAGAAUCGUUAUGGUUUCGCAUGGUUGUUAAAACAUUGGAAAAUCCACUACAUCAUCCGAUAAUAACUUUCAGAUUUAUGGUUAAUCAAUAGUUGAGAUUUGUUAUCAUUAAUGUUAAAUAUUUUUUUAAUAUUUUUUCUCUCUCCUAGAGGAUCAUCCACAGUUAAAAUUUAAUAUUAUAAAUAGUAAACAAAGUAUAAACGUUAAAUCGAAGAAACUGCAUUGCAUUUCAGCUGAAGCUAACUUUAAUAUUUAACAGAGAAAAGUAAUUAAGUCCUUAAUGUGCUUUAUUUACCCAUAUAUAUGGCUAAUUUUUUAAGAUAAAGGGGAAGGAUGAUGCUCAAAAAUAUAAAUUAUAGAAUUAAUUGAGCUCUCAAGUAAGUUUAAAGUUCAUUAUUUUUAAUUACAUGUUUAUAAUUUAUUUUUAUUUCGUAUUAAUCUAUAGAUCUAAAUCCACUUUGGAUUCAUAUACAUAUAUAGACAUAAUGUGUAUGUUAAUCUAUAGGUCUAAAUUCACUUUAGGUCUAUAUAGGUAUUUUGACAAAUGUACUCCAAUCAUAUUGGCAAGUUCUAACUACUAUAUUGGUAUGUCAAUAUUAUCUCUAAUUGCCCUAUACAUUCAGAAAUAAUCUAGAUAUACAAAUUAACAUAAAAUAAAAAUAAUUGGUAGAAAAUAUAAAUUAUAAACAUGUAAUUGAAAACGAUAAACUUUAAAUUUACUUAAGAGAGUAAUUAAUUUCAUAGUUAAAAUCUUUAAAUUUUACCCCUCAUCUUAACUUAAGAAAAUUAAUCACUUAUUUUAUUUAACAAAGAAGAGAUUUUUUUCCCCUAUAUUUCCCAAUUAUUUCUCUCCCUCUCGCUCCCGUAAGUUAUACAACUUGAAGUGAAAUAUGAGUGGUCUGAUUCUAGCUUAAAUAAUUUAUUGUGACAUGCUAUCUAAGGACAAUACAUUACCUAGCUCUACAUAUUUUAUUUAACCUCCGGCUCACCCUGUGCAAACUUGCCUUCCCCUACAAGACAAGAUUAAUCAAUCUAUCAAGUCUCAAAUUCAAUUUGGAAUAUGACCAUCGUACGUUCUUGUUCUUCCCUCUUUACGAGUGCAUUCCCCCCAACCUCAAGCUCCCUCUCUCGUCUUCAAUGUCACUGCCUAUAUCCUUGUGUUGUUCUAGUUUGAAAUAGUGGCUUCCACAAUUUCAGGGCCCCCAAAAAUCCAGAAACAUAGUAUUCAUCACGAUGACAAAUUUUUUGGCAGGCAGGUGCUUCCUGACUUUCACACGGUAAUUCUCAAAUUCUGAUUUCACCAUAUUUUAAUUACUGAUUAGCAUAUAUUCAAGUGCUCUCCAUUAUAAUAGAAGCCGCCGCCUCACUCGUGAUUCCAAACUUUAUCUUUUUUCCUUUUUUAAAUUAAUGCAAGUAGCCGCUGUCCUUUUUAUUAAUUAAUUAAUUAAUUCGGCCGCCCACAUUUCUUUUCCUAAUGUCUUCUACUGUCGAUUUUCUUUUAUUUUCUUUUUAUUCUUAAAAUAUGCUUAUAAUAAUAAAAUAUAAAAAUUAAAAUUAACAUAUCAAAAUAUAAUUUAACAGAAAAUUAAGAUAAAAAUAAAAAAAAUAAAUUAUGAGCAUAUCAAUCAAUAAAUGAAAAAUAAUAAUUUUUAUUUUUAUUAAAUAUAUAUUUUUCAGUAUUAAUCAAUUAUUUGAAUAAAUAAAAUCAUUUAAAAAUAAAUAAAUAAAUUAUUCUUAAAAAAAAAGAAACUUUUUAUAACACUCACUAUGCUGGUUGUAGGGUAGACGCUUUGGGAACUGAAGCCGGUAACUUCUACAAGUAGUCUGAAGUUGACUGGCAACAACUAUAUUGACAUUUAGACAUAAUGUACUCCAACCGUAUUGGUAUGUUUAAAUGUUCUUACUAUUGUAUUGGUGUGUCAAUAUUAUCUCUAACUGCCCUAUAGAUAAAAAAAUAAUCUAAAUUUAUAAUUUAACAUAAAAUAAAAUAAUUGGUAGAAAAAUAAUUAUGGUUCAUUUACUUAUCAGUAAUCAGAAUAGACUAAAAUCGAAAUGAGUUGUAUUACCGUUGAUGUGUUUAUGUUGUCCUGGAAUCGGAAUGAAUUAUUUUAAGUUACUAAAAUAUCCUUGGUUUGUUAUUCUAAUUAUUAUUUAAUAUUUAUUAUAAUAUUUGUCAUAUCAUUAAAAAGAAAUAAUAAUGAUGAUAAUAUUAUCAUUAUUGUUUGUUACAUUAUUAUUAUUCAAAAAAAUUAUUGUUAAUAAUAAUAAUUUUUUUAUUUCAAUAAUAAUAAUGAUAAAAUUAAUAAUAAAAAACAUGACAACAACAAUAAUUAUUUAUUAUGCCAAAAAAUAACAAUAAUAAUAAGAAUAAUAAUCAUCAUCAUUUUUUUGCCAAAGAAAUCAUCAAACCAGACAAGAAAUCAUCAAAAAUUGCUAUUUCAAUUUAGGAAGAAGUUCUUUCGGUGUGCUAGCGAUGGGAGAUGUUGUGGCUGCGAUUCGGGGAGCUAAUAGUUUAUUGCACUAAUAACGGCAGGUGCUGCUGCUUGAUGCGAGGUCCAUGGCCAGUUGUCAGCAGUUCGACUUUGGCAUGGGCGCUGCUGGUUCGAUUUUAGGUGUUGUCUAAUUUCAUUUUCAGGAUUUUAAUUUUAUUUUUUUCUUUUAUAUUUUCAUUAAUUAAUCAGGGCAAAGUUUGAUUUUAGAAUUUGGAAUGAAGGUAAUUUUGUUAAUCAUGGAAAUGAGAUUUUGAUUGUCGAGAAUGAACUUACACAAGCAACUGCAAAUUAAGUGAAAACAAAACGCUUUUUCUCUUUGUGUGAUUAAAACAUGAAAUAUACCAUAAAUAAAUAGGUAAAAAUUAAAUCAACACAAUCCAAAACAGUAAACCAAUUAUAAGAGGCACAAAUUUUUAUGUGAAAUACCGAAAACGGAAAAAACCACAACAUGUUAGUAUGAUAUAAUCUUCUACUAUAUUAAUGGGAUUAUAACACAAAUUCUUCCCUAUAUUACACUAGAGAUUAACAACAUCAAGAAUCUCAAUAAUCUUAACUUACAAUACAACCUAAUAUAUGUCUCUCUAAUAAAUAGAUAUCUAAAAUAACAAUCUCUAAUAAGUAAGUAUCUCAAAUAACAGUCUCUAAUAAGUAGGUAUCUCAAAUAAUAGUUAAUAAGAGGAUAAAACAAAAAUUAAGAUUAGUAGGAUGUGUAUAAGGCGAUGCUAUCAACUUAUCUUCUAAAUUUGAGAAAAAUAGUUAAAUUCACUUUUUUGAUUGUCCGACCAAAGAUGGAAACCUUGCCCCAAAACCAAAGGAGUCACCAUUGUGUUUCUCUCUCUCUCUCUCUCUCUCGUUCUUUUCUUCUACUUUUCUUAAUGUUAGCCGCCACUUGCUUUUAUUCUUUAUAGCAUUUAAAAAGUUACUUUUAAUGGUAAAUUUCAUCUAAGUCCAAAACUUAGUGAUAAUUGCACACUAAACAAUCCUUUUUGGACUAUAGACUUUUGGACCUCCAAAUGAGACGAAUACAACAAAUCUCCCCUUUUAGAUCAUGUAGGAGGCACCACAAGCCCACUCUCUGCAUAUAGCUUUUUAACUUCUCCUUGAAUAAUGACUUUGUCAUCAUACAUAACUCAUUCUCCGUUGUGUAAAUCUUCUCAAGCUAUAACCGUUCUUUCUCAAACACGUCUCGUAUCUAAUAAUACUUCACAUCAAUUUGCUUAGAUUUCGAAUGAUAUAUCAAAUUCUUUGAACGACACUCUGAUUUUCGCAGUACAUAAUAUAGUUGUCUCAUUUUAUACCUAGCUCUUGUAGGAAAUUCUUCGUCCACAGUAUUUUUUUGCAACCUUCAAUAAUUGUAAUAUCAUUUGCUUUAGUAGUAGAAAAGACAACUUAUUACUAAAGUUUAGAUUACGAUGAGACUGCUCCUCCUGCAAAAGUGAGCAAACAUUCUAGUAGGAAUUUUUCGGAAUCAACAUCUCCUACCAUAUCUAUACACUUGUAACACAGGUUUGUCACCACCAAAAUAUAAACAUGCUCUGGAAAUGCCUCUAAGAUAUCUGAGAAUUUUUCACUAUUGUCCAGUGCUCUUUACCGGGAUUGAAGAGAAACCACUAACUACACUAGUUGUAUAAGUAAUAUCUGGUCUUGUACAAAUUAUGGCGCACACCAAACUGCCAACUGCUGAAGCAUAAGGAACUCCUCUCAUGGAGAAAUGGGUUUUGCUCUUGAGAUUUUUGGGAACAUGAAGAAUAAAUAUGUAAUUUCUUGGACUGCCAUUGUUUCGAGGUAUAUAAACAGAGGACAAGUCUAUAUAGGUCGACAGUGGUUUGCUCAGAUGCCAGAACGAGAUUAUGUCUUAUGGACUGCCAUGAUUGAUGGGUACCUUCGAGUGAAUAGGUUCAAAGAGGCUUUGACGCUUUUUCAGGAGAUGCAAACUUCAAAUAUAAUGGGAGACGAGUUUACCAUUGUUAGCAUUCUUACAGCUCGUGCGAAUCUGGAAGCACUAGAUCUGGGAGAAUGGAUAAAGACUUAUGUUGAGUGUUAGAAAAUGCAUAUUUAUAAAGGAGAAAACCAUCAUUUUACAUUUCAAGUCUUACUAACAACCCUUACUUUUAUGUAUUUAACCUUCUUGUGAUUUAAUUACAUGUGUUUUAUUUUAAUUAAGUAUUUUAUGUAUUUUAGGGACAUUAUAGUCAUUUCACAAUAAAGGAGAGAUCAGACGGCAAAACAGACAUCACUUUUGAACUCAGGACGGUCAAAAACCUUAGGAGGAGCAUAAAAGGAAAAAUGGCACUAUUCACAUGUACGGUACUAUUCACGUGUACGGUACUGUCCACGUUACUGUUCACGAUACUGUUCACAUAGACAGAUCGAUGACGUGGCAUUGACUGAUGAGGUGUCACGAUCCUGUUGGGCUAAAAUUCUUAUGUACUGUUGAUGGUGACGUGGCAGCAUAUCAAUGGACGAAAAAUCUCGCAUACAGUACAUGCAUCACACAGGAUUAUUGUCAACCAAAUCGCGUUACUGUUCAUCCGGGUCAAACCGUGUUACUGUUCAUCCACGUAGUCAAACCGCGUACUGUUGACUGAUGACGUGGCGCAAUCCUGAGCGUCCAAACUGUUUUUAAUCCGAUGGCCAUGAUUUACUCCAUGUAUCUAUAAAAAGGGGGCCUCCCCCCCUAAUUUGACAACUCUGAAUCUAUUUUGGGAUCCAUUUUCUAUAAUUCCCUCUCCAUCUUGUAUUUUCUACGUAUUUUAAUAAAUUUCCAUUUUACCCUUAGUUCAAUUAUGAGUGGCUAAUUUCCUUUCAAGCUUGGGUUGAAGGUGAAGUCUCAACAUGUGUCAUGGGCUUUAUUUGGUAAAUUUAUUUUCUUUUCCCCUCUAGUUUUUGUGGAUGAUUUGACUUUUCGUCGACAAAUAAUAUUGAUCUUGUCUAGAUACCACCUUGGUUACACCGGCUCUCUAGUACAAGGUUAUUAUUAUUUGGCACGAUAAGCCCUUAGCACCAUAUUGAUUAGAGCGUGGUUCAUGAGGUGUGGAUUCCCCCCUCAUGAUUUAAUUGGCAUUAAUAAGGAUUAUAUAGCCCAUGAUGCAUGUUGAUACGGAUCUGGAUACCCAAGUGCUUCAUUUCAAUAGAUCUAUCUUCAAUUUCUUCUCGCCAUUUUAAUUUAAGUUUUAGAAUAUUCCAAAUCAUUUCCACCACAAAUCCAAUCCCCGAUUCACAAAAUUAAUUCUAUACACAAUUAAAAUCCACAUCCUCGUGGGAUCGACACUCGUCACCAUUAGUCUAUACUACAAUAGAUUCGUGCGCUUGCGAGUACAUUAAAAUUUACACAACAACUUAUAUUGACAAAAACAAAGUCAAGAAUGAUGUAUUUGCGGGGAAUGCUUUGAUAGACAUGUACUGUAAAUGCCGAGAUGUUGAGAAAGCUCAAAAGGUAUUCAGGAAGAUGCUUUGAAAGGACAAAUUCUCAUGGACGACCAUGAUUGUUGGCCUUGCCAUCAGUGGCAAUGGUGAUAAAGCUCUUGAUAUGUUUUCCCAAAUGCUUAGGGCUUCGAUCAAACCGGAUGAGGUAGCUUAUGUUGGUGUUCUGUCUGCCUGUACUAACAAUGGUAACGAAACUUUUGUGAUAAAUAGUUGCAACUUAAGGUGAGAAUUGGAGGAAAGGAAAUAGACUGAAGUUGUUCAAUCAUCGGUCGUCUCUAUUUGGUUUUCUCCGAUAUCUCAUCUUCAGUUUUGACUCAGAUUCUAUCUUACCACUUAGGGGUGGGCAAAAUCGGGUUCGGGUCAACCCGAUCGGGUUUCGGGUUGUUCGGGUUAGACAAGGAACAAUCCGAACAUAACCCGAAUUAAUGACCCGACCCGAACUUAGUUCGGGUCGGGUCAUUAAUUCGGGUUAUGUUCGGGUUGGAUUUAAAAUGGGUAGGAUUGAGUUCGGGUCAAUUUGGGUUAGUUCGGGUCAAUUCGGGUCAGUUCGGGUCAAUUCGGGUCAAUUCGGGUCGGUUGAAAUCGGGUCAGUUCGGGUCAAUUCAGGUCAGUUCGGGUCGGUUGAAAUCAGGUCAAUUCAAGUCAGUACGUUUUUUUUUUUUAAGAACCCGAUCGGGUAUUCGGGUCGGGUCGGGUUUGACCCGAACCGAUCACAACCCGAUCGGGUUUGUAAAUUUCAAACCGAUCGGGUUUCGAUCCCGACCCGAUCCGACCCGAACCCGAAAUUUAUCGGGUCGGGUCGGGUCGGGUAAAAUGCCCACCCCUAUUAAUACCACUAGUAAUUACAUAGACUUGCUGCCAAAGGUAAGAAUGAGAAUAAAUUAAAUAGAUUAUGUCGAAAACGAAAUAAAUUUACCAUUGUUCUGUUCAUUCUAUUUGUUUCCUACAGAAUAUUUCUCCAGCCUAAAAUUUUUUGAAUUAGUAAGUUUUUAUCUUAUGCAAGAAUUGUGCUGAGAGUAAUUCCAUUUCUCAGUCUCUUUAUGUUUCAAUGAAGACGUAAAACUUGUGUUCUAGUGCACCAAUGUUUAUGCUUCUUACAAUUUGACUUUAAUUUAGUUUGUAAAACUUUUGUCAAAAAGUACUAAAAAGUAGUGCACCAAACACAAACUUUAUUACAGAGAGGACUUCAGUUAAAUUUUAAGAAAACACUCAAAAGAACGAGUUAUAAAUUAUUAUCGAAAUAUUUCACAUAAAUAAAAGCCAUCCCAUGCUGCAAAGAUCUUGCUAUAAUCACCAAAAACUAUCGGGAGCUUUUAGGGUUUCCAUAAAAAUGUCAUUUCGUUCCAAAAGUCAAUGGUGGGUAGAAAGUGGUGCAAAUGAGACUCAUUGUUAAUGGUAUAAGUUUUUGCUUAAUUAUGUCUUCCCCAAAAUGAUGAUUUAAUUUCCAUUCUCAAUUAAUUUUCAAGUUUCAACACUUUUCUAUGUAGCAUGACAUUGGAAAGAUCUUGUACAGUUGUACUACUAAAAGCUAGCACCACACGUUAGUUAUUGUUAAGUUCUUUUUCAACGUGAAAUAAAGGAAGUAGUCCUUCGUUAAAACCAUUAUAGCCAAAUUUCACGUAAUUGGACAUUUACAGACUUUUAUUUCAAGUUGGAUUUUGGUCCAACAUUUCAAAGUUGGCCCAAUUAUUUUUGUCUGGUCAAGUCCUUCGCAGCUAAGCCCCUCAAUGAAUGAGGGUGAGAUUGCUAAAAAUUACGACAGGUGAUAUUUUAUUAUUAUUAUUUGUUUGAGGGAAAAAAUAGGAAAAGCAAUAGAGCGCCACGUGUCAACCAAUGGAAUGAUUCCUGCACAAUCUAAGGUACCCCACACAAUCCGAGGUACCCCAUAUAAUAUGAGGUACCCCACACAAAUAGGGGUACCCCGCGUAAUAGGAGGUACCCCAUGUAACUCGAGGUACUCGGCAAAGCGGAUGCAAGAGAAUCCUCCGAAAAUAUCCGCCAUGAGAAACGUCUCCGCCUCCUAAAAGAUAUUAUUCAAUUUUGUCAGAAUUAUGAAUAAAAAACGACGCCCUAAAAGGAGGGACAGUCGCCUGCGACCUCUGCCAAAAGUGAAGGACACUGUCCCAAGGACAGUGGUCCCCAACGCCUACCCGACAGCUACUGCAAAGGUACCCUGGACCACUCUCCAGCGCGCGCCACGUUUCCAAAAGAUGAGAUACGCCGCGAACGUGCAGAUAACUGCCCAAAAAUUAUAAAGAGGUAAAAGGACGUUAGUAAAAAAGGGUAUGCCAUGUGGCAGCUGAGGUACUCCAUAUAUAAAGGCGCCUAGGUUUCAUUCUCCAUCAUGUUCUCACUCACCAUUAACACUCGCACUCCAAAAAAUAGGUUUUCUUCAACCUUAAACCCUAAUUUACAGAGGGUUAGUCAGCUCUCUUUACCAUAAAAGCUUGAGUUUGCUAACUUGAGCGUCGAAGUGUGAACGCCGGGGUACCCCGGCUUCACCUCUAACCUCUAUUUCACUGUUUUGCAGGCGUGAAGCUCAUUUGGAAGGACACAUCUCUUAGUUCUAAACCUUUCACCAUUGUUACCACUCUCUCUCCCUUUCUCACCUCCCCUGGAUUUCAGAUACACCACACCGCACACAAUAAACUAGUGAGGUACCCCGUCUCCCAUAAAAAUACAAAUUCAUUGUUCUAGAUAGAUUUGGCUUUUUUUACCCCAAAAUCUGUUGAAAACACUAUUUUUAAUUUUGGGGGAUAAAUCCUCACCAAAGUGAGGAGAUUUUAUCAAAAUCAAAAUAAAAAUAUAACAAGAACUGAAAGUCGGGCAGCCUAAAAGCUAGAUGAACUAAAAGUCAGGCGCCUAAAAACAACCUUAUGCAAAAGAGAAGCAACAUGAGACCGAUCAAGUAAAAGAAUCCACCGCAACACCUAAAUUGGCCAAAUUAUCUGUUGGUAUUACAAGUUUCUUGUUAUAAAAGUGUAGAAUGAAGUAGGUGACAGUAGUUUUAAGUUACAGCUGCAUGCCUAAUCGCAAUAUCAAAUAAUGAUUAAAUAUCAAAUAAUGCUUAAAGUAGUUGCCUAGGCCCGCCACAAUUUAUAUUAACUCUUAAAUUUAUAAAUAAUUAAAUUUUUAAAAGUUUGGAUUUAUAUUAAAAAAUCUUCAUAUAAAUAAAUAAUAUAUGCACUUUUACAACACAGUCUUUAAAUUUAAAUUUUUCUAGAAAAAUCUUCUGUAUAUCUUUUCUAUUAAAAAAUUUCCAUAUAAAUAAAUAAUAUACCUAAUUUAAUUGGACCCAGCACAUCGCAUAUGCAUAGAACACAUUCCACAAAGCCAUGCUAUUCGGAAAUUGACGAAUGAAAAGUGAGGAGGCAGCAGUCAAUGCUAUUUGGGCUUGGCCCAAAAUUGAUUUAUCAGGUUGACGUUUGCCAGGAAUGAAGAACUGGAAUAUCACCGUCAAGCAAGCAACCUGUGGAGCAAUACCAUAGAAUGCACAAUCCAGCUUUGCAAGGUGACACUGGAGGCUUUUUGAAAAGUGCUUCACGCUCACUUGCACAGAUUGAGCAUCCCCUCUGGAUAUUGCCCUCUCUGAUCGAGUCUGAGCACUCAAAUUUCGGUCCUCAGAUGGAGCUACAGCUUUCUCUCCAAUAACCAACAAUUUUCUAAACUCAGCACCUAGUGUGAUCAGAGUUGUUGAUAUUUGUAAAUGGAGAUCCCUGUAUUUGCAAAUGGAGACAUUUACCAAAUCACCAACAUGCUUCAUCCAGUCUACGAAAUUCUGCAGCUGAUUCAAAUCCGGAACCUGAACCAGAGUCGGAGGUAAAUCUUGAGCCAUGUCUAAAGCAGUCUGAAGUUCAAGUACUUGAGCCCUUGACAAAGGUUUUGAAAUUGGAACAUCUUGGAUUACUGCAGACUUGUACCCCUUGGUUUCAAAGGUAAGGAAAGGCAUUGCUUGAGUACAAUUUGGAGGCAGCUUCUUCACCAAUUUUAUUUGGAGGCAAUUGGCAGCGGAUCCAGCUGCACCAAUUUCAGAGCAAAUACUGACACUACUUCAAACAGCACGCUGAAGAAGAGAUAUGUCUAUGGCAAAGGCAAUGCAGUCCUCAAUUUGACUUGAGAUGCGGUAAUCACCAAAGAGAGUUUCCUUAUGAAACUGGGCAACACAUUGAAUCCCUUCACCACUGAGAAGGUUGGGGAGGAAGUAAGCUUUCUCUCUCGUAAGGAAGAGGUGGCAUACCUUCCCCAUUUUGUCUAGGACAGGUAGGAAUCUUUUUUCUAAGAGAUUUACUCCAUUCUCUGUGAGAAAUGCUUUGAACUUCAUCCCUCUGUCUCUAGCCUCACUUAUCAGUAAAAUAGUUGAAAGCGCUACAAGGAGAGAAAAGAAGAGUAUUAAGAUAUAUAUAGACAAGAAAAACAUUAGAUGUCGAUCUUACAAGCUAAUACUUCAAACAGUAUCCUAGAAAGCUAAAAACUGCAAAAUGGCUUGAAAUUUGAAAAGAACACAUGCUUUUCCUCCUUAACUUGAGAAAAUGUUUAAUAUAGUGCACCUUACAGAAACAUUUAAACAAUUAGAACUUUGCACAAAAACAUUCAAGAAGACUAAACAAAUCAGAUGCAGUGUAUUUCUCCAAGCACAAAUGGCAUUGCAUUUUUUCCUCAACUGUAAUAUUUAUUGAUGAAAAUCAGUACAGGUCCCUCAUUUGUUAUGGAAAGCUUUCUUGUAGUCUGACCGGUUAAUUCACGGGUCUAUAAUCAUCUUGCAAAGUUACAGGCAUUUCUUUCGAUUUAAAGUCUUUGCAUCACCACCUCAUCACACACCAAGCCAAUAUUCCGUCUACCUCUACAACAAAAAGUUUUAAGUAAACGAUCCUAAUGCAUGCAGCCAAAUAAAAUGCAGUAAGAAUAUUCAACUUAAAACUCUGAAAGCCAUCUUGGUGAAUUGCCUCCUUAGGGGAAGUUCCAUGCUUUACUAUACUUGACAGGACUGAGCAAAAGCUUACAUACAACAGAUUUUGAAAAUGAUGAUGCCAAUAGAUACUCAUACAAUCCAUUGAAACUCCUAAGGUCCAUUGUUCACAGAGGUUUACAGAGUUUUGGUCAUCAAAUAGCUCAGACCUUAAUCCCAAACAAAAAACGAGUGAAAAUUAGAUCACCAGCAGCUAAUUGUAAAUUCUAACUUAACUCUUCAUCUCCUUUGUAAACAGGAGACAAAAUGGAGACACGCAAAAUGAAUAAGGAGAACAUUUGAACUCAAAUGAAAUGAGGGCACGAAAGCAAACAAAUGGCAUGCGCAAACAAACCAAGCCUCAAUCAAAAACUAAUUAACCAUUAAAAAAAAAAAAGUGGUCAGAGAAUGAACUCCAAAUUCGGGAGUGAAGCAAGAAGCUUUCAUUAUUUCAGAAGCUCCUGUACAAAUUAAUAAGUUAUGCUCUUUGGAAACAAACCUAAAUUCCAAGAGAAAGAGAACUCAAAAAAUUUGCAAUUAUACGCAAAGGAAGUGAAGCACAGCAUUCUAUCACACGUACAAAUUGUAUAACAAGAGAUCGACACAUCGAAUCAGAAGAACUCAAUUCAAAUUUGUCUCAAAAAUCAAAAUUAGAAGAUUUCACAUUUCGAGAGGAACAAGCGACAGGUCAGAUGCAAAAUUUUCAGCCACAACAUGCCACAAUUAACAGUUUAUUUCCAUGGAUUUAGAGAGCUGACUGACCUUUUGGCUUUUGGAAUUGAGAAGAUCGCGGGCCAAAAUGGAAGAGGGAAAGCGAAAGUGCGGGUUUUAAUAGGGUAUUGGAUUAGCAAAUUUAAUUAGUUUGCGAGGGUAAAAUAGGAAAGAGAUAUCACUAUUAACUUUUUUUUUUAUAAGAAAAAAGAAUAAUAAAGAAUAUUUUAUUGUCAUUUGCAGCCUGCAAAUGACAAUAAAUCAAAUACGUCAUACAGAAGCUUAAAGCUGAAUCUAAAAAAUCUAGAGCUCUCAACUACAAAAAUUACACUUGAUGAUCCUCUACAAGAUGAAGCUUGUUCAAUAUCUUAUCCAAAGUUUAUAAAGUAACCUUGUAACGAUCUUGAGAUUGCCUGCCUUCCUCGACGACCUGCACGAUGCGUUUGUACAAAUCAUCAUACCUGUGCACCGGAUUUUUAAUAUCAACGCCACUGCAGCUGUGAUCAAGAACAUAAGAGCGUUUAACAUCUUUUCUCCAUCGAGAAAGAAUGUAGUGAGAUGGGAUCUCCUGCAUGCCACUCUGGUUUAGAACACAAAGAAUGUGUCUGGAUAAAUAUCCUCUGAAAUUGAACAACCCACAAACACAAAGCACCUCCAAGUCGGAGGCAUUGUACAAAACAUCGAAAGCCCUUGAAUCUUUCUCGUUGCUACCAACCUCAAAUUCUUCCUUCACUAUGUAUGUUAUAGGUCCAUCAGCACUGACAUGUUUUGUGCUAUAGCAAGAGUACAUAGCCUCCACCUCCGUCUGAAACUUCCUUCACAUUUCAUUUGUGUACAGUUUUGAGAGUUGAAAUUCAUAGUCACAUCUUGGUUUCUGGAUACAACUUGAAUUUCUUGAAUCCAUAUCUGCCAAGGCUUCCGGUUGAUAAUUCGCCUGCAGUGCUUGAUCAUACUUGUGUAAGAAUUCUUUCAAAGGAGUACGCUUAUCAAGAUAUCCUUCAAAGUAUGAAGUAGAAACCUCAUUCUGCAGGAAUGAAAACACUCCUGAUAAAAAUGCUUCCUUCAAAUAAACAGGAGCCCACCUUUUACGAUCUUCAUAUAAAGUUUGAAUCCAUCCGUGAUCCUUUAUUCCAUGACGUUGAAUCAUGUCUUCCCAAGCUGCUUCAAAUUCCUCAGGCCUGAGAGAGUGAUAAAUUGCUCUAUGUAAUGCACCUCUAAUAGCUUCAUAUUCAAACAAUCCUUGGAGUUUCUCUGGAAUUUUUUGCAAGAUGCAUGACAAUGAAAAGCAAUGAUAAGCUCUUGGGAAAACAUCGCCAACAGCAAUUUGCAAGAUUCUACAUUGGUCAGUGAUGAUUGUUUGUGGAGAGCGUCCUAACAUACAUGUAAGCCACACCCUAAACAACCAUGUAUAUGAUUCUAUGGUCUCCCUGGCAAGUAAACCACAACCCAACAACACUGAUUGUCCAUGAUGAUUCACCCCAAUGAAUGAAACCAGUGGUACAUCAUAUCUUUCAGUCAAGCACGUAGUAUCAAUUAAGACUACAUCACCAAAGUACCUAUAUGCAACUCUUGACCUGGUAUCAGUCCAGAACAGGUUUCUCAAGCAUCCCUUUUCAUUUAGAUCCACUACAUUAAAAAAGUUUGGAUCUGUCAACUGCAAACGACAAAAGAAACUCUGGACAGCUUGUGCAUCUCCUGGUUUAAGCUUCAAUUGAUUUGAGCUAUUAACAUUAUUUCCAAAUACUCCAUUAACAUCUACAUUACCAUUUCCCUCGGUAUCGAUGAUAAGAGUUCGAAACAGUCUAAUUUUUUGAACGUCUUCAGCACUAUCUAAUUGCAAUGUUCUUUUGGUUCCAAUACCUAUGUGCUUAUGUGACUUGUAAAACUUUCCGCUUCUUGGGCUUAACAAGUGGUUAUGCUCAAGCUCGACUUCAAUGAUUCUCCACCUUUUGGUUUCCAUCAACCUAAACUUUAUCAUUGCUGGACAGCCAGUUCUUGUUUCUGGUCUUGGGCGGUUUGCCUCGCUUUUCUUCUUGAAGCCUGCACUACUACAGCUCAGCUUUCCUCUAUACUUUUCUCUACUCUUUCGGUACCAUGUAUUGCUAACUCUAACACCAAAACCCUGUUCCUUGGCAUAGCAAUUGUAAAAGUAAUAAACAUCAUCAUACGUCUCAAACUCCAUUCCAACAGCAGGAGCCAAUGGAUUUUGGAUUAUCCCAGUUUGUCCAACAUAUUCAGUCAUUGCACAAUCUCCUACGACCUCAAAAUCAUCAGCAUCAUCAUCACCUACUGGUUCAGUAUUCAGAGAAACUUCAUCCAUCUACAAUAGAUGUUUAAUGAAGUGAACUUUAAGGAGAAAAAGCAAAAUCAGUUCAAGGAAUGAUAAUAUAACCAUACAGUUACUUUCACAAAGCUGCGUAUUUCAUCAAUACCUUAACAACAUACAACUGCCUGAGAACGUAUAGACAUGUCAUAGACGCUUGAAUUAAGUAUUGGUACAAAUUCAUGUGGGACACAAUUUCAGUCACUAAACCCAAUGCCUUUUUUUUUCACAUCAUACCAAGGAACGGAUUAAACCCAAUACCUUCUUUUACGCCAUACCAAAGAACAGAUUAAAUCAUCAAUGAAAAAUUAAUCACAUAAUAAUUUAACUAGACAAAUAAAGAGCUCGAAACAGCACAAAACUUGAAUAUGAUUAUGAUAAUUGUUGAGUCAUUGUAUCUACAGCUUUCCUUCAACAAGAAGAUUAUGAACAUAAACUACACACAAAAAAUUUAUUUUAAACUGACAUAAAUUUAUUCAGUUACAUUGAAACCCAAAAAAGGAAGCAGGAGCUGGAGAAAAACAACAGCAGAGAAACUUAUUUCCAGAAGGUUUACGAAAUAAGGAAUUUAUUAAGACACAAAAUUUGAGGUCAACAAUAAGAAUUUGGUUCUCAUUCUCUUUUUCUUCAUUUUUCACUUAUUGAUGGAGUUACCAUACAAUCCUAAAUGAUAAAACCCCAUCUCCAUCUUUUUGAAAUAGAGUUAAAGCAAAGCUUUUUAAGAUGUUUUUCCCUAAAAGACUCAAUAGUACAAUGUUUUUCAAUAUUAAAUACACAACUCAAUCUUCCCCUAAUUUACUCUAAUAAUCUCUUAACUAAGGAAGAUUAAGCUCCACUUGUAAGCUAAAACAAGUUUCUUAAAUCAAGCCCCAAUGCUCUAUGCUAUUCAACAAGGCCUCAUAAAUGAUAAAACUACCUCUACAAAGAUACCCAUUUUAAUUUCGCAAACUAAAAUCGAACUCCUGAAACGUAACGAGCAUUAAAACAAACAAGUCCGAACAAGAACUGAAAAAUGAUACGUAAACCCGUUUCGACAAACAGUUUCCAAUCAAUGAGCAAAAAAGUUAAUGGAAAACAUGAAAUUCAAACGAAACAUACCUUAGGUUGAUAAAUUAGUAGCGCAAAAGAAAUUUUAGCGAGAUAUGGGAUCAGGGAUUUUGCCACGGUGAUGUUAAUUGCGACAUUCGGGUGACUCAGCAGCCUUCGAGGCUGAAACUUUGAUUGACCAAAAGCUUCCCGUUCGUUGAUUCUCUAAUUGCAGAAACGAAACUGGCAGUGUACAGAAGACGUACGCUGAUUUGAUAAUUCUGUGAAAAUCAUUGUUUUUUUUCAGAUUUUUAAUGUGUUCGAUAAAAUAUCAAAAUCUCAAAAACUUUUGUCUUUCAUUUUGGGGGGGAAAAACCCAUUGAGAUCCUUAUGUUUUUUCUUAUAUAAUCUGGCUUAAUAAUUUGCAAAGUCUAUUACUUAGCACCCAUGCAUGCUGCGUUCCAAUUUACAAAAUUGUACGUGAGUGCAUCCAGCUAAAAUUUGUAAAAAGAAAAUAGCAAUAACAUGUUAAAAAUGUGAUUAUUAUGAAGAAAUUUUAAUUUAGUUAAAUAGGUGACGAUGGAUAGGUAUAAAAUCUGAGAUCUUUUAUAAGGUUAAUAAAUAUGUUGAGUUUGGAUUAGUUCAAUUUUGAAAUAAUAAUAUUCAAAAUAUCUCUUAAAUCAUUAUAAACCUCAAAUCUAUUUUAAUUUUAUUUAAAAGAUAAAAGAAAAAUAGGUUAUGUUGGUGAUUUUUUAUUAUCUUUUUAAUAAAAAUGAAAUAAAUUGAUGUUUAUAAUUAUUUAAAGUAUUUUAAAGACUGCCAUUUUAUGAGAGAAAAAUAUUUCACUUUUUUUUAGUGUGAAAGGCCGAAAAAGGACAAAGCAAGUUUCCCUAGUUUUUAUUUAUUUGAAAUUGGUCAUCUCAUAUACUUCACCCUUCAACACUAUAAUUUUUUUGGUUAUAAUUUUAUUAUUUUUUCUCUUUUACACAUGCAUGUGAAUUACUUUUCUUUAAGCUCCUGAAUAUUUAAGAUAAAUCAUGGAAGAGAUGAGAGUAUAACAAGAUGACCAAAAUAUGUAACAAAAAAAUUUUAUAAGUGAAAAAUAUGUUAGAGACUUACAGUGGAAGUAAAACUCUGAGGUGAUGUUUGAUUUGAAGAAAAUGGAGGAAAUGAAAAGACUGGAAUGUAGAGGAAAAGAGAGAAAAGGAGAGGAGAGGAGAGUGAAAUUUUUUUCUAAUGUUUGGUUUGUCACAUAAUUAUACAAAGAAAGGAAAUCUCUAAUUUUUUAUUUAGACAAUUUUAACCUUAAUAAGUAUUAAGUUUUCAAUAUUUAUCAUGUGUAUAAUUAAAAAAAAAAGAAGUAAAUGGUAGAAAGCGGUUUCUGAUUCCGGCCACAUCGCCCGCAAUGGAAGGUACUUAUCAGAACAUCAAGAGCCAGCCAUCAUUCCCUAGCCAUCACUGCUGUCGGAACACUGCCGGAAAGCUGCCGAUUGAACCGCGAAAAGUCGUGGAAAUCGCUGCCUCAAAUCGGUGAGUUUCGCCCUUUUCUGGUCACGCCGUCGCCAUGGCUUUGUCCAUCAAGCCUGCCACUUCCAUUUUCAACCAUCCAUAGCCACUAUUAAUUGCCAAAUCACCGCCGAUCAGCGGGAUCUGUGGAAGUUAAAAAGUUUCUAAAUUUUUUUAACUGGAUUUGAACAACAUACGACCAUUUUUUUAUCUCGAUAACGACGUAGUAAUGUUGAUCGUUGGUCGGCAAGUCGUAUGGUAGUGGCAGUGAGUAACACGCGCCAAUCACAUCGGCGGCGGCGGCGGCACUAUCCGGCGACUGUUAAAAUAAUAUUUUAUAUUUUCAGAUUAAAUAAAUUUAUUUUAUUAAAAUUUUUAAAUCAUUAUUUAAAUUUAAUUAAUUUAAAAUUAUCUAUAAUGUUGAAUUGAUAAAAUAAAUUUAUAAAUAAUAAUUAUGUGAUUACAUUAAAUAAGUUAAAAAGUUGAAGGGUUAGUUUUGGAAGAUUUAGUUUCCAACACAAAGGGAAUUUGAAUUCUUCACUUCUUAGUGUGGAAUUCAAAUUCUAUAUUGUAAUAGAUAUUAAAUUUCAAUAAAAAUUAAAUUCUUAUAAGUUAUGUCAAACCAAACAACGAAAAUAAAAAAGAAAUUUAAAUUAUUUUUCUUUCCUCCACCCUCUCCUUCCAACUAAAUACAUCCUGAAAAUAGAGAUAUUGAUUAAUUUAGAAGAGAUUCAAGCAAAAAAUAUUCCAAAAAAAAAAGCAAUAUGUCCCUUUGGAGGGCAAACUUGUCAGUUUCAAAAAAGUACAUGCUUUGUAUUGAUAGUUGUAGGAUAUUUGUUUUGUCACUAUGUAUUAGUUGGAGAAGUCCAGCCUUGUGGAGAAUGUUAUGAAAGAGCAAAGGAUAUUCCUGAUAGCUGAUAGAGCUCUAUCUGAUUAUGUAUCCAGUGAAUGGAUGUGUUGUUGGAAGAUAUCUGAGUGCAUUAGUUCAUAUGUGUCUGUCAAUGUGCUUUUAAUGAUUUUUCCACCUGUUUGUUGUAAAAGAUUAUUGUAAAUUGAAAUGAACUUGAUGUUUUAAUAUUUUCUUCCGUAAAUUGAAAUGAACUUGAAUUAAAUCUCGUUGAAUUUAAUAUUAUCUCCUUAGUGGAAUUUCACCUAGUAUGUAUUCAGUUGUGUUGUCUAUAAUUUUGCAUUCGAGUAAGUUUCACCUAAAACAUUAGCAUGAGUAGUGGCCCUUGAACCUUUGGUCAAAAUUAUUGUUAUUAUUUCUGACUAGAUGUAAAUUUUGUAUUAAAUCUCGUUAACACAAUUCUUAAUUAAAAGUAUAGGUUAGUGUUGGUGCAAGAUUUGCCACACCAAAUUCUGCCUAGCUGUCAAAAGUGCAAAAUAAAUGAAGAGAAAGCACAAAUACACGACUUGAAUAAGGAUACAACGAAACUUAAAUUCAAGAGAAAAUGAUAGCUAUAUCCCAAGAUUUGAAAAAGUAGUCAUGUAGGUUUUUAAGAUUUCAAUAAGCGACUGAGAUUCAAAUAAUAUCCUUUAAUUCUAUUAAUAAAAAACAAAGACUCAAAUAUUUUAUGAUAAAUAAAAAUAUAAUAUUAAAAUAUAUGUGAUAAUAUACACAUUUUAAAUACUUUCAAUCCAAAAAAAUAGUUAUGUUUUACAAUCUAUUAGACAUAUUUUAUUAAAUUAAUAUAAAUUUUCUAUAAAAUAAGAAUAUAAUAUUAAAACAAAUUCACAGAAAUUUAAAGAAUUUUGAAUGUAAAAUAAUUUUAAUAUAUUAAUACGUGAGUUUUUUUAUUAAUAUAAAAAUUAUUUAACUUUAAGAUUUUUUAAAAUCUUUACAAUAAGUAUAACUAUAUUAUUUACAUUUAAAAAUAUUUAAAUAUUAUUAACCUACAAUUAUAUUUGCAUUUGUUAGAAAUUUUUAAAGUCAAAUAUUUUGCACUUCUAUAUUAUUAGAAUUAUUGCACACAAAGAAAGAAACAUAUACGUUUAGAAAUUGUUUUCUUUUAAAAUAGAGAUGAUGAUUAGUAUAAGGAUCAAAAAAAGGAUAAAGAAUAUUAAUGAUUAACGAAAACUCUAUACAAAUUGAUUUUAGUAGGAAAAGAGUGAGAUGAAUGAUUUCUUUUACAGUUAGAAAAAUAGAUGAUGAUUAUUAUAACGAAGAAGAAAAGAUAAAGAAUAUUAAUUAUUAAUGGAAUCUCUAUGCAAAUUGAUUUCAGUAGGAAAAAAAAUGAGUUAAAUGAUUUAGAGUGCGUUUGGAAUUGAGAUUGGACAGCCAUAGAUUUUAAGUUACAACACUGAAGUGUUUGGUAAAUACUAGCUGCUGCAGAUUGAAAGUUAUGUUGAUAUGAUUUUUCACAUGUAUCAUAGAAAAUAUAUUACAUCUUUAAUAAUUUUUUUAAAAUUUGUAUUUGCUAUAUAUUGUUUUUUUUAUAUAGUUAUAACUUUUUUUUUUUCCACAGCAGCUGUAGCUUAAAAGCUACAGCACCUCAAUCUCAAACAAGUCCUUAGACAUUCAUAGUGUGUUUAUUUUUUGGAUUGGUGAAUCAAAAUUAUUGACAACGCUAACUUCAUCUUCACCGUUCGCAAUCCAACAGCAGCAAUUGUCGCCAAUAAUGAUAUCGCCGAUGAUGAUGACAAUAAUAAUAAUAAUAAUAAUAAUAAUAAUAAUAAUAAUAAUAAUAAUAAUUAUUAUUAUUAUUAUUAAUAAUUAAUAUAUUAAUAUAUUAAUGUUAAUAUUAUUAUUAUUAAGAUUAACAAUAAUUAUUAGUAAUACAAUUUUUUGAAUAAAAAUAAUCACAAUAAUUAAAAUACAAAUUAACAAUUAUGACAAUAGUUAAUUAAUGUCUUUUUAGUAAUUUGUAAUAAUCUAACUCAUUUUAAUUCUGAUUAUUACAGUUUAAGUAAAUAAAUUAUUAUGAUUCCUAUUCUCCUUUUCUAUUUUAACUCACUUCGAUUCCAGUCUAUUCUGAUUUUUGUUUAAUAAACGCACCAUUAGUGCUAAAGUAAUAUUUCAUACAUAGAAAAGUAAAAACUACACCUAAGGUUAAGGGAAAGGACUUCAAAACUCUCUUUUGAUCAUAAUACAUUUUGUACUAAUUAACUUAAAGAUUUUGAAUCUAAUAUUUUAUAAUAAAUAAAAAUAUAUUCCUAAAAUAAAUAUAAUAUCAAUAUUUAAAAUAUGUUUUAAUAUUUUACACAUUUUAUUAUAUUAAAGUAGAUUUUAUAAUAAAUACAAACGUCCUAUUAAAAUGAAUAUAUAAAAAAUUUAGAAAAUUUAGAAUAUUAUAUAAAAUAAUUUUAAUAUAAUGCGUGAGAUAUAUUUUAUUAAUUUAAAAUGUUAUUUUACCUAAAAAAUAUGAUAAAUUAAUAAUUACAUAUUUGAAGUUAUUUCAAAUAUUAAAAAAAUUUAAUAUUAUUAGUCUUUUAGAUAGAUUAAAUUAUUUUUUUUAUAAGAGAUAGAUUAAAUUAUUUUAAAAUGCCUUAAUUAUUUUUACUUUUAACGUUACCGGCCUUUCUUUUAUUUUAUUGCAAAUUAAUGCUAACAAGAAAAAGCUAGAUCAUAUUCCACAAAAGCAAAAGUGACAAACACAACCAGCUGGAAUCUUUUAUAAAACUACAAAUUAAAAUGGAUUUUUUUUUUGAUAAAUUACACAUGAAAGUGGAUUCUUUUGAAUAUAAGUGGAGUAGGCUCUUUUAUUUUAUUUUUGAAUAUUGUAUAACGGGACUGUAGACUCUUUUAUUAAACUACAAAUUGUAUAGUCUUUUUAAAAUUGUUAUAAAUUAAUGGCCCCCACAAUCCUCAACAAUUGUACCGAUAUUCACAAGUUGGUGGCCCCUACAAUUCUGUUCCGAUAAUUUAACUGUGCAAGUGCUCAUUCACAAUCUUCCAGGUCAUGCUCUCAAUAAUUGUUUUUUUUUCCUGCAUUCCCUUUGGGAAAUUUACGAAAAUAAUCAUUAAUAUUUUAUUAUUUUUACAAUUAACCGUCUUAAUUUUUUUCUAUCAACAUUAGCCAAAUACAAGUCUUUCUUCCCAAAUUACCCUUCUUUACAGAACAAAACCAACAUUGUUUCUCCCAUAUCGCCAAACCAAAAGCAGCUUUUUAUUCUUAAAUCAUCAGCCAACGGCGACCGCAAAAGACAACGGUAAAAGUGAUAUCCGAUCAUAAUCUAUCCGGAUCCAACACAAAUCUACAUCACUCAGUGGUAUGAAUUAUUUUUUGAACUUACUGAACUCAGUCGGGUGAAUCUGAGUCUGGCGACAGGCUGCCUGUCGCAGUAAAACUUGGUGCGACAGGCAACCUGUCGUACCAAACCUUGGUGCGACGGGCACCCUUGGAGAUUUAUUAAAAAUGUAUUAUUUUAAUAGGACUCAAAUAAUUUUUUUUUAUAAUUUCAGGCUUAAUGGAUUCAGUUGUACUUGAAUUGUGUUACGAUGGUUGGUGGGAGACAUUAGAGAAUGGCUGUAUGGAGUACGUGAAUGGUAAAAAUCGAGCUUUUUUGGUUGGAAAAAAUUACUUGUUUGAUCAGUUAUUGGCAAGAGUAUACGAGGUAUUAAAAAUAAACCCUAAUGACUAUAGUAUCACAAUGAAGACAACUUUGAGGUCUAGUAACACAUUAUAUCGUAUAUGUGCAAUGCCCAUGGAUAUAUGUGAUGAUGAAAUGGUGAGGGUUGUGUUGCAUAUGGCAUCUGACGUAGCUAAUUUUGGAUGCAUUCCUAUAUUCGUGACCACAUCACCUCGACUUCCGAGCGAAGGUAUUGAGCCACAUGUCGAUAUAGAAACUUCGUUUAGAGCAAAUAUGUCUGGCCCCGAUAAUGAUGAAGAGGUGUUGCCAAGGACAAUAUCGCUGCAGCAAUAUUACUCUCCAAUCCACGACAAUUAUGAUAACAUUGAUGAUAAUAGCGUUACGUUACAGGAUGUUGGAGCAACGGUAUUUCCAAUAACAACGUCGUUGGAGCAACGAUAUUCUCCGUAUCACAACAAUGAUUUUCGGGACAAUGAUGAUUUUCAUAAUGAGACAGAGGAGGAUAAUGUUUGUGCAGAACCUUCUAAUAAUACGAGGCGGGGCACUCGUUUCAAUAAUGAUGGUGAUGAUGGAGGAGUCGGUCAUUCGAAUGUUCCGUCGUUUCAGCAUGAGGAUGAGUGUGAAGACAAUACUCCUGUGAAUAACAGAGGCAAUAGACCUAUUCCUUCUAUGGUUCGAUCGAGAAGGAGAAUUGACCCCCUUACAAGUCUUGCUCCAACUUUACCUUCGAACAUGGUUGCUCCAAGCUUUGUUAGCAGUUGUGACUCAGAUGAUAUCAGCGUGGGUAAGCUAUUUGUUGAGAAGAAUGAGCUUAUAUUACAACUACGCAAGGUGGCCUUUAGAGAUAAGUUUGAUUUCAAGAUUGCACGGUCUACUACGACACGUUUCGAGGCUCACUGUUGUUCAGAAUCAUGUAAAUGGCAUAUUCGAGCAACUAGAAGUUCGAACGAGCAAAAUGUUCCUUGGGUGGUGAAGAGAAUUGAUAAUGUACACACUUGUCAUAAUGAGGUAUUGAUUGAUGGACGUCAUCAAGUAAGGAGCCGGGUUGUCGGUCAUAUUAUCGCAGAAAAAUAUAUUCAAGAUAAGAGGAUUUAUACUCCCAAUGACAUAAGAGCAGAUAUGCAACAGGAAUACGGUGUUCAGUUAACAUACCAGCAGGCAUAUAGGGCGAGAGAAGUUGGUCUUGAAAUAGUUCACGGCAACCCUGCAGAGUCAUACAACUUGCUCCCUAAAUACUCUCACGUACUAACUACAACGAAUGAGGGUACAGUCACUCACCUCGAGCAGGAUGGAGAUGGUAAUUUCUUGUACUAUUUUGUAGCACUCGGAUAUUCCAUCAAGGGGUUUAUGCAGUACAUUCGGCCUGUCAUUGCUGUAGAUGGUACUCAUCUAAAGAGAUUAUAUCGUGGAAGCAUGUUCGUGGCAACAUGUCUUGAUGGUAACAAUCAAUUGUAUCCGUUAGCCAUUGGGAUCAUGGAUUCAGAAAAUAAUGAUGCUUGGGAAUGGUUUAUGAUGAAGUUACACGGAGUGAUUGGUGAUAGACCUGAGUUGGUAAUUAUCUCUGAUCGAUGCACUGCCAUAAGGAGAGCCGUUCUUAAAGUAUUUCACAAUGCAACUCAUGGCGUUUGUUUUUACCACGUCAAAGGUAACAUUAAGUCACAAUUUAGAAUGUCCAAAGCUCUUUGGGAUGAAUUUGAGCAUGCCUUUAUUAAUGCAGCAAAAGCAUAUGGCCACGAGGAAUUUAAGAGACAACUUGAAGGGUUGUGGAUGAUCCACUCGGGUGCGGCUGAUUACUUAGAAAAUAAUGUCGGCACGUGUAAUUGGGCAAGGUCUCAGUUUCAAGGUAGGAGGUACAACAUUCUUACCACCAACAUCGCGGAGAGUGUUAAUGCUUUCAUGAGGGAACCUCGAAAAUUUCCUGUUACUCAUCUUGUUGAUCACUUCAGGAAAACAUUGCAGCAAUUGUUUUAUGAUAGAAAAAUUGUGGCUGAAUCAAUGACUACUCGGCUAACAACAUGGGCGGAUGAAAUAGUCACUGAGAGGAGAACUAUAGCUGAAAGAAUGAUAGUUCGGCCGGUGUCUCCGCAUCGCUUUCAAGUUAUAGGCGGUGGGCUUAAGGAAGGGUUGGUUGACUUGCAAAAGAGAACUUGCUCCUGCAGAGUGUUUCAGCUUGAUCAGCAUGUGUGUGCUCAUGCAAUUGCGGCGUGUCUAACACACCGGGUGGAUUUUAUUAACCUUUGCUCGGACUUUUACACUACAGAAUCGUUGGCGAUGGCUUAUGCACAACCAGUGGAGCCAGUUGGUGAUGUGGCUGAUUGGGAAGUUCCAGAUGAAAUUCAGGAGAUGCAGGUAUACCCACCAGUUGAGGCACCACUACCUGGCCGUCGUAAAGAGCUCAGAAUACCCUCGACUGGCGAGGACGUUGACCGGCGGACUGUAAGAUGCGGCCGGUGUCAUGAACUAGGCCAUAAUCGUAAGCGAUGUAAGAAUCCUAUUGCGUCGACUCGAAGUUAGUUGUAUUUUGUGUGUUAUUCGUUGGUUAAAACUAUUAUUGUUUUUGUGUUACAUUGGUUAAAACUGUUAUUGUUUUUUGUAUUUCGUUGGUUAAAACUGUUAUUGUUUUUUGUGUAUUGUACACUUAUAUUCAUAAAACUUUAUUUUAUUUUAAAGUUCAAAAUGUGAGGCAUUAAAAUUAUAUAAACUUAAGUGCGGAAAUUAAAAAAAAUGCAAAUUUCAACAUUGAAAUUACUACAUAGGUCUACAAUAUAAUAUCGUCAUUAAAUAUAUCAACCGCAAUCUUCUUUCUAAAGUACUCGACAUGACUAGCGUUAAACUCCAAUCUAAGCCCGAACAUUAAAUACAUCGUAACCAUCAAUACAAAAACACUGCAAUCGCUAGUUCCGGGCUCUUGUUGUGGUGCGCUCUUAACUGCGAUAACUUUCCACGGGUCUUCACUCCGCAACUCAGGUCGGAUAUUGUAGAAGCCAACAUAUUCCAACCAUCGAGGGAAUAUAACUUCAAGUGGCUUGAAUUUCAACUUGUACUUUUUGUCGUCGCGAAAUGUGAGUAAUGAGUCAUAAAUCCAGACUUUAUUUUUCCGAAAGUCAACUCGUGCUAGUACCCAAUGCGCGCCGUCCAAGUUAACAGGGAUGAGUAACUGCAUAUAAAAAUUAAAAAAACAUGUUCGUUAUAUAUGAAAUUGAAAUACAACAAAGAAAAAGCAACAACUCGAAUAUUUUCAUUAUAGAGCAUGUGAAAUGUAAUAAAAUACACACCAUAUCGACAUCCGUCAUUAAUUUUGACAUUGUGUGCUGUCGCCCACAAAGAUAACUAUUCAAGCGGUCGUCGAAUACCAUUGAAUCAACUGCACAAUUCCUGUUAUUCCAUAACUGAUUCAAGAACACCUAGUACAUAGAUAACCAAGAAAUGCAUAAAUUAAUAAAACUUAAAGGCAAUAAUUAAACAAAUUAAAUAGUAUUUAUAAGUUUUGUCGGCACGUUACCCAAAAAAAUGUGUCAGUAUGUGUGACACGUUGGAGUAAGGCAUUUGGAUACUGCCGUUGUUUCUCGCUAAUCAAGCGGAGAUACUCGUGAAUAUGCUGUAGAGAAACAAAAAUAUUACGAUUUAAAAAAAAAUUAUACACAAAUCCACAACAGUAUACACCACGAGGAAAAUAUAAAUACCUCAUCGCCUAGCCAUCCCAUCGAAGCUGUCCCCAAAAUUAUUUGAAAGAAUGACCGCAGGUGCUGGACUCUCCGGCGGACUCUGCUAUCACCAGUGAACCAUCGAUCAAACUCAGCAAACAAACUAGAGUCCUCCAAUCCUCUCAGUGGAUUUACAUCCACACUCGUACUCAUGUCAAUCGCAUGCUCCAUCAUUUGGGGUCGAGGUAACCUCCGGACGUUCUGUCCACGCCUGACCGGAGGAAUCAUGUAAGGACUGUUAUAAACAUACGACGGUAUGUACGCGCGGCCGAACUUACUAACGCCCGGAGGCACCUCUGUGAACACCUGCAUGCUCUCCCCACUAACAUCCCCGUAUAAACUAUAAAAUGACGUGGGCGUAGACAAAUUUUCAUUGCCCACGUCAGUAUACACUCCAUAGUCAUCCGGGGCCUGUACAUUCGCCAAAAAGAACAUAUUAAAUAAUUAUCAAAUUAAAAGUUAAACGAACAUAAUUAUUUAAUUUAAAUUAGCUUACCGCAUACGAGCGUGCAGUGGGAGAAUCCUUAUUUGGAUGUUUAGAAAAUGUGUCGAUGAAGCCAACAACGGUUUCUUUAAAAUCUUUUAAUUCUGACUUUAUUUCAUACACAUUACGAUCAAUCUUAUCCAGCCGUCGUCGUACGUAAUCAUUAAACUGCUUUGUCCUCGACUAUUACAAAAGAAAAAAAUAAAACUUUAGAAUAACAAUAAAAAAAUAAUAAUUUAUAAAGGAAAAAUAUCGUAUAUUAUUUAUAACCUCAGAAUCCCGUGCGUCAUCAGAGUUGUCUGUUUGCUGCUGGUGGUCAUCAACAGCCACCUCAUCCUCAAAAGUGUCAAGACGCUGCUCUGGUAUUGGGUUUAGUAUGUCGUCAUGAUCAUCAUGCUCGUCCGAUUGUCUUGUAACCGACGGCAUCGCGUUGAUUGAGGGUUGGUGCUGUAUAAAGUAUCAUUUAAAAUUACUAAAUGAAAAGUCAAAAAUUUCGAUAAAAAAAUUUUUAGUACUUACAGUAUACCGACCUUAUGAAUCCAAUCUGGAAUGCUUGGCAAGUAAUCCUUCACAGAGAGUCAAUAUUUUCUGCUACUCUCUUUUGAAUUUGGCUCAAGAGUUUGUAAAAUGUCCGUCUGCCAUAAAUUCAAUUGAAAAAUUUAAGUAAGUAUACCCAACUUAAAUUUAGUAAAGUUAAAAAAUAAGUAAUACAUAUUACUUACAAGACGAGAUUCGUCGUUGAAGAACGAAUAAACCUCCGCAAAGUUGAUUCUCGAAGACGUCAUGGGCUUCCAUUGCAGAAUGCGGGGAAUCUUACUCUUCGUUUUGACGACCCAUGUUGAUGGCAACCCUCCGAUUGCUUCGUAAAUCCAAGCCUACAACAAACCAAAGUGAAAAAUCAAAUAAAACAACUAUCAAAUAUUUAAUACUAUAAAACUUAUUAAUAAACAAAAAAAAGCACCUGCACCCCAGACGUAAAGCCGUAAAGAUUAUAUUUUUCAAUAUUAUGAUCUGAAUUUUUCAACCGAGUCUUCUUAAAUUUCUCGUCUUUCUCGAACAGUGCAUUGUCAAGACUCUCGUAAAUCAUUUCCCACGACAAUAGACCCCAUGGCGCUUUCGGAAGUACUGUAUAUCAUCAACUUGGUCAAGCCAAUCGAAAUUAAUUUGACAGUGAUUUUUUCUUGCAUUUAGUACUCUGUCCGCAAAAUAAAACAGCGCAAUCUUUAAUGCGUCCAUAUCGUCCAUUUCCUCGAAAUUCAACUCCUUAAAUACUGCAUCAAAUUGCUUCACAUUAAUCUUACGAUGCACACCACCAAAAUACGUAUUCCGUAGCCUCUGCUCCAUUUCAUCAUUUUUUUCAUUGGUAUCAACACCAAAUGAAAGUCCAGUAACCAAGCACCAUUCGAUAAUUGACAAGCGAAUCAAAUGCUUACCAAUUUGAAACCAUAACUGAUCCUCACAGCUAUCUUCUUCAUGGGCCACUUGCCGCAGUAAACGAUUGUGCAAAAUUACCCCACUAAAUGGAAAACUUCGGCACUCCAAGAAAUGCCCAAAUAUAUCCUUUUUGAACAUACUCAACUGCCGCUUUGUUAAUUUUUCCUCGAUGGCUUUUACGACCGAAGAUAACAUACACAUGCUCGAAAUUCGACCAGGAAAGUGAUCAGCAUAACGAAAAUACAUCUUGCCUACUUCAAUAUCCGGUGAUUCUGAUUUCGCCAUGUAUCUGUAAUAUUUAUAAAAUUAUUACAUUACAUUUACAAAAUUAUUACCAAACUCUAAUUUUUUGGUGCGACAGGCGCCUGUCGCUCCAAAAAACUGCCUGUCGCACCACAGCUGGUGCUCCAAAAUCGAAAACAAUACUCCCAAACACUACCAACUACCACAAACAUCAUCACCACCACUAUUAAUCUCAAGCUAUAACUAUUAUUAUUCUAAAAUCUCAUUUUAAAUUAAUGAAAAUAAGAAAAAUGACUAACCUAGGUUUUGUUGAAGGUUGUAGAUCGUAGAUCGGAUGCCGGUGAGAGAUGGAGCCGCCGCCGACGAGGGUUGAUGUCGCCGCCGAUGAUGGGAGUUGGAUCGGUUUGGGAGAGAUGAGUGAAAAAGGGAGUGUUGGGGAAGAGAUGAGGGAUGGGUAUUUUGGUCUCAAAUGUUGUUUUAUGGCUAAUGUUGAUAGAAAUAUUUUUGGGGGGUUAAGAUGAAAAAAAACAAAUUUGUUUUGGUUAUUACUGUAAAUUUCCCAUUCCCUUUCAUGCUCUUAAUAAUUGAAGAGCAUACUUUUCAUUUUCAAAUGUGGAGCCGCAUCUAAUGUCGCUAAUUUAAUUUGGGAUUAAAUUAGGGGACCAUUAUAUUGCAGUGUGUACUAAUUUUUGUGUUUAUCUAAACUCCUUAAGUUUAAGACAUAUUAUGGCAUAAAUAAGAAUAUAACAAUAACAAAAGAGAUGCCGGAGCAGAUCAGCAGGGUUUGAAUAUGACCUUUGGCGGUUGCUUUUUUUUUGUGAUUUUUUUCAUUUUUUCCUUCCUGUCAUUUUAUCAUUUAUUUGGCUCUGUUUCUAUUGCGGGUGUUACUGCAUGCUUACUGUUGCUUGACAAAGUUUGCUAGCUUUUUGUUUGCAGUGCUGCUAUUCACCCCGAGUCAAGCUCCGAAAAUUUAUUAAACAACGCCGUUUCGAUAGUAACAAUUUUUUUCUUUUCCCUUUGUCUGUCUCUUUCAUCUGCUGUUUCUCUAUCACUUUUCAUUUUUUAUUUCCUUACUUCCCAGCUGCCCCUAAAUUGUUAUUCUAGCAAUAUACUUUCUCAUCUUUGAAUUUUCAUCCUUGAGUACUCCCACAGCCGUAAUUUCAUCAUUAUAGACUUCACUUGGAAUGCUGUAUUUUUUCGAUUCUUAAGCUACUUCAAUUACAUCUCCCAGUAUAGGAUCCUCAUCUUCCUUUAUUUCUUCAUCUUAUGAGGUAACAAAUGGAUUUCACAACUCAUCUACUUUUAAGCAAUUACAUAUUAUACCUUGAAUGAUUCAACUGUUCCGACAGUUAAAGAUUUUAUGCUCAACCUGCAGUGCUACGAACAUUGUCCAUGAAAGAUGAGUUUCAGCAUAUAAAAUGAAAUAUAGAUGUUUAAUCUAAAAUAACCCUUCACUGCCAAGAAACCUAGGUCACAAAAUUCACAGAUAAUGAUAAAGAGCUAAAAAAUUUGAAAAACUCUACAGAUCACACAUCAAGCAAGAUAUCAUGUUUUUUUCCCUCAUUCGGUGGUGAUUGAUUCGCUUUUUGAUGAUGGAUAUGGUAUAAAAGUUUUGACCCAAUUUCAAGCAAACACAAAUAGAAACACAAAUAGAAACACAAACACAAUCAGGACUAGAGUUGUGGGCGAUUAUCUUAGGUGUACAAGUGAAACGGUGGUGGCUGUCGAUGGUGGUAGUGGGGUGGUUGGGUAUGCGUGAUGGCUAGAUUUUAGGACAAUAAUGGUUGGAGUUGACCUCGAUCAACGAAGGAAAGUGACAACAAUUUUGACAUCAAACGGUGCAUUUUUUAGCUUAGUAAAAUGGAGCCGUUUCGAAUUUGGGGUUUAAUCCGGGGUUUGACUCGGCGCAAGUAUCAUUUUCCUUUUGUUUAUUAAAUUUUUUAUGGUCACAAAGUAUUACUCGUUCUAUUUGAGAGUGAUGUGAAUCAAUUUUUCAAUUUUAUAUUUUGUGGUCAAUGUGAAUUUAAUUUCAUUUGUCUCCUGCAAUUAUGAAAAAAUUGCAGUCAUAAUAUGGAAAAGUACACCGGCAAAAACUUUGUAAAAGCUUCGGAGUGAUACGGGGAAUUUACUUACUACUGAGGACAAUUGGUGGCAAAGCUAUUCCAUUCAUUUUAUGUCCAUCCAUCUAUUUAGCUAUUGAAGAUUAGUGGUCCAUUUGUAAAUUUCAGAUUGUCUCUCUCUCUCUCUCCCACUUGAAAUAACAAUAUUUAAUAUAUCUCUUAAAUUAUUAUAAAUUUUAAUUUACUCUCGAUUUAAAAUGGAGCAUGUCGAUAAAAAAUUUUUCUUCUUAAUAAAAUUGACGUAAGUUGUGUGUUACAGUAGUUUGAAGUUUGAAAUAUUUUAAAGAUUAUUAUUCUAUAAGGGAGUAAUAUGAAAUGAUAUUUACUUUUCAUGUGUGAAAUGAAAAAGGACGAAGCAAGUGUCCCUGCUUUUAUUUUAUUUCAAGGAGGAGUCAUCUCACAUACUUUAGCUCUUAACAUUACAUUUUUUCUGGUUACAUUUUUUAUUUAUUUAUUUUUUUUUUUUUACACAUGCGUGUGGGUUGCUUUUCUGUAAGCUCCUUAAUAUAUAUUUAAGACAAAUCAUGGAAGAGAUGGGAUUAUAUCAAGAUGAUCAAAGCAUGUAAAAAAAGAAAAAAGAAAAAAAAAAAUUAAGAAGUAAGACACUGAAAAUGGAGAAGAGAUGGAAGCAAAAGAUAUUCCAAAACAAAGCAAUCUAUCCCCUUUCGAGGGCAGACUUAUCAGGUUUAAAAAAGUACAUGCUUUGGAUUGGUAGUUGCAAUCAAGGGAAAAUAAAUAGGAUCCAAUGAAAUUUAAAUCUCGGAGAAAAUAAAUAAUCAUGCAGAUUUUCAAGAUUUUAAUAAGGGAUACUAAUAUCUUAUUUUGAUUAAUAACAUUCUUUUAUUGUGUUAACUCAAAAAAAAUAUUAUAAUGCUUUACAAUAAAUACAAAUGUCCUAUUAAAUGAAUAUAUAAAAAAUUUAGAAAAUUUAGAAUAUUAUAUAAAAUAAUUUUAAUAUAAUGCGUGAGAUAUAUUUUAUUAAUUUAAAAUGUCAUUUUACCUAAAAAAUAUGAUAAAUUAAUAAUUACAUAUUUGAAGUUAUUUCAAAUAUUACUUAAUUGUUUUUACUUUAAACAUUACCGGCCUUUCUUUUAUUUUAUUGCAAAUUAAUGCUAACAAGAAAAAGCUAGAUCAUAUUCCACAAAAGCAAAAGUGACAAACACAACCAGCUGGAAUCUUUUAUAAAACUACAAAUUAAAAUGGAGUUUUUUUAAAAAAAUUGUUAUAAAUUGGUGGCCCCUACAAUCCUCAAUAAUUGCACCGAUAUUCACAAGUUGGUGGCCCCUACAAUUCUGUUCCGAUAAUAAUUGUUUUUAUUUUUCUGCAUUCCCUUUCAUGCUCUUAAUAAUUGAAGAGCAUACUUUUCAAAUGUGGAGCCACAGCUAAUGUCGCUAAUUUAAUUUGGGAUUAAAUUAGGGGACCAUUAUAUUACAGUGUGCACUAAUUUUUGUGUUUAUCUAAACUCCUUAAAUUUAAGAUAUAUUAUGGCAUAAAUAAGAAUAUAACAAUAACAAAAGAGUAAAAAAGUGUAGAGAAGAUCUUGCAGAAAUAUAAAUAAUAUCUAUUUUAAAAUAAUUUUUAAUAUUUUAUGAUCCAUUAGAUAUAUUUAUUAUAUUAAAGUAAAUUUUAUAAUAAAUAAAAACAUACUAUUAAAAUGAAUAUAUAGAAAAUUUAGAGUAUUUUAAAUAUUAUAUAAAAAAUUUUUAAUAAAAUAUGUGAGAUAUUCAUAUUUUAUUAAUUUAAAAUACCAUUUAACCUAAAGAUUUAUUUAUGAUAAAUUAAUAAUUAUAUUUUUGAAAUUACUUCAAAUAUUAAAAAAUUAAUAUUACUAAUCUGUUAGAUAGAUUAAAUUAUAUAUAUUAUUUUCUAUUUAUUAAAAAAUUAAAAUUAUUUUUAAUUACUAUUCAAAAAAUAUAAUGAAAAAACAUAAUGAUAAAAAAAUCUUAACAUCUUUAUUAAAAAAUUAAAAACUUAUAUGAUAAAUUCUCUAAAUAUUUACGGUAUAUGUGAACCACGGUGGAUAAGCUUUAUUUAAUAUUAUUGAUUUAAAUAAUAUGUCAAUUAAAAAUGUACAGAGAAGAAAUUUCGGUGGGUAUUUUAGUCUUUUAAGCAAUUAUCAUGAUCAGAUCAGCCUUUAGCCUUCAAACGUCGGUCAGAAAAGUUUUAAAAUUAAUGCUAAAUUGUUUUUCACUUUUAACGUUGGUGGCCUUGAAAUUGCUUGUAUUUUAUUAAAAAUUAAUGCUAACAAGAAAAAGCUAGGUCAUAUUCCACAAAAUCAAAAGUGACAAAACAACCAGCUGGUUUCUUUUACUAAACUACAAAUUAAAAUAAAUUUUUUCGAUAAAUUACAAAUUAAAGUGGAUUCUUUUGAAUACAAAUGGGACAGACGAUUAGGCUCUUUUUAUUAGAGGCAAGUAAAAACUAGUCAAGAAUCGAACAGUCUUUUUCCAAUUCUUGUUUUAUUAUUUUUCAAAACUAGUUUUUGGUAAUUACAACCGGGUCAUUAAUCAUUAUUCAGAGUUACUGUUAUCUUCGGGGGCAGUGGGUAAAAGAUAAUUACUAACUGUUUUUCCUUCAAAAGUUAGCGGCUCAUGUUUGCAAGUGUGAAUGUGCGAUGCUCUUUUCUUAAAGGCCAUUACAGUGGGGCCCGAAUCAGACGUGCCUAAAUCUUUUUAAAAUUUUUGCCGUAUAACGAACAGAGGUCAUUACUAAAAUUUCUCUUCCACAGCCUACAGCAGCUUCAGUUUAUCAAACUCCAUCAAUUUUCUUUCUUAACAAAAUUCCAAAGAUGUGUAGCAUUUUUCAGAUCACAUGCGAUGGUGCUCUUUUCAAUCGUUGCUUGGAUUGCUUUCUUGGAAAAGCAGCAUACAUACGUAACCUCCAAGAUAAUCUUGUAGCCUUGGAGACUGAACUGGGAAGACUAAUCGCAGCAAAGAACGAUGUGAUGAUGAGGGUUGUCAAUGCUGAACGGCAACAAAUGAGAAGGCUGGACGGAGUGCAAGUGUGGGUUUCGAGGGUGGAUUCUGUUAAAACUGGAGCCGACGAACUUAUCACAGACGGCUCUGAAGAAAUUGGCAAAUUAUGUGUUGGAGGCUACUGUUCCAAGAACUGCAGGUCAAGCUACAAAUCGAAAACAAGUGGCUAGAAAGCUACGACAUGUGAAGACUUUAAUCGCCGAGGGAGUUUUUGAGGCGGUGGCCACUGAGGUGGUGCCCGAGAGAGCUCCGGAACCUGUAGCAGAUAAAAGACCCACUGAGCCAACAAUAGUAGGCUUGCAAUCACAGCUUGAACAAGUUUGGAGAUGUCUUGUAGAAGAAUCAGUGGGAAUCAUUGGCCUAUAUGGUAUGGGCGGUGUUGGUAAAACCACACUAUUGACCCAUAUCAACAAUAAAUUUCUUGAGAGUCCCACAAACUUUGAUUGUGUGAUUUGGGUCGUAGUUUCAAAAGACCUGCGACUUGAAAAAAUUCAAGAAGAUAUUGGGAAGAAGAUAGGUCUGUCUGAUGAUUCAUGGAAGAAUAAAAGUUUUGAAGAGAAAGCUGUGGACAUCCUGCCGAGAUUAGGAGAGAAGAGAUUUGUAUUGUUGUUAGAUGAUUUAUGGGAGCGGGUUGAUUUAACAGAAGUGGGCGUUCCACUUCCCAGCGCACAAAAUACUACCUCAAAAGUCGUAUUCACAACCCGUUCCAUUGGUGUUUGUGGCAGCAUGAGAGCUAGGCCGGUUAAAGUGGCAUGCCUAUCAGAAAAGCAAGCUUGGGAACUGUUCCGCGAAAAUGUUGGGGAAGAAACUCUUGAGAGUGAUCAUGAGAUCGUUGAGCUAGCCCAAACUGUGGCCAAAGAGUGUGAUGGUUUGCCACUCGCACUUAUUACUAUUGGUCGAGCUAUGGCCUACAGAAAGACAGCCGAGGAGUGGAGUCAUGCAAUUGAUGUGCUAAGAACAUCAGCUUCUGAGUUUGCAGGUUUGGGAGAGAAGGUGUAUCGUCUUUUAAAGUUUAGCUAUGAUAGUUUGCAGAAUGAUACGGUUAGAUCUUGUUUCUUGUACUGUUGUUUAUAUCCUGAAGAUUAUGGCAUUCUUAAAUGGGACUUGAUUGAUUGUUGGUUUGGCGAGGGAUUUUUUGGGGAAUCUGACAGGUCUGGUGCAGAAAACCAAGGAUAUGACAUUUUGGACACUCUUGUUCGUGCAUGUUUAUUAGAAGCGGUGGAAGAUGGUGAAGUAAAAAUGCAUGACGUUAUUCGUGAUAUGGCUAUAUGGAUAACUUGUGAAAUUGAGAAGGAGAAGAGAAACUUUUUGGUUCGUGCAGGUGCUGGAUUAAAAGAGGCACCGGAUGUUAAAGGAUGGGAAAAUGUGAGAAGAUUGUCAUUGAUGCAAAACCAAAUUGAAACUGUGUCAGAGGUUCCCACAUGCCCUCAUCUCCUCACUUUAUUUCUUGACUUUAAUCAGGAGUUGGAGAUGAUCGCGGAUGGCUUCUUCCAACUUAUGCCUUCUCUCAAAGUUUUGAAGAUGUCAAACUGUGGACAGAGGAGGUUGAAAUUACCUGUUGGGAUGUCAGUGUUGGGUUCAUCACUAGAACUUCUCGAUAUUUCAUGUACUGGCAUAACAGAGUUACCAGAGGAGUUAAAGAAGUUGGUAAAUCUGAAAUGUUUGAAUUUGAGGUGGACAGGUGCGUUAAUUAGAAUUCCACGGCAACUAAUAUCAAAAUUUUCAAGGUUACGUGUGUUGAGAAUGUUCGCUAUUGGCUAUGAUCGUUUUCAUGAAGCACCAGAAGACAGCGUUUUAUUUGGUGGGGGUGAAGUUUUGAUACAGGAAUUGCUCGGUUUGAAAUAUUUAGAGGUAUUGGAGUUGAGCUUGGGAAGUUAUCAUGCUCUCCAAAUUCUUUUGAGCUCAAAUAAGUUAAAAAGUUGUAUUCGAUCUCUUUGCCUCGAGUUCGCCGGAGAUACAGCGUCAAUUAUUGAUGCUACGGCUUUCGCAGAUCUAAACUACCUCAAUGAAUUAAAUAUUUAUAGUGGUUUUGAGUUGGAAGAGUUGAAGAUUGAUUAUACAGAGAUAGUACGAAAAAGGCGGGAACCUUUUGUUUUCCGCAACCUUCACCGUGUUACUAUACAUAGCUGCCAGAAGUUGAAAGAUUUGACAUUCCUCGUUUUUGCUCCAAACCUCAAGUCUGUUCAGCUACUCGAUUGCUAUGCUAUGGAAGAAAUAAUCAGCGUCGGAAAAUUUGCUGAGACUCCUGAGAUGAUGGGACAUAUAAGCCCUUUUGAAAAUCUCCAAAUGCUUGAUUUAGAAGAUUUGCCACAUUUGAAGAGCAUCUUCUGGAAGCCAUUGCCUUUCACUCAUCUGAAAGAAAUGGCGGUAAGUGGGUGUGAUCAGCUUGAAAAGCUUCCACUCGAUUCCAACAGUGCAAAGGAGCGUAAAUUUGUAAUUCGUGGAGAAGAAGACUGGUGGAACCGACUUCAAUGGGAGGAUGAAGCCACUCAAAUUGCUUUUCGUUCCUGUUUCCAACCUUAUUCCUGAGCGGUGGUCGCAAAUUUUGAUUCUCUGUUUUUAUUUCUGGUUAGUUUCUCUCUCUCUCUUUCUCUCUCGCUCUCUCUCUUUUUGUCUUCUGCAAAUCACAAUUAAAUGUUGAAUUAAUGGAAUUAAUGCUUCAUAAAUUUGCCGGCACAGCCACUACUUUUUUUUGGGGGGGGGGGGGGGGGGGGUCGAAUUGGUGCUCUGGUUUUUGACUUUUUGUUAGCGAUUUAAUUUCCUGUCAAAAGACGAGCGAGAAGAACAUAUAUAUGACGUAAACCAAUUGAUACUUUAUUUAUGUGCAUUGUAUGUAAUAAAUAUUAAGUAUACUUUAUUUUUGCCCUGUUCUCUGUUUUUAUUUCAGUCUCUCUCUCUCUCUCUCUGCUGUCUCCUGUCUCCUGCAAAUCACAAUUAAAUGUUGAAUUAUAUGGAAUUAAUCCUUCAUAAAUCUGCCUGCGCUGGCUUUUUUUUUUUUUUUGUGGGGGUCGAAUUGAUGCUCUGGUUUUCGACUACUUUUUGUUGUCAAAAUUUUCUCUGUUUUUUCAAAUUGAUGCUUUAUUGAUAUCUUCUUCGUGAAAAGUGAUUUAAUUUCCUGCCAAAAGACGAACGAGAAGAACAUUAGAGUCAAACUAAUGCUCACAUAAAUUUCCCGUAAGAAUAUAUAAUUAUUAAGAUAGAUCUGCUCUUUCAUUAAAUAUAUAUUCCUUUUUCACAUAUUAAUUGACCUUUAUUUAAUUUGUUUAAAAAGUUUAAUUAAUUGUUGUUUGCAGAGAAUCAUCUACGCCGCUCGCCGAUAAAAGUUGAGGUGUUCGAGCAGGUGCUUGCCUUUUUUUUUUUCUUUUUCUUUUUUCCCUGUUUUAAUAUUUCUUUAAAUUUUGAAAUUGUUUAAUUAUUCUUCUGGUUUGGAAUGUUGAUAAUAGUGUUGUGAAAUUAAUUUUUACAGGAUAAAAGGUUGUGGGACAUUUAUUAUCCAUGUCCUAUGUAUCUCAAGCUUAAAGGUCUCAGUGGUCCUCUAUUGGAAAAAGCAAGUUUAAUAUAUAUUAAUUGGAUAUCGUCGCCUGUAUAUAUAUGUAUAUACAUACAUACACAGCCACUCAUCGAUUAUAGACUUAAUUAUUUAAUUGAUUAUGUAAUCUCUCGUAGUUUCUUUGUGCAUUUUUAGUUAAUUUAAUGAAUAAACUCAAAUACAUUGUAAAUAAAACCAAAUUAAAUGUUCCCUAAAAUAUACGUAUAUGCCUCUCGAUGGCACACAAGGUUAAAUGUCAGCCCAUCGCGGGUAAUAUUAUUUCUAGCCGCCUUCAUUACGAGUUAAGAGUCAAUUAUUACUAAACUAAACUAGUCAAAACUCGUAAGUGCUAGAAAGUAGAAACGUUUGAUUCUAUAUAAAUGACUUCAAUUCAAUAUGUACCAAAGAGUAUCGAUAAUUGAACCCCAAAAAACUUUAAAAAAGAUUGACAAAAUUAAUUAUAUUAUUGUGUGUUUUUAGAAGAAAAAAUAAAAUAAUUAAUUAAUGUUAUAACACUAUGUUAGGUGAAAAGUCAGCUGUCUGGAAGAGAACAAACUUACUAAGAUAAGAGCCUUCUUCAGUAAUCAACCGAACGAAAAAGUCAUCUCUUUUCUUAUUUAUUUAGUAAAAAUAAGUAAAGGCCGAAAAUUUCCUAAAAUAUCUAAAUCCCUCUCUUUAAAAGAACACCAUAUGCUGCAUAACAUGCAAAUUAAUUUCCCAUAUGUGAUGCAAUUUUCUCCUCAACAUAUGCGCAAUUCUUUCCAUUCCGGCAUUUACACUCAAAUUUUCCUUCCUUUCUCUUUGUGGUUGAAUCUUACACCACAACUCAUGUGAUGCAAUCUCCUCUCGCUGCCUAAAUUGCACUCUCAGCAAAGCAGCAUAUGUAAGCAAGCUUGAAGAUAAUCUUGCUGCUCUGCGGAAGAACGGCAAAAGUUAAUCGAAGCAAGGACUGAUGUAUCAGAAAAAUUUUGGUGGAGAAUUCAGCACAAACAUAUUUCGGAUGAUCAGAAUCAAUAAAACAUGGUGGUUGCGCCAUAUAAACAUCUUCGGAAAGCUGGCCUUGAAGAAAGGCGUUUAUUGAUAUCCAAUUGACGAAGAGGCCAGCCAUGACUAACAUCAAUACUAAGAACAAGCCGUACUGUGGUGGGCUUAACAACUGGACUGAAAGUGUCAUAAUAGUCCACACCAGGCCGUUGAUUGAACCCUUUGGCAAUAAGACGAGCUUUGAACCUGUCAACAGAACCGUUGGAAUGUCUUUUAAUACAAAAAUCCAUUUGCAGCCAACAAUAUUGGAAAGGAUGGGAGGUGGAACAAGCUUCCAUGUCCCGUUAAGAACAAGAGCAUCAUACUCUUCUGACAUAGAUUGACGCCAGUGAGGAUUUUUGAUAGCUUGCGUCACAGUUGUAGGUUCACAAUCAGAAGGAGGGCUAAAAUGAGCACAGAGGUUAAGUUUUUGUAACGGCUUGUGAAUGUUAUUUUUAGCUCCGGUAGUCAUAUCAUGAUGAUUUGUGGGGCAACGAUCUAGUGGAGUUUGGGAAGAUGAUUGAACAGGAAGUGAAGAAGUGCUUUGUGUAGAGGUAGAAAUAGGUUGGGAGGAUUGCUGCGGAGAUGUUACCGGUAGAGAAGAAGGAGCAGUACACGGUGGCAACUCCAAAGGGCCCACAAUAGAUGGAGUAGGUGCCGACGAUGGAGUACUAGGAAAUGAAACAGUAAGAAUUGGUGGAACACUUGCGUAAUUAGGAGUUGUAGAUGAGCUUGUAAUGAUUUGUAUGGAAAAACAAACUCUACAAAUUUAACGUGACGUGAAAUAAAAAUUUGAAAGGUGGAUGGGUCAAAACAUAAAUAAGCACUUUGAGAUAAAGGAAUAUCCUAGAAAAACACAAGGCUUAGAGGGUGGUUCGAGUUUAUGUGAUGAAACACAAACAUUCAAAAUUUUUUAAGUUUAUAUUAAUUAGGAGUGGUACCAAAAAUUAAUUGGCUAUCGGGUUGUUGGAUGUGUUUUGGAUAUUUACAGCUAAGUUUGAGUAUCUCAACUUAAAAUUUGUAGCUUUCACUUGAAAAAAUUCAGUUAAAAUUUGCAAUGCAGACUGAUUGAUUUAUCAGUUUAACGUGUGCCAGGAAUGAAGAACUGGAAUAUCACCGUCAAGCAAGCACCCUGUGGAGCAAUACCAAACAAUGUACAAUCCGGCUUUGCUAGGUGACACUGGAGGCUUUUUGAAAAGUGCUUCACGCUCACUUGCACAGAUUGAGCAUCCCCUCUGGAUAUUGCCCUCUCUGAUCGAGUCUGAGCACUCAAAUUUUGGUCCUCAGAGGGAGCUACAGUUUUCUCUCCACUAACCAACAAUUUUCUAAACUCAGCACCUAGUGUGAUCUUGAGCCAUAUCUAAAGCAGUUUGAAGUUCAAGUACUUGAGCCCUUGACAAUGGUUUUAAAAUUGGAACAUCUUGGAUUACUGCAGACUUGUACCCCUUGGUUUCAAAGUAAGGAAAGGUAUUGCUUGAGUACAAUUUGGAGGCAGCUUCUUCACCAAUUUUAUUUGGAGGCGAUUGGCAGCGGAUCCAGCUGCACGAAGACUAAACAAGUCAGAUGCAGUUUAUUUGUCCAAGCACAAAUUGCAUUUUGUCCUCAACUUUAAUAUUUAUUGAUGAGAAUCAAUACAGGUCCCUCAUUUGUUAUAGAAAGCUUUAUUGUAGUCUCACCAGUUAAUUCACAGGUCUAUAAUCAUCUUGCAAAGUUAAGGGCAUUUCUUUCGAUCUAAAGUCUUUGCAUCACCACCUCAUCACACGCCAAGCCAAUAUUCCAUUUACCUCUGCAACAAAAAGUUUUAAGUAAACAAUCCUAAUGCACGCAGCCAAAUAAAAUGCAGUAAGAAUAUUCAACUUAAAAAUCUGAAAGCCAACUUGGUGAAUUGCCUCCUUAGGUGAAGUUCCAUGCUUUACUAUAGUUGACAGAACUCAGCAAAAGCUUCCAUACAACAGAUUUUGAAAAUGAUGAUGCCAAUAGAUACUCAUUCAAUCCAUUGAAAAUCCAAAGGUUCAUUGUUAAUAGAAGUUUACAGAGUUUUGGUCAUCAAAUAGCUCAGACCUAAUCCCAAACAAAAAACGAGUGAAAAUUAGAUCACGAGCAGCUAAUUGUAAAUUCUAACUUAACUCUUCAUCUCCUUUGUAAACAAGAAACAAAAUGGAGACACGCAAAAUGAAUAUGGAGAAAAUUUGAACUCAAAUGAAAUGAGGGCACGAAAGCAAACAAAUGGCAUGCACAAAAAAACCAAGCCUCAAUCAAAAACUAAUUAACCAUUAAGAAAAAAAUUGGUCAGAGAAUGAACUCCAAAUUCAGGAGUCAAGCAAGAAGCUUUCAUCAUUUCAGAAGCUCCUGUACAAAAAAACCAAGCCUCAAUCAAAAGCUUUCAUUAAUAAGUUAUGCUCUUUGGAAGCAAACCUAAAUUCCAAGAGAAACAGAAGCCAAAAAAUUUGCAAUUAUACGCAAAGGAAGUGAAGCACAGGAUUCUAUCACACAUAGGAAUUGUAUAACAAGAGAUCGAUAUAUCGAAUUAGAAAACUCAAUUCGAAUUUGUGUGAAAAAUCAAAAUUAGAAGAUUUCACAUUUCGAGAGGAACAAGCAACAGAUGACGUUCAAAAUUUCAGCCAUAACAUGCUAAAAAUGCUACACUUAACGGUUCAUUUUCAUGGAUUUUCUCGGGAAACAAACAGAAAAUUACGGUUCAGAGAGUUGACUGACCUUUUGGCUUUUGAAAUUGAGAAGAUCGCGCGCCAAAUUGGAAGAGGGAAAGUGAAAGUGCGAGUUUUAAUAUGGGUAGAUAAGGAAAUUUUAUUAGGUUGCGAGGGUAAAAAAGGAAAGAGAUAUCAUUAUUUUAUCAUCGAUAAUUAUUAAAUUUUUUUCCAAAAAAAAGAACAAGCAAGGAUAUUUUAUUGUCAUUACUAAGUUAAAAAAAAUUGUUUCAAAAUUACUUGAGUCAUAUCCAAUGGACCAACAAAGUAAUCGUUUUUAUUUUUAUUGAUUUUUGCAGGAAAUUAAUAACUUAAAAAUACUGAAAGCUAUUGUAAAAAUUUUUAUUAUCAACCUCAUAGUUUUUUUUUUUUGGGGGAAGAGAAUUCAAACAUUUUUUUUUUAAAUUUCCAAGAAUUCUUGACACCCGUCUUAAUUAAAAGCUAUAUUUUUAUUCAAGAGUCAUGCUAUUCAUUCACUCACAGACCAAAGGCUUUCCGCAGCAAUAUUAUUAUUUAAAUUACAACAAAGGGGAAAUCAAAUACGUCAUACAGAAGCUUAAAGCUGAAUCAACAAAAUCUAGAGCUCUCAACUACAAAAAUUACACUUGAUGAUCCUCUACAAGAUGAAGCUUGUUCAAUAUCUUAUCCAAAGCUUGUAAAGUAACCUUGUAACGAUCUUGAGAUUGCCUGCCUUCCUCGACGACCUGCACGAUGCGUUUGUACAAAUCAUCAUACCUGUGCACCGGAUUUUUAAUAUCAACGCCACUGCAGCUGUGAUUAAGAAAAUAAGAGCGUUUAACAUCUUUUCUCCAUCGAGAAAGAAUGUACUGAGAUGGGAUCUCCUGCACGCCACUCUGGUUUAGAACACAAAGAAUGUGUCUGCAUAAAUAUCCUCUGAAAUUGAACAACCCACAAACGCAAAGCACCUCCAAGUUGGAGGCAUUGUACAAAACAUCGAAAGCCCUUGAGUCUUUCUCAUUGCUACCAACCUCGAAUUCUUCCUUCACUAUGUAUGUUAUAGGUCCAUCAGCACUAACAUGUUUUGUGCUAUAGCAAGAGUACAUAGCCUCCACCUCCGUCUGAAACUUCCUUAACAUUUCAUUUGUGUACAGUUUUGAGAGUUGAAAUUCAUAGUAACAUCUUGGUUUCUGGAUACAACUUGAAUUUCUUGAAUCCAUAUCUGCCAAGGCUUCCAGUUGAUAAUUCGCCCGCAGUGCUUGAUCAUACUUGUCUAAGAAUUCUUUCAAAGGAGUAUUCUUAUCAAGAUAUCCUUCAAAGUAUGAAGUAGAAACCUCAUUCUGCGGGAACGAAAACACUCCUGAUAAAAAAGCUUCCUUCAAAUAAAUAGGAGCCCACCUUUUACGAUCUUCAUAUAAAGUUUGAAUCCAUCCGUGAUCCUUUAUUCCAUGACGUUGAAUCAUGUCUUUCCAAGCUGCUUCAAAUUUCUCAGGCCUGAGAGAGUGAUAAAUUGCUCUAUGUAAUGCAGCUUUAAUAGCUUCAUAUUCAAACAAUCCUUGGAGUUUCACUGGAAUUUUUUGCAUGAUGCAUGACAAUGAAAAGCAACGAUAAGCUCUUGGGAAAACAUCGCCAACAGCAAUUUGCAAGAUUCUACAUUGGUCAGUGAUGAUUGUUUGUGGAGAGCGCCCUAACAUACAUGUAAGCCACGCCCUAAACAACCAUGUAUAUGAUUCUAUGGUCUCACUGGCAAGUAAACCACAACCCAACAACACUGAUUGUCCAUAAUGAUUCACCCCAAUGAAUGAAACCAGUGGUACAUCAUAUCUUUCAAUCAAGCACGUAGUAUCAAUUAAGACUACAUCACCAAAGUACCUAUAUGCAACUCUUGACCUGGUAUCAGUCCAGAACAGGUUUCUCAAGCAUCCCUUUUCAUUUAGAUCCACUACAUUAAAAAAGUUUGGAUCUGUCAACUGCAAACGACAAAAGAAACUCUGGACAGCUUGUGCAUCACCUGGUUUAAGCUUCAAUUGAUUUGAGCUAUUAACAUUAUUUCCAAAUACUCCAUUAACAUCUACAUUACCAUUUCCCUAGGCAUCAAUGAUAAGAGUUCGAAACAGUUUAAUUUUUUGAACUUCUUCAGCACUAUCUAAAUGCAAUGUUCUUUUGGUUCCAAUACCUAUGUGCUUAUGUGACUUGCAAAACUUUCCACUUCUUGGGCUUAACAAGUGGUUAUGCUCAAGCUCGACUUCAAUGAUUCUCCACCUUUUGGUUUCCAUCAACCUAAACUUUAUCAUUGCUGGACAGCCAGCUCUUGUUUCUGGUCUUGGACGGUUUGCCUCACUUUUCUUCUUGAAGCUUGCACUACUACAGCUCAGCUUUCCUCUAUACUUUUCUCUACUCUUUCAGUACCAGGUAUUGCUAACUCUAACACCAAAACCCUGUUCCUUGGCAUAGCAAUUGUAAAAGUAAUAUACAUCAUCGUACAUCUCAAACUCCAUUCCAACAGCAGGAGGCAAGGGAUUUUGGAUUAUCCCAGUUUGUCCAACAUAUUCAGUCAUCGCACAAUCUCCUACGACCUCAAAAUCAUCAGUGUCAUCAUCACCUAUUGGUUCGGUGUUGAGAGAAACUUCAUCCAUCUACAAUGGAUGUUCAAUGAAGUGAGCUUUAAGGAGAAAAAGCAAAAUCAGUUCAAGGAAUCAUAGUAUAAUCAUACAGUUACUUUCACAAAGCUUCAUAUUUCAUCACUGCUUUACCAACAUGCAACUGCCAGAGAACAAACAGACAUGUCAUAGACGCUUGAAUUAAGUAUUGGUACAAAUGAGCACACAUCAUGUGGGACAAAAUUUCAGUCACUAAACCCAAUACCACUUUUUACAUCAUACCAAGGAACAGAUUAAACCCGACACCUUCUUUUAAACCAUACCAAGGAACAGAUUAAAUCAUCAAUGAAAAAUUAAUCACAUAAUAACUUAACCAGACAAAUGAAGAGCCUGAAACAGCACAAAACUUGAAUCUGAUUAUGAUAAUUGUUGAGUCCUUGUAUCUACAGCUUUCCUUCAAUGAUAAGACAAUGAACAUAAACGAGACACAAAAAAUUUAUUUUAAACUGACAGCCCAUGAUAUAAAUCAAACAAAAUCAACUCCUUUUUUUACACAUCACAUCUCAUAUUCAUUUACAUUGAAACACAAAAAGGAAGCGGGAGUGGGAAAAAAACAACAGCAGAGGAACUUAUUUCCAUAAGGUUUACGAAAUAAGGAAUCUAUUAAAACCCAAAACUUGAGGUCACCACAAAGAAUUUGGUUCUCAUUAUUUUUUUCUUCAUUUUUCACCAAUUGAUGAACUUAAAAUACAAUCAUAAAUGAUAAAACCCCAUCUCAAUCUUUUUGAACUAGAGCUAAAGCAAAGCAUUUUAAGAUGUUUCAUCAUUUUUUUUUUAAAAAAAACCUCAAUAGUACAAUGUUUUUACUCUAAUAAUCUCUUAAUUAAGGAAGAUUAAGCUUCAGUUGUAAGCUAAAACAAAUUUCUUAAAUCAAGCCCCAAUGCUUUAUGCUAUUCAACAAGGGCUCAUAAAUGAUAAAACUACUUCUACAAAGAUACCCAUUUUCUAAAUUAAUUUCAAAAACUGAAAUCAAACUCCUGAAACGUAACGAGCAUUAAUAUAAUCAAACCCGAACAAGAAUUGAAAAAUGACACAUAAACUCGUUUACACAUUUCGACAGACACUUUGCAAUCAAUGAGCAAAAAAUUAAUGGAGAAGAUAAAAUUCAAACGAAACAUGCCUUACAUUGAUCAAUUAGAAGGGCAAAAGAAAUUUUAGUACGAUAUGGGAUCAGGGUCUUGCCACGGUGAUGUUAUUUGUGAUGUUCGAGCGACUCAGCGGCCUUCGAGGUUGAAAAUUUGAUUGACCAAAAGCUUCCCGUUUGUUGAUUCUCUAAUAGCAGAAACGAGACUGGCAGUAAACACAACAACUUCGCUGAUUUUAAAUUCCGUUGUUUGAGAUGGAAAACUUUUUGAAAAAAUUAAUGUGUUCGAUGAAUAUCAAAAUCUAAAAAACUUUUUGUUUUUCAUUUUUUUGGAAAAAACCAUUGAGAUCCUUACUAUUUUUUCUUAUAUCAUCUUGCUUAAUAAUUUGCAAAGUCUAUCGCAUAGCACCCAUGCAUGAUGUAUGCUGCGUAACUGCGUUGUAAUUUACAAAAUUGUAAAUUUGUUAAAAGAAAAUAAUAAUAACAAGUUAAAACUUUAAAAUUUUUAUCAUUCGAAGAAAUUUUAAUUUAGUUAAGUAGGUGACAUGAUAAUAAAUAGAUACGUAUAAUGUCCGAGAUUUUUUAUAAGAUUAAUAAAUAUGAUAAAUUUGGAUUAGUUCAAUUUUGACGUAAUUCAGAAUAAACACAUCUUCCUAAUCUAAAAAUAAUUACAAACAAUUUAAUUUGUGUUGUUUCUCUAAAAGUUUGAGACACAAAUGUUAUUGCAAAUUGAAACGCCAUGCACUAGUAGAAGGUAAGAGAAACCAAGGUUGAAGUUACUGUUCAUUUAUUUUUAUUUAUGAUUUUUUGUAAAAUGUAAGAAAUAUGUAGAAAUGUUGCCAGCAAUGAUUUUGGAACUUUGCAUAAAAUUUUUAUCAUUAUUGUUUUUGGUAUUAAGAAAUCCGAGGCGGUGAUUAGUCGUAUGUUGCAACAAUUAAGAAAUUUCUUAUUGGAGAUAAUUUGGUAGGUUGCAACAAUUAGAGAAUAAUUUUCCUGUCAGUUAAUCAAUCAAUAAUAAAUUUCAAAUUGCAGAAAAUAAAAUAAUACUGUCGCACUUAGAAUCAUCUUUUCUAUUUCUUUCAAUUGUGACAAUCAUUUGUAACAAAUAAAUCAAUUUGAUGCACAUCAUUUCCCCAAUUCAAAGUUCAAGUCACUGCUCAAUUGCAGGGUAGUUAGUAGACAUGCAUGCAUGUUUAAUUAAGUACUGCAUUGUAAUAUAGAAAAUCAUAACAUCUCACCAAGCCCGGAAGCAUAGCUCUUUAUCUUGUAAAUGUUGAAAUCUUAUGCAAACUAUGGGAAACAUGAUCUCACUCUCAGUGCCACUUGAUUCCAUUUUCUUUGUUGGGAAUGCUACGAAGUCUAAGCUUGAAGAUAAUCUCGAUGCCUUGCGGACUGCAAUGGAAAAAUAAGCGGAAACGAGAAAUGAUGUGAUAAAUUGUGAGCCAACAAUAGUGGGCAUGGUGUCGACUUUUGAGAAAGCCUGGAGAUGCCUUGAAGAAGAAUCAGUUGGAAUUAUUGGCCUGUAUGUUAAUGGGGGAGUUGGAAAAUAUUUACUCAAAUCAACAACAAGUUCCUUGAUGGUCCAAAUAAUUUUGAUGUUGCGAUCUGGGUAGUGGUCUGCCAAGAUUUACAACCCCAGAAGUUUCGGGAAAAGAUUGGGAAAAAGAAAGGCUUGUUCGAUGAGUCAUGGAAGAACUGAAGUUUUGAAGAGAAAGCACUCGACAUAUUCAAGAAUUUAAGCAAGACGAAGUUUGUAUUACUGCUGGAUGAUAUAUGGGAGCAGGUUGAUUUAAUUAAAAUUGGUGUCCCUCUUCCAAGCACAAAAAUUACAUUCAAGAUAGUCUUCACAACUCGUUUUAUUGACAUUUGUGGCCUCAUGGAAGCUCACAACAAGAUUAAAGUGGAGUGUUUAAAUGACGAAGAAGCAUGGGAAUUAUUCUGCAAGAAGGUUGGAGAAGAUGUGGCGACUCUGUCCAAGUGCUAAGGAGAUCAGCCUCAGAAUUUCUAGGUAUGUAAAAAUGAGUAUAUAUAUCCACUUUUGAAAUUCAGUUAUGAUAAUUUACCUAGCGAUAAAAUUAGAUCGAGUCUGUUAUACUGUAGUUUGUUUCUGGAAGACUUUCCAAUUAGCAAAACGGAAUUGAUACAUUGUUGGAUAAGCGAGGGCCUUUUGGAUGAAACUAAUAGUUCUGAGAUAUGAAAUCAAGGAUACUACAUUAUUGGUGUUCUUGUUCCUUUAUGUUUAUUGGAAGAAGAGGCUCCACUAUAUGUAAAAGUGCAUGAUGUGAUACGCGAUAUGCUUCUGUGGAUCGCAUGUGAAGUUUUUUUUUUCUUUUUGAUAGGGAUAGCAUGUGAAGUUGAGAAGGAGAAAGAGAAUUUUUUGGUUCGUGCAGGUGCAAGGAUUAACUGAAGUGCCAGACAUUUGGAAAUGGGAAGGGUUGAGAAGGGUGUCUUUCAUGAGCAACAAAACUGAGAAGUUAUCAGAAAUUCCUUCAGAUCCCCAUCUACCGACUUUGUUGCUUCAACGUAAUUAUUUAGAGAUGAUCAAUAAUGACUUCUUCCAAUCUAUGAAUUCCCUUAGAGUUUUGAACUUAUCAUGUAAUCAUUCUCUAAUUGAUAAUUUCAAAGUUAGUUUCCCUACAACAUCUUAAUUUAUCAAUGACUAACAUACGAGAGUUGCCGAAUGAGUUAAAGUUUGUAGUGAAUCUAAAGUUUUUGAAUGUGGAGUAUGCACGGUUUCUUCAUUCAAUUCCAGGGCAAGUGAUAUCCAGUUUUACGAUGUUACACGGUUUGAAGAUGUUUGGUUGUGGGAGGUCAUCUUCUGAUCAUGAGCCACACUAGAAGAUAGAGUUUUAUUUGAAGGCUGUAAACUUUUGAUUGUGGAGUUGUUUGGUUUGAGAGACAUCUAGAUGUGUUGACCAUCAUCCUAACAAGUUCCCUUGCUCUGAAAAGAUUUUUGAGCUACAACAAACUUCAAAGUCGUACUCAAUCUCUCUAUCUUAAAUGCUUUGAUUCAAAUCUUCUUGUUUUUUCCAUAAAACAUUGCCAUGAUAUGGAGGAAAUACUCAGUGUCGGAAAAUUAGGUGAAGAGAUGAUGUCAAAUCUGGAACCUCUUACAAAACUCCAAGUUCGUUGCUUGAAGAAGCUACCAAAUUUGAAGAGCGUCUACUGGAAGGCCUUGCCCUUGCCCAAUGUAUGCAUAAUUUUUGUAUCUAAAUGCCCAGAACUUAAGAAGCUGCCGCUGGAUUUUGAAAGGGCGGGCGAAGGUAAAAUUCUUAUCAAGUGAAAGGAAAAUCGAUGGAAACGACUUCAAUGGGAGGAUCAAGCAACUCAGAAUGCAUUGCUUCUGUUUUUCAAAUCUAGUGAUUGAAGGGGGCAACAUCAACAUCAUCAGCCUGGAUGGGGAGAUUCUGGAGCAGAUCAGUAGGGUUUGAAUCUACAUCAUUAACAUCAUCAGGGUCUGUAUUUCUAUUGCUGGUCUUAAUGCUUGCUUACUGUUGCUUGACAAAGUGAGCCAGUUUUUUGUUUAUUAAAUUUUGUCUUGUAGAGACAGUCACAAAGUAUGGGUUGUUCUAUGUGAGAGUGAUGUGAAUCAAUUUUUCAAUUAUAUAUUCUGUGGUCAUUGUGAAUUUUGUUUAGAGAUGCAAACUUAGAAUAUGGAAAAGUUCAUCGGCAAACAUUUUGUAAAAGCUUCCAACUGAAGUUUUCAUAAUUAAAUAAUAAAAAAAUAGGAAGUGACGAAAAAAUUAUCCUAGGUGUUACGAAAAAACAUGAGCUCCGAAAAUAUUGGAAGUGACGAAAACUUAGGGCUAGGGUUUGAGAACUCUAACCCGCCACCACUGCAAGAGGACAGGACGACUAAGAAGGCCCGGUUUCGGGCUGAGGGAAUUGAUGCUGAUAAUCCUCAUAAACCCUCUUGGAGAGAUAAGGCUAUGGAGGCAGUCACGGUGAUGGCAGGUCAGACAGGAAGGAUUGGAGAGUUGGGUUACGGCAGUGUAUGCUAGCCCUAUUCCAACAGUCCUGCGUGAAUUAUGGUAUCACCUUGCAAGUAUUGCUUCUCAAAUGUUGGAUCCGUGGUUGGUGGGCGGAGAUUUCAAUGCUAUCUUAUACGCACAUGAGAAGAAAGGGGGCUCGAACCGAAUAAGUGGCACUUGCAAUUUAUUUAAUCAUUGGUUUCAUUCUUGCAGGAUGCUUGAUCUAAAGUUCUCCGGCCCUCGCUUCACUUGGUCUAGGGGAAACCUUUCUAAACGAUUGGAUAGAGCGGUUUGCAAUAAUGGAUGGCUAAUAAAACAUGCAAAUAGUAGUGUCAUGCAUCUUCCAAAAAUUGAUUCCGAUCAUCGGCCUAUUCUAGUCAAGUUCCAGAACAUGGAUUCCAAGCAUGGGGGCCCGAGGCCAUUUCGAUUUUUGGCUGCAUGGCUCACAGAUGAGAGAUUUGGGAGUUUUAUGAAUGAUAGCUGGAAUAAGGGAGAGAAUUUUCUUGAGGCAGUGGCUGAUUUUACUCAACAAACUAGGUGGUGGAAUAAGGAAAUUUUUGAAAAUAUUAUUUAUCGGAAGCGGAAAUUGUUGGCUAGAAUAGGUGGGAUCCAAUGAAUUUUGGAAGCCAAGCCUAACCAUAGCCUUACUAGACUUGAAGUUAAGCUUCAGAAGGAGCUCGAAGAGGUUCUCACUCAGGAAGAAUUAUUGUGGCUUCAGAAAUCCAGGAGAGAUUGGACUUUGUAUGGUGACCGCAACACUGCUUAUUUCCAUAAAAAAAUGCUAACCAGGCAUCGCCAGAAUCGGAUUACUGCAAUUCAAAAUGAUACUGGGCAGUGGAUACACGACGUCGAGAUCAUUAAGCAACGUGCAGUCAAUUUCUUUUUGGAAUUAUACACGCCUGAACAAGGGGUGCAUAGAACAUAUAAUGUCAGGGGGUGUUUCCCUGAGACGUCAGAUGAUAUUUGUUUAAGUUUGAUGUCUGCGGUAACAGAUGAGGAAAUCAGACAUACUAUUUUCAGUAUGAGUCCUUUUAAAGCUCCUGGAGUUGAUGGCUUUCAUGCUAGUUUUUACCAAGCGCAAUGGAAUACAGUUGGUAUGUCUUUGAGCUCUUUAAUCAAAAAUAUUUUUAAUUCUAAUCAUAUCCCUGCAGAGAUCAACAGAACCUUGCUGGUGCUCAUUCCUAAAGUGUAUCAUCCAACAAGCCUCAAGAUGUUUCGGCCGAUCAGCCUUUGCACAAUUCCGUAUAAAACGGUGACGAAAAUUAUUGCAAAUAGGUUACAGGUUUUUCUUCCAGAUCUCAUUGGACCCCAACAAACCAGUUUUGUACCGGGUCGGCAUAUUACAGAGAAUAUUGUUAUUGCUCAAGAGGUAAUCCAUACAAUGAAGAAAAAUGUGGGGGGUAAAAGAAUGAUGGCGGUUAAAGUGGACUUGGAAAAGGCUUAUAACCGGUUGAGUUGGCGAUUUGUUCAGGAAACUUUACAGGAAGUUGGGCUACCGGAGCGAUUUAUUCACCUCAUAAUGGAGUGUUUGUCCACAGCCCAAAUGAAUGUUUUGUGGAAUGGAGAAAUGACUGAAGAUUUUCGGCCAGGGAGAGAAAUUCGACAAGGAGACCCUCUUUCGCCUUAUAUUUUUGUGCUUUGUAUUGAAAGAUUAAGUCAUGGGAUUAUCCAGGCGGUUAAUCAAGGUAGAUGGAAACACAUUUGACUGACUCGAACUGGCACUCCUCUAAGUCAUUUAUUUUUUGCGGAUGAUCUGCUUCUCUUUUUGGAAGCAAGUUACGGCCAAGUUGAUGUAUUGAAUGAUGUGGUGGAGAAUUUCUGUAGGAGCUCGGGCGCUAGAGUUAGUAAUCAAAAGACCCAAGUCUUCUUCUCCAAAAAUGUCCCGGUCACUUUAGCCAAUGGAAUUGGCAAGGCUUUAGGCUUCUCGGUUACAAAUAAUUUGGGAAGAUAUCUUGGCAUGCCUCUUCUUCACGAUCGGGUUUCUAAGAAAACGUAUCAGAGUAUCAUUGACAAAAUUGAUCAGCGGCUAUCAGGAUGGGCAGCAAAGCAAUUGUCUCUGGCAGGGAGAGUUACUCUCACUCAAUCGGUGCUUCAGGCAAUCCCGAUUUACGCUAUGCAAACCACGUACCUCCCAUCUAGUGUCAGAGUUAAAAUUGAUCAAUUAUGUAGAAGAUUCAUUUGGAGUGGGGCUGGUUCUCAACGCAAGUUAAGUUUGGUUAGCUGGGACAACAUUUGUAGGCCUAAGAGCAAUGGAGGGCUCGGUUUCAAGGACAUGGAACUUAUGAACAAAGCCUUACUAAUGAAAGUGGCUUGGGAUUUAUUCAUAAAUCCUAGCAAGCUGUGCUCCCAGGUUUUAAUUUCUAAUUAUGUUGCGCCUUGUGAUAUGAUUACUACUGAUGCUUCAUUUAAAAAUGGUUCCUAUUUAUGGCGCUCUAUGGGUAAGAUUUGGAAAGACUUCCAGAAGGGUUUGCGUUGGAGUAUUGGAAAUGGCCAACGGGUGAAGUUUUGGGAUGAUAUUUGGGCUACAAAUGGUGAUCCCUUAAUCAACUAUACGGUGGCUUCAAUUCCGGAUAGCAUGCGAAAUAUGUUGGUGGCGGAUUGUGUGGAUCAAAAUGGGAAUUGGUUGUGGAACAUAUUCAACUCUUUUUUGAAUAACCAUGCUGUUUUAAGGAUUGCUUCCAUGGCUCCUCCGUCGUCAAUGAGAGGCGAGGAUAGGAUGUAUUGAGGUGCAUCAAAUACUGGCAAUUUUACAGUCCAAUCAGCUUACCAAGUGCUUACGAAUUUUUGCCCCGCUGAAGACUGUCAAGACUGGCAACAUUUGUGGAAAUGGAAGAGGCCUCAAAGCGUAAGAAUUUUUCUAUGGUUAUUAUGCCAUGAUCAAUUGAAGACGGGAUGUGAGCUUGCUAGAAGGCAUCUGGACGUCGAGGCUUUAUGUGGGAGGUGCCAUGCAGACGUUUAGAAUUCUUUGCAUGCAAUUCGAGAUUGUGAUUAUUCGAGAGGUGUUUGGCGGAAGCUUGUUCCCGCGCUUAGACAACAUGACUUUUUUAGUUAUCCUCUUUGGCAAUGGAUCAUGACAAAUCUUAGGAGAAGAGUCUGUGAUAUGGGGAGCUUAUUUUGGCCGAUUAUGUUUGGUAUUGCGGCUUGGAGAAUUUGGUAUUGGAGGAACCAGGUGAUGUUCAACAACAAGAGCUGGAAUGGUGAUUUGAUCGUUCGAGAUAUUAAGGCAAGGACUGAGAGUAUUUGUUCUACUCUUUCAAGCAUAGGCUAUCGAAGAAAUGAAAGGAUUCAGAAAUGGAUUCGUUGGGCUCCUCCACCAUGGCCUUUCUUGUGCUUAAAUACGGAUGGUGCAAGGAAAGGAAAUGGAGAGGCGAGUGCAGGUGGGCUGCUGCGGGACUGUCAUGGUAAUUUUAUUCAUGGUUUCAGCGCACAUCUCGGAGUUUGUUCAGUUCUAAAGGCUGAACUUUGGGGUGUCUUGCAUGGGUUAAGAAUGGCAUGGGAUCUUGGCUAUAGACGUAUCCAAGUUGGAGUAGACAACUGUAGUGUGGUGCAAAUUAUAAGGGAAAAUAAUGCUCAUGUCAACGAAAUUUCGAAUAUAAUCGAGAUGAUUAGAGAACUCAUGAGGAGGGAUUGGAGGAUUCAAAUUGAUCACAUCUACCGCGAAGCAAACUCGGCAGCUGAUUUCCUUUCUACGCAUGCUUUGAGUUUACUUGUUGGAGUACAUUUUCUUCAUUCUGCACCUUUAGGUUUGAGAUCUAUUUUAUAUUUGGAUAUGUAUGGGGUGGCACACUCCCGGUUUGUGCCCCUUUAGCUCUUCUCUUUUAGAGCCUUUUGUUUAUCAAAAAAAAAAAAAAAGCUUCCAACUGAAAUAGGGAAUGCACUUACUACUAAGGACAGUUGGUGGCCACCUAAUGCAUUCAUUUUAUAUCAAUUCAUCAUUUUAAUUAUUGAAAACAAGUGGCUCAUCGCUUUUACUUUAGGUAAAAUUCGGAUAAUCUCUAUUAUGAAAUGAUAAUAUUCUCUUAAAUUAUUAUAAACCUCAGCCAAUCUUAAUUUUAUUUAAAAGAUAAAAGAAAAAUAGGUUAUGUUGGUGACUUUUUUCUUAUCUUUUUAAUAAAAAUAAAAUAAAUUGAUGUUUAUAAUUGUUUAAAAUACUUUAAAGAUUGUUAUUUUAUGAGAGAGUAAUAUUUUACUUUUUUAUUGUGAAAUGCUAAAAAGGACAAAGCAAGUGUCCCUGGUUUUUAUUUUAUUUGAAAUUGGUCAUCUCAUAUACUUUACGUUUCAACACUACAAUUUUUUUGGUUAUAUUUUUAUUAUUUUUUUCUUUCUUACACAUGCACGUAAAUUUUCUUUCUUUAAGCUCCUGAAUAUUUAAGACAAAUCAUGGAAGAGAUGAAAGUAUAACAAGAUGAUCAAAAUACGUAACAAAAAAUUUACAAGUGAAACAUACGUUAGAGUCGAAGUAAAACUCUGAAAAUAGAGAUAUUGAUUAAUUUAGAAGAGAUGCAAGCAAAAGAUUUUCUUAAAAAAAAGAAAAGCAAUUUGUCCCUUUCCAGGGCAAACUUGUUAGUCUCAAAAAGGUACAUUCUUUGAAUUGAUAGUUGCAGGAUUUUUGUCUUGUUUUUGUUGUUGUGCAUUAGUUGGAGAAGUCAAGCCUAGUGAAAAAUGUUAUGAAAGAGCAAAGGAUAUUUCUGACAGCUUUAUUUAAUUAUGUAUUCAUUUAAUGGAUGUAUUGUUAGAAGAUAUUUAAGUGCAUUAGUUCAUCCGUGUCUGUUGAUGUGCUUUUAGUGAUUUUUCCAGCUGUUUGUUGUAAAAGAUGAUUGUAAAUUGAAAUGAACUUGAUGUUGUAAUAUUUUCUCUUUUGUGGAAUCUCAGUUGUGUUGUCUAUAAUUUUAGUCAAAAUUAUUGUUAUUAUUUCUUACUAGAGGUAAAUUUUUUAUUAAACCUCAUUAACACAAUUCUUAAUUAAAAGUAUAGGUUAGUGUCGGUGCAGGAUUUGCAGCACCAGAUCCUGCCUAGCUACGUGUCAAAAAUACAAAAUAAAUGAAGAGAAAGCACAAAUACAUGACUUGGAUUAGGAUAGAAGGAAACUUAAAUCUUAAAGAAAAUGAUAGCUAUAUCCCACUAUUUGAAAAAAUGGUCAUGUAGAUUUUUAAGAUUUAAAUAAGGGACGGAGAUCUUCUUUUGACAAAUAAUAUCUUUUAGCUCUCUCAAGUAAAAAAAAAAUUAAAUAUUUUAUAAUAAAUAAAAAUAUAAUAUUAAAAUAUACGUGAUAAUAUAUACAUUUUAAAUAAUUUCAAUCCAAAAAAAUAGUUAUGUUUUAUCGAAUCUACCUAUGUUACAAUAGUAGUAUGGUACCACAAUAUUUGUUCUUAUCCAAUGUAAUCAUUGGAUGAUUUAGAGCUUAAUCUAACGGCUUAAAUUAUUUUUCUGAAUAUUUGAAGCAACAACUUGCAACCGUUGGAGCCGGUUGCAUAUUAAUUUAAUAUCAUUUGGGGAAGCGUACGGUCAGGAAGUUUCUUAGUAUGCCACCAAUGGAAUUUGAUUUCAUCUCAAAUCGAUCUGCAGGCAGCAAUUGGGAAAUUACACUCACGGUCUUCCUCUUCUUCACUUCCUCUCUACUCUUCACUUUUCUCACUCUCGCGAUGUUUACAGCAUGAUAAGUACAAUUACAAACCAGGAAAUGCCAUUAACAAUUUUCAUUUGUCUUAGUCGUUUUUUUUUUUUUUAGUAGAAAGCCAAAAAAGAAAACGGGUGGGAGGUUGGGGCGUCGUGAUGAAAUGGUUUUGAGUUUUUGACGGAAUGUUUGUUUUUGUGAUUCAUUUAGGGUUUGAAUUCAGGCUUGUACGAACUCGGAUCUAUUCGAGAUCCGUAUUGGCGCUGAAAUCAGAUCCUUUGAAGCCUUGGUUUGAAUUCAACCUUGAGAACUCCAAGCUUGUUAGAAUCUUCAUUGAUCUCUCCAGAAAUUACACGGAUCUUAUUACUAAACCCUACAUAUAGGGCUGCAAUGGAGUCCGAUUCUCUCACAAUUGAUGAAUCAAUAUUGAGACAGUUCGAAAAGGAAGUAAAAAAGAGAAUCAACUUGACUGGCUAAAUAAUUGCGGAGGCCAAAGAGUCUUUUGAUAAUCAAUUGAAGAUUUAGAAGUUAAAAGACACUAUUUUUACUAUGAACGAACAAUUGACUAAGGCGAAAAAGCAAGGAGCUUUUUUGAGUUUGAUUGCUGCGAAAUCGAUGCCUUAGAGUUUGCAUUGUUUGGCCAUGAGGUUGAUGAAAGAGCGAGUUGUUCAUCCGGAGAACUAUAAUGAAGAAGGGAAGCCCACACAUGCAGAAUUCGAGGAUCCCAAACUUUAUCAUAAUGCUAUUUUUUCUGGGUAAUAUGCUUGCAGCUUCGGUGGUGGUGAUUGGUGAAUUUAGCUGUUAAGAACUCGAAGGAGCCUUGGAAACAUGUGUUUCAUGUUGUGAUGGAUCAAAUGUUUAAAUUGAAGGAUUAUAAUGGAGCACAUUUAGGCACGAAGGCUGUUGAGGAUUAUAAGUUUUUGAAUUCUCACAUGUCCCUGUGUUAAGGCAGCCGGGGUUUGCUAAUUUGCAAAGGUUUUACUUCGGGAAGUAGCUUGAGAAUGCUACGAAAGAUGCUACUAACAUGAAGUUUAGGAAUCCCAAUUACUUGUUGAUACUGUAUCAUUUGAGGUUCUGGAUAAGAUUUCAAUGAUGGCCGCUUAAAACAAAUAAUAAAAAAAAAGAACUUGUACUGUAUUUGGAUCUUUACUUAUUUGAUAUAGUUUUCUGCAAUCUCUCCAUGCAACCGGUUACUUUAAUUAUCCACUAACUCAUCUCAACCGUUUGAUGGACUCACUUUAUAUCCAACGGCAGUUUUAAAUGAAGACAAAAAGUGUGGUAUGUUGCAAUUGUUGCAACAUAUGUGAGUCUUGUUUUACAAUCUAUUUAACAUAUUUUAUUAAAUUAAUAUAUUUCUAUGAUAUAGGAACAUAAUAUUAAAAUAAAUUUACAAAAAUUUAAAGAAUUUUGAAUGUAAAACAAUUUCAAUAUAUUAAUAAUGAGAUUUUUUUAUUAUUAUAAAAAUUAUUUAACCCAUAGAUUUUUUUAAAUCUUUACAAUAAGUAUAAAUAUAUUAUCUUCACUUAAAAAUAUUUAAAUAUUAUUAACCUAUAAUUAGGUUUGCAUUUAUUAGAAAAUUUUAAAGUCAAAUAUAUUGCACUUUUGCAUUAUUAGAAUCAUCACAGAGAAAGGAGCAUAUAUACUUUAUAACUUUAAAAAUUGGUUUCUUCUGGAAACAGAGAUGAUGAUUAUUAUAAGGAUGAAAAAAAAAAGAUAAAGAAUAUUAAUGAUUAACGAAAUCUCUAUGCAAAUUGAUUUUAGUAGGGAAAGAGUGAGAUGAAUAACUUCUUUUACAGCUAAAAACAGAGAUGAUGAUUAUUAUAAGGUUGAAAAAAAAAGAUAAAGAAUAUUAAUUAUUAAUGGAAUCUCUAUGCAAAUUGAUUUUAUAGGAAAAAAGCGAGCUAAAUGAUUUAGACAUUCAUAGUGUAUUUAUUUUUGAAUUGGUGAAUAAGAAUUAUUGACAACGCUAACUUCAUCUUCACCGUUGGCUAUCCAAUAGCGGCAAUUGUCGCCGAUUAUGAUAUCUCCAAUGAUGAUGACGGUUUUUUUAUUAUUAUUAUUGGUGACCCCUUGGAAAGUUAACUGCAACUGCCAAUCAGAGAAAAGUCGUCAUGCACAAUCCUCAAUCGAACCAAUCAUCUACGUUACAGAAUCUGAAACGUACACACUGUUAACAUAUAUGUUUCCAUAAUGUUGAUUUUGAUGAUAACAAACAAGAUUAAGAAUGAUUAAUCUUUUAAGCUCAAAUUAUUUUUAUGCAUUUUAAAUAAAUCAUUAUUUUUACAUUAUAAAGGUUCUAUAUUUAAUGGAAAAAUGAUUUUAUGAAAUUGAUUGUUUUUUAUUCUUUUUAAAUAAAUCAUUAUUUUCACAUUAUAAAUGUUUCAUAUUCAAUGGAAAAAUGAUUUUAUGAAAUUGGUUGUUUUUCAAAGUUUAUGGUUUAAUUGAAAGAAUUUUGAAAACUUUGAAAUAAACAAGUAUUGCUUGAAAUUUCAGAUUUGGACUUAUUUGAAACUAUUUAAAUGUUUUUAGGCUAUUCUAUAAUUUCACAAAGUUUGGGCGAAAUUAUAAUUUCAGAACGUUGUGGGAUUGACAAAGUAUUAUUCUAAAAUUCUGAAAUUGGACUUAUUUGUAAAUUUUCAUAACGUUUUGGGUUAUAGUAUAGUUUUAUAAAGUUUUGGGGUCAAAUUAUAAUUUCAGAAAAUAGUGCACUGUGCAGGUUACUGUGGCAUCCGGCUUACCGGAUAUAAAAAUCGGAAAACCGGAUACGGGGCAGAAUGUAUCCAGAAUGUAAACGGCUUACCGGAUUUCGUAACCAGCAAGCCGGAUAGGCAAAAUUCAAAUUUUUGCCUUAACGGUAACAUAAAUCCAGCUUAUCGGAUUCCAUAAAUGGCAAACCGGAUACGCCCAGAAUGUGAGUAACGGCUAGUUUUUGAGUUCAAACUAUAUAAACUCAAAACCAAUUCAUUUUUGGUAAUCCAAGCAAGAAAGAACAAGUGCACAUAACAUAUAUUGAGCUUCAAUUUCGUAACUCAUCAUUUAUUAAAUCAUCUUUGUUUUUCAAUUUGUAUAUCCACUCUUAAAGAGAGAUUCAUUGUUGUAUUUUUCAUUUCUCAUCAAAUUGUGAGUGUACAAGUGUGAGAAACACUUGGGGUGAAGAGAUUGGAGAGAUAAUCUCUUGUUGUAAAGGUUCAUUAACACAUUGAAGUCAAUUGUAAACGUUUGAAGCCUUGGAAAUGCUUGGAUAGUGAAAUCCUCAAGCCCGGUGUGCUUGGAAGCGUGGACGUAGGCGGAGAUUACCGAACCACGUAAAAAUCCUUGAGUUUGCUUUCUCUUCCCUUACUCUUUAAUUAUUGUGCUUUGAUUGAACUUAUUGCUUUCAAUUUUUAUUAAGACAUUAGAUUAAAUUGUUGUGUGGUUUGCCUAGGAUAAUUUUUAAAAUCUCAAUUCACCCCCCUCUUGAGUUGCCUAGUUAGUAUUUCACACACCCAAUGGGAAGCAGCACACGUGUUCUGAGGAGAGAGAGAAAAAACCGUGCAAAUGCAAGCAAUAGGUAUUGGCUACAGUUGGAUCUGUAAGUUACAGAAUCUGUAACUUAGCCAACUCCCUCAAUGAUCAAUAUUGUUUCCGAUAUUUAUAAAUUGGUGGCCCCUUGGAAAUUUAACUGGAAGUUUGCAAGUGUCAAUCAGAAAAAAAUCGUCAUCCAUUGUUUUUUUUUUUCUGCAUUCCCUUUCAUGUUCUUAAUAAUUGAGGACAGGUUGUUCAUAACAUUUAUACUUUUCAAAUGUGGAGCUGCAUUUAAUGUCGCUAUUUUAAUUUGGGAUUAAAUUAGGGGAACACUAACUUUUAUAUUUAUCUAAACUCCUUAAAUUUAAGACAGAUUAUGGCGUAAAUAAGAAUAUAAUAAUAACAAAGGAAUUAAAAAGUAUAAUGACGAUCUUGCAGAAAUAUAAAUAUUAGCGUUGAAUUAAAUAACAUAGAACACAUGAAUUGAAUAGUGAUUAUCAAGACGGUGUUACUUGCACUCCUAUUUAUAAAAAAUCUUGGUUCUGUUCCAUUAGAUUUUUUAUCUUCAAAAUCUUGCAAAGUUUUGACAACCCAAAGGCUCAGUUUGGUUGUUCUAUAUUUGUAUGAUAUGAAUUCAAAUUUUUGUGUUCUGUUUUUCUUAAUUCUGAACACGGAUUCUUCUCUUCUCGUGCAAACCAGAAAGAAAUGUUGUCUUACAAAAAAAAAAGGGGAAUAACUUCAUGAGAACAAAAAUUCAGAAAAAUAAUAUAAAGUUUAUAUUUAGACUUUUGUGGUAUAUUUUAAUUUUCAACAAUGAGUUAAAGAAAAUAAUAAAUAAAGUAAAUAAAAGUUUAGAGAUUCAAAUUUUUAGUAUUGGAUUCUUUAAUUCAAAUACCUCUCAUUAAUUAACACUUAAAAGAGAGUUCACUAUUAUAAUUUUAAGUUUUUUGAUUUAUUAUUGAUAUAUAAAUUAGGAGUUUAAGCUUACUUUUUUAUUUUUCCAUUUUUUUUCAAAUUUGAAAUUAUUAUUUAAAUUUAUAAUUUUUUUUAAAAAAAUAGAGGGCUUGAGCCUGGCUUGGGUAUUGUUUCCUAAACCCUUAUCCGGCCCUGGCUUUUUUGCCAGCCCCAAUGAUGAUGAUGAUGAUUAUUUUAUUAUUAUUAUUAAUGAUGAAAAGUAUUAUAAUUAAUUAAUAUAUUAUUGUAUUGUUAUUAAGAUUAACAAUAAUUAUUAAUGAUAACAAUUUUUUGAAUAAAAAUAAUCACAAUAAUUAAAAUAUAAAUUAAUAAUUAUAACAAUAGUUAAUUAAUGUAUUUUUAACAAUUUGUAAUAAUUUAACUCAUUCUAAUUUCGAUUAUUAUAGUUAAGUAAACAACUUAUUAUAAUUUUCAUUCUCCAUUUUAAUUUCAGCUCAUUUCGAUUUCAGUCUAUUCCAAUUUUCAUUUAAUAAACGUUCCAUUAAUGCUAUAGUAAUAUUUCAUAUAGAAAAAAAUAAAAGCUACAACUAAGGUUAAGGGAAAGGACUUCAAAACUCUCUUUUUGUCAUAAUACAUUUUUUCCUAAUUAACUUAAAGAGUUUGAAUCUAAUAUUUUAUAAUAAAUAAAAAUAUAUUCCAAAAGUAAAUAUAAUAUAUCUAUUUUAAACUAAUCUCAAUAUUUAAAAUAUAUUUAAUAUUUUACAAUCUAUUAGACAUAUUUUAUUAUAUUAAAAUAAAUUUUAUAAUAAAUAUGAACAUACUGUUAAAAUGAAUAUAUAAAAAACUUAGAGUAUUUUGAAUAUUAUAUAAAAUAAUUUUAGUAGAAUACGUGAGAUAUAUUUUAUUAAUGUAAAAUGCUAUUUAAUCUAAAGAUUCAUUUAUGAUAAAUUAAUAAUUAUAUUUUUAAAAUUAUUUUAAAAAUUAAAUUUUUUUAAUAUUAUUAAUCUAUUAGACAGAUAAAAUUAUUUAUAUUAUUUUGUAUUUAUUAAAAAAAUUUAAAGUCAAUUUUUUUAAUUACUAUUCAAAGGAUAUAAUAAUUAAAAAAAUCUUAGCGUUUUCAUUAAAAAUUUAAAAAUUUACAUGACUAUUUCUGUAAAUAUUUAAGGUAUAUAUGAACUACGGUAGAGAAGCUUCAUUUAAUAUUAUUGAUUUAAAUAAUAUCUCAAUUAAAAAUGUACAGAGAAUAUAUUUCGGUGGGUAUUUUAAUCUUUUUAGCAAUUAUCAUGGUUAGCCCUUGGCCUUGAAACGUCUGUCAGAAAGGUUUUCAAAUGCUUUAAUUGUUCUUAUUAAAAAAAAAAUCUUUAAUUGUUUUUUCACUUUUAACGUCAGCGGCCUUGAAAGUGCUUUUACUUUAUAACAAAUUAAUUAAUGCUGACGAGAAAAUAUCUCUUCCACAGCCCACAGCAGCUUCUGUUAAUCAAACUCAACCAAUUUUCUCUCUUAACAAAAUUCCAAAGAUGGGUAGCAUUUUUCAGAUCACAUGCGACGGCGCUUUUUUCAAUCGUUGCUUUGGAUUGCUUUCUUGGAAAAGCAGCAUACAUAAGCAACAUCCAAGAUAAUCUUGUAGCCUUGGAGACUGAACUGGGAAGACUAAUCGCAGCAAAGAACGAUGUGAUGAUGAGGGUUGUCAAUGCUGAACGACAACAAAUGAAAAGGCUGGGCCAAGUGGAAUGGUGCGUUUCGAGGGUGGAUGCUGUUAAAAUUGAAGCUGAUGAACUUAUCAGAGACGGCUCUCAAGAAAUUGACAAAUUAUGUGUUGGAGGCUACUGUUCUAAGAACUGCACGUCAAGCUACAAGUUCGGGAAACAAGUGGCUAAAAAGCUACGAGAUGUGGAGACUUUAAUCGCCGAAGGAGUUUUUGAGGCGGUGGCUACCGAGGUGGUGCCUGAGAGAGCUCCAGAGCCUGUAGCAGAUGAAAGACCUACCGAGCGAACAGUAGUAGGCUUGCAAUCACAACUUGAACAAGUCUGGAGAUGUCUUGCAGAAGAAUCAGUGGGAAUCAUUGGCCUAUAUGGUAUGGGCGGUGUUGGUAAAACUACAUUACUGACCCAUAUCAACAAUAAAUUUCUCGAGAGUCCAACCAACUUUGAUUGUGUGAUUUGGGUAGUAGUUUCAAAAGACCUGCGACUUGAAAAAAUUCAAGAAGAUAUUGGAAAAAAGAUAGGUUUGGUUGGUGAUUCGUGGAAGAGUAAAAGUGUAGAGGAGAAAGCUGUCGACAUCUUCCGGAGUUUAAGAGAGAAGAGAUUUGUAUUGUUGUUAGAUGAUAUAUGGGAGCGGGUUGAUUUAACAAAGGUGGGCGUUCCACUUCCCGGACCAAAAAAUACUACCUCAAAAGUUGUAUUCACAACCCGUUUCAUCGAUGUUUGUGGUAGCAUGGAAGCUGACAGGAAGUUCCAAGUGGCGUGCUUAUCAGAAAAGGAUGCUUGGGAACUGUUUCGAGAAAAAGUUGGGGAAGAAACUCUUCAGAGUCAUCAUGAUAUCGUUGAGCUAGCCCAAAUUGUGGCCAAAGAGUGUGGUGGUUUGCCACUCGCACUUAUUACUAUUGGUCGAGCUAUGGCCUGCAAAAGGACAGCCGAGGAGUGGAGACAAGCAGUUGAAGUGCUAAGAAGAUCAGCUUCUGAGUUUGCAGGUUUGGGAAAAGAGGUGUAUCCUCUUUUAAAGUUUAGCUAUGAUAGUUUGCAGAAUGAGACGAUUAGAUCUUGUUUCUUAUAUUGUUGUUUAUAUCCCGAAGAUUAUGGAAUUCUUAAAUGGGACUUGAUUGAUUGUUGGAUUGGUGAGGGAUUCUUAGAGGAAUCUGACAGGUUUAGUGCAGAAAACCAAGGAUACUACAUUGUGGGCACUCUUGUUCAAGCAUGUUUAUUAGAAGAGUUAGAAGAUGAUAAAGUAAAAAUGCAUGACGUUAUUCGUGAUAUGGCUCUAUGGAUAACCAUUGAAAUUGAGAAGCAGAAGAGAAACUUUUUGGUUCGUGCAGGUGCUGGAUUAAAAGAGGCACCGGCUGUUAAAGAAUGGGAAAAUGUGAGAAGAUUGUCAUUGAUGCAAAACCAAAUUAAAACUCUGUCAGAGGUUCCUUCAUGCCCUCAUCUCCAUACUCUAUUUCUUGCCUCUAAUGAUAAUUUGAGGAUGAUCACGGAUGGCUUCUUUCAAUUUAUGCCUUCUCUCAAAGUUUUGAAGAUGUCAAACUGUGUGGAUUGGCCAGUUUCGAAAUUACCUUUGGCGAUGUCAAAGUUGGGUUCACUACAACUUCUUGAUAUUUCACAUACCGGCAUAGAANNNNNNNNNNNNNNNNNNNNNNNNNNNNNNNNNNNNNNNNNNNNNNNNNNNNNNNNNNNNNNNNNNNNNNNNNNNNNNNNNNNNNNNNNNNNNNNNNNNNGAAGAGUUGAAGUUGUUGGUAAAUCUGAAAUGUUUGAAUUUGAGGUGGACAUUUGAGUUAAAUAAAAUUCCAUGGCAACUAAUAUCAAAAUUUUCAAGGUUACGUGUGUUGAGAAUGUUCGCUACUGGCUUUGCACGUUUUGAUGAAGCAUCAGAAGACAGCGUUUUAUUUGGUGGGGGUGAAGUUUUAGUACAGGAAUUGGUCGGUCUGAAAUAUUUAGAGGUAUUGGAGUUGACCUUGGGAUGUCAUCAUGCUCUCCAAAUUUUUUUGAGCUCAAAUAAGUUAAAAAGUUGUAUUCGAUCUCUUCUCCUCCAGUUGGCCGGAGAUACAACGUCGAUUAUUGAUGCUACGGCUUUCGCAGAUCUAAACCACCUCAAUGAAUUAUGCAUUGAUAGGGCUAAGGAGUUGGAAGAAUUGAAGAUUGAUUGUAAAGAAAUAGUACAAAAAAGGCGGGAACCUUUUGUUUUCCGCAGCCCUCACCGUGUUACUAUACAUAGCUGCCAGAAGUUGAAAGAUUUGACAUUCCUCGUUUUUGCUCCAAACCUCAAGUCUCUCGAUCUAGACCGUUGCGAUGCUAUGGAAGAAAUAAUCAGCGUCGGAAAAUUUGCUGAGACUCCUGAGAUGAUGGGACAUAUAAGCCCUUUUGAAAAUCUCCAAAUGCUUGAUUUAGAAGAUUUGCCUCAUUUGAAGAGCAUCUUCUGGAAGCCAUUGCCUUUCACUCAUCUGAAAGAAAUAUCUGUGGGUUAUUGCCGUAAUCUUAAAAUGCUUCCACUCGAUUCCAACAGUGCAAAGGAGCGUAAAUUUAUUAUUCGUGGAGAAGAAGACUGGUGGAACCGACUUCAAUGGGAGGAUGAAGCCACUCAAAUUGCUUUUCGUUCCUGUUUCCAAUCUCUUUUUGAUUAACUCUUAUACAUUUUCUCGUCGUUUGCUUCAUGCAAAAGACUACGUCUUUUGUUCUCUGUUUUUAUUUCAGUUUCGUUUUGUCUCCUGCAAAUCACAAUUAAAUGUUGAAUUAUAUGGAAGUAAUGCUUUAUAAAUUUGCCGGCACUGCCAUUUAUUUUUCCUCUUUUUUUUUUUGGGUCGAAUUGAUGCUCUGGCUUUUUUAUUUUUUGUCAUCGAAUUUUGCUCUGUUUUUCAAAUUGAUGCUUGAAUAUGUGAAUUCAAUUAAUGCUCACAUAAUUUUGUUUAGUUGCCGUAAAAGAAUAUAAUUAGACUGAAAUUCGCACUCCCAGAAUGAAUAGAAUCACAACAGAGAAAAUAUUAAGUAUGCUAGCCCUCUUUACAGAAAAUCAAAUGAAAAUAAAAUUUUUUGGAUAUUUGAUUUUCUAUGGUCUACUAUAUACACUUUAUAAAUUCUUCUGUUCUAAGGAUAACCAAGUAGGGGAUUGAUGAAGGCUCCUUUUUGGGAUUCUUCUUUUUCUAGGCUGCAAUUAGGAUAUGUACAUGAUAGACAAUCUUUUGUUGGUUUAGCAUAUCUUCGCUGAUUUUGUCUUUUAUUCCCCAAUUUUAUAAUUACACACCAUGAAUGUUGGGUGAUUGUAUAGAAAAUUUGUGUUAUAACAAAAACAUUGUGAAGGAGUUUCCGUGCUAAUAGUUAGUGGCUUCUGUUUUAUUGGUAUUGAUUGGGUAGAUUUCGUGUUACAGUGAUUCAAUUUGUGUUCCAAACUUUGCUUUAAUUUUCUGUUUUCCCCAACUAUUUAUGUCAAAUUUAAAUCCAGAAGCAUGUACUGAUUUUUUCUUUUUGUAUUAAUCUGUGAAGUUUACUUGGAAUGGAAGUAACUGGGUCGGGUCUAAUGGAUUAAAUUAUGACAUUGAGGGGAAGGCACUAAAAGGGUUUGCUUGACACAUUUGGUUCUGUAUUUACUCUGCAAGAAAUAGCUUUUGCUUAUUGCAAUGCAGGGGGAAAUCCCGAUUUGGCUGGUGAAUUUCUCUGCAACAAACAGGCAAACGCCUCAACCUCUUCUGUCCAUACUUCUGCUGGGGAGGCAAGGGGUAAAGAGUCUUCAAAAUCAUCAAAUAGUAACAUCUCUGAGAAUUCAUUUUAUGGAAAUGGAAAAUCUAGAGCUUCUAAUACAAAAUGGCAUCUGGUAUCAGGACGUACCGUUUCAAGUUUUCUUGGUAAAGAUUAUGUUAAACCUGCACAGCCAGCUAAUGGCACUGUUCUGGCAUCAAAGCCAUUGAAGUUGGAUCCAAGGGAGUUUCGCAUUUCUGCACUUUCAGAGUAGAAACUAAACCAAAACAAUCAAAGGAUGACCAUUUGCAGAAGGAUAUGGAAGAUUUUCUGUUUAAAUUGCUAGGAGAAGGGUUCCAGCUGUACAGGGAUGUGAUUCAGGAGGUUCAUGGAAACGUCUUAAAUAUAUUGAUGCCAAUUUAAUACAUAUUGUCCUUUUCAAUGUUCUUUCUUUCUUUCUCCUCUUUUUAUUCUUCUUCUUCUUCUUUUUUCUUUUCGUGUGCAUGUGAUCACUAAUUUGGUAUUAUUCUUAACUUGCAGAUAGUUGUGGAUAUGAUAUGCAAAAUAUCUUCUUGAUGCUGGCAGAUUCACUUGAUUCUUAUUAGUUUGUUUAGUGGCAAGGCAUAUAACCUGUAUUUCAAAGCCAAGUUGUGCUAUUGAUUAUGUUAACUUUAUUGUUAACAUAAAGUGAUAUGGAGGACAUAAUCAAUGUAGGAAAAUUAGGUGAAGAGAUGAUGUCAAAUCUUGAACCUCUUACAAAGCUCCAAGUUCUUUACUUGAAGAAGCUGCCAAAUUUGAAGAGCGUCUACUGGAAGGCAUUUCCAUUCCCAGAUGUAUGCAGAAUUUUUGUAUUAAUGCCCAGUUCUUAAGAAGCUGCCACUGGAUUUUCAAAGGGCGGGCCAAGGUGAAAUUCUUAUCAAGGGAAAGGAAGAUUGGUGGAAAGAACUUCAAUGGGAGGAUCAAGCAACUCAGAAUGCAUUGCUUCCAUUUUUCAAAUCAACUGACAAGUGAUUGAAGGGGGCAUCAUCAACAGAGAUGGAGAGAUUCUGGAGCAGAUCAACAGGGUUUGUAUAUGAUCUUUGGUGGUUGCUUUCUUUUGUGAUUUUUUUUUCUCAUUUUUUUUCCUUCCUGUCAUUUUAUCAUUUCUUUGUCUCUUUUUCUAUUGCUGAUGUUAGUGUAUGCUUACUGUUGCUUGACAAAGUUUGCUUGCUUCUUGUUUAUUAAAUUUUUUAUGGUCACAAAAUAUUACUUGUUCUAUUUGAGAGUGAUGUGAAUCAAUUUUCAAUUAUAUAUUUUGUGGUCAAUGUGAAUUCAAUUUCAUUUGUCUCCUGCAAUUAUGAAAAAAAUGCAGAGUCAUAAUAUGGAAAAGUCGACCGGCAAAAACUUUGUGAAAGCUUCGGAGUGAAACAGGGAAUUCACUUACUACUAAGGACAAUUGGUGGCGAGCUAUUCCAUUCAUUUUAUGUCCAUACAUCUAUUUAAUUAUUGAAGAUAAGUGGUCCAUUUGUAAAUUUCAGAUUGUCCCUCUCUCUUGAAAUAACGAUAUUUAAAAUAUUUCUUAAAUUAUUAUAAAUUUUAAUUUACUCUGGAUUUAAAAUGGAACAUGAUGAAAAUUUUUUUUUCUUCUUAAUAAAAUUGAAAUAAAUUGUGUUUGCAGUAGUUUGAAAUAUUUUAAAGAUUAUUAUUUUAUAAGGGAGUAAUAUGAAAUGAAAUUUACUUUUCAUGCGUGAAAUGUUGAAAAAGGACAAAGCAAGUGUCCCUGUUUUUAUUUUAUUUCAAAGUGGAGUCAUCUCACGUACUUUAGCUCUUAACAUUAUAAUUUUUCUGGUUACAUUUUUAUUAUUAUUUUUUUUUUUUACACAUGCAUGUGGGUUACUUUUCCGUAAGCUCCUUAAUAUAUAUUUAACACAAAUCAUGGAAGAGAUGGGAGUAUAUCAAGAUGAUCAAAGCAUGAAACAAAAAUAUUUAAGAAGUAAAACACUGAAAAUGGAGAAGAGAUGCAAGCAAAAGAUAUUCCAAAGAAAAGCAAUCUAUCCCCCUUUCGAGGGCAAACUUAUCAGGUUUAAGAAAAGUACAUGCUUUGGAUUGGUAGUUGCAGCCUUGCAGGAUAAUUGUUUUUGCCACUAUAUUAGUUGGAGGAGUUGAACCCAGCGAAGAAUGUUAUGGAAGAGCAAAGGAUUAUGUAGCCUGAAUGGAUGUCUUGUUGAAAGAUAUCUCAGUGCAUUAGUUCAUCCUUGUCUGUCAAUGUGUUUUUAAUGGUUUUUCCAAUUGUUUAUUAUUAUAGAUUGAUUGUAAAUUGAUAUGAAUUUAAUGUUGAAAUAUUUUCUCUUUAGUGGAAUGAAUUUAAAAGUGCAAAAGCUUAUUGCACACAGAGAAAUAAACAUAUAUGCUUUAUAGUAUAACUUUAGCAAUCGAUUCUUUUACAGCUGGAAACAGAGAUGGUGAUUAUCAUAGGGGUGAAGAAAAGGACAAAAAAUGUUAAUGAUUAACGAAAUUUCUAUGCAAAUUGAUUUUAGCAGGAAAAAAAGUGAGCUAAAUGAUCUUAAUGUUCCACAAAAGCAAAUCGUAAUAUUCCACAAGAAAAAGCAAGAUCUUAAUGUUCCACAAAAGCGUUAUUUUUUUUUUGGUGAGCCACGUGGAGCUCAAUUAUCAUUGUCUUUACUUUAAAAACGUUAUUUUAUUUUAUUUUAUUACAAAUUAAUGCUAAACAAGAAAAAGCAAGAUAUAAUAUUCCACAAAAGCAAAUCGUAAUAUUCCACAGAGGAAUAAGAUCCACAAAAGCAAACAACUAGCUGGAUUCUUUUACUGAAUUACAAAUUAAAGUGGAAUCUUUUAUUAAACAAUAAAUUAAAGUUCGAAUAUUUAAGUAGUAGUGCGUUAGAUGAUUAGGCUCUCUUAUUAAAGGCAAGUAUAAGGUAGUCCAGAAUCGAACAUCUCUAUUGUCUAGUCAUUUUUUUCAAUUCUUCUUUUAUUAUUUUUCAGAAUAGGUUUUGGUGAUUACUAUUGGGUUAUUAGUCAGAGUUAUUCUUAUCUUCCGGGGCAGUUUCUGUUCAUCGGAAUUGUUAAUUAAAAGAGUAAUGAUAUAGUCACAAACUCUUGUAUAAACUUAUUUUGUACAAACUGAUGUGGCAUGAUAAGAUUAGUUGAAUUAAAUAUCACUUAGGCCACAUGAUUUAUUUUUAUUAUUUUAUAUUUUCAUUCAACCAAUGAAUUAAUGCCACGUCAGUUUGUACAAGAGUUUGUGGCUGUAUCAUUACUCUAAUUAAAAUUUUAGAACUCUUGUGGGAAGAAUGUUUUUCUGUUAUCUUUUUUACAUUCUAAUUUCAACAAUAAGAAGGAGUCAUUUUAGAAUUCGGGUCUUGAAUCGAAUUUCAAUGCAUGAAUUAAUAUUUUAAAAAAAAAUUACUACACGCAGUUUAGGUUACAAACUAUUUUUUGCAAAGUUGACUAUGAAAUUGGAGAAAUUAAGUAAUUUAUAAUGUUUGCAAAGGAAGAGACUAACAUACUUCCAAUUACACUAUAUCUCUAUUAUCAUAAUGUUAAGACUAAACUAACUUAAAAUAAAUUUUAUUUGAAAAGUUAUAUCAAACACAGUCUAAUUUUAUUAACUUGAAGAGAUAAUAGUUAUAGAAAUGAUUGUUCUAACUUAAUUAGUACAAGUGGUAUAAAGGUUAAGUGUGCACUAAAUUUGUUUAAAUUUUUUCCAGAAUAACUAACAGAGGUCAUUAUUAGAAUUAUAAUUACUAGUCUAUUAGAUAGAAAAAAUUAUAUAUAUUGUUUUAUAUUUAUUAAAAAAAUUUAAAGUCAAUCUUUUUAAUUAUUAUUUAAAGGAUAUUAUAAUUUAAAAAAAUUUAAUGUCUUUAUUAAAAAUUUAAAAAUUUACAUGACCGUUCUAUAAAUAUUUAAAGUGUAACUGUCAUUUUCUCAUGUAUAUAUAUAUAAACCACGGUGGUGAAGCUUUAUUUAAUAUUAUUGAUUUAAAUAACAAUAUCGCAAUUAAAAAUGUAGAGAGAAGAAAUUUUGGUGGGUAUAUUAGUCUUUUACAAUUAUCAUGAUUAGCCCUUCCUCUUGUAACGUUGGUCAGAAAAGUUUUAAAAUGCCUUGAUUUCUUUUACUUUUAACGUUAGCGGCCUUCCUUAUAUUUUAUUACAAAUUAGUCCUAACAAGAAAAAGCGAGAUCAUAUUCCAAAAAAGCAAAAGUGACAAAAAAACCAGCUGUAUUCUUUUAUUAAACUACAAUUUAAAAUGAUUUUAAAGUGGAUUCUUUUGAAUACAGGUGGGGUAGUCGAAUAGUCUUUUUCAAAUUCUUGUUUUAUUAUUUUUCAAAACUAGUUUUUGGUAAUUACAAUCGGGUCAUUCAUUAGUCAUUAUUCAGAGUUAUUGUUAUCUUCGGGGGCAGUGGGUAAAAGGCUAAAUGAUAAUUACUAAGUGUUUUUCCUUCAAAAGUUAGUGGCUCGUGUUUUGCAAGUGUGUACGUGCGAUGCUCUUUGUCUAAAGGCAAUUACAGUGGGUCCCGAAUCGGACGUGCCUAAUAAAUCUUUUAAAAUUUUUUCUAAUAAAUAUUCCUAAAAUUUCUCUUCCACAGGCAAUUACAGCAGCUUCAGUUAAUCAAACUCAAUCAAUUUUCUUUCUUAACAAAAUUCCAAAGAUGUUUGGCUGUUUUCAGAUCACAUGCGAUGGUGCUCUUUUCAAUCGUUGCUUGGAUUGCUUUCUGGGAAAAACAGUAUACAUACGUAACCUCCCAGAUAAUCUUGUUGCCUUGGAGACUGAAUUGGGAAAUCUAAUCGCAGCAAAGAACGAUGUGACGAGGAGGGUUGACAAUGCUGAACGGCAACAAAUGAGAAGGCUGGACCGAGUGCAACGAUGGAUUUCGAGAGUGGAAGUUGUUGAAACUGAAGCCGAUGAAUUGAUAAGACAUGGCUCUCGAGAAAUUGAAAAAUUAUGUGUUGGAGGCUACUGUUCCAAGAACUGCAUGUCAAGCUACAAGUUCGGAAAACAAGUGGCUAAAAAGCUACGGGAUGUGCGGACUUUAAUCAGUGAAGGAGUUUUUGAGGUGGUGGCUGACAGAGCUCCAGAGCCUGUAGCAGAUGAAAGACCUACUGAGCCAACAAUAGUAGGCUUGCAAUCACAACUUGAACAAGUUUGGAGAUGUCUUGUAGUAGAAGAAUCAGUGGGAAUCAUUGGCCUAUAUGGUAUGGGCGGUGUUGGUAAAACCACACUAUUGACCCAUAUCAACAAUAAAUUUCUUGAGAAUCCAAUCAACUUUGAUUGUGUGAUUUGGGUUGUAGUUUCAAAAGACCUGCGACUUGAAAAAAUUCAAGAAGAUAUUGGGAAAAAGAUAGGUCUGUUUGAUGAUUCAUGGAAGAGUAAAAGUGUAGAGGAGAAAGCUGUCGACAUCUUCCGGAGUUUAAGAGAGAAGAGAUUUGUAUUGUUGUUAGAUGAUAUAUGGGAGCGGGUUGAUUUAACAAAGGUGGGCGUUCCACUUCCCGGACCACAAAAUACUACCUCAAAAGUCGUAUUCACAACCCGUUCCAUCGAUGUUUGUGGCAGCAUGGAAAGUCACAGGAAGUUCCCAGUAGCAUGCUUAUCAGAAGAGGAUGCUUGGGAGCUGUUUCGAGAAAAAGUAGGGCAAGAAACUCUUGAGAGUCAUCAUGAUAUCGUUGAGCUAGCCCAAACUGUGGCCAGAGAGUGUGAUGGUUUGCCACUCGCACUUCUUACUAUUGGUCGAGCUAUGGCCUGCAAAAGGACAGCAGAGGAGUGGAGACACGCAGUUGAAGUGCUAAGAAGAUCAGCUUCUGAGUUUGCAGGUUUGGGAGAAAAGGUGUACUCUCUUUUAAAAUUCAGCUAUGAUAGUUUGCAGAAUGAGACGAUUAAAUCUUGUUUCUUAUAUUGUUGUUUAUAUCCCGAAGAUUAUGGAAUUCUUAAAUGGGACUUGAUUGAUUGUUGGAUUGGUGAGGGAUUCUUAGAGCAAUCUGACAGGCUUAGUGCAGAAUACCAAGGAUACUACAUUGUGGGCACUCUUGUUCAAGCAUGUUUAUUAGAAGAGUUAGAAGAUGAUAAAGUAAAAAUGCAUGACGUUAUUCGUGAUAUGGCUCUAUGGAUAACCAGUGAAAUUGAGAAGGAGAAGAGAAACUUUUUGGUUCGUGCAGGUGCUGGAUUAAAAGAGGCACCGGCUGUUAAAGGAUGGGAAAAUGUGAGAAGAUUGUCACUGAUGCAAAACCAAAUUGAAACUCUGUCAGAGGUUCCUACAUGCCCUCAUCUCCUCACUUUAUUUCUUGACUUUAAUCAGGAGUUGGAGAUGAUCGCGGAUGGUUUCUUCCAAUUUAUGCCUUCUCUCAAAGUUUUGAAGAUAUCAAACUGUGGAAACAUUUUUCAAUUACCUGUUGGGAUGUCAAAGUUGGGUUCACUAGAACUUCUUGAUAUUUCACAUACCUUCAUAAAAGAGUUACCAGAAGAGUUAAAGAAGUUGGUAAAUCUGAAAUGUUUGAAUUUGAGGUGGACAAGGGAGUUAAAUAAAAUUCCACGGCAACUAAUAUCAAAUUCUUCAAGGUUACGUGUGUUGAGAAUGUUCGCUACUGGCUACAUACGAUUCGAUGAUGCACCAGAAGACGGCGUUUUAUUUGGUGGGGGUGAAGUUUUGAUACAGGAAUUGCUCGGUUUGAAAUAUUUAGAGGUAUUGGAGUUGACCUUGGGAAGUUAUCAUGCUCUCCAAAUUCUUUUGAGCUCAAAUAAGUUAAAAAGUUGUAUUCGAUCUCUUUACCUCGAGUUGACCGGAGAUACAACGUCAAUUAUUGAUGCUACGGCUUUCGCAGAUCUAAACCACCUCAAUGAAUUAUAUAUUAAUAAUGGUAUUGAGUUGGAAGAAUUGAAGAUUGAUUAUACGCAGAUAGUACGAAAAAGGCGGGAACCUUUUGUUUUCCGCAGCCUUCACCGUGUUACUGUUAUGGAUUGCCAUAAAUUGAAAGAUGUGACAUUCCUCGUUUUUGCUCCAAACCUCAAGUCUCUUACGCUAUUCGAUUGCGGUGCUAUGGAAGAAAUAAUCAGCGUCGGAAAAUUUGCUGAGACUCCUGAGAUGAUGGGACAUAUAAGCCCUUUUGAAAAUCUCCAAUUGCUUGAUUUAGAUAAUUUGCCACAUUUGAAGAGCAUCUUCUGGAAGCCAUUGCCUUUCACUCAUCUCAAAAAAAUGGUGGUGGUACAGAGGUGCGAUCAGCUUGAAAAGCUUCCACUCGAUUCCAACAGUGCAAAAGAGCGUAAAUUUGUUAUUCGUGGAUACACAGGGUGGUGGAACCGACUUCAAUGGGAGGAUGAAGCCACUCAAAUUGCUUUUCGUUCCUGUUUCCAACCAAUGGGAGUACUGAGCGGUGGUCGCAAAAUUUGAUUUCUGGUGAGUGCGUUUGUCUUUUAAAAGAAGAAUUUAAAAGAAAUUUAUUCUUGUCGUUUGUUUUCUUCUCUGUUUUUAUUUCAGUUUCUCUCUCUCUUUGUCUUCUGCAAAUCACAAUUAAAUGUUGAAUUAAUGGAAUUAAUGCUUCAUAAAUUUGCCGGCACUGCCAUUACUUUUUUUUUUUUUAAAUACAAAUUGAUACUUUAUUUAUAUCUUCUUAGCGAUUUAAUUUCCUGUCAAAAGAGGAACGAGAAGAACAUAUGACUUAAACCAAUGCUCGCAUAAACUUGCUGUAAAAAGAUAUAAUCUCACUGAAAUGCACACGUCUAGAAUGAAUAGAAUUAAAACAGAGAAAAUAUUAAGUAUAUUAGCCCUCUUUACCGAAAAUGAAAUGACAAUAAAUUUUUUGAAGUUUUGAUUUUCUAUGGUCAAUUCCACCUUUUGCAAUUUCUUCUGUUCUAACAAAAACCAAUUUCUUUGUUCAAGUAUUUUCGUUUGGGUAUCAAGGAUCUCUAAUCAAUAGCUGGAAGCAAUUCAGAGGGCGCCGAGACCCGAUCGGACCUAGGCCCAAGUUUGGUCUUAAAGCCUGGGCUUGAGCCUGACAAUUAAAUUAAAACAUUAAUUGAUUUAUUGAUUGAAUUGUCGUGCAAUUGAUUUAUGGAGGAUGAAAAAUCAACAUACUUGAAAAUACACUAAUCUUAGCAUCAUCGGUUAAUAACUUUUAGAUUUAUGGGUAAUCAAUAGUUAAGAUCAGUUGUCAUUUAUUUUUUGAAAUGUCCAUAUUCAGUGUACAUUUGAAAAAGACCCAAUAAUUUCUCAUAAAUUUCAAUUAAAAAUAUUCAAUUUGUUAUUUCAGUUCUUUUAUUUUUUAUUUUUUCCAACAUGAAAGCGACUUAAUGUUACUAAAUUGCUUUUAUGGUCUUUGGAUUUUCAUGACCCAAUAAUUGGAACAUAACAAUUUUCUCAAGCGCUCUCCCGCAACAUUUUAUAAUUGAAGCCGCUGGCCCGCCUGUGGUUCCAAACUUUUAUCUUCCUCCUCCUUUAGAUUAAUGCGAGCAGCCUCCGUCCUUGACUAGUUGACUUCUUUUCUUCUUUUUUAAUUAAUUAAUUAAUUAAUUCAGCCGCCCACCUUUCUUUUCCCAAUGUCUUCUACUUUCGAUUUCCUUUAAUUUUUUCUUUAUUUUUAAAAUAUGAUUAUAGUAAUAAUAAAAAAUAAAAAUAAAAAUAAAAAUGAGCAUAUUGUUAGAGUGCAAUUUAUGCACUAGUUUUGUAUUGUUUACUUCCCUUAAUAUCGAUGUUUUGCACUUAAUAAUAAUGUUUUACUUGUGUUUUACUUUUGUAGGUGCAAUUCUAUUGAUUGAUGAUAAAAUUGAGCUAAAAGAUGAUGUUUAAGGAGGAUUGUUCUCUUGGAAAAAUUUCUGAGCGUCAGAAGAACUUUGUUGAUAAGGCGUGGGCGCGUGCUGUCAACUGCGGACCUGCAGUUUUUAGUUUAACGUGUUUUGUAUUUUUGGUUAUUUUUGUAAUUACGAAUUUAAUAUUUCAGAUAUUAGUAUUUUAUUUUAAAUAGAAUUCUAAAAGAGAAGAGAGAGAGAGUAUUUAAGAGAGGAAUCUAUUGUGAAAAAGGGGGGAUUUUGGAUUGAAGAAAAAGAAACCCUAGAUCUAAUUUUUCUCUUCUCUCUAUGAAGAGCUAAACCUAUUUUUCUGGUUGAAGGAUAACGAAGCUUUGAUUCAUCACUACUGUGAGAUCUUUCUUAUGCUUUAAUUGUUUUAUUACUUUUUGGGUAUUUGUUUAUUCUCUGAAUUAGUUUUAUGAUUAUGUUUGUUAAUUAGGUAAUUGGCCACUAUUUAAUUAUCAACUUAAUCUAUUAUCAAUUAAAGGAUUCAUCGUAUGAAGAAUUUAAUGUUUGUGACAAAUAACAUAGCAGAGAGUUGUGUUGUGAGAAUAAACAAUCUAAUUUAAAUGAAUCAUCAUAUGUGUUGAUUAGGAUUUGGGUCUCUCUGGUUUUUCAGGCUGUCAAUUGAUUAAAUUCUAUGAUCGUAUCUAGGGUUGUCUAUUGAUUAGGGAAAUAACCAACGGUCGUACCUUGGUUAUCAACUAAUUAAGGAGAGAUUGGCUAUUAGAGGGUCUCAGUAGCUAUAACCGGUCUAUUCAUAAGUAAUAAUAAUAUAUAUUUGAAUCAAUGAUCAGUAGUCGAAUCAAGCUGAGUUAAUUCCUUCAACCAGAGCUUUCUCCAAUUUGAAUUACAACUUUAAUUUGCAUUCUUGUUAUUUUAAUUUGAUUUUUAUUAUUGUCAACAAUUCCCCCAUUUUACGUUUUACGUUUCAAAAGGAUUUAAAUAAUUACCGAUCUCUGUGGACACGACCCUGCUCAAUCACUAUACACAAUUUAUUUAGAGUAGGAAUUUAUUUUUGUUGGCUUCGACACCCAUCAAAUUUUGGCGCCGUUGCCGGGGAUUGGUGUCAUUUAUUUAAUCCUUUUUACGUUUUACUUGGUGUAUGGUUCGUUCUUCUCGUACAGGUACACUUUCGUUUGAUCCUGAAAUUGAGAAGACAGCUCGCCAGCUGAGACAGCAGACUAAGCGAGCUAAGCAACGAUCCUUGUCGCCUUUGCUUUCUGAAAUAGAUACAGUACCUGAUUUAGUUGAAUCAUCUAGCGAUUCAGAAGAACAAGUGAUGGAUAGAUCUGCACCUGUAGAAAGAACUCUUAGAGAGUUAGCUGAACCAGACUUGAAUCAACAACCACUCUGCAUUCAAUAUGCAGAUUUGGAGGUAAAUUUUGAAUUAAAGUCUGGUCUUAUUCAUUUAUUACCCAAGUUUCAUGGUUUUGCAGGUGAAGAUCCUCAUAAACAUCUUAAGGAGUUUCAUGUUGUGUGCUCAAGUAUGAGGCCACAAGGCGUGACUGAAGAGCAGAUUAAGCUGCGUGCUUUUCCGUUCUCUGUAGAUGGGCUAGCUAAAGAUUGGUUAUACUACUUGCCUCCUGGAUCGAUUACAACGUGGAAUGGUUUGAAGAAGCAGUUCCUUGAGAAGUACUUUCCUGCUUCAAGAGCUGCCAACAUCAGAAAAGAUAUUUGUGGGAUCAGACAACUUCCUGAGGAGACUUUGUAUGAGUAUUGGGAGCGAUUCAAACAAUUGUGUGCCAGCUGUCCUCAGCAUCAGAUUUCUGAUCAACUUCUUAUUCAAUAUUUUUACGAAGGACUGUCAUUGAUGGAUAGGAGUAUGAUAGAUGCUGCUAGUGGAGGCGUGUUGGUGAACAAGACCCCUACUCAAGCAAGGGAGUUGAUCUCAAAUAUGGCUGCCAACGCACAACAAUUUGGCAGCAGACAAGAUGCCACUUCAAGAACGGUGAAUGAGGUAAAUAUUUCUUCUGUUGAACAACGUUUAGAUAAACUUACUUCUCUUGUGGAAAAGUUUGUUGUAGGUAAUGUGCAACAGGUGAAGACUUGUGGCAUUUGUUACAAUAUGGGUCAUUCAACUGAUAUGUGUCCUACAUUUCAAGAAGAACCCGCUGAACAAGCCAAUGCAGUUGGAGGAUUUCCAGGCAUGCCUCAGAGGAGGUAUGAUCCUUAUGCACAAACAUACAAUCCGGGAUGGAAGGAUCAUCCCAACUUCAGCUAUGAAGUUAGGCCGUCAGGAUUCCCACAACAGUAUCCACCAAGACAACCAACACCUCCACAGUCAAAUUCUAAGUCAGGUAUAUCUCUUGAAGAAAUUGUUAAAUCACUUGCAACUAACACUCAACAAUUUCAGCAGGCAACUACAGUAAGCAUUCAGAACUUGGAGAACCAAAUGAGUCAAUUGGCGACUACAGUGAGCCGUCUGGAGUCUCAAGUAUUAGGGAGAUUGCCUUCACAAUCUGAGGUGAAUCCAAAGCAAAACGUUAGUGCUGUCAUCGUUAGAAGUGGGACGGAGUUGCAAGAGCCUAGUAAGAAAGUGACAAAGCAUGUAGAGGAUGAGCUUGAGAAGAAUGAAUUGAUGCCUAAAUCUCAAGAUGCACAACCCACCAGAGCGAAACCCCUACCUAUUGUGAUACCUCCUCCUUUUCCAAGCCGGUUUACAAAAUCCAAGAAGGAGGAACAAGAGAAAGACAUCCUUGAGACAUUUCGCAAGGUUGAGGUAAAUAUUCCUUUAUUAGAUGCUAUAAAACAAAUACCUCGAUAUGCUAAAGUCCUUAAAGAACUGUGCACCUCCAAAAGAAAAUUAAGAGGAGAUGAAAAAGUUCACAUGGGGGAGAAUGUUUCAGCAGUUCUCCAAAAGAAACUACCUCCUAAGUGCAAGGAUCCAGGUAUGUUUACUAUCCCUUGUAAAAUUGGUAGUGUUAGAGUUGAAAAGGCUAUGUUAGAUCUAGGAGCUUCUAUUAAUGUCAUGCCUCGUUCCAUUUAUUCAUCUUUGAAUGUUGGUCCAUUAAAAGAAACUGGCGUGAUAAUUCAACUAGCUGAUAGGUCUAAUGCAUAUCCUGAUGGGGUAUUAGAAGAUGUCUUAGUACAAGUUAAUGAGUUGGUUUUUCCUGCUGAUUUUUAUGUACUUGAUAUGGAAGAUGAUAACUCCUCUAAUUCUGUCCCAAUUUUGCUAGGAAGGCCUUUUCUUAAGACUGCUAGGACUAAAAUGGAUGUACAUAAAGGGACUCUCACUAUGGAAUUUGAUGAAGAGGUUAUAGAAUUCAAUAUGAAUGAUGCCAUGAAAUAUCCUAGUGAGGAACAUUCAGUAUUUUCUGUGGAUGUUAUUAACCCUAUAGUGCAGGAAGUUUGUUACAAGGAAAAAACGAAGACAUUUCAUGAUAGAAUGAUUUUGAGAAAAGAGUUCUCUGUUGGUCAAAAAGUUCUUCUUUUUCAUUCUAAGCUUAAACUUUUUCCGGGUAAAUUACGAUCUUGCUGGGUUGGACCUUUUAUUGUUACUAAUGUUUUUCCUCAUGGUGCAGUUGAGAUUCGGAGUCCGACCUCUGAAAAAGUUUUUAAGGUUAACGGUCAUCGCUUAAAACCUUUUUAUGAAGGUUUUUCGGUAAAUAUUGUGGAGGAUGUGGCUCUUGAGAGUCCCAAUUAUGGAGAUUGAUGCAUAAAUGUGUCUAGCCAAAGACAUAAAACAAAGGCGCUUUUUGGGAGGCAACCCAAAUGAUUUGUUUAUUUUGGUUUUUGUUAUAUCUUCUUUUAAUUUUGAUUCAAAAAAAAAAAGAAAAAUUUUGCUUAUUUUGGUCAGAAGAAAAUUUUUGAUAAGGCGUGCCCACGUCUUAGCUAAUAAGUACUUCUGUAAUUUUUAAAGUAACAUAGUUUUAAGGCGUGCCCACGUACUUAAUAGAAAAGUACUUUUGAAAUUUAAUGUGUUUGCUUAUUUUGGUCAGAAGAAAAUUUUUUAUAAGGCGUGCCCACGUACUUAUUAGAAAAGUACUUCUGAAAUUUUUAGUGUCUCAAAGUGAUUCAUCACUAAAAAAAAAAAAAAAAAAAAAAUUUUUUUCUUUUUUCUUUUUUCGUUCCUUUCUUUCUUUUUAUUUUUUUAUUUAUUUAAAAAAAAAAACCAAAAAUCGAAAAUCACUGUUCACUAUUCACUGUUCACAAAAUCCCUAAUUUUCCAGAACUUGUUUUCUUCUCCAGCCGCUUGCAGCACACCAGCAGCAAACCAGCCGGCCGGAAAACGCACCAUCCCGUGAGCGCAGCACCAGCAUCCCGUGUCUCGCAGCCCAGCAGCGCGCAACGAAGUCCCACCAGCGAAAGCAGCCGCGCGCAACGCAGCAAGCCCCAGCCAUCACCAUCGUGCGAAAUCAGCAGCAACCGUGCAUGCAACACAUCCCGCGAAGCAGUAGCAGUAACGCCCCGCAACGCAGAUCCUCAGCUCCAGCCCGCGCGCACAGCGCAAAUCAAUCCAGCAAUCACCCUCGUGAAGCAGCAGCAGCAACGCCUCGCAACACAGCCACGCACCAGCAUCCCGCACGCAACCAGCGAUGUGCAACUAGCAACCAACAUCCACAGCCCACGCAUCAGCAGCAGCCGCGCGCAACGCAACGCAGCACCAGCAUCCCGCGCGCAGCAAGCUCCAGCCAUCACCAUCGCGCAGCGCAGCAGUCCCAACGCGCGCGCGCAACACAAUCAGUGCCAUCCCGCGUCCAUCAAGCAAGCUCCAGCCGAGCAGCAAUCGCAACGCAACCAGCCUACGACCUGCAUUCCAGGCGCGUGAAUCGAAAUCCGUGACAAGAUGGAGCAGAAUUUGGCCGCAUACUUCAAGAGUGUGGGAUUUAUCCCACCAUUCCCGCCAAACCCAUAGACGUUAUGAGGAUCAAAGCUCACAAUUCAGGGAAGUUUCUUUUUGCCCUUAAUCUUUUAUCCUUACGCUUUAAUUUUUAUGUGAGCUUUGAUUAUCUUACAUUGGGGACAAUGUAAGUUCUUGGUGUGGGGGAGGGAUUUUUGCAUUAUUGAUGUCUGGAAUUAUUGUUUUCACUCUACUCAUCUAUUUUCACUCUACUCAUCCUUAAAUGAUUUUGGAGUUAGUAUGCUUCAUAUAUUAUUAUUCUUCUUUUCUUUUCUUUCUCACUACUUUUUUCCCAUCUAUCUCAAACUAUUCAUAUCUAUUUUUAUUUUACCAUACUCUUUCAUCACUCACAUUUUAUCUUUCACUUUUCAUAUUACUACAUACAUCUUUCUCACUUCUUAUCAUUUUUACCUUUUCUUUUAUAUAUCACUCAUACUUUCUUCUCAUUCUACACCACUAUUGAUGGUUGAUUCAUUUGAAGAGUGUACAUGAUUUGAUGGCAAAUUUACCAACUUUGUGAGGAUUUGAGCCUAUGAGCAACCACUUUGCUAUAAUAUUUUUGUUAUGUGAAUAUCAAUCUUAGUUUGUUUAUUCGAGAACUUGCUUUGUUAUGCAUGUUGAAGCCGCAUUACGAGAUUUUAUGCAUUAAAAUGAUAAGGGCAAACCCUUUUCCAUUUUUCUAUUCUCGCAUUUUUUUUUCUCUACCCGAAGACCUUUAUUUGCUAUCUUUGUUUGAGCCUUAACCAUUACCCAUCUAAUUUUCUCCGUCUACUUAACCAUUUUUCUUCUUUUUGAGCCUCAAUUUAAGGAGAUUUUUGGACUCAUUGUGUGGAUAUAUUUUGUUGCUUUUUCUACCUUGUAAUAAAGUUUCUCAAUUAGAUCAACAAGCAUUAUGCUUGAAUUAAAUUGUGCAAGGUUCAUUUCCUUGUUUUGAUUCAAAAAAAAAAACAAAACAAAAAAAAAGAAAAAGAAAAAAAAGAGGAAAAAGAAAAAAAAAGAAAAAAAAAGAAAAAUCGAAAAAAAAGAAAAAAAAUGUUUACAUUCUUGGUGACUUGAGUAGAAAUAAGCAUUUUGAUAUCAUAAGUUCAUUCAAUGAGUUCAUUCUUCUCAUUUUGAUCUCUUUUUCUUUCGUAAACCUUUCUUUUUCAUUCAACCUAUUUAACCCCAUUACAACCCUUUUAAGACCCUUAGAUUUUUGCAAUUUUAUUCAUGUUUUGUGGAUUGAGAUGUGAUAUAUGAGCAAGCUUAUGGUAAUAGCAUUCUUUGAUUUGAUUUGAGUGAAUAAAUGACACCCUAAACACUUUGAGUGCAUAGAGUGAAGUUAUUGAGAGGGCUAUUACAUCUUGUUGCACUUGAAUUUUGAAUGGAUCUUCUUGGUGGUUGAAUGUUCUUAUUCUAUCUUAUGAGAUUCUAUGCUUUAAAAUCCUUGUCUCUCGAAUGUUGAUCGACUUAAUUUCUUGAGGUAUGCUUGCUUAAAAUUAUUUUUGGAUGAGUUGAGAUGAGAAUUGAGUGGAGAUUUGGGAUUAAUCUUGAGUUAUAUGCUUGAGGACAAGCAUCAUCUUGGUGUGGGGGAAUUUGUUAGAGUGCAAUUUAUGCACUAGUUUUGCAUUGUUUACUUCCCUUAAUAUCGAUGUUUUGCACUUAAUAAUAAUGUUUUACUUGUGUUUUACUUUUGUAGGUGCAAUUCUAUUGAUUGAUGAUAAAAUUGAGCUAAAAGAUGAUGUUUAAGGAGGAUUGUUCUCUUGGAGAAAUUUCUGAGCGUCAGAAGAACUUUGUUGAUAAGGCGUGGGCGCGUGCUGUCAACUGCGGACCUGCAGUUUUUAGUUUAACGUGUUUUGUAUUUUUGGUUAUUUUUGUAAUUACGAAUUUAAUAUUUCAGAUAUUAGUAUUUUAUUUUAAAUAGAAUUCUAAAAGAGAAGAGAGAGAGAGUAUUUAAGAGAGGAAUCUAUUGUGAAAAAGGGGGGAUUUUGGAUUGAAGAAAAAGAAACCCUAGAUCUAAUUUUUCUCUUCUCUCUAUGAAGAGCUAAACCUAUUUUUCUGGUUGAAGGAUAACGAAGCUUUGAUUCAUCACUACUGUGAGAUCUUUCUUAUGCUUUAAUUGUUUUAUUACUUUUUGGGUAUUUGUUUAUUCUCUGAAUUAGUUUUAUGAUUAUGUUUGUUAAUUAGGUAAUUGGCCACUAUUUAAUUAUCAACUUAAUCUAUUGUCAAUUAAAGGAUUCAUCGUAUGAAGAAUUUAAUGUUUGUGACAAAUAACAUAGCAGAGAGUUGUGUUGUGAGAAUAAACAAUCUAAUUUAAAUGAAUCAUCAUAUGUGUUGAUUAGGAUUUGGGUCUCUCUGAUUUUUCAGGCUGUCAAUUGAUUAAAUCCUAUGAUCGUAUCUAGGGUUGUCUAUUGAUUAGGGAAAUAUCCAACGGUCGUACUUUGGUUAUCAACUAAUUAAGGAGAGAUUGGCUAUUAGAGGGUCUCAGUAGGUAUAACCGGUCUAUUCAUAAGUAAUAAUAAUAUAUAUUUGAAUCAAUGAUCAGUAGUCGAAUCAAGCUGAGUUAAUUCCUUCAACCAGAGCUUUCUCCAAUUUGAAUUACAACUUUAAUUUGCAUUCUUGUUAUUUUAAUUUGAUUUUUAUUAUUGUCAACAAUUCCCCCAUUUUACGUUUUACGUUUCAAAAGGAUUUAAAUAAUUACCGAUCUCUGUGGACACGACCCUGCUCAAUCACUAUACACAAUUUAUUUAGAGUAGGAAUUUAUUUUUGUUGGCUUCGACACCCAUCACAUAUUAAAAUAUAAUUUAUCAGAAAACCAAGAUAAAGAAAUAUUAUAAGCACAUCAAUCAAAAAGUGAAAAAAAAAACAAUUUUAAUUUACAUUAAAUAUAAACUUUUAGUGUUAAUCAAUUUUCUAAAUAACUGAAAUUAUUUAAAAAUAAAAAUAAAUUAUUCUUCCCAAAAAAAAAAAAAAAUUACACCCACUCACUGGGCUGUCUGUUAAGAGUCGCUUUAAGGACUGAAGUUGGUAACUUUUUGCAAGUAGUCUUAAGUUGAAUGGCAGCCGCCCACGCUUUAUGUUUGCUAGCCUAGACCUGAUCGGGUCUAGGCCCAAGUUUAGUCUUAAAGUCCAGGCUUGAGCCCGAAAACUAAAUUAAAAAAUUAAUUGAUUUAAUCGUUGUGUAAUUGAUUUAUAGGGGAUGAAUCAGCAGCAUCAUCGGUUAAUCGCUUUCAGAUUUAUGGUUAAUCAAUAGUUGAGAGUUGUUAUCGCCCUGUAUUUUCUUAAUGUUUUUUUUCUCUCUUCCACAGCAUCUUCUAGGAAAGUGCAUCCAUUACUAAAAUUUAGUAUUGUAAAUAAUAAACCAAGUAUAAACAUUAAAUCUAAGAAAUUGUAUUGCAUUUAAUAUUCAAGGGAGAAAAAGAACUAUGGUGCAUUUAUUAACCAGUAAUGAGAAAAGACUAGAAUCAGAAUAUAUUAGAAUUAUAAUGAACCGUAUUAUGUGUUUAUUUUAUUUUAGACUCGAAAUUAAUUAUUUUAAGUUAUUGAAAUACCCUUGAUUUGUUAUCCUAAUUAUUAUUAUUUAAUAUUUAUUGUAAUAUUUUUCAUAUUACUAAAAAGUAGUAAUAAUAAUGAUAAUAUUGGAAUUGUUGUUUUUUAUAUUAUUAUUAUUCAAAACACUUCUUGUUAGCCCAUUCAUACGUGCAGACCAAAACCAAAUCUCUUCUUCUCCUUCUUUUCUUAUAGUGCAGGAUGUGUGUGCUCGGACUUCUCUCUCAUUCUUUUUUCUUUUUAGAUUUUGAAAACCUAAAAAAAAAAGAGUGUAGGAGUUUUUAUUUUCUUAAAACAAGACUUUUUGAAUUAUCCAAUUAAGUUAAAUUCGGUGGCAUCUGGUAUUUACAUUUCUUGUUUUUUUCGCAAGUUAUUAUUGCCUAAUGCUAUGUCAACUCUAACAUUAGCAUUUUUUUUUUUUGGUCCUCUUUUAACACCAAACAUUAGUAUAGGUUAAGUAACAUAAUCAGUACUGGGACAAUUUGAAAUCCCUUUGUGUUUUAUUCACAGUAUCUAUGAGGGCUUAUCCUUUUGCUAGAACAAACUCUAGCAAAUUGUCAAAUGUGCUUAUCUUUUCCCUUGACGACUCAUUUUAAAAUUGUCUUUCAAUGUACAAACACAUACAUAACCGCCGACAUCGAGCACCAAGUUUGGAAUUUAAUUGAUAAGCAUACAUUUGAUAAAUUAAUGAAAAGUUUGGGAGAGUAGUUUUGAUCACCCUCGAUUAGGGUGGUAUCACGGAAAAGAUGAAAAAAAAACAUCGUCUCUUCUUCAACAAAAAUAAAUAUUUUCCGUUGGAAUCUAAAUACAAAAUAAUUGUUUUUUAUUUUUUGAAUUAAAAUUUAAUUAAAUACACAAAUAAUUUAUAUAUUUUUUAAAAAAAAUUUACACCCAGUCACAAGGCUGGCUAUUAAACUUAAAGGGUGGAAGCUUCGGAGACUAAAGUUGGUAACUUCUCCAAGUGGUCUUAUGUUGACUGGAACUACCCAGAAUUUAUGUUUGGUAACCUAGACCUGAUCGGACCUAGGCCCAAGUUUGGUCUUAAAGUCCACAAUUAAAUUUUAAAAAAAUUAAUUGAUUUGUAAUUGGUUUAUGGGAAAUGAAUCAGCAUACCUAAAAUAACACUAAUCUUGACAUAAUGACAUCAUCGGUUAAAAACGUUCAGAUUUAUGGUUAACCAAUGGUUUGAGAUUUGUUAUCAUUAAUGCUAAAUAUUUUUUAACAUUUUUUCUAUCUCUCUCUCCUUAAGGAUUUUCUAGGAAAAUGCAUCCACAACAAAAAUUUUAAAUUGUGAACAAUAAACAAAGUAUAAACGUUAAAUCUAAGGAACUGCGUUGCAUUUCAGUUGAAGCUAACUUUAAUAUUUUACGGAGAAAAAUAAUUAAGUUUUUAAUGUGAUUUAUUUAUUAAUAUAUAUGACUAAUUUUUUAAAAUAAGAUGAAGGGUGAAGCUUAAAAAUAUAAAUUAUAGAAUUAAUUUCUCUCUUCAAUAAAUCUAAAGUUUAUUUUUUUAUUACAUGCUUCUAUUUUAUUUUUAUUCCAUGUUAAUGAAUGGAGAUUUAAAUCCAUUUUGGAUUUAUAAAGAUGUUUAGAUAUUUAAAUCCACGUGUGAUUCCAAACUUCAACCUUUUUUUUUUUCUAAUUAAUGCAAACAGCCGCCUCUUUGACUGCUUUUCUUCUUUGUUUAUUAAUUAAUUAAUUCAGCUGCCCACCUUUCUUUUCCUAAUGUUUUCUAAACUCAAAUUUUUUUUAAGGACAAGGCUACGUUGCAGACGCUUAGCCAGCUUCACAAAGGGUGCAUUUGGUAGGCAAUUUUUCUUUCCUGUGCAUAUGUGUCCUUCCACCAUUAGGUGUGUACGUAACAGAUAAUGUACCGUAACAAGCUCCUAUUUUUAAAUAUGUUUAUAAUGAUAAAAUAUAAAAAUUAAGAUUAAAAUGUAAUGUAAUAUAAAAUUAAAGGUGGAAGAGUAUUAAAAUAAUGUAUAAGAUAUGAAUAAACAAGUCAAUAAGAAAACCAACAAACGGCAAGAGAAAAGGAAUGGUCAUGCAGAUUUCAAAGGUGGCAGUGACAAUGAGAUCUCAUUUUAACCGAUCAAGUCUUUUGACUCUGUCAACUCAAAAAAAUAGAUUCAAAUGUUUUGUAAUAAAUAAAAAUAUAAUAUUAAAAUAAAUGUGAUAACAUAUAUUUUAAAUAAUUUCAAUACAAAAAACAUUUGAAUGUUUUAUAAUUUAUUAGACAUAUUUUAUUAUAUUAAUAUAAAUUUUCUAAGAAAUAUGGACAUAAUAUUAAAAUAAAUUUAUGAAAAUUUAAAUCAUUUUGAAUGUAAAAUAAUUUUAAUGUUUUAUAAUUUAUUAGACAUAUUUUGUUAUAUUAAUAUAAAUUUUCUAAGAAAUAUGGACAUAAUAUUAAAAUAAAUUUAUGAAAAUUUAAAUUAUUUUGAAUGUAAAAUAAUUUUAAUAUUAUUAAUCCAUUAGGUAUUAAUUAUAAAAAUUAUUUAACCCAAAGAUUUUUUAUGUCCUUACAAUAAAUAUAAAUAUAUUAUUUGCAUUUAAAAAUUUAAAAAUAUUUAAAUAAUAUUAAUCUACAAUUAUAUUUUCAUUUAUUAUAAAUAUUUAAAGUCAAAUCUUUUGCACUUCUAUUUUAUUACAAUUAUGGCGCACACAGAAAGAGCCAUAUAUGCUUUAUAGCGUUAGAAAUUGGUUUAUUUUAAAGCUGGAAACAGAGAGGAUGAUUAUUAUAAGGAGAAAAGAAAAAGGGGUAAAGAAUAUUAAUGAUUAACAAAAUCUCUUUGCAAAUUGAUUGCAGUAGAAAAAAAGUGAGCUGAGCAAUCUAAUUUAGUGGUAGAGUGAUAUUUCAUUAGUAGCAAAGUAAGGUUAAGGGAAAGACUUAAGAUCUCGCUUUUGAUUAUAAUAUUUUUUUUAAAAAAAAUUAAUUUUAAUAUUUUAUAAUAAAUAAAAAUAUAAUCUUAAAAUAAAUAUAAUAGUACAUAUUUUAAAAUAAUCUCAUUAUUUAAAAUUGUUUUAAUAUUUUGUAAUUUGCCAGACAAAUUUUAUUAUUUUCAAGUAAAUUUUAUAAUAAAUACAAACACACUAUUAAGAUAAAUAUAUGAAAAAAUUAAAGUAUUUUGAAUAUUAUACAAAAUAAUUUUAAUAUUGUUAAUAGUGAGAUAAUUCUAUUAAUUUAAAAUGCUACUUAACCUUAAGAUUUAUUUAUGAUAAAUUAAUAAUUAUAUUUUUAAAUUAUUUCAAAUAUUAAAAAUAUUUUAAUAUUACUAAUCUAUUAGAUAGACUAAAUUAUUUUGUAUAAAUUAAUUACUAUUUAAAGGAUAUUAUGAUAAAAAGAUCUUAGUGUUUUUAUUAAAAAUUUAAAAUUUACAUGACUAUUUCUUUAAAUAUUUAGGGCAUAUAUGAACCACGGAGGAGAAAAGCUUUAUUUAAUAUUUUAGAAUAGUUUUUGAUCAGUACAAUUGGGUCCUUAUUCAGAAUUAUUGUUCUCUUCCGCAACAGUUUUUGUUUAUCAAAGUCGUCAAUUAAAAUUUUAGAAUUCUUAUCAUCAGAAGUAGUCGUUUUAGAAGUUGGGUCUUGGAUCAAAUUUCUACGAGUGCAUGAAUUAACAAUAAAAAAAAUUUCAUUACACACGGUUUAAGCUACAAAACUACUAUUUGCACAGUUGACUAUAAAACUUACCUCCAAUUACACUAAACCUCUCUAUUUGGUAACGUUGAGACUAAAUUAAUUUUAUUAGCAUGAAAAGAUAAUAGAAAUAUUAUCAUAAAUAUUAUUGUUGUUAAUCAAUUAGUACAUGUGAUAUAAAGGUUAAAUGUGCACUAUAUUUAAUAAUUAAUUAAUUGAACAUGUUAAACAAAAUGUUAAUGUAUAUUUAUAUAGUGUUAGGAAUAUGCAAAGUCAAGUCCUCAAUUUGCAUUAUCCUGUAUAGAAUAUUACUCUAAAAAUGUUUUACUAUAAUUGGCUUAGAACAUUUGUAAAGAAAAUAAUAAUAGUAAUAAUAAAUAACAUACACCGUCACAUAGCAUCUAGACAGUGAUAGAAAAUUGUUAAAGAGAGUGCAAACAAUUAAUUAGAGAUUUUUAUGAUAACUUUUAAUAUUCAUGAUAAUAACAAAUAAAUACAUGUACCACUUUUUUAAAAUAUUAAAUUUGACGUGCUCCAUUAAUAAAUUAUUAUUGUAAUUCAGACUCUAUCUAUAUAUCCUUGCACUAAGAAUAAUUCAGUCAUAAUAAAAAUUUUCGUAACUACAUCUUGUUUCUUCCUCAUAAUAAUAAUAAUUAGAUUGGUUCGAAUAUUAUAACUAUAUAGAUUUAGGUGGCGUUUGUUUUUUUGUCUGAAAUCUGAAUAGACCUGAAUUAGUCUGAAUUCUGAAUAGAUCUGAAUGUUUGAAUCUGAAUAAUAUGUUUGUUUUUUCGUCUGAAUCUCAAAAAAUAAGUAUUAAGUUGUUUGUUUUUUUCAACUUAAAAAGUUAAAAAUAUGUACUUUUACAUUUGUAUCCUUUUAAAUUUGAAUGUCAAAUAAAUAAUAUAUUAAAUACCACAAUAUUUUAACAUUUAUAAGUAAAACUAUAUUCAAGUGAAUACAUAAUUAUUUUGGAAUUUUAAUAUAUAAAAUACCAUAAAAUUUAAAUUUUAUCAUAUAUAAUAUAAGAAAGAAAAAACAAUGAUAUUUUUAUGUGGGGUAAAUGUCUAUGGGUGAGUUUGAGAUAGACCUGAAAAAUAAAUUUAUAAAGCCAGGAUAUUUUUUACAUUACUAAGAAAUUGACUUUAAUUCCGAUUUUUCCCUUAAAUACAAAGCCCAAAAAUUGACUUAUUUUAUUAAGUCNNNNNNNNNNNNNNNNNNNNNNNNNNNNNNNNNNNNNNNNNNNNNNNNNNNNNNNNNNNNNNNNNNNNNNNNNNNNNNNNNNNNNNNNNNNNNNNNNNNNNNNNNNNNNNNNNNNNNNNNNNNNNNNNNNNNNNNNNNNNNNNNNNNNNNNNNNNNNNNNNNNNNNNNNNNNNNNNNNNNNNNNNNNNNNNNNNNNNNNNNNNNNNNNNNNNNNNNNNNNNNNNNNNNNNNNNNNNNNNNNNNNNNNNNNNNNNNNNNNNNNNNNNNNNNNNNNNNNNNNNNNNNNNNNNNNNNNNNNNNNNNNNNNNNNNNNNNNNNNNNNNNNNNNNNNNNNNNNNNNNNNNNNNNNNNNNNNNNNNNNNNNNNNNNNNNNNNNNNNNNNNNNNNNNNNNNNNNNNNNNNNNNNNNNNNNNNNNNNNNNNNNNNNNNNNNNNNNNNNNNNNNNNNNNNNNNNNNNNNNNNNNNNNNNNNNNNNNNNNNNNNNNNNNNNNNNNNNNNNNNNNNNNNNNNNNNNNNNNNNNNNNNNNNNNNNNNNNNNNNNNNNNNNNNNNNNNNNNNNNNNNNNNNNNNNNNNNNNNNNNNNNNNNNNNNNNNNNNNNNNNNNNNNNNNNNNNNNNNNNNNNNNNNNNNNNNNNNNNNNNNNNNNNNNNNNNNNNNNNNNNNNNNNNNNNNNNNNNNNNNNNNNNNNNNNNNNNNNNNNNNNNNNNNNNNNNNNNNNNNNNNNNNNNNNNNNNNNNNNNNNNNNNNNNNNNNNNNNNNNNNNNNNNNNNNNNNNNNNNNNNNNNNNNNNNNNNNNNNNNNNNNNNNNNNNNNNNNNNNNNNNNNNNNNNNNNNNNNNNNNNNNNNNNNNNNNNNNNNNNNNNNNNNNNNNNNNNNNNNNNNNNNNNNNNNNNNNNNNNNNNNNNNNNNNNNNNNNNNNNNNNNNNNNNNNNNNNNNNNNNNNNNNNNNNNNNNNNNNNNNNNNNNNNNNNNNNNNNNNNNNNNNNNNNNNNNNNNNNNNNNNNNNNNNNNNNNNNNNNNNNNNNNNNNNNNNNNNNNNNNNNNNNNNNNNNNNNNNNNNNNNNNNNNNNNNNNNNNNNNNNNNNNNNNNNNNNNNNNNNNNNNNNNNNNNNNNNNNNNNNNNNNNNNNNNNNNNNNNNNNNNNNNNNNNNNNNNNNNNNNNNNNNNNNNNNNNNNNNNNNNNNNNNNNNNNNNNNNNNNNNNNNNNNNNNNNNNNNNNNNNNNNNNNNNNNNNNNNNNNNNNNNNNNNNNNNNNNNNNNNNNNNNNNNNNNNNNNNNNNNNNNNNNNNNNNNNNNNNNNNNNNNNNNNNNNNNNNNNNNNNNNNNNNNNNNNNNNNNNNNNNNNNNNNNNNNNNNNNNNNNNNNNNNNNNNNNNNNNNNNNNNNNNNNNNNNNNNNNNNNNNNNNNNNNNNNNNNNNNNNNNNNNNNNNNNNNNNNNNNNNNNNNNNNNNNNNNNNNNNNNNNNNNNNNNNNNNNNNNNNNNNNNNNNNNNNNNNNNNNNNNNNNNNNNNNNNNNNNNNNNNNNNNNNNNNNNNNNNNNNNNNNNNNNNNNNNNNNNNNNNNNNNNNNNNNNNNNNNNNNNNNNNNNNNNNNNNNNNNNNNNNNNNNNNNNNNNNNNNNNNNNNNNNNNNNNNNNNNNNNNNNNNNNNNNNNNNNNNNNNNNNNNNNNNNNNNNNNNNNNNNNNNNNNNNNNNNNNNNNNNNNNNNNNNNNNNNNNNNNNNNNNNNNNNNNNNNNNNNNNNNNNNNNNNNNNNNNNNNNNNNNNNNNNNNNNNNNNNNNNNNNNNNNNNNNNNNNNNNNNNNNNNNNNNNNNNNNNNNNNNNNNNNNNNNNNNNNNNNNNNNNNNNNNNNNNNNNNNNNNNNNNNNNNNNNNNNNNNNNNNNNNNNNNNNNNNNNNNNNNNNNNNNNNNNNNNNNNNNNNNNNNNNNNNNNNNNNNNNNNNNNNNNNNNNNNNNNNNNNNNNNNNNNNNNNNNNNNNNNNNNNNNNNNNNNNNNNNNNNNNNNNNNNNNNNNNNNNNNNNNNNNNNNNNNNNNNNNNNNNNNNNNNNNNNNNNNNNNNNNNNNNNNNNNNNNNNNNNNNNNNNNNNNNNNNNNNNNNNNNNNNNNNNNNNNNNNNNNNNNNNNNNNNNNNNNNNNNNNNNNNNNNNNNNNNNNNNNNNNNNNNNNNNNNNNNNNNNNNNNNNNNNNNNNNNNNNNNNNNNNNNNNNNNNNNNNNNNNNNNNNNNNNNNNNNNNNNNNNNNNNNNNNNNNNNNNNNNNNNNNNNNNNNNNNNNNNNNNNNNNNNNNNNNNNNNNNNNNNNNNNNNNNNNNNNNNNNNNNNNNNNNNNNNNNNNNNNNNNNNNNNNNNNNNNNNNNNNNNNNNNNNNNNNNNNNNNNNNNNNNNNNNNNNNNNNNNNNNNNNNNNNNNNNNNNNNNNNNNNNNNNNNNNNNNNNNNNNNNNNNNNNNNNNNNNNNNNNNNNNNNNNNNNNNNNNNNNNNNNNNNNNNNNNNNNNNNNNNNNNNNNNNNNNNNNNNNNNNNNNNNNNNNNNNNNNNNNNNNNNNNNNNNNNNNNNNNNNNNNNNNNNNNNNNNNNNNNNNNNNNNNNNNNNNNNNNNNNNNNNNNNNNNNNNNNNNNNNNNNNNNNNNNNNNNNNNNNNNNNNNNNNNNNNNNNNNNNNNNNNNNNNNNNNNNNNNNNNNNNNNNNNNNNNNNNNNNNNNNNNNNNNNNNNNNNNNNNNNNNNNNNNNNNNNNNNNNNNNNNNNNNNNNNNNNNNNNNNNNNNNNNNNNNNNNNNNNNNNNNNNNNNNNNNNNNNNNNNNNNNNNNNNNNNNNNNNNNNNNNNNNNNNNNNNNNNNNNNNNNNNNNNNNNNNNNNNNNNNNNNNNNNNNNNNNNNNNNNNNNNNNNNNNNNNNNNNNNNNNNNNNNNNNNNNNNNNNNNNNNNNNNNNNNNNNNNNNNNNNNNNNNNNNNNNNNNNNNNNNNNNNNNNNNNNNNNNNNNNNNNNNNNNNNNNNNNNNNNNNNNNNNNNNNNNNNNNNNNNNNNNNNNNNNNNNNNNNNNNNNNNNNNNNNNNNNNNNNNNNNNNNNNNNNNNNNNNNNNNNNNNNNNNNNNNNNNNNNNNNNNNNNNNNNNNNNNNNNNNNNNNNNNNNNNNNNNNNNNNNNNNNNNNNNNNNNNNNNNNNNNNNNNNNNNNNNNNNNNNNNNNNNNNNNNNNNNNNNNNNNNNNNNNNNNNNNNNNNNNNNNNNNNNNNNNNNNNNNNNNNNNNNNNNNNNNNNNNNNNNNNNNNNNNNNNNNNNNNNNNNNNNNNNNNNNNNNNNNNNNNNNNNNNNNNNNNNNNNNNNNNNNNNNNNNNNNNNNNNNNNNNNNNNNNNNNNNNNNNNNNNNNNNNNNNNNNNNNNNNNNNNNNNNNNNNNNNNNNNNNNNNNNNNNNNNNNNNNNNNNNNNNNNNNNNNNNNNNNNNNNNNNNNNNNNNNNNNNNNNNNNNNNNNNNNNNNNNNNNNNNNNNNNNNNNNNNNNNNNNNNNNNNNNNNNNNNNNNNNNNNNNNNNNNNNNNNNNNNNNNNNNNNNNNNNNNNNNNNNNNNNNNNNNNNNNNNNNNNNNNNNNNNNNNNNNNNNNNNNNNNNNNNNNNNNNNNNNNNNNNNNNNNNNNNNNNNNNNNNNNNNNNNNNNNNNNNNNNNNNNNNNNNNNNNNNNNNNNNNNNNNNNNNNNNNNNNNNNNNNNNNNNNNNNNNNNNNNNNNNNNNNNNNNNNNNNNNNNNNNNNNNNNNNNNNNNNNNNNNNNNNNNNNNNNNNNNNNNNNNNNNNNNNNNNNNNNNNNNNNNNNNNNNNNNNNNNNNNNNNNNNNNNNNNNNNNNNNNNNNNNNNNNNNNNNNNNNNNNNNNNNNNNNNNNNNNNNNNNNNNNNNNNNNNNNNNNNNNNNNNNNNNNNNNNNNNNNNNNNNNNNNNNNNNNNNNNNNNNNNNNNNNNNNNNNNNNNNNNNNNNNNNNNNNNNNNNNNNNNNNNNNNNNNNNNNNNNNNNNNNNNNNNNNNNNNNNNNNNNNNNNNNNNNNNNNNNNNNNNNNNNNNNNNNNNNNNNNNNNNNNNNNNNNNNNNNNNNNNNNNNNNNNNNNNNNNNNNNNNNNNNNNNNNNNNNNNNNNNNNNNNNNNNNNNNNNNNNNNNNNNNNNNNNNNNNNNNNNNNNNNNNNNNNNNNNNNNNNNNNNNNNNNNNNNNNNNNNNNNNNNNNNNNNNNNNNNNNNNNNNNNNNNNNNNNNNNNNNNNNNNNNNNNNNNNNNNNNNNNNNNNNNNNNNNNNNNNNNNNNNNNNNNNNNNNNNNNNNNNNNNNNNNNNNNNNNNNNNNNNNNNNNNNNNNNNNNNNNNNNNNNNNNNNNNNNNNNNNNNNNNNNNNNNNNNNNNNNNNNNNNNNNNNNNNNNNNNNNNNNNNNNNNNNNNNNNNNNNNNNNNNNNNNNNNNNNNNNNNNNNNNNNNNNNNNNNNNNNNNNNNNNNNNNNNNNNNNNNNNNNNNNNNNNNNNNNNNNNNNNNNNNNNNNNNNNNNNNNNNNNNNNNNNNNNNNNNNNNNNNNNNNNNNNNNNNNNNNNNNNNNNNNNNNNNNNNNNNNNNNNNNNNNNNNNNNNNNNNNNNNNNNNNNNNNNNNNNNNNNNNNNNNNNNNNNNNNNNNNNNNNNNNNNNNNNNNNNNNNNNNNNNNNNNNNNNNNNNNNNNNNNNNNNNNNNNNNNNNNNNNNNNNNNNNNNNNNNNNNNNNNNNNNNNNNNNNNNNNNNNNNNNNNNNNNNNNNNNNNNNNNNNNNNNNNNNNNNNNNNNNNNNNNNNNNNNNNNNNNNNNNNNNNNNNNNNNNNNNNNNNNNNNNNNNNNNNNNNNNNNNNNNNNNNNNNNNNNNNNNNNNNNNNNNNNNNNNNNNNNNNNNNNNNNNNNNNNNNNNNNNNNNNNNNNNNNNNNNNNNNNNNNNNNNNNNNNNNNNNNNNNNNNNNNNNNNNNNNNNNNNNNNNNNNNNNNNNNNNNNNNNNNNNNNNNNNNNNNNNNNNNNNNNNNNNNNNNNNNNNNNNNNNNNNNNNNNNNNNNNNNNNNNNNNNNNNNNNNNNNNNNNNNNNNNNNNNNNNNNNNNNNNNNNNNNNNNNNNNNNNNNNNNNNNNNNNNNNNNNNNNNNNNNNNNNNNNNNNNNNNNNNNNNNNNNNNNNNNNNNNNNNNNNNNNNNNNNNNNNNNNNNNNNNNNNNNNNNNNNNNNNNNNNNNNNNNNNNNNNNNNNNNNNNNNNNNNNNNNNNNNNNNNNNNNNNNNNNNNNNNNNNNNNNNNNNNNNNNNNNNNNNNNNNNNNNNNNNNNNNNNNNNNNNNNNNNNNNNNNNNNNNNNNNNNNNNNNNNNNNNNNNNNNNNNNNNNNNNNNNNNNNNNNNNNNNNNNNNNNNNNNNNNNNNNNNNNNNNNNNNNNNNNNNNNNNNNNNNNNNNNNNNNNNNNNNNNNNNNNNNNNNNNNNNNNNNNNNNNNNNNNNNNNNNNNNNNNNNNNNNNNNNNNNNNNNNNNNNNNNNNNNNNNNNNNNNNNNNNNNNNNNNNNNNNNNNNNNNNNNNNNNNNNNNNNNNNNNNNNNNNNNNNNNNNNNNNNNNNNNNNNNNNNNNNNNNNNNNNNNNNNNNNNNNNNNNNNNNNNNNNNNNNNNNNNNNNNNNNNNNNNNNNNNNNNNNNNNNNNNNNNNNNNNNNNNNNNNNNNNNNNNNNNNNNNNNNNNNNNNNNNNNNNNNNNNNNNNNNNNNNNNNNNNNNNNNNNNNNNNNNNNNNNNNNNNNNNNNNNNNNNNNNNNNNNNNNNNNNNNNNNNNNNNNNNNNNNNNNNNNNNNNNNNNNNNNNNNNNNNNNNNNNNNNNNNNNNNNNNNNNNNNNNNNNNNNNNNNNNNNNNNNNNNNNNNNNNNNNNNNNNNNNNNNNNNNNNNNNNNNNNNNNNNNNNNNNNNNNNNNNNNNNNNNNNNNNNNNNNNNNNNNNNNNNNNNNNNNNNNNNNNNNNNNNNNNNNNNNNNNNNNNNNNNNNNNNNNNNNNNNNNNNNNNNNNNNNNNNNNNNNNNNNNNNNNNNNNNNNNNNNNNNNNNNNNNNNNNNNNNNNNNNNNNNNNNNNNNNNNNNNNNNNNNNNNNNNNNNNNNNNNNNNNNNNNNNNNNNNNNNNNNNNNNNNNNNNNNNNNNNNNNNNNNNNNNNNNNNNNNNNNNNNNNNNNNNNNNNNNNNNNNNNNNNNNNNNNNNNNNNNNNNNNNNNNNNNNNNNNNNNNNNNNNNNNNNNNNNNNNNNNNNNNNNNNNNNNNNNNNNNNNNNNNNNNNNNNNNNNNNNNNNNNNNNNNNNNNNNNNNNNNNNNNNNNNNNNNNNNNNNNNNNNNNNNNNNNNNNNNNNNNNNNNNNNNNNNNNNNNNNNNNNNNNNNNNNNNNNNNNNNNNNNNNNNNNNNCAUCCAAUUUAAAUAUUGACCCAAUUGGGAUGGUCCCCAAAAAAAAAAUUCGUUAAAGGAUAAUUCUAAUUAUUUUUACUUCUCAAACGUUAGUGGGACGUUUGUAUUAGUGCACUCGUAAGCCAAGUGGUCAAAUAUUUAUAUUAAACUACAAUUGCUGACAAGAAAAAUCAAGAUCGUGUUACGCAAGUGGGUCCCGAAUAGGACGUGCCUAAAUCUCUCGUAAGCCAAGUUGUCAAAUAUUUAUAUUAAACUACAAUUGCUGACUAGAAAAAUCAAGAUCGUAUUACAAGUGGGUCCCGAAUUGGGACGUGCCUAAAUCUUUUUAUAAUUUUCCCAGUGUAGCGGACAGAGGUCAUUACUAAAUUUCUCUUCCACACGCCACAGCAGCUUCGGUUAAUCAAACUCAAUCAAUUUUCUUGGCUUCUCCGCUUAUCAAUAUUACAAGGUAUGGGUAGCAUUUUUCAAAUCACAUGCGAUGGUACUAUUUUCAAUCGUUGCUUAGAUUGCUUUCUUGGAAAAGCAGCAUACAUAAGUAACCUCCAAGAUAAUCUCGUUGCCUUGGAGACUGAACUAAGGAAACUAAUCGCAGCAAAGAACGAUGUGAUGACGGCGGUUGUCAAUGCUGAACGGCAACAAAUGAGAAGGCUGGACCAAGUGCAAGUGUGGGUUUCGAGGGCGGAUGCUGUUAAAACUGAAGCUGAUGAACUUAUCAGAGGCGGCUCUCAAGAAAUUGAAAAAUUAUGUCUUAGAGGGUUCUGUUCCAGGAACUGCACGUCAAGCUACAAGUUCGGAAAACAAGUGGCUAAAAAGCUACGAGCUGUGGAGACUUUAAUCGCCGAAGGAGUUUUUGAGGCGGUGGCUGCGGAGGUGGUGCCUGAGAGAGCUCCAGAGCCUGUAGCAGAUGAAAGACCUACCGAGCGAACAGUAGUAGGCUUGCAAUCACAACUUGAACAAGUCUGGAGAUGUCUUGCAGAAGAAUCAGCGGGAAUCAUUGGCCUAUAUGGUAUGGGCGGUGUUGGUAAAACUACACUAUUGAUCCAUAUCAACAAUAAAUUUCUCGAGAGUCCAACCAACUUUGAUUGUGUGAUUUGGGUAGUAGUUUCAAAAGACCUGCGACUUGAAAAAAUUCAAGAAAAUAUUGGGAAAAAGAUCGGUUUGGUUGAUGAUUCAUGGAAGAGUAAAAGUGUAGAGGAGAAAGCUCUCGACAUCUUCCGGAGUUUAAGAGAGAAGAGAAUUGUAUUGCUGUUAGAUGAUAUAUGGGAGCGGGUUGAUUUAACAAAAGUGGGCGUUCCACUUCCAGGACCACAAAAUACUACCUCAAAAGCCGUAUUCACAACCCGUUUGAUCGAUGUUUGUGGUAGCAUGGAAGCUGACAGGAAGUUCAAAGUAGCAUGCUUAUCAGAAAAGGAUGCUUGGGAACUGUUUCGAAAAAAAGUUGGGGAAGAAACUCUUGGAAGUCAUCAUGAUAUCGUUGAGCUAGCCCAGACUGUGGCCAAAGAGUGUGGUGGUUUGCCACUCGCACUUAUUACUAUUGGUCGAGCUAUGGCCUUCAAAAAGACAGCCGAGGAGUGGAGUCAUGCAAUUGAUGUGCUAAGAACAUCAGCUUCUGAGUUUGCAGGUUUGGGAGAAAAGGUGUAUCGUCUUCUAAAGUUUAGCUAUGAUAGUUUGCAGAAUGAGACGAUUAGAUCUUGUUUCUUAUAUUGUUGUUUAUAUCCCGAGGAUUAUGGCAUUCUUAAAUGGGACUUGAUUGAUUGUUGGAUUGGUGAGGGAUUCUUAGAGGAAUCUGACAGGUUUAGUGCAGAAAACCAAGGAUACUACAUUGUGGGCACUCUUGUUCAUGCGUGUUUACUAGAAGAGAUAGAAGAUGAUAAAGUAAAAAUGCAUGACGUUGUUCGUGAUAUGGCUUUAUGGAUAGCUUGUGAAAUUGAGAAGGAGAAGAGAAACUUUUUGGUUUGUGCAGGUGCUGGAUUAGAAGAGGCACCGGAUGUUAAAGAAUGGGAAAAUGUGAGAAGAUUGUCAUUGAUGCAAAACCAAAUUGAAACUCUGUCACAGAUUCCCGCAUGCCCUCAUCUCCAUACUCUAUUUCUUGCCUCUAAUAGGAAUUUGACGAUGAUCACGGAUGGUUUCUUUCAAUUUAUGCCUUCUCUCAAAGUUUUGAAGAUGUCACUCUGCGAUAACUCAACUUUGAAAUUACCUUUGGGGAUGUCAAAGUUAGGUUCACUAGAACUUCUUGAUAUUUCAGAUACCAGCAUAAGACAGUUACCAGAAGAGUUAAAGUUGUUGGUAAGUCUGAAAUGUUUGAAUUUGAGGUGGACAGGUGCGUUAAUUAGAAUUCCACGGCAACUAAUAUCAAAUUCUUCAAGGUUACGUGUGUUGAGAUUGUUCGCUACUGGCUAUUUGUGUCUUCAGGGAGCAUCAGAAGACAGCGUUUUAUUUGGCGGGGGUGAAGUUUUGAUACAGGAAUUGCUUGGUUUGAAAUAUUUAAAGGUAUUGGAGUUGACCUUGCGAAGUUGUCAUGCUCUCCAAUUUUUUUUGAGCUCAAAUAAGUUAAAAAGUUGUAUUCGAUCUCUUUUCCUCCAAUUGAUCAGAGAUAAAAAGUCGAUUAUUGAUGCUACGGCUUUCGCUGAUCUAAAGCACCUCAAUGAAUUAUGGAUCGAUAGAGCUAAGGAGUUGGAAGAAUUUAAGAUUGAUUAUACAGGUAUAGUUCGAAAAAGGCGGGAACCUUUUGUUUUCCGCAGCCUUCACUAUGUGACCAUAUAUAGGUGCUAUAAAUUGAAAGAUUUGACAUUCCUCGUUUUUGCUCCAAGCCUCAAGUCUCUUUUGCUAACCUGUUCCUAUGUUAUGGAAGAAUUAAUCAGCGUUGGAAAAUUUGUUGAGGUUCCGGAGAUGAUGGGACAUAUAAGCCCUUUUGAAAAUCUCCAAAGGCUUGAAUUAUGGGAUUUGCCAGCUUUGAAGAGCAUCUACUGGAAGCCAUUGCCUUUUACUCAUCUGAAAGAAAUGGAGGUAAGUGGGUGUGAUCAGCUUAAAAAGCUUCCACUCGAUUCCAACAGUGCGAAAGAGAGUAAAUUUGUUAUUCGUGGAGAAGCACACUGGUGGAACCGUCUUCAAUGGGAGGAUGGAGCCACUCAAAUUGCUUUUCGUUCCUGUUUCCAAUCUCUUUAAUAUAAAUUCCUAAGCGGUGGUUGCAAAAUUUGAUUUCUGGUGAGUGCUAUUUCCUUAACUUUAACAUUUAUUCUCGUCGUUUGCUCCGUGCAAAAUACUAGGUCUUUUGUUCUCUGUCUUUAUUUCUUUUUUGGGUCUUCUGCAAAUCACAAUCAAAUGUUGAAUUAUAAAUUUGCCAGCAUCGCCUUUUUUUUUUUUGGGCCGGGGUUGGUGUCGAAUUGAUGCUCCGGUUUUUGACUUUUUGUUGUCAAAUUUUACUCUGUUUUUUCAAAUUGAUGCUUGAAUAGUUGAAUCAAAUUAAUGCUCACGUAAAUUUGUCCAGUUGCCGUAAAAAGAUAUAAUUACACUGAAAUGCACACCUCUAGAAUGAAUAGAAUUAAUCAGAGAAAACAUUAAUAAGUGCAGAGUUAGAAUAUGGAAAAGUUCACUGGCAAAUACUUUGUAAAACUUCGGAGUGAAACAGGGAAUGCACUUGCAACUAAGGACAAAUUGGUGGCCAGCUAAUGCCUUCAUUUUAUUUACAUUCAUCUUUUUAAUUAUUGAAGAUAAGUGGUUCGUUGCUUUUGUUGUAGAUAAAAUUCAGACGACCUCAAUUGUGACAUGACAAUAUUUAAAAUAUCUCUUAAAUUAUUAUAAACUUUAAUUUAUCUUAAUUUUAUUUAAAAGAUAAAAGAAAAAUGUGGUAUAUGGAUUAAAAUUUUUUUUAUCUUCUUAAUCAAAUGAAAUAAAUUACAAUUUACAAUAAUUUAAAAUAUUUUAAAAAUUAUUAUUUCAUAAGAGAUUAAUAUGAAAUUAAUCGUUUUUACUUUUUGAAUGUGAAAGGACAAGAAAAGAGAAAGCAGGUGUCCCUGCUUUUUAUUUUAUUUGAAAUCGGAGUUAUCCCAUAUACUUUACUAAUUUAGCUCCAACAUUACAAUGUUUUUAGGCUACACUUUUAUUUUUCUUUUACCCCCUUUUUUUAUACAUGCAUGUGGAUUACUUUUCUCUAAGCUCCUUAAUAUUUAAGACAAAUCAUAAAAGCGAUUGAAGUAUAACAAGAUGAUCAAAACAUUUAACCCAAAAAAAAAAAGAAAUAAAGAAAUAAAACACUGAAAAUGGAGAUGUUGAUUAAUUUAGAAAAGAUACAAGCAAAAGAUAUUCCCAAAAAAAAGAAAAAAAGAAAAAAGCAACGUUAGUUCAUCCAUGUCUGUCAAUAUGUUUUUUAUGGUUUUUUUCCAGUUGUUUGUUGUUAUAGAUUGAUUGUAAAUUGAUAUGAACUUGGUGUUGUAAUAUGUUCGUUUUUGUGGAAUUAAAUUUGAAUAUUCAAGAUUAUUCAAGUCUUAUCUAGUAUGUGUUCAGUUGUGUUGUCGAUAAUUUUGCAUUCGAAUAAGUUUUCACCUAAAAUAUUAGCAUGAGUAGUAGUCCUUGAAAUUUUGGUCAAAAUUAUUGUUAUCGUUUGUUUUAGAGGAAAUUUUUUUAUUAAAGCCUCGUUAACACUAUUCCUUAUUAAGAUUAUAAGUUAGUGUCGGUGCAGGAUUUGCAGCAACAAAUCUUGUCUAGCCACGUGUCAAAAAGUACAAAUAAAUCAAGGGAAAGCACAUGACAUGGAUUAGGAUCCAAUAAAAUUUAAAUCCCAAGGAAAAAGGACAACUGUAUCCUAAAGUUUCAAUAAGAGAUACUAAGAUAUCUUUUGACUAAUGUUAUUUUUUGGCUUUAUUAAUAAAAAGAUCGAAUAGUUUAUAACAAAUAAAAAUAUAGUAUUAAGCUAAAUGUGAUAAUUUACACAUUUUACAUAAUUUCAAUAAAAAAAAUAUUUUAAUGUUUUACAAUCUAUCAGACAUAUUUUAUUAAAUUAAUAAGAAUUUUCUUAUAAAUAGCAACAUAAUAUUAAAAUAAAUUUAUAAAGAUUUAAAUGUAAAAUAAUUUUAGUAUAAUUAAUACGUGGGAUAUAUUUUGUAAAUUAUAAAAUUACUUAACCCAAUGAUUUUUAAAAAUCUUUAAAAUAAAUAAAAAUAAAUUAUUCACAUUUUGAUGUAAAUAUUUAAAACAUUUUUAUACAUUAGUCCACAAUUAUUUAUGUUAUAUUUGUAUUUAUUAGAAAAUUUGAAAGUCAAAUGUUUUUCACCUCUAUCUUAUUAGAAUUAUUGCACACAGAGAAAGAGCCAUAUAUGCUUUAUAGCUUUAAAAUCGAUUUGUUUUAUAGCUGGGAACAGAGAUGAUCAUUAUUAUAAGGAUUAAAAAAAAGAUAAAGAAUGUUAAUGAUUAGCGAAAUCUCUAUGGAAAUUGAAUUUAGUAAGAAAAAAUUGAGCUGAUUUUAGUGGUAUAGUAAUAUUUUAUAUAGAGAAAAGUAAAAGCUGCACCCCAAGGUUAAGAGAAAUGGUCAAAACUCUUUUUUAAUCAUAAUACCCUUUUUUCCUAGAUAAUUUAAAAAUUUUACUCUAAUAUUUUAUAAUAAAUAAAAACAUAUAAUCCUAAAAUAAAUAAAAUAAUAUAUAUUUUAAAAUAAUCUCAAUAUUUAAAAUAUAUUUUAACAUUUUAUAAUCUAUCAAAUAUAUUUUAUUAUAUUAAAGUAAAUUUUAUAAUAAAUACAAAACAUACUAUUAAAAUAGAUAUAAAAAUUUUAAAGUAUUUUGAAUAUUAUAUAAAAUAACUUUAAUAUUGUUAAUGCGUGAGAUGCAUUUUAUUAAUUAAAAAUUCUAUUUAACCCAAAGAUUUAUUUAUAAUAAAUUAAUAAUCAUAUUUUUGAAAUUAUUUUAAAUAUUAAAAAAUAUUUUAAUAUUACUAACUAUUAGAUAGACUAAACUAUUUAUAUUAUUUUCUAUUUAUUAUAAAAUUUCAAAGUUAAUCUUUUUAACUACUAUUCAAAAGAUAUUAUGAUAAAAACAGAAUUUUUCUGUUUUAUUAAAAAUUUAGAGUUUACACCUAUUUUUUCAAAUAUUCGGGGUGUAACUGUUUUAUUUAAAUAAAAUCUCAGUUAAAAAUGUACAGAGAAGAAAUUUCUGUUGGUAUUUUAGUCUUUUACCAAUUAUCACGAUUAGGCCUUGGCCUUGAAACAUUAAUUGUUUCACUUUUAGCGCUAGUGGCGUUGAAAGUUGUCAAGAAAAAGCAAGACCAUAUUCCACAAAAGCAGCUCUUUUAUUAAAGGCAAAGUAUAAAGUAGUCAAGAAUCGAAUAUCCUGUCGUCUACUCUUUUUUAAAUUCUUCUUUUAUUAUCUUUUAGAAUAGUUUUUGGUAAUUACAAUCAUUAUUCAGAGUUAUUGUUAUCUUCUGGGGCAGUCUCUGUUCAUCGAAGUCGUUACCUUUUUUUCAUGGAUCAGUUCCAGUGCCAAGCAGUAAUUUUCUUAGAACUCGGAUCUUUAAUUCGAGUUUCUUUGUGAAUUAAUAAUAAAAAAUUUUCAUUACACGCAAUUUAAGCUACGAAUUACUUUUUGCAAAGUUGAAUAUGAAAUUGGAGAAAUUAAAUAAUUUAGAAUGUUGGUAAAAAUUGACUAACAUAUCCCCAAUUACAGUAAAACCUCUCUACAGUCAUAACAUUAUAACAAAAUUAAUUUUAUUACUAUGUUGAGGUAAUAUAGGUUUAGUUACAAAAUUAUUGUUUUAAUAUGGUUAGUGUCAAGUGAUAUAAAGGUUAAGUAUGCAGUACAUUGAUAAUUAAAUAAUGAAGCGUGUCAAAUCUAACGUAUAUAUAUUAAUGAUAUAGAUAGACAUAGUUUUAAAAAACUAAUUAAUGUAUAUUUAUGUAGUGUUAUGAAUAUGGAAAGUCAAGCCUACACUUUACAUUAUCCUUAAUUUUUUCUGUCAGUUAAAUUCUACAAAUAUUGUACAAUGAUUGGGUAAGAACUCUAAAUUAAGAAUAAAUUAUUGUCACAAAUAAUUUUAAAAAAUAUUUUAUUUCAUCUUAAACCUUUAAUGUAAGUAAAUAUAUAUAUAUAUAUGUGUGUGUGUGUGUGUGUGCAUAUUUUGCAACGUAUAGAUAAUUGUUAGUAUAUGGAGACAAGUCUUUUAAGGUAGGACCUAGGAAAAUUUAUAACUUACUACACUGGGGAGUUUUUAUUCCUUUUUAUAAUUGUCUCAUAUUGAUACAUUCUUACACAAAAUAUUACCAUUGACAUAUGUUGAUGCGAGAUUCUGGUUACCCUCUUCCUACGACCAGGAUAUCUGCUCGACCAACUUCACCUCUAUCAGGAUCUCUCCUCGUAUGCUUUUUUCUCCAAAUAUUCCUGCGUCCACAGAAACAAGUCAGAGCACGCCGGUUGUUUUCCCGGCGUAAACCCUCUGACGCUCAAGUCAGAUAUGAAGGCUCUGGGAAUGCUUGCCACAGAUCUUAUGGUUUUUCUGUAGUUUCUAUUCUUUAGAGUUUCAUUUAUCUCUGAAUAUAAUCUCAAAAAUGCUAACCCUUUUACCUUCCUUGGCUACCUUUUUAUAGGCUUCCUCUGAAUCCCGGUCUUCCGUAGUCCACGCCCGUUAUUCUCCCCACCCUCGGAUGUGGAUGCCCCAUUAUCGCCAUUGUGGGCGAAUGGAGAUGGACUUCGUGCCUUGAUUCUCGGAUAGGAAUGCACGUCUUGCCAACUGUCGUUGACUGGGUCUCCUCGCCUCUCGACCUCUAGCCGGAAUGGCCUUAUGCCUCUAACAAGAGUUCGACCUCGUGAAUGGCAUACUCGCGGACGAGCCGAAUAUUUCUGCUCAUGUUCCCCUGCUACCUGGCUCUUACAGGACAUACCUGUUCGCAGAACUCCGCCAUCAAAUAUCUGCUCAUCACGUCUGGUCUCGUUGAAGUAUUUCCCUCAAACAACAUAUUUUACUACAAUUAGUUUAGAACAUUUGUUAGGAAAAAAAAAGAAAAGAAAACAUUCCUUGGAUGUAGCUCUCCUGACUAUUUAAAUCUUUUAAGGAAAAAAAGAAAAAAGAAAAACUGACACAUUCAAAUCUUGAAGCAAUUACAUUAAAACCUCUCCAUAAUGAUAGGAAUAAUCUCCAUUUAGUAAUAAAAAAUUUUGUUCGCAAUCUAGGCAGAGUUAUAAAUAAGAAUAAAAUCCUCAUUGUAAUAAGUUGUAUUUAUUAUGGAUCCCAUCCUAAGGAACUUGUCUCUAUAUAGUAAUAAUUAUUUGCAUAUUAUAAAUAUAUAUGUUGCAUUAGAUUAAAUGAACUUGUCUCCACAUACUACUUAGACAAUGAGAGAAAGUUAUUAAAGAGAACACAAAUAUUUAGAGAUUUUUAAGAUUACUUUGCAUGUUUAUAACAAUAAUACAUUGAUAUAUGUAUUAGUUUUUUGAUAUAUUAGAUUUGACAUGCUCUAUUAAUAAAUUAUUAAUACGAUGCAAACUUCAUCUCUCUAUCCUUGCAAUAAAAGUAACUAAGUUAUAACAAUAAUUAUUAAUAAAUUAUUAAUACGAUGCGUACUUCAUCUCUAUAUCCUUGCAAUAAAAGUAACUAAGUUAUAACGAUAAUUUUUGUAACUACAUGCUUAUUAGGUUUUAACUACUUCAUAAUAAUAAAUUAGUUUCGUUCUAAUAUUAUAAGGGAGCGCCUAAGUUGCGAUCAAUGUACCUUACGUUUUUUGUUUUAUUCUUCUUGGUAGUUUUCAUUUGAGUCCCUUGAUGUUUCUUUAUUUGAAAGAAUUUUAUUUGAAAGAAUUUGCAAAUACAUGUUAUUUGAAAGAAAAAUUUUAUUUUUCUUUAAAAGAAAAAUUAUUAUAUUUUUUAUAUCUCUUUUCUUUAUUAUAAGAUUUUCUUCGUUUUUUAUGGGGUACAUAACAUCCCCAUUGGGUAGGCAUAUCUGUCUUUUCACAACAUAUUUUUGUUAUAUUUUUACUCUUUUUUAUUAAACUUCUUUGGAUACAAAUUUCACUUAAUCUGUUAUUUAAAAAUCUAAUCCUAGAUCCUAAUGUAUCUGGGAUUCUACUAUCGCUUUUAUUAGUAUGUUUUUCAUAUUCAUUUAUAAAAUAUCCAUUCCAUGGAUAAGGUAAUUUAGAAUAAUAUAAAUUUUUAUAAAUGUUCUGGUCUUCAUGACUCAUGAAUUGUGUAUAAUAAUAUUUACUAAAUUCACAUGUAUAUUCUUUUACAAAACACAUAUUACAGAUUGUCAGGUUUAUUAAUUUCAUUCUAGCAUUUAAUUUAUCAUUUUUUGCUUCAUUUUCUGUAUUUUGUAACCAAUCUUCUCCUAAGAAUUCACUAGCAAUAUAUUCGAUUAUUCUUUCUAUUCCUAAUCCCUUAUCUUUUCCUAAUGCUAUUUUGGUUGAAUCUCUUAUUAAUUUUUGUGUAUCUUCACUUAAUCCUUUCCACCAAUUAAAUACAUUUCCUGUAAAACUUGCUAUUAGAAUAUCUGUUAAUAUAUUUAUUUUUUCUUCUUCAGUGUCUACAUUCCAAUCAUCUUUAGAUCCAUUGAAUAUAAAAAAUAACUUCAUUUGCAUUCCCCAUUCUACUAAAGCUUUUCGGGGGUCUAUUUUGCAAUCUAAGUCUAAAAAUGUACCUGCAUUGCUUAUUGGCAUCAAAUGGUCAUUAUUAGGUUGGUAAUCUUUUUUCCAAGGGGUAUUUUUAAUGGGUGGAUAGUAUUCAUAAAAAGGUCUAUUUUUCUUUUUAUUUGUUUCAUAUCUGUGGCUGGGUUCUCCAAUAUCAGGUUUCAAUUCUGGACCUCCAGCGAAAUUCAUCUUUAUUUGAUAUUCUUUUUCAAAUUCUUCUAAAUCACUAAGGUUAAUAUCACUAAAUUUUUCUGUUAAUUCUUCUAAUGUAUUUUCCAUUAUUCUGUGUCACUAGGUGUACUUUCUUUUAUCUCUAAUUUUUCUUUUCCCUUUUCUUCUCUUUUUAAUUCUGCUUUUAACUUUUCUGAUUCCUCUAAUAUUUUUGGAUACUGGGUUUUUAUAAACCAGUCAUCAUAGCUUCCUGGUUGAGGUUUUGUCAUAUGUUUUUCAAUGCUCGUCCCUAUUAUUCCUGAUUUUAUUAUUUCAAGUUUCUCAACUUUUUUAUUUUUCUUUCGACUUAUCUGAAUUGUUGAUAAUUCUAUUUUUAUUUUUCCUAUUUCCUGUUUUAUUUCUCUCAUUUCCUCUUUAAGAUUUAAAAGUAUUUCUUUUAAUUCAAUUAAUGUAGUUUCCAUAAAAUGUAGGGGUACUAACAGCUAUUUUUACCUUUGAGUGUAUGUUACAUCCAAUCGUAACAUAGGGUUAGCCAUAUUAUAAUUAUGUAGAGUUGUAGUGUAUAGACACACCCAAUUUAAAUAGUAAAUCAAAUAAAAUUGUCCCCACAAAAAAGAAAAAAGGGGUAAAGGAUUGUUAUUUCUUCAAACAUUAGGAGCACGUUUGUUCAAGUGCGAUGCCUUUCUUUUGAAGGCAACGUCAGUGGGUACCCAAUAGGACGUGUGUAAAUCUUUCCAAAAUUUCUCCGGUAUAACGGACAGAGAUCAUUACUUUUCUCUUCCAUAGACCACAGCAGCUUCAGUUAAUCAGACUCAAUCAAUUUUCUUGGUGUCUUCGCUUAUCAAAAUUCCAAAAUAUGGGUAGCAUAUUUCAAAUCACAUGCGAUGGUGCUUUUUUCAAUCGUUGCUUGGAUUGCUUUCUUGGAAAAGUAGCAAACACAAGUAAGCUCCAAGAUAACCUUGUUGCCUUGGAGACUGAAUUGGGAAAACUAAUCGCAGCAAAGAACGAUGUGAUGAUGAGGGUUGUCAAUGCUGAACGGCAACAACUGCGAACGCUGGACCAAGUGCAAGUGUGGCUUUCGAGGGUGGAAGCUGUUAAAACUGAAGCUGAUGAAUUGAUAAGACACGGCUCUCAAGAAAUUGACAAAUUAUGUGUUGGAGGCUACUAUUCCAAGCACUGCGCGUCAAGCUACAAGUUCGGGAAACAAGUGGCUAAAAAGCUACGGGAUGUGCAGACUUUAAUCGGCGAAGGAGUUUUUGCGGCGGUGGCUACUGAAGUGGUGCCUGAGAGAGCUCCAGAACCUGUAGCAGAUGAAAGACCCACUGAGCCAACAAUAGUAGGCUUGCAAUCACAACUUGAACAAGUUUGGAGAUGUCUUGUAGAAGAAUCAGUGGGAAUCAUUGGCCUAUAUGGUAUGGGCGGUGUUGGUAAAACUACACUAUUGACCCAUAUCAACAAUAAAUUUCUUGAGAGUCCAACCAGUUUUGAUUGUGUGAUUUGGGCCGUAGUUUCAAAGGACUUGCAACUCGAAAAAAUUCAAGAAGAUAUUGGGAAAAAGAUCGGUUUGGUUGAUGAUUCAUGGA
rnacentral:lncRNA from 1 species